CUGGGAAAUUUUAUUUUUUUUUUAAAAUGUCCGGGCUAUUUCCGCGCAAUCCGCUAUUAGGACAGCGUAUCCAUCGACAAUUACUCAUCACAUAUAUUUAAAACUAGACCACAUUCAGAACCAAUACACAAAUUGGCACAUCAAUAAUAUUCUCAUUCAUCCAUAUCAAAUGUGUACAUAUAUAGUCAUGUCACUAGCUUAAGAUGCUUGCCAUCAAGCCAACAUACAAGCAUGCAUAUAGCAGCUGAAAAUAAAUUAAAAGCAAGGAGUAGCAUCACACAGCUGCUAUAUAUGCUAGCACACGUCGAAUCACUAGCUACUAGUUGCAUGCAAGUUCCAAAGCAAACAGGGAGACGACUGCCUGGAUGUAUGGAUCCACAGAUCACACAAAGACACAGCAGAAACCUGCAGAGACGAUGCAUGGAUGUAUGGAUCCGAUCCUGUGUCCUGUAGGAGUAAGAUCUACACAGCAAAUUGAAGUCUUUUCUUCAGAAACAGGGAUCUCUUUUUGGAAGAGAACAAUAUGGAGCGCAGCAGGUAGUACGUGUGGCGUACUACUAGCUAGUAAGGAAAUAAACAUCUACUUCAACUUCUCCUUUUCCUUGCAGAUAUAUACAAAUCCAUAAGCAUAGACCGUGCGUAUAGUAUACUGUACUCUGCGUUGCAAGAUUAAUUAAUUGAAGGUGUAUAGUACAUACAUACAGAUUACUCAACGUACGGUACGUACCAGGCGCCGUCGAAGUCGAAGGAGCCGGGUCGGCGGAUGGGGACGAAUCCGAGCACGUCGGUGUAGAAGCGCAGCGACGCCUCCACGGAGCGACACACGAUGCUGAUGUGGUUCAGCGACGCCAGCGGCAGCACGCCCGCCGUCCUCACGCCGCCAACGCCAACGCCAACGCCGCCGCCGCAGCUCGCCGCCGCCAUCGUCGUGCUGCUCACCAUCCUCUCUGCUCUCUGCUCUCUCCCUCUGGUGGAUCGAGGGAGCACCCUUCAGUCUCGAGUGGAAGGGGAUCUGGCGUUCGUUGGCGUCGUCGAUCCGGAUCAAGGGGCGGGCGGAGGAGGAGGCGAAGACGAGGACGAGGCACGAGCGGAGUCCGGAGCGGCGGGCGCCGGAGCGGCCGGGGCCAGAGCGGCCGGGUAGUCGACGGUGGGGGCGCAGGGUGCAGGGGAGGCGGGGGCGCAGGGCGCAGGGGGUGCGGCGAGGCUGCGUGCGUGGUGUGGGUGCGUGCGUGCGUGCGCGGCCGGCUGAGUGCGUGGGGUGGGGAGCGGCUGAGCGUUUCUUUUUUUUUAAACUGAAACACGCACUUCGCCGAGUGCUAGAUCGGCGGCACUUGGCGAAGAGGGGGUGGGGACGGCUUCGCCGAGUGCCAGAUCGGCGGCACUCGGCGAAGAGGGCGCAUAGAUCCGCUUACCUGUUCAAACGUACGUAUACACUUCGCCUAGUGCCACGUGGCAGGCACUUGGCGAAGGGGUCUUCGCCAAGUGCCAGCAACGUGGCACUUGGCGAAGAGCGCUUCCAGGCAAUUUCCCAGGGUCCUCUCUUCGCCAAGUGCCACGUGUAUGGCACUCGGCGAAGCCUCGUCUUCACCAAGUGCCAGACGGAGGCACUUGGCGAAGCCGACGGCAAGGGAUGGGGAUGGAUGCCGUCAGGCUUCGCCAAGUGCCUUUCUUCGCCGAGUGCUUGGCACUUGGCGAAGAGGCCAUUUCGCCAAGUGCGUUUCUUCGCCGAGUGCUUGGCACUUGGCGAAGCCUUCUUCGCCAAGUGCUGGCUUCGCCAAGAGCCAGGCACUUGGCGAAGCCUUCUUCACCAAGUGCCCGAUUUUUGGCACUCGGCGAACUCUGGGGCACUUGGCGAAGCCUGGAUUUCCUGUAGUGUACACUUUUUUUUUUUUGGUUUUUGCUUCCGCCUACAAGAGGUUCGGGUCAACCCUCUUGCGAACUUGACCCGCUCCUCAAAUUAGCCCAUGAAGCGAAGCGGUUUGACCCCAAAUAAAUACAGCCGAGGGGCAACAGGGUCACGACCCCAUCGACCCUAAUCAAAUAACCCUGAGUCGCUCCUCUCUCCGCUGCAACGCUGUGCAUCGUUACUCCUCUCUUCGUCAUAGCCACCGAAAAGUCCCGCUCCAUGGUGUGGCUUCGGUGUCCCUGACGUUUUUGGGAGCAGGCUCCGACUCCAUCGGUGGUGUGUUGCGUGGUCUGGCGCGUUGCAUGCUGAACUUCGCAUGCAUGACGGUGCUAUUGCCGGCUGCAGGGCACAACAGGGUGGCAUUUUUGUGUCACCACACGGGAAGUCGGAAACACGAUAUGGUGGUGACAAUGACAUUAUAUAUUGGCAGGGCACACACAUGAAUGGUACAGUAUACCAUAUCACAUGCUACGACGACAAUGGUGGACAAGGGAAUGAAAAUAAUGUUCAUCUGCUAAUUGCGGACUUGACAGUUGACAUUACAAGACAACUCGGGGCUCCACAAAGUUUGUAUUUAGCAUAAGGCUAGUCCCGAUGGUAAUUUCAUCGGAGUUUCAUGUAUAUUAAAUAAGCUGAUGCGGCAUAGUUUAAAUGAAGAGAGAGGUAAAAAUAGUUUUAUGGGAUGAAUUGAGAGUUUCCUGAAGAUAAAACUUGCUUACACUGUUUCAAUCAGAGAGCCUUAAAAAUAAAGUUACGAAACUUUCCACUGAGACUUGGUCUAAGGACCUAUUUGGAAAUUGGAAUAGCUCUAACUUUAGGAUCUGUGUUUUGAGAUUCUAUAAGAUCAGUUUAGCUCCAUGCAUGAUCCAUACAAAUAUUUCCAGAAUCCAAAAUAAUAAUGUCAAAAUUGCUUUAAAUCAAAUGAACACGUUUGGGGUCUAUUUGAGACUGUUAUAAUUUAGCCGAGCCGUCACAUCCGCACUGGUUUUUUUUUUUUUGAAGAGGUCUACACUAAGGCUAUCUCCAACAAUAGAGACCUAAAUCAGAGACCCAUUUAAUGAUUUGGGUCAUGUACAGCAAAAGGGUAACCCCCUCAAAACUUAGCUUCUCCAACAGCUUACGCAGACCCCAAGCAUCACCCGCUCCUUGAAACGCAAGACGCCGCCCACCGCCCGCUCCUUUGUCGCGUCGGCGGUACCUGGCCAUGGCUGCUUCGUGGCUGCAGCCGCCGUGGAUCCGCCUAGCCCUGCCAGUCGCACGCCACCUCCGCAGACUCGCCUCGCUCUGCUCCCUGCUCCUCACCGUGGACCCACACCAGGAGCAGUUCACCGCCGCUGCCUUUGAUGAGGAAGAAGGGGAGGGCCUCCCGUACCGAUGAGGAUGAGGUGCUUGUCGGGUUUGGAGCUGCACUUCUGCGGUGGAGCAGUUCGUGCAUCAGAUCCAGAGAUGGCACGUCCUCUUGAUUCGCGGCCAUCUCCGCCGCUGCCGCAACGGGAAGAGUUUGACGACGGUGUUGUGUGCGUACGUGGUGGGUUCAAGUCUGGGUUGCUGCUGGAACGACGACGAAGAUGCAAUAGAGCUCCCCAGUCCCCACCACUACGGGUGCCAGAGUUUGAGUCGCCUCUCUGGAAGACGCAUAUUUGUGUUUCCUCUCGGCUCGUACGCAUAAUCGGUUGUCUGUUUGGGUCUUCUGUUGGAACCUGAAUUUGGGUAUGCAAAACACUAUUUAUGAUGUAUUCUGCGUUUUGGGGUGGCCGUUGGAGACAGUCUAACCCCGUCAUUUUCUAGAGCAGCCAACUACAUUAGACAGAUCAAGCCUCUAGGUGCAUUUUUGGUGUAGGGAAAAGAGGUGCUCCAAAUAUUCAACUUUUUUCAUGUACUAGUAAAUAUGCACGUGCAAGUGCAACACACACGUGUUUAUUGUUUUAAUUAAUUUUAUAUAUAUAUAUGGUGAGUUUUCUAUACUCCCGGGAGUAAUUACUCCCACCUAGCUUAUUGGAUUUUGUUAGACAAUCAAAACCCAUUAAGCAUUUUUGCACUGUCAUUUGCAUGCGUUCAGAUUCAAAGGCCAGCGGCAGCCUGUUUUGCGUGCUCAGGUCAAUCAGGAGAAGCUAACGGGUUAACGGGUUGAUAGAUGACAGUGGAGGGAACCAUGCAUAUGUACGUGACGUAUGACUUCACGUGAAAAACGGAUCAGGUUGAAUUCUUUGCUUUUGACGUUGGGUUGGCAUAGGGUGGGGUAUAUAUCUUUUUGAAAUAUGUGCACUAAAUAGUACUAGUAUGUGUAUACCUAAUAUUUUAGAAGUAUGCAUAGAGAUAAUUCUUAAAGGGAUGGGUAUGUCAUUCAUACUUUGUUUAAUAGAUGGAACACUCAUUAGCAUAUUUGUACGGGCAAAAAUCUAGAGGUAUGCACAGAUGCUAUUGGUUAAAAAGGUAUAAACAAAUACUUGUCCAACAUAAUAGUACAACACAAUAGUAUGGACCAAUACUUUAUGAUAAAGUUAAAUAGUAUGGACAAAUGCUGCUUAGAAAAUACGCCACUGUGGCUCUGCAUAUAUUUCUUCCAGAUACCGCUGGUGGGUACGUACGCUCGUAUACAAAUCUUUUAGAGUAUGUACAUGUAUACAUACUAAUGUAUAUGUUCAUACUAGUUUUUAGAAGAACGUAUGCAUUCAUACUGGGUAUAUUUGUGUACUUUUCGUGACCGUAUGCAUUCAUACAAGUAUAUGUAUAUACUUUCGUGACAUGUACUCUCUUGUCAUAAAAUGUAUAUACAUAUACAUCUACUACUCAUUACAUGCUGUAUGUACAUAGUAUUUUAUUGUAGACACAGAUUUCAAAAAUGAGUAUAUUUGCGUACUUGGAUUUGACAGAGUAUGAGUACAUACACAUUAACAUAAAAUACAUAUAUAUUUGUGUGAAUGAAUAAGUAUGAGUGCAUACUUCAAUUAUAAAAAAUGAGUAUAUUUGCAUACUUUUGUACUUGAAAUAGUGUACUCAGGAGCUUAACUAGGAUUAAGGACAAACAAAUUAAUGUAAUAGAAAGAGCGGGAGAUCUCUAUAUGCACCAGAGUGAAUGAACGCCGUAUGAUCUUCGAUUAUGGCCAGCAGGCACGCCACGGCCGCCUAUCAGAGCUAGUUGCAGAUGAGGCCGAGGUACCAGGUUGCGAGGCUCUCCGCGACGCCGCUGCUGGAGCCGAAGUUGCGGAUGCAAAGGAGGUAGCAGACUGUGUUCAACAAGCAGAUGCCGUUCCCACUUCCCAGCAAGGCAGGUGAGGAAGAACAGGUGCCUGCCAGUACCGGAUCGAUCCCGUAGUAGCCAAUGAGGCCGAACGUGGUGACGACGAAGGCCACGAGCCACAGCUACAGGUAGCGCAAUUCGUGGCGCCGAUGAAUGCCCACGACGGCACGACCACCACGGCGGUGACGCGGAGAUGGGUUGACGGCCGCUGAUGGUGAAGGGGAGUUGGGGCGCGGCCACACUAUCGUCGCGGGAGCACCGUCCAUGCGGGAUGGUCGUGCGGCAGCCGGAUGGGCUGGCCAUGAGCGCCGCCGUGGGGUGCCCUCCACGUGAGUGGGCGGCGCAGUCGUGUGGCGCUGUGCGGUCGGGCCGCCACCGCCGCCGCCAGGGAUGCCUACCGAACGAGCUGGCGGUGUCUUGCGCGCUGGGAAGACCGCGUCGUCGCUAUGGGAUGCCGGUGCCUCGGCCGCGAUGUCGCCUACCGCAUACGAGGAUUUCGGUUGGAUUAGAUCUAAUAUUUUUAUAUUCAAAAGUUAUUAACGGGUGAGACUGCAAUUUAGAUCCGAAAAAUAGAACCGAUUGAAUUAAUGGGUGGGUUCACGAUCCAACAAGAGUAGGCACACCUACAUCCAGUUGGGAGUAACUACUCCUAGGGAGUAGAGAAAAUUUAAUAUAUAUAUAUAUAUAUAUAUUAUCCAAAUUAUAUAUGAAUAUGAAAUUAUAAACUAAUUAUCUCUUGCUUUUGAGACUGGCCAUACAUUGCAACAGGACAUAUAUGAUGUUUAUAUGAUUUCAUAUAAAUAGUAAUAAAAUAUCUAUUUUAUUGAAUUUAUUAAUUAGGCUAGAGAUGAUUUGCUCUUCGCCGGCGCCCCUUCCUCCUAGCUAGGCACUGUUCCCGAGGCCCAAGACGUGCAUAUGCUUAUAUCUUCAUAGCUUUUCAAUACAUGCAUACUUUCUGACUAUUUAUCUGUUUGUCAUCCAGUUUGACGUAUGCUAGGUGUAGUAGCUGGUCACAUAUAAUGCAUGCACGAUCCUAAACAUACACGACAACAUGCGCUUAAUUUUUUCUUAAAAUAAAAAUAGUCGAAACGGCUAACGAAUCUAAACAACCAAACACCAGGACCAAAAUAAUCAAAAAAACUAUGCAUGAGAUUGGACUCUGAUAAGCAAAUAUGGACCGGUUCCAAGGAAGCAAGACUACACCGACCAAAACUAGGGUAUUUUUAACUUUAUUAUUUUUCCUUUUUGAGUGUAGUAGAAAUAUUGGUUUAGAAGAAGUCUUACAUCUUACGUGUAAGUCUGAUGAAGGUUAAACGAGAUUUUUCUACGUUUUAGGACCUUCAUAAUUCAGGAUGGACCACAAGUAAGAUUCUGGGAAGACAGGUGGUUAGGACUGUCAACUCCGCGUCAACAAUAUCCUUGCCUUUAUAACAUAGCCCGGCAUAAACAGGUUACUGUAGCAGAAGUGCUAACACGUCUCCACCUACUCUAUCCUGGCAAAGAGAUCUAAUUGGACACGAAUUAGUGGCUUGGAACAAUUUACUUCCACGCAUCAUGAAUAUUGUGUUAAGCCAACAAGAAGAUGAAUUUCGCAGGAACUUGCAUCCUAAUGGACAGUUCUCAGUUAAAUUUCAUUACCUAGCAAUGAUCCAUAAUGAUGUUCCUAAUAUUAAUAAAGGUUUGUGGAAACUUAAAGCUCCAUUGAAGAUCAGGAUAUUUCUUUGGUAUCUACGUACAGGCGUAGUGUUAACCAAAGACAACUUAGUUAAACGUAAUUGGCAUGGCAGCAAACAGUGUUGUUUUUGUCACAAAGAUGAGACAAUUAAACACCUGUUUUUUGAAUGUCGUUUUGUUCGUGCUGUCUGGUCUGUUAUCCAAGCGGCUUCAGACUUGUCUCAACCACACAAUGUCUCAAACAUGUUUGGUUCUUAGCUCUGUGGUCUAAGUAAAUAACUGAAAUCACUAACCUUGCUAGGAGCAACAGCUACAUGUUGGUCUCUUUGGUUAUGUAGAAAUGACCUGGUUUUUGAAAAGAAACGUACUUGUUUUCCUUUAUAGGUUAUCUACUCGAUUAUACAUUGGCUGCGUAUAUGGGAUGUCCUGCAGAAGUCGACUUCACAAGAUUUGGUUGUAGCGGCAUCUCAACAAUUGGCGCAAAGGAGUUUUUUACCCGGGCACAUGGGUGGCAGUCUAGUCUUCGGAUUGAGUGUUAUUAGUGUGUCUUUAUGUUUUAAGUUCUUUUAUAAGGCUGUGUGUAUCUUUGCUAUACAGAGGCCGGAAGUGUGUCAAGGUCUUUGUAUCACCUCGAUGUAACAAUCUUGAAAUUAAUGAAGCUUUCUUUAUCGAAAAAAAAUAUGACGAAGGGCUCAUAUAGCAUGACGUAUAAAUCGAACGGUUGUUAAUGAGGGAGAGUAAGAUCUCAUACCGCGAAAAUCUCAUAUGAAACAAUGAUCAAAGUUAUGAAAGAGGAAUAGCCCCCAACAAAUUAUUCUCUAUUUUUAUAGUGUGAUGAUGAUGUGAUGUGAUGAUGAUUUAGGCCAUGUUUGGACCUCCUAAGAAAAAUGAGUAUGACACCGAAAAACAAGAAUGUGAGAUCCAAACACUUGGAUUUCAGAAAUCCAACCUAUCUAAACUAAACCUAUUAUUUGUAGAAUUUCACGAUAUACAAAGGCAAUAAUUACUAUGAGAAUUAAUAAGAUUCAAACACCCUUCAUUCACGGGCGGAGUGGCAUACCCGGCGUGCUCAGCAAAUACAGCACACAUAUACAAGUAUAUUUGUUUUUUUUAUACUCGUAGAUAUAAAAGUAUAUAUUUGUAAAUAAAAGAAAUAACGAGAUAACCUGCUGGAAAUUGUGCAAUGGAGAACGGACGUGCGCCAUCGGCCUUUUGUAGCAUUCAGGGCUUCAGCAGGCCCACGGCUCCACGUGACGCAAGCUUUGGGCCGGACGACGACGCCACGACGGGAUCGGGGAGUCCAGUCCAGUCCAAUGCUCCGUCGCUCGGAGCCUGAUCGGAGUCCGGGCAGGGAUGACCGUGACCUCGAGACUUCGAGAGGCCGUGGGCGGGUGGAGACUGGAGAGGGUAGGAUCCUGAGGCUCAAGAAGGAAGCUGACGAGUAGGCCGAAGAGUCUGCCUGCCUGAGCAAGGCCACGCCGGAGGCACCGGGGGCCGGCCGGCCGGGACGACGACGAAGAGAUGAAAAGGUGGUGGUGGUCACGAGGAAGUUGCCCAAGGAGCUCAUCAAGUACAUGGCCGAAUGUCCCUUUAGGCUCACCGACGAACGCUGUGACGAGGAGCUUGCCUAGCGUGACCCAGAGUAUAGCAACAUCGUCCUUGUCGCCGUCGCAGGUGAAGAAUUAGGUCGGUCAGGGAGCAAAUUUUUUUUAUUUUACGAAACUAAAAACAUAGCAACAGAAUAAUUUACGAGACGAUUUUGAUACUGCUAACGUCCAGACGUCCGGAUGGACGCGCACGACCGGACGCCCAAACCUGUACUCUAUCUCCCCACGCACAACUGCAUCCCGCUUCAGUCUAUGUGGGUUCAGACUGCUUGGACCCACCCGUGCUGCCUCGAUUGCACCUACGGAGUCCUCGCUCGCACCCCCACCGCUGCUCACGCGCAUGCACACGGCCAGCAGUUGCAGCAGGUGACUAUAGAAAGGUGGCUAAGCCAACAUCCAGAAAAAGGGAGAGAGGCAACAGAUGCUCAGUCGGUGCCGAAAGAAGAAGAAAGAGACACGAGCUGAAGGUGAGGAAGCAGAAAAGCAAAGACAUGGAUGCAAUAUCUGGUCUACUUUUGAAACAUCCGAAUACAAUGUUUGCAACAUACGCUUGAAGGCAGAUGAAACAAAUAAAAUAUACAUCUGAAACACGCUAUCUGCAACACCAUAUACUUUUGAAACAUCUAAAUGAAACACUUACAACAUUAGUACGAAACAACUAAAACACUCAAAACAUGCUAAUGAAGCACUUGAAAAAAACACCAUGCAACACGCAUCCAGUUCAAAACGAUUGCAACAUGUCUAGAGAACAAUUACUUAUUGUGGGGGUAUAAACCCCUAUACCCUUACGGCUAGACUUGGGCCAGGAGGCUUGGCCCAUUACGAGACAAGCUCAAGGUUUGAUCCGACGGCUUGGAGUUUCGCGCAAGGAAACAAGACGUGGAGAUCAAGUAGGAUUCUAGUCGGUUAGAAUAGGAAUUGAUAUCAAACUAUCUAUGGCAAUUGUAACCGACUAGGAUUAGUUUACAGAUCUGUAACCCUGCCCUCCGGACUAUAUAAGGAGAGGCAAGGGACCCCCUAGGACAUCAGAUUCUCUCAACACAAAUCAAUACAACCAGACGCAGGACGUAGGUAUUACGCCAACUCGGCGACCGAACCUGGAUAAAAAGCUUGUCCGUGUCUUGCGUCACCAUCGAGUUCGUAGUUUGCGCACCGUCUACCGAUAAACUACUACCAUGGGUAUACCCCAAGGUAGACUGCCGACUAGCUUUCGUCGACAGUGGCGCGCCAGGUAGGGGGUGUGCGUGCAACUUCUCCGGCGAACAAGAUGGUCACAAUCCCAGCUUCCGCGACCGUGCCCGGAGGCCUCACGUUCACCGUCGGCCAGAUCACGUGGACGACGCGCGGCGGUGGCCUUACGACCACGGUUUCGAAAGAAACUCAGAUCCAAUCUGAGAUCACGUCGUCUCCGACCACCUGGAUGGCGGCACCGAGCGCCCGACCACCGUUCCCGCUCUACAAGGGAAAGAAGAUCGACUGCUCGGACCUUCUCCAAGCGCUUGAUCGCGCUGAUUCCAAGCUACUUGAAGCCUCCCAACUAGUAGAUGGAAUCCUGCGCCAGCCUGAUCAAGCCGCUUCAACGGAUUUUUUCAAAUCCCGCCGGCCAACUCGUGUCGUUACACACGAACGACUGGGAACGUCUCUGACGAUAACCUCAACUCCAUCAGGACGGACCGUUAAGCUCAAGGAGGAAGAUUAUCCUUGCGGCCUGAACAACUCAGCCUCUCUCUACUCACGGCACAUCCAAUCCGUUUUCAGCAAGGCAGAUUGGCCGCCGAAAAGGAACGAUCGACCUGCUCGUCACUACGUCAACAUGGUGACGAUCCGAGAGCUACGGGACGGUCAGGCUUCCAGCACCAACUCAAGCACCGGUUCCGUCCCCACCGAAGUUAUAAACUCCGAAGACGAGGACUACGACCUGGAUUUGCCUUCACACCCUCCGGGUUUCCCUCGCUUCCCGGUAUUUCCCCCCCCGGCGAGGGGACAUUGUUUUCAACGUCAGCGCCGACAAGCCGGUCGUUGAUGGAGAAACGGACGAGCAGAGCCAGCUCCGCGAGCAGCGCAACGCCGAUCGCGCCCGACGACGCGCAGAUGAGCAACGACAAAUUCCACCGCAUAACCUCAGUGACGCUUUUGACAUGGUCGGGGACCAGCCAGUCUACAAAACGCCAAGCGCAAACGUGGCUGUCGCCAUGGCUAAUCUAGAUCGGCUCCCUGAUACCCCUGAGUGCCAGGGAGUCCGAACCAGCGUCCGAGCGCACCUGAUUGCCGCAAUGGGACAGACAGCUACUCUGCUCAAGAGAGUCCAGGACGUCUCUUAUACGGAAGCCACCUCCGACCAGACUAAUCGUAGCCAGACCUCACCGCCUCCCAGCAGGCAUCACCGCAGCCGCUCUCCCGACAACCAUCGAAAAGAUUCACGGCGUAACGAUGGUGGACGGGACACUGACGGUCACCGCGAGCAGAACCGAAGGCGCGGUCAAGAAGUAAACCAGCACAAGGAUCUCCGAUACAACAUCCCUCCCAAAGAUGCUCGGGACCGCAUCUACAGGCGCGCCACAGAAAGAGCAGUCCACGAAAACCUACGCCGUAUCGAGUACGAUGCAACGCACGGCCCCCCGGGCCUAAGACAGUUCUCCUCACACCUCCGCCAGGUCGUGUGGCCCCGCAAUUUUGAAGCUCGAAAAACUUAAAAAAUACGACGGCAAGGAAAAUCCAGAGAACUGGAUCACUCUCUACGAAAUUGUCGUCCGAUCAGCAGCGGGAGAUGAGCACGUCAUGGCCAACUACUUCCCUGUAGUCCUCGACCAGGCUGGUCAUCAGUGGCUCCUUGGCUUGCCCGAGGACUCCUUCGACUCUUGGGAAGAGCUACACCAGGCUUUCAUCGACAACUUCAUCGCCACAUGCGAGCAGCCUGGAAACAAGUAUGACCUCGAAAGGAUAAGGGACAGGAAGAAUGAACCUCUGCGCGAUUACAUCCGACGAUUCUCGGAUAUGCGCCUUAAGAUCCCGAAGAUUUCCCACGACGAGGCCAUCUCCGCCUUCAUCAAGGGCUUGCGUUUCCAUGAAGCGCUGAGGAACAAGCUGUUGUGCAAACGGCCAACAACGGUGGCGGAGCUCCUCGCCACGGCUAAAAAUUACGCCGAUGCCGACGACGCAGAGAAACUAAUCCGAGACGAUGCGAGAGGUCCCGACAAGCCUCCCCGGCGAGAUGACGGUCGCGGUCGCUACAACAACAGGAACCACCGCCGCUCCGACAACCGCGAUCACAGAGAAGGUUGGGAUCGGCGCCGCGACAAUCGCGACGAUUUUAGAGGAAAGCGCCCCCGCGACUACGACCAUGAAGUGAAUACGGUCAAACGUCCCAACGGGCGGCGGGACUACCAAGAAGACUACAACAAAACGUUGAAGGGACCGUGCCAACUGCAUCCAAAGUCUAAUCAUACCAUGGAGGAGUGUCGCGUCCUCAAUAGCAUCUACACACGGCGGGCCGCCCAAGAUGACUCCACCAAGAAAAAUGGCAAGCGAGACGGGCACGACCACAAAGACGAGGACGAGGACCAAGAUAGGGACCCCCGACACCAAUACGUCAGCCCACUGAAGUGGUCCACUCCAUCUUCGGGGGCAAGGUCUCCAUCGAAUCUAAGCGAGAGAGAAAGCUAUUAAAGAGAGCCUGCCUCAACAUAGACAGCACGGACGGGCUGAUCGCAGACCCAAAAUUUCCCCCAUGGUCGCACAGGGAGAUCUCAUUCAGCAGGAAGGAUCAGUGGGCCGCUAUCCCAGAGCCAGGUCGUUUCCCUCUGAUCCUGGACCCUUGCAUCAACAGCAUCAGAUUCGAGCGCGUGCUCGUGGACGGGGGAAGCUCCAUCGACAUCCUCUUCCGCAACAGUCUGCCCGCCCUCAAAAUAUCUCCUGCACAACUAAAACCCUACGAUGCUCAAUUCUAGGGGGUUUUGCCAGGUCAGAGUUCAGUGCCCCUCGGACAGAUAACAUUGCUUGUCCAAUUCGGCACACCCGACCACUUUCGGACAGAGUUCAUCAACUUUGUGGUCGCGGACUUCGACGGGACCUACCACGCACUACUCAUACCUGGUCCUUAAAAUGCCUACAGAGAAGGGUGUCCUAACCGUCAGAGGCAACGUCUACACCGCGUAUACCUGCGAAGAGGAAAGCUUCAAGAUUACCGAGGCAAUCGACCUCUCAAUCCGCAUGGCAGAAACAGCAACCCAAGCCACGCAGCUGCCUCCCGACCAACUCCCAUUACCCGAGCAGGAGACCGCCAGAAAGAACUCAAAAUCCAAGGAGUACAAAGAAGUGCAGCUGGUCGACGGCAGCCCCGAGAAGACGGCCCUCAUCGGGGCCAAUCUGGAUCCAAAAUAGGAAGACGCGCUCGUCAGGUUUCUAAGGGACAACGUGAGCGUUUUCGCAUGGAAACCCGUGUUGAUAUUUGGUAACGCAAUUAGAAAAUGAUCCGCAAGCGCACGGAUAUCGGUGAGCAUUUCACCCGGGAGGUUAUCCAGAGUUAUCGUAUUUAUAUUUUUACCACUGGGAGAAAGGGUGCAUCUGACUAACCAAAUCUAUUGCUACUAUCCCUUUAGGCUACAAAGAAUGUCUCUCGAUGUGAGUGAUGUAUAGAGAAGACUGCAACUGUAGUCUCGUUCUAACCUUGGUAAGGAUGAUCUACUGUUCUAUUGGGGAGGCUCACGGAAUCUAGACAACACAAAGGAUGUUCGACCCGCACCUAUAACCCUACCCGUCCUGCUAACGAGAUGUGAUCUGCAAAGGUAACUCGGAAUUGUCACGUUCCUCGCUACUACCACGGUCUAGCUAGUCAGGGGAUAUCUAUGAGUACCCUAGCCUAAACACCACGUUUACGCUAACAAGUGAUUACUCUAAUACUCAACCGGAAGAGGAUUAAAGUAAACUCAUAAACCAAAGAACAAUAAAACAAGAACUUACUAGUAUUAGAAGUCGAAUUACUGAAGAAUCUUAGAAGCAAGCCUCGGGUUAGGAGACUUGAUCCCGUAGGUACAACUCGGAGUAGACACCGACAGGCCGGCCUUCCUCCGAUCCACACCUCCACUCUAUCUCUCUCAAUCUAGUAGAAACUAGAAGAUCUAUUUCUACUUUACAUUGGUUGCUAAGCCUAAAAAGAAAUAUUAUUUAGAGAAGAGGUUUUCCUUCGAGGGCACCCCUCAAUCUCUAUGAUAAUUUCUUCUCUCCUCCAGGGGCCAGAGGGGGUCUCCUUAUAUAGUCCUCCCCUUCUAUGCGUUUUUGGGUCGAUAGGCGAGGUGGUACUAUGUUAUUCUGGAUCCAAUAGGUCGGUGGAACGUCGUGUGCGAAGAGAGUCCGGAACGGGGUCCAGAGGUGGGCAGGCGCCCAGGUCCUCAGGGCGGGCGCCCUGGGCCUGGCCCCUUUCGGGCUCCGCUUCCUUCCCGUGGCUUCUGGAGUCUUCUAGAUGGUAGAAAAUUGCACGGUGGGUUGAUAUCUCUAUGUAAUCCUGACAUGUGGGCCUUUCUUCCUUAUUUCCUGAUAACCCCCUGCAGAAAUAGACAAACACCAAAACUCGUGGAAUUCUGUCAGAUAAAACCCUAAGUCUAGAUGUUGAUUUCAUUUGGAUCCUUUUCUUUGUUUAUUUGAUAAUUAAAUUUGAUACUUAAGGACCGUCAACAAACUCCCCCAAGCUUACCUCUUGCUCGUCCCUGAGCAAGGAUGAACUCAAGAGUUUCUACAGUGGUUUCAUUUCUUAGAAGUACACACGCAUUUAAGCAAGAUCUCAUCUCUGAGUUAGAAUAAACUGUUAAGACUUAAAACUUACUUACUUUACCUACACCAUAGGACUUGUAACCGUCACUUCUGUCUUGAGUGGUUAAAAGAUAGAACAGUCUAGCCAAGUGCCAUGUCUCUUAUUCUUGAUCAGCUAUAGCUCUGGGGUUUUUGCAGAUUUUCAAAUAAAACUCAGAAAUUCCUUGUAUAAUUCUCUCUAGUCUCUCUUUUGUGGUAUUUCUGGAUCCUUACCAAGGCAGUAAUGGGAUAUGCCUUCUCUCACAGUAUGUGGUAUUUUUGGUAUGAGGCAUAGUGAUAUUGUCUUCUCUCUCACCCUACUCUAAUAAGGCUUUAAUAUCUGGAGCUCAUAGGUGGGAGAUAAAGUAUACAUACUUACAAGACAUUUAUUGCAUAGUCAAACCAUGGAUACAAAGAAACAAAUCAAUAAGCCAAAUCAAGAUGUGCAUGUGUGGCGAAUGAAUGGUGUAUGGUGAUGAUGGUGAUAACAAUGGUGGUGGAAGUGUAAUUCUACUUUGCUCUUUGAGGGGAUACAUACCUUCCUUGCUUUUGCAACUUUAUGAGGAGAAUGAGAUGCUCUUCUUUUUUUUCUUUUCUUUCGAGGUUCCGAGCACUUGCUCCUUUUUAUUUCCUCGUAUCUUUUAUUUUCUUUUUCUCUCUUUUUCUUUUUUUUCAAAGCAUUCAUCUCUUGAGAUAAUAUAGCAAGUGGUAGUAACAAGAUAACUUGAGCAUUUAUUUCACAAGGGGAAACAGAAAUAUUUUUGGUUAUUCUCUCCCGGAUUAGGAGUAGAAUACUUUUGGGUGGUUUUGGAGAUGGAAAUUAGUGGAUAUAUGUGGAUGGUACUUCCGGAGUAGAAGUAGCAUGUAUGAGUGAACGUGCAAGUGAAUCUUGAUUUAACCACAUGACAAGCUCCUAAGGGUCUACACAGCUUGACCACACUCAAUGCUCAUAAGCAAUAAAUAGUAAAUGUGUGGCUCAAGGUCUAGCAAGCAUGUAUAUAUGGCUGUGGUAGGAAUUUAAACUCUCAUCAUACAGGAACUCAUCAUGCAACAUUUUAAAGAUUUUCAAAGAUAAAAUUCUCCAGAAUUCUAGCAUCUCUAGGAACAGAUAAACAGCAGCUCAACCUUCCCAUAUCGUAUCCGUUAACAACUUAGACUUCAGAUCAAGUUUUCAUCCCACAAGUUUAGGUCUAGAGCAAGCCUUAAAUUAUAACAGUUAUAUCUAAACUUGAGAGAGAGAACUUCAAAUUUGCAAAUUAGGCAGAGCAACUAUUCAUCAUAUCCAUGCUUAAGUUUUAUUAUUAAGAUUCAGAUUAGCAUAGCCACUUUAUUAAACACACUAAGCAAAAGAUAUAUAAGCAUAAAAUCUUUAUUUGGUUUUUCAUAGUUAUGUGUAUUUAUAUUCUAAUAUAGUAUAAGUAUAAAGAUAGAUAGAAAUACUUAUCGAGAUAAAUGGGGGUGCUCUCCCCCAAGCUGAAUUUUGACGUAAUUUCUCUUGAUGUAGCUAGUAGGUGGCAGAGGUGUGUUUGAAAGUCAGCAGUAUUUUGACAGUGAUUAGAAUGUCCUCCGUCUGCUAGUCUUCUUGAUUCUUAAAUUCUGUGGAGCUCAAAUAGACAACAAAGCUUGUGGAACUGAUUAAGUGUUAGCAUAAAUAUCUAGCCUUUAUCAUGUUGAGACUCCUUAAUAAAUAUUACUCCCUGUUUUUAUAUUUUUGUUUUUAUAAAGCAGAAAAAUAUUUAUUUUAUUUUUAUGCCACCACAGUGAAUGUACUUAUGGGUUUUAUGCCACUCGUCUACUCACAUGGGGCUUACAGUUUUUUUCACAUUUUUAUUUUUAUUUUUUUACAUUUUUAUUUUCUUUCUAGGAUAACACGAACAUGAUUAACUAAGCAAACUAUAAUUGAAUAAUUAAAAGGAAAAGGAUAACUACCAAGUUUACCUUUUGGUAAGGCGUUCGGUGUUUUUAAGUCCUCCGAACGGGACUCUCCAUUUUCUUAAUCGUCCUGAGGUUCAUUGGAUGGCGUAGUCGGUACUUCCGGCAGCGCCUCCUCUUCAUUUAUAGUUAUCUUCAUUUUCCAUACCUGACUCGGUGUUACGGUCUCCUCAGGACAGUUCUGUUCAAGUUGUAUGUCUUCAGUCCUUAUCACUUCUCCUUCGUAGUCUACCCAUCCGUCCUUGAUGAUUUGCCUCCUCUGGUUUCGGUUGCGUUGUCUUCUUCUUGUCCUGACCUGCUUAGAAUCUUCAACUAUAUAGUUAGAAUCAUUAAAGUAGUGGCGUACCUUCUCAGAGGGGAAGUACAUGUGGACUUCUCCGGUUCCAAUAUAGAUAAUGGCUUUGAUAGUGCUGAGGAACGGUCUUCCAAGGAUGGUGGAUGGAUCAUACUCGUCUUCUCCCAUGUCAAUGACCUGAAAUUGUCUGACACUGAAUGUAUCUUGGUUGUAGGAGCAUGGUUCCAUGCAGGAGCUGAUAAGUGACUACGGCCAUUAUGUUAUCGUUAGAUCCGGUGUCGCAAAUUGUCUUGUAGAAGCUAUAUCCAUUUAUGGAGCAGUAGAUGCUUGACAUUCCUGGGUCGUCCUUCUUGGUCAAAAACGGUGACUUAAGUUGAUGAUCUUGGCCUCCAUGAACUACAGUGACCAUCUUAGCUGACUCGGUCCACAUUUGCUUGUUCCUGUUCCUCCUGUUGGUCCUCUUCCUUGAUUUACGUCUGGAUUGAUCUUGAAUUUGUGUAGUCUUGUUCUUGAAGAAAAAUGUCUCCUUCUUCCAUUUGACGUAGAAACUGAUCUUGGCAGCACUAGCGUAGAUGAUAGCUCCCGUGGUGUUCAAGAAUGGCCUCCCUAGGAUGAUAGGUGCUCUCUCAUCAUUUUCGGUCUCUACCACUACGAAGUCUGCUGGGGCAUACAAGGUACCAACUUAGACACAAAGGUUCUUCAAUAUUCCUUUUGAAAAAGUUAUCGCCUGAUCUCCAUUGUGUUUGUGCUUGUAGAUCCCGGUUCUUCACUUGAUGGAAUCUGGGAGUUGUAAAACGCCUUCACGUUUCUCAAAAUGUGUCCUGCUCAUAGAGACAAGGCAGAGAUCAAGUGCAUGGGCCCUGUUGGUGGAAAACACCAACAGAACCAAAAGUGUAUUUGUUCUUCUCUAACCUUAAUCAUAGUGAGCAAGACAAAGUUGAUGGAUCAUGAGUGUAGCAUUUAAAACAUUUGUUAGAUCAGAUGGCUCAACCUAAUGGAAAGAUAAUCUAUCUAUAUUUAUGUUUUGUUUAUAUCUUCCAAAGAUUGAAUGUGCAAUACUUUAGCUUAUAUGAUUAGGAGUGUGGGAUCACGAAGGUAGUACUAAGAACAAAGAUUAAAGGACUAAACAUGUUGAAUUAAUUGAGUUGGUUAAUUUAGAGUUAUAAAUCAUACAUGUUUGUCUCUUUAUUUAUGUGAAUGCCAGAACCAAGGAGAACUUAUAAAAGUAAUCAAGUACUUUAAGAUGUUAUUGAAGAGUUAUGGUAUAGUAUCACCUUGUGGAAGCUUUCCUUUCUUAGUGGUUGUGCAUCGUGUUUGUGGCACCCUCCAUGGAUCAUCUCUUUAUGAUGAAUGAGCUAUGUCCUUCUUGUGCAAAUUGUUAAACUUCAUGUGUCUCCUUUAUCUCCAAUGAGUUUGUAUCUCAGGACUUCCCAGGUUGAUAUUGAAAGUUUUCCUGCAGGGGUUAGUCCAACAAAAUAUCCCAUAUCUACUAUAGCAUACUAUCGGCUCAAAAAUCAACCUAGACACCAUGUCUAAUUUGAUUUAGGAGGGCAUUUUAACCUAAGCACCAUGCUUAAUUUAAAAAUCCUUUGGAAGUAAGAUCAUCAUUCCUAAACUAAGCACCAUGCUUGAUUUAAGAGAUAAAUGAAACUACUCCAAACCUAGACAUAUACUAAAGCAAAUAAAGGUAGCAUGAGAGCAUUUAUAGCGAUCUACUCAAGUGGAGGUGAAGUAGUGUAAUUAGUACUUAACAAAUUGAGCAUCUCUCAAAGGUAGGAACAACCAACAUAGCAACAUGGCAAAUGAUGUUUUUAUGUAAAGUACUCCCCCAAGCUUGAAUUUUGCAAAAUUCAAGUUUGGAUGAAUUUAAUUCAAUGUUGUGUGAUGGUUGGUUGGACAUACCUUGUGCUUGUCAUUCAUCCGAUCUUCUUGCUCCAAUCCUGGAAAGGUUAGUGACAAGAAUACCCGAAGGAAUAUUUCUACAAUUAUCUUUAUAUGCUCAAUACACAAGUCAAUGUUGCAAAUAAUUAGAAGUGCUUGUUUUAGGACACUAAGCUUGUCCUUGGGAAACCAUCAAUUAACUCUAUGAGAUCUGCAAUAUUUAUUAUAGACAUAUGCAUCGACAACCGCUCUUUUAAAGUUUUUAUAAAUAGAAAAGAAGAGAGGGUUGGAGAUCUCAAAUGUGAUAAGGAUGGAGAGACUAAUUGAUUGGAGAGAUGUUUUAUAUGAGCAAGGACUGGGUAAGGUAUUUAUGAAAUAACUUCCAUGCUCACUGUUGUUUCUCUCAUUCUCAAACUCCAAGGAUGAUUCUUCAUGAAUGCUAAAAAUUCCUCUAGGAUUGUCUCUCAAGUUUGUUUUAUCUAUCCAUUCAAUGGUGAUAGCACAUGGAUUUUUAAUGCCCUUUAGCCAUUGAUGUUGCUCUUCUCGAUCCUCCUUCUUAUGCAUGGGAUGUCUAGAUAGAUUCAUAGGAUUAUCGGGAGGUUCAAGAGAAAUAGCAUAGUAGAGAUUAUUAAGCUCAAGAAUGGGAUGGAUAGCCGAAUCAUGGGAUUGAAAUGUUUGGAAAUUGGCUAUUGAAACUUCCUUUCCUCGUCUGGGAGAUGAUUCCUUCUCUAUCUCUAAGAUUUUUCUAUGAAGACUAGUACAAGAAGGAUAUCCACGAAUGAAGACAUACCUUCCUUUACUAAUAGAUAAAGAAAGAAAGACUCUACCAAAGGUUAUAUGAUUAAGACCAAUGUGAAAAUAUCUGGGAAAAACAUGGUCUUGUAGGGCUAGGUCUAAACCAGAAUUUAUAGAAAGAUUAAUAAAUUCCCUAGGUGUAGCUAAAAGUGCAUUAUCUUUUUGAUUAAAAGAUAGGACCUCAGCUAUAGAAAAGGGUUGGUUUUGACCUAUUGCAAUCAACUCCGGACACAGAUCAUAAUUAGGGGCAGGACGUGUUGACUCCCAUGGUCUAUGGCUGGUCUCCGAAGGUGCAAAGAAUUUAAUAAUAGGUAUGGCAUUUGAGUUAUCCAUAAAGAUAAAAAUAAAAAGAUAAAAGAAUAAAAGUAUAAAAGUAUAAUACAAGAUAAUAGCAAGACUCAAAGUUAUCUCAGCAAACCGUCUUUCUCCCCGGCAACGGCGCCAGAAAUGCUUGUUGAUAUUUGGUAACGCAAUUAGAAAAUGAUCCGCAAGCGCACGGAUAUCGGUGAGCAUUUCACCCGGGAGGUUAUCUAGAGUUAUCGUAUUUAUAUUUUUACCACUGGGAGAAAGGGUGCAUCUGACUAACCAAAUCUAUUGCUACUAUCCCUUUAGGCUACAAAGAAUGUCUCUCGAUGUGAGUGAUGUAUAGAGAAGACUGCAACUGUAGUCUCGUUCUAACCUUGGUAAGGAUGAUCUACUGUUCUAUUGGGGAGGCUCACGGAAUCUAGACAACACAAAGGAUGUUCGACCCGCACCUAUAACCCUACCCGUCCUGCUAACGAGAUGUGAUCUGCAAAGGUAACUCGGAAUUGUCACGUUCCUCGCUACUACCACGGUCUAGCUAGUCAGGGGAUAUCUAUGAGUACCCUAGCCUAAACACCACGUUUACGCUAACAAGUGAUUACUCUAAUACUCAACCGGAAGAGGAUUAAAGUAAACUCAUAAACCAAAGAACAAUAAAACAAGAACUUACUAGUAUUAGAAGUCGAAUUACUGAAGAAUCUUAGAAGCAAGCCUCGGGUUAGGAGACUUGAUCCCGUAGGUACAACUCGGAGUAGACACCGACAGGCCGGCCUUCCUCCGAUCCACACCUCCACUCUAUCUCUCUCAAUCUAGUAGAAACUAGAAGAUCUAUUUCUACUUUACAUUGGUUGCUAAGCCUAAAAAGAAAUAUUAUUUAGAGAAGAGGUUUUCCUUCGAGGGCACCCCUCAAUCUCUAUGAUAAUUUCUUCUCUCCUCCAGGGGCCAGAGGGGGUCUCCUUAUAUAGUCCUCCCCUUCUAUGCGUUUUUGGGUCGAUAGGCGAGGUGGUACUAUGUUAUUCUGGAUCCAAUAGGUCGGUGGAACGUCGUGUGCGAAGAGAGUCCGGAACGGGGUCCAGAGGUGGGCAGGCGCCCAGGUCCUCAGGGCGGGCGCCCUGGGCCUGGCCCCUUUCGGGCUCCGCUUCCUUCCCGUGGCUUCUGGAGUCUUCUAGAUGGUAGAAAAUUGCACGGUGGGUUGAUAUCUCUAUGUAAUCCUGACAUGUGGGCCUUUCUUCCUUAUUUCCUGAUAACCCCCUGCAGAAAUAGACAAACACCAAAACUCGUGGAAUUCUGUCAGAUAAAACCCUAAGUCUAGAUGUUGAUUUCAUUUGGAUCCUUUUCUUUGUUUAUUUGAUAAUUAAAUUUGAUACUUAAGGACCGUCAACAACCCGCAGAUAUGCUUGGCGUCCCACGAAACCUGAUCGAGCACUCCUUAAAUGUCUCGAAGACCGCAAGACCAAUCAAGCAAAAGCUGCGACGGUUCGCUCGUGACAAAAAGGAGGCUAUUAGGACAGAAAUAACACGGCUUCUAGUAGCCGGAUUCAUAAAAGAAGUGUAUCACCCCGAUUGGCUCGCCAAUCCGGUUCUUGUACGCAAAAAGAAUAAUGAAUGGAGAAUGUGCGUUGAUUACACUGAUCUCAAUAAACACUGUCCUAAAGAUCCUUUUGGUCUCCCUCGCAUCGACGAGGUGGUCGACUCAACGGCCGGAUGCGAACUCCUCUCUUUUCUAGACUGCUACUCUGGUUAUCACCAGAUCUCGCUAAAGGAGAACGAUCAGAUAAAAACAUCUUUCAUUACUCCUUUCGGCGCAUAUUGCUACACGACUAUGUCAUUUGGACUCAAAAACGCCGGAGCCACCUAUCAACGGGCCAUCCAGCAAUGCCUCCACGACGAGAUUCGUGAUGACCUCGUCGAGGCCUAUGUCGAUGACGUGGUCGUCAAAACAAGAGAUGCAAGCACCCUAAUCGACAACCUAGACCGAACCUUUAAGGCGCUUAAUAGAUACAAGUGGAAGCUUAACCCCAAGAAGUGCAUCUUCGGCGUUCCUUCUGGUCUACUGCUCGGCAACGUUGUCAGUCGCGACGGCAUAUGGCCGAAUCCCUCAAAAGUAAAAGCAGUACUCGACAUGCGACCACCUAAAAAUGUCAAAGAUAUUCAGAAGCUCACCGGGUGUAUGGCCGCGCUCAGCCGUUUCAUCUCAAGACUAGGAGAAAAAGGCCUCCCUUUCUUCAAACUCUUGAAGGCGUCGGAAAAGUUCUCCUGGACAGAGGAAGCCGACGCUGCGUUCACCCAGCUUAAGGCUUUCCUCACUUCCCCGCCUGUUCUUACAGCACCUUAGCCCAAUGAAGACCUACUCCUUUACAUUGCUGCAACCGACAGGGUUGUCUCCACGGCAAUAGUGGUCGAGCGAGAUGAGCCCGGUCACAUCUACAAGGUCCAGAGACCCGUUUACUUCAUAAGCGAAGUCCUAAACGAAUCCAAGGCCAGGUAUCCACAAAUACAGAAGCUCAUGUACGCUAUUCUAAUAACAUCAAGGAAGCUGAAGCACUACUUCGACGGCCAUCGAGUCUUGGUUACCACCAGUUUUCCUCUUGGGGACAUUCUGCGCAAUAAAGACGCCAACGGCAGAAUUGUAAAAUGGGCGAUGGAGUUAUGCCCAUUUUCCCUGGAAUUCCAAAGCCGCACCACAGUCAAGUCUCAGGCCCUGGUCGAUUUCAUUGCUGAAUGGACGGAUCUCAACGAGCCUCCCGUUCCCGACGUCUCCGACCACUGGUCAAUGUUUUUUGACGGGUCCUUGAACAUCAACGGCGCCGGCGCCGGGAUACUAUUCGUAUCACCUAACAAGGACAAACUGCGUUACGUCCUUAGGAUCCUUUUCCCGGCAUCAAACAACGUCGCCGAAUACGAAGCAUGCCUGCACGGCAUAAGGCUAGCCGUUGAGCUGGGAGUCAAACGCCUCUAUGUCUAUGGCGACUCUGCUUUAGUUAUCAACCAGCUCAACAAGGAGUGGGAUGCGACCCACGAGAAGAUGGAUCUCUACUGCAAAGAAAUUCGCAAAUGGGAAACCAACUUCUACGGCAUAGAGUACAUCCACGUGGUCCGGGAUAAGAACCAGGCAGCUGAUGCGUUGUCGAAGUUAGGGUCAUCUCGGGCCCCGAUCCCGCGGGGUGUUUUCGUCCAGGACAUCCAUGAGCCAAGCGUGGGCUCUGGCCCGGUCGAAAAGCAACCCACGGAAACCAUGCUCAUAGACGAUGCCACUCCGACAACCAGUGGUCGUGAUUGGCGUGCCCCGUUCAUCAAGUAUAUAUCGGAUGGUACGGGUUUCCAGGACAAAACAGAGAACGAACGCCUCAUUCGACGAUCAAAGAAUUACAUACUGGUGGAUGGCAAACUCCUGCGAAAAAAUGCAAGCUCCGAGGUACUACUCAAGUGCAUAUCUCAAGAUGAUGGCAUCAAACUCCUCGAAGACAUACAUGCCGGAUCCUGCGGCAACCACGCUGCAUCCAGAACCCUGGUCAGGAAGGCUUUCCGAGCAGGAUUUUAUUGGCCAACCGCGGUCAACGACGCCGAAAAACUGGUCCGACACUGUGAGGGGUGCCAGUUCUUCGCUAAAAGGACCCACGUACCUGCUCACGAGAUUCAAACUAUCCCAUCAUCCUGGCCUUUUGCCUGCUGGGGACUCGACAUGAUCGGGCCAUUUAAACCGGCCCCUGGUAACUUCAAGUUCGUCUUUGUAUUAAUCGACAAGUUCUCAAAAUGGAUCGAAUACAUGCCACUGGUAAAAGCGACCUCCGAGAAGGCUGUGGAAUUCCUCAGUCAAAUCAUACACAGAUUCGGGAUCCCGAACAGCAUAAUCACCGACCUGGGUACUCAGUUUACUGGCACUGCAUUUUGGGACUUCUGCGAUGACAGGGGCAUAGUCAUAAAAUACGUGUCAGUAGCACACCCACGGGCAAAUGGUCAGGUCGAGCGUGCGAACAGAAUGAUCAUUGACGCCCUCAAGAAAAGGCUGUACACCGAGAACGACAAAGCACCUGGUCGAUGGAUGAAAGAGUUACCAGCUGUGGUCUGGGGCCUCCGAACCCAGACUAGUCGAAACACGGGAGUGUCACCCUACUUCAUGGUCUACGGCGCCGAGGCAGUCCUACCGUCUGACAUAACCUUUAGUUCUCCUAGGAUUGAAAAUUUCGACCACUCAACAGCCGACAGCGCCAGAGAACUCGAAAUCAACUGCAUGGAGGAAAAGCGUCUGAAUUCUUGUCUCCGAACAGCAAAGUAUCUUGCGGCAGUCAGGCGGUACCAUAACAGGAACAUAAAGGACCGUUCUUUCAUGGUCGGCGAUCUGGUGCUCAGGUGGAAAACAAGCCAGGAAGGAAUGCACAAGCUAUCCACUCCCUGGGAGGGACCUUUUGUGGUCGCCGAAGUCACACGACCUACAUCCUACAGAUUGGUGUAUCGAGACGGAACACGCGUGCCUAACUCUUGGCACAUAGACAAACUGCGCCGAUUUUAUCCAUAAGUUCCAGUAACUUUUGCUUGUAAGUCUCUUAUAGUUGGCAGUAAUAAAAGUUUUUCUUUUUUGGCUAUACUUUGUUUACACGCAGAGUUUUCGGCAAAGAACAACAAUCUCCUCUGCGACGGAAAAUCUUCACGACCAUGAAUCAAACACAGUGACACGUCACUCAGACAACUUCACAGCGCUCAAAAUAGUAGUCAUGACAAAUUCAAAACUUUAUUACAAACUUUACAUACAAAGUUUACAAUAAACACCCUGACGGGCGGACACUAGUCUACUCCUACAGGCUAUCCUGCUGGCCAACUGCUCGGGCUGAUCACCCGCCUGGCCUUGCUGCCCGGACGAAGGGGUCGGGGCCACCGGCGCCUGGCUGGUCGAGACCGUAGGCGUCGACCGCCCAUCUCCCGCAAUAGACGCGCCUGACAGCUCCCUGGCCGACCUGUCUGAACCUGGCUGGUCGGGGGGAGUGGCCGUUCCGCAUAGAUUGAUGUCGCCGAUCACCGUCGACGACAAGUCCAGCAGACCACCCCGAAGCUCGUCCGCCUCCUGCGGGCCGACCUCCUUGGGGUACCCCUUCUCCAGCCUGGUCAAAUCGACCAGGGGGUAGUGGGCGCGUACCAUGCUAAGGAUGUGCGCACCAGCAAACUCCCCAGCGUCCUUCACGAACUGCUGAAGCCAGUCCCACGCCCGUUGCGCCUUUUCGACUGGCGUCAAUUUCGGCGCGCGGGGCUGGCUCUCCGGGAGCUCGGGGCUGAUCAAGUCCAGGACCGGGGACACUUCUUUCCAGAUCUUACAACAAUUGACCUUCCAGGAGUCCCGGUCCCUGACCAGCUCGUCCAGGUGCUUCUUUGCGUUCACCUUGAGCACUGCAAGUCAAGCAAGAUGUUAGAUUCAGUGUAUCAAAAAUAAAAGAGCGAUAAACGGUGAAUAACGGAGGCGGUGCGUAUUACCACACAACUCCCGGUCCUUCCGGCUCAGCUCCUCCUCUGCUCGGCGUCCGGCCUCCAGUGCUCCGGAAAGCUCUUGGCUGAGCCGCUCUUUCUCCUGCCGAAGGCACGCGACCUCCUCCUCCAUGUCUACACGAAUAAUUCCCAGAUCAGCAAAUUCAAAUAACGCGGUCACAUACAGCCGCCUAAAAGUACGAGACUAACCUUCUCGCAGCCGAUACUGGUCGGCUAAGCGUCGGGUAAGCUCGAGACUGUGCUCUUCCUGAGCGCUCAUCCCGGCUACCUUCUCCCCAAUCUCCGACCGCAGACGGUCCACCUCUGCGGACAGGGCCUUAUUCUCGGCCACAAUACCUUCUAUUUGGUCGAAGCACCUCUUUCGGUACUUCGCCAUUUUCAUUGCGCCCUACACGAAAAACAUGUGUCGACCCAACAAUACAACAUAACAAGUGUCGAACAGCGCUAAGGAUCACUUACCUUGACUUCAUCCACGAGUCGCUUGGCCGCGCGCUCCACUCUAUCGGCCUCCUCCGUCUCCGCGAGCUCCUCAUGCCCGAUGAAGUGGUCCCCGCGUUGGCGCCACACAUACACGUGCUGGCGGCCAUCACGGGGGCGACCUUCAAUUUCCUCCACCUCGUCGUCGGAGGAUGCCCGGGCUUCCUCGUUCGCUGCACCGCCACCAGUCGUGGUCGAAGGCAUCACCGGCCCCUGGGCCAGGCCCGGGGCGCCUGCGGACGAAGAGGCCCCUGCCCGGGGUGGCGUUGGGACCCUCCUCUCUUCGGCAGGAGGAGGGGUUGGUGCUCUAUCUUCCCCUUCCGCGACGCUACUCGGGGGAGCGGUCCUUCCUGCCUCCCCAUCCCUCGGCGGAGUGCUCGCCGCGGCACUCGCCGGGGCAGACUCUCCCUCGAUGCCUGUAGCAGCAGCUGCCGCCGCAGGCUGAUCUGUGGUCUGCGGCGCCGCAUCUUCAGCGGCGCAAGCAGGCUCGGCCACCCUUUGUCCGGCGGCGUGGUCGGGGUUGACGUCUGACGCCGCGCUAAAAAUCAAAGCAGCAUUUUCAGCAAAAAAAAUGCCAAAAUACAUAAGUCGAACACUUACAGAUCCGAUCGACGGUGGGUCGCGGUGAACCUCCUCCGAGCCCGGCCGGUUGGCGCUUGGGCUCCCAUCUCUGUAACGCGCGGCGAAGGAGGAUCGCUGGCCACCCGACCAGUGGUGGACGGCGCACUGUCCGGACGGCUACGAGGCCGGCGGACUAGCGACGGUGCGGCUUCCUCCUCCUCGUCAUCGUCGUCGGUAAUCCGGACGAGCCGACGGCGCUUCGGUGCUUGGCUGCUCUCCGCUGGCAGCGUCGCCGCAGGCAAAGGAUCCGCCGCCAUUGGCCUUUUCCCCGCCACUCUCUCCUCGGUGGUCGGGAUGGGACGGGCCUGGUCCUCCUCGCUGCUGGUGUACCGAGUACACCGAGCGUCCUCCUCUGGCGGCUCCUCCACUGCAGGAUUUUCCAUCCCGGGUGCAAGUGACACAUACACCGCGCACCGAUCCACAUCUCCGAUCUGCAAGACGUAACAAAAAUAAGUCAGCAGCAGACAAUAACGAAUGCUAAAGAAAAAUAAUCAGUAAGAUACCUUAGGUGCUGGUCGCCCCAACUUGAAGGCUUGCACCCGAUCACUACCACGGACGAAGCCCCCAUCCGCGAAGUUGAACAGCUCGUUCAACAGCUGCUGCACCUCCGCCUUCUCCAAGACUUCAGGUCGCAUCCUGGUCGGGUCAAGGCUUCCGGCGUACUCGUACGCCGAGUGCACCCUCUUCUGGCAGGGCAUCACCCGACGACAAAUGAAGUUGCCGACCACGCCAAGCCCGUCCAGGCGCGACCAGUCGAUCAGCUUCAUGAGGUCCGCCACUUGACCGUCGAACUCUGGGCGGUCGGUCCAGCUCACCCACUUCUCAGGGAUGUAUCCCACGUCGCAAAACGUGGAGAUGCCCGGUUCCUCCCUGAUGUAGAACCACUUCCUGUACCAUUCGGUCAGGGAAGUGUUCCAUGGACAGUGCAGGUAGCGGUUUUUCAUUCCGUCGCGAAGGUUGAGGUAUACUACACCAGCAACCUUGGAGCCUCCAACUGCUCCCUUCUUUCUUAAACAAAAAAGAUAGCGGAAAAGGUCGAAGUGCGGCUCUAUGCCAACAUAGGCUUCGCACAAAUGGAUAAAAGUAGAAAUAAGAAGGAUUGAGUUCGGGUGCAGAUUGCAAAUCCCGAUCUCAUAAUAAAGAAGUAGACCCUGAAGAAGGGAUGAACAGGAACCCCAAAACCCCUCUUAACGAAGUCUUCGAACACCACGAUCUCACCGGCACGGGGGUCGGGGAAGCUCUCUCCUUCUGGCGCUCUCCAGCCGCCGAGCUCUGGGCCGUGCAGAAGCCCCAUAUCGACGAGGUCACCAAGAGACUUGGCGGUGCUGUGGGACUUCUUCCACUCCUUGGCCAUCAGCUCGGCCCUCUUCUUGGAGUCGCUCUUCGCCAUUGGAGUCGAGGAAGUGGAUUCGAGUUUGGAAGGUGUAGAUGAUUGAAGGAGGUAAGAGUGGAAGGCUUGAAGGCAAUGGCAGGAUAAGCAGUAAAGGGGGAACUGUCGAGCUCUUAUAACCCACAACUUCACCCCUCCCACUUCCCGUAUUUUCGGGAAGUGGGCGGGCCAUACGGCGGAUGCGGCGUUUCGGUUUUCAAUGAUUAUCGACAAUUAAUGCGGCGGAGUUUUCGUACAAAUUGAUGGUUUCCUUUUCUCAAACCGCGCAAAGGGCGGCUGUACAGUUGCCAGGCGCAACUUUUCAUGCAUCCAUCUGACAUCCCGUCAGAAGGUCUCGUCACGUCAACUCUUUGUGUGAAAAUUUUCAAAACAAGCAGACAAAACUGGUAGGGAGUCAACAAUCCAGGGACUGUACCGACCACCGAGCACUUGAUGCUCGGGGACUGGUCGCCCAGUCUAUCGGUUCGGAACUUCAAAGACUGCACCGACCACCGAGCACUUGAUGCUCGGGGACUGGUCUCCUAGUCUAUUAGCUCGGAACUUCAAAAUAUCGCACCGACCACUAAGCGCUCGAUGCUCGGGGACUGGUCGUCCAGUAUAGCAACGCAGAAUUCUAAGGAGUGCACUUGGUGCUUGGGUCCUGGUGGUCAUACUAUUGUACACCCGGGGACUGGUCGAUCAGUCUAUUCAAUUGCAGACGGACUGGUAAAUUUAAUUUUUUAGACCUUGCUACAAGGCUCAUACUUCGCCUUCCAGCAAGCUCGGGGACUACAUCGGUACGAUGCAUCUGGCGAUGCAUCUCAGUUACAGAAUUUCUUUGAGGACUUUUUUUUGACCCUGGCACCACGUACCUACGUCACCUACUACCAGGCUCGGGGACUAAGUGGGCACACUUCACCUUGCGGUGAAUAUGCUUGCUUUUUUGAGGUUUAUACUUUUCUUAAAAAUAAAGUGGGCACACUUCACCAGGAAAGAAAUCUUUUUUAAUUUAGAGCACCAUGCAUUCUUCGAACAACCAGCUUCUUCGAUGUCAACGUUGAUCAACUGCCUUUUGAGUUGGUCAAAGUACCGUUGCAACUAUUUGGGCGACUUUUUUGUUUACUGAAGACGUCAAGCCUCACUGAUCGAAGAAGCUCAAGACGGCGUGUUACAUCACAAUACAUGGUGCUCGGGGACUAGCUGUGGGGGUAUAAACCCCUAUACCCUUACGGCUAGACUUGGGCCAGGAGGCUUGGCCCAUUACGAGACAAGCUCAAGGUUUGAUCCGACGGCUUGGAGUUUCGCGCAAGGAAACAAGAUGUGGAGAUCAAGCAGGAUUCUAGUCGGUUAGAAUAGGAAUUGAUAUCAAACUAUCUAUGGCAAUUGUAACCGACUAGGAUUAGUUUCCAGAUCUGUAACCCUGCCCUCCGGACUAUAUAAGGAGAGGCAAGGGACCCCCCUAGGACAUCAGAUUCUCUCAACACAAAUCAAUACAACCAGACGCAGGACGUAGGUAUUACGCCAACUCGGCGGCCGAACCUGGAUAAAAAGCUUGUCCGGGUCUUGCGUCACCAUCGAGUUCGUAGUUUGCGCACCGUCUACCGAUAAACUACUACCGUGGGUAUACCCCAAGGUAGACUGCCGACUAGCUUUCGUCGACACUUAUCAAACCAAAGCUACUACAAUAACAAACAAAAAGCGCAACACAAGGUGCAACAUAAAAAAACUAAUGUAAGAUCUCAUGCAGUAGUAUUGCAACAUGGUGAAAACGACAUGAAACAUGAAAAGAUGGAAACCACUCAAUAAUCACCGUUUAGUGCUGCAAUAUUUGUAAAAGAUAAUUUCAAUAGUUGAAAAUUCGCUAUUGCAACAAUCUCAACAAUAGUACUCUCUUUCUGCAACACAUGAUUCACACCUAUUGCAACAUUUGAAAAUCAUUUUUUACAGCAUCUCCAAAAAUCUAUUACAAGAGAGAAACAGCAAAAAAACAUACAAAAUAGUAAGGGGAUGGUUCCGAGGUGCAGGAUAUGAUCCCAGAGCUCAUCGGAACCCUAUCCAAUGUUGUGUCCCUCAUAUCCAGAGAAUGAGGAGGAGGCUUAGAUCUAGAAAAUGAGCAUAAUGAUGAUGAUGAUGAUGAUGAGGAGGAGGGCUCAGAUCCAGUAGAGGAGUAGGAGGUGGAGGAGGAAAAGGGCUCAAAUCGAGAGAGAAAACCGGCCUACCUCGUUCAAGCCACCGUCGUCGUCCUUGUCUCUUGGUAGGGAAUUGAGAGUGAGAUCGCAUGGAAGUCGUGGAGGAGGAAGAGAGAGAGGGAGCGCUGAUGAGCGACGCAGGACGACAGUGAAAUGGCAUGGUGUGCGGUGUGUGACGUCUGUCUGUGGGAGUGAGCGGUGGAGAAAAAGAUAAGGAGAAGUGAGGGAGUCAGCAUAGAGCACAUAUGGGUCGGGUUAGUGCAGGGUUGCAUGCGUCCGUGAUGGAAUAAAGAGUGGGAGCGUGUGGGAUCGGUGCGUCCGGCCGCACGGACAGUCGGUCUAUAUCAUUAUUGCUUUUUUAAAUCUAAUUAGUAUAUAAUUAAAUACUAAUUACUAUAGUUACAAAUAUGCUAAAUAUCUAUUAAACUUUAGUUCUUCUAUAUGUUAAAAGGGUGAUAUAUCUAACUCCUCAUUCUUAGCUCAUUCGGUUGUGUAGGAUAUGUCCAUGUACAUUUUCUGUUUUCCUUCUUGUGUUGUACUCCACGGCUGCAUGUUGACAUGCCGGUUAGUUAGGGGUUGCGGCUCAUUACUUGUAACACAAUCUAGGUUGUACCCUACCGGUAUAUAACAUGUACCCGAGUACCUAUGAAAGGUAUCUCGUUCCAUCUACUUUCACAUGGUAAUCAGAGCCUUUCUCCACACGGAAUUCCGCAAUGGCGUUUACUUCUUCCUCCUCCGCUGCUCCUGCUGUUCCCUCCAUCGCCGGGUUCAUUCCGGUGAGCGAGAAGCUGACGCGCACUAACUUCGCAUCCUGGAAGGCGCAGGUGGUGUCUGCCCUGAAAGGUGCCCAGCUCUUCAAGUACGUCAAUCCGGCGGUGAAACCGCCGCCCGAGUUCCUUGUCAAGAAGGAGGACGACAAGGAGCAGUCUGUGACCAACCCUGACCACGACCAGUGGGUCGCCAAGGACCACUUGGUCCUGAAUUUUAUUCUCUCUAAUCUGUCGAAAGAGAUUUUGGCUCAGGUUAAUGACGAGGUCACCACUGCUGGGGCCUGGACGACGAUCCAGGGCCUCUUCACCGCGCAGUCCCGCGCGUGCAUCAUCGCCACCAGGAUGGCCCUGGCCACUACCUCCAAGGGGUCAUCUACUGUGGCCGAGUACUAUGUCAAGAUGAAGGGGCUCGCAGAUGACAUGGCAUCUGCUGGGCGUCGGCUUAAAGAUGAUGAGCUGAUCUCCUACAUUCUCACCGGGCUAGAUAGUGACUUCAACCCGGUGGUGACUGCGGUGUCAAACCGCGUUGAGCCCAUCUCCAUGACCGAGUUGUACACUCAGCUGGUCAGUCACGAGCAGCGUUUGGAGAUGCAAUUGGCGGCGGACAGCAGUCCUCCGUGAACCUUGCUGCCAAAUGGAAUCGCGGCGGCAACACCAACAACUUUAACAACUUUUCGCGUAGAAAAGGGGGCUGUGGCGGGUUCGUUCGCGGUGGCAAGAGCGGCCGUGGUGGCAGUCGCCCUCCUGCCGCACCGUUCCAGGCUGGGGUCUUCUGCCAGCUGUGCAAGAAGGAGGGUCAUACCGUGAUCAACUGCUUCAAACGGUACGAUGCCACCUUCGUCCCGCCCUCGCAAAAGUCUGCUUCGUCCGCGAUGACAUCCUCCUAUGGUGUAGAUACCAACUAGCAUCUUGACUCAGGAGCCACUGAUCACAUCACUGGCGAACUCGAGAAACUCUCCAUGCACGACCGCUACCAUGGUGGUGAACAAGUUCAUGCCGCCAACGGAUCCGGUAUGGAAAUUUGUCACAUCGGUCACAGUACUUUACAUUCCCGAACUAGAGAUAUUCAUCUAAAUAAUAUCCUUAAUGUUCCUUCUGCUCAUAAAAACUUGUUAUCUGUUAAUCGUAUUGCUAAGGAUAAUAGUGCCUUUUUGGAAUUUCAUCCAAACCAUUUCUUUGUUAAGGAACUAGAGACGAGGAAAACACUUCUCACAGGCCGAUGUGAAGGCGGCCUUUACCCCUUGAAGUCUUCAUCAAAUAAAAUCAGGAAUAAGCAAGCCUAUGGUGUUGCGAAGCCGUCAACAUCCCUGUGGCAUUCUAGACUAGGACAUGCAUCCACUCGAGUAGUUCAGCAUCUACUUAGUCGAAACAAUUUACCUUUCGUUAGGGAUUCAGAGAAUAAAACUGUAUGCGAUGCAUGCCAAUGUGGCAAGAGCCAUCAAUUACCCUACUCAUUGUCUUCUCGUGUUUCUUCCGGCCCUUUGGAUCUCAUUCACUCGGAUGUGUGGGGGCCGGCACCAAGCUCUGUUGGGCAUCAUUGUUAUUAUGUUAGCUUCAUUGAUGACUACAGUAAAUUCACUUGGAUCUACCUUCUGCGUUUUAAAUCGCAAGUCUUCCAAUGCUUUACUGAUUUCUAGAAACUCAUAGAACGGCAGCUUAACAGAAAGAUACUCACUAUCCAAACCGACUGGGGAGGCGAGUAUCAGGCCUUGCAAUCCUAUUUUAAGCGCAUAGGCAUAGGCCAUAGAGUCUCGUGCCCCCACACUCAUCAGCAAAAUGGGUCUGCUGAGAGAAAGCAUUGCCACAUUGUUGAGAUGGGCCUUUCCCUCCUUGCUCAUGCAACUGUACCCCUGAAAUUCUGGGAUGAUGCCUUCUUAACUGCGGUCUUCAUUAUCAAUCGACUGCCCACUCUAGUUCUAAACAAUGACUCACCCUUCUUCCGCCUUUUCAAUACUAAGCCAGACUACACAUUCCUCCGUACUUUUGGGUGCGCUUACUGGCCGAAUCUGAGGCCAUAUAACACAAAGAAACUUCAGUUCAGAUCCAAACAAUGUGUCUUCCUUGGCUACAGUAAUCUUCAUAAAGGGUACAAGUGUCUAGACCCUGCUAGUGGCCGGGUUUACAUUUCCCGCGAUGUCCUUUUUGAUGAGAAAAUCUUCCCAUUUGCCUCCCUCCAUCAUAACGCUGGCGCCCAACUCUGAUCGGAGCUAGCACUUCUACCCGAUGUCUUGCAAAAUCCAUCAUCUAGUUUUGGGGAUGUAUUAGUGCAUGAUCGGUCUGAUGUUUUUCCUAAUACAACUGAUGCUUCAGCAAGUUCUAGCUUGCCUUGUGACCCUGCAGGAAAAAAUGCAGAUGCAGGAGGCGGUAACGCGAGUGCAAGCACCUGUGAUUUCAUGUGUCGCGUGCAUGGAGACAACACGGUUGUCGAGAUUGAUCCCCAGGAGCAGCACUCGACAUCAGGCGCCGGCGUAUCCGUCUCGGGAUCGGUGGCGAAUCCGAUUAUGCUGUCGCCAUCAACCGCGCCAGCACCCGCCGAACAGCACCCUGGAUCUUCUGCGGCGUCCUCAUCUGCCUCUCCCACGCCAGACAGCACACAUCCGCCACAGCUAGAUCCCAUCGGUGGGGAAGUUGCUGCCGCGGCGCCUGGCAGCGGUUCUGCUGCCCUAGAACCUCGAUCCCCUGUGGAUCCUGCUCCUGUGGCCUCACCUGUGCUUACUGUCCCGUCGGGCCCUGUUACUCGGCUGCAACAGGGUAUCUCCAAGCCCAAGCGAUUUUCUGAUGGCACUGUCAGAUGGUGCAUGUCUACUGAUGUCAGUGCAGAAGAGUCACCCAGUAUUGCUGAAGCCUUUGGUAACAAAGAUUGGGUUGGCGCCAUGGAUGCUGAGUUUCAUGCCUUGCAGCGCAAUAACACCUGGCAUCUUGUCCCGCGGCCACGGGGCAAAAAUAUCAUUGGUUGCAAGUGGGUUUACAAAAUAAAGCGUAAAGCAGAUGGCUCCAUUGAUCGGUAUAAAGCACAGCUGGUUGCAAAAGGUUUCAAACAGCGCUAUGGCAUUGAUUAUGAGGACACCUUCAGUCCUGUUGUGAAAGCUGCUACUAUUCGACUCAUUUUGCCUCUUGCAAUUUCUUGUGGAUGGAGUCUUCGUCAGCUUGAUGUUCAAAAUGCAUUUCUUCAUGGCAUCUUGGAAGAGGUCUUUAUGCAACAGCCUCCUGGAUAUGAGAGCAAGAGUCACCCUGAUUUUGUUUGCAAGCUUAACAAAGCGUUAUACGGCUUGAAACAAGCCCCACGUGCGUGGUAUGCCCUGUUGUGUGCUAAGCUGGUUGCUCUGGGAUUUCGUCCAUCCAAGACUGACACCUCUCUGUUCUUCUAUCAAAAGGGGCAGCAGUGUAUGUAUAUUUUAGUCUAUGUUGAUGAUAUAAUUGUUGCUAGCUCCUCUCCAGCCGCCACAGCUGCUCUUCUCGCUGAUCUACACUCGGAGUUUGCACUCAAGGAACUAGGCGAUCUGCAUUUCUUUUUGGGCAUUGAAUUCAGCGUACACUUGGUGCUCUUGUGCUCUCGCAAGGGUGCUAUGCCAUGGAUGUUCUGGCUCGGGCUGGCAUGAAGAAUUGUAAACCUGUGGAUACCCCGUUGUCCAUCACCACCAAACUCAGUCUUGAGGAGGGAGAGAAGCUCAGUUCAGAUGAUGCAACCAAGUACAGAAGUUUGGUUGGAGCACUACAGUAUCUUACAUUGACAAGACCAGAUAUCGGUUUUGCGGUCAAGAAGGUCUGUCAAUUCUUGCAUGCUCCCUCUACAGCCCAUUUUAGCGUUGUCAAGAGGAUUCUGAGGUUCGUUCGUGGGACCUGGAAUUCGGGGAUGAAGAUUGUUCGGUCGGACUCAACUCUGGUCAGUGCGUUCUCCGAUGUCGAUUGGGCUGGGUGUGUAGAUGACAGGCGAUCCACUGGAGGCUUUGCCGUGUUCCUUGGACCCAAUUUGGUGUCGUGGAGUGCUAGGAAACAGCCUACAGUCUCUCGCUCUAGCACUGAGGCGGAGUAUAAGGCUUUGGCCAAUGCAACUGCUGAAGUUAUGUGGGUACAGAAACUUUUAACCGAACUAGGAGUUCACCAUCCUCCAGCAGCGCGCCUCUGGUGUGACAACCUUGGUGCUACUUAUCUUUCAGCAAACUCAGUGUUUCAUGCUCGUACAAAACACAUUGAGAUUGAUUUUCAUUUUGUUCGAGAGCGUGUAGCCCAGAAGCUUCUGGAUAUCAUAUUCAUACACACCGGUGAUCAAGUAGCGGAUGGGUUCACAAAGCCUCUCAGUAUUGGCAAGAUGAAGGAAUUCAGGGCCAAUCUCAACCUUGUAAGUGGCUGAGAUUGAGGGGUAGUGUUAAAAGGGUGAUGUAUCCAACUCCUCAUUCUUAGCUCAUUCGGUUGUGUAGGAUAUGUUCAUGUACAUUUUCUGUUUUCCUUCUUGUGUUGUACUCCACGGCUGCAUGUUGACAUGCCGGUUAGUUAGUUAGUUAGGGGUUACGGCUUAUUACUUGUAACACAAUUUAUGUUGUACCCUACCAGUAUAUAACAUGUACCCGAGUACCUAUGAAAGGUGUCUCGUUCCAUCUACUUUCACACUAUAAACAAGACCGAAGGGAACAAAGCGAGAGCACCCAAACUAUAGACAAACAUGGAGUGCUAAAGUUGGAGAGAAGAUAAUAAAAAGCUGUAAUGUACACUAAGCUUUCUGCAGGUAUCUACAUAUCUCUUGUACCUAAGCUACGAGUACUAAUUAAGAGAGCCCUGUGCCACAAAAAUUCGCCGCGCUAAAAGGCUGGGCCAAACUCGCCGGCUGGCCGGCUGCUCCUUCAAACGAACCAGAGGCCAGCCAAAGGAUAACCAAGUAAAAACAGGCGAGGUAAAAAAAAACACACACACACACAGGUAGACUCUAGACUAUUCCUAGUACGCACGCAGCUAAUAGCUUUACUUACGUCUAUAAUAAGAAGUGGAAAAAAAAGAACAACUAGGUAGCUACUAGAAUGGCGCCGUAGCGACGUCCCUGUCGUCGUCCAUGGAGCGCCGCCGUCGACCACGGCGGCCGCCUUUGCUCCCGCCGCCGCAACAGCCUUUGUUGGAGCCGGCGGAGGAGCAGCAGCAGCAGCAGCCGAGCUCGACGUCGUCGUCGGACGAGGAGUCGAUGGAGCUGGACUUGCGGACGGUCGCCGUCGUCAUCUGCACGGGCUUGAGGCCCUCGGUGAAGAUGCGGAUCGCCUCCUCCUCCGUCUUGGUGCUCACCACGUACAGCGCCGCCUCCUGCAACACAUGUACACAAAACACUCACUUGGUUAAUUACGUUAAUUUAGUGUUGUUAACAAACGUAUAUACGUAUAUGGACGUAUUUAUAUAUAUAUAUCGUGCACGUAUUAUGGGCUAUACGUGUAAAUUAAAGUAGGAACGCAAAAAGACGUCACACGGUCGUCGUCGUCGUCGUCGUUGUCACAAGUUGAUGCGUACGUAUGUACGCAGAGGGUCGUCUAGUCGCGGUACACGAAUAGUCCAUUCUGCGACGUGUUGUAACAGCACACAGAAGGAAUAUUAAAUUAUUGCAAUGUGCCGGCCGGGCACGUCUCUGUCGGUCACAGUUGCACCCGUUAACGUGUGGCCACAGUCGGCCGCAUGGGGUACACGUACGAGUACGACGUUGAGGUUGCGUGACGGAGACCCCCGUACGUCAUGGACACGUGUGCACGUCAAUCAUGCGUGUAUCAGUGCCCGUUGUCAUAUGUUUCGUUUCUUUUUUAUACAAGAAAUAAAGAAGAAUAAAAUUUAUGGCAUGUGGCGUUCUAAAUUACAAAUCAUUUUUUUGGCAUUAAAGUAUCUCAAAUUUAACCAAAUUUAUAUUACAAUACCAAUCAAGUAUUAUUAGAUUUUUCAUUGAUUAUAUUUUCAUUAUAUAUCUACUUAAUAGCAUAAAUCUUUAUAUUUUUUUCCAUAAUUUUAUUUAAACUUGAAAUGCUUUGGCUCUGACUUAUAAUUUAGGACAAAAGAGUACAAGAUAUACUAAAAAUUUAAAAUAAAAUAUUAAAUAAAACAAAUGACUUAUAACUCCUUUUUAACUAUAUAUAGAGAGAUUUUAUACUUGUUGAUAUUUUAAACCUCAAGUUUUUGACGCAAAAGUUUUAAACCUCAAGUUAUUGAAUAAAACAAAUAGCACGUACAUGUAGCUCUUCUUUAACUAUAAAAAGAGAUUUUAUGCUCAUAAUAUUUUAAAUCUGGUGGUAUACAAUAAUAAUAGAUAUAUAAUUAGUAUGCAUUUAAAUAGUUUGUCUAAUUUGAAGGAAGUUAAUUCACCUAAAAUACAUUUUAAUUUAUAGUAUAAAAUUUUGAACACAUCAAUACAUUAUAUUUCUGGAUACCUUAAAUGUCCUACAAGCAGUAAAACAUUAAGGCUUUUAAUUAGGCAUUACCUAAUAUUUGUUCAGUGCAUUUUGUGGAUGGAGAAAGAGGUAGGUGAGUCACUACAGGGAAAGAUGGAGUGGUGCAAUGGAACCUAACCACGUGGAAAGGACUGCCUAAUUGAAUAGGUUUUCAAGAACAGUGACACUCCAAUUAUUUGGGACUUAUUAUAUAUUUUACUAUUAUUAUUAGUUAUCAUAGUAGUACUUAGGAAAGAAAAUAUAUAAAUUCAUAACAGUUCGCAAGCGAGGAAACUUUGUAUACCUAUUAUAUAUUUCGAAUAUGAAUUAUCAAAUAUGCGUGCUCGACAAUGUUUUUAUACGAGAGAAAAAAAAAGGGACUUUCGAUGCAUGUAUGGAGGGCCGGGAAGAUGCAUGUAUGUACAAAUCAAGAGGAAAUGUGAUACACUCGUGUACUUCCUUAUAUAAUUAUAACAAAGUCUUGGAUUUUUUAGAAAUUUGAUAUCACACAUUAGUUUAUGAGGGCAGGGGAAUUGCAUUCAUCACCGUCAGAGAGAGAAAAGGGAAAAUAAAAUCGCCGAGAAAGAUAUGCAAGUGUUCUGGGCUAAAAUAGUCUCUCACAAAUCAGAAAUGUAUGAUAUAUACUUAUAUAGAUAUAAUGCACUAUAUACUAUAUUCAUACGUGUGUGCUUACCCUUGCGAACUUGAUCUGGUCGAGGGUCAGCGUCUUGGGCUCCCACUCUAUGGACGACAUCCGCCCCGCCGGCGCCUCCUCCACCUGCCUGCUGCUCGUCGUCGCCGUCGUCGUUACCGCCAGCGCCGCCAUGGAUGCCGCCGCAGCAGCCUCUCUUCCUCUUCGAUGUCGGUUGUAUAUAUACAAAUCCGAAAAAUACUCCAAGCCUUUUUUUUAAAAAAAAAAAUACGACGUCGUCGUCGACCUCUCCUGUGUCGAUUUUCGAAAUUUCUACUAGCUAGCUCUGCCUCUGCGCCCUGCGUUCGUGAACGAUGGCCUGCAGGUAUAUAUACCAGGGCAGGGGGGAGACCAAGCGGGGCGGACGUGUCGCGGCCGUACGGGCGGGCGGUCGGUCUCCCACGUGGCGGCCGCGGAGUGGGGAGGGGGGUCGCGCGGCCACGCGGCGCCCUGCUGCAUGCAUGCGUCGUGGUCGUCGCCCCCGGCUUUGUUGUUGCGUCCGUCCGUGCCGGUCCGAGGUGCCCUGUAGACUGUAGUACGUGUGGCUGUGGUUUGCAGUCAGGUGCGGGCGGGACACGUAGCGGGGGGUGGGUCAGCCGACUCGCCCAAUCGUGGCUCGCCGCGUCGCCCGCGCUUGGCUUUGACGGGAUCGGGCGCCGGCGCAUGCAUGCAUUGAUAUUGUUGCGUUUGCGUGCCGGGCCUGGACUCGCCACGCCACGCCACCGGCCGGCACCAGGCGGUCUCGUUAACGGCCGGUGGUUAUGUUCAUUCAUAUGCUACGUACCUCGUGCGUGGGUGCGGCCGUGCUCCCCGUCCAUACCGCAUGCAUGCCGACCGGCCGGCCAUGGUCCUACGUACGUGCCACGUCUUUUUUUUUUUUGAACGUAAUGGCAGGAGCUCUGCCUUUCAAUUAAGAGAGGAAAAAAGAGUUUAUGUACACAAAGGUCUUGGAGGGUAAAAAGAAACAGUUACAGAUUUUGCUUAUAUACUACCCCUCCAAUUUAGUGCUCUCUUCCUUUGCUCGAUAUCCUCUUUGGUCCUUGCAGCCACUUGCAUUGCCGAUUUAUGGACGUUGUUGAAAAUUCUUCUGUACGUGCCACGUCUUGUACGUGGAUCCAAAGCAUGCAUGCAUGCAUGGAUGGCUUGCUCUCUAGCUCGAUCGACUAGUGCAAUUCGAUCACGAUGAUGAUGACAGAGAGAAUGGGGAGGCCAAGAUGUUGUGGUGCGCUAUUCCCUGUCUCGAACCGUACCGUCGUCGUCGCACGUGUGCACGCUGGGGUACGGUUUGUUAACCGUUGCUGCGCGCGACACGCUUGCGCUAGCUGCAUCACACACGUGACAUGCAUGACGCGGCGCAAUGUAAUGCAUACCGUAACGUAAAGUACUCCCUCCUUCCAUAAAUAAAUACACAUCUUCCUUCCCAAUAAAUAAAUACACAUCUUCCUUCCCAAAAAAGAAAUGCUAAUGGUCAACCGGUUGAUUUGGAGCUUUCAAUCAACCUAAUUCUUGGCCAUUUGAUCCGCCGAGGCACCGCCUUUGCCAAGCAUGCUGGCCACCGAUACUAAUGUCGUGGCCUGGUCCAGUGCACGUCUCCGAGCAUUUAUCCUGUAUUAACAUGCAGUCGUCGUCUACACAUCGCAAUUUUGCAAACUAGCUAUAGUGUGAUGCAGAUCAACUUUCCAGUUCGUUUGCUUUCAUCUUUUCAGUUCGUUUGUUUUCAUCUAGAUAAUUUGUUCUAAAAUUUAUGAAUAAUUUGAUGAUAUUUGUGAAUAAUUUGACAUAUAUUUCUAUGCUGCCUGGAAUACAUAGAAAUAAUUUGUAAUUUUUUUUUAAAAAAAAAUUGGCAUAUAUUUGUGUUAUUCUUAGAUUACAUCACUGUGUCCAAUAAAUUACACUGAAGAAAUUAUUAUAAAAAUAAUAAUAAGUGGUGUAAAUAUAACUAUAAGACAGUGUAAAUACAUGUAAAAAAUUCAGUUGAUGGAAAAAGCUAAAUCAAUCGGUUAUUGGCUAGACAUCUCCUUCCAAAAAGCUAAACUUUUUUAGCUUGAUGACUAAAAAUAUAUCGAAUAAAUCAAUAUUUGUAUCUACAAAUAAAUAUAUUGUAAAAUAUAUUUUAUACUUAAUCUAAUAAUAUAUAUUAUGUAAGAUAAAUAUUAGUUUAUUUUUGGAGGGAGUACGUCGCGCAGGCCCGAGGGUCGAUCUGCGAUAUCGAGACACCAGAGGUACCUACAUGCGAAACCGGCGCUCGAGCGAAAGCAAGGAGCUAGAUCUUUUGUGUGUGUGAGUGCCAGGUGCGGGCGAUAACUGCAUGCCUAUAUGCACCGAUCGGACCCUGCAUGUGGUGGGGACACAAUUAGCUUGUGACGGAGAGGAGCUCCACGUCCGGCGAGGGCACCACCGGCCGGGGCCCGCGCCCGUGAGCUGCCGCCACGCAGCGCCGCCGCGCGGAUCUCCGCGCCAUCGAUUGUCCUCAUCGCUUUCGCCUCGAUUCCCCUACUACCGCCUGUCGCGCAACACAUGGCUACUCCGCCACCAGCCUCUUAAUUAUACCUUGUACAUGUGUUCGUAUGUGGAAGAAUAUGGAGACUAGUACGUAGCUAGGUGAGUCGUUUUCGUUUGGAUCCGAUGAUCCUAUUCUAUACCCUCCUCUACAGUCCACUAGAUCAUUUGGCGCCCUUCGGGCGCCCUACAAUGACUGAGAAAACAAUAUGUGAACAACAAAUAUACACUAUGUUACGAAACAUAUUUAUCGCUAAUGUUUUAACUUAGAAGAAAUGGAACAUCCACAAACAACGAACAUGAGGGCUUCACAGCCGUUAUGGUCCUAUUCAACCACAUACUACACAAUCUGUCACUACAUGCACGGCUUCUGUAGCCAUUAUGGUUUUAUCUAGCCAUACAUCACAUACCAUGCCAUUAUCAUUGGCAGAUGCACGAGGGGGGCUGGGUGGCUGCAGCCCCCCUCUUGGGCUCAAUUUUUUUUAACACAUUUUCUUUUUUUAGCAAAAGACUUCAUAUAUUUGGUAUUUUUUCUAUGCUUAUUUUAUAAAUCUUUGCCUUUGAAUCCAUAUUGAAUUAUCAAUCUUAGCUAUAUCUAUUAGGUCUUGUUUAGUUCCCAAAAUAUUUUACAAAAUUUCUCAGAUUUCCCACCACAUCUAAUCUUGCGGCACAUGUAUGAAGCACUAAAUAUAGAUAAACUAAUUACAUGGUCUACCUAUAAUUUGCGAGACGAAUCUUUUAAGCCUAGUUAGUCCAUGAUCGGACAAUAUUUGUCAAAUACAAACGAAAAUGCUACUAUUCCUAUUUUGCAAAAAAAAAUUGGAACUAAACAAGGCCUUAGUGUACUGGAUUGAGUGAGAAAAAAAUUUUAGCAUGUAUUAUUUAGCCCCCCUCUUGGUCCAUUUCUGGAUCCGCCACUGGCCAUUAUAGUCCAGGAUCGGUAUUCAUGACUACCAAACACUAUAGUCGGUAGCUUAGAAUGCCGAUCCAAAUACACUGGCGAUCAUUAGAGAGUACAUAUAUAGAGAUACCGCGAAACCAAAAGAGCAUACGUUGUGCAGCUUGUAGAGGCAAAAGCACCUUGAUCAUCCUUCUCCGAUCAACUAUCUUCAGUUGUUGCACUGUAAACAUAAGAGAAUAAGGCGUAAUGUUGGGAGCCAUAAACAAAAGCAAUGAAAUCUUCCAUUGCAAGUGGCACACACCACGUAAUUAUGAGAAUGACAGCAUGUUAUUUCACACGAAUAAAACAUCUUAAGAUAAAUGUCUACAAAGAUAAUUCACCCAAUUCGACCGGAUAGGUAUGGAACACUAAGUAUUGCAUCGGAAUUAGAGUGCAAGUAUGGGCAUAGUCCAGAUUUCAUUUAUAAAUCGAACGGACAGCUCCACUGUUGCAGAAACUGAGGUGUAGAGCAUUUGAUUUUUAAAUUUGCAUACUGACUAAACUACAUAUGGAUACUUUAUGCAUAGAAUCAGACCAUAACAGGAAAAAAGGAGCUUAUAAUUUUAGGCAACAUGUACAUCUUGGAGUCUGAGAUUCUAUGCAGAGAUUCAAGUUUCUGAGAUGAGCUACUGGCAUUAGUAAUCUCACAUUUUGGAAAAAUAACACUAUGCAUUAACAACUUGAUCCCAUACAGCAAGAAACAACCACAUGCAUAUACAUAUAAGGAUACCAUGCGAUACACACGUGAAGAGCGAGUUCUAGAAGGAAACAGCCACAUGCAUAUACAUAUAAGGAUACCAUAUGAUACACACGUGAAUAUACAUAAAAUAGUUUUCAGCAAUGCCAACCUUUUCCUAUUCAUAUUUUUCAGUGUCUUGGUUUCAGAGUUGUCAGGAACAUCUUUGUUGGUAUCUCCAUCUAAGAAAAGUUUUUUUGCAGAUUUUUUUGGGUGAUGGGCGAGUUCUAGUAGGAAACAGCCACAUGCAAAUCAAACCAAUCUUGUGCAAAUCUAGUUGCAGUGGGUGAAUUCACAAUUCAAAAAUAAUUUUGUAAGAGGUCUAUACAUUGGAGCUAAUUUUUUGGUUCAUAUAUCUAUGUAGAUUCUACUCCUAAUAUUACAUAUAUUCUAGCUACUAAGUGCAUUUUACAUGCUCUGACUUGGCACCAGUACCUCCUGAUCCCCAGCGCCACACUUGAGCAGUCCCACGUAUACACCUCCGACCGCUGCCUGCACCCUCCUACGAGGCUCAAAAUGUUAUUUUAUACUCACUAAAGAGGGCCACAUUUUUCAUUUUCUAAAAUUAAGAAUUUAACACAUGUGCAUGCUAAACACACGCUGAAUGCAUGUCUAAUAUAGACAUUGAAUCACUUAAGUAUAAUUUAAUGGAUGAAAAUUUACCUCAAGGGCACCCAUGGUCAAGAGCAGGAUCAUGAUGAGAUGGUGAAGGCAACAGAGCACCUGGGAUUGAUGGGGAAGGUGUGCCUUGUAUGAACCUUGCUCUUAGAAAGCAAUGUUCGACAUUUUGACCAUAAGUAAUAGCGCAACACAUUUUAUUUCUAUCCUAAGCUAUACAUUGCUAUAAGGAGCAUUUGUAGUGUGGUGAUCUAAAGCAACAUGCUUACUGUAAUGCAAGCAAAAAAAAAACAAGUUGCCUGCUGCUUGCUACCAUCUAACAAGAGCCAGAGAUAAACUCGUACAUCUCAUAUGAGCAAGAUCCACAAGCAACUGGAGAAGUAAAUUUAGACAUCUCAAUGCGAUUUUCAAAUCAGAACAUCUAACAACACAUAAAAGUAUAAGAUGCUACUCUCGCCUAUAUGCUUUAUCAGAAUAUCUGAGGUUAAAAUCUGAUAGAGCAUCGAAGUCAUCAAUGGAGAGACCUGUAAUAGACAAGAUCUUUACUUACUGUAAGAAUUUAAAUAGCAGUAGAGCACAUAGACAUCAGACAAGUGAUACCGUUUGCCUACCUAACCUUGAUAGUGAUCUUCUGCUAUCAACCUGCAUAUAACAUCAAUGCCUACAUGGUAGAUUUUCUUGGAGCAAACUGCAAACCCAUUUCUUACUAAUGACUUAGAUGGACAUGCUUUGAAAUGAUCCCAACUUUCAUGAUGAAAGGUUUGAAUUCAAAGGUAUUGACAAAACAUGGAAAAGGAAAACUAGAAUACCUAAGGGCCAGCAGAAAUUCUAUAAAAUUUCAAAAAAGUGCAGGUUCAGUUGUCAAUAGGGAUGACAAACACUUGCAAUGUUGUAGAUGCACAUACAGCAGCUGUUGGGUAUUCUUAACAUCAUUACCAAAAGUAGACUAAGUUCUCUAAAUCUAGUAACGGUGCCAAAAAUGCCAAACCUAUCCCUCACACCACUUAAGCCAAGUUGUCAUCCCCAGCAUGACAUGAGAGACGCGGUAUUGAAAUAUGCAAUUGCUCUUCUAAAUAAAUAAUGAAUGGGAUCUGCAAGCGCACAGAUUAAUACCGAUGUAGCAUUUUAACCGGGAAGUAUUCCAGGUAUCGUUAUUUAUAUUUUUACCACUCAGAAGGGAUUAGCAAUCAUCAAUAUCGAUUACAGAAUAGAAUAUGAGAUUGAGCAUCUAUCAUUGCAUGUAUAAUUGAGAACAUUAUAUCUAACUCUUCAUACAGGGAUAAGUGUCACAUAAAAGAUAUAUAAAAUAAUAAUAGUGACAAAGAUAAUUAGUCUGAUCUAGCCACAUAAUAAAUAUGAUAAGCACCUCAAUUAGAUACUCUAGAAAGUCAUUAGCAUGGUAUUAGAACGAACUACAAGAAUAUUCCCUAAGUUAUUCUCAACUAUAUAGUCUAGCAUAUCAUAGUUAGUGCAAGCAUACUUAGCAAUCAUUGUGAGACAAGACUACGCCCAUGUAUAGUGAUAUUAGCAAGGUAAAUGAGAAACAUAGCAAUCAUUCUCCUGUAAUAAUGUUGCUCUGCCAGCCCAAUACACGAGAGGGGGACUAUAUAAGAAUCAAUGAAGCUGUCACUAUCACGAACCACCCCACGAUCUGGCAUAUUGGGUACAAUCGCAGAUAAAUACGGUAUAAGCACCACGCCUACACAAUAUCUAUCAUUUACCCAUGGAUCCAAUGGAUAAACGCUAUACGAUCCUAAGCAUGUAUAUAGAUCCAAUCUAACUAAGCCAAGUACAUAACUAUGAUAAACUAAGAACAAUAUAAUCUUGAAUAUAAGCAAGUAGAGCAAAGUCAUAAGCAAUAUAUUGAAGUAGAACAAAGUCAUAUUCAUAAUAUUGAAGAACAAAGAUAAUUAGAAAGCAAUUAGAAGCACAAUUAGAGAAUUACCAAGAAUCCUCUUGACAGAUCCGGAAACCAAUCGAAGAUUGACUCCUUCUAGUUCUAAUCCUAUGUAGCUAUGCUAAUCUAGAUAUCUAAUUGAUGUGGUGGCUCUAAUCUUGAUCAGAGGCUUCUUCUCCCUUGAGAAUAAUGAAUUAGGGUUGAGAGGCUCUCUCCUCCAGGGGCCAGGGGGUCUGGUUUUAUAGUCCCUUCAAGUGAAUAUGGGCCGUUGGAUCAAACCGACAUAGAUUGUAUGGUUUAGAUUCAUCCUUUAGGUCGGUGGAGAUCUCCCACGAAGCAGAGUCCUGAUUGGACUCCAGAGGUGGGCGGGCGCCCAGGAGAACAGAGCGGGCGCCCUGCCUUUGGCCCCGUUUCGCCUCUGCUUCGGUCUCGUGGCUUCUGGAGUCUUCUAGAUGUAAGAUAAUUGCGUGGCACGUUAAUAUCUCUAUGUAAUCCCGACGUGUGGGCCUUUCUUCCGUAUUUCUUGAUAACCCCCUGCAGAAAUAGACAAACACCAAAACUCGUGGAAUUCUGUCAGAUAAAACCCUAAGUCUAGAUGUUGAUUUCAUUUGGAUCCUUUUCUUUAUUUAUUUGAUAAUUAAAUUUGAUACUUAAGGACCGUCAACAAACUCCCCCAAGCUUACCUCUUGCUCGUCCCUGAGCAAGGAUAGACUUAGCUAUGGAUCAUAAGUUGUUGCAAUUUUUUUUAAAAAUUGACGGUACACAUGCUUUUUAAAUAAGAUCUCAUCUCUGAGCUAGAGUAAACUGUCAAGACUUAAAACUUACUUACUUUACCUUUCACCAUGGGACUUGUAACCGUUACUUCUGUCUUGAGUAGUUAAAAAGAUAGAACAGUCUAGUCAAGUGCCAUGUCUCUUAUUCUUGAUCAGCUAUAGCUCUGGUGUUUUUGCAGAUUUUGAAAUAAAACUCAGAGAUUCCUUGUAUGACUCUCUCAAAUCUCUCUUUUGUGGUAUUUCUAGAUCCUUACCAAGGCAGUGAUGGUAUAUGCCUUCUCUCAAUAUAUGUGGUAUUUGUGGUAUAAAGCAUAGUGACAUUAUCUUCUCUCUCACCCUACUCUAAUAAGGCUUUAAUAUCUGGAGCUCAUAGGUGGGAGAUAAAGUAUACAUAUUUACAAGACAUUUAUUGCAUAGUCAAACCAUGGAUCCAAAGAAACAAAUCAAUAAGUCAAAUCAAGAUAUGCAUGUGUGGCGAAUGAAUGAUGUAUGGUGAUGAUGGUGAUAACAAUGGUGGAAGUCUAAUUCUACUUUUGCUCUUUGAGGGGAUACAUACCUUCCUUGCUUUUUGAAAUUUUAUGAGGAGAAUGAGAUGCUCUUCUUUUCUUUUCUCUCAAGUGGGUAUCUUGUACCCCUAAUUCUACUGUCGAACACUUGUCCAUUUUUAUCUCUCGUCUCACUUUUUCUUUUCUUUCGAGGUUCCGGGCACUUGCCCCUUUUUAUUUCCUCGUUUUUUAGAGCACUCAUCUCUUGAGAUAAUAUAGCAAGUGGUAGUAACAAGAUAACUUGAGCAUUUAUUUCACAAGGAAAAACAAAAAUGUUUUUGGCUAUUCUCUCCCGGAUCAAGAGUAGAAUAUUUUUGGGUGAUUCUGGAGAUGGAAUGGGUGGAUAUAUGUGGAUGGUACUUCUGGAGUAGAAGUAGCAUAUAUGAGUGAACGUGCAAGUGAAAUCUUGAUUUAACCACAUGACAAGCUCCUAAGGGUCUACACAGCUUGACCACACUCAAUGCUCAUAAGCAGUAAAUAAUAAAUGUGUGGCUCAAAGUCUAGCAAGCAUGUAUAUAUGGCUGUGGUAGGAAUUUAAACUCUCAUCAUACAGAAACUCAUCAUGCAACAUUUUAAAGAUUUUUCAAAGAUAAAAUUCUCCAGAAUUCUAGCAUCUCUAGGAACAGAUAAAUAGCAGCUCAACCUUCCCAUAUCGUAUCUGUUAACAACUUAGACUUCAGAUCAAGUUUUCAUCCCACAAGUUUAGGUCUAGAGCAAGCCUUAAAUUAUAACAGUUAUAUCUAAACUUGAGAGAUAACUUUAAAUGUGCAAAUUAGGCAGAGCAACUAUUCAUCAUAUCCAUGCUUGAGUUUUAUUUAGAUACAGAUUAGCAUAGCCACUUUAUUUAUUUAUUAAACACACUAAGCAAAAUAUAUAUAUAUAUAUAAGCAUAAAAUCUUUAUUUGGUUUUCCAUAGUUAUAUAUUUUAAUAUUCUAAUAUAAUAUAAGUAUAAAGAUAGGUAGAAAUACUUAUCGGGAUAAAUGGGGGUGCUCUCCCCAAAGCUGAAUUUUGACGUAAUUUCUCUUGAUGUAGCUAGCAGGUGGCAGAGGUGUAUUUGAAAGUCAGCAGCAUUCUGACAGCGAUUAGAAUGUCCUCCGUCUGCUAGUCUUCUUGAUUCUUAAAUUCUGUGGAACUUGAUUAAGUGUUAGCAUAAAUAUCUAGCCUUUAUCAUGUUGAGACUCCUUAAUAAAUAUUACUCCCUGUUUUUAUAUUUUUAUUUUAUAAAGCAGAAAUGAAAUAUUUAUUUUAUUUUUAUGCCACCACAGUGAAUGUACUUAUGGGUUUUAUGCCACUCGUCUACUCACAUGGGGCUUACUGUUUUUCACAUUUUUAUUUUCUUUUUAGGAUAGCACGAACAUGAUUAACUAAGUAAACUAGUUGAAAUAAUUGAAAGGAAAAGGAUAACUACCAAGUUUACCUCUUGGCAAGGCGUUCGGUGUUUUUAAGUCCUCCGAACGGGACUCUCCGUUUUCUCAAUUGUCCUGGGAUUCAUUGGGUGGCAUAGUCAGUACUUCCGGUAGCGCCUCCUCUUCAUGUAUAGUUAUCUUCAUUUUCCACACCUGACUUGGUGCUUCAAUCUCCUCUAGAUAAUUCUGUUUAAACUCUACGUCUUCUGACCUUAUCACUUCUCCUUCGUAGUCUGCCCAUCCAUCCUUGAUGAUUUGCCUCCUCUAGUUGCGGUUGCGUCGUUUUCUGACCUGCUUAGAUUCUUCAACGAUAUAGUUAGGGUCAGUAAAAUAACGGCGUACCUUCUCUGAGGGGAAGUGCAUAUGGACUUCUCCGGUUCCAAUGUAGAUAAUUGCUUUAACGGUGCUGAGGAACGGUCUUCCAAGGAUGAUGGGUGGAUCAUACUCGUCUUCUCCCAUGUCAAUAACUUGAAAGUCUGUGUAGACAAAAUGAUCGUCUAUUUUGACUGGGACAUCACUUAUUGUUCCUUUAACUUCUCGAAAUGUCUGAUCUGCCAUCUGGAGCUGAAUGUACGUUGGUCUUAGGGGCAUGGUUCUGAACAAGAGCCGAUAGGUGACUGCGGCCAUUAUGUUGACGCCUGAUCCGGUGUCACAAGUUGCCUUGUAAAAGUUAUAUCCAUUUAUGGAGCAGUAAAUGCUUGGCAUUUCUGGGUCGUCCUUCUUGGUCAAAAACAGUGACUUAAGUUGGUGAUCUUGGCCUCCAUAAACUACAGUGACCAUCUUAGCUGACUCGGUCCACACUUGCUUGUUCCUGUUUUUCCUGUUGGUCCUCUUCCCUGACUCACGUCUGGAUUGAUCUGGAAUUUGUGUAGUCUUGUUCUUGAAGAAAAAUGUCUCCUUCCUCCCUUUGACGUAGAAACUGAUCUUGGCAGCACUAGCGUAGAUGAUAGCUCCCGUGGUGUUCAAGAAUGGCCUCCCUAAGACGAUGAGUGCUCUCUCAUCAUUUCCGGUCUCUACCACUACGAAGUCUGCUGGGGCAUACAAGGUACCAACUCGGACGCAAAGGUUCUUUAAUAUUCCCUUUGGAAAAGUUAUCGUCUGAUCUGCAAACUGUAAACACAUGGUUGUUUCUAAUAAAGGAUAUAUAAAGAAUUUUUCAUAGAGUACCCUGGGUAUAAUGUUGACGCUAGAGCCAAAGUCACAGAGUGCUUCUAGAACGUCCACCAUGCCGAUGGAGAUCGGGAUGACGGGGCGUCCUAGAUCGCCUCUCUUGACCGGCAGAAGGUCAGUAGAGAAUUCAGUGACGGGGUUACUCCAAUUAUUACCUGCAUCAAACAUGUCUACAAGAUUUGCAGAUUCUAAUCCUUCUGGUUGUGAUGGUAUACCGGGGUUAGUAGCAGGAACAGCAGCAGCUAUUUGAUUUAACUGGGAUUCAAUCAUUUUAUUAAAGCUAAUUUGAUUCUUGAUGGCAGUAGAGAAAUUAUCCAUUCUAUUAUUUAUAUUUUCUAGCAUUUUAUCAUUAGAUGCCAAUUUCUUAGAUAGAUUAUCCAUUAGCUUUCCUUGAUUAGACACUAACUCUCUCAGAGGUGGAAAAUUAUUAUUAUUAUUAUUAUUAUUGUAAGAAUUGUUACCUUGAUAAUUACGUGAGUAGUUAGGCCUCUGUUGAUUCCAACCUUGAUUUUGUUGAGGACGGUUGUAGUAGUAGUUGUUGUUGUUGUUGUUGAUGUAGUUCACAUCCUCAAGUAUCUCAGGGCAGUGAUUGCCUGAGUGUCCAGUGUCUUCACACUCCUCACAAGUCAUGUGAGAGUCGUAGAUGUGCAUAACUUCUUUCUUAUCUCCAGCUCUAUCAUCGAGCUUCUUCAUGAGCAGGUCUAGCUUUGCAGACAGCAUGUCUACCUCCUUGAGCAGAUGCAUACCUCCACUCUCUUGCGUGUCUGGGUCCUCUCUUCAUUCCAGCUUUGGUUAGACGCCAUCUUCUCCACAAGAGCUGUAGCUUGUGGUAUAGUAAGUGAUAAGAAUGCUCCUCCAGCUGCAGCAUCCAUGGUCUCUCGAGCACUGUUGCCGAGCCCAUGAUAAAACGUCUGCAUCGAUAGCCAACUCUCCAUUCCAUGAUGGGGACAUUCUAGGAUGUAGUCUUAAAAGCGCUCCCAUGCUUCUAGAACAGAUUCAUCAUUUUGUUGCUGAAAGCUUGUAAUCUUCCCACGGAGAGCAUUGGUCUUGCCCAUGGGGAAGAACUUUGCUAGGAAGUUUGUUGAGCAGAGUGCCCACGUAGUAUUCUUCUCCUUUGUAGCGUAGAACCACUGCUUCGCUCUUCCUAACAGUGAGAAUGGGAAGAGGCGAAGUAGUAUAGCAUCUUUGGAAACUCAUGAUAUGGUGAAUGUGUUGCAAAUCUCCAGAAAGUGUUGUAAAUGAGCACUAGCAUCUUCGUGUGCCUUCCCACAGAACUGGUUGGAUUGCACCAUGUUGAUAAGUCCAGGCUUGAGCUCAAAGUUGUCGUCGAUCUCUGCAGCAGGUCCAGUGCGGAUGUUGUCCGCAGUGGGAGCUAAGAACUUGCGGAUUGAUUUGUUCGCCAUGGCUUCGAACUCUGAAGACAAGUUCCGGUGAUCUUCUUGAUUGGAUGAAGCUUCUUGCUGAAGUGUUGAUGAUCUCUUCUUGAGCUUGGCUCUCGUCUUCUUGAAUAAUGCUUCGGGAUUGUCAACAAAAUUUUCUAGAAGAUGUCUUCUAUUCAUACAUUCCCCUGCACAAGAUGAAACAGGAAAAUAUCGGGGUAAAACUGUAUGAGAGAAAAGAUAAGCUCAAUCAUAUUAGUGAUGCGAAUGAUAACUCAAAAUCUUUUAUUCCAUUCCUGAUUAGUAAUCAACCUUCCCCGGCAACGGCACCAAAAAUGCUUGUUGGGUAUUCUUAACAUCAUUACCAAAAGUAGACUAAGUUCUCUAAAUCUAGUAACGGUGCCAAAAAUGCCAAACCUAUCCCUCACACCACUUAAGCCAAGUUGUCAUCCCCAGCAUGACAUGAGAGACGCGGUAGUGAAAUAUGCAAUUGCUCUUCUAAAUAAAUAAUGAAUGGGAUCUGCAAGCGCACAGAUUAAUACCGAUGUAGCAUUUUAACCGGGAAGUAUUCUAGGUAUCGUUAUUUAUAUUUUUACCACUAGGAAGGGAUUAGCAAUCAUCAAUAUUGAUUACAGAAUAGAAUAUGAGAUUGAGCAUCUAUCAUUGCAUGUAUAAUUGAGAACAUUAUAUCUAACUCUUCAUACAGGGAUAAGUGUCACAUAAAAGAUAUAUGAAAUAAUAAUAGUGACAAAGAUAAUUAGUCUGAUCUAGCCACAUAAUAAAUAUGAUAAGCACCUCAAUUAGAUACUCUAGAAAGUCAUUAGUACGGUAUUAGAACGAACUACAAGAAUAUUCCCUAAGUUAUUCUCAACUAUAUAGUCUAGCAUAUCAUAGUUAGUGCAAGCAUACUUAGCAAUCAUUGUGAGACAAGACUACGCCCAUGCAUAGUGAUAUUAGCAAGGUAAAUGAGAAACAUAGCAAUCAUUCCCCUGUAAUAAUGUUGCUCUGCCAGCCCAAUACACGAGAGGGGGACUAUAUAAGAAUCAAUGAAGCUGUCACUAUCACGAACCACCCCACGAUCUGGCAUAUUGGGUACAAUCGCAGAUAAAUACGGUAUAAGCACCACGCCUACACAAUAUCUAUCAUUUACCCAUGGAUCCAAUGGAUAAACGCUAUACGAUCCUAAGCAUGUAUAUAGAUCCAAUCUAACUAAGCCAAGUACAUAACUAUGAUAAACUAAGAACAAUAUAAUCUUGAAUAUAAGCAAGUAGAGCAAAGUCAUAAGCAAUAUAUUGAAGUAGAACAAAGUCAUAUUCAUAAUAUUGAAGAACAAAGAUAAUUAGAAAGCAAUUAGAAGCACAAUUAGAGAAUUACCAAGAAUCCUCUUGACAGAUCCGGAAACCAAUCGAAGAUUGACUCCUUCUAGUUCUAAUCCUAUGUAGCUAUGGUAAUCUAGAUAUCUAAUUGAUGUGGUGGCUCUAAUCUUGAUCAGAGGCUUCUUCUCCCUUGAGAAUAAUGAAUUAGGGUUGAGAGGCUCUCUCCUCUAGGGGCCAGGUGGUCUGGUUUUAUAGUCCCUUCAAGUGAAUAUGGGCCGUUGGAUCAAACCGACAUAGAUUGUAUGGUUUAGAUUCAUCCUUUAGGUCAGUGGAGAUCUCCCACGAAGCAGAGUCUUGAUUGGACUCCAGAGGUGGGCGGGCGCCCAGGAGAACAGGACGGGCGCCCUGCCUCUGGCCCCGUUUCGCCUCCGCUUCGGUCUCGUGGCUUCUGGAGUCUUUUAGAUGUAAGAUAAUUGCGCGGCACGUUAAUAUCUCUAUGUAAUCCCGACGUGUAGGCCUUUCUUCCGUAUUUCCUGAUAACCCCCUGCAGAAAUAGACAAACACCAAAACUCGUGGAAUUCUGUCAGAUAAAACCCUAAGUCUAGAUGUUGAUUUCAUUUGGAUCCUUUUCUUUAUUUAUUUGAUAAUUAAAUUUGAUACUUAAGGACCGUCAACAGUAGCAACAACUCCAACCUCUGCAAAACAGCGCAACAAUAGAAGAACAAUAAUACAUAAAUAAACAUAAAUAUAAUGAAUAGGUAAGUUCAGGCUAGCCAUAGUUAAUCUGUCUACAAAUUACCCAAAGGAAUAACUAAAGCUAUUAAAAUGGGUAUGUGAAAAGCAAGUAGCUCCACAAAUAUAUGGAGAAGGCUUGUAAAGAGAGUUAUCACUAUUGUGGUAAGAAAAAUGCUAGAAAGAAAAAAACCUCACAAGUUCCCAUAUCUGAGCAUCAUUCCAUUAUUAUACGACUCUAUUUAUUUUUUUAGUUUGGCUUAAGUGUCAGCUGAAGCAUAAAGCUGCUAGUUUUCCUUUACUUUGCACCAAAGAAAAGAACGAUUAAAAAUUCAGAAAUACAAUGGAAAGGUUUAAAAACAACUAAUCUAGGGAAUGCUACAAACCUUUAAUAAAAGGAAAACCAUAGCAGAACUUUGGAAGAAGGAAGAUUGCUGCUCUAGUUUCCAUAUUACGGCAAGAUCCAAUAGCAGAUGCAGUCAUAGUACCUACAACAAGUAUGUCACCACCUUGAAUAUGAGGAUGAACAUAAGCCUAGCCAUACAAAACAGCUGUAAUACCUAGAAUAAAACAAAAGAUAUACAAAAGGAGAAGUAACACAUAUAGCAAACAAGGGACUGAACCUACAAUUGCAUGAAGCCACAAACAGAAGUCACCCGCAACAUGAAACUUCACCCACCAGUACGCAACUAAGAUAUCAUCCUUUCCUGCAAGUCAAAGUAACAAAAAUAUUAGCAACUACCAGUGAGCAGCAAGGCAAAACCUACCUGACAUAGAUCCCCGAUGUACAUAAAACAAAAAUUUAGAACUAAGGGAUUUGAUUUCUAUAAAAUUCAAAAGAUGAGACACAAUUGUUCUUAUAAAUUUACAUAACCGGAUGAGAUGACAAAUCUUUUGUACACACAUGUGUAAAACUAAUGGAGCAUACAUCUGGUGAACAAGAAAAUCAAAACAAAUUUAAAUGCAUAACCUAGUCAGUAGUAGACAUAUUCAAAUUAGCCUAUCCAUGCUACAGAGUAGAAGAACUCACAAUCCACCAGAAAGUUUUGACUAAACAUAUAAGAAAUGAUCUAUUACUAAUGUUCCUCAGAUUUUCACAAAUAGAUGCACAACUCCUCUACUGCUGAUACGCCUAGGGGCAUCUCACUCAUCAGAGAUGAAUGCAAAACGUGAAGAGGGAUGGAUGGAUGAAUGGACAGGGGCACAUGGUCUACUGGAGGGGUGAUGCUUACCAAGCAGAUGAACAUGGCUUAGACCUCCUCAUGGCAACAGAAGCAGUUGCUACCACCGCGCCAGAUCUAGAGGAGAGGAGGUUCCAACAGGAUCUGGAGGAAGGAGACAAAGGAAAAAAAAACAUGAGCACGGAGCAAACCGAAUCUAGGAGCUCGAGCUCAGCCCCCCACAACGAAUUCAAUCUAUCAAUGCGGCGGACCAGCGGCACAAACUUGAACAGUCCACUACUACGAAGACUAAAAUCGAAGUGAACUAAACAACGCGAAGGCCGAGCCGAUGACGCGCAGAUGCCCAGAACCGGGUAAGUAGAGUAGAGAAGCCAGCAGAGCAUCACCUUUCCUGGGAAUCGGGGGCAGCGACCUCCCCGCCCCCGUCGGCGGCAGCGGCCGGAGGGGCAGCGGCCCUACGGCGACUGCACCGGCGCAUGGCGGAGGCCACAGACGGAGGAGGGGGCAGGAGGCCGCGGCGCCGUGCCGCUGAGCCAGGAGCAAGGACGGACGCGAGGCGGUGGGACGGCCGCGGCAACCGCAGAGGCGGCGGUAGCUGCGGAGGCAGCGCAGUGGUGGAAGGGAAGCGGUGGAUUUGUUCGGUGGGCGCUCGGAUCUAGAGAGUGCGCGAGGUCUUUGGGAGCGAGAACCCUCGUCUAUCCCUCUGCAUGCAGUAUCCGUGGGUGCUCCUCUCCGAUUUCACCCCAUCCCACGUCUAUUCUGAGGAGGAGGAGGAGGAGGAGGAGGAGGAGGAGGCGGUGGCGGGGGGGACAUGAGAGAAGGGCUGAAGAGUUUGAGAGUCGAGUUAGGGUUUGUGACUGGGGGCUGCGAGCGGAAUCGGGGACUGCGGAUUGAUUCAGAGAAGUCGAAGGACCUUUUUGCAAAAUAGGAAGCAACAAGUGUCAACAUGCCAGGAAGCCACCGAUGCUUAGAAUGCUGUGGUGCUUCCAAAGUGGAGUGACUUUUAAUAACUCCUGAUAUCUAUCUUUUUCUCUAUCAUGCAAGAAUAAAAAUUAGGGUAAAUUUGCACACGGUGGUAUUAAUUAGAUCUCCUAACUCAUAAAUUCUGAUAUUUGAUUCAUUAAACUUCACACGCGCUGAAAAUAAGAUUUCCAGAGAUAGACCACCUUAGAAUGAAGGUCACCGUUAAUCAUUAUUAACAUAGACGAAUGGAGGCGUGCCACCGGAUCUGUGGUCUCUACGCCAAUCAAGCACACGCCAGAAGGUGAUGGGGCCGUGCCGAUGCGCUUGUCAGUGACGAAUGGAGCUCCUCUGGGCACGGGGGCGAAGGUGGAUGGGGAUGCCCGAUCAAAGGUGAAUAGGCUGACAAAGGAGGAUGUGCAAGGGAGGGAGGGAGAGAGAGAGAGAGUUGGGACUUAGGAGGUGGUGGUUGCUACUGGAGAGAGAGAGAGAGAGGAGUCCUACGAUUUACUCUUGUUUUUAUAUAUGGGCUAAUUGGUAAGGUGGAUCUAUUAAAAGGUUCAUCUCUAGAAAUGGUUCAAUUAUAGAGAUGUAUGUUUUUCUAUCUUCGUAAGUAAAACGUAUGUCUCUGAAAAUCGUCGUUUGUUUUGGGAGGCGUCCAUAUUUUUUUGCCCGCCUCUAUUAAUAAAGUCAACAAUUUUGUAUUAGUGGUAGUGCCAUGGGGUUCCAAAUUCUUCAAUUGCGAUAUUUGGUUCUCCAAACUUGUACAUCAGUGUUACCUAGGUCCUAGCUUAUAGGCACUAGCACCUGAAAUCCACUAAAAUCCGUUAAUCACAAACCUUGACUCUAUUGCUUAAAAAAACUUAACCCUAACUUCAAAUUGUAGUCAUAACCCUUAAUUUCACCAACAUCGAAAUUAAAGUAAUUUAGUUGGUCCAAUUUAACCCCAAACAACAUUUGUUUUUUUGUUUUGUUUCUCUGCAUAAGUUAGAUUUUGCUUUCAAAUUUUAUGAUGUGAGAGGGAACAUCAUAAUUUAUAUUCAAAAAUACAUUAUAAAUUUUCAUCAUUAUGUUUCAUUUAAUUUUGUAUCUAUAGUCUUUAUUCAUUAAAGCUCAUACCCUAUCGAAAUAACAAUGAACAUUGAACUUGUAAGUGUAGAGAAACAAAAAAGACAAGAGAGAUUUACUUGUAUGACCCUAAAAAAUGUCUCUUUCUUGUAUGGCCUUUUUUUGAACUUUCUUCUAUGGCCCUCAAACGAACUUUUAUUUCUUUUAUGACCUUCCGUCUGUUUUCAGCACUUAACGGGUAAAAAGACCAUAUUACCCCUUGCAUGAAAAAACGCAAAGUUUAGUUUGUUUCUUUUAUAUUUUGAGUAGUAAACAAAUAAAUUGACAAUUUAGAUAUUAUAACAGUACAUAUGUGGAUCACAGUAAUAUAUUUGGACAACAUCACAGUAUAGUACAGUAUGUGCUCAAAAAAUUUUAUUUAUAUGAGAAACAAACCAAAUUUUGUGAUUUUUUUAACAUUACAAUCUUUUUACCCUCCACUUAACACCGUUAAGUGCUGAAAACAGACGGAAGCCAUAGAAAGAAUGAAAGUUCGUUUGAGGGCCAUAGAAGAAAGUUAAAAAAAAAAGAGACCAUACAAGAAAGACAUAUUUUUUAAAAGGGCCAUACAAGUAAAUCUCUCAAAAGACAAAUCUUGUUAAGUGGUAAUUGGACCAACUAACAUACUUGGAGGGAGUAAAACGAUCUAAACAUCAGUUAGGGGGGGGGGGGGGGGGGCUUUUAGACAUUUGCUAAACUUGUGGGGGAGAAAUGUGGACUUUUUUAUACAUGCUGAUAGGAAAUGAAUAAUGUGAUAUAUAUCUAAGACAUCGUACUUUUGCAAAUGAUAUGAGUGUAGUACUAGUUAAUCCGGUGAUUGGGUUGCUUACACCGCUACCCACAACCACCACGCCAGCCGAUAGGAGCCGGCCAGGCCGCGAGGGUCUAUAUAUACAAUUCAAUGAAUAUAUAUGGGGGUGGACUCGUGUGGGACUGUUGUUGGUUAGACAGCGCAUCGAUCAUCGAUGCAGAUGUUUUCGAUCAAGAGAAGUAUAAUACACGCCUGUUCAUGUUCUUAUAUUAUAUAUAUAUGACUGCAAAGGAUAUGCCAUUUGAUUACUAUAAUGGAGUUGACUAAUACAAUUUUCGAACAAAGCUAAGUUAGACGUGACUGAUUGAGAGGUUUGGUCAGGUCGGUCUCCCUCUCCCACUACCACUGUGUCCUCAAAAGAGUAGGAAGAGUAGGACGACCCGCAUGCAUGCCUACGUGUAGAGUUCUCAGGGCGACGCAUGCGCAUUUCUGUUCCUUAAUGCUAGGUUUGUGCGUCGUUGUCCAAAUGCAUUCCAUGAUUGAUUGAUUGAUCUGGGCCAUCUGCGUUAUCCAUUGCUCCAGAACCAAAAGAGUUAGCCAGCUGUGCACAUGUUAACGAUGCAAAGCUUGAUCAAAGUGAGCACUGAUCUCCGACAGAAUUAAAAAGGCAACAUCGUACUACCUCUCCGUUCAUUUUAUAUGUCGUUAUCACUUUGUAAGAAGUCAGACAUAUAUAUUUAACUUUAAUUAUAUAUAUAUAAUGUUUAUGUUAGAUUAUUAGGCAAUUUCCAUAUCAUUUUAAUUCCAUAAAUUAACAAUAUGAUGAUGACAUAUAUGAUAUUACUGAUAAAUAUAAAUAUGACAUGAAUCAUAAUUACGACAUGUAACCAUGAUCCAUAAAACAUAUCAAAUAUCAAAGCAUAGCAUGUUAUAUAAUUAUCUGUAACAGCACCAAACAUGAUAUAACUAUCGAAACAGAUAAACAGAUGUACUGAAAAAAAACAGAUACUAGCGAAACAACAGAACGGUAGAACAGAGGCAUAUACACAGAACUUAAACAUAACAUGAACAGACAACAGAUAUCUUCUGAAACAACUAAACAGACCUACUGAAACAGGUAUGACACAACUAUUGAACCUGUACGACAGAGCUACUGAAACAAACAGAAACAGAACGACGUAAAACUGAGGGAAGACGAACACAUCAAACCCUGAGACUUGCGCAUUCAGAUUUCCAGAACUUUGUCCUUCCUCGAUCGCCAUGGAGUAGAGACAAAGGUGAAGACGAUGAACCAAUCAAUGGGAAGGAGAAUACGGCGACCGGAAAUACCAAGAGACCUCCGGGAAGAAGAUGAACAGCAGCAAUGGAGUUGGGCAGUCGCGUAGACGCUCCCCAAAAACCUAAUUGUCGAUCCCUCGUGCAAGGUCUCGAACGGCAAGGGCUCCGGAGGCACCUGCCCUCUCGAUCCUCCGUGCGCGCGGAGUUACGAGAUGGGGAUUCCUACUUUGCAACGAACUGUGAUCCUGAGUAUUCUCUCCUAUUGUACCAAGGAGAUGAGUCUCCUAUUUAUCCUUGUGGCUGGAGAGUUGAGGAGGGGAAGGGACUCCCCUGCUGGCGGUUGAGGAGACGGGCAUCUGAAGAGUUUUCACGCGGAGUUGAAACUCCCUCAAUUAGUUAUCGAAACACCCGCAGAUAAUGAGUUGAAACUCCCACAUAAUUGAGUUGAAACUCCCGUACCAUCAGCCAGCCACUCCAACCCUUUGACUUACUCCUAUUUGGUACAAUAUAUAUAUUGUCCAUAAUUACACACCAUAGAGUUUAUUGAUUUAUUAAAUCUAAAUGGGUCUAACCCAUAAUAAAUCCAACAAUCCCCACCAAACUCUAGGGUUUGUAAUGAUGAAGCAUCAGAACCACAGUUCUUUGAUAUAUCAGUGUUUCGAUAGAGUCUGUUAAGUUGAACAUCCAUCUAGAACAAGAGUUUGACCCACUCACAACUGAACAAUGGACUAUGCCUUGAAUUGACAUUUUUGUGCGAGAUGAGGUCCACUCAAGCCCUUUGCUGAUACUUGGCUGCACAAGGCAUCCUCGCUGUUUGAAGUAUAUAAGUCACACUUCAGUGCCUUUUAUGAGUAUUUAGGGAUUACCCAAGUCCCAUAGACUGUGACCAGCAGUCUGACUCAUAUAGGUGUUUUCCUCAAAAGAUAUUUUGUAGGCCAACAUCUCAUCUGUAUAAGACUCUUGGAAUACAUUAAGGUAAAUACCAACCUGCCUUACAGAAGGAAAGUUGUACAUCAGAGAUAGGUUCAAAAGGGAACUUUCCUCUCAAUCUACUCAUAGCUUGUUUCACCACUCUACUUCACGGGAUCUCCGAUCACAUAGAGCAGGUUACCACUACAGUAGAUUAACUUGUGGGUCUCAUACCCAUCUCUCUCGAUGCACUUUCUAUCACAUUACGUGACAGUCCCUUAGUAAAUUGAUCUGCCAGAUUAUUCGACGUAUGGACAUAGUCCACCGUUAUAACUCCGGAGGUUUUCAACUUUCUGACAGAUUUUAAUCGUCUCUUAACAUGCCUUGUAGACUUCAUGUUAUUCCUGGAACUGUUGACUUUAGUAAUCACAGUUUGGUUGUCACAGUUCAUGGAUAUAGCCGGUAUCGGUAUUUCAACUACCGAUAAAUCCAUCAGGAGUUCACGAAGCCACUCGGCCUCAGCCCCAGCAGUGUCUAACGCUGUGCAUUCUGCUUCCAUUGUAGACUUCGUUAAGAUAGUCUGCUUGCAAGACUUCCAGGAAACAGCACCACCUCCAAGCAGGAACACAUAUCCGCUCGUGGCAUAAAGCUCAUCAGCAUCAGAGAUCCAGUUGGCAUCACAAUAGCCUUCCAACACUCUAGGGUUUCCGGUAUAGUGAAUACCGUAGGACAUAGUCCCUUUCAGGUAGCGCAACACUCUCUCAAGAGCACGCCAGUGAUCAUCGCCUGGUUUUGACACAAACCGACUCAGCUUGCUCACAGCAUAUGAAAUAUCAGGUCUCGUUGCACUCGCAAGGUACAUAAGCGAGCCAAUGAUCUGGGAGUAUGUUAAUUGAUCCCUUGCUAUUCAUCGAUUUUUCCUCAAUAGCACACUAGGGUCAUAAGGCGUGGGAGCAGGAUCGUAGUCACUAAACCCAAAGCGACUUAAUACCUUUCCACAUAAUGGGAUUGUAACAAAGUUACCCCACCAUCACCUUCUCUGGUAAGCUUGAUGUUAAGAAUGACAUCAGCUUCUCCCAAAUCUUUCAUAUCGAAAUUACUCGAUAGAAGUUUCUUUACUUCCUCAAUCACAUUGAGAUUAGAUCCGAAGAUCAAAAUGUCAUCAACAUAAAGGCAUAGCAUAACAGCCUCACCCCCACCAUAUCAAUAAUACACACAAGUGUCUGCUUCAUUCGCAACAAAGCCAGCAGCUAUAAGUGUACUAUCAAACUUUUUAUGCCAUUGCUUAGGUGCUUGCUUUAGGCCAUAUAAUGACUUUAACAGCCUACACACCUUGCUUUCUUGACCAUCCGCAAUGAACCCUUCUGGCUGAUCCAUAUAGAUCUCCUCAUCUAACUCUCCAUUAAGGAAAGUCGUCUUAACAUCCAUCUGAUGAAUGAUAAGACCGUAUGAAGCUACCACGACAAUCAAAGUGCGAAUUGUAGUCAAUCGAGCGACCGGUGAAUAGGUGUCAAAGAAAUCUUCCCCCUCUUUCUGGGUAUAUCCUUUGGCCACCAGCCUUGCCUUGUACCUCCCAAUUGUACCAUCAGGCCUAAGCUUUUUCUUAAAGAUCCAUUUGCAGCCUAUAGGUUGACAGCCAUAGGGACGGUCAACGACCUCCCAUGUUCCGUUGGACAUAAUAGAUUCCAUCUCACUCCUUACUGCCUCCUUCCAUAAGUCGGCAUCAGGAGAGGAAUAUGCCUCAACAAUAGUAGUUGGCGUGUCUUCCACAAGGUACACUAUAAAGUCAUCAGGAUUUUGCAAUCCUUUGUCUCUUGCUCUUUCGAGUGACUAUAGUGUCAUCCUCCUCAGGGAUGUGCAUGUGAGUCUCCUCAGCAUGAUCUAUAGGAAUAGACAAUUCUUGCUCAUGGGGUAUUAUAGUCUCAUGACUUAUUUUACUAGGUGUAUUUUUCAUGGGAAACUCAUUCUCAAAAAAUGUAGCGUCUCUCGAUUCCAUGAUAGUAUCAACGUACAUAUCAGGCACAUCAGAUUUUAUAAUUAAGAACCUAUAUCCAACGCUGUGGAAAGCAUAACCAAGGAAAAUACAAUCAACAGUUUUAGGUCCUAAUUUACAAUUCUUGUUGAUUGGCACAUUCACCUUUGCCAAACAACCCCAAGUGCGUAAAUAUGAAAGAUUUAUUCUCUUCUUUUCCCAUUCCUCGAAUGGAGUGAUCUCUUUGUUUUUAGUAGGAACUCUGUUUAGGACAUGACACGCGGUCAAAAUUGCCUCACCCCACCAUUCCUUGGAUAAUCCCGCUGUAUUUAACAUGGCAUUCACCAACUCUGUUAAAGUGCGGUUUUUCCUUUCAGCAAUCCCAUUGGAUUGUGGUGAGAAUGGCAAUGUCCUCUUAUGAAUAAUAUCGUGAUCCACACAAAAUUCAUCGAAAUCAUUUGAGAAAUAUUCUCCACCUCUAUCAGACCUUAAAUGUUUUAUUUUCCUCUCUAGUUGGUUUUCAACUUCAGCUGUAUAGGUCUUAAAAUAAUGGAGCGCUUCAUCCUUUGUUUUUAAGAGAUACACAUAGCAAAAUCUAGUGGAGACAUCUAUAAAUGUGAUAAAGUAUCUUUUACCGCCUUUAGUCAAAAUACCAUUCAUUUCGCACAAAUCGGAAUGAAUAAGUUCUAGAGGUGCCAAGUUCCUCGCCCCAGCAGUCUUAUGAGGCUUCCGGGGUUGUUUUGAUUCAACGCAUACAUGGCACUUAGAUUUAUUGACCAAGUUAAAUUUAGGAAUUAAAUUCAGAUUUGCUAACCGCAUAAGACAACCAUAACUUGCAUGACAAAACCGUGAAUGCCAUAAAUCCGACUCAUCAGAAAUAUCAACAGAAUUCACUAGUUAUUACACACAUCAUGUAGAGAUAAGCGGAACAAACCUCUGCAAUCAUAUCCUUUACCAACAAAGGAUCCAUGUUUCGACACAACACAUUUGUUCGAUUCAAGGACAACUCUAUAACCAUCUCGACAUAGCAUAGAAGCACUAACAAAAUUUUUCUUGAUAGAGGGCACAUGUUGCACGCUCUUCAAUGGCACCGUCAUCCCCAAAGUAAACUUCAGAAUGACCGUACCAACACCAAGAACAUGAGCACGCGACCCAUUUCCGAUCAACAAGGCACCAGACCUCCCGACCUGGUAAGUAGCAAACAAGGAAACAUCAGCACACACUAUCCAUCCACCACUCAGGUGAAUUACAAACUGAAAGAACAUAUGGCAAAGAAUUACCAUACCCAUAUGUUCCUACAGUCUCAGUGGUAACAACAUUAGGUGAUUUUUCCCUUGGAAGAACUUGCGAUCAAGGCACUCACUUGCCCAGUGUUCCUCACUGCCACAAACAAAGCAGCCUCCCUUCUUCUUGUUAUUGUUGGUAGUUUUCUUGAAUUGAGUGGACUGAUUGGGCUUAUGGUUGUUCUCUUUCUUUUUCUAGAUUUUCUCCUUGUUAAACUUGUGGAAGUUCUUCUGCACCACAUUGGUAGUAGAAGGCCCAACACUUUUCCCAUUAUCCUUUGCUCUCGCCCUCUCCUCAACAUCAAGAGUACCAAUGAGUUCCUCAACAUUGAACUCUUGCCUCUUGUGUUUGAGAGAAGUAGCAAAUUCCUUCCAAGAAGGUGGUAACUUGGUGAUAAUACCGCCAGCCACAAACUUGUCAGGCAGGGGACAAGGGAAAAGUUCAAGUUCCUUAGCCAGUGCUUGAAUCUCAUGAGCUUGUUCCACUACAGAACGGUUCUCAACCAUCUUGUAGUCAUACAACUGCUCCAUAAGAUACAGCUCAGUACCAGUGUCAGUAACUCCAAACUUAGCCACAAGAGCAUCCCAUAACUCUUUCCCGCUUGGAAGAAUUAUGUAGCUUUUAUGGAAUUUUGGAACAAGUGCGCUAAUCACUGCACCUCGAAAGAGGUUGUCAUCAGCCUUAAACUUAGCCUCAUCCUCAGGGAGACAAGUUAGCAGGCUUGCCCUCAGCGGCAUGAUAACAUGACAUAGCAGUUAGCCACAAUUCCAUCUUAGCUUUCCAGAUCAAGAAGUUUUUACAAUCAGAAGGAUCAGGUUUCAACACGGCAGCAAAACCUCUGACAGAAAAAUGCCUAUAAUUAGGUUUUUGGAUUGUUAGAUUAUUAGGCAAUUUCCAUGUCAUUUUAAUUCCAUAAAUUAACAAUAUGAUGAUGACAUAUAUGAUAUUACUGAUAAAUAUAAAUAUGAUAUGAAUCAUAAUUAUGACAUGUAACCAUGAUCCAUAAAGCAUAUCAAAUAUCAAAGCAUAGCAUGUUAUAUAAUUAUCUGUAACAGCACCAAACAUGAUAUAACUAUCGAAACAGAUAAACAGAUGUACUGAAACAGAAAAAUAGAUACUAGCGAAACAACAGAACUGUAGAAUAGAGGCAUAUACGCAGAACUUAAACAUAACAGGAGCAGACAACAGAUAUCUUCUGAAACAACUAAACAGACCUACUGAAAUAGGUAUGACACAACUAUUGAACCUGUACGACAGAGCUACUGAAACAAACAGAAACAGAACGACGUAAAACUGAGGGAAGACGAACAGAUCAUACCCUGAGACUUGCGCAUUCAGAUUUCUAGAACUUUGUCCUUCCUCGAUCACCAUGGAGUAGAGACGAAGGUGAAGACGAUGAACCAAUCACCGGGAAGGAGAAUACGGCAACCGACAACACCAAGAGACCUCCGGGAAGAAGAUGAACAGCAGCAAUGGAGUUGGGCAGUCGCGUAGACGCUCCCCAAAAACCUAAUUGUCGAUCCCUCGUGCAAAGUCUCGAACGGCAAGGGCUCCGGAGGCACCUGCCCUCUCGAUCCUACGUGCGCGCGGAGUUACGAGAUGGGGAUUCCUAACGAACUGUGAUCCUGAGUAUUAUCUCCUAUCUCCACUAUAAUUGAAAACUUCUUGGACCGUUAGACCACACAAACUCACGCCCCAAUAAACUCAUCUCCACCGCAGCCCUCUAAUUCGGCCCACUAAUCUCUACCAUAACCAGAUCAGGUCAAUCACGGUUAAUCAAUCUACAUCUCAAGCUAACGACGACUGUCUGCUGCCGGAUCUGCCGGACCAGGAAUGACGGGAAGGGCAACAGCCUGCGUGCACGACGGGAGCGACGAGGGCGCUGAGGGGGUUCUACGGGACAAGGGGCAGUUCCUGUGCCUGGUGUGCGAGGGGAGCGGCGCCAGGGUGGGCAAGAGGUUUGCCGGUUGCGCCGCGCUUGUGCUGCACGCCGGGUCAAUCGCCCGGACCAAGACGAGGCUGGCGCACCGCGCGUUCGCCGACGCCGUCGGCCUCCUUGUCGGAUGGGGCGCAGGCCGGAUCGCUCCUCCGCCGGUAAGCAUCAUGUUCUCUCAUCGUGGUCCCGCGCUCAUGUGCCGGUCUGCCAGAUUGCUGAAUGAUUCGGUGUUUUGAUCUUCUGAAAUGCAGGCAGACACUGACAGCGAUGGCGCUUCUGAUCAAGUUGAUCACGUAGAAAUGGAGCUGUCGUGACUCCUGAUAACUGCAGUCUACGGCAACAAGCUUUUUGUUGUUUUUUCAUAACUACGCGGUUUUAGAGUGGAGACUGAUCGGGAUGGAAACAGUGUGUAGCAUGGUUCCAAGCGCAUUAACAAUCUACGGUUAAUCAAUCUAGGUCUCCCUUCCUCAAGCGCGGUAUUCUAAUCUAAAUGGUGGAAUGGUUUUUUUGAAUUAGAGUGUAUUUCAUUACUCUCCGAUCACAGCUGAAUCGCUGAAUCGCUGGACACAAAAUCUAAAAUAGGAAGAAGAAAAUUCUGUUGCCUUUAGGUUCAAAUGGUUCAAAUGGGUGAUGGGUGAUUUCUGAACUUAUAUACAUGUACAUCUAAAUGGUUGCUUAUUUCUGUAGUAAGUAACUAAUAAAAGUGUAUGUGAUCAUAGUAUGUCUCUGACUAAUCAUGCAACGUCUAAUGAUAAAAUUCAUGAAUGCCUUUUUAAAGUUCCUUUUUCUUCAUUCAGGAGGCUUCAAUGUCUACACCUAGAUAUACACGCGAUGCGCUAAGCGACAUCACCAACGUCACAGGUAUGCUUUUAAUAAUUGGGUGUUUUUUCUAAUUUUGUAAUCUAAUCCAAAUUGGGCCUUGUUUAGUUUCGAAAAGUGAAAAGUUUUCGAUACUGUAGCACUUUCGUUUGUUUGUGAUAAAUAUUAUCCAAUCAUGAACUAACUAAGAUCAAAAGAUUUGUCUCGUGAUUUACAGCUAAACUGUGUAAUUAAUUUUUGUUUUCGUCUAUAUUUAAUAUUUCAUGUAUGUAACACAAGAUUCGAUGUGACGGAGAAUCUUGAAAACUUUUUGGUUUUCAGGGUGAACUAAACAAGGCCUUGGUCAAAAUUCUUGCUAAAGAUAAGGCCUCGUCGACCUUGUAACAAAUAUUUCAGAUUUGUACGCCAAAUAAACAACUGAUCUUGUACAGAAACUUGGGAGGCUUUCUUGUAUACAAUUUUAUGAAGCUGUGGGAUGGUGUAAGAUUGCCGCCGAUAAAUAAUGUAAGCAGAUGCAGUCUCCAACUAUAUUUGCGUCAAUGAACGAUUAAAUAUUGACAAAAUAUUAUCUGUCAUUCACAGCUAUCAAGAUCACUAAGGACGGAGUUCUUGGCUGAAAUUUUGGUGAGUCGUGCAAACGAGUGCUACGACAACAUCCCUGAAGAUAUCCAAUAUUUGAUUAAAAAGUUAGAGAAAAUGUAAAGAUGUCUUUAUGUACUGAUGAUUUAUAAAUAUAUAUAGACUUAAAAACAAUUAACCAAAAUUAAAACUCUAAAAAAUUAAUAUAGUAUUCCCUAAAAAAAAACUGUGGCGUUAGCACGGGCAUUAUACUAGUUGUACCAAGGAGAUGAGUCUCCUAUUUAUCCUUGUGGCUAGAGAGGAGAGGAGGGGAAGGGACUCCCCAGCUGGCGGCUGAGGAGACGGGCAUCUGAAGGGUUUUCACGCGGAGUUAAAACUCUCUCAAUUAAUUAUCGAAACACCCGCAGAUAAUGAGUUGAAACUCCUACAUAAUUGAGUUGAAACUCCCGUACCAUCAGCCAGCCAGUCCAACCCUUGUAUUUACUCCUAUUUGGUACAAUAUAUAUAUUUUCCAUAAUUUACACACCAUAGAGUUUAUUGAUUUAUUAAAUCUAAAUGGGUCUAACCCAUAAUAAAUCCAACAGUUUUAUAGUAUAUAAUUAAUAUCGCUAGAUAGAUUGUUGACUUUAUUUAUAUAAAUAUUUUUCAAACUUGAGAAAAUAUAACGGGCACUAAUCCGACGAUCGAAGCUUAAAUAUGGACGUGAGUAUGUAUAGUGCCAGCUCUUGAACAGUCACAUCAUCUCCUCAAAAUAGCGGUUGAUAUUCAUACAGCUAGCUAUGCAGAAUACUCCACGUCACUGUUGUUUUAGUUACUUGCAACGAUGCAGAAGGAGCAGGGACUGGGACCCGCGCGGACGGCUGGAUGCUCAUGUUUGUGUGUGCAUGAUAGCUCAGCUCUAUGAUAGUGCAAUUAUUGAUAAGCCGAUCGACCAUAUACUUACAUACGACUGAGCCCCUGUUUAAUUAGUUCAUCAAUUUUUUUUGAAUUGGCAACUGUAGCAUUUUAUUUUAUUUGAUAAUUAGUGUUCAAUUAUAGACUAAAAAAUAUAUAUUCAAAAGAUUUGUCUCGUAAAUUACAUAUUAAUUACGUAAUUAAUUAUUUUUUAUUUAUAUUUAAUGCUCAAUGCGUAUGUCCAAAAAUUUAAUAUGAUAGGAUGAAAAAAAUUUAGAAACUAAAUAGGGCCUGAGUAAAUCCUCUGUAGUAUUGAUUAAUUACACGUGUAUACUCUUACUGCUGUUGUGAAGCGGCUUUACUACGAGUACGUAGUGUGUGUGCAGUGAAGUUCACAUUUUGGUAGUGUGUGUGCAGUGAAGUUCAAACUUAUGACUGGUAUAUUCAUUUAUCACAAUUUCACGGGGCAAAGUAUGGAUCUGUUGAUCCAGAAAUACCAGCAUACGUGCGCUACUACUAAACAAAACACACUAACCAUCUUUCUGUCCUGAAACGAUCGAUUCCUAGAAUUCAUGCCAGUCAUUUUUUUAAAUUUAACUAACUUUAUAGAAAAGAGCAUCAAUAUUUAUGACAUAAAAUAAGUAUUUUAUGAAAAUAUAUUCUAUAAUAAAUCUAAUGAUACUAAUUUGGUACUAUAAAUCUUAGUAUUUUUUUCUAGAAAUUCGAUCAAAAUUAAAAAAAUUUAACUUAAUACAAUUCUAGGAAUUAAUUCUCUGAUAACUUUUUACAUUUGAAAUGAUUUUAGAACUAAAAGCUUGAAUUUUAAAACAUAAAGAACUUCAAAUAGAAUUUAAAAUGAUUUUAAAUGAAAACGCCGUCGUCUACAAAGUUGUACUUCUCUUCGAGACAUACAACAUAGACACAAAGUUUGUCUCCAUCUAACUCUGUUUGAAAAGAGUUGUGAAUUUUAACAUGUCACACCUAUUUUCAGAGGUGGCUCUAGAUCCGGUUGUCUCUAUAAAUUAAGUUUCUAGAUGUGGCUCUAGAUUCAGUCACCUCAAUCAUACGUGGCAAUUUUAGAGGUAGCUUAAAAUACUAUCCAUCUCUAAAAAAUGGAUUUUCAAAGGUGGCUUGUUUUAGAAAACCAUUUUUAGAGACGAUUUUAGGUAGAGCCGUCUUUACUUAAAAAUGAAGGUGUUACAAUAAAUCAAUUAUAUAAUAGUAGUGAUAUCUAAGUGCAUAGCAAAUAUUAUUAUAUUAUAAAAUUCAGAUUAUCUUAUAGUUUAGAAUAUAAUAAGGAAUAAGGAUACAGUUGCCGUUAUUUUACGAAAAAAAAAAGAAAAAUAUGGGCAGCCCAUCUCUCCCUUUACGGGCCGUCAGACUGCUGCCAGGCCGCGCGGAUAGAAAUUUCGUUGCGUUUCGACUUCGCUGACAUCAUCGUUUCGAGAUCGAGUGGGCUAGCUGACACCAUGGGCUGUUGAACGAUGACCUCCCAGCCCAUCUGCAACCAUUGGGCUGACUCCCUCUAUCCACAAAUAAAUACGUAUCUCAUUUCUCGAAGAGUCAAACUAUUUUAAGUUUGACUAAAUAUAUAUAAAAAUAUACUAAUAUUUAUCAUGUAAUAUGUAUUAUUGAUUGAGCAUGAAAUAUACUUUUAUAAUAUACUUAUUUGCAGAUACAAAUAUUGAUAUUAUUUGAUAUGUUUAUAGUUAAACUUUAAAAAAAUUAACUUCUCUGGAAGCGAGACAUGUAUUUAUUUGUAGACGGGGGGAGUACAUCUCACAGUUGCCAUACCAAGCUUGUUUGUUGUGUUUAUUUUCUUUUGCACUGCAUGACAGUAUGAUUUAUUUUGGAAGUAAUUAAUCUAUCAUCUACACCUUUUUUUCCUCUAAAAAAAUAUACGCUCUACCUCUACAAGGUCAAUUCUAUAAAGAAAAUCUUUUUUUGUCAAAAAAAAAGAAAAUCCUUGCGAGGUGACAAUGUGUGUUUUUGAAAUGCUUGAAAGAAACUGUACUAUCCUUCCGUAAUGCAGUGCACUAAAAAAGUAAUACUUUGUAUUCAAAAUAACGCCAAAAGCUUUAGUAGAGGACUCUCACCCUAGCCCCAGAAAACUUCCUGAACCCCAUAUGCCCCGCCCACACAUAGGGGUUGUUAUCCGGUGAGAGGGUCGCCCACACACAAGGGUUGUUACCUAGUGAGAGAGUGAGUCCACGUACCUGUGCACCUGGUCACGGGGACACCCUCUAGAGGCUUGACCAACUGGCCUAGCAACUGGUGGCAUAAAGCCGGAACAUAGAGAAGCGUUAUUACUAGUUUGCUACGAUAAUUGGUUUCUUCAAAAGAAUUGCAUAAAGAUCUUUAAUUUUCUUCUAGAAUCUAGAAUGCAUGACCAAAAUAAAGAGCCUUGCCUGUGCGUUUGAACCUAGGCCUAGUACAUGUUAGGAAUGAUCGACACAUGUUAUUCUCUCCCUUGUAAACUAUAAGCCAACUUAGCUUCUCUAUAGGUAAAUAAAUAGUUUCAUUAUAAUAUAACAAAAACUAUAUUAUACUAAAUGCCAAAGCAACAUGUACGAAGUGAGUAGCCCAAUCGACCUGGUUACUUGAGCUGGGUUCGAAAGCAAAAUAGAAAAUUUUCAUUCAAAUGCCCAAGAGCCAAGUAAAGGCAAACGCAAUGCCACUUGAUAUAUGGAAGAAUCAUGAUAGCUCCAAAUAAAAUUCUCAGUUCCCAAAGAAAGAGCAAAGGCUAAACAACCAGAGAGUCAAAUAAGGCCUUGUUUACACUAGUACACAGAGGUACUAUACAGGCGGUUCUAAAUCUCUUUUUACAGGCGGUUUGGCGAACCGCCUGUGAUUGGUGGCCUGUGGAAAUAAAUUUUUCCACAGGCGGGUAACUGAGAACCGCCUAUGAAAAUGUAUUUCUACAGGCGGUUCAGUUAUGCCAACCGCCUGUAGAAAUAUUUUUUCAGAAAAUAUGAAAUCGGUUUUUAAAAAUAGGAAAAAAAACAUUUUAUUUCAAGGAAGGCUCACUGGUUAUUCGCAAGUCGCGUAUUUUUUCGCGUAAAAUCGCGUGCUACGCGGUCGGUGGGAUCGAACAUGAGACCUCACCCUCGCGCGUACCGUCCUCUACCACUCCACCUAUCACUCAGUUGUUGUUUGAAAUAGAGUUUAGUUCCCCACAUACUAUCAUAAACCAAGCAUAAAUUGAUUAUUUGAGGUCCUAAACGGAUUCAAAUGGAAAAGUCGUCAACUACAAAGUUUUACAACUUUUUAAGACCUACAACUUUUAUAUUGGUAGUUUCUUCAUCCGAGGUCAUUUACAAAAUUUGAAUUUCAAAUUUGAGAAAUUCAAACGUAGUUUUCGAUGACAAGAUGAUUUCAAAUGAAAAAAUUAUCAACUACAAAGUUUCAUAACUUUUCAAGAUCUACAACUUUCAUUUUGACGAUUUUCUCAAACGAGGUCAUUUGAAAAACUCAAAAAAUUCAAGUUCAAAUUAUUUGUACAGGCGGAUUUCUUAAGAAACCGCCUGUAGAAAUAUGAUUUUUACAGGCGGUUUCUUAAGAAAUCCGCCAGUAGAAAUACAUGAUUUCUACAGGCGGUUUUGUUAGAGAAACCGCCUGUAAAAAUUGAUUUUCACAGGCGGUUUUGUAGUCGGGUAAGCCAAUUUCUUUUCACAGGCGUUUUUUAAUUAAAACCGCCUGUAAAAAUUAUGUUCCACCGCUGGCUUUGAGCACUUUUGUACUAGUGUUAGUUCCGAUUUUUUUUUUAGUUUUGGAUAGUGUAGCACUUUUAUUUUUAUUUGUAAUUAUUGUUCAAUUACUCAAAAGAUUCAUCUCGCGAUUUACAGGUAAACUGUGUAAUUAGUUUUUGUUUUUAUCUAUAUUUAGUGCUUCAUACAUGUGUCGUAAGAUUUUAUGUGACAAAGAAUCUUGAAAAAUUUUUGGUUUUUGGAGUGAACUAAACAAAGCCUAAGAAAGAUAAGAGCUUCAGGCUCUCAAAAGCAACUUCAUGCAAUCCCAAAAACAUUAAAACCAUUUCAUCAAUUGUCAAUCGAUCAUCACAAAUUAAUGUACUAAGGUUAUCAUCAACUUGGUUUUCACGGUAGUGUGCAAUCUUUUCAAUUUUUAAUUGCCAAUGAUUUUCCAUGUUUCUGUUAAUUCCUUAGUUCCAAAAUAAAUCAACUUCUAACAAAUCUUAAAUAAAUUAUUAUAUCUAAACAUAGUAUAUAUCUAGAUACCCCAAAAAAGUCCAAAACAACUUGUAACUUAGAAUGGAGAGAUUAUAUUUAUUUGCUAGUAUAUCUGAUUACAAAUCUAUCCAUAUUGAGUUGUAUUAUAAUAAUUAAAAAAUGUUAGCUAAAUUAUUGGUAAAAGAUUUUUAAAGUUUUAAUGUUGAUAUGCGUGUGUGCCUUAGAGGAAUAUUGAGGGAAUAUAAGUUAAUCAAUAGAGACUCUUGAUACUAAGGAAAUCCAUCCUAGGAAUGUUGGACGUAUGCUCCCAUGUUAGGUUUUUUUCCCUGCCUAUAGGGUCAUUGUCAUCUGUGAAUCAGGAACUGCUAAUAUCAUGUUACUCGGAGGCACAAAGUACAGUUAAUCACAGAGAGCUGGUAGAAUGGAGGCCUGAGGCCUCGAUAGGCUAGGUGUACCAUUACCUACAUCCAUAGAGCGUUUGGUGCCAGCGCUAGGAUAACCACCCAAGUGCAGCACUGUAACAUAUAAGUACAUCCUACCAUUAUGGCCGCGUGUGCUAGUGUACAUACACAUGCAAAUAUUGGUAGCAAAAAGGAAUUCCCAAGAACAACUUUGCGUGUGUGUACAAGUACUAGCGUGAUUGGUACUCACUCCUCAAUUACAUUGUGAGUUGUUUUUUUCUAUGUCAUAACUUUUGCUAUAUAUCCUAUAUUUUGAAAAGCCAAAACAACUUACAAUUUAAAAUAUAUAGAGCGAGUAAAAUGUAGCAUGUAGAAAUAGAACAUUAGAACUACACUGGCGUCCUGAAAUUCAAUAUAUCUUCGAAAUUCUAGUAACAAUUUCUUAAGAUAUCAUUAUUAUCACCAUAUAUAUAUUUUACCUAGAAUCUCUUAUAAUUUACAAUAAAUAGAUUUCAGGGAUGGAGUAGCUCUCUCAAAAUGCUAGGAAAGAUGGGAUUGGCGAUCAUUGAUGAGAGAGUUGGUGGGUAAUGUUAUGUGUCAACGCCAUUAGAGUGGGUAGGGUGGUUGACACUUUUUUUUUUUGCAAAACACUCUUAUACAUGUACACAGACUCACCCUUAUAAACAUGCACACACAUCCCAUUCCUAUGAGCAUUUUUGAAACUAGGUUGGAUGGACAGAUAUCAAGAUUAAUAAAAUCUCUACAGACGCCUUGCUGCCGACCAAUAUCAUUUACCAAGAUUAUAUAUGCGUAUGUCACCUAUGACUGAAAGAACAAUGCCAUCAAAUUGAAGAUAAGUUCAGAAAAUGAAAUCACCCAUAUUAAAUUAAGAAAACGUGCGCUGCACGUGUCUCAUUAAACGAAGAUGUCAAAUUAAAGAACAAUACCAUCAAAUUUAGGAUAAGUUCAGAAAUGAAAUCACCCAUAUUAAAUUAAGAAAACGUGUGCUGCACGUGUCUCAUUAAAGGAAGAUGUCAAAUUAAGAACUUAAACCUAGAUAGUCAAGUUCCACGAAGAAAAUCUAACUAGCUAGCUAAGCUACACUCAAUUCUCAGGGUCGUUGAUACAAUGAUACUUGAUACUCGUUUCAUUUACGAUUUACGACACCCCCAAAAUCAGGUAGGAAGAUAGUUGGUUUUGUCAAGCUAAGUAUGCGGUUGCUAAAACUAGCCAGUAAUCUCAACCAAUGCAACCAGCUAGUUAAGGCUUUAGUUCAUGUGGCUAUAGGCUAACAACCGAUUUAAUUUGGUUGGCAACAACAUGCGUAUAAUCCUGAUCGGGUCCUCCGUUGAUAAAUGAUGGGCGCUAGCCUAGGAUUAAUUAAUUUGUUUACGCGUAACAUCAGGAACAGGCAUGUCUGGUCAACUAUAGUCUAGUCGUACGGGUGACAUACAUGGGUGCAAAUAAAUGAGAUUGCGUUGUAAUCAAUUAUAGAAUCUGUUUAAGUUAACCUAGCUUAAUUUUAACCAAAUUAAUAUACUCACUCCAUCCUAAAAUAUAAGGAAUCUCCGGUUUCCUAAAGAAUAUUGUUUUAGGCAGUGAUACGGUCUCCAACAAACAACUUAUUAUGCUUUUACGAAACUACAUUUCGAGAUGAACUUAUUUACAUCACUUUCUCCAUAUAUUCAAACUCAACUCAAAAGUUUAAAAUGUUUGAUUUAAGAUAAUCUCAAAACAACAUCUUUUAAAAAAAACUAGAGAGAGUAUAUAUUAGGUGUAAUACCCGAUUUUAAGGACAAAAUCAGAUACGCACCAUAUGUGAGUCUUAGAAGUCAAAUCUCACAUAUAGCUACAAAUAAGGGGCAAUAUCAAAAGACAAUGCACAAAUAUAUAACGUACUUAGUAUAAAAGAGAUAACCUUUAAAAGCAAACAGCGGAUAGACAACUCCAACUUCGGGUAUUAACUUCUCUCUACAGGAUCCAACUGACUGGUUGAUCACAAGCCUAAACUUCUCCUGAGGUUUGGGGGAAAUGGCAAGAGUGAGUCCAUGUCGAACUCCACAAGUAUAGCAACUAGAUUGUAUAGCUCCCACAAUCUCAUGAUCAAUGUGACAUAAAUAAUGUAAAGCAUUAAAUAAUAAAUAAUGAGCAUAUUUAACACACAGGAAUCAUCAUCGUCGCAGCAAGAAUCCCCAAGGCCGCUCCUGACCGUGAGCUCGGCUAGUAUACUAGUUUUUAACCCUCUGCAGAGGUUGCACAUCUUUACCCAUGAGUCAUGAUUUACCCUUUCGCCCGAGGUAGCUAAUCUCUUAACCCCCUUCCUAGGGAGGUCGGCAGGGAUCACUAUGAAGUCUUUCAAAGGUUUGUCUAACAAGUUAGGGCUGCUUGGUUUCAUCAGUCAGUCCGUGUGAUUCACCCGCAGGAAUCCACGGUCUGCUAUUCCCCAAUUGCGCCACAACGGGUAACCCCUAAUGAGCUAGAAAAGUUACUCAUACUUAACUAAAGCCAGAGCCAUUAUAGCCCUCAUGGUUGCACUGUUGUCCCGGUUAUCACUUACAGAUAAAUCAUCAAGUGGCUAAAAAGUCAUUUUUAUCAUUUGUUGCUUAAACAUUAAUCAAGUCACAAGAUCAUGGCCACAGAAAUAAAACCCAAAUGCUAUACUUGCCUUGAUCCAAAUGCUCUUGCUGAUCUUGCUAAAUGUCCAAAUACUGAUCUUGCUUGUUGUAGCACUCUUGAUCACCACAGAUUAUUCACCGUCUAAUCACGAUCAUCGAUCACACAAACAGUCGAAGAAAACAUACAUGAAACAAACAAGGCUACAAUUAGAACAGUACACCAAUCAUAUGAAAACAGUAUGAAAAGUUUGUAAAACGAUUCUACGCAUCGCUACGAUUUUAUAGACGUAAAGAUCACGAAAAUCGGGGUUGAAACGGAAAAGAUAUGGAUUUUCUAAGAUUUCAAAUAGAAAAGUAAUUAAUUAAUUAAAGUCACGAAAUUUAAAAGUUCCAAACUGAGUAAAUAAUUUUACUAACAUGUAGAGCUCAUUAUUACGAAUCCAACGCAAUUUGAAUGGAUCAAAACAGAAUUAAAACGAGUAUUUUAUGGUUAAAACAAUCUCGAUGGCAAAACUGUAAAUACUGAAAACGUAUUUUCGGAGUCAAUCUGGUUGGUUUCCGUUUUCUAAAAGAGAAAGCGUAUUUCUGAAAUCCUCUUUGGACUGCGGGUUUAUUCUUAAAAAGAGCAGGGACUCUUUAACAAAAAUACCCCCCGAAGGGGUAUCUUCUAAUCUGAGCCGUAGAUCGUGGUUUGAACGGCUAAGAGGGAUCCGGGCGCAUUCCGGCCGACCGGCUCACCGGAGCAGAGCACCAGCGCGGUGGCGCCAUUGGGGCACCUCGCCGGAGUUAACGAAUCGGCGAUAUAGAGCACCAAAAACGAAUCUGAGAACAUGGGGAGCAAGAGGGAAACAAGGGAAACUCACCCAGGGGGAAACGAGGGGCGCGCAAGGCUCGGGGACGGCCGGCGUCGUGAUUCGGCGGACAGGAAGCUCCUGCAAGUUUCGGCGAGACCGUGAACAUCCAGGAGAGCAUUAGGAAACACGGGGGAAAGCUGGUUGACUUCGUUACCCAAUUUCGGAGCUCGGCAGCAAAACAAUUUCGGCCGAACACUCGCGAAUUGCAAGAGCCACGGCGGCGGCGAGCUUAGCUCCCGGUGAGAUCCUGACUGAGGCUUACGGCGUCGGCUAGGGCUCCUUCCGUGGCUUGGAAAAAGAAAAACGGAGUAGAGAGGAAACCGCAGGGCUUUAGAAGAGUUGGGGCGAUCAAAUCCCGAAGGAAUCGGGAUUUCCUAAUGUGGAAGAUCGAGGCCGGCUCGGUCACGGUUGGGAGGAAGGAGAAGGGUGACAGGUGGGCCCAAGGUGGCAGCGAGAGAGGGAAAAGGGAGAAGUUGGACCCGGCUGGCUGACGCGCGGGGCCGAUCUGUCAGCCAGAGAAGAGAGGGGGAGGCGCGCGCUGCUGGGCCGAGUGGGAGGAAGUGGGCCGGGGCGCGGACUGCUGGGCCUUUCAGGCCGAAACAGAGAGAUGGGGAGGUUUUCUCUUUUUUUUUUCUUUUCCUUUACUCUAAAUCCAUUUUCAAAUCCAUUUUAAAAAUCACUUUGAAAUACUUUUAAACUUUAGUAAAACCACUCAGCACAAUAAAUCAAAAUGCAUAAGCAUGAGUGCACAAAAUGUUGCUACACUCUAUGAUUAAUUUUAAUUGAAUAUUAUUUUUCCUAUAUUUUGAUGAGCACAAAAUAUAAAAUUAAAUCAUUUUUCUCAUAUUUCAAAAGUUGUAAAUUUUUGGGUGUUACAUUAGGACGGAGGGAGUAGUAUAAAGAAUCGAGAGUAGGUACAAAGUAUUCUAGAGCACCCUCUCUCGUAACAAUCUUUUUUUGAGAGGAAAUAUUGAAACUAGCAUUAAGUAAGGAAAUUGAAUUACUCCCUCCAUCCUAACCAGCUAGUCGGGGAAGAUGGUCUUUGAUCAAGUUCCUUAUUUUAUCUGAAAAUUAUUAUAGAACUCCUUCUAUUCAAAAACAAAGGGAGUAGUAUACUGUGCUUUGCCCUGCUGGCGUGGAUUAGUUAAAGAUUGUUGAUUGGUACUGGACACUUGUGGACAGGGUAAUAAUAUUCAUAUUUACAAAAUGAUUAUUAUUUGGAGUAGUCAGGAUGUAUAUAUCUCUCGUACAAUAGAUCUAUAACUACGACUACACGAGAAGCAAUGGAAAGCAAAGCAAAGGAAGUGUGUCAUCAUGCAUGAUGAGAAACUGAACUACCUUAUCAGUGAAAACUAGUAACGGAUCUUUCUUUAAAAAAAAAACGAACUGUGGUUGCCAAACGGCCGAAUAGCCACGUGUACGUACGUCCGCCAGCGAGGCUAUUAUAAUACGGCCAGAGUAGUGAUGAUGGACGAUCUCUCCCUAGCUAUCGAUGCAACCAGGCCAACAAAAGCGCUUAAUUGAGAAUUAAUCAAUUAUUAAUUACAAUUGCAAGUAGCUUAGCUAGUAUAUAUAUAUGGCCGCCAACCACACAACCGGCAUGCAGCAGCUGUAAUGUAACCACUGUUUGGUGCACCGGCUCCUCCUCCUCUUGAGUCCUGCAUCUGCAUCUGCAUGCAUGCGCUAGCUGCCGCACCACGCGUAAUGUAUCAUCGUAUCCCCCGGCCCGUGACAAUUUUUUUUUCCUUCAUGCAUGGGCAUUGGCGGUUAACUAAGCUAGAGGUAUGGUCUUGUUUAGUUGUAAAUUUUUUAACAAAAUUGACACUACAGUAUUUCCGUUUAUAUUUGACAGAAGAUUCGUCUAACAAAUUAUACUAUACAAUUAGUUAUUUUUAAUGCUCGUAAGAUUUGAUGUGACGAGAAAUCUUAAAUAUUUUAUAAAAUUUUUCAGAAAGUAAACAAUGACUUAUUUAUCGGGAUCCAUGGACUAGCUGUCUGUUUGUCGCAUGGACGCUCGCUGUCUGGAUUAUAUUUGGUUAUUAAUCGAGAAAUUUGAAUUAGCAGUGGGGUUGGGGAGUUGGACUGUAUGUAUUAAUCGGGUUGUUACGUUUGGCUGUGGUUGCUGGUGAUCCAAUGAAAGCCUGUUUGCUUAAGUUUAUUUGCUCAAUCUAUCAGUUAUUUAACAAUACAUUUUUCUUCUUAUGAUAAAUCAACUACUAAUACUUUUAGCUAUAACUACAAGUAAACAUAAACAUACUCACAAACCGCCGGCUGCCGCGCCGGUGCGCUCUCCGCUAUCGCCGGAGGUGAUGACGCCGGCGAUACGCCCGCGGGGUCGUCCAUCGCUUGUCACGGGGCACCCAGUGAAUAAUAAUUUAUGUAAUAGAAUGUAUAUAAUAAUAUAAAUUAAAACGUGCGUGCUACUGUUCCAACUGCCGCUUUCUGCUGGCCUCUUCCUUGCUUCAAGCCACUCCUAGCUAUAGCUCUCGCUCCCUGCGAUUCCUUUUUCGUCCGUGUCUAAUCGCAGAGAAUUAUUAAGCCUCAGCAACCAAACAACAAAUUAAGGGCCGGGGUUAUAGUAGUACUAAAUAAGAUUGUGAUCCAACUGCACCACAGAGAGAGGAUUAAUUCUAGUAUUCCUCUUCGUAUUGGAGGGUACUCCUCCUACAACAGAGCCGGCGGGGGAGCAUUGGUUGUCAACUUGUUUUGAGGGAUAUUUGGUUUGGGUGUGGAGCUAAAUGUUAUCAGCACGAACUAAACGGGGCCUUAGUUUAAUCCCUGAUGAACGGUGGCAGAGGCUGCAGAAAAGUUAAGAUCCAAAUUUUUUUUUUGGAUUUUGACAUUGUAGCACUUUCAUUUUUAUUUGAUAAACAUUGUGCAAUCAUUGAGUAAUUAGGCUUAUAAGAUUCGUCUUGUGGUUUAUAGACAAACUGUGCAAUUAGUUUUUAUUUUUAUCUAUAUUUAAUACUUUAUGCAUGUGCCGCCAGAUUCGAUAUGACGGUGAAUUUUGAAAAAGUUUUUUUUUUUUUGUUUUUGAGUGCCUUUUGUUUGCACCAAAAGCAGAGCCGAGUGAGUAUUACAAGGCAGGCAGGCAGGCAGGCAUGCGCGAAUCAUGAGGGCUGAUUAAUGGGUAUGUGUAGGCGCGGCAACGGUAGGAAAUUUUGAGCAGUGAGAUUAUAUAUGAUAGCAGAUUACCGGGCCGGGCGGCCAUGGGACUACUAAUCUACACGAAAAGCUCAAGCUUUCGCCGCUUUCGAGCAACGAAAGCCAAGCCAGGAGUACGUGUAGAUGAUGACGUGGCUGAUGGUAGAGCCAUAAAAAAUUUAUAUGCCGUUGCGCACAAAAGCUGCAAGGCCGGGCAACUUUGCUUCCCGCUUUCCCCGUACACCCCAUCUUUAUUAUUAUCACUACAGUGUUAAUUAUUAUCAGCCGUUGAGCACGCCACGGCCCAACCUCGCUCCGUUCACCGGCCAACUCGACUCAUUCAGUACUGCAGACAUGUUUGAAAAUUGAAAUAAGUACAUGAAUUUCACAGAAACCGUCCAAAUAUUCAACAUGGUUGAUGGACUCAAAAUAUCAAGCAUGCAUGCAUGCCGAUUUGGUUGGGGGACAAAAGUUGAUAUUGUUUGUUUUGACGCAACUAUUGCAUCGUCUUCUCAUUGCCGUACAAAUUAAUGAUUCUACUGCCAUUUCACAUUCACUCAUGGGAAGCAUAUAUAGGUACAGUGCCAAGGUGGCUUUGGUUUUAUGAGGUAGUAGUAUUAAACUUUAUGCCAGGAUGCUUGCAACCUUAGUUCAGCUGGAUGAUUUGGUGAUCUGGUCUUACAAAAAAUAGCAUUGCUCCAAAACAUUGUGAAUGAAUUACCUCCAUAGUAAAACUAGAGUACUUUAAAAAAACUAAAAAAAAAUCAUAUGUUAAGGGAUUAUUGACCAACUCUCCGUGCAACACUAACAUCGGGUUUAUCUACGUAACAUAACAAUGUCUUGUUCUAGAAGUUAACAAUAUAAAACCACCCGGAGGUAGAAUCUAAGUUGCAAGGUUCAGUUAAUUAGUUACGUACUCCCAUGCACACUAUGAUUUCCUUGAGGGUAUCUACCUUGUUCCUCAUAAACAUCACUUCUUUUUAUUAUUUCAUACGAAAAGCAUAAAUGUUCAAGAGUCAAAAAAUCAUGUAGAGUGUUUUUUAUUACAUUAAUUUUUAAAUAUAGUAACACUUUACUUGGAAUCAACGACAAGAAAGAUAAAAAAAAUUAGUAUUUAGUGUAAUCCUAGCCCCAUGAUGAGGGAUAUGUAAUCGAGGCAAGAUAAUUUACUAAUGACAUAUCAAGUUGCGUCAUCUAAACUUAAUAUAAAAGUUCUAAGAUGUCACUCUAUGGCGCUAUGCCACAUUGGAUACAUUUGAUUAUGAGCUUAAGGACACUAAAAUAUAAGAUAGGUAGUAGUUUAUUUCUUUCUUAAAAUUCCAAACAGUGAGAAAUAUGUCUUUUUCUCAUCUGUCUCAAACAAAUUCCACUAACUACAACCACCAAAUUCUAUAGUCAGACUGACAUCUCAUUGAACAUAACUUUUAUUUGCAACUAAUAUUUUUUAGGGUAUGAACAAUAAACUAAAUAAUCAUUACAAUUUGGACAAUGAUGAGUCCAACACAAGAAUAUAGUACAAUUCCAACAUACAAGAACAAUUGCAAUCAUCAUCAUUCACACGCAUGUACACAAACCUUUGGGUACAGUUGGCGAUGCCACCUAGCAAAAACCGCCACAUAAACAAAACUGAGUAGCUCGCACCUACAUAACGUGCUCCCCUUCCGCUUCCUCCGACCGAUACGCCAACCCGAUGCCGACGACGACGAGCUCGUCGACGGCGGCGGCAGCGCAGCAGCGCCGCCGGAGUCGCCGCAAGGCGCCCCCGCCACGCCAGCCCUGGUGCUGCUCCUUCGGCCUCGACCCCUCCACGGCCGCCGCCACCGCGGCAGGCGGCGGCCGGAGCCUCCUCCCCGCGCCGCCGCGAGCCAAGCCGCCGCCGCAACAGCUCGCGCCGCCGCUCUCCCGCCGCAUCCGCUCCCCGGGACGCGUAUCCCCCAUCGACGACCUGACCUUGCCUGGCUCCGCGGGUUCGUCUGUUUCCGCGCGGCUGUCGUCCGUCACCGAAUGCCCGCCUCUGCCUCCACCGCCGCCGCCGGUGGCGGCGGCCGCUGUGGAGAAUCCGAGGGAAAUUCUGAAGCUAAGGUUGGUCGAUAAAGGCGUGAUCUUGGAGGUGGAUGAGUUGGGGAGGGUGCGCAGGGAGAGCAAGGUGGUGGGGAAGGUUCUUGGGGAACGAGGCGGCGAGGUGACGGUGGAAGGAAUGGUGGAGGUGGAGGCCUUCAGGGAGGCGGUGGACAUGAUGCUGGAAGACGAAGACGAGGCUGCUGCGAUGAGGCGGCUCGGGCGUGGUGGUGUCGCGCGAGCCAUCGACGUGCUCGAGGUGAGCUCUUUAUUGUCACACUGCUACUGUUGGUUGAUUUGUGCGCAAAUUUCAAUCUUUAUUUAUAUUUACGGUUGUCGCUUAUAGUUAUUAUAUGUUGUAUUCAUGGGUUGCACAUCUUGCCAUCUUGGGGAAGAUUGCAACUUUUAUUGGUGGUGUUCUUCUAGUGUAGUGGAGACUGGAGAGUGCUAAUUUUAGAAUCUGGUAAAUAUUAAUGUUGAGAGGUUUGGUUAUUGCCUUGUUGGUGGUCAAAUUGGCAUAGUAGAGAAAUACCAGUUUUUGGUAUCCUUGAAUUUGGAGGGGAUACCAUUUCUGGUGUCUGCAAAUUUGGUUAUGGGACCAUGUUGUUGGGUCAUCAUUACAUCAUAUUUUGCUGAGUGUCUAAAGCAUGGAUGCUGAAAUUUUGAAAUUUUAAAUUGUUUUGGCUCUGUUAUUUUGCCUGACUUUUCUCAUUGGGAACAUCUUCAACUUACAAACAGUAAAGCGUCUAUAUUUUAAUUAUUUUGAAUUAUUAUAACUCUUUUUUUUUCUUGCUGCAAAAAAUUCAGUCUGUUUUCAUGCCAUUGUUUUUGUAAUAUUUUACCUUUCUUUCAUCUUAUCAGUUUUAGAAUUUUGAAGUUCAAAACUUCUAGCUUUAUCUUGUACUUGCCUUUACACCUAUAGAUGUAUACUGAAUCUUUGAAUUUUGUUAUAUGUGAUUAGUGCUGUUGAUUGUGCACUUUUUAGUGUUUGCUGCUUGGUAUAUUGAAGCGAAUCUCUUUCAUUGUAGAUGCAGAACUAAUAUCAUUAAUGUGGUGACAAAGGGAUCUUGCUAAACUUUUUAAUAUUUGGAUGUCUCAUGUACUAGAACAUGGUACUCUUUGAGUUAUUGAGAAUAAAUGCAGACCAGUCUAGAGAAAUGCUCCUCUUAUUUGACAAAUUAAAGCUCUUAAUUAUGUUUCUUAGGCUCUUAUCUAGAAGUAGUAGUUAAUUUGGUUGUUGCCUGAAAUGGUACAGAAGGUUGACCGUCAGUUAAUUGAGGCUGUGCAGUAAGAUAAGUAUUUUGCUCUUCACUCUGGAAAGUAACUUUGAGGGAACUGUAAACCGAAGCAAGUUUGAGGGAGUUACAUCCUUGCUUCCACUUGCACCGGUGUCGAGUUUAAUUUUGUACACUUAGGCAAUUAUAUGCAUUAAGCAAACUCCUAACUAUUGUGUAGAUUUAAGUUUGUGUAGCCUGCUGAAUUGACUAAGUUUCCACCAUCUUCCAUUCAUGUCUUAAUUUUAAUACAGAGCUCACUGAUGUUUAGUGAAUUGCUAAGAUUGCAGUUGAAAUGACUGCUUCAUUCUAAGACAGCCAUCUGAUUUGAUAAUCGAUACCUUUUAUGAUCUGUCCCUGAGAACACAAGAACUAAUAUCAAUUUUGUUGUUAGAAAUUGACUUCUUCACAAAGGCCUUGUUUAGUUCACCCUGAAAACCAAAAAGUUUUCAAGAUUCCCCAUCACAUCGAAUCUUGUGGUACAUGCAUGAAACAUUAAAUAUAGACGAAAACAAAAACUAAUUACACAGUUUAGCUGUAAAUUACGAGACGAAUCUUUUGAUCCUAGUUAGUCUAUAAUUGAAUAAUAUUUAUCACAAACAAACGAAAGUGCUACAGUACCGAAAAAUUUUCAUUUUCGGAACUAAACAAGGCCAAACUAAGAAAUCCCAUCAGUGUGACACUGAUUUGUACACCUUCUCUAGACACAUGCCUACCUAAUUAUGCUUUUGCCUUUUUAGGAAUAUGACUGUAGAACUAUUUCCUUGAGUUUGGUAGUUUCACAAAUCAAAGACAAGAUAAUAGCAACUUUAGCAAGUCCUAUUUUGCAAUCUGGUACAGUUUGCUUUUUUUUUUUUCUCAGACAUGCAAGAGGGUUGUGUAUCAUUUCAUUAAGAGAGAAGACAGUUCACUAUUUUUUUCUCAAACACGCAAGAGGGUUGUGUAUCAUUUCAUUAAGAGAGAAGACAAUUCGCUAUUUCAAGCUACUAUUCUUAAGUGUAAAAUCCGGUGCUUCCAAGUAACAAAAGGAACCUGUCUGCCUCAUCUUGUAGGUGUAGGGCGUGUUUGGUUCCCACCCUAGAAACACGCCUGGUCCAGACAUCAACUCCAGCCAUUCGAUUUUGAAUGCCUAGGGUUGGAUGUGGCUGCCUGGUGGAGGUCCCUAGGCGAGGGCUCGAACCAAACAUGCCCGUAAUCUUCACUAAUGUAUGAUGGCAACAGUAUACUAAGAAGUAUUGCUGUGAAAAGCUACCUAUCAUGCUGUUGGCUUGCAACAGCAAUCAUGCUGCCCAUAAAUCGACUUUAACAUUUCCAUAUGAUCUUUGAGGGGGAUAAUGACCCACUUUAUUAUAUUGGAAAUCAGGAAAUGUAGACUACUGAAUGCAGAUUCUUUGAAGUGUACUUCUAUACAAGAGAAGUUUGUGUCAUUAUCACAUUCAUUUUACCCAUUUUAUAUGUCUGUUAAUUUGUCUAAAAAUGUGUAUUAGUUUAUGCUUACAUUAUUCUCAACACAUUUCACUUAAUUCCUAAACAAAUUUCUCAGGUAUCCUUGUCACUUAUGUUUGACAGAGGAGUUAACAAUUGUCUAAGGUAUCUGGAUGCUGUUCCGUGGAAUGAAUCUGAAGAGGAGGCAAUUAAGAAACUGGUGUACCAGCAUUCUUCGUACAAGGCAGCUUUCAGAGAUUUGCUGGCAAGGUUACAGCCAGAAAGCCCUGCCUCGUCUGCAGAACUGGUAGUUGAACUAGCCGAUUCCAUCACAAAGGGGACCAACAACAAUGCUCGGAAAGAGCUGCGGAAUUUAGUCAAUGGGAUCUUAUCAAAAUCAUCCGUCUACAUAAAGGGUGAUAAAGAGCUGGACAGCAGGAGCAUUUACUGUAUCUGCCAUUCUUGCCUGAACUCCCUGGUGGUAUUAUUCGAAGAAUCUUCGGAGUUGGCCCAUGCUGAUCAAACAUCACUAUCGUCAAUUGGAAGAAAAGGACCACUUGAGAGGAUCUACAAGCUAGUCGAGGACAUCAACUGGUUGCUGCAGAUUCUAAUAGACAGGCAAAUGGGAGAGGAAUUCAUCGACCUAUGGGCAGACCAAAAGACCCUCAGCAGCAUGCACGAACAACGGGUGUCCCCGAUGGUACGCCACGAGCUCAGCCGGAUCUCAGCCACGGUGUUCAUCGCCAUGGGGAGCGGCAAGCUCCACUGUACCGGAGACAGGAGGUUCGCCGUCUUCCAGGCCUGGUUCAGGCCAAUGCUGGUGGAUUUCAGUUGGCUCCGGAGAUACCCGAAGGGCCUCAACAUGACGGCCCUGGAGGAAGGGAUCGGUCAGGCGCUGCUGACGCUCACGCUGAAGCAGCAGCAGGCGCUGUUCUUGCAGUGGUUUGAGGCUUUCAGUGGUCAAGGCCGGGAAUGCCCUGACCUUAUCAGAGCCUUCCAGGUCUGGUGGCGCCGGUCGUUCGUGAGAUCCUUAGGUAGUAAUGGGUGAGUGGCCUUUCAUUAAGAAAAAAUAGUUUAGUAGGGUUCGAUUCUUUGCAACUCGUCAACUGAAUGUGCGCAUGGGUAUGUGCUUGUUUUUGUUUAUGCUGUGUGAUGGUAUUAUGAUAUAGCUGGUGUGCCAGAUUCCCCUGACGAAGGCAGAAGGCUGGCUGAUCUGUAUGGUUUGCAAAUUGUUUAGGUCUCUAGAGAUGUAAGAAAACAUUCUUCAGUUCAGUUUCUCCGUGUGGAGCUGAAGGUAUAUACAGAUAUCUGCUGUGGCAGUUGAGAAGCUGCACUGAUGAAUGGUGUUUAAUAAAAAUCAAUGUGACGAGAAGCAGUGGUCCAAUGCAAUGGUGAAGAUUGGUGGGAGCUCACUGGAGGAGAUGACGGGUGGUGCCCUGAGAGUUCUACAUGCAGGAGCCAGGAGAACCAGCAGAGCUUUUCUGUCUUGGGGCCCAACUAGGCUUCUGAAAAGUAUCAGCUGUAUCCAUUUGCAUCAUGUCUCGGGGGUGUAUAGUUCGUUCAAAUUUGUUUUGGUUUUGGUUCAUCAUUUUGCAAAAUGAAACUAAAUACAAUGUAAUUUUUUUGUCAAAAAGUGGUUAUUUUUCAUUUUAGAUUUUAGCCUCAAGAGACUAACCCCCCCACCCCCCACCACCACCACCAAAAAAAAAAAGCCUCGAGAUGCCUUCAUGAAGGCAACAAAUCUGCAUUUUUGAUAAGCAUAACCUUGAAAAUUUUAGCAUUUUAUAUUCCAUUAUUCUAAAGUAGUUGUCAUUUUGCAUUUUUUUUAACUAAACACACCUAUAGUAGUCUACUGUUGCCUGUUUUUUCGCUGGAUUGGAAUCGGAAUCUCUUACGACGACUAGUAGCACUGAAACCGAAUUGCUCUUUGCCGAGGCGGCUAGGUUAUAUUUAUAUAUGCAGUUAGGCUUUGUUUAGUUUAUCUCGAAAUCCAAAAAGUUUUCAAGAUUUCCUGUCACAUCGAAUCUUGCGGCACAUGCAUGAAGCACUAAAUAUAGACGAAAACAAAAACUAAUCACACAGUUUGCCUGUAAAUCACGAGAUGAAUCUUUUGAUCCUAGUUAGUCUAUGAUUAGAAAAUAUUUACCACAAACAAACGAAAAUGCUACAGUAGCGAAAUCCAAAAAAAUUUCACAUCUAAACGAGGCCUAUGCACCUCACGUGCUCCACUAAAAAUUGAGAGUGUAUCCAUGGGUUGCAAGAACGGCAAUGCACAUGCGUUCUGUAGGCCAGCCUGCCUGCCAGUGCAGUAUUUUUUUUUUCGUUCUUGAAGAAAGGCAUAAUUGUUUCUAGCCUGGUUUCUCAGGGCCUUAUUAGUUCCUACCUUGAUGGAAUUGGCAAGCAUUCAUUUGAGCUUAUCAGUCUAAUUUAGGCCUUGUUUAGUUCACCUAAAAACUAAAAACUUUUCAAGAUUUCCCGUCAAAUCGAAUCUUACAGUAUAUGCAUAGAGCAUUAAAUAUAGAUAAAAACAAAAACUAAUUACACAGUUUUCCAUGAUUAGAUAAUGUUUGUCAAAUAAAAAUAUAAGUGCUACAGUAGCCUAAUCCAAAAAUGUUUUUGAACUAAACAAGGCCUUAGCUAUUAUUCAGUGGUCUUUUUUUCAUAAUAAAUCAACAAAUAGUGCGUGCUGCUAUUUUUUUUAGCCAAACGAACACGGCGUGUAUGGCGGCAGGUUGUUUUUGUUUUUCAUUUAGGAUUUGAGGAUUCUUUUCUUUGGGUGGGGAGGGGGGUGGCUGGCCAGGUGUGCAUGCCUCAGUAUGGUCAUGAGUUGCGAGUGGGCCAGGAACCUAUUUAUUAUGGCUAUAGUAUGAGUUGGAAUGUCAUCAUCAGUCAUCACUCAUCACCCAUGAAAAGCAUCCAACCACUGGGACUGGGCACGUGUCCACUGGCCACAACUGCCAUAUUGCUAUUGCCAACCCUGUGGCCACCGCUCUGCUUCUUGGCAAUAUAUUUGUAAUAAGCCAUAUUUUUUUAAAGUCAUACUAUUUAUCUCAUAAUAAAUCAACAAAUAGUACUUUUAAUCAUGGCUUUUUAGAUAAGCAAAUAAACUUAGCUUAAAAAAUGAAGUUAAAAAAAUAUUUAUAUAGAUAUUGUUGGUCAGUAAAGUUAAAAAGACGAACUUAUAAAACGCUUGCAUUUACAAUCGGAUGAAGUUGCAUGAUGUCUCUACAUUACUACAUUGGAUUCAUAAUUAAAAAAGGUAAUUAAAGUUUGAGGCGUUAACUAAUGUUUUCCUAAACGGUAAAUAAUUGGCCACUUGCCAUUUAGUUAUUAUUUGGACUAAACAGUCCACUAAACAGGCUAAACAUAUGACUAAACGGAAACAGUGUACCAAUGUGUAGCGUUUAGCGUUUAAAUGGUCUAAACGGCCGUCUAGGUGAACAGUGGCUUUGACAAUUGAGAAAAUAUUUAUCGCAAAGAAACUUAGGAUGCUUGUCUAUGCACAUAUAUAUACAUAGAUCCCCGCACAGAAUAUCUUGACAUAGAACCAACCACCGGCUCCGUGUUUGUUAUACUCAAAUCGUGUUUACAAUUUUCCGUCACAUCGAAUUUUACGACACAUAUAUGAAGUAUUAAAUAUAGAUAAAAAAAUAACUAAUCAUACAGUUCACCUGUAAUUUGCGAGAUGAAUUUUUUGAGCAUAUUUAAUCCAUGGUUGGACAACAAUUGUCAAAUACAAAUGAAAGUACUAAAGUAGCACUUUGCAAAAAUUUUCACCAACUAAACAAGGCCUUAGUUCCUAAAAAUUUGUCUUAUUUAUAAAACAAAAAUAAAACGAAAAUACUAUACUAACCAAAUCCAAAAAUUUUGGUGAACUAAAAAAAGGCCUAAACAUAUGGAAGUAGACACGGGAUGUAGUAACUGUAACUAAAGUUGUAUUCUGCAUUUGACAAAACCCAGCUAGUCAAUAGGACUUCAUCUGGGAUCGAUGUUGAUGACAUGACAUCAUACAUAUAAACUUGACUUGACAGUGGACUCGGCUCUUUUUCCCCCUAUACGGUUAUCGGCCAGGUAAUCUUGUCCUUUGGUCCUUCUGAUUACUCCCUCAUCUCAAAAUAAGUGCCACUAUAAUAUUUGUGCUGGUUAAUUUUUAUUAUAAAAAUAUAUUUAGUGCUCUAUCUAAUAAUACUAAUUAUAUAUUAUCUUCAUCCCAAAUUAUAAGUCAUUUCAAAUUUCAAGAAUCUUAAAAGUUAAAACAUCUCAAGUUUGACUAAAAUUAUAAAAAGAACUGUAAAAAUUUAUGACAUCAAAUAGAUAUACUAUGAAAGUAUAAUUAAUAAAGAACCUAAUGGUACUUAGUUGGUACCAUAAAUAUUAUUAUUUUAUCAUAUAAAUUUGAUCAAACUUAAGAUGCUUUGACUCUCUAAGAUUCUUACAAUGACUUAUAAUUUAAAAUAGAGGGAGUACUUUAAAUAUUAAUAUUUAGUCAAAAUUGAAAGGUUCUAACUCCUCAGAAAUGAGAACGACACUUAUUUUAAAACGAAUAGAGUAAGCCUCGCUGUCCUUGUGUAACGGGCUACUAUUUAUACUGGCAUAAAUAAAAAGAAAGAAAACCUGGUUGCGUUACCAUAUUUAUAUGAAAAAGUUGACAACAUUACUUAGCAUGGCGUCCAUACCAUUUCUUUUUUUAUUUUAUCUAUACCAUUUCUUUGUAGUUUAUUUAUAUAAUAAGCCUCUACUAGGGUCUAGAGGUAUCUAUUUUUUUUUGAUAGAACACCGGGGGUGAGCGCCGCACCUGAAUAAUUCCAUUGAUCCCGGUAAACCGGUGAUGGAGGGUGCUAAGCACCAAAACGACACAUGGCCAAGUUUUUACAAUCACCCCAUGAUUGGGCACGAGGAGGGUUAAGGUGGGGGAGAGAAGAGGUUACACCAUUGAUGGAGGAUCCAUCUAUCAUCUACUUUUAGUCUAUGCACCCAGAGCUUACAAGCCUCUUGACAGGCGGAGAGGAGGCGUCGACGGCAGGGACGUAGCCCUCUAAAGACCACGUCAUGCCAGUGCAACCACAGCUGCCAGCAGCAGAGAAGAAGUAUUGUGGAGCGAAGCUUCGAGGGCGCUGUCGUCGGGAGCUCCAACUCAAGCAGACAAUCCACCGUGGGGGAGUUCGGGAGCCGGAAUCCCAAGGAUUCCCAGAACUCAUAGGCAAAGGGGCACCCGAGGAGCAAAUGGUCGCCUGUCUCCGAAGCAACAUGACAGAGCUCACAGGUGUCACUAUUGAUGAUGUGCUUCUUCAGAAGAUUAGCCCGGCAUUAAAGCCUACUGAGCAUGAGCAGCCACCCAAAGAACUUCACCCGCGGGGGCGCGUAGUUUCGCCAGACAAAAUUGUAGAAGGGGCAGGUGGAACCGGAGGAGGUGGUGGCUCUGUAAACCAUAGCUGUGUGAAGUUUAUUGUCAUCUGCGAACUUACAGACUCUUCGAUCUGGCUCUUCACUCAAGACGGUGGCGUCGAGGAGGGGAGCAAGCACCCAUCUCUCUUCCGCUGCUGCCGCUGAUAGUCUGGGUUGUAGGGAGGAGUCCAGCCCCGAAGACAGCACUGCCGCAACAGAGAUAUGUGGCUCAGUCGCAUGACUGAAGAGGGCUGGGUAGCAUUGGGCGAGGGGAGCGUCAUCAGCCCAGUUGUCGAGCCAGAAAGCCACCGAUGAACCAUCUCCUACCAAACAGGAGUAUAUCCUAAACAUUACUAGCUAUUUAUUUCACGUGCAAGCUCUAUACAUAGGAUGGAGAAGUUGCAUGCUGUCUCUACAUUGCCACGAUUUCUAAUAAAAAAUAGUAAGAGGCUUGAACAAUUGAAAAUGUCGUAUUAAUCACAAAGAAUGUAUGUAGGAGUAGUGUCUUCCCACACACACACACCACCACACAUGUAUACAUAGAUCCCCCCACGGAAUAUCUCAAUGUAGAACCAACCCCCUUGGCUCGUGUUUGUUAUAUAUGGAAGUAGACAUGAGAUGUUGCUUGGAACUAAAGUUGUAUUAGGCCUUGUUUAGUUCCCUAAACAUUUUGUAAAAUUUUUCAGAUUCUCCGUCACAUCAAAUCUUUAGACGUAUGCAUGGGGUAUUAAAUACAGAUGAAAAUAAAAACUAAUUGCACAGUUUGGUCAGAAUUGACGAGAUAAAUCUUUUAAGCCUAGUUAGUCUAUAAUUGGACAAUAUUUGUCAAAUACAAACGAAAGUGCUACUAUUCCUAUUUUGCAAAAAAAAUUUAGAGUAAACAAGGCCUUGACAAAAAACCAGCGAGUCAAAGACAAGGACUUUAUCUGAGAGCUUGUUGGCUAUGAGAGGAUAUAUAAACUUGACUUGACAGUGGGCCAACUGUAACGGGUUGUUGUUUCUGCGCAAGACCGGGCUUUUCUUUUCUACAGUUAUUAUCGGCCAGGUAAAUCUUGUCCUUCAGUCCUUGUACUUAUACUUCCCUUCCAGUAAGUAUUAACGCUAGCCUUCGUUGUCCUUGUGUAAUGGGCUGCUUCUUCCCCGUGUUGUACUGGCAUGAAAAAGAAUGAAAAAAAUGGUUGUGUUACCAUAUUUAUACGAAAAGGUUGACAACGUAACUUAGCAUCGUGGCCAUACCAUUUCUUUUUAUAUUUUAUCAAUACCAUUUCUUUUUAUUUUAUCUCUAAGAGCAUCAGCAGUGUAUACAAUCAGCCCUGAUUCUAUAUGGUGAUGUUACUUCGCCUGUUCAGUAGAUGAAAAUAUGCCACAACGUAUAGAACCAUGCCUAACUCUAUACAUGGGCCACAUCCUCAAAAAUACAUAGUUCUGCCCAAUUGCUUUUUCCUUCUCCCACCCAACAUCCCGCAAAUCAACCACACAUCGCCCGAACUUCCUUUCGUCUCUUUCUUCUUCGCACCGACUGUGGCACCUUCUCUUUCCUCACAUGGUUAGGCUUCGGCGCCUCCCUGGUGCCUUCUCCUCCCUCCUCCACCAACUUUCUCUUCGUCAGAUCUGAUGCGGCUCGGCACCCACCGUUGUCGCCUUAUUGUCCAUCACUUGGAGCUCGCCACUGCCACCAAGGGGUCCUUCGUCUUUGGCACCACAGGCUCCUUUGCCCAGAUCUAGGGAUCGACGACGCAAGGAUGGCUUCUUCUCUAUCGACGGGAGUGUCAACGACAGGAAAGAGAGAUAUAAAGAGAGAGCGAUUUCUUUUUUCGCUCGGGGCCAAUUCGAUAGUAAGGAGCAGCUCCUUCACAAAGUUGGCCUCGCAGUGUAUGGGAGCGUGUUUGAACUUAGCAUUUAGUGUAUAGGAGCGGCUGCGAACCACACACUGCGGACAUUAUGAGCCUCUACUAGGGUAUAUGAAAAGCUGACAAUUCCACUCUCGAAGCAGUAUCAUGGCCAAACUUUUUUUUACACAAAACACUUGCAAUUUGCAUCGGCAGUUAAUUUAAUUAAUCAAUCAUGAAAGCAUUUGAUUUACUCAACCCUUUGGAUUAAGUUUGGUUUGAACGGGAAGGUCUAUGGAGUUUAUGUGCGUGCGUGUGCGUGUGUCAAAGUGUCAACGACCACCAAGUGUCUGUCAACAAGUGCCGCCUUCCUGCACACCGGGUUCAGAGAGAGACUGGUACAGGGAAAACACAGUAAGCUCGUAGUACAUCAGGUGCUACACGUGCGGAUAUCUGGACAGUGCAGCCCUCCUGCAUGCUGCUGCGGCCUCAUCGUGGUCCACGUGACAUCUCAUCUCAAAUCUCAGAGAUGGUGAUGCACGUCGUGCAAGUUAAGGCCUUGUUUAGUUCCGAAAAGAUUUCGGAUUUCGGUACUGUAGCAAUUUCGUUUGUUUGUGACAAAUAUUAUCCAAUUAUGGACUAAUUAGGAUCAAAAGAUUCGUCUCGCGAUUUCCAGCUAAACUAUAUAAUUAGUUAUUGAUUUCGUCUAUAUUUAAUGCUUCAUGUAUGUGCCGCAAGAUUCGAUGUGACGGGAAAUCUUGAAAACUUUUUGCUUUUUGGGUGAACUAAACAAGGCCUGAUAAUCGGCCCUGAACUCUCCAAUAAGAAAAAGGAAAUAAACUUUAAUCGGGGUCUCUUUCGAACAGUAUAAAUAAAUAGAUAAAGUAACCACGACGAGCGCGCGAGGCGCAUGCAUAUGGCUGCUUCACCCAAGAGAUAUUUCCACACUUUUCAAAAAAAAAAAACAUUCUUUCGGUGCGUUCUUUCUUUCCCCUUGAAAUCGUAGCAGUAUAGCAUGAACAGUUUGCACGUGUAUCCAGCACUAGAACGUUGUUUGCACCUCCUCUAAGUGAAAAAGAUGUUCUCUGCAACUCUAAUCCUAACCACGUCAUCAGAUAGCUCAGCUACGGCUUUAGCACUACUACAGAAUGAGACAUUGGUCGAUGUCCAAAAUGGCCAAAAACCUCGGCCUUUUUGCGGCCCGCGGUUAAAGGCCCCUUUAACACCAGUUCGUAACACGAACCGAUGCUAAAGGAUCCUGCCCAAUGGCUACUGACAGGUGCUGUCGGGGCAGGGACCCUUUAGCACCGGUUCGUGUUACAAACCGGUGCUAAAGGGUCCCCUUUAGCACCGGCCAGCGCCACGGGCCGAGGCAAAGCCUUUAGCACCGGUUUUUGCCCUGAACCGGUGCUAAAGGUCCGGUUUAUAGGCCGGAUCCCUCCUCCUCUCUGCCCAUUUGAAACCGAGAGCACCAUUCACCAUUGUUGUUCUUGGAGCUUCUUCUUCCUCAUUUGUUCUUCAUCUCCGACGCCCAUCAUUGAUCUUCUUCGACUCCGUCAUCGUUUCUUCAUGUUUGGAGGUGACUAACUUUUGUCUUUCUUGUCUUUUUCAUGUUGUUUUUGACUUGUGAUGUUCCCAUUAUUUUUAGCUCAAAUCCACUUUGUUAUUUUGAAUCAUUCACAUGAAUUAGUAUCCAUAUAUAUAUAUAUAUCAUAUUUCAUGGUUGACCUAGUAUUAAUGUAGUUUGCAAGAAUGAAUUAUAGUAUCUUUUUAUGAUCUUAGAAAGUAGGAUAGUUCAAAUUAAUUGGUUUGUUAAUAUCACUUGAUUUAUUUUUAUUACUACAUAAUGUCCAUUGUAUAAUUUAGAAGAUUUGUUGAAGUAACUAGACAAAUAAAGGAUAUUAUUAGGUUCUUCUUUAAUCAUACAUGUUUACUAGUAAAUGUGGAAUUUAUAAUUGUUUAAAAAUUGAGUAUGGAUAGUAGAUGGCAACCGGGUCCUGGUCUUCAGCUCAUUGAAGGCUCGAAUCCUCAGCCUGGGCGCCGAACCUUGGACGCUUCUACACCGAAGGUCCUUCGGCUUGGCCACGCCGGAGGUUUCCUGACGCAGGCGCUCCGAAGGCUCGCCGGCCCCGCUGCGUCCUCCAGCAUUCCUUCGACCAUCCUUCGUCGCGGGGAGGAUUCGAAGGUUCAUUCUUUCUCCGCUUGCGACCUCCGCCUUCGGCCAUCCUUCGUCGCGGGAGGAUUCGAAGGUUCAUUCCUUCUCCGCUCACGACCUCCGCCUUUAUCUUGGUUCCUGCAUUUGCUCAGUACCACAAGAGAUGCAUUAACAUUAGGCUUGCCUCGAACCUCCGCACUCUUUCGUACGAAGGUUCUUCGGGCGGAGGAGAUCCUUCGGAGUGACUAGGGGGAAGGAAGCGUCCAGCCCCCAACAAGUUGCUAUCACGCCGCGAAGGAGAAGCCGAAACAAUUUACUCCUGAGGAGCAAACGUUUCUAGCAGCCGAUAACCUCUUUAGAGGUGCCGUGAUUAGUGCGCUCGAUAAAAAGUAUGUUGACAACUAUAUCAUUUGCACCACUGCUAAAGAAUUACGGGAUGCGCUUGAGGCCAAGUUCAGGGUUUCUGAUGCUGGUAGCGAGCUGUACCUCAUGGAGCAACUGUUUGAUUACAAAAUGGUGGAUAACCGUUCCGUGAUUCAAGAAGCAUAUGAGAUAUAGGCACUAGCUAAGGAACUAGAACAAUUUCCUUGUGUGUUGCCUGAAAAGUUUGUGGCCGGCGGUAUAAUCGCUAAGCUGCCACCUUCUUGGAAGGAUUUUGCUACUUCUCUAAAACAUCAGAGGAAAGAGUUUGGUCUUGCCGAACUCAUGGGAACUCUUGAUGUUGAGGAGAAGGCGAGAGCAAAAGAUACACAUGAGAAAGGUGUUGAGUCUUCUAGUGCCAAUGUGGUGCAGAAGAAAAAGCAAUAGACAUUCUGUAAUAAGAAAAAGAACAAGCAAAAGAACAAGCAAGGGACAAAUCUGAAGCCAAAGCAAACUACAACUUUUAAGAAGAAAAAGGCAGAUGGAGGCUGCUUUAUUUGCGGUAGCGAUGACCACUGGGCAAGUGCUUGUCCAGACCGCAAAUUCAAACGAGAAGAGAAAAAGUCAGUGAACAUGGUCAUUAGAGAGGCUGAAGGAGGAACAUCUGGGUAUGGUAAUUAUUUACCCACUGUUCUUUCAGUCUAUCACUCACCUGAGUGGUGGAUGGACACUGGGCUAAUGUUCAUGUAUGUGCUGACAUCUCUUUGUUUUCUUCUUAUCAGGCCGGCGACACUAGAGCCUUACUGAUGGGAAACGGCUCUCAUGCACGUGUUCUUGGUGUUGGUAUGGUCAUUCUGAAGUUCACUUCGGGAAAGACGGUGCUGAUGAAGAACGUGCAGCAUGUCCCCUCCAUCAAAAAGAAUCUAGUUAGCGGCUCACAGCUUUGCAGAGAUGGCUACAAAAUAGUCUUUGAGGCCAAUAAAGUUAUACUUUCAAAGUUUGAAACUUUUAUUGGUAAAGGUUUUGAUUGCGGAGGCUUGUUCCACUUAUCUAUGCAUGAUGUGUGUUGAUAUUUGGUAACGCAAUCAGGAAUUAAUCCGCAGGCGCACGAAUAUCGGUGAGCACUUCACCCGGGAUGUUAUCCAGAGUAUCAUAUUUAUAUUCUUACCACUAGGAGAAAGCGUGCAUCUGACUAACUCGGUCUAUUACUACUAACCUUUAGGCUACAAACUAUGUGAUUCGAUGUGAGUGAUGUAUAGAGAAGACUACAACCGCACUCUCGCUCUAACCUUGGUAAGGAUGAUCUACUAUUCUGUUGGGGAGGCUCACAAAAUCUAGACACCACAUAGGAUGUUCGACCCGCACCUAUAAACCCUAUCGAGCCUACUAACGGGAUAUGGGCUACAAAGGUAACUCGGAAAUGUCAUGUUCCUCGUUACUACCACGGUCCAGCUAGUCAGGGGAUAUCUAUGAGUAUCCUAGCCCAAACACCACGUUUACGCUAGAGAUGAUUACUCUAAACUCUACGCGAAGAUAUCAAAGUAAACUCAUAGACCAAAGAACAAUAAAACAAAGAAUUUAGAAGUCGAAAUACUGAAGAAUCCUAGGAGCAAGCCUCGGGUUAGAAGACUUGAUCCCGUAGGUACAACCUCGGAGUAGACACCGACAGGCCGGGCUUCCUCCGAUCUACACCUCCACUCUAUCUCUCUCAAUCUAGUAGAACUAGUCUACUCUCACAUUGGAUGCUACGCCCUAUGAGGUGGGAACCCUAAGGAAUCUCUCUCUCUGAAUCCUCUCUAGAAAAAUAUGCUAAUGAAUAAUUGGAUUCUCUCCCCCAGUGGCCAGGGGGCCUUGCUUAUAUAGCCUUUUCAAAUGAAUCUGGGCCGUCGGAUCAAACCGACAUUGAUUGAACGGUUCUCCUUGAUCCUCAAAGGCAGUGGAGCAUAAUCCGCGUGAUUCACCGUGAUUGGCCACCAGAGGUGGGCGGGCGCCCAAGGGGGGAGGGCGGGCGCCCUGCCCCCGGGCCCGAUCGGCCUCCCGUUCGUUCCCGUGGCUUCUGGACUCUUCUAGAUGUUGAAUAAUCACGGUGCAUGUUAAUAUCUCUAUGUAAACCCGACGUGUGGGCCUUUCUUCCAUAUUUCCUGAUAACCCCCUGCAGAAAUAGAUAAACAACAAAACUUAUGGAAUUCUGUCAGAUCAAACCCUAAUUCUAGGUGUUGUUUGUAUAUUAGUCCUUUCCCUUGUUUAUUUCAUAAUUAAAAUUGAUACUUAAGAACCGUCAACAAUGUGUGUAAUAAAAUCGUGAACCAUACUGUUAUUUUGAAUGAGUCGAAUAUUUGACAUUCGCGAUUUUGUCAUGUUAAUUAUGGUUGUUUAACGCGGCUAGCAAAUAUGAAUUUAAUCCCGAAAUUUAAUUUAGUCAAAGGUUCUAAGUGCCAUAUAUACGUGCAAUCCAAGCAACCUCGCAAGCCUCACAAGGCUGCAGAGGCGAGGAACUUGGCACCAUUAGAACUAAUCCAUUCCGAUCUAUGCGAGAUGAAUGGUGAGUUGACUAAAAGUGGUAGACGACACUUCAUUAUAUUUAUAGACGAUUGUACUAGAUUUUGUCAUGUGUACUUGCUUAAAACAAAAGAUGAAGCAUUACAAUAUUUUAAAGCCUAUAAAGCUGAAGUAGAAAAUCAACUUGAGAGGAAUAUUAAACGCUUAAGGUCUGAUCGUGGUGGAGAAUAUUUUUCAAGUGAUUUUUCUCAUUUCUGCGUAGAAUAUGGAAUUAUUCAUGAGAGGACACCACCAUACUCACCACAGUCCAAUGGGAUUGCCGAAAGAAAGAACCGUACUCUAACUGAGAUGGUUAACGCCAUGUUAGAGACUUCGGGACUAUCUAAGGAAUGGUGGGGUGAGGCGAUAUUGACAGCAUGUCAUGUCCUGAAUAGAGUUCCUACAAAGAAUAAAGAAAUCACAUCAUUUGAGGAAUGAGAAAAGAAAAGAAUAAAUGUCUCCUACUUGCGUACUUGGGGUUGUUUGGCUAAAGUGAAUGUGCCAAUAAACAAGAAACGCAAACUUGGAUCUAAGACAGUUGAUUGUAUUUUCCUUGGUUAUGCUACUCAUAGCGUAGGGUAUAGGUUUUUAAUUAUAAAUUCUGGAGUAUCAGAUAUGCAUGUUGGUACUAUAAUGGAAUCCAGAGAUACAACAUUCUUUGAAAGUGAGUUCCCUAUGAAAAGUACACCUAAUAUUUAUAGUCAUGAGUCUAUAAAUUUCUAUGAGCAAUUUAUUCCGAUAGAAUAAUCUGAGGAACCCCAUGUUCACUAUCCUGAGGAGGAUGAUAAUGUAGUCACUCGAACGAGCAAAAGACAAAGAAAAGUGAAGUCUUUUGUAUAUGACUAUAUUGUGUACCUCGUGGAUGAUACCCCAACAACCAUUAAAGAGGCAUUUUCCUCUCGUGAUGCUGACUUGUGGAAGGAAGCAAUAAGGAGUGAGAUGGAUUCAAUAAUGUCUAAUGGAACUUGGGAAGUGGUUGAACGGCCUUAUGGGUGUAAACCUAUAGGGUGUAAAUGGGUGUUCAAGAAAAAGCUUAGGCCUGCUGGUACAAUUGAGAGGUACAAGGCUAGGCUUGUGGCUAAGGGUUAUACCCAAAGAGAAGGGAAUGAUUUCUUUGAUACUUAUUCACCAGUUGCCCGUUGGACAACAAUUCGAGUGUUACUAUCCUUGGCUGCCUCUUAUGGUCUUCUCAUUCAUCAGAUGGAUGUGAAGACAACUUUCCUAAAUGGAGAGUUAGAGGAAGAGAUCUAUAUGGAUCAGCCUGAUGGAUUUGUAAUAAGUGGUCAAAAGGGUAAGCUGUGUAAGCUAUUAAAAUCCCUAUAUGGCCUAAAACAAGCUCCAAAACAAUGGCAUGAGAAGUUUGACAGAACUUUAACUUCUACCGGCUUUGCUGUUAAUGAAGCUGACAAAUGUGUGUACUGUCAGUUUGGCGGGGGUGAAGGUGUGAUCCUUUGUCUGUACGUGGAUGACAUACUGAUCCUUGGGACAAGCCUUGAUGUGAUCAAGGAAGUUAAAGACCUUUUGUCUAAUAACUUUGAGAUGAAAGAUUUGGGAGAAGCUGAUGUUAUUCUAAACAUUAAGCUUUUAAGAGAAGGCAAUGGUGGGAUUACACUAGUGCAAUCCCACUAUGUGGAAAAGAUUUUAAAUCGCUUUGGGUACAGUGACUGUCAAUCUGCUCCUACGCCUUAUGAUCCUAGUGUGCUAUUGAGGAAAAAUCGAAGAAUAGCAAGGGAUCAACUAAGAUUCUCCUAAAUUAAAGGCUCACUGAUGUACCUUGCAAGUGCCACGAGGCCUGAUAUCUCGUUUGUAGUUAGCAAACUUAGCCGGUUUGUGUCAAAUCCGGGAGAUAUUCACUGGCAAGCUAUUGAGAGAGUAAUGCGCUAUUUGAAAGGUACUGUGAGCUAUGGCAUUCACUAUACCAGAUACCCUAAGGUAUUAGAGGGUUAUUGUGAUGCUAAUUGGAUAUCUGAUGCUGAUGUUUUAAAGGCCACAAGCGGAUAUGUGUUUCUGCUUGGAGGUGGCGCUGUUUCAUGGAAGUCUUGCAAGCAGACUAUCUUAACGAAGUCAACCAUGGAAGCAGAACUCACAGCAUUAGACACCAUCGGCGCUGAGGCCGAGUGGCUUCGUGAACUCCUGAUGGAUCUACCGGUGGUUGAAACACCUGUGCCCGCUAUUUCCAUGAACUGUGACAAUCAAACGAUGAUCACAAAAGUCAACAGUUCUAAGGACAAUAUGAAGUCCACAAGGCAUGUCAAACGGCGUUUGAAGACUGUCAGAAAAUUGAGAAACUCCAGAGUUAUAGCGUUGGACUAUGUCCAUACGUCUAAGAAUCUGGCAGAUCAAUUCACAAAGGGACUAUCACGUAAUGUGAUAGGUAGUGCAUCGAGUGAGAUGGGUUUGAGACCCACGUAAGGUCUGCCAUGGUGGCAACCUAUUCUAUAUGAUCGGAGAUCCCGUGAAGUAGAAUAGUGAAACAAACCAGAAGUAGAUUGUGAGGAAAGACCCUUUACUUAACUCAUCUCAAUUGCACUUCUUUCCUAAGUCUGUAAGAAAGGCUGGUUAUAUACCUUAAUGUAUUCCAAAGCGGCUUGUGAAGCGAUAGAUGUUGUCCUACAGAACAUCUUUAAGGAAUACUUCUAUAUGAGUUUGACUUUUAGUCACAGCCUAUGAGAUUUGGGUGGUCUCUAGAUACUCAUGAAUGGGCCAGAAGUAUGACUUAUAUGCUUCAACCAGAGGGGAUGUUCAUGCAACCCGGUAUCAGUUAUGAGUUUAGAUGAAACUUAUAUCACACAAAACUUGCAAUUCAAGGCAUAGUCCAAUGUUCAAGUUGUGACUAAGUGUAGUCUGUACUCUUGGUGGAAGUUCAACUUAGCAGUCUCCAUCGAAACAACUGAUAUAUGAAACGACAUGGAAAUUUGAGAGCUUUUCUUAUGUGCCCUAGAAAUAGGUGGGGAUUGUUGAAUAUAAAUGGGCUUUUAGCCCAUAAUUAUAUUUGAUGAUUAAUUCAAGGGCCCAUAAUAAAUGCUAUAAUAAAAACGGUUUAGUACCGUAUUGAUGAUUGACCAUGUGUUAACUCAACUUAAAUAAGUGGCCUUUGAUAGCUCCUAUGGAGAAGUUGAGGAAGGGAAAAGGGGUGCCACACGCGCGCGCCGCCGCCGCCACCGAGCCGAGCCGAGCGUGCGUGCUUGCUUGUCUUGUCUAGGUCGAGUCGAGACGUGACGUGGCACACGCGUGGUGAAUAAGGAAAGGGAGGAAAACGGGAUCUGACCGUUGUGCAAUUAAUGACAAUUAAUUACUAAUUGAUUGACUCGUUAAUGACAAUUAAUUGUUAUUGAUUGUCAUUAAUCAUGGGGCCUAUAUAUUUCAUACGCGUGACACACUUUCCUUCCCUGCGAGAAACAACACAAUCAGUCCUCUCCUCUCAUCUUCCUGUCGAGUUGCUCACUGUUCGUCCCCGUCCUGAACCUCUGCGCGCACAGAGAUCGGGAGAGCAGGCCUCCGGAACCCGACGCCCUGCAUCGAGACACCUGCUCGGGUGUGUGGGCAAUCAGGGUUUUGGGGAGCGUCUUCCGCGACUGCUCGCCAGCGAGAUCGUCUUCUUCCACUCCGGUGGAUCGGGGUCGUCUUCUUCCUAGUGGACGUUCGGGACUGCGACUACUUCGUCUCCGUCUUCUUCCUGGUGGACGUUCGCGGGACUGCACCGCGAAUAUCUUCUUGCAUCGACUGAGGUCCACUACUUCAGGCAACACACUGUGUCGACUAGUGUGAAUGGAGCCGCCGGUGCCUUUGAUACUGGUUCCUUCUCGGGGUAAAAUCUUAAACGAUUUUUUUUAUUUUCAGUAUGUCUACUGUAGUUGCAGUAAUAUUUGCAAUGUUUAUCUCUAAUCUGAGUAGUGAAUUGCACACGUGUACAUAUAUGUCACUACACUAUUAUGUGUAAUUUUUUGGAUUAAAUCAAAUAUUAAAAUAUCUAAUUUUCUAACAAGAUGCAUGGAGCUGUAUAUAUGCUGCUUAUCCAAAAAUAGCUAUCUAUAGGCGUCUUUAUUUACAUACAUAUAUAUUCUUUAAUUAGAACGGGAUCGGAGGCGCGCUAUGAAAACGAGAAAGAGAGAGAGUAAAAAGCAAGUGCAUGCGUGGAUCGGAUCGUAUCGGAGGCCGCAAAAUUAUGAAGAAGAGACGGAUGAUCGAUCGAUCGAGGAAAAGUUUGAGUCCUAAGGGGAAGUCCCGACGCGAGCGGUCGGUAUCCGGCGUUGGAGCUAGCUGCGUGUCGUACGAAUGUGACCGGACGGUGGAGCGGCUGUGAUCCAGCUGAGCUAAGUAGCCCGACGGGGAGAACCCCUCUAUCCCGGAGCAGGAAGAGGACGUGGGCGUGGCAUAUAGCAUUAGAUUCCUGCUACUGGGCCCACCACGACCUCUAGCGGGGUUUUUCUUUUUUCAGCGAAAUUUUGCUGAAAUUUUCGAAAUUUCACAUUUUUUGCUAAGGUCUGAAAUUUUUUUAUAUCAGUCAAUUUUUUCGAUUAAAUUCAUGUUUUGUUUCAAAAUUACUCCAAAUCACACUAAAAUGACCCACCACAUAUCUCUUGGCCCUAUCAAAGCCCUAAUUUUUUUUCAAAAUUAUUUAAUUUUCUCACUCUCACAUAUUCCAUGGCACUACCAUAUGCAGCUCGCCCAGCGUCAGCUCGUUUCGUUAGUAUUAUAUAAAUUUGUAGUGAGUGAUAGAUUAGAAAGUUUUUCUAGUGAAAUGAAUCCAAAUUUUUUUAUAAAAAUAAUUUGAAUUAAUUUCAAUUUAGUCCAAAAUUUUCGAAAUAUCUUAUUUAUCGGUAGGUGCCGAAAAAAUUUUCUACCGAAAAAAGAAAAGGUUCCAGUCUGGUUCUUUUGAAUUGAAUUGUUCAUGUCUUACCCGGCCUAAUACUGAACCAUGAAUAGUUAUUUUUUAAAAAAUUUCAGUCCUUUUUUCUAUUAAAUCAUGAAAAUUUUCUUAGUUUCUGCCAUUUUCUAUUUUCUUCAUAUUAAACCGCAAAAAGGUUUUCUUUACCUUUUACCAUAUAUAAUAUAUUAGUGUCCAUAUCUUCCAUGCUAGCAACAGCGCUAAUGGGAAUGGUAAAACGUUAGUGCUGCCUCCAAAUUAAUUAAAAGAUCAGGCCAGGAACAUGGGAGAUGCAACACACUAUUACCGAAACUUUUUUUAGGUGGGCUAAGCGAGGGGAGCAUCAUAAAUGCCUCUAAUAUUAAAGGUCUUGGUAAAUGGAUCUUCGCCAAGGUAUUUUAAAUAUCCGUCUCGAUAAAUCAAAUAAAACAAAAAAAGAAAACUUGUGGACAAGCAUAGUGAGCCCAUCCAUGCACUCUACAGAAUGAGGCAUUGGUCGAUGCCCAAAAUAGUCAAAACCUCGGCCUUUUUGCGGCCCGGAUUAAAGACCCCUUUAGCACCGGCCAGCGCCACGGGCCGAGGCAAAGCCUUUAGCACCGGUUUUUGCCCUGAACCGGUGCUAAAGGUUCGGUUUAUAGGCCGGAUCUCUCCUCCUCUCUGCCCAUUUGAAAUCGAGAGCACCAUUCACCAUUGUUGUUCUUGGAGCUUCUUCUUCCUCAUUUGUUCUUCAUCUCCGACGCCCAUCGUUGAUCUUCUUCGACUCUGUCAUCGUUUCUUCGUGUUUGGAGGUGGCUAACUUUUGUCUUUCUUGUCUUUUUCAUGUUGUUUUUGGCUUGUGAUGUUUCCAUUAUUUUUAGCUCAAAUCCACUUUGUUAUUUUGAAUCAUUCACAUGAAUUAGUAUCCAUAUAUAUAUAUAUAUCAUAUUUCAUGGUUGACCUAGUAUUAAUGUAGUUUGCAAGAAUGAAUUAUAGUAUCUUUUUAUGAUCUUAGAAAGUAGGAUAGUUCAAAUUAAUUGGUUUGUUAAUAUCACUUGAUUUAUUUUUAUUACUACAUAAUGUCCAUUGUAUAAUUUAGAAGAUUUGUUGAAGUAACUAGACAAAUAAAUGAUAUUAUUAGGUUCUUCUUUAAUCAUACAUGUUUACUAGUAAAUGUGGAAUUUAUAAUUGUUUCAAAAUUGAGUAUGGAUAGUAGAUGGCAACCGUGACCGGGUCUUCGGUCUCUCAACGGGUUCAAAAGCGAUACCGGCCGGAACUCCCUCUCAUUACUUGUGGCAAGUGUGGGCAGAAGAUUGUGAUGGAGUACAAAGUGUCGAAAGAGGGAGUAAACAAGGGUCGUAUAUUCUACAAGCGUCCAGAUCGUAAUGUGAGUUAUUUCCAGACAUUUGCUUAUAUAUGUGCAUAUUUUUUUAAAUAAUAUUAAUUAAACUUUUGAUUCUCUAUUUUAAUUUCAGUGGGACGGUACCGGCGGAUGUACAGGUUGGUACUGGGAGGAAGAAUACAUUGAACACAUUAAGAAAUCUUUUGCACAGGUGUGGGGGUAUAAACCCCUAUACCCUUACGGCUAGACUUGGGUUAGGAGGUUUGGCUCAUUACGAGACAAGCUCAAGGUUUGAUCCGACAGCUUGGAGUUUCGCGCAAGGAAACAAGACGUGGAGAUCAAGCAGGAUUCUAGUCGGUUAGAAUAGGAAUUGAUAUCGAACUAUCUACGACAAUUGUAACCGACUAGGAUUAGUUUCCAGAUCUGUAACCCUACCCUCCGGACUAUAUAAGGAGGGGCAAGGGGCCCCCUAGGAUAUAGACACAUUAUCUCUCAACACAAAUCAAUACAACAAGACGCAGGACGUAGGUAUUACGCCAACUCGGCGGCCGAUCCUGGAUAAAAAGCUUGCCCGUGUCUUGCGUCACCAUCGAGUUCGUAGUUUGCGCACCGUCUACCGAUAAACUACUACCGUGGGUAUACCCCAAGGUAGACUGCCGACCAGCUUUCGUCGACAGUGGCGCGCCAGGUAGGGGGUGUGCGUACAACUUCUCCGACGAACAAGAUGGUCACAAUUCCAGCUUCCGCGGCCGUGCCUGAAGGCCUCACGUUCACCGUCGGCCAGAUCACGUGGACAACGCGCGGCGGUGGUCUCACGACCACGGUUUCGGAAGGAACCCAGAUCCAAUCUGGGAUGACGUCGGCUCCGACCACUCGGAUGACGGCAUCGAGCGCCCGACCACCACUCCCGCUCUACAAGGGGAAGAAAAUCGACUGCUCGGACCUUCUCCAAGCACUUGAUCGCGCUGAUUCCAAGCUACUCGAAGCUUCUCAACUGAUAGAUGGGAUCUUGCGCCAGCCUCCAAGCCGCUCUAGCGGAUUCUUUCAACUCCCACCGGCCAACUCGUGUCGUUACACACGAACGGCUGGGGGCGUCUCUGACGAUAACCUCAACUCCCACAGGACGAUCUGUCAAGAUCGAGGCCAACCCGGAGGAAGAUUAUCCUCGCGAUCUGAACAACUCGGCCUCUCUCUACUCGAGACACGUCCGAUCCCUCUUUAACAAAGCUGGCUGGUUGCCAAAGGGGAGCGGUCGACCAACUCGUCAUUACGUCAACAUGGUGACGAUCCAAGAGAUACGGGACGGCCAGGCUUCCAGCACAAAUUCGAGCACUGGUUCCGUCCCCACUGAAGUCAUAAAUUCCGAGGACGAGGACUACGACUUGGAUUUCCCGUCACAUCCUCCGGGCUUCCCUCGUUUCCCGGUCUUCCCACCCCGGCGAGGAGAUAUCGUUUUCAACGUCAGCGCCGACGAGCCGGUCGUUGACGGAGAGACAGACGAGCAGAGGCAGCUCCGCGAGCAGCGUAACGCCGAUCGCGCCCGACGACGCGCGGACGAGGAACGUCAAAUCCCGCCGCAUAAUCUCAGCGACGCUUUUGACAUGGUCGGAGAUCGGCAAGUUUAUAAAACGCCAAGCGCCAAUGUGGCCGUCGCCAUGGCCAAUUUAGAUCGACUCCCUGAUACUCCCGAGUGCCAGGGCGUCCGAACCAGCGUUCGAGCACACCUGAUCGUCGCAAUGGGGCAAACAGCCACUCUGCUCAAAAGAGCCCAAGACGUCUCUUAUACAGAGGCCACCUCUGACCAGACUCACCGCAGCCGAACCUCACCGCAGCCCAGCAGGCACCACCGCAGCCGUUCCCCCGACGAUCAUCGGAAAGAUUCACGACGUGACGAUGGCGGUCGGGACGCUGGCGGUCACCGCGAGCAGAAUCGCAGGCGUGGUCAAGAAGUAAACCAGUACAGGGAUCUUCGAUACAACAUCCCUCCCAAAGACGCCCGGGACCACAUCAACAGGCGCGCCACGGAAAGGGCAGUUUACAAAAACUUGCGUCGUAUCGAGUACGACGCAACGCACGGCCCCCCGGGCCUGAAGCAAUUCUCUUCACACCUCCGCCAGGUCGUGUGGCCUCGCAAUUUCAAGCUCGAGAAACUCAAAAAAUACGACGGCAUGGAAAACCUAGAGAACUGGAUCACUCUUUACGAGAUCGCAGUCCGGUCAGCAGCUGGAGAUGAGCAUGUCAUGGCCAACUAUUUUCCGGUAGUCCUCGACCAGGCCGGUCAUCAAUGGCUUCUAGGCCUGCUCGAGGACUCCUUCGACUCCUGGGAAGAACUACGCCAAGCCUUCAUUGACAACUUCAUCGCCACCUGCGAGCAGCCUGGGAACAAGUACGACCUCGAAAGGAUACGAGAUCGGAAAAAUGAGCCUCUGCGCGACUACAUCCGACGAUUUUCGGAUAUGCGCCUAAAGAUCCCGAAGAUUUCCCACGACGAGGCUAUAUCUGCUUUCAUCAAGGGGCUGCGCUUCCAUGAAACACUGAGGAACAAGCUACUGCGCAAAAGGCCAACAACGAUGACAGAGCUCCUCGACACGGCCAAAAAUUAUGCCGACGCAGAUGACGCAGAAAAACUCAUCCGAGAUGACACUAGAGGUCCUGACCAGCCUUCUCGGCGUGACGAUAGUCGCGGCCGCUUCGACAACAGAAACCAUCACCGCCCCGAUCAUCGGGACCACAGAGAGGGCUGGGACAGGCGCCGCGACAACCGCGAUGAUUUCAGAGGCAAGCGCCCUCGCGAUCACGACCACGAGGUGAAUACGGUCAAGCGCCCCAACGGACGGCGGGAUUACCAAGAAGACUACAACAAGAUGUUGAAGGGACCGUGCCAACUACAUCCCAAAUCCAACCACACCAUGGAAGAAUGCGGCGUCCUCAAAAGCAUCUAUACACAGCGGGCUGCUCAAGACGAUCCCUCCAAGAAAAACGGGAAACAAGAUGGGCGCGAUCACGAAGACGAGGACGAAGACCAAGAUAGGGACCCACGACACCAGUAUGUCAGUCCUACUGACGUGGUCCAUUCCAUCUUCGGAGGCAAGGUCUCCAUCGAGUCUAAAUGAGAAAGAAAGCUCCUAAAGAGAGCCUGCCUCAACGUAGACAGCACUGAUGGUCUGAUCGCCGAUCCAAAAUUUCCUCCCUGGUCGCACAGGGAGAUCUCCUUCAGCAGGAAGGAUCAGUGGGCCGCUAUCCCGGAACCGGGUCGUUUCCCUCUAAUCUUGGACCCUUGCAUUAACAGCAUCAGAUUCGAGCGCGUGCUCGUGGACGGAGGAAGCUCCAUUGACAUCCUCUUCCGCAACAGCUUGUCCGCUCUCAAGAUAUCUCCGGCACAAUUAAAACCCUACGACGCUCAAUUUUGGGGAGUCUUGCCAGGUUAGAGUUCAGUGCCCCUCGAACAGAUAACAUUGCCUGUCCAAUUCGGCACGCCCGACCACUUUCGGACAGAGUUCGUCAACUUUGUGGUCGCCGACUUCGAUGGGACCUACCACGCCAUACUGGGCCGACCAUCGCUGACAAAAUUUAUGGCGGUCCCGCAUUACUCAUACCUGGUCCUCAAAAUGCCUACUGAGAAGGGCGUCCUGACCGUCAGAGGCAAUGUCUACACUGCAUAUACUUGCUAGGAAGAGAGUUUCAAGAUCACUGAAGCAAUUGAUCUCUCAAUCCGAAUGGCAGAAACAGCAACCCAAGCCGCACAGCUACCUCCCGACCAGCUCCGACUACCCGAGCAGGAGACCGCCAGGAAGAAUUCAAAAUCCAAGGAGCAUAAAGAAGUACAACUGGUCGACAGCAGCCCCGAGAAGACGGCCCUCAUCGGGGCCAAUCUGGACCCCAAAUAGGAAGACGCGCUCGUCAGGUUUCUAAGGGACAACGUGAGCGUUUUCGCAUGGAAACCCGCAGACAUGCCCGGCGUCCCACGAAACCUGAUCGAGCACUCCUUAAAUGUCUCAAAGACCGCAAGACCAAUCAAGCAAAAGCUAUGACGGUUCGCUCGUGACAAAAAGGAGGCUAUUAGGACAGAAAUAACACGGCUUCUAGCAGCCGGAUUCAUAAAAGAAGUGUAUCAUCCCGAUUGGCUCGCCAAUCCGGUCCUUGUACGCAAAAAGAAUAAUGAAUGGAGAAUGUGCGUUGAUUACACUGAUCUCAAUAAACACUAUCCUAAAGAUCCUUUUGGUCUCCCUCACAUCGACGAGGUGGUCGACUCAACGGCCGGAUGCGAACUCCUCUCUUUUCUAGACUGCUACUCUGGUUAUCACCAGAUCUCGCUAAAGGAAGACGAUCAUAUAAAAACGUCUUUCAUUACUCCUUCCGGCGCAUACUGCUACACGACCAUGUCGUUCGGACUCAAAAACGCCGGAGCCACCUAUCAAUGGGCCAUCCAGCAAUGCCUCCACGAUGAGAUUUGUGAUGACCUCGUCGAGGCCUAUGUAGACGACGUCGUCAUCAAAACAAGGGAUGCAAGCACCCUAAUUGACAACUUAGACCGAACCUUUAAGGCGCUAAACAGGUACAAGUGGAGGCUUAACCCCAAAAAGUGCAUCUUUGGCGUCCCUUCCGGUCUACUACUCGGCAACGUCGUCAGCCGCGACGGCAUACGCCCGAAUCCGUCAAAAGUAAAAGCAGUACUCGACAUGCGACCACCUAAAAAUGUCAAGGAUAUUCAGAAGCUCACCGGAUGUAUGGCCGCACUCAGCCGCUUCAUCUCAAGACUAGGAGAAAAAGGCCUCCCUUUCUUCAAACUCUUGAAGGCGUCGGAAAAAUAUUCUUGGACAGAGGAAGCCGACGCUGCUUUCACUCAGCUUAAGACUUUCCUCACUUCACCGCCUGUUCUUACAGCGCCUCGGCCCAAUGAAGACCUACUCCUUUACAUUGCUGCAACCGACAGGGUUGUUUCCACGGCAAUAGUGGUCGAGCGAGACGAGCCAGGUCAUGUCUACAAGGUCCAGAGACCCGUUUACUUCAUAAGCGAAGUCCUAAACGAGUCCAAGGCCAGAUAUCCACAAAUACAGAAGCUCAUAUACGCCAUUUUAAUAACAUUGAGAAAGCUAAAGCACUACUUCGACGGCCAUCGAGUCUUGGUAACCACCAGUUUCCCUCUUGGGGACAUUCUGCGCAAUAAAGACGCCAACGACAGAAUUGUAAAAUGGGCAAUGGAAUUAUGCCCAUUCUCCCUGGAAUUCCAGAGCCGCACCACAGUCAAGUCUCAGGCCCUGGUCGAUUUCAUUGCAGAGUGCACGGAUCUCAAUGAGCCUCCCGUUCCCGACGUCUCCGACCACUGGUCGAUGUUCUUCGACGGGUCCUUGAACAUCAACGGCGCCGGUGCGGGGAUUCUUUUCGUGUCGCCUAACAAGGACAAACUGCGUUACGUCCUUGGAAUCCUUUUUCCGGCAUCAAACAAUGUCGCCGAAUACGAAGCAUGCCUUCACGGCAUACGAUUAGCCGUUGAGUUGGGAGUCAAACGCCUUUAUGUCUAUGGCGACUCCGCUUUAGUUAUCAACCAGCUCAACAAGGAGUGGGACGCAACCCACGAGAAGAUGGAUCUCUACUGCAAAGAAAUUCGCAAAUGGGAAACCAACUUCUAUGGCAUAGAGUACAUCCACGUGGUCCGGGAUAAGAACCAGGCAGCAGAUGCGUUGUCAAAGUUAGGCUCAUCUCGGGCCCAGAUCCCGCGAGGUGUUUUCGUCCAGGACAUCCAUGAGCCAAGUGUGGGCAAAGACCCGCCCGAAAAGCAACCUAUUGAGGCAAUGCUCAUAGACGACGUUACUCCGACAACCAGUAACCGCGAUUGGCGCACCCCAUUCAUCAGAUAUAUAUCGGACGGGUCAGGCUUUCAGGACAAAACAGAGAACGAGCGCCUCAUUCGAUGAUCAAAGAAUUACAUACUGGUGGACGACAAACUUAUGCGAAAAAAUGCAAGUUCUGAAGUGCUGCUCAAAUGCAUAUCCCAGGAUGAUGGCAUCAAGCUCCUAGACGACAUACAUGUCGGAUCCUGCGGCAAUCAUGCUGCCUCCAGAACGCUGGUCGGGAAAGCUUUCCGAGCAGGUUUUUAUUGGCCAACCGCGGUCAACGACGCAGAAAAACUGGUCCGACACUGUGAGGGAUGUCAGUUCUUCGCUAAAAGGACCCACGUACCUGCUCAUGAGAUUCAAACUAUCCCGUCGUCCUGGCCUUUCGCCUGCUGGGGGCUCGACAUGAUCGGGCCAUUUAAACCGGCCCCUGGUAACUUCAAGUUCGUCUUCGUAUUAAUCGACAAGUUUUCAAAGUGGAUUGAAUACAUGCCACUGGUCAAAGCAACCUCCGAGAAGGCUGUGGAGUUCCUCAAUCAAAUCAUACACAGAUUCGGGAUCCCAAACAGUAUAAUCACCGACCUGGGUACUCAGUUCACUGGCACCACAUUUUGGGACUUCUGCGAUGACAUAGGCAAACGGAACACGCGUGCCUAACUCUUGGCACAUAGACAAACUGCGCCGAUUUUAUCCAUAAGUUCCAGUAACUUUUGCUUGUAAGUAGAUAGUUGGCAAUAAUAAAAGUUUUUUGUUUUUUUGGCUAUACUUUGUUUACACGAAGAGCUUUCGGCGAAGAACAACAAUGUCCUCUGCGACGGAAACUCUUAACGACCAUGAAUCAAACACAGUGACACGUCACUCAGAUAACUUCACAACGCUCAAAAUAACAGUCAUGACAAAAGCAAACUUUAUUAUAAACUUUAGAUGCAAAGUUUACAAUAAAUACCCUGACGGGCGGUCACUAGUCUACUCCUACAGACUACUCUACUGGCCUACUGCUCGGGCUGAUCACCCGCUUGGCCUUGCUGCCCGGACGAAGGGGUCGGGGCCACCGGCGCCUGGCUGGUCGAGACCGCAGGCGUCGACCGCCCAUCUCCGGCAAUGGACGCCCCCGACAACUCCCUGGCCGACCUGUCUGAACCCGGCUGGUCGGGGGGAGUGGCCGUCCCGAAUAGAUUGAUGUCGCCGAUCACCGUCGACGACAAGUCUAGCAGUCCAGCCCGAAGCUCGUCCGCCUCCUGCGGGCCGACUUUCUUAGGGUACCCCUUCUCCAGCCUGGACAAGUCGACCAGGGCGUAGUGGGCGCGCACCAUGCUGAGGAUAUGCGCGCAAGCAAACUCCCCGGCGUCCUUCACGAACUGCUGGAGCCAGUCCCACGCCCGUUGCGCCUUUUCAACUGGUGUCAAUCUCGGCGCACGGGGCUGGCUCUCCGGAAGCUCGGGGCUGAUCAAGUCCAGGACCGGGGCUACUCCUUUCCAGAUCUUACAACAAUUAACCUUCCAGGAGUCCCGAUCCUUGACCAGCUCGUCCAGGUGCUUCUUGGCGUUCACCUUGAGCACUGCAAAUCAAGCAAGAUGUUAGUUUCAACAUAUCAAAAAGAGCGAUAAGCGGCAGAUAACGGGGGCGGCGCGUAUUACCAGACAACUCCCGGUCCCUCCGGCCCAGCUCCUCUCCUACUCAGCGCCCGGCCUCCAGCGCACCGACAAGCUCUUGGCUGAGCUCUUCUUUCUCCUGUCGAAAGCGCGUGACCUCCUCUUCCAAACCUACAUGAAUAAUCCUCUAGUCAGCGAAGUAUAACACCCCGAAAUUUCUAUUUUGGGUUGUUAUUAGAAAAUACUAAAUAAAAUGAAUGGUUUUAAUAUACGGAUAAAAUUUGCCAACAAUAGUUUAGAUUUUUAUAUAUUUUUAUCAAAGAAAAGUGGUGCUUUUCAAAUGUUUUGUAUUUAAUUAGAGCUUUAGUUGAUGUGAUGCUUGCUUGUUGCUUGAGUUUUGUGUUUUUGAGUGUGCUAGGUUUCAUAAAUGUGUUUAGACACCGUCCGGUCCUUCCCGAGAAUUUUCCAAAACUUUUUCGGAACUUUUUCCCAUUUUCCUAGAACAAAAUCUAUUUUUUAUAUGCUCUAAAAUUCUUUUUCAUGGACACCAAAAACUUUAUUUGGAUUGAUCAACUCUCAAUAUAUCUCUAAAAGUUUUCCUUUAAUUUUUAGAAUUUUGGAAAUAUUUUUCAGGGCUUUAAAAUGAUUUCAGCUUUUUCUGGAAUUAUUUUUGAACUGAAAAUGAAUUUCUAAAAAUCCCGAAAUUAAUAAUUUUGAAACUUUUCCAAACCCUAGACCUAUAUAUAUGCCGCCGUUCUCCUUCUCGCGCUGAUUCCAGAAGUACAAACGCUAUCUCGAGCCGCCACUCCGUUUGCUCUAGAUCUAAUGCCGAAGUUCCACCGGUGAACUUUUCCAGCGAACACUCCGGCGAGCUUUUCCGAUCAGUUCGUCGCGUUCCAGUGAAUUCUACCACCACUACGAGGUAGCCCUCGUCAUUCUCUUCGCCGUGGUAUAUUUGUUUACAAAAAUCCAUCACCGUUUAACAUAUUUUCCAUCCCAUCUUCAUCUCCGGCGAGAGGUUUCCAUGGCCGGUCACCUCUUUCUCCGACCAUUCUUUCCACUUCUCCCUGCGUUGUCUUUCCCGCACCCCAGCGCCUCCUCCCCUCGCCGAACCGCGCGUAGCAUCCCUGCCGCGCCCCGCCCCUCCCCUGCGCUGCACGCUUGCUGUUAGGCAGCAGCAGCCGGUGUUCACCGUGGCCGCGUGGGCACAGGCCGCGCUCUGCCCUGCCCUGCCCUGCGUGGCCCCCGCCGCAGCGGCCUAGCGGUGCUGCACCGUCGGCCGUGCCCCAGCCGGGCCGAGCUCUCCUCCCAUCGGGUCCUGUCCGCGAGAACAGAGAGCUUCCAUGGCUGCCAUCUAAGUCCAGGAAGAGGAGAUGCAGACUCAAGGUAGAAGAAGACAUAUUUACAAGUUUGCCACUGGUCAUUAAUCCUUAGCCUUUUAAUCGUUCUAACUCUGUUUCAUUCCGUUUCAAUUGCGUUAGUUUCGUAACGUCGCGCUCUACGCAGUAGUGCUAACUUUUAUUAUGUCAUAUAUUUUUUUUCCAUAUUUAAUUGAAUAUUAGAUUAAUUAAUAUAUGCACCUAAUUUUAUAAUUAAAAGCAAUAUAGAGUUAUAAUCAUGUUUUCUAUUGUUUUAUGACCAUGGCAACGUAAAUGACUUAUUAGCGAUACUGUUUUCCAUGUCCCAUGUUUAUAAAUAUAAUUAGUUUAAUUAAUAUUUUUUGAAUGUCAUUUUUAAUUAACAAAAAAACAAUCUAAGUUUACACUUCGCUAUUUUUAUAAUCUAAUAUUAACUUGAUUGAAGUUAACUUAAAUAUUUAUUAAUUAUAAUUCUUUUAGUUAGACAUAAAGUAUAUAAUUAAUUUGUUUAAUAUUUAUUUAAUGUCUUUUUGGAUUAAAAGUAACCUAUGUAUAUAAUUUAGAUCUUUUAUAAAUAAAUAAAUGUUAACAUUAUUAAUAUCAACUUAAAUGGUUCUUUAUUAGUUAUAACUUGUUUAAUAUACAUGCGACGCAUGUUAGGAUUUGAUUAGCUGCUCUUACUUGCUUUAUGUUUUCUAAAAUUACAAAGGCGUAAAUGGCUUAAAUGAUAUAUAACCAUCUACAAUUAAAAUAUGACUAAAGUUUAACUCCAUCUUUUAUAAUUCUUUAUAAUUUGGUCAAUUCAACUUUGAGAUAUUUCUCUAAAAGUCUAUCACCUUCUUUUAUUAAAUAAGAUACGACAAGCGUAUAGUCGUCUUUUCCGUUACACUCCGAACCUCGAAAGUCGUGUCCGUUUAACGAUAGCUUCGUUCUCAAUCGUUCUUGCGUUGUCACGAUCGUAGCAAUAAGUCGUGUCGUUUAGUGCGCUCUUUCUAAGCUUUUCUUUUGAUUGAUGCUUGUUCUUAGUCAUGAUUGUUUGUUUGUCUGUUUGUGUUGCUUGGUUGCUACGAGUAGAAGAAGCGUGGUUCGUCAGCAUUGAAGAUCAGGCGCUGAGGACCGAUAAUCAUAGCAGAAGUUGGAGAUCAGAAGAAAGAAGCCAAAGAAUUCUGAGCAGAUAAACACUGGGAAUUAAGGCAAGUGCAGGCACCCUUUGAUCAUAUUGUACCUAUAAACUUUAAAUACAUUUACUUUCCAUUGCAUGUGUCUUAAUACUGCAAACCCUAAGGACAUGACUAGUCUUCUACUAUAUUCCUUGUAUACCUGGGUUUAUAUAUGGGUAGUAUAGUGAACAGUAGAUAUGCUUAGUUGCUCUACUCAUCUAAUCUAUAUAAUAAUAAUAAUAAUAAUCUUGUUUAAUGAAUUCUUCAAUGAUGAUAAAUGAUUAAAUGGUGAACAAUGGUCACUUCGGUGAUGGAGAUGUUGCGGUGCCUGCGAGCAUCGUGGUUUGGUUGAGGACAGGGGGAGCGGGUACUGUUGGUGGUCCGGUUUGCCGGGCGUACCCGUCUCUGCUCUCCGUAAGGACUUAGUCAGGGAGCGGCCCCCUGGGACUUACAGUGCAGCUCCAAGCUAUAUGGCUCUGGCUUGACUAAUUAUGAGGACCUCCGCUGGUAGGGUGUUAGUUUCCGGGUAGGCGUGAGGAAUGUAGCUUGGGUAUUCAUAUUAAGAGGUCGGUCAGUUCGGGGUCCCAUUGCUAUGGGCACGGCUGCCGCGCGCCCCGGCAAAAACUUACGAGUGGCAUCCUAUUAGUUGGACCCUGUGAAAGGUCUCGUAGUGAGACCCUGCCUGCUCACCUUGGUAGUGUUUUGGGGAGUCGCGACCCCAGGCGAAUGGGAAUCACGACUUGGAGUGAACGUGCACACCUCUGCAGAGUGUAAAACUGAUAUAUCAGCCGUGCUCACGGUCACGAGCGGCCCAGACCCUCACUUGAUGAGCAAAUUGGAAUCACAUGGAACUUGGAGGCGGAACUUGGUUGAGGUUGAUACCUCGUGCUUUGGCGGAAUGGCUAUUCCGUGUUGGCAGGAUUGCUAUCCUGUGUUCUUAAUUGGGAUUGCUAUCCCAUGACCUUAAUGGGGUUGCUACCCCGAGUUACUAUCUGAGGUUGCUACCUCGGUAAUAAUAUUAAUAAUAAUGAUGAUGAUUAAUAAAAUGGUUAAUCUACUUCCAUCUAAUUAAGGGUUGGGAUGCUUUACCCAUAUUUAGUAAUAGGUUGUUUUAAUGAUAGAAGUUGUAAUAAAAGCUUGUUCACUUAAAAAGCUCACCUGCAGUUAAACAAUGUCAGCUUUUCCUUUGAUUAAGCCUUGCAUGUCAUUAUACUUUCCGCCUGUACUUGUUGAGUUCGACAUGAACUCACCCUUGCUAUUUCCCCCCCACACCUCAGUGUGUAGUAAAGUGCUGCUCAGAAGAGGGAUAAAGAUGCUAUGGAGUUUUCUAGAAGCUUAUGAGAAGUGCUUGGCGUACGGAGCCCCCAGUCAACCGUCCCUAAGAAGAAUGGAGCCUAAGAAGUUUUAGCUACUGUUUCCGCGUACUCUGAUGUUUGUAAGUGUUAAUAUAAAUAUGUUUUCCGCUAUAUAUAACAUUGUUUCUGAUAUUUCUAUUCUUUUGUUGUAUGUGUGGACUUCCUGGGCACACAUAUGACGACUCUGGUCUUAUUUUAAAAGCCAGGGUGUUACACGAAGUCAACCAACGCGGCUACAAACAGCUGCCUCGGAGUACGAGACUAACCUUCUCGCUGCCGAAACUGGUCGGCCAAGCGUCGGGUAAGCUCGAGACGGUGCUAUUCCUGAGCGCUCAUCUCGGAUACUUUCUCUCCAACUUCUGACCGAAGCCGGUCCACCUCUGCGGCUAGGGUCUUGUUCUCGACUACAAUGCCUUCUAUUUGGUCGAAGUACCUCUUUCGGUACUUCGCCGUUUUCAUUGCGCCCUGCAAGACGAACAUAUGUUGACCCAGCAAGAUAACAUAACAGUGUCGAGCAGUGCAAAGAAUCACUUACCUUGACUUCGUCCACGAGACGCUUGGCCGCGCGCUCUACUCUGGCGGCCUCUUCUGUCUCCGCGAGCUCCUCGUGCCCGAUAAAGUGGUCCCCGCGUUGGCGCCACACAUAUACGUGUUGGCGGCCAUCACGAGGACGACCUUCAAUCUCCUCCACCUCGUCGCUGGAGGCCGCCUGGGCUUCCUCGCCCGCUGCAUCGCCCCCGGCGGUGGUCGCAGGCAUCACCGGCCCCUGGACCAGGCCUGGGGAUCCUGUGGCCGAAGAGACUCCUGCCCGAGGCGGCGUUGGGACCUCCCUCCUUUCGAAGGGGGGAGGGGUCGGGGCUCUGCCCUCCCCUUCCGCAACGUUUCUCGGGGGAGGGGUCCCCAUAGCCUCCUCAACCCUUGUCGGACUGCUCGCCGCAGUCCUUGUCGAGCCCGGAAGCUCCUCGGCGCUCUCAGGCACGGCUGCUGCCGCAGGCUGCUCCGCGGUCUGCGGCGCCGCGUCCUCAGCGGCACAAGCAGGCUCGGUCACCCUCUGGCCGGCGGCAUGGUCGGGGUUGACGUCCGACGCCGCGCUAAAAAACAAGGUAGCAUUUUCAGCGAAAAAAAAUCACCCAAGUACGUAAGUCGAACACUUACAGGUCUGAUCGACGAUGGGCCGCGGUGAACCUCCUCCUAGCCCUGCCGGUCGGCACCUGCGCGGCGCAGGAGGGUCGCUGGCCACCCGAUCAGUAGUGGCCGGUGCACUGUCCGGACGGCUACGAGGCCUUCGGACCAGCGACGGUGCGGCCUCCUCCUCCUCCUCGUCGUCGUCGGUGAUCCGGACGAGCCGACGGCGCUUUGGCGCUUGGCUGCUCUCUGCUGGCAACGUCGGCGCAGGCGAAGGAUCUGCUGCUAACGGCCUUUUCCCCGCCACUCUCUCCUCUGUGGUUGGGACGGGGCGGGCCUGGUCCUCCUCACUACUGGUGUAACGAGUACACCGAGCAGCGUCUUCCUCCGGUGGAUCUUCCCCCGCAGGAUUCUCCAUCCCAGGUGCCAGUGACACAUACACUGUGCACCGCUCAACGUCUCCGAUCUGCAAAAGUAACAAAGAUAAGUCAGCAGCUGACAAAAACAAAUUCUAAGGAGAAAUAAACAGUAAGAUACCUUAGGUGCUGGUUGCCCCAACUUGAAGGCUUGCACCCGAUCACUACCACGGACGAAGCCCCCGUCCGCAAAGUUGAACAGCUCGUUCAACAGGUGCUGCACCUCUGCUUUCUCCAAGACCUCAGGCCGCAUCCUGGUCGGGUCCAGGCUCCCGGCGUACUCGUACGCCGAGUGUACCCUCUUCUGGCAGGGCAUCACCCGACGACACACAAAGUUGCCGACCACGCCUAGCCCGUCCAAGCGCGACCAGUCGAUCAGCUUCAUCAGGUCCGCCACUUGGCCGUCGAACUCUGGGCGGUCGGUCCAGCUCACCCUCUUCUCGGGGAUGUACCCCACCUCGCAGAACGUGGAGCUGCCCGGUUCUUCCCUGACGUAGAACCACUUCCUGUACCAUUCGGUUAGGGAAGUGUUCCACGGACAGUGCAGAUAACGGUUCUUCAUCCCGUCGCGAAGAUUGAGGUAUACUCCACCUGCAAUCUUGGAGCCUCCAACCGCUCCCUUCUUUCUUAAACAAAAAAGAUAACGAAAGAGAUCGAAAUGCGGCUCUAUGCCAACAUAGGCCUCGCACAGAUGGAUAAAAGUGGAGAUGAGAAGGAUUGAGUUCGGGUGCAGAUUGCAAAUCCCGAUCUCAUAAUACAAAAGAAGACCCCGAAGAAAAGGAUGAACAGGAACCCCAAAACCCCUCUUAAUAAAAUCCUUGAACACUACGAUCUCACCGGCGCGGGGGUCGGGGUAGCUCUCCCCCUCCGGCGCCCUCCAGCCGCCAAGCUCCGGGCUGUGCAGUAGCCCCAUAUCGACGAGGUCACCGAGGGACUUUGCGGUGCUGCGGGAUUUCUUCCACUCCUUGGCCAUCAGCUCGGCCCUCUUCUUGGAGUCACUCUUCGCCAUUGGAGGCACAGGAGUGGCUUCGAGUUAGGAAGGCGCAGGUGAUUGAAGGAGGCAAGAGCGGAAGGCUUGAAGGCAAUGGCAGGGUAAGCAGUGCAGGGGUAACUGUCGAGACCUUAUAAACCACAACUUCACCCCUUCCACUUCCCGCAUUCUCGGGAAGUGGGCGGGCCAUACGGCGGGCGCGGCGCUUCGGUUUUUAAUGAUUAUCGUCAAUUAAUGCGGCGGAGUUUUCGUACAAAUUGAUGGUUUCCUUUUCUCAAACCGUGCAAAGGACGGCUGCACAGUUGCCAGGCGCAACUUUUCAUGCAGCCAUCUGACAUCCCGUCAGGAGGUCUCGUCACGUCAACUUUUAUGUGGUAAAAAUUUUCAAAACAAGAAGACAAAAAAUGGUAGAGAGUCAACAAUCCGAGGACUGCACCGACCACCGAGCACUUGAUGCUCAGGGACUGGUCGCCCAGUCUAUCAACUCGGAAAUUCAAGGACUGCACCGACCACCGAGCACUUGAUGCUCGGGGACUGGUCGCCCAGUCUAUCAACUCGGAAAUUCAAGGACUGCACCGACUACCGAGCAUUUGAUGCUCGGGGACUGGUCGCCCAGUCUAUCAACUCGGAACUUCAAGGAAUGAACCGACCAUCGAGCACUUGAUGCUCGGGGACUGGUCGUCAAAUUUGUUGGGACUGCACCGACCACCGAGCGCUUGAUGCUCGGGGACUGGUCGCCUAGUCUAUUAGUUCGGGAAUCAGCGGGCUGUAUCGAUCUUCGAGCAUUGUACACCUGGGGACUGGUUGACCAGUUCGUCAAAUUGAUAAGUCUAUUCGAUGGUAAAUGAGCAUGAGAUGCUCGGGGAUUGGAUAAUUUUAAUUUUUUAGACCUUGCUACAAGGCUCAUACUUCGCUUUCCAGCAAGCUCGGGGACUACAUCGGUACGAUGCAUCUGGCGAUGCAUCUCAGUUUCAAAACUACUUUGGGGAAUUUUCUUUUGACCCUGGCACCACGUGCCUACGUCACCUACUACCAGGCUCGGGGACUAAGUGGGCACACUUCACCUUACGGUGAAUAUGCUUGAUUUUUUGAGGAUCCGUACUUUUCAGAAAAGUAAAGUGGGCACACUUCACCGAAAAAGAAAUAUUUUUUCGCAAGAGCACCAUGCAUUCAUCGAACAAUUGGCUUCUUCUAUGAUGAUGUUGAUCAAAUAUGUUUAGAUUUGGUCAAAAUACCGUCGCAAUUGUCUGGGCAAUAUUCAUGCUGAUUGAAGAUGUCAAAGUUUCAUUGGUCGAAGAAGCUCAAGAUGGCGUGUUACUUCACAAUACAUGGUGCUCGGGGACUAGCUGUGGGGGUAUAAACCCCUAUACCCUUACGGCUAGACUUGGGUCAGGAGGUUUGGCUCAUUACGAGACAAGCUCAAGGUUUGAUCCGACAGCUUGGAGUUUCGCGCAAGGAAACAAGACGUGGAGAUCAAGCAGGAUUCUAGUCGGUUAGAAUAGGAAUUGAUAUCGAACUAUCUACGGCAAUUGUAACCGACUAGGAUUAGUUUCCAGAUCUGUAACCCUGCCCUCCGGACUAUAUAAGGAGGGGCAAGGGGCCCCCCUAGGAUAUAGACACAUUAUUCUCUCAACACAAAUCAAUACAACAAGACGCAGGACGUAGGUAUUACGCCAACUCGAAGGCCGAACCUGGAUAAAAAGCUUGCCCGUGUCUUGCGUCACCAUCGAGUUCGUAGUUUGCGCACCAUCUACCGAUAAACUACUACCGUGGGUAUACCCCAAGGUAGACUGCCGACCAGCUUUCAUCGACAACAGGUGGUUGAGGCUGAAGGUGGUGAGGCAGUGAGCCGACGAAAGGAGUUCAAUGAUGUUGAUCAAGCGAAUGAUCUAUCUAUUAUAGUUGGGAUCGGACGCGAACAAAUUAUGUUGCUUAAGUGCAUUUUAGUUUUGGUUUUUUUAGUGCUAGUUGCGAUUGUAUUUGUUGUAGCCAAGCUUUCCUAAAUUAAGCAACUAUGUAUCUGUCACACCCGGAUGUAAAAGAGCAUUCGGGUGCCAAAUCACAUGUGCGCCAGGAUCUCAAAUUCACACACAUGGACCGACAUCAUCAAUGGUACAAAACACAGUGUUCAAACGAAUUACAUAAAUGAGAGUAAACGUACCAUUAAUACAAGCCAAAAGUUUAUCAAAGUGCGAAGGCGAAACAUAAGCUAAACUGUUCCAUAAAUAAAAGGGAAACUAGACGUCGACGCAGCAGGUCCACCUUGCCACAUGAAGGUCGACGGCAGAACCACACGAGCCUAACAACCAGGAGACUCAGGGUAGUCCUCAGGGAAAUCGCAAUUGUACUCCUGAUCGUCCGAGCAACCUUUAAUGAUUAUAGCAAGGGUGAGCUCAUGUCGAACUCAGCAAGCACAGACGGAAAGUAAUGACAUGCAAGGCUUAAAACAAGGUAAAGCUGAUUUGGUUUGACUGCGGUAGCAUUUUAGUUGAACACUUUUAGUUAUGACUAUUAUUAGAACAACCUAUUACUAAUUAUGAGUAGCAUAAACCCAACCCUUAAUUAGUGUAAGUAGUAAUUAGCAUAUUUUAAGUACUAUCCUAAAAAUUAUAGAAGUCCAGGGAUUAACCCCAAUUAUUACCACAGGAUAGCAAUCCUGCCAUCACGGAAUAGCCAUUCCGCCAAAACACGAGGUAGCAACCUCGCCAAGGUCCAUCUCCAAGUAACCAGUGAAUCCAAUUUGCUCAUCAAGUGAGGGUCUGGGCCGCUCGUGACCGUGAGCACGGCUGAUAUAUCAGUUUUACACUCUGCAGAGGUGUGCACGUUCACUCCAAGUCGUGAUUCCCAUUUGCCCGGGGUCACGACUCCCCAAAACACUUCCGAGGUGAGCAGGCAGGGUCUCACUACGAGACCUUUCACAGGGUCCAACUAAUAGGAUGCCACUCGCAAGUUUUUGCCGGGGCGCUCGGCAGUCGAUACCCAUAGCCAUGGCGUACCGAUCAACCGACAACUUAAUAUUCAUUACCCAAGUUACUUCCUCACGCCUACCCGGAAAGUAACACCCUACUAGUGGAGGUCCUGCUAAUUAGUCAAGCCAGAGCCAUAUAGCUUGGAGCUGCACUGUAAGUCCCAGGGGGCCGCUCCCUGACUAAGUCCUUACGGAGAGCAGAGACGGGUACGCCCGGCAAACCGGACCACCAACGAUACCCGCUCCCCCUGUCACCACCAUCAUCACGAUGCUCGCAAGCAUCCAACAUCGCCAUCACCGCAGUGACCAAAGAUUCAGCACAGUUUAAGCAUCAAGUUAAGUAGAGAGUAAUUCUUGUUUAGACAUGUGUAUAAGAUGAGUAGAGCAGCUAAGCAGACCUAGUAUAGCCUAGUCUACCCAAAUACAUAACCCCAGGUGAGCAAGGAAUAAUAAGUAAAGCUAGUCAUGUCCUUAGGGUUUGCAUUCAUUGGACACAUGCAUAUAAAGUAAAUGACAUUAAUGAGUAGGUUCAAAAUGAUCAAACGGUGUCUGCACUUGCCUUGAUCGAAGUCGGGUUGCUCGAACUCAGCGGGAUCCUGAACCUCUUCCUUCACGAACGUCUCGUUGGCUAUACGCGACAAUCAUCAAUCAUAGGAACAAUACAUGCAAGCAAACAAACUUAAUCAGAAACAGUACACCAAAGCAUGCGAAAGCAUAAAGCAACUGCACUACUGUAUUCUACUCGAUGAAACGAAACUAUAGCGACCAGAAUCACCUAAAUCGGAGUUACGAUGCAAAAGUUAUGGCUAAAACAAGUUGAAUGGCAUUUCUGUAGAUAAACUGAACUAUUUUUCGUAAUUAAAACUAAUUAAAACUCAUUUUGGAUUAAAUACAUAAAUACCAACGGGUGCAGGGGCUAAACUGUAAAAGCAGGGGCAUAUUUUAAAUGAAACUAUAACUGAGUUGGAUCGCGGGUUAAAUUUGAAGAAACGCGAGGGCCUUUUCGCAAAAAGGCCAGGGGGCGCGCGGGACCGUGGCCGGCCUGGCCACGUGGCGGCGCGCGGUUGGCCGGUCCAUGGCGCGGGCUGUGGACCGGGGGAGGGGCGGCGGUCCACCGGUCCAUGGUGGACCGGGGGAGGCGCUGGCUGCUGCGUGGACCGAGUCCACGUGGACCGGCCGCACGAGGCGCGGGGCCGCGGUCCACCGUGGACCGCGCGCCGGUGCGGAGCGGGUGCGCGCGCAGGGGCGGGCGGCGGUGGCGCCAUUGGCGCCACCCGGUGCCCGCCGCGGCGGCGGUUCGGGGCGCGGGGAGGCGAGCCAAGGGCACCGGCGGGGUCGGCACGACGAGGCGAACGCGAUGGGACUCUCACCUUCGCGAAACGUCGACGGCAAAGAGAAGCUCGACGGCGGCGGCGCGGACUUCGACGAAAACGGCGGCGGCGCUGCGAACUUGCGGCUCGGGGUUUGCGCUAGGGUUUUUGGGGGGGCGCGGACGGUUGCGGCGGCCUUUAAAUAGGUGGGGACGGGCCGGGGUCCUCGAUCCGCGCGCGGCACGGAAGUCGGAGCCGGUCGUUCCGGUCCGUCUCCGAUUCGGCCGGAGGUAGGUGAUGACAGGUGGGUCCCACCUGCGGGGCCCACCAGUCAGCGGGCGGCAGAGAGAGCAGGGGCAGGGGGCGCUGCUGCCGUGCGGCUGGGCCGCGCGCGGUUGUGGGCCGGGGAGGGGAGGCGCUGCCCACUUCCCUUUCUUUUUUUUUAUUUCAAAAUAGAUUUCCUCCUAUUUAAACCUUUCUUCCAACAAAAUAAAAACCGAGCGCAACCAAUCAUUAAAUAAAUCAAGCAAAAACAAUGCAGCAGCAUGAAUGCAGAAAAAAAACAUGUUUCUACCUUAUAUUUCUUUUUAUUUAAUUUUGUAAAUUAUUUAAUAAUUCCCAAAAAUUCAAACUAAGCCAAAAUUAAAUCAAAUUUAAACUAAAUUUGAAAUUCAAAAAUUUGGAGUGUUAUAAACCUACCCCCCUUAAAAGAAUCUCGUCCUCGAGAUUAGGAUGAACCAGGGAAUAACUGAGGGUAUUUGGAUUUCAAAUCGUCUUCUCUUUCCCAGGUUGCCUCUUCCUCAGAAUGGUGUUUCCAUUGAACUUUACACAUCCUGAUAGUUUUACUCCUGGUAAUUCUCUCUGCUGUGUACAGGACUUUGAUAGGACUCUCUUCAUAAGUUAGAUCAUCCUGUAAAUCCAGUUCCUCUAGUGGCAACUGUUCCUCAGGCACUCUCAAGCAUUUCUUGAAUUGGGAGACAUGGAAAACAUUGUGCACAUUGGAUAAACUAACAGGCAGCUCAAGCUCAUAAGCCACUUCUCCUUUCCUCUCCAAAAUCUUGAAAGGAUCUACAUAUCUUGGAGCUAGCUUUCCCUUGACAUUGAACCUCUUUAGACCUCUCAUUGGAGACACUUUCAGGUAUACAUAAUCACCUGCCUGAAACACAAGUUCCCUUCGUCUCACAUCAGCAUAACUCUUCUGUCUAGACUGAGCUGCCUUUAGAGUCUGUCGGAUGAACUGAACUCUUUCUUCGGCUAUUCUCAAUGAAUCAGGGCCGAACACUUGCCUUUCACCAGUCUGGUUCCAGAACAAUGGAGUCCUACACUUCCUUCCAUACAAGGCUUCAAAAGGAGUCAUCUUAAGACUAGUCUGAUAGCUAUUGUUAUAGGAGAACUCAGCGUAGGGCAAGCUAGUAUCCCAACUAUCUCCAUACUGUAAAGCACAAGACCUAAGCAUAUCCUCUACUAUCUGGUUGACUCUCUCUGUCUGACCAUCGGACUGAGGGUGAUAAGCAGUACUGAAUCUGAGCUCGGUUCCCAAAGCAUCAUGUAACUUCUCCCAAAAUUUUGAUGUAAACUGUGUACCUCUAUCAGACACAAUCCUCUUAGGAACUCCAUGCAGACACACAAUCCGUUCCAUAUACUUUUCUGCUAACUGAUCUCCACGGUAGUUAGUUCUGACCGGUAUGAAAUGAGCUACCUUGGUCAAUCGAUCUACUACAACCCAUAUUGAGUCAUAACCUCGUUGAGUUUUCGGCAAUCCCACUAUGAAGUCCAUGCUGAUCUCAUCCCACUUCCACUCAGGUAUCUUCAACGGUUGCAACAACCCUGCUGGCCUCUGAUGUUUCGCUUUCACUCUCUGACAGGUGUCACACAAUGCCACAUAUUCACCAAUAUCUUUCUUCAUACCAGGCCACCAAUAGUUUUGCUUCAAGUCCUGAUACAUCUUAGUACCUCCUGGAUGAAUAGAGUAAGCAGAUUCAUGGCACUCCUUCAGUAUCACAUCCUUGAUUCUUUGAAUAUCAGGCACACACAAUCGGUCCUUGUGCCAAACAAUCCCUUCUUGAUCAACUUUGAAUCCAGGUGCUCUACCUUCCUCUAUCAGCUUAAGUAUCUUUUUGAUCUCUUCAUCCUCUUUCUGACCUUUUCUGAUCUCUUGCUCAAGAGUUGGUUCUAUGUCCAUGGAAGUACCUUGGGUAUUAGCAACAAACCCCAAAUUGAGAUACUCAAAUUCUGCCAGUAGUUCCAUCGGUAACUCCGUGGCUUCCAUCAUAUUCACUUGACUCUUUCUACUCAGAGCAUCAGCAACUACAUUAGCCUUGCCAGGGUGGUAAUGAAUCUCCAGUUCAUAGUCCUUGAUCAAUUCUAACCAUCUUCUCUGUCUCAGAUUCAAGUCAUUCUGAGUGAAGAUGUAUUUCAGACUCUUGUGAUCCGUGUAGAUAUCACACUUAUGACCCAGAAUAUAGUGUCUCCAGAUCUUCACUGAAUGGACCACAGUUGCUAACUCAAGGUCAUGAGUUGGAUAAUUCACCUCAUGUUUCUUCAAUUGUCUAGAUGCAUAGGCAAUCACCUUUCCCUCUUGCAUCAGUACACAUCCCAAACCUUGCUUGGAAGCAUCACAAUAGAUAGAAAAACUUUUAGUCACAUCAGGCAAAGUCAGAAUUGGUGCAGUAGUCAACCUCUUCUUCAACUCCUCAAAACUAGCCUGACACUGUUCAUUCCACUUGAAUGGCUUACCCUUCUCUAACAAAGCGGUCAUGGGCUUGGCAAUACUGGAAAACCCUUCAAUGAACCUCUGAUAGUAACCAGCCAUUCCAAGAAAACUUCUGAUCUCUCCAACAGUCUGAGGUGGACUCCACUUAAGAACAUCUGCCACAUUCUUCGGACUCACAGCAACUCCACCAUUUGAAAUGACAUGACCAAGAAAAGACACUUCCUUCAACCAGAAGUCACACUUACUCAACUUGGCAUAGAGCUGAUGUUCCCUCAAUUUCUGCAACACAAGUCUCAGGUGUUCCUCAUGUUCUUCCUCAGUCUUGGAGUAGAUCAAGAUAUCAUCAAUAAAGACUACCACAAACUUAUCCAAAUACUCCAUAAAAACUUUAUUCAUCAGAUACAUAAAGUAAGCUGGAGCAUUAGUCAAUCCAAAAGACACAACUGUAUAUUCAUAAAGUCCAUAUCUGGUGGUGAAAGCAGUCUUUGGAAUAUCACUAGGUUUAAUCCUCAACUGGUGAUAACCUGACCUCAGAUCUAUUUUGGAAAACACACAAGCUCCUUUCAACUGGUCAAACAAGUCCUCUAUUCUAGGCAAAGGGUAUUUAUUCUUAAUUGUGACCUCAUUCAAAGAUCUAUAGUCUACACACAUCCUCUGUGUCCCAUCCUUCUUCUCUACAAAAAUAACUGGAGCUCCCCAAGGUGAGGAACUAGGACGGAUAUACCCCUUAGACUGUAACUCCCUUAGUUGUUUCUUAAGUUCUUCUAACUCGUUAACAGCCAUUCUAUAAGGUCUCUUAGAUAUGGGUGCAGUACCAGGUAAUAAAUCAAUAACAAAUUCAAUCUCACGUUCAGAUGGCAUACCUGGCAAAUCCACUGGGAACACAUCAGGGAACUCUUUCACAACUCGAAUGUCUUCUACUGACCCACUGCUCACAUGGUAAACUGUUCCUUCACUGCUAGGUGACAUAGAAACUAUGACCUCAAUUCUGUUCCCACUAGGUGCUGUUAGAGCCACUGUCUUCUCAGCACACUGAAUAGUACCCUUAAACUUGGACAACCAUCUCAUUCCCAAUAUCAUAUCUAAACCUUCUGAACCCAACACAAUAGGAUUGACAGGAAAAUCUACCCCCCUUAUUCUAAUGCUCAUUCCCGGACACAAAGUAUUAGAAUGCAUCUUUCCCCCAGGUGAUUUAACUAGCAUGGUGUUUUGCAUGGUACAGGUGGCUAUACUAUGUUUCUCAACAAACUGUGCACUUAUAAAAGUAUGUGAUGCUCCAGUAUCAAACAAAACAGUAGCUGGGCAAGAGUUGACAAGAAACGUACCAACUACCACAUCUGGAGCCUCCUCAGCAGUUUCCAGCUUCACAUGGUUCACCCUUCCAUUGUUGUUCUUCUGCUUCUGGGGGCAAGCAUUCGCGUAGUGUCCAGGCUAACCACACUUGAAGCAGGUAUUUCCAGUGGGGGCGGGGUUGACAUUGGGCUUCAUUGGGACAGUGUUGGAGUUCUGGCGAGAGCCUGAUGGUGCUGGGGCAUUCUGACGAGGCGCCUGACUAGCGGGGCGCUGCACUUGGUUGUUGUUGUAGCGCUGGCUCGUCUGCUGACUCUGGUUGCUGUACCUGACAUUCUGCUGUUGUCCUUGGUUGCCUGACUGAUAUGCAGGGCGAGACUGAGGGCCCUGCUGGUUGUUGUAACGGGGACGACUGGCACCAGCCUGCUGCUGAGAGGAAUUAUACUUCCUCUUCUUGUCUUCCAUCUUGCGGCGCUUGCUCUCAAGCACUAAUGCCCUGUCCACCAUCUCCUGGAAACUGGCAUACUUGACAUUUGACAUCAUGUAGGACAGACCAUCAUUCAAACCUUCCAGGAAGUGGUCUUGCUUGUCUUCAUCAUUCUCCACAUCAUUGGGGCAAUACCGCGAUAACUGAGUGAACUUGUCACGGUACUCACAAACUGUCAUGGAGGCCUGCUUUAGAGACAGAAACUCCUUCUUCUUCAGCUUCACCAAUCUAGCAGGCACAUGAUGAGUCUUGAAGGCGACCUUGAACUCAUCCCAAGUGAUAGUAUCCGGGUCCUGAUGUGCAAAGCAAUAUGAAUCCCACCAGUCCUGUGCGGCUCCCUGAAGCUGCCCAGAGCCAUACAGAACCUUCUCCCGGUCAUUGCACUGAGCAAUGACCAGCUGCUUCUCCACAGCUUUAAGCCAAUCCUCAGCUUGCAUAGGAUCAGCUGAGUGAGAGAAGAACGGUGGACGUCCCUUCAUGAACUCUCCACGCUUGUCCCUGGGUGGGGCAAACGCGUUGUUACCUCCUUGAUGUUGAUUCUGAUUCUGAUUUUGGUUCUGCUGCAUGUGGUUCAUAAUAUGGGCCAUCCCUUGCAUCAGCUGAGUCUGCAUAGUCAUCAACUGCUCUAUGGUCAUGGGCUGAUUCCCAGGAGGAGGAGGGUUGGCAUUAGUCCCGCUGUGAUCAUUGUUGUUGUUGUUGGACUGCCCGUUGUUUCCUCCAUUGGUGUUGCUCCUGGUGUGGACAGGCAUCUGAUGUAUAGAAAUAAUAUAAUAAAAUCAGAUGUAGUUCAUAUGUGUAAACCUGAGCUGUAAUGUAAACUGCAAUGUAAUAAUCUUUCCUCAAAGUAUGAACCAGCUGAUAGUCACUUUCCUUUCUCAGUUGAUAAACACAGUACUCAGAACAGAUGUAAUAUAUAGAUAUUGAACUGAUCAUGAUAAAGUAAGACUGAUAAGAUAAAGCGAUUAUGAAAUAUGAUAAAGCACAAAUAAAGGAGACCGAUGAUAACCCAAACUAACUAUCUCAUAUAAACUUAAUACUUAAUCUUGUUCUUGAUGCGUCGUGGACAUGACCCACAACUCAUCGCACUCAUUACAAAGAACCAAAUCACACCAUUAACACAAUAAUAAAUCAAGUUCUCACACAGACCAAGCAAAGCACACUAAGCAAACGACUAAACACUAAGCUCGCAUAACUAAGAUCGUGCUAACGUUCUAAGCGUGGCACUAUUUAUUACUAAGCUGGGAAUAGCUCCUAUUCUAUAGUAGUACGAGCGCUGGCAUCUCCAUAGGCUGGAUCUUCACGAGGCGGAGAGAAAGCAGGCCACUUAGGUGAAGGCGGUGGCACUCCAGUGAUCUGAGCCUCCAGCUGCGCUAUCCUCUUCCUGGCGUCGUCCAGCUCCUUCCUGACUUGCUUCAGCUCCACUAGUGAACUGUUGAGCUCGGUGUUAGUGACCGCCACCAGCUUGACAGUCCUGUGCACGCGGGGGUCUUGCUCAUCAGUGGUGGAAGCAAUAGUCAUUGCCAACUCUCCACGGCGACGGCGAGGGUAGUAGCGACGCUCAUCUUGGCUGAUCUCCUCGAAGAAGUGAUCACGGUAUGCGUAGAAAGCCUGGCGAGCAGCAUCAUUAAUGCCCGCCAUCUGGGUAGACCUCUCAGCCACAGCUUCAUGUAUGGACACGAUCCUCAGUGCCCUCAACGUCGGGUUAGGCCUGCCGACGUGUGCCCAGACCUUCCAAUACGCCGGGUAGUCUGGGUGACUCCAGUGCUCACUGCGGUACUCCACUGAGAACAUGCCAUGUCCCAGCUGCUGGUCAAGGAGACGCUUCAGCUCGCUGUGGAAGAAACACUCUCCACCAUCCCUUGUGCAGACUGUCACAAUCCACCCAUCAUCAGCAGCAAAAAGUCCAUCUUGACCUCCAGGUCCUCCAGGUCCACCGGGUCCUCCGGGUCCUCCAGGUCCUCCAGGUGCAUCCUCAUCAUCAUCAUCCAUGUCAUCAUCACCGAAGGGAUCAUCUCCUCCAGGUGCCCAACAAGGCGCCGUUCCAUGCACCACCAGAGCUUGAGGUGGUUGCUGUCCUUCAUAGGGUUCCGCGUCUUGGAGGUUAGCACCGUCAUCAAGAUGCUGGUUAGGCUGGAACACGAUGUUAUCCACGCGACCAGUCAACGAGAACUCCACAGCUUGAACGGGGCGGAAACGAAUAACGCUCUUGCGGCAGGUCAGGUGGCGAGUCAUCUACUUAUGCAUAAGAUCAUAGACAUGCAGGAAACGGUUAAUAGAUCAUGACAAUGAUAGGUAAAUAAAUAACAUAAAUGAAGGUAAAAGUGUAUGUGUAAUGAAGAUGAACCAAGAUUAUACAAUGGAUGGACAAUAUGAACUUUGGUGGUAUUUAUGGUAAGAUAUAAAAGCAAGUAAUGAAGGUAUAAAGUGAAAACAAGGUAAUGAAAUUUAUUGUCAAGGCAGAAAUAAAACAUAACUCAAGUAAUAAAUGAAAAACAAGGAACAAGAAGGUAAUAUGAGUAGAAUGAUAAUAAAAGACAAGGUAUAAAAGAAAGGUUCAAAUAACAAGUAGUAAAAGUUGAAACAAGAAUAUAAAUGCAAUAUGAGAAAUAGAAAGCAAUAAAUGAUAACAAGGUAAUAAAUGUAGGAAGUAAGUGAAUAAACUGAAUUGUUAGUAAAAGUAAGUAGAUAAGGCUAAUAGAUAAAGUCUAAUGAGACAGGUUAGUAAGGUAGUUAAUAGAUCCAAUGGUGUAUUCCACCCAAAAGGGACAAUCUAAACGGCUGUUUCUAACUAGGCUGCGUGAUCCUACGGUCAACACGGCUUUGGUACCACUUCUGUCACACCCGGAUGUAAAAGAGCAUUCGGGUGCCAAAUCACAUGUGCGCCAGGAUCUCAAAUUCACACACAUGGACCGACAUCAUCAAUGGUACAAAACACAGUGUUCAAACGAAUUACAUAAAUGAGAGUAAACGUACCAUUAAUACAAGCCAAAAGUUUAUCAAAGUGCGAAGGGGAAACAUAAGCUAAACUGUUCCAUAAAUAAAAGGGAAACUAGACGUCGACGCAGCAGGUCCACCUUGCCACAGGAAGGUCGACGGCAGAACCACACGAGCCUAACAACCAGGAGACUCAGGGUAGUCCUCAGGGAAAUCGCAAUUGUACUCCUGAUCGUCCGAGCAACCUUUAAUGAUUAUAGCAAGGGUGAGCUCAUAUCGAACUCAGCAAGCACAGACGGAAAGUAAUGACAUGCAAGGCUUAAAACAAGGUAAAACUGAUUUGGUUUGACUGCGGUAGCAUUUUAGUUGAACACUUUUAGUUAUGACUAUUAUUAGAACAACCUAUUACUAAUUAUGAGUAGCAUAAACCCAACCCUUAAUUAGUGUAAGUAGUAAUUAGUAUCUUUUAAGUACUAUCCUAAAAAUUAUAGAAGUCCAGGGAUUAACCCCAAUUAUUACCACAGGAUAGCAAUCCUGCCAUCACGGAAUAGCCAUUCUGCCAAAACACGAGGUAGCAACCUCGCCAAGGUCCAUCUCCAAGUAACCAGUGAAUCCAAUUUGCUCAUCAAGUGAGGGUCUCGGCCGCUCGUGACCGUGAGCACGGCUGAUAUAUCAGUUUUACACUCUGCAGAGGUGUGCACGUUCACUCCAAGUCGUGAUUCCCAUUUGCCCGGGGUCGCGACUCCCCAAAACACUUCCGAGGUGAGCAGGCAGGGUCUCACUACGAGACCUUUCACAGGGUCCAACUAAUAGGAUGCCACUCGCAAGUUUUUGCCGGGGCGCUCGGCAGUCGAUACCCAUAGCCAUGGCGUACCGAUCAACCGACAACUUAAUAUUCAUUACCCAAGUUACUUCCUCACACCUACCCGGAAAGUAACACCCUACUAGUGGAGGUCCUGCUAAUUAGUCAAGCCAGAGCCAUAUAGCUUGGAGCUGCACUGUAAGUCCUAGGGGGCCGCUCCCUGACUAAGUCCUUACGGAGAGCAGAGACGGGUACGCCCGGCAAACCGGACCACCAACGGUACCCGCUCCCCCUGUCACCACCAUCAUCACGAUGCUCGCAAGCAUCCAACAUCGCCAUCACCGCAGUGACCAAAGAUUCAGCACAGUUUAAGCAUCAAGUUAAGUAGAGAGUAAUUCUUGUUUAGACAUGUGUAUAAGAUGAGUAGAGCAGCUAAGCAGACCUAGUAUAGCCUAGUCUACCCAAAUACAUAACCCCAGGUGAGCAAGGAAUAAUAAGUAAAGCUAGUCAUGUCCUUAGGGUUUGCAUUCAUUGGACACAUGCAUAUAAAGUAAAUGACAUUAAUGAGUAGGUUCAAAAUGAUCAAACGGUGUCUGCACUUGCCUUGAUCGAAGUCGGGUUGCUCGAACUCAGCGGGAUCCUGAACCUCUUCCUUCACGAACGUCUCGUUGGCCAUACGCGACAAUCAUCAAUCAUAGGAACAAUACAUGCAAGCAAACAAACUUAAUCAGAAACAGUACACUAAAGCAUGCGAAAGCAUAAAGCAACUGCACUACUGUAUUCUACUCGAUGAAACGAAACUAUAGCGACCAGAAUCACCUAAAUCGGAGUUACGAUGCAAAAGUUAUGGCUAAAACAAGUUGAAUGGCAUUUCUGUAGAUAAACUGAACUAUUUUUCGUAAUUAAAACUAAUUAAAACUGAAUUAAAACUCAUUUUGGAUUAAAUACAUAAAUACCAAUGGGUGCAGGGGCUAAACUGUAAAAGCAGGGGCAUAUUUUAAAUGAAACUAUAACUGAGUUGGAUCGCGGGUUAAAUUUGAAGAAACGCGAGGGCCUUUUCGCAAAAAGGCCAGGGGGCGCGCGGGACCAUGGCCGGCCUGGCCACGUGGCGGCGCGCGGUUGGCCGGUCCAUGGCGCGGGCUGUGGACCCGGGGAGGGGGCGGCGGUCCACCGGUCCAUGGUGGACCGGGGGAGGCGGUGGCUGCUGCGUGGACCGAGUCCACGUGGACCGGCCGCACGGGGCGCUGGGCCGCGGUCCACUGUGGACCGCGCGCCGGUGCGGAGCGGGUGCGCGCGCAGGGGCGGCCGGCGGGCGGCGGUGGCGCCAUUGGCGCCGCCCGGAGCUCGCCGCGGCGGCGGUUCGGGGCGCGGGGAGGCGAGCCAAGGGCACCGGCGGGGUCGGCACGACGAGGCGAACGCGAUGGGACUCUCACCUUCGCGAAACGUCGACGGCAAAGAGAAGCUCGACGGCGGCGGCGCGGACUUCGACGAAAACGGCGGCGGCGCUGCGAACUUGCGGCUCGGGGUUUGCGCUAGGGUUUUUGGGGGGGCGCGGACGGUUGCGGCGGCCUUUAAAUAGGUGGGGACGGGCCGGGGUCCUCGAUCCGCGCGCGGCACGGAAGUCGGAGCCGGCCGUUCCGGUCCGUCUCCGAUUCGGCCGGAGGUAGGUGAUGAUAGGUGGGUCCCACCUGCGGGGCCCACCAGUCAGCGGGCGGCAGAGAGAGCAGGGGCAGGGGGCGCUGCUGCCGUGCGGCUGGGCCGCGCGCGGUUGUGGGCCGGGGAGGGGAGGCGCUGCCCACUUCCCUUUCUUUUUUUUUAUUUCAAAACAGAUUUCCUCCUAUUUAAACCUUUCUUCCAACAAAAUAAAAACCGAGCGCAACCAAUCAUUAAAUAAAUCAAGCAAAAACAAUGCAGCAGCAUGAAUGCAGAAAAAAAACAUGUUUCUACCUUAUAUUUCUUUUUAUUUAAUUUUGUAAAUUAUUUAAUAAUUCCCAAAAAUUCAAACUAAGCCAAAAUUAAAUCAAAUUUAAACUAAAUUUGAAAUUCAAAAAUUUGGAGUGUUAUAGUAUCUUAGACAUGUUGUGCAAUAAGAUGACAAACUAUAUGUGUGCAUGGUUUUCAUAAUAUAUAUGUUAUAUUUAAUGCAGAUGGUAACAUGUAAUUGGAUGUAUAAUGCCGAUCGGCGCUCCGAAGAGUUCAUUAAUGGCGUGCACUAUUAAGUGUGGCUGAGACAAAUAAGAGAGACGGUUUCAUGUGCUAUCCAUGUGCCGUGUGUAAGAAUUUGACGGAAUAUUCUAACUCAAGAACUCUUCAUUCGCACUUAUAAAAGUCUGGUUUCGUACCAAACUAUAUUUGUUGGACCAAACAUGGAGAAAGCGGGAUUAUAAUAGAUGAAGGUGAAGAAGAAGAAGAAGAAGAAGAAGAAGAAUUGGACCAUGCCAAUAUUAUUGCUCAGUACGGUGGCUUCAAUGAUGUUGCAAUGGGGGAGAUAAUGAAGAAGAGGUAGCGGCAGAAGAUGAUCGGGGCGAUGAUGCUUUUGGUGAUGCCAUCCAUGAUGCACAAAGAGAAUGUGAAAGUGAUAAAGAGAAAGCCAAGUUCGAGCGCAUGCUAGAGGACCACAGGAAAUCGCUAUAUCCCACCGCUGAAGAGGGGCAAAAAAAGCUGGGUACCACACUGGAAUUGCUGCAAUGGAAGGCAAAGAAUGGUACAUCUGACAAGGCAUUUGGGCAGUUAUUGAAGAUCAUAAAAAAGAUGCUUCCGAAAGGCAACGAAUUGCCCACCACUACGUAUAAAGCAAAACAGGUUGUCUGCCCUUUGGGAUUAGAAAUCCAGAAGAUACACGCAUGUCCUAAUGACUGCAUCCUCUACCGUGGAGAGGAAUACGAGAAUUUGGAUGCAUGUCCAAUAUGUAAGGCAUCACGGUAUAAGAUUAGACGAGAUGAUCCUGGCAAUGUUGAGGGUGAAGAACGUCAUAGGAAGAAAAUUCCUGCCAAGGUUAUAUGGUAUGCUCCUAUAAUACCACGAUUAAAACGUUUGUUUAGAAAUAAGGACAAUACAAAGUUGUUACGGUGGCAUAAAGAAGACCGUAAGAUAGACAAUAUGCUGAGACACCCUGCCGAUGGAUCCCAGUGGAGAGCGAUAGACACAGAAUUCCUAGAUUUUGCAGAUGAUGCUAGAAACUUACGGUUCGCCUUAAGUACAAAUGAUAUGAAUCCUUUCGGUGAGAAGAGCAGUAGUCACAGCACUUGGUCAGUUACUCUAUGUAUCUACAACCUUCCUCCAUGGCUAUGCAUGGCAGCGCAUGAAAAAACGAGACAACCUGCAUCUAGAAAGACAGAUGAUGGACGUCAUUACUUAAGCUCUGCUAGCUACACUCUGAGCAAAGAAGAGAAGGAAAGCAUGUUUAAAUGUCUUAGCAGCAUCAAGGUCCCAUCUGGAUUCUCCUCCAAUAUCAAGGGAAUAAUUAAUGUGCCAGAGAAGAAAUUCCUGAACUUGAAGUCCCAUGACUGUCACGUUCUAAUGACGCAAUUGCUUCCGGUGGUUUUAAGAGGAAUUUUACCACCAUACGUACGUCUAACCACCGUAAUGCUAUGUGCAUUCCUCAAUGCAAUUUCUCAGAAGGCAAUCAAUCCAGAGCAACUAGCUACUCUGUAGAAUGAUGUCGUUCAAUGUCUCGUCAGCUUUGAGUUGGUGUUCCCUCCAUCCUUCUUCGAUAUCAUGACACACCUCCUAGUUCAUCUAAUCAAAGAGAUUCGUAUUCUCGGUCCUGUGUUCCUACAAAACAUGUUCCCCAUCGAGAGAUUCAUGGGUGUCCUAAAGAAAUAUGUCCAUAGUCGUUCCUGGCCAGAAGGAAGCAUUGCCAAGGGCUACGGAACAGAGGAGGUCAUAGAGUUCUGUGUUGACUUUAUUCCAGACCUUGACCCAAUUGGCAUUCCUGAAUCUCGACACGAGGGCAGACUCAGCGGAAAGGGAACACUUAGGAAGAAAAUAUAUAUUGGUACAGGAGACGAUUACUUCAAUAAAGCACACUACACAGUUCUCUAGAACUCCUCAUUGGUGGAACCAUAUGUUGAGGUACACAAAGAUUUCCUACGGUCCCAGUGGCCCGGGAAGAAUGAAGCUUGGAUAAUGCGUCAGCACAUGGAAACUUUUGGCAAUUGGUUGCGCAAAAAAUGUCAAGGUGAUGAAAACAUUGAUGAGCAGCUUUAUUUGUUGGCCAGACAACCAUCAUGGCAUGUCAUCACGUACAAAGGGUACGAGAUAAAUGGUAACACAUUUUACACAGUUGGCCAAGAUAAAAGGAGCACCAACCAAAAUAGUGGUGUACGCGUGGAUGCCACGGAUCCAAAUGGGAACAGACAAACAUAUUAUGGACGCAUAGAAGACAUAUGGUAACUAGUCUAUGCAGCUAAUUUUAAAGUUCCUUUGUUCCGGUGCCAAUGGGUGAAGAUGACCGGAGGUGGGGUAACAGUCGACAAGGAGUAUGGGAUGACAACCGUGGACCUUAACAAUAGUGGGUUCAAAGUCGAACCAUUCGUCCUUGCUGCAGACGUGAGUCAGGUGUUCUAUGUCAAAGAUGUCUAUGAAACCAAAGAGAGGAAAAAAUGAUGACCACCCAAUCAUCAAUGAGCCAAAGCGCCACAUUGUCCUUUCUGGGAAAAGAAACAUUGUCGGGAUUGAGGACAAGUCAGACAUAUCAGCCGAUUACGAAAGGGAUGAUCGAAUUCCGCCCUUCAUAGUCAACAAAGACCCAAGCAUUCUGUUAAACAAUGAGGAUACUCCAUGGUUACGGCAGGAUCAUAACCAAGGGUCAUACGUCAAGAAGAAGUUCACUGUUGUGUCGGCUUAACAUAAAGUCAUGUUUAAUAGUAUGUGUUGUAAAAUGUACGAAUUCUGAGAAUUGUAUGAAACUAUAUUUGAGAAUUGUGAAUUUUGAUGAGUGUAUCAAACUUUGUAUUCAUGACUUUUUAUAUACACAAUUUUUCCAUUUGAGAAAGUUUAAGUUAACAAUACCCACCAAAUCUUGAAUCUCACACAAACUAUAUGAAACUAUAUGUGUCAAUUGUGGAUUUUCAACUACACCUUCCCAAAACUUUAUCAAAUGCAAAAAUGCUCUAUAUAUUAAAUGUAGAUUUUGAUGAGCGGAACAAUAUUGGUAUUCAUGACUUUUCCAUUCGAGACCAUCUAGGGUUCCGAAACCGCUACGUGCCUAUGAAUUCUCUGAAAAUUCAAAAUUCAAUGGUUCAAACUUUUCCAAAUGAAAAGUUGACCAUUAGACAAUUUGUAUUCAUGACUUUUCCAUUUAGGACCAUCUAGGGUUCGGUCAAAGGGUGUUUUUGUAAAAACCAAUGCUUUGACUUUGAUCAAACUUGAUCAAAUGGCCCAUUUGAUGACUUCAAAUGAAAAAAUUUUGAAUACAAAGUUGUUAGAGAUCAUCAAGAUCUACAUUUUAUAUAUUGUCCAUUUUUCCAUUUGGAUAAUUUUAAGCCAAUCCUAAUCACAUUUCUAUAAAAUCCAAGACGGGUUUUGGUCAAACUUGGUCAAAUGACAAACUAAAUUACUUAAAAUAAAAAAAUUUUGAAUACCAAAUUGUUAGAUAUCAUCAAGAUCUAAACUUUUUAUAUACACAACUUUUCCAUUUGAGAAAGUUUAAGUUAACAAUACCCACCAAAUCUUGAAUCUCACACAAACUAUAUGAAACUAUAUGUGUCAAUUGUGGAUUUUCAACUACACCUUUCGAAAACUUUGUCAAAUGCAAAAAUAGUCUAUAUAUGAAAUGUAGAUUUUGAUGAGUGGAACAAUAUUGGUAUUCAUGACUUUUUCAUUCGAGACCAUCUAGGGUUCUGAAACCGCUGCGUGGCUAUGAAUUCUCUGAAAAUUUAAAAUUCAGUGGUUCAAACUUUUCCAAAAGAAAAGUUGACCAUUAGACAAAAUGUAGAACUUGAUGAGUGUAACAAACUUUGUAUUCAUGACUUUUCCAUUUGGGACAAUCUAAGGUUCGGUCAAAGGGUGUGUUCAUCAAGAUAUAUAUUUUUAUAUGAUAAAUAAAUUUUUUAUUUCAUGAAAACAAUACCCUACUAGCAUUCCGAGUAAUAAAUAACAAAAAUAAAAAGUUUAACGUCAAUAUGAUGUGAAAAAAUAUUUCCAGUUGAUUGGAUAUAGUUUUUGUAAAUUUAUUGGAAUAAUAUAUUUUUGCAUUAACAAAAUACUAAACAUUUCUUACAAAUCAUUGCAAAUUAUAAAAAUAUAGUAAGAUAUUUAAGGUUAAAAAUUUUCAUGUGUACAUUAAAAAAAUUACAAUAUAUGUCACUGUAUUAUGCAAAAUAUUUAAUUUACUAUACAAUUUAUAAUAUAAACUGUAUAUAUAAACAAUUGAAAAACCCUAAAGUAGAAAACAGGGCCUUUAGUACAGGCCCAUAGUGAGAACCGGUGCUAAAGGGUCCUGAAAAUUUUUAGAACCCCGCCUAACACCAGCCUUUAACACCGGCGCGUAACACGAGCUGGUGUUAAAGGCCCUUUAGCACCGGUUCCAGCCACGGACCGGUGCUAAAGGGUCCGCCCCUAUAUAAGCGCACAGGCGCCCUAGAUCUGAAGCAGUCUUCGUCUUCGUCGAGCAGAGAAGUUUCCUGCGCUGGCGGCCGUUCGUCUACCGCGCACGACUCGUCUCCAGCGCCGCCGCCGCGCCGCCGCCUCCGCCGCCAGCGCCGCCGCAGUCGCGGCCAACUCCGGUCAUCUCUACACCGAGAACCGAUCUCACGUAUAUACCUCGAUCCACAACCGCCAUGCAUGCAUAUCUCUAAAAAAUAAAUAUAUAUAAAAUGUUAUUAUAUAUAUACACUAAACCACACUGAAUUGUAUAUAUAUAUAGGUAUAUAUAUAUAUUAUAUACACUAAAAAAUAUAUUAUUCUAGUAAUAGUUUUUAGUAUAUUAGUAUAUAAGUGUAGUGUUGACCUGUUAUAAAUUAUAUUAUGCUAGUAUAUAUUUGUAAUAUAUUAAUAUUAUUCUUGUAUUGUUUUGUAGUAUUAUUUUUUUAGUAUAUUAUUUAUAGUAGUAUUUUUUUUAGUAUAUAAUUGUAGUAUAUUAUUCUUGUAUUAUUUUUGUAUCAUAUUUUAUUUGCUAGUGUCUUGUAUAUAUUAUUGUUUGUACUAUUAUUCUAGUAUUGUUUUUUAGUAUAUUAUUCUAGUGUAUUACUUAGCUUAAAAGAUUCUAGUAUUAUUUUUAGAGCACUCCAACACUUUCAUUUGUAGUAGUACUAGUAGUAGUAUAUAAGUCUCUAAUAUAUAUUCUAGUAGUGUUUACCCACCAAAUUUAUUCUAGUAGUGUUUUGUAUAUAUUAUUGUUUGUACUAUUAUUCUAGUAUUGUUUUUUAGUAUAUUAUUCUAGUGUAUUACUUGGCUUAAAAGAUUCUAGUAUUAUUUUUAGAGCACUCCAACACUUUCAUUUGUAGUAGUACUAGUAGUAGUAUAUAAGUCUCUAAUAUAUAUUCUAGUAGUGUUUUGUAGAAAUGGUUGACCGUCCUCAUGAUGAUCCUGAUUAUAUGGAAGAUGUCAUUCAAAAUAUGAUCGAUGACGGUAGUCAGUACUUUAUUGAUUACCACGAGAUCAUGCAAGGCAAUCCGACUGAGCAACAAGAGGGCAAUGCCCCUGAGCAACAAGAGAGCAAUGCACCUGAGCAACAACUUGUUGUGCAACAAGAAGAAAAUACUGGCGAGGUAUAUGUAAAUGUAAACAUAUAUAAUUAAUGCAUCUCUUACAUUAGGUUUUAGACUUACUUGGUUAUUAAUUUAGUAUUUUUUUCUAUAUCUACGUGUAGCCUUCUGGAUCGACCUUUACGGGGAGAAGCGUACCUCCACGAGGGCCAAAGAAGCCGUUGGAGGGCCGCUAUGUAAUCUCCGAGUUUGAGAUAGCUACUGGCAAACCACUUGGUGAACAUGCAAAUAAAUAUGUUAGUCACUCCUCGUGAAUGGAGAGAGAAGCGAGGUGCUCCUGAGAUCAGUUUUGUCUCUGAUCGUGACAAGGAGUUAGUUUGGAAAACCGUCACAGACGUUUUCACCUUCGACACCAACGACGAAGAGUUGAAGGUGUGAAUUUAUGACUGGACUAUGAAGAAGAUGGCAGUACUGUUCCAGAAUUAGAAGAAGACUUUGUACAAUAAAUUUGUCAAGAAAAACGAGACUCUAAAUUUCAACCUCAAUCAAUAUGUAAAGCCGAGGGCCUCCUGGGAUGACUUUGUGCAGUACAAAACAUCAGAAGAGGGCGAGGAACGAGCCAUUAGAAACAAAGAGAAUGUAAGUAAAAAGACAUACCACCAUCAUAUGGGAUCAGGUGGUUAUAAGAGUGAUGUUCCCAAGUGGGACCGAAUGGAACAGGAGAUGCUUGCUAGGGGGUCACACCCGAGACAACAGCAAAGAAUUGGAGCGAGCGCUCCAAGCAUUGGUUCUACGGUCAUGGGGAAAGCGUGGACCUAGACACCGGGGCGCUAGUUUGGGGCCAAGAAAUCUCUAGAGCAGCAGAGAGACUAGUCCGUACACGAGAGGCAGUUCAGUCUGGUGAGUUCAGGCCUAACAGGGAGAAGGAUGAACUCACCUAUGCGCUUGAAAAUCCUGAGCACGGUGGGCGUACGAGAGGCUAUGGGGCAGUUCCGUGGCUGCAAUCGUUCCAAGCCGAUCAAGAUACCUACAGAAGCCGCCAGAGAAAGAAGGAUGAGGAGGCAGAGCGGAUCCGCCGCCUGGAAGCUUUUGUUCUGCAAUCAGAAGAGCGCGAGAAAGCUCGUGAAGAAUGGAUGCAGGCGGAGAUUCAAAGGCAAGUGCAAGCAGCACUUAGUCAAAUGACGAAAGGGCAAGGUACAUCACAGCCUGAGGUCAACGUUAGCCCUCCAGGCCAGUUGAAAAGCAGCUGCGCAUCCACGGAAGUACCAACCAUUCAGGAUGACACGAAGCUACACUUCCCCGUGGAUGAUGUCACAGAGGCUUUUACUACCUGUGAGCUGCAUGUACCAGAUGGGAAUGCAACAAAAAAGGUGGCUAUCGCUCUUGUCAACCUUAUCGACCGAACGAGAACUCCAAGAAACUAUAAUCGACCAGUAUCUGGUGGAUAUGCUAGCGUCUCGUUUGAUAGGGUUGAGAAAGGUUGUGGCAAUGUGCCUCUAGACAUAGAAGGAGGAGACGGAGAGAAGACCUUAGGUGAAGCCGAGAAGAGAUUUAUUUGUUGGCGUAAGCGCUUCAUAAUUAUUCCUCAACAUAGGUUUAUGUGUGAUUUUACUUCUUAUAUUAUUUAUUAUGUAUUGAAAUUAAAAAAAAGUUUGCUCACAAAACUUGUAAUUAUUUUCUUUGCAGGGACUCCUCCAACCUAAGUCCAGUUCUCUCCCCAGCGCCUCAUAGUGUUGCGGGCGGUGACAAUGCUGGAUCUCCUCCAACACCUGCGGCGGCCACACCGACCCCGCCACCGCCUCCACCACGGUCUCCACCUCCUCCACCGAGGUCUCCAACUCCUCCACCGCGUUCUCCAACACCGAAAAGAUCGGCCCCACCACCUCCACCGCCUGCACCGCCCUCUCCAAAGAGUGCACAGUCGGUCCUCUCGCCUCCAAAACGAGGUAGUCAGAAGCGGUCCGCCCAAGAACGACCGAAGUCAUCGAUCCCACUUCCAAAGAAGGCUGUCUCAGCAAAGAGAGCUAAGACACCAGAAAAAUUACCUUACGAAAAGAGUGAAGAGGAGGUAAUUGCUACAUCCAAAGCUGAGGUGAAACAAUUUUUUGAUAAAUUGAAGUAGGAUAGAAAAAACGGCUAAACCCAGAAAUGUCGUACUUUUAUGUAAAGCCAUCGGAACUGAGGCAGAAGGUGGCAGACCAGCAAAAGAAGCAACGCGAAGCUCAGAAAAAGCCAACACUUUUGGACUAUGAGCGGUCUCUGGUCAAGUCUUCACAGUCUAGGAAGAGAGUAGGAAAGGGUGUCCGACAGCUCAGAGAAGUAUCAAAACCGGUGCCCCCUUUGAUUGUGCCAAAUCAAUACGGCUCAAAUGAAGACUUGAUGCUAAAGAAAUCCUUAGCGUUGUCUGAGCUAGACUCGCUUGAGCGUUACUUUGGACAGAGCGGUUUAAAUAUGGAAGAAAUUGUGGCCAUUCUUGGAUGCCAAACAUUUGAAAAAGCCGAGGUAGUUGAUCAAUGGAGGGUAAGAUAUGAACCGUGCAGGAGUCUAUUCGACCCUCAGCGUUUACAUGAGCUCGGCACACAAAUGUUUGCAAUAAACAAAUGGUGCAUUGAGGCGUCUAAAAGGGGAUAGAAUUGAAUUUCUGUUCGUAUUAGACACCAUCACUAGUUCCGUGGAGAUGACCUCAUAUACGUGCAGUUCGAAGAAGUGCACCAAUUAUGUCACCUCGACGCUCUCGACAAAUCUCUUGUCAGCUGCUUUUGUCUGUAAGUAUUUUUUUAUUAUACUUCUAACUUCUUUAAUUAUAUGUAUAUAAUCCUUACACACUUAGGAUUUGUAUGUAUAUAUGCAGGCACCAAAUGAGAGAGCUCAGAAUCAGAAAUGACAAUAGUAUUGGGUUCGUUGACCCUUAUAUUGUUUUCAAAGCUCCGCAGGCAGUGUGGACAGCAGCUCAUGAGACAGAAGUCUGCACCAAUCUUAUGAGGUUCUUUGUGAAACAAAAAGAAAAACAAAAAAUAUUCUUCCCCUUCAACUUCGAGUGAGUUGUAUAGUUAUUAAGUGCAUGCAUAUUUUAUUUUAAUAAUUAUUACUCGAGACAAGUUUUAUAUAGUUAUAUAUAGGCCUGACUAUAUAUGUGUGUAAACAGCUUUCACUGGAUACUCAUAGUCAUUGAAAUUCCCAAGAACUGGUUGAUAAUCUUUGACUCAAUGAGAAAACCACAAGAAAAUUAUCAACAAAUGGUAAACAUUAUUCAAAGGUACGUAAUGUCGAUCUCAGCUAGAAGAAUAUCAUAAUAUGACUCUGUAAUUAUUAGUUCACGAUCCACAAUGGCUGUGUGUAGGGUUUGGGAAAGAUUCAUUGACCGUGAACAUCUCAGUGGAUGUAAAGCGUCGCUUAACAUAAUACAUCCACAAGUAAGUUCUACUAGCUAGCAAACUUUCGCUAACUUUUAGCCUUCUUAUUGUCGUGGUCGUGAAUAUUUUUUUUAUAUAUAUAACGUACAGUGGUGUUUAAGACAAGAAGGGGGGAACAAUCUAUGUGCAUAUUACGUGUGCAAAUUCAUGAUGGCACAAGUCAAUCAAACACCCACAGAGACGCUCAGAGUACGUUACAUGUCUCUUUUCAUUAACUCCUGAAUUAUAUUGAAUAACUUAGAUAACUAAUACCUUUUUUAUUUAUUUUAAAUUAAAGACGGAAUGGUUGAGGGAAAAGGUCAUACAAAAAGACCGAAUCAAAGCUAUCCAAGAGACGAUAGCUGGAUUUCUCCGCGAGCAAGUGAUCAAUCCAAACGGCGAGUUUCCCUUCAACGGCAACGAAACUCUUAUUCCAAACAACGAUGAUCAUUUGUAUCGUUUGUAGACAUUGGGAGAAAAAAACUCUAUGUAUAUAUGUGUUACGAAUUUUGUACAUAUAAAACUAUAUAUAUAUAAAUCUUUUUACAUAUCUAUCUAAUUUUUGAUGUGGCCUAUUCAUUUUAUUAUAGGCAAAGCUUAAUUAUUAAGCUAAGCCUAUAAUUUUCAUUUAUAUAUGCUUAAUAUGCGUGUAAUAUAAAUAUAUUAUUGUAUCAGCAAAAACAUAUAUUGAAAAACCUAUUAUUAUUAUAUAAAAACAAUAAACAGAACCGAAGAAGUGAACCAAAAAAAAGAAACCCUUUAACACCGGUUGGUGGUCCUGCAACGUGGUAGCCCUGGCAGGACCGGUGUUAAAGGUGGGGGGCUUUAGCCACAGUUGCCAGAACUGGGACUAAAGGGUGGGCCUUUAGUCCCGGAAGGGCAACACCGGCUCGGGAACCGGGGCAACAGGCUGUUCCCGACCGGUGUUAAUGCCUAAUCCUGCAGCAGUGUAGGUAUCCCUCUUUGUCUCGUCAACAAGUUCUACUUAGGCCUUGUUUAGAUGUGAAAACUUUUUGGAUUUCACUAUUGUAGCACUUUGGUUUGUUUGUGGCAAAUAUAUACUGUCCAAUCAUAGACUAACUAGAGUCAAAAGAUUCAUCUCACGAUUUAUAGGCAAACUAUGUAAUUAGUUUUUGUUUUCAUCUAUAUUUAGUGCUUCAUGCAUGUGCCGCAAGAUUCGAUGUGACGGAAAAUCUUCAAAACUUUUUGGAUUUUGUUGCUGGGAACUAAACAAGGCCUUAGAGGCCAACAUGAUCGUUUAGGCCUUUGAACAUUUCAUCUUUUCUCAUGUCAACAAGUUCUCUCUAUCUUAUCUUUUCUUGUAGCAAGUCAAAGCUUGAAAAAUCAUUGGGGUAGAAUUCAACAAGUCUUUGUACCUUGUUUGUGUCAAAAAUAAGCAAAGGAAUCGGCUAGACUCGAAGCAUCCAUACACUAGAAAGAAACUCCAUAUUUGUCUCGUCAAAUCAACCGUACACUAGAAAGAAACUCCAUAUUUGUCUCGUCAAAUCAACCGUCAAGCUCUGUAACACCCAAAACCUGAUUUUUAAUUAAUAGGAUUUAAUUUGAUUUAAUUAAGCAUUUUUUGUGAGCAUUUAAUCUAGUAAAUAAAUAAUUUUUGUCAAAAUUAAAAUUUAUCAUAAGUUUAGAAACAUGGUGGUGCAUUCAUGCUGGAAUUAAUUUAUUUAUUUGCUUGCUUGUUUGCUUAUUCUCCAUGUAUUUUGUUUAUCUUCAAAAAGGAUUUAAAAUCUCUUUUCAAAAAGACUUUAGAAAACAAAGGAGAAAUAGGAAAAAGAAAACAGAAAAGAAAAAUAAAAAAAGGCAAACCCAGCCACCCCCUGGCCUGUUUCUUCCCCCCAGCCCAGCAACCCCGCUCGGCCCAGCAACCGCGGCCAAACCCCGCCCUGCAGCACUUCUUCCCUUUUCCCUCUCUGGCUGACAGCUGGGACCGCCCCCUUUCUCUCGCUGACCACUAGGCCCCGCGUGUUAGUCUCCUCUCCCUACUUUCCUUCUUCUCCACUUCAGCGCCGAGCCGGACUCUCUCCCUAGAAAGCAACGGAUCCCGGCUUUCACAUGUUUUGGCACGGAUCGAAGCCCUGGUGCCCUAUAAAACUUCUAAAUCAACCUCGAAGCUCUCCUUUCACAUCCAAGUCGCUUCAACCAAGCCCUAGCCGUCGUUUCUGCAUGGUUUGGAUCUCGCCGAGCCGCGAGUCAAGACACCACCGUCGCGGGUCAUCCCUGCCCCUUCCCAGCUCAAGAAAAACACAUGGGUGAGUGCGCAAGGAGCUCCUUUGCGUUUUGGUGUGCUCGGUUUCGUCCUGAGUGCUCGGCAGCGGGUUUUUCUCGAGCUCCGGCGAGACCAACCAUGGCGCCGCCGUGUCGGGGCCAUCUCCGGCCGGCCGGCCGCCGCUAGCGCCCUUAUCAAUUUGUAGCCGUUGGAUCCAAGAUCAACGACCCCCGUUAGAAGAAAACGGUUCGGCUGUAAAAUUUCUAUCCCUGGAGUCUGGGGAAAUCAAACCCACAGUCCCUCAGCGUACUCAGGAAAAUACGUUUUCCCUUUUUCGAAAGCGUAGAUUUGCUGGUUUAAUUUGAAAUACGUUUUCCGUUAUUUACAAGAUUACCACUGAAUUUAUAAUGCUUAUAAAAUACUCAUUUUAACUCCGAUUUAAUCCAUUCAAAUUUCGUUAGAUUCGUAUUUACGAGCUCUACAUGUUGGAAGUAUUAGUUCACUGUUUCGAAACUUUUUAUUUUCGCAGUAGCAUUUAAUUAAUUAUUUAUCUAUAGGGAAUCUUAGAAAAAUCAUAACUUCUACGUUUUAAUUCCAAUUUUCGUGAACUUUAUGUUUGUGUGAUCAUAGCGCUGCGUAGAAUAUUUUGAUAAACUUUUAUCUUUGUUUUACCACUGUUUGGUGUAUUGUUCUAAUUAUAGCUUGUUUGCCUCGUGUAUGAUUGUCUACAUUGGAUUGCGUGUUGUUGAUUAAUGAUCGGGUAUAGACGGUGAGCGAUAUGUUGGUGAUCAAAGUCAAUCUUUUGAAGAUCAGUAGCAGGCUCAGGAGAGCUUUGAUCAAGUAUAACUUGGGAUCAUCCUUGUUACCUGUUCACUUAUAAAUAUACAUAUAUAUAUCAUAUGCAUGCUUUCACCUUGUCGACCUUAGCAAAAUCAUAGAUGAUUGUUAUCUGGAUUCCUUGCUACCUACUUGAUAUGCAUUUGGUGUAGAUGUGCUAGUGCUUGAUAUAAUCCAUGAUCUUGUAAGAUGAUUAAUAGCUAUGCAAUGAACGUUAAAAGAUGACAAAUAACUAUAUGAGAUCUUGUCUGUAUGUGAUCAUCGGGACAACAGUGCAACCAUGAGGGCUAUAAUGGCUCUGGCUUUAGCUCAGUAUGAAGACCUUUUCUAGCUUGUUAGAGGUUACCCGAAAGGGCGCUAGAGGGGCUGAACCGUUUUGGGUAUAGUGCGAGCCCCUGUCCUUAUGUGUAUAGGCUACGCGUCAUUGUGCCAUUUGGAAGGAGGGCAUCUAUAUCUGCGCGCGAAGGAAACCUUGCGGCCCAACAUGUUAGACGAACUUUUGAAAGGCUUCAUAGUGAUCCCUGCCGACUUUCUUAGGAAGGGGGUUAAGAGACUAGCUACCUCGGGCGAAAGGGUAAAUCAUGACUCAUGGGUAAAGAUGUACAACCUCUGCAGAGUGUUAAAAACUGGUAUACUAGCCGUGCUCACGGUUAAAAGCGGCCUUGGGGGUUCUUACAUCAACGAUGAUGAGCUUGUUAAGUUGUUAUGUUCAUUUGAUUAUCAUUUAUGCUAAGAGUUAAUUAUGCAUACACUUGAUCAUGUGAUUAUCGGAUCAUUUAUGCUACCUUGAUAUUUGCUAUUUUAUUAUGAACAUGCUAUCCACUAUUAAAAGCUAAAUGCAGUCAAACCAGUGUCAGCUCUUUGAGCCUCAUGAACCCCUGGUUAUACUUGUUGAGUACGAUAUGUGCUCACUCUUGCAAUUUCCCAACACCCCAGGUUAUGCUAAGGAUGAUGAUUGGAUUGAGGACUACCGUUAUAAGUAUUAGGCUUGGAGUCAACCAGUCAACAGUGUCCCUGUGUGGUGCUUCCGUCGAGAGCGUUGUUUAUUUCUAUUAUUAUUGUUGUAUAAUACUAUUUGAUUUAUUAUGUUCCGCGUGUAAUAAACACUGCAAUGGUACAUUUGAGAUUUGUCUACUUAUGUGUGCGACUGUUUUUGGGCACAUAUGAGUCUUUUAUGCAUCCUAUUUUGUUCUUAAAAUAUGGGUGUGACAAAUUGGUAUCAAAGCUUUGUUGACUGUCGGACGCAAGCCUAGUUAGAAAUUGGCCGUCUGAAGGUUUUGAAAUUGCUAUAAAAUCCUUGUUCUGUAAACCUUGAUAUUUUCUCCUAUACUAUAUCCUUUUCAUUGCUAUUCAUCUUCACCUUGAUGCUUAUUUUAAAGACUUGUUCUCAUCCCCACUCCUUGCUUGAUAUGCUUUUAGAACCUUGUCUUACCACUUUCUGGCGUCAUUGAAAUAGGAGUUUUAGGAUCUUUACCCUUAAUAGGAAGAGAACGAUAGUACCACAAGUUGAGUCAAUGCUUGAAGUGUUAAACUUUGAAUGCUUGGUUUGGGUUGUUAUUAUGCUUAUGCUUGAUUUGGAUCUUUGUAAUGAGUGUAAUGAUCUUAUACAUUUUCUCCAUAAUUUCAUUUAGUUUAUAGGCCUAAGGCAUAAGGAUUAAUGAAUUAAAUAGUUGGGUUUGGUUAAAAUUCUGUUUCUGUCCUUUGCUGUUUUCUGGAGUAGUCUGCAAUAAAUCUUGUACAAAUCAAAAUCUGUUUGUGCAAAGUUCAUCAAAUUUUUCUAGGAACAAGUAGACCUUCAUAACUUUCCAAUGCCACAAGAAUGACAUUAUUAGCUGUUAUGAGCUGUGAGUUAUGGUUGUUCAAAGUUAAGGGUUUUGCGCAGUCUGAAAUUCUGGAACAGUUUCAGUUGUGCCCAGUUAUUGGUUAAUUUAACAAUGGAAUCUGUUAAUAUGGUCCAAAUAAAAGUUGUAUAUAAUUUAUUUAUCUUUCCAACGGUGUAUAGAAUGUAAUCUUUUGGUUUCUAGAACUCGAGAUAUGACUGACUUUCUGAUCUGCUGAUGUUGGAUGCUACCAGAAAAAUUUUAGAUUCCAUUAGCUCUUGUAAUUGUUAUGUUGGACGUUACUAAGACAUGUUUCUGUAUCAUGAUGGAAUGCAGAUGGCAGCAAGAGGAAGAGGCAGAGGCAGAGGCUGUGGCAUGGGUGUCAAUGAUCCAAUUACCGAGGAAGAGCUUAUGCAAACUCAGAAUGAGAUGAUGCAUGUUUUCAUGCAGCACCUACAGCAGCAACCUCCACCACCACCGCCACCUGUUCAUGUGAGAGAUAAGCGUGGCGAAUUUAUAAAGGGAAGACCUUCGGUGUUUACACACUCAGCUGAUCCUAUGGACGCAGAUGAUUGGUUACGUGCUGUAGAGAGGCAAAUAUAUUGGUCUCUUUUACUCUUUGUCAAACAGACAAGUGACAUUGCAUGGAAUAUAUUGGUCUCUUCUUUAUGAACACUCGAAUAAUUCAUUUGUGUGUCCAAGAAUCUCAAGCAUAAAAUGAGCACUAAAAAAAAUAAAAUGACUCAAGAACUCCAACCAUAGUACGUAUUUUUGGCCAUUCACUUCUUUGUGAGUAUCUUCUCCAAGAGCUAUGAGUCUAUCAUAAAUUGUGCAAUAAAUAGCAACCAUAUUGGCCACAAUUUUACAAUGAGAGCCCCACCGAGUCUCGCAUGUCUAGGCAGCCCCGUCUAUUGAUUUAACCCAUUCCAUAUUCUAGUAUUACCAUAUUUAAGUGUUUUUUCUCUCUUUGGCGUUGCACCUAAGAACAGUAGGAGAGCACUAGGAGUUCUACUGGGGCCAGCAGCGGUAGGGGGGCUGGAGCCCCCCUAGCCCCACCGCUGGCUUCGUCCCUGCUUAUAGCGUCUGAGCGUGCAAGGAAUCGAGUAAUGCAUCGUGCAUGAACUAGCGAGAAGAGAGACAUGGAGAAAAACGAUAUUUUCCCAACUAAUAGGUGUACCCCAAGUUUGAAAGGGGUGAUGAUUUUCUCAAUCCGUUGAAGCAUAUUCCAUGUAUAAUUCAGAGUUUUGUUUUCUUAAUUUCCUUUAAUAAUCUAAAUAUAAGGAAUUGAAUUCCCCUUUAAUCUAAUAUAAGGAAUUGAUGGGCUAUUUGGUUGCUAGCCACAGUUUGCCACACUUUACCUUAGGCAAGUUUGAUUAAGUUGGCAUGUGUUUGGUUGAUAACUAAGUUUAGGCGUGAUUUUUUUUAGGCUCCACAUGUCAUAGAGUUAAAAAGUGUGGCAAGAUUCCUUUAGGCAUGAUAAAAUGUGACAACCAAUUUGCUAACCACACUUUUUAUGGCUUGCCACAAUUGCCUUAAGUUAGUUGUCAUAGACUAUGACUAGCAACCAAACGUUCCUUGAGUUUUCUCCAUCUUAUGAAGGCCCUAGCUACAUGGUCUUGUUUUGUAGACAGAGCUCGAGCCGGAGCCGUAGCCCUUCAUGUGAAGUUAGGACUUGUUUUAGGCCUUGUUUAGUUGGCAAAAAAAUUUAAGUUUCACUACUGUAGCACUUUCGGCUUUAUUUAAUAAUUAUUAUUUAAUUAUAGACUAACUAGAUUCAAAAGAUUCGUCUCGCAAAUUGUAGGUGAACUGUGUAAUUAGUUAUCUUUUUUAUCUAUAUUUAAUGCUUCAUGUAUGUGCCGCAAGAUUUGAUGUGACGGAGAAUCUUGGAAAAUUUUGGGAACUAAACAAGAAGGCCUUAGUUCAAAAAAAUUUGGGAAAACGACACUAUAUCACUUUUGUUUUUAUCUAAUAAACAUCCAAUCACGUAGUAACUAAGCUUAAAAGAUUUGUCUCACGAUUUACAGCUAAACUGUACAAUUAGUUUUUGUUUUUCUCUAUAUUUAAUGCUUUACGCAUGUGCCGCAAGAUUCGAUGUGACGAGAAAUCUUAAAAUUUUUUUGGUUUUUGGGAUAAACUAAACAAGGUCUAGUUUGGAAUUCUUUUUGGUUUUGGGUACCGUAACACUUUCGUUUGUAUUUUGCAACUAUUGUCCAACCAUAGACUAACUAGGUUUAAAAGAUUUGUCUCGUAAAUUACAGACAAACUGUACAAUUAGUUAUUUUUUAUCUAUAUUUAAUGCUUCAUUUAUGUAUGUACCAUAAAAUUCGAUGUGAUAGAAAAUCUUUAAAAUUUUUGGAACUAAGGCCGUGUUUAGUUUCUGAAGGGAAAAAAAUUCACGACACUAUAGCACUUUCGUUUGUUUGUGAUAAUUAUUGUCCAACCAUGGACUAACUAGGCUCAAAAGAUUCGUCUCAUCAAUUUCAACCAAACUGUGCAAUUAGUUUUUAUUUUUUGUCUAUAUUUAAUACUCCACGUAUGCGUCUAAAGAUUCGAUGUGACGGAGAAUCUUGAAAAUUUUUGAGUUUUAGUUGGAAAUAAACAAAGCCUAAACGAGACUCAUUUCUAGGGGUGUUUUUGUUGGAGUUGUUAAAGUUACCGGGUACUUAGCAUUUUUGUUUUAUUUGGUAAUUAGUGUCGAAUCAUGAAAUAAUUAGAUUGAAAAGAUUCAUCUGGUAAAUUACUCUCUAGCUAUAUUUUUAGUUUUGUAAAUGUCUAUAUUUAUAUAUCUAAACAAACAUUUAAUGUGAUGAAACGAUAAACUUUAACUAGGCUUUGUUUAGUUCAACUAAAAACCAAAAACUUUUUAAGAUUUUCCGUCACAUCGAAUCUUGAGGCACAUGCAUGAUGCAUUAGAUAUAGAUAAAAACAAAAACUAAUUGCACAGUUUACCUGGAAAUCAUGAGAUGAAUUUUUUGAGUCUAGUUAGUCUAUAAUUAAAUAAUAUUUAUCAAAUAAAAACGAAAAUGCUACGGUACCGAAAUCUUUUCGGAACUAAAGACCGAUCAAACCGGUGGCACUGGCACGUUGCACAUCGGUGGACCUUUUUUUUUACCGAACAUGUUUAGUUCACCCUGAAAAGUAAAAAGUUUUUAAGAUUUUCCGUCACAUCGAAUCAUAUAACACAUGCAUAAAACAUUAAAUAUAGACGAAAAUAAAAACUAAUUAUACAGUUUAGCUGGAAAUCACGAGACGAAUCUUUUAAUCAUAGUUAGUCUAUGAUUGGAUAAUAUUUGUCACAAACAAAUGAAAGUGGUAAAAAAUUUUCACUUUUCGAAACUAAAAACUAAACAAGGCGGAACCGUUGAAGGACCAGUAAAAACAGUGGUCGAGGCAUCAGAAUGACGGGAGUCAUGUAGUGAGAGCGUCCGCCCGCGCGCAACCGCGUUCACACGGCGAGCGACAGGACUAGUCGUGGGUAGACGUGACGGCUCCCAUCCAUCCAUCCAUCCAUCACCGCUUCACUGACACCGCAGACGCCAGUCGCACCACCAUGCCGUCACGCGCCGCGCCACCGUCCGUCCUCGCCCUCCCUCCCUCCCCGCCGCCACCCCACGCCACUGACACCACUUACCCCACCACCCGCCGGGCCCCUCUCACCGGUGUCCUCCGCGCGUGCCCACGCUGCGUCCGACCCCCGGCACGCGUCCCUUUUGACUUCCCCCCACCCCCCCCUCUCGCACACCGCAGCAGCAGGCGCCAGCGGCGGAAAGGGAAGACGCUUCGGGGAGGAAAAGAAAAAAAAAGUCCUUUUAAAAAAAUAAUUUUUAUUUAAUAAUCAAUAUAUACGUCUAAAAAUUUUCGUUUAUAUUUAAUACUCAAUACAUGAAUACGAUUAGUUUUUAAUACAUGAACUAGUUUUUAAAAAAUUAAUUUAUAUUUAAUACUCAAUACAUGCGUCUAAAAAUUGUCUAAUUAUAGACUAAUUAGGUUGAAAAAAUUUAUCUUGUCAAUUCCGACUAAACUGUGUAAUUAGUUUUUAUUUUCGUUUAUAUUUAAUACUAAAAAUUUGAUGUGACAGGCGAACCGAAAAAAAAAAAAACAAAGCCGCACACACAAACACGAACGCGAAGCGAGCGAGCAGCGAACCGCAGGGGCGCCGGAACAGCGAGUCGAGGCGGUUGCUACCGGGGGUCCAGCGAACCCGCCCGGCGUGACGUCUCCCUCGUCCCUGGGGUCCACGCCGGGCCCGCCACGUGUCUGGCCCGCGCGUCAGCGGGCGCGGGGCGAGGAGGCGGCGCGGCGGGCGCGGGUACCUUGACGGAAUCCAAUGCGGUUGUGAGCGUUUUGACGUCCGCAAGGCCAAGGACGGGUCCCUCCCCCCGGCCCCGGGGACACGCGCACACACGCACCCGAGUCGCAGGAUUUUCUACUGCUGCUACUGCUCCCUGCCCUUCUCGGCUUCUCUCCCCUUCCCUUCCCUUCUCGCUCGCUUCCGCUUCCGCUUCCUGCUGCUGCGCGCCUCGGCUCGCGGGGAAAGUCCAGCGGAGUCUCGCCGUCGCGGGAGUGCGGAGUCCGGGGGCGCCACCUCGGCGCCGGAGGAGGGAGGGUCGUUUGUUCGCGGUGCUGCAGCGGAGGAGGAGGGGUUGAGUUGAGGCCCGGAUCGCCGGAUUCCGCCGCGGGCUCGCUCGGAUCGAGGAGGCGCGGAGGGCUGUGGCUACGCCGGCCGCAAUUCCCGCGGUGUCCGCCUUGCGUUCCGACACGCGGGGCUAGGGGGCGGAGCUCCCGUGCCUGCUUCGCUUGCUUCCUUGCCUCGUCCUGCCUGCCUUGCCUGCCUGCCUGCUCGGUGCCGCUACUCGCUCCCUCGCUCGCUUGGUUCCGCGCGCUGGCGUACAGGACGAAAAAGGUGGUGGGGAGGUGACGCGUUCGCGCGGCUCCGGUUUCGGCUGCCACCGGAGGAGUCGCAAUCUCGCCUAGAUUUGCCUUGCUGCGGCGGGGGAUGCUGCUUGGACGCGCGGCGGAUCUCGACGACCGUUGUUCCUGCGCCGCGGAGUGAAAAGGUACGGUUCCCUCCGGCAGGAUUUUGUUGAUGGUGCCGUCGGGGCAGCCCAACCCGAUGGGCGGCCCGGGCCACCAGCAGGUGGUGGGCGCGUCGCUGCUCCGGACCAGCUCCAGCCUCCUCGGCGGCGGCGGAGCCGGCGCGGGUGCCGGUGGACAGCCGGGGAUGGGGAUGGGGAUGGGCGGCGGCGGCGGGGUGCUCCCUUCGCAGUCGCCCUUCUCGUCCCUCGUCUCGCCGCGCACGCAGUAUGGCGGCGGCGGGAACGGCUUGCUGGCGGGCGCGUCCAGCGUCGCGUCCAUGCUCAGCAGGCAGCAGUCGUAUGGGAAUGGGGGGACUGGGGCAAUGCCGGGCACCGGUGCUGGUCUCCCCAUCGGUGGGAUGCAGCAUAGAGGCGGCCUUGAUGGCGUUGGUGAUUUGGUUGCCACUGGAGGGCCCGAUUCCAUGGUGUUCUCGUCCUCGGGCCCUGGUAGUUUGGGCAACCAGCUUGGUGCUGACGGCUUACAGCAGCAGCAGCAGCAGCUGGAUGCACCACAAGAUUCACAAAAUCAGCAGCAGCAGCAGCAGCAACAGCAACAGCAAAUGUCAAUGGCAUAUAAUCAGCAGCAUAUGAUGCCACAAACUCAGCAGCAGCAACAGCAGCAGCAGCCUGCAGUGAAGUUGGAGAACGGAGGCGUCCUUGGCGGGGUCAAACUGGAGCAGCAGAUGGGGCAGCCUGAUCAGAGUGUUUCCACACAGAUGCUGCGCAGUUCGAGUGGCGGCGUGAAGCUCGAGCCGCAGUUGCAAGCGUUGAGGAGCUUGGGUGCUGUCAAGAUGGAGCACCAAAGCUCAGACCCAUCUGUGUUCCUACAGCAACAGCAGCAGCAACAUAUGAUGCAGCUGUCUAAGCAGAACCCCCAGGCUGCAGCUACUCAGUUGAGUCUCCUACAACAGCAGCAGCGGUUCUUACAGCUGCAGCAACAGCAACAGCAGCAGCAGAUUCUCAAGAACCUGCCUUUGCAGAGAAACCAAUUGCAGCAACAGCAGCAGCAGCAGCAACAGCAACAACAACAGCAGCAGCAACAUCAGCACCAGCAGUUGCUUCGUCAACAAAGUCUGAAUAUGCGAACUGGUAAAACACCUGCUUAUGAACCAGGGACCUGUGCAAAGAGAUUGACACAUUACAUGUAUCACCAGCAAAACAGGCCACAGGUAAACAUUUCUCACAAAUAAAUAUUUCCAUUAUUGCAACCUUGGUGGAUGCUUAUUAUUAAAGAUAUGGUAUUAGGACAAUAACAUCGAGUACUGGAGAAACUUUGUCAAUGAAUACUUUGCCCCAAGUGCCAAGAAGAGGUGGUGCGUUUCUCUCUAUGGCAAUGGUCGUCAAACUACUGGAGUUUUCCCUCAGGUUUACCUUUUCUCUCUGACAUUGAGUAUAGGCUGGUAGUUCAAUUUUAAUGUUGAGUAUAGGCUGGUAGUUCAAUUUAAAUGUCCUGAGUGUUGUUAUGAUUGAUAGCAAUCAUGCAGUCUUUUGUUUGCAUGUGAUAUGUUUUUGGGAAUACCCCAGUUUGGUCUUUUUGAUUAUUCUUUAACCUGUAUACACUUUCAUUUUAUGUUUUAGGAUGUUUGGCAUUGUGAGAUAUGCAAUAGGAAGCCAGGCCGAGGUUUUGGUGGGUAUAAUUGUGAUUGAAAUCUAUCCUACUAGACAUUUUCUAUUUCUGUGCUAUUAUGCAUCACUAAUAACUAUUUGAUGGUAUCCUACCUUUUAUAGAAACGACGGUUGAGGUCUUGCCACGGUUGUGCCAAAUCAAAUAUGCCAGUGGUACACUUGAGGAGCUUCUGUAUGUUGAUAUGCCAAGAGAGUCCCAAAAUUCAUCUGGACAGAUUGUUUUGGACUAUACCAAAGCGAUCCAGGAGAGUGUCUUUGAGCAACUGCGAGUAGUUCGUGAGGGGCAUCUAAGAAUUGUAUUCAACCAAGACCUGAAGGUAAUAUGUUCUCUAGUUGAGAUACUUUCUUAUUUUGUUGGGUUGGUGUUCCCCGCAUUUUCUUUUUGGCAUUCUAGGGUAAACUGAAUGAUAGUCUGGUCUGAAAAUACCAUUCUAGCCUUGUUAAUUAAUGUCAUCAAGCAUUAGUGCUUUUUUUCUCAUGUGAUUAAAGAGACAUUUUACUAAAAUAUUGCAAUUACUGAAAUUUAUUACACUAGGCAAUCUUCUUGCCCCCAUGCAUGCAUGCACUCAUGAAUUCACUCGUAGAGCUAUAAUUCAGAGGAAGGCAAAGGUAGCCUUUUUCUGUCUCCCUUCGUUAUGGAAGGCAAAAGGGUUUAAAGGAAGGGAUACUAGUAAAGCCACCUCAAAACAUAGGAUGAUGUACAUUUGUGAAUGAAGAAAAGACCUAUAAUGAAGCAUAAUUAUGUAGUACGAGUAGUUUGUUACACUUCUGCUAAAUUUAACACUGUUAAACUGUUGCCCAUUGUACUCAUUAGAUUGCAUCUUGGGAGUUCUGUGCCCGGCGUCACGAGGAACUUAUUCCUCGGAGAUCAAUCAUACCACAGGUAUUAUUUUCCCAAAGAUAAUGGAAUGUGUAUUUUUCAUCUGCAUUGUGAUUCUGAUCAUGGACUUAAUUUCAUGCACCUUUUGUUCUUCUAUUAGGUCAGUCAACUUGGUUCUGUGGUGCAAAAGUAUCAGUCUUCCGUUCAAAGUUCAGCAUCGCUCUCAAGUCAGGACCUGCAAAACAAUUGUAACUCGUAAGGACACUUUGAACUUCAAACCCAGUUCUUUGUUAAAUUCAAUAUUUUGCCAAGCUUUUGUUCUGAGCUUAGUUAUCCAGUCUGGCAAUCUCCCCACAAUCCUAUGCUGAUAUAACUAUCCAUACUUGUGGCGCAUGGUUUCUUGAUCUUUGCAGAUUUUGCCUCUUAUUGAUUAGCGCUUCUAGUGCUUGUAUGGUUGUACCUCUAUACAUCAACCAUAGUUUGCAUCCUCAUCAUAGAACCGGUUAUUUGCUAUUUGCUAUUUUUUUUGGCAAGAUACUGGAGUCGUGAUUUAAAUUUUGCAUGCCAUAACCUUCAUUUUAUAAAAUAUUAGUGCAUGUGAGUAUCUAGUACUUUGCAUUCGAACACUGCACAAAAUGGAGAGUUUCAAGGUGCUUUGUUAAGUUAACUAGAACAUGCAUAGACAUCAUCCUAUGUGUGCGUUGGAAGCUGCUUGUAUAGCAUGCAUGCCAGCUGCGUUAGUAAGUAGUUAAUACACUUAUACCAGAAACAUGGUUCCUGUUUCAAAAGAAUAUUUUAUUGAGCCAAAAAAAAACUGAAACUAAACUGGGAGCAGGAGUAGGAGCAUCAAAAUACUGCAAUGAAUGAACAAGUAAACCUGUUGCUAUUGGACAUUUGAGCUUCCUUUGACAUAAGUACACUAUCUGAAAUUAUGAGACGUUUUGGCUUUUUUCUAGAUACAUAGCUUUUGCUGUGCACUUAGAUAUACAUGUUAUUAACCUUGGGGAUUCAGAAGAUAAUAACUUCAGUAGUGGAGAUGACUGUAUAUAGAGAGAGCUACAUGGGCUAUAUGGGCCUAUAUUAGAUGGGCAUUUAUAGCAAUGUAUGUAGAAAAGCGUGUCUUACAAUUUGGAACAGAGGAAGUAGUAUACAAGCUGUUGAACACAUACAUAUUUUUCUAUGCUGCUGUGAGCCACCUAGAUUUUGAAUGAUACUGUUAUCCUGUACUUGCAGGACCUGCUAAUAUUUAUAAAAAAAUAGGUGGGGAACUUCCCCAACCUCCUAAAAAAUUAUACUGCUCUUUCUUCUUUUCUUUUGAUCAAUUAUACUGCUCUCUAUAUAGCCGACAUUUAUAUGCUUCAAGUGGUGCCCUUGUAGUUAAUAUGGCCUCAUUAUUAAUGGCCCCUGACUUGCUUUGUUAUUAUCAACUUAUGGCAUUUCCGUCUUGGUUGCUGCUGAAUUGAUUUUCAGUAAUGGGUUGAGAGCAGUAAUGGGCACCAUUAGUAAUAACUAUGGCCUUGUUUAGUUCCCAAAAAAUUUCAAGAUUCCCCGUCACAUCAAAUCUUAUGGCACAUGCAUGGAGUAUUAAAUGUAGACGAAAACAAAUAUUAAUUAUACAAUUUAUCUGUAAUUUGCAAGAUGAAUCUUUUGAAUCUAGUUAGCCCAUGAUUGGAUAAUAUUUGUCACAAACAAACGAAAGUGCUACAGUAGCCAAAACCAAAAGUUUUCCUCAACUGAACAAGGCCUAUGUAUCCUGCAUGGGUUUUGGGCUGUAGCUCCUGCAUGGGUUCACGGGAGCAAUGAUUUAUAAUUCCUUGCCAUACAAGUCGCUGGCCUGGCCACAUGAAGUUUGGUCGUGUGUAGUAUGUACAGAUGUUUGUUGCUCCUGUAAUCUAGUGCUCCCUGGGUCCUAAAAUAUAAGGCGGGAUUUGACUUAGUGCAGUCUUCAAGAUUGCACUUUGACCGCUUAUAUUUAAUUUAUGGCAACAAAAGUUUGAUCAUUUGAAAAUAUUUUAAAAUACAAAUUCAUAUGAUUAAAGUAUUUGUUGGUCAAAGAUAACAAAGUUUGAAUUUUGAAAUACGUGCAUGCUUUAUAUUUUAGGAUGGGGGAGUUUAACGUCAAACCUCCAAUAUUUGAUGUCGUGUUACCCUGAAUUAAGAGAACUGCUUUUAUUUCCCUUGUUAUAAUUUCUGUUUGUAUCGGCACAUGUGAUUGCCACUUCCGUGUACUCUGCAUUAUAUAGUUGUUCUAAUAUACAAAAAUUAUUGAACUAGGUUUGUCGCAUGUGCUCGCCAGUUGGCUAAGGCAUUGGAAGUGCCGUUGGUAAAUGAUUUAGGAUACACGAAAAGAUAUGUCCGCUGCCUCCAGGUACUGACUAUUUCAUGGGUCCUUACGCAUUUCCAUUUAAGUUUAACUUUUGAUUCAGUUAAUAUUAUCCCCUACUUUCUUGCAAUUUGUGUCCACAACUCCACAUGAUUCCAUUAUACUUAGCGGUGUAGAUUUAGCUACCAAUGUUGUCUUCUUUUAUGCCACUCCUAUUUAAGUGAAGUUAUCACCAUGAUUAAUCUUUUCUUUUGUCUAAACAUUGAUAAUCAGAUUGCAGAGGUGGUCAAUUGUAUGAAAGAUUUGAUUGAUCACAGCAGGCAGACUGGGUCUGGUCCAAUAGGUGCAGUAUUAUUCACCUUUUUUAUGCGUUCUUGUUGCUUAAGUAUUCUUGCUUUGAAACAUAAUUUGUUCAAUAUGGAGAAAGGAAAAUGUUAUCUGUACCACUUCACUCAAUUCUGACUCCAGUUGUUUGUAACUUCAAGUACAGUAUCAAUGUUAAUUUCUCAUUUGUCAAGUGGUACAAGUUUUAUUAGGGAUUUUGUCUGUUCUACCAUUGAUUUUGAACCAUGCUACUUACACAUAUCUCCUGCCGGCUAUGACCGUAUCACAUUGGAACAGUUCUGUUUCUUUGUUUUGCAGCCCAUAUGUUUCUGACACUAUCUUGGUAAGGGAUGUCUUUGAUGUUCCAACAAAAUCAGGAUAACUAAAAAACAUAUGGACACUAUCUGUUAAUGUUCAUCAUAUCUUUGUUUCUUAUAUAGUUCUUAACCAUCCAAAUUUCUGUAUCUUAGUUUCUCUAGGAUUUUGUCUAGAUGAAAAGCUAAUGAAAUAUACAAUUGAACAUACAUCAUGUAGUUAUUGGCUAUGAGUUGGCAUGCAUUAUUAUAGUAUUAUUAUUCAUAAGUUGUUUAACAUUUUUAAUGUGGCAAGCCUUGGUAUUAAUCAGUUUCUUCUGCUUGUUUUUAACAUACACAAUCAUGUUCUUUUUUUCUCCAGAGAGCUUGCAUAAAUUCCCUAGGAGGGGGAAUUCAGGGGGGGUUAGUUCUGUUCAAGCCCAGCAGCCAUCUGAGGAGCAGAAACCUGUUCCACAGAAUUCUAACCAGAGUGGUCAAAAUUCUGCUCCUGCAACUGGAAUGCAAAUCUCUGCCUCUGUCAAUGGUGAUGCUGCGUCAAACAAUUCACUCAAUUGUGCACCAUCUACUUCCGCACCAUCUUCUUCAUCUGUUGUUGGUCUCCUCCAAGGCUCAGUAAGUGGCAGACAAGACCAUCCAACAAGCAGUGGCAAUGGUCUGUAUAAUGGUGGAAACAGUGCUUCAGUUGCUAAGGCCAACUCAACGAACUCCAUGCAAUCAAAUGGGCCAGCAUCGUUUCCUUCACCAGCACCCUCGGCAUCAAAUGGCAAUAUGAUGCCUGCUCCUCAGCACUCAAGCCAAAUGAAUUCGCCAACCAUGUCAUCAAACCCACCUCCUAUGCAAACACCUACAAGUCGACUUCAGGAACCUGAGCCAAAUGAGUCUCAAAGCUCGGUCCAGAGGAUAUUGCAAGACUUGAUGAUGCAGUCCCAUAUUAAUGGUGUUGGACCAGUGGGAAGCGAUAUGAGGAGAGCAAACACAAUUACUCCUGGUCUUAAUGGUGUCAACUCCUUAGUUGGUAACCCUAUGACAAAUAACCCUGGAAUCAAUGGAAUGGGAUUUGGGGCUAUGGGUGGCCUUGGUCAACAAAUGAGAACGGCAAUGGGGACCAACGCAUUGGCAAUGAAUGGAAGGACCGGGAUGAAUCACAGUGCGCAUGACCUGACACAGUUGAGCCACCAGCAGCAACAGCGAGAUUUAGGAAACCAAUUGCUCGGGGGCCUUAGAGCUGCAAACAGCUUCAAUAACCUUCAAUACGACUGGAAAUCGGCUCAGUAGAGUGAGCAGGAGUCAGAAAGGUCGCACCUGAUAUUAUACAGUUAUCCUUGCUGGGUCCAUCACUGACAACACAAAAGUUACGUCGCCACAACCUGCCCUCCCUCGGAAGUGGCGGGUUCUUACUGAUGGUGCAUGCUACAUGUUACAGCAAAAAGGAAACAUUAGCGAUGAUCGGUACAUGUUACAACAACUGUCUGUAUGGCUGUGUUCCUUUGUAUUCCGCCUGUGGAAUUCAUGUCUGCUUAGGCGAUCCUACCGCAAAAAUGAGAUCUGUGAAAUGAGAGCCUACUUUCACUUGUGCCCAUUGGGGCAAGUGUUGGCGGAUUCCAAACUGGGGGGAAGAUCAGAGCGUCUUUCCCCUGUUUUUUCGGGUUGGAUGACGAUGAUUUCUCUCUUCCAGUCUGUACUCUUGUGUACCAUGGCUCUCCGUAAGUUGUGAAAGCAUGAGUACCUAUUUCCACCUUUGAUGGCCAAGAAUCUCAUUGUAGCUGUGCUAUACUAUGUAUAAGCUGUUAUUUACUAGUGGAAAGCAUCAGGAAAAUUUUCUAAAAGAGGGUGUGAAUCAUGAUGUCUCAUCUGUGUACCUGUUCUUCGGAUGAAUGAUCUCGUUUGGUUGCUUGAUAGCAGCAGGUUGAUCUGUAUACAUGAGCACAGCGUGUUGUCAUUCGCUGACACUCACUAGUAUUGCUAAACACCGCUCUAGGGCAUUCUUGCUUCCUCUUUUCCUUUGUUUGAUUAACAUGGGUUGGAAGCCGGGCUCUGAGUUUACUAUGUGUAUCAUUCAUGUGCAUUUGUAUUAGGCAACGGAUCUAGUGUAAACUCAUCUCCCGUGCAAACUGUGUAAACUCUAAUCUGGACCAUAGGAUGUUGAUCUAAGGGGCGGAGAGAUUGGGUAAUUUUGCACUUAACCGUCUGCUCUUAAUCACACUUUUACAAAUCCCUCCUUCCACCUCUCUUAUGCGUCUUCUUGGAUCAACAUCCUGCGGUUCAGAUUAGAGUUUGCACAGGAGAUGAGUUUGCACUAGAUCUGUUGCCUUUGUAUUAUGACCUGUAGCUGGAGAUGUGUUGUUCUGGAGAGUAUGCGUGUGUGACAACACAUACGAGUUCACCUCGUCAGGUUCAGCACAAAUCUCCACAUGUGCGGAGAUGGAAGCCCAAGCACCCGUGUGCUAGCACUAGCACCGGCAGAGCUGCCGAGAGGGAGAGAAAAGGGGCUUAUGAUUAUAUAUAGGCUUUGAAGGACCAAAAGUUGUCCUUUUCAUGGGGUGUUGGUACAUUUUUGUACAAGCGGAUAACUUUCUAUCUCUACGGCAACAGCAAAUAUGGUACAAACUAAUAUUGCAUGUUUCAUCUUCACCUAUUAUGGGCACAUUAUUAGUACUAUAAACUAAUGAAUUAUGGUUUAGCCCAUUUAUGGAUAUCCAACCCAUAAUAGGCAUGAUUGCCUCCUGGGCACAUCACCAACAAUAUAUACACAUAUGAAUUAUACUAACAUAUGAUGAAGUGAAAUCAUGCACUUAAUAAACUAAUUAAUGUACUUUGGAUUUGACAUAUAGAGAAGUAUACAUACAUAUAAUAACUGAGCAGUAGCAGAUGGCUGCCCUGCCUGAAUUAAUUAACGCGUCGAUCAUGACAUCCGUAUGCAAGACUAGAGGAGAUACAUGGGUGGUGUAUAUGCGCGAGCAUAUGGACACUUAUGUAUUUAAUUAAGUUGUUCAUGCACGCAUCGAUCGAUCCCAAUAUUACGAUACAACAGUGAGCUAUUAUAUGCUCAUGAGGUGCCGAUGUACUUGUCGAUGAGUGUGGUGAGCGUGGACUUUGGGACGGCGCCGAUGACGCUCUCCUUCUUCUCGCCGGCCUUGAAGAUGAGCACGGUGGGGAUGCUGCGGAUGCCGUAGGUGGACGCCACGUUGGGGCUCUCGUCCGUGUUCACCUUGCAGCACGUGAUCUUGCCGGCGUAGUCCUUGGCCAGCUCGUCGAUCACCGGCGCGAUCAUCCUGCACGGCCCGCACCACGGCGCCCAGAACUCCACCAGCACCGGCGUCUCGCACGCCAUCACCAUCCCGUCCCAAUUCUUCUCGUCCGCCACCAGCACUGCAUCCAUGCCCCAACCGUCAGUCUAUCUAUCUUUAUAUAUUUGCCGCCGGAAAAUACUCCUAUAUAUAUAUAUAUGGUUACCUUCGUCGACGGCGUUCUUGGACUGGCAGACAUGCCGCGGCCGGCGCGUGGCGACGCGGCCGACGGACAGCGGCGCGACGACCGCGGCGGCGGCGGCCCGCUUCGACGGCAGAACCAGGUUACUGCCGCUGCCGCUGCUGCUGCCGACGACGAGGAGCCUGCUGUCCUUGCCACCAGCGGCAGGGGCGGCGUGCAGCGCCCACGCUCUGAAGCACGUCUCCAGGGCCAUUGUUGUUGUCGCGGGUGUGGUGGUCGUCUCUCACACUCACCUCACGCGCGUCCGCGGCGAGAAGGAAUGUGGUGACUAUUCCAGGUGAGCCGGCGUAGGAAGGGAUAGGAUUUGUUUCCCUGCCACUGGAUGGAUAUUUGGGAGCAGGCUGGGGUGGCAUUGUGAGGUGGGCAGGAGCCUCCGGCUGUGCAUGUGGAUGAGGUGGUUUUUUUCAGCUCCGAUCCUGCGCUGUCCACUUGUCCGCACGUGAUGAUCUUCCUUUUUUUUUUUUGUGGUAACAUUUCUCUGCGCUGCUGUCUGGCCUGGGCCACCUCUAAUUCAAGUAAUAUCGUGGUAAAAAGAUCUUGGGAAAAAAUAUCAUAGUAAACCUACAUAUGUCAGUCUCUCCGGUCUCCAUCCAGAAUUAUAAGGUGCAUAUUACAUGCAUUUUGAAAUCCAAAGAAGACCAUGCCAAGUUAAAUAGUGUUUUUUUGGGGUAGAAAUAGGAUUACUAACACAAAAACCAACAAGGCAGAGUUCUACAAAUAUAUAUGACAACAUGCCAAACAGUAAUCAACCUUCAUAAAAAUUAUUUGACAAAAAAAGGAACUAUAUGGCAUAUAUGAAGUUAGCACGUGGGACCCAAACUAUAUACCAUACUCCCUCCGUUCCAAAAUAGAUGUCGCUAUGGGAUGCAUGCGGGUCAAUUUUUCGCAACUUUGACUAGAUUUAUUAUAAAAAUACAUUCAACGAUCUAUUUAAUGAUAUUAAUUAUGUGUUAUAAAUAUUAAUAAUCUUUUAGAUAUAUUUAGUCAAAGUAAAAAGCGUUUUGACUUCUCGGGAUGUGAGAAUGACAUCUAUUUUGGGACGGAGUGAGUAUAUAGGGGGUGAUUGGUUGCCGCGACGGUGGCAUCCUAAUGCCCAUCCGAUAUGAUUCUGUGCACCUAGCCCGUGUUUGGUUCCUCAACUUGUAUCGUUUGGUGUAUCUUCUCAUUCUCUUUUCCCCCUCCGUUCCGGUUGAGACCUCUUCUUGAGGCGAGCUUCCCUCGCCAUCCCGGACGGUGCGCUCCUUGGCGGGAAGGGGAGGCGCGAGCGCGGGAGAUUGGAGCGUCCUAGCGCGCGCGGGUGGGUGUUAGGCUUACCUCCCUUAUUUGGUGCCUCUCCUUUCUCUCCUCUCCCGGUGCGGUGAAUCCUCUUCCACCUUCUCGGCCUCCCUCCGCCAUCAUUGUCGUCGAUCUCUGGCGGACCGUUGGCGGUCCUCCCUAGAUCGCGUCGGUAUACAAGUCACCUCCCCCUCCCCCUCCCCCUCCUCCCCCUCCCCUCUCCCCCUGUAUGAGCUUUGAUGUGUGCGGUGAUUUUGUUUGCGGUUUAGAGCUAGGGUUCUUGAUGUUACCCGGUUAGAUCUGUGCGGUGCUUGUGUAGAUCUACCAGUCAACUUGUGAUUUCACAUGUUUUACAUUCAGAUCUGUGAUGGUUAAACCCUUUUUUUGAGCUUUGGACAUGUGGUGGUCUGCCCUUGCACUUGCACAUGAUGAUACUUUGAUUUAUUACAAACUGAGCAAAGUACCUAUGGUUGAUGAUGUGAAUGUAACUGUAGGCGCUGGAGGAGCACCUUUGAGUGUGGCAGCCGCGCCUUGUUUAUCUUGUGAUGGCUGAACUUUUGCUUGCAUUCUCUAAUAUGUACUGAUAAGGGUAAAUUUCUGUAAUAAGCACUGAGACCUAUGGCACUUUGCAAUGAUGUAUUGUUUCUUCUCUUGCAUUUUUGUGCGGUUAAUAGAACUUUGGCGCUAUCGAAUUGCCAAUGAUGAUAUCUUAUUUGCAUGUCAAGUGUGUUACCAAAAACGGAUGACCUUGAGCUUGUGUUCAGGUACUAAAACUUUGUUUCUUAUGCUCCAAGCUCAAGGUCAACCGAGGAGCAUCUAAUAUCUGAGGCCAAUCUGUUCAAUACUACAUCAUUUAUUGCUAUGGUUCAGUCUUUGUUCUUGCUGGUGACUAGAGUGGUAACCUCACCAAAACCAUACACGUGUGCUCUCACCUUUUAUCAUGCACCAAACCAAACACAGCUGGUCACACCAAGUCAUACCACAAAACUGUCUAGACAAGCAACCAAACACGAUUCCUAUGAUCCAGUAUGCUACACUCAUUUGCAACCAAACAAACCAAGGUGCAUGGUUUCAUCUGGAAUAGUUUGAGCCUGCAGAGGCCCUCCAUCCCGGAUGGCAGACCAAGGAGCAACCAAUCACCCCCAUAGCUAGGGAAGUUGUAUCCACAAGGUUUGAUAGUUGGAGACUUUGUUUUUAUAUAGUAUAUGUUUGGAGCCCUAUGUUGGAUACUUGGAUUAGUCCCAACAUGAAUCUUGGAGUGAUCGAAAUAGGGGUAGAAACUAGUUUGACCACACAAUAAAUAUCAAAUUAUACAUGAAAUAUAUAGAAAAUUGCAAUGGAGAAGAAACGAACAGGCAAAAUACAUGCUCCGUUGACCUACCUUGAUCACUAUGACAGGAGGAUAUGAGCUCUGGAAGUGUUACCGUAGAUGCUAAAACACAUGGUUGGCCACACUCCGUUCAAAAAUUCACGAAGGUAGGAGUUCUAAGUUCUAACCAAAGCUAUGUCGCAACAAUACCAGCGCACGGCAUGCUUGUCAUGCUUCUACCACACAAAAUCCAGUGAUGAGUUUGGUACAAUGACAGGUAAGUUCAGGUGGAGCCAGCAAAAUGAACAUAAAAAUGACCGGUUGAAUUGGGAGAAGUUGAUGAGGCCAAAAGAAAAAGGUGGCCUGGGAUUUUGAGACCUGCAUAAUUUCAAUCUUGCUAUGUUAGUUGUUAGGUUAGGGCAUCAGGCUGUUAGUUGUUAGGUUAGGACAUCAGGCUUAAGAGCCUCUGUUGUCACUCCAGUGGCCGGAACAGAUACAUGUCCACCCUUUGUUGUCACCCUAAUGUCAGUUUGGGUCUUGCGGACAUGCAAACCUAGUCUGCAAAAUUUCUUUUCUGAGGCAAGCCAUGUCAUUUGAGACCACAUUCACAUUACAUUUACAUAAAUAUAUUUUUGUGGCACCAGAGACAAAUGGGCACCAGAAACAAAUAGAAUGCGUGGUAGACAUUGCUCAACUUACAUUAGUCAGAUCAAGCUGAAAAUGUUUGAGAAACAUACAUGGCCUCGAAGAAAGAUUUAGACUUACUAUCUGACAUUUUGUACAUACUCCAGAGCAAGGAAAAAACAUAAAAAAGAAGAAGAUGCAUCUCUUGAAGGAAAUUGAAUACUUCACUUUCAAGUAUUUGCACCUCUUUCUCGUCGCCCCUGCUGUCCAGAAGAUUUAUGGGACCUAUUAUCUGGUCCGGCAGUGGGAAUAGUCUGCAAGCUUGCUCGCUCUUUAAUCAUUGCUGCGCAUAUGAAUGAUGAAAAACAAUUAUAAAACAUAAAUGUGGUAAAGAUGAAUGGUGAAGUUCUCUCAGGAAAACAUACACAUUGCUAUGUCCUGCAUUUGUCCCAUGCCAGCUUCCACUGCUUGCGCAACCUUUGCUGACUUAUUGACACCAUCUGCUAUCUCAUGACUGCAAAUGGAUAUGCCACACACUAGUUAGACGACGGUAUAUGCCUUUCUUAAAGAAAAAUAGCUAGCACCUUUUCCAUUUGCUAGUUCUAGAUUAGUGCCAUCUGUCUUAGGAUAACAGAUCCUACUUGAAUAUGCAUAGUCUGUGACUUGACUUUAUAAAGAAUACAUCAAAAUCGCUUCUAAAGUUAAUUCAGCUAAACUAUUUUAUGGAACUAAGCACAUCAAUAUCAUAAUGGGCAGGCUUUUUGGCUACCAAGUCAUUGUUGAGCCCUCUCCAUCAGUGCUGCAUUCUCAAUCUUGCAAGGAGUCCAACAACCCAAAAUUUGCUACUCCACCAUUUGCUUCCAUUUGUCAUGUGAAGCUAUUGGCUUCCUCGGUAAGCUUGGCCGCCACAGCCAUAUGAUGGUGGGCUGGUGGCACAUAGGUGCUGCUUUUUUUACUAACAUCAAGCAUCAUCGUUCGCAAAAAAAAAAAAAAAAAAAAAAAAAAAAAAAAAAAAAAAAAACAUCAAGCAUCAUGAAUCUUCUGUGGCAGCAACUGCUCAUUCGCAAAAGCCAUAACGUCCAUCUGUUGACUCUGAAGAUUCAAUGGCCAACAACUUUGACCACUACCAAACCUCGAGGACAAGCUGUCUUGGAGAGGUCAUGUAAUGUCAUGGGCAGUAUAGGCCCAUGAAGGAGAUUAGUGUGCCUCCAAAAAAGGAAAAUGGCCCAAGUUAAUAAGGUUGGCAGUUGGCUAGAUGUUAAUUAGCAAAUAAGAUAGGGUUAUCUAGAGAUAAGGAUUUAUUAGGUGUCACCUCUAUGUAAACAGAAACAGAUUAGAAUCAAGCAAGAAGAAAACUAGAAAGUAGUCAGAGCCUGCAGAGGGAGGGCGACUAACUGGUUCUUCCCUCUAUCCCAACCAAAUCCAUAUAUCACAUAAUAUAGACUAAACAUCAAGGAUCGCUGUCCAAAGAUAUGAACUGGAAUUGAGGUCCUUUGGAAUUUAUGAAUGUCUGAAACUAUAAACCAGCAGAUGUUAGAAUGAUCUGUUACAGUGUAUGUUAACUGGCGCCUGAACUACUAAAGGGAAAGAAUGUGCCUAUGUUGACAGGAGUACUACUCCCUCCAAUAAAAAAUACAAGUCCAUAUAGAUUUAUCCAAAGUCAAACCUCUUUUUAACUUUGACCACAAUAUUUAAAAUUUUACAUAGAACAAUACAAGAAUAUGAAAGUAUUUUCUGUAAUGCAUCUGGAACUAUCAAUCUUAUGUUACUAUAAGAUUUUUGAGUUCAAUGGUCAAAGUUCAAUAAUUUUGACUUAGGGCAAAGACGAACCAAGAUGGGUUUAUAUUUGUCAGAAAGUAUAUUGAACCCAAACAUCAUUUCACGCAAUAUGUACUCCAUCUUUACACUCUUACCUCAAGUCACUAAGUCCAAGGGUAAGAUCAGUGACUUCCAUGCCAGAAAGCCUUAUAGCAGCCAUUGUACUCGGUAAUUCCUCAAGAGCUGCAUCUGCCAGCAUGGUAAAUGAAUUUGCAGCUCUCCUCAUAGCCUGAUGAGCAGCAAAGUCUUAAAAUUCUAUCAGACUAAUUACACUACGGGAAUAUAUAACCAGUUAAGGAAUAUAAUAGGCAAAACCAACUGUUUCGAACUGAAGCAGCACAAACUUCUGAGUUACAACUGGCAUGUGGCCUCAUCAGAAAUAAGCAUAUAACAAUUGAAAAAUUCUCAAAUCACUUGUGGGUAUAUGGGGAUGGUGGUCUCUACAUGAGCAUAAAAAAAAUCAUGAACAAACUCAAUUGCAUUUGGGAGAAACAGAAAAAGACAAGUUCAGGUAUAUGGCUGCUACUAUUUCUAUCAAGCUUGAAUGCUUGAUCAUGAACAAAAUGUCUCUGCCCCCACACCCACGAAAACUUAGAGAAAUUCUGACCACUUGUGGACUAGCUUCAUGAGGUUUUUCACCGAGAAGUUGGUUUGGAGUUGAUAGAAUCUCACAGCCCGAUGUAUAUACAUUUGUCUGGGUCAUUAAAGAAAGAGUCAUGGAGCUUAGGAAUAUUGAUAUUCUUAACUAACAAGGAGCUGCCAUGUAAUUAGUUCCAAGUAGAAGAUGUAACACGAUAAUUGCACUUUGACAACCCUUACAAAUCUUAUUCCUGGGACAGACAUUGUUAUUAAUUCCAAAUAGAAGAUAUACUGCAUCAUAGAGGAUUGCCUUUACCCAUUCAUUCAGUAAGUAUGAUGGACUAUAUAUAUCUCCUUUAAGUUUUAACCGCCACGAACCCUCAAAGCUUCAAUGGGGGUAAAGCAGCAUAAAGCAGUAAAAUUCUAAUCUUUUUGAAAAAUACUGGAAUGGUUACCAAUUGCAGCAUUCCUAACUAAAAGCAAAUUAAUCACAAUAGAAACAGCAAUUGCAGAGCUCAACUUUACAGGUUAAGCUAGGAUCAGUAUCGCAAGACUUACUAGCAUCGUCGGAAUCGCGACGGCCACCAUGCUCGAGAACGCUACUGACGUCUGGCCGGCCGCACAACAAAAGGCAGAACAGCCGAUGAGCUUAUAUUGCACAAAAGGAAAGGAGCCAACCAAUAGAGGCCAAGCCCAGGCCAGGCGAGUCUCACCGUGACGGCUACGGCGGUCAGGAGGAAGAACACCGGGUCGCCAGCCGGUCCUGCGCGGCCCGCGCGAAGAAGCGCCGGGAGGCCAGCGGCGCCCACGCUCGGCGUGUACACCCCGUCCCCGUACUCCAGUUGCUCCGCCGCCGCCUCUGUCGUAUCAUCUGCCACCGCGCCGCCCAGCUCCCCGAAAUCAGCCGCGGCUUCGUGGUCGGAGCGUUUCUUUGGAAAAGGGGAAGGGAGAGACUGCGGCGGCCGGGGCAGGUGCGUACGGAAUGAGGCCGUGGGAGGCCGCGUACGGUGAAGACUGCGGAUGGGGAGGGAGAUGUGGUGCAGGAGGCCGGGAGACGGGGAAGCGUGCAGGCGAUGGUGGUGCUGAUGGUGGCCUGACAUGUGAAAACCGCGGAUGGGGAGGGAGGGGCACCGAGCUCCGAGCUCCGAGCGCCGAGCUCGACAGGACGGCUGCUGUGAGGAGCGAGCGAGGUUUCUCCGCGGUCGAGUUCCAGAACUUCGGGGGCGUUUGGAUUGGUUCUUGUUUGGCAAAAUUUGCCACAAGACACUGGCCUUGAUUAGUUCCAAAAUAUUUUGCAAAAUCGACACUGUAGUUUUUUCGUUUGUAUUUGACAAAUAUUGUUCAAUCAUGGACUAACUAGGCUCAAAAGAUUCGUCUCGUCAAUUCCGACCAAACUGUGCAAUUAAUUUUUAUUUUUGUCUAUAUUUAAUACUUCAUGCAUGUGUCUAGAGAUUCGAUGUGACGGGAAAUCUGAAAAAUUUUGUAAAAUUUUUUGGGAACUAAACAAGGCCACUGUUAAAAUGUGGCUUUUGCCAUAGACCAUUGAAAAAACUUGUCUUUGCCAAGAGACACUGUAAAUCUGGAGUAAUAUGCUACAAGACACUAAACUUAUUAUUAUAUUUGAUAUUAAUAGACAGUCACACAAAAUGACGAAUAUACCCUUUUUAAGUAACAAAAAAUCAAGCGCUUAGAAGACAUGUAGCCAGAAAUCAAGCGAUUAUUAGGUGUCUAUAUUAGAUUAGAUCAGAUCAAAACGAGAUUAGUCUACAAUCUAGAUCCAAUCCAAGCAUGUAAUAGUGUUUGAUGAUCCAGUUGAGCUACUCACGAGGAUGCAGCGUGCUGCCGGAGAUCCGCGUGACCCACAUGAGCCAGCGGCGGCACACAUCGACAUAGGCCCGCCGCGUCCUCGCCCACGCGUACACACCACUGCCCCCACGCCGGCGUGCCGUUGCGGAACUGGUCCUCCGGAGAUAGCCCCUGGCCCCGCUGCAGCCUGCAGCUGAUCAUGUGUAGGGAAUGCGAACGGGUCACACUGUCGUCAUCACACACAGAGGCCGCAUCGCCAUCGUUGUCGUGGUGGUGGUGUCGAUGGUUGGCGCCCCCAUUGGUGGCGUGGACGGGCAGGAUGCAGUCGGAGAGCAGGGCGUGGAUUGGGAGGUCGGGCUAGGUCUUGUAAAGGCCAUGGAAGACAAAGGCGUUUGCCGGAGACUUCAGCGAAAAGGGGAGAGGAAGGGAGCAAUGGAUCGCAGGAAUCGGCUGCAAGGGAGGAGAUAAAAGAAAAGGACAUAUUCGUCAUCUGGCGUGGUUGUAAUGCGUCUAGUGUCCUACAGCAUAUUAGUCCAGAUUUACAAUGUCUUUUGGCAAAGACAAGUUUUUUCAAUGGCCUGUGGCAAAAGGCACAUUUUAACUGUGUUCCCUGGCAAAAUUUGCCUUCUUGUUUUCGACUUGGUCUGGCCAGCCAACUAAGCCAGGUACCUCACAAUCUGGCUCUCCCAACAUAAGAGGUAGUUGUUUGGUUCACUUGUCUUAACUAAAUAUGGAUUACUUUGAUUAUGUUUGGUUGUCUUGCUCAACUUGAAUACAAUCACCUCUUUCUUGUUCUAGUAGCUUUAUCUCUUUGAGGGAUUACAUCGAACGGUUGGUGAGCAUUAGAAUCUCCAUUGCACUGUAGACGAGCUCUGCCUCGCCGAUGCUGCAGACGUUGCAGACGAGCUCUGCCUCCGGCCAUGGCUCCCACUUGACGAACUCCUGACCAUGGCAUGGGCUCGAGGACCCCCGGCCAUGGCUCCCGCUCGAGGACCUAGCUGUGCGAGGAGGAAGGGGAGGAGGUGUGCAGUGACCUUGUUGGCGUGGAUUUGGAGGUGGGGGCGAAUUUUGGGUCAAGCCACCGCAGGAGUGCGAAGACAGCCUCGAUGAGGAGAAACUCCCCGAUGGAGUCCCAGCCUCCCAGGUGCGAGCCACGAAGAGGAGGGACACCACGACACCCACCUCGCUCCUCCGUGCGGCCGUCGAGCAACUCCACCACCACAGCAUCAAGCUCCUCACAGUCGCGCUGCUCGACAAGCCUACGCCGGCGAUGGGAAGGAGUGGGGAAACAAGCAGGACUCGUUCACUCAAAUGUGGAGCUCGCCGCUCGGGCGAUAGGGGGAAGAGGAGGCUCGCCAGCCGGUGGGGUGGAGGAAGAGGAGGGCUCACCGACCGGGUCUUUUGGAGGAGGAGCACCAAAGUCGAAGGGAGGGACCAAAGGUGACGAGAACCGUCACUCGUCUCUAGCUAAGCCAGGCUCCGCGAAAACGCCCGAAUUAGGUGUUUCUAGCAAGCCACCUAAUUAGUAUAAAAUGAGCUUGUGAAAAUCUGACUACCAGGUCUGGCACUCGUAGCCUCAUUGCCUGACGAGGAUGUGAACCGGAUCUCCAACCGGAGUAUCUCCAAUUAAUUUUAAGAGUAAAGUCUACCACCGGUCCUUAAACUUGUAUUGUUAUAUCAUCCUGGUUACUAAAUUUACAAAUUGAUCGUUUAGGUCCUCGAACUUGUUCAUCUAUGUCAUCUCGGUCCCUAAACUUGUUUAGUUGUGUCAUCCUAGUCCUUAAACUUAGAAAUCACCCGUUUUAGGUCCUCAAAAUUGUUCAGUUGUGUUAUCCCGAUCCCUAAACUUGGUUUUGAAUCUCAUCUGAGUCAAAACAAAGCGAUCUAAAAACUCUAUAUCAAAAAAUAAUUCAUAAGUUUUUCAUAUGAACUCGAAUGAAGACAAACUUUAUACCAAAGUUAUAGUCCUCAACAUAAUCUACAAUUUUAUAGUUGAAAAGUUUUUUAUUUGAAGUCCUUUAGUAUUAUAAAAAUUCAAUUUUAAAUUUUAAAUUUCAAAAUCUAUAAACCUAUAAAAAAAUAUUUUGGGACCCUAAACGGUUUUAAUUUAAAAACAUUUCAACUGCGGAAGUUGUAGAUUGCGUUGUUGUCUACAAUUUUGAUAUAAAAUUAUCUUCAUUUGGAUUCAUAUAAAAAAGUUAUGAGUUAUUUUUCUAUAUAUAGUUUUUAGAUUCGUCCUGUUUUUAUCCAAAUGAGACUUAAAAACAAGUUUAGAGACCGGAAUGACAUAAGUAAAUAAGUUUGAGGACAUAUAUGAGAGAUUUUUAAGUUUACGGACCAGGAUGAUAUAAUCGAACAAGUCUAGGUAUCUAAACGGUUAUUUUGCGAGUUUAAGGACUAAGACGACACUUUCGAACAAGUUUAAGGACGGUUGAUGGAUUUUACUUUAAUUUUAAUAUAUUUAAACACGAUAGCUGAUACGGAGUACAGUUGGACUAACUUUUUAGCCAAAGUUUUAAGCAAUUGUUUUUUUAACUAGCUUUAAGUAGUUGUGAGUUAACUACUCCCUCCGUCUGCAGUGAAAAAGUGUAUAAACGUAGACAUAAAUUAUGGCCUUGUUUAGAUACACCUAAAAACCCAAAACUUUACAAGAUUUCCCAUCACAUCGAAUCUUGCGGCACAUGCAUGAAGCAUUAAAUAUAGUUAAAAAAGAUAACUAAUUGCACAGUUUAUCUGUAAAUCACGAGACGAAUCUUUUAAGCCUAGUUGCUCCAUGAUUGGAUAAUGUUUGUCAAAUAAAAACAAAAGUGCUACAGUGUCAAAAUCCUAAAACUUUUUGCAUCUAGGCCUAUGUAUAGAUACAUUGAAUACUGAGUGAACCUGGAUAUUGAGUGGCCCUCCUAAAACAACGCACAAAGAGGAACAGAGGAAGUAGCUAGCCAACUAUAAUUAGUUUUAGAUUAGACUAUUUUUUUUAGCCUCAACAAGUAAUUAACAGUGUAUCAAAAACAGACCAUUUAAACUAGCUUUAAGUAACUGUUAGUUAACUAGCUAGUCAACUAUAGUUAAUUUAGACUAAUUAUUAGCCUCAUCAAGUAACUAACAUGUGUAUAAAAAACAGACCCAAAGCUAGCAAAGAAAUUAAAUAAAAAUAUCCAAAUUACCUGUAGGUGGGUUUGCUACCACCGUUUUAGUAGAAAUAGUAUUGGAUUGGCACAUUGAUCGUUUCUAAUUCUUGCGACAAUAGACAAAAUCAAUGACGUUUUACUCCACAAUCACUAGAUUUGUUUCUCUCUUUUUUUUUGUCUACUAGUAAAGAGAAAUAGGAGCUGCCAGGUUUCACAUGAUUCUUAUUUUUGCCCCCAUUUAUACUAGCAACCAUAAUUUUUUACAUAAUCUUUUAAGCAAAAUAAAUUAAGUUGGGUUGUAUUUAGAUUGUUCUUCACCUGUUUUUUAUUUUUAAGAGUAUUUUCAUCCAUAUGGUUUUUAUGAAAAAAAAUUAUUUUUUAAAUUAGAAUCUAGCUAACUAUCCAAACAAUCUUAGAAAGUGAUUCCGGUUCAUCGUGUAUUACGUUUUUGAGAGAAUUUUAAUCUAAAAUGUUAUAUGAGAAUUUGAAUCCUUACAACCAUAUUUUUUUCAUUACAAUAUUGUUUAGUUUACGAAAAAUAUUGAUUUUGGCUACCGUAGCAUUUUUGUUUGUAUUUGACAAAUAUUAUCCAAUCAUAGACUAAUUAGGCUUAAAAGAUUCGUCUCGUAAAUUACAGACAGACUGUGCAAUUUUUUUUAAUUUUUAUCUAUAUUUAAUGUUCCAUGCAUGCAUCUAAAGAUUCGAUGUGACGGAGAAUCUUAAAUUUUUUUUGAUAUUUAGAAGGAACUAAACAAGGCCUAAUUCGCGGAACCUGGUUGAUGGGUACCACCCUACAGCAAGCCGAACUACACUAUGACCUCGUUUAGUUGUCAGAAAAUUUUGCAAAAAGUUUUAGAUUUCUCAUCACAUCGAAUAUUGCGGCACAUGCAUGAAGUACUAAAUAUAGAUAAAAAAUAACUAAUUACACAAUUUAUCUAUAAUUUACGAGACGAAUCUAUUGAGCCUAGUUAGUCCAUGCGAACAAUAUUUAUCAAAUACAAACGAAAGUGCUACAGUGUCUAUUUUAAAAAAAAAAUAGAACUAAACAAGGCCUAUGUUUAUUGAAAAUCAUUUUCCUAUAAGAACAAUUCUAAUGAGACGGAAAUGUUUAUUCCAGAACUCAAAAAAAAUGGUAUCCAGCUCGCAUUUAACACAAUAGUCAUAUAAAGUAUCUCCAACAGUUUGCCAAAAUUCACUUAGCAAAUAUUGUGAUUUGUCAACUCUCUAAAAUAUAUAGCAAGUGAAAAAACGGACUCUCUCUAAUAGUUUGCUAUUUUAACUUAGUAAACUUUUAAAAAAUAGGCCCACAACCUACUGUUCCCAACUUAAAGAACCUGCAUAUUAUCUAGAUUUAUAUUUCAUUCAGUUUCUAGUAGAAUAAAUGUCCACAAUAUUUAUUGUCUUGUGAAAAUUUUGGUUUGCAUUCAGAAAAAGGAAACAAUGAGCAUCCACAUUCAGAAAUAGGCAGCAAAAUCAGUGCGUCCGCGUCCGGAACAAAGGCCUUGUUUAGUUCACAAAAAAAACCAAAAACUUUUCAAGAUUCCGUAUCACAUCGAAUCUUGUGGCAUAUGCAUAGAGCACUAAAUAUGGACGAAAAUAAAAACUAAUUGUACAGUUUAUUUGUAAAUCGUGAGAUGAAUCUUUUAAAUCUUAUUACUCCAUGAUUAAACUAUGUUUGUCAAAUAAAAAUAAAAUUACUACCGUUUCGAAAACCAAAAAAUUUUCGGAACUAAAUAAGGGCCAAAGCAGAAACUGCCGGCCGGCCACCAGCAGCAUCAGCAGAUAUCUGACAACGGCGAGGCGUGGUGCAUCACCUAAUAGCAAGUAUUAUGGUGGGCUGUAAGCUGACUAAAUGCUGAUGUGGAGGAGAGAAGUGAGGAGAGAGAGGAGAAGCAGGCUGUAAGCUUACAGCCAGCUUAGACACAAUAACCAAGAAACUUUGUGAGAGAGAUAAGUAGGCCAUGUAUUAAUAGUGAAUAGCUACCUAUUGUAUGGAUAGGCUGGGAGAAGGCUGUAAGAAACCUUACAGUCAGCAAGUGGGCUGUAUUAUUAUACUUCUCUAACAGCGGACAGCAACAUCACAAGAACGGCAAGGUGCUGUGCAUCACCUGACACCUGAUAGCAGGACCGACGGUGAGACGUCCGUGGCUAGCGAUGCGAAGUGCGAUGCGCGCGCGGAGGGGUGGAAUAGCAAAUUGUUAAAAAUAGCAACCUCAUUUGGUAAUUUGUUGGAGAUGAAAUUUUAGUGUUUUACCAAAUUUUUAAAGAUGACAACCUUAUUUAGCAAACUGUUAGAGAUGUUCUCACAACUUAUUUCCACCGAACAAUGGUCUCAAUGUAUUACUGGGCGUUUCAAUACGUCUAAUUGCAGUGUUAAAAUGGGUUUUUGAGUAUACGUCUACACAUGUUUCAUGUUUAAGCCUACCUAGUUUGGAGCUGUGUAUAAUGAACCGAGUACACUUUGCUUCGAGCUCUUUUUAAAAAAUUAACAUAAUUUUAUUUAUUAUAGUCACUUGGUUUAUUUGAGACCUACUUUCAGCGAGUCAAGCCAAAGCCAAAAAUCAUUCAAAAUCAACUUAUUAUUUUUAUUUAAAAAAUAUGUUCAAUCAGAAUAAUCUUAGGCCUUCUUCAGUUGGUAAAAUUUUUGAUAUAAGAUACUAUAACAUUUCCGUUUGUAUUUGAUAAAUAUUGUCCAAUCAUAAACUAAUUAGACUUAAAAGAUCCGUCUAGUAAAUUACAGACAAACUGUAUAAUUAGUUGCUAUUUUUAUAUAUAUUUAAUAAUUUAUAUCGAUAUAAUGAAAAAAUUAAAAAAUUUUAGAUACUUUUGGAAAGCCUAUCCAACCAGCUAGGGAUGAAAACGGAUCGGAUAUGGACGGAUAUCACCGAUAUCUUAUUUGUUUUUAUAUUUCUGAUCGGAUUCGGAUUCGAAUACGGAUAAUGUAAGAUAAGAUUAAAUGUCGACAUCAUAAAUAUACGAUUUAAGUAUUCGGAUACGGAUACGAUAUCGGAUGUUAAAUAUUCAAACUCAGAUAUAAACAGAUCUAAAUCUCUUUAAAUAAUUCGAUCUCAAAUAGAAAAUAUCCGCAACAUUUUCCUCCAAACAACCGGCUCAGACUCGCCAACUCUAUAGUCGACACUCGACACUCGAGUCCCGGAGGCAGGACACUCGCAAGGUCGGCGCCCCUCCUCGGCUCCUCCCAAUCUCCAAACAGCCCAACGGAAAUGCUAUAUUUGCAGAAAAGCCCCCGUUCAAGUCCGACAUCCCGAAAGAAGGCGACACUCGGAGGGCUUUCCUGCAAGUUUCGAGAGCGGCAAAGAAGCACUAGGGCAUCCACCUCGGCGGCGGCGGCGGCCUCCAUGUCGACCCCUUCCGGCAACGGCAACGGCGGCGGCGCCACCUCCUCCUCCGCGCUCUACGAUUUAUACGGCCCUAACGUACGUGCUCUCUUGCUUCUUCGCCUCCCGCUCCCCCGUCCCCUCUCGGAAAAUUAAGGUUUCGGCGUGGUGUGACAUGAAGGGGAAUUUGUCAUCGAGUUGAGCUGAGUUGGUCCGUUAUUGCAAAAAAAGAUCGCAUUUUUUGCGUUCUCUGUUUCUCUGUUAGUGUUAUUUUUUUAAUCUCCGAUGUGUGGCAAAACUGGGUGCUGCGGUGGUUGGUUUUAGCUACGAGUAUGUUAAUUUGAUUGGUUGGAAUUCUUCCAGUAGGAGUUCUGCUGAGAUUGAAACAGGGGAUGUUGUAUUGCAUCAUGACUGAGGGGACUGUGAUUGACAUCAAUGUUCAUGGGAUUAUGUGUAAAUUUUGCUACUAGCCUACUAAUGGGGGGCUUACUGUACCUAUGAAGUUUGCACUGUUGUUUCAAAGCAAAUUUGUGCAAAUGGAUGUUAUGGAAAUUAAGCAAUGAUGGUGGGUUGGGACUUGGGAGACUGGCUUACUGGACUCAUCCAUUGAUCAACUUUUAGCCGGCUCAACAUUUUUCAAGGACAAAGCUUGAAACUUCCAUAGCUUGUUUAUUUAGGAGUUCUAUACUUUGAAUUUCGAAGGUGUGAAUCCAGAUUGAUUGCUUGAUAGAUAGCAAAAUGGGGCUCCUCUAGUUCAAAUAGUGAAGUGAUACUGCACUUGUAGUAAUGCUAUCUGUAUUCAAAUAGUAAUGCACUGGGAGCCUGCUCAUCAACUUAGGGAUCGCUCAUCAAAUUAGUGACUUUCUAAGUUGAAUCCAAUAUCAGUUGUUUGUACUAGAGCUAUCGACAUGGCAUAAUAAUUGACUAUUUGGUGAUGGCAUGCUGCCUAUUUAUUAAUUUAUAAUAGUGUACUCUCUAAUCUUCAUUUAGUUGAAAAGUUAGCUGUUAGUUGUGUGCUUGUUGGUGAAUCAUUCUUGUGCUGCUGCCUGAUUACUUUGCUCAUAGACACUGUAGCUGUCUUUUUUUUUUUUUGUAUUUUUGGUUUCCAACUCAUACUGUCUCUUCUUGUUUAUCCUGUCCAGGCGAAGCCUGAUGUUGUUUUCAAGGAGGCUGCUUUAAACUCCACACUAAAUCUGCAGGUUUGUUCAUAAUAAAAGCUUAGUGAAAUUUGGCUCGUGAAAACUAUUCUUGUUCUUGUAUUUUAGUAAAGAGCCAUUUUGUUGUAAUGCAGGACGUUCAGGGUCUAGUUACUUGGGUUAUUGGUGAUGGCAUGCUGCCUUCUUGGGUGUUUGUUAAGGUACCCCCUUAUUUUUUGAGAUUAAGGUACUUUGUCCUUCUGGUUGUGCUCUUUCAAACAUGUCUUACUUUUUUGAGGUAUUGAUAUGUUAUCUUAGUUUCAAUUUGUAGAGCUUGGUCUUUUCUUGCUGUUAUCUUCAUCACAUUCUAUGAAUCUUAACAGAGUUUUUUCCCCCACUGCACUUCAGUGAUCAACCCACUCUUCAUGCAUUUGAUUUCUUCUUCUAUUAGUUUAGUUGUAGGUUAUUUGUCAGCUUUCACAAAUAUUAUCUUUAUUAACACUACAAAUAUUCCUGUUGGUUUUCAGAACAAACCUCUUAUACCCAGAGUUGUCCUACUAUAUGUUCCUGGCCUUGAUGCAGCUUUAUAUAUGUCACAAACUCGACUUCUUUCUUCUCUGAAAGAAUUAUGUGGCAAUCCAAAACCUGUUCUAGCUUCAAGGUUUGUGUUGUUCAUUUUGUGUUAGUCUACAGUUAGGGACUUCUUCCUAUAUUGAUUGAUAAUCUAAUCCUAUUCUAGCAGCUGUAUACCGGAUGAGAGGCACACCAUUGAUGCACUCCUAACCUGCAGAAUAAAGAGAAAGCGUGAUGUAAAAACAUCAAAUCAGUCAUCUAAACCUGACAUAGAUGGUAUGUCCUGACAUCUUGGCACUGUGUUGUCAAUGUGGUUCAGGAUGAACAGUGUCCUGCUUUAUUGGGCCUAGUGUUGGUCUGUUUAUUAUUGUGAUAGCCACCAGAAGAUUUGAGCUUGACUAUGAAGAAUGGCAUGCUUUUUUUUCUUCUUCUCUCGAACAUGGAGGAGAGCUGGCAUUCUUAUUUCAAAGAUUCUCAUACUGAUUUGACAAUUUCAAUCCUUUUGAUUGCCCUUACUUGGUCACAAGUUUUUCAUUUUAAGCUGACAUUACAGAUGAUGAAUUUUUCUUUAUACACUUAUCUAAAUGCUAAUUGUGUUUUUAUCAGUCAUAUUUCAUCACUGUCAGUAUGGCAUCUUGCAUAAGUUUAUGACUAUAGCAGUAUUUCCCUCUUAAUUCAUCUUGUAGUAUCAGCCAUAUACAUCUCUUGCUGACCACUUUUUAUCUGGUUCUCUAAGCUGAAGAUGCUCUCUUAUUUCUGUAGCAUUUAUUCUAUUUAUUUGUUGUAUAUGUAUGUUUAUUGACAUUAGAGUAGAUAUAUCUUUGUCCAUGGAAAAGCAGGCACUUUUGAACCUAGAUUGAGAAUUUAUGUUUUAUGCAACUGGUUAAUAUUUUUAUUUUGGUCGCAGGAAAACUAUCAAGUCUGGAUGAUCUUGGGGACAUACCAUUUCCUGUUACAUAUUACACACUUUCGAUGAAAGACUUGGAAGAUAAUGGCUACUCUUUCAAUUUACCAGGUUAGCUUCUAUUCCUCUGUUCCAACAUGUAGGUCGUUUCAGUUUUUUUUCUAUGUCAAACUUCUUUGGUUUUGUCCAAAAUUAUUGAAAAAUGUUAAUUGCACCAUAAAGAUGUUUCAUGGUGGAUUUAAUGAAAAUAAUUUGUUAUUGUCGAUGUUGGUGUAUUCUUCUAUAAAAUUGAUCAAAGUUAGUAAAGUUUAAUGGAUAAAACUGAAACAUCUUGUUUUUUUUUUGUUUUUGCGACAAAACAUCCUAUAUUUUGGAAGGGAGUAUUUCAUUGUCCCUCUCCUUGCCCUUUAAUGCCUAUUAUUCAAAUGACAUAUCUUUAUCAUUGCCAUUUUAGGUUUUGUCCCUACUGUUUCAGCUCCUUCAGGUUCCUCACCACAUAAAGUUCUUGCACUUGAUUGUGAAAUGGUAAUGUGACUCCUGAUAAAUGUAAUGAUGUAUGGUUUGAAGCCACUGCUUUGUUUUAAAUAAUUGCACUACUAUUUUAGUGUUAUUGUAUUUGAGAAGGCAUUAUUACAACUGUGCCGGACUGCUGGUGUCAUAAAUACUUAUUGCUAAUAUUUGUUGAAUAUAUCUAGUGAUAAUUUUCAACCUUUGCAGUGCGUGACAGAAGCUGGAUUUGAGCUUACAAGAGUGACACUAAUUGAUAUUAAAGGAUCGGUAUGAACUUUUCUUUCCUACUUUCCUUACCUUUUUUAUGGCUAAUAGUUCUUAAAACAUUUGUUUUCUUAGUGCUUAAUUCCACCUCCUGUCAAUAGUAUGAGGGCAUUUUCCUUUGUUGCUCCUGUAUGAUCCAUUCUUUUCAUCACACUUCGCUGUUCAAUGAGUUCUGAGUUUGUUCUAAUCUUUUCAGGUGGUGCUAGAUAAACUAGUUAAGCCUGCUAAUCCAAUCAUUGAUUACAAUACAAGGUAUAUGGUGCUUUUACCUCCCCUUUAAGUUAGCAUGCACUAUAUUGUGUUUUUUAUGCCAACCUUUUCUUUUGGCACGGUUAUUUUAUAGCUUGGUCUCAAAAUACAUGUCAGAUGUAUUUUGAUGCUUGUCCAUUCUAUUAUGAAUAUUAAAACUGAUUAUUUGUUAUAUGAACUUCAUUUGUCAUAAUAUUCUGAACGGGUUGUUAAGUGUCCAUUACAUGAUGUAAUUGUUUUUUAAUAGCACAGGUUCAGUGGAAUCACUGCUGAGAUGUUGGCUGACGUGUCCACAACCCUACAGGAAAUUCAGGUUAGUUCUUAGAUUUUUUUAGUGAUCUUUUCAUGUGUAUAUUAGGAUGUCAUGAAACAUUGCCUGUGCUUUACACUAUUUUGUUCAUGUUUCCAGGAAGAGUUUGUUGGACUUGUACAUAAAGAAACAAUUCUUGUCGGGCAUUCCUUGGAAAAUGACCUUAUGGCAUUACGGAUAUCCCAUGGUUUAAUCAUCGAUACAGCUGUUUUGUACAAGUAUAAUCGAGGGUCUCGCUGUAAGAUUGCAUUGCGUGUCUUGACAAAAAAAUUUCUCGGCCGGGAGAUCCAGAACACAGGAUCUGGGCAUGACAGUGUGGAAGAUGCUAGGGCUGCUCUAGAACUUGCUAUAUUGAAAAUCAAACAUGGUAAGGACUAAGAAGGCAUUUUUGCUAUCGCUUUUGUUUGGUUAUAACAUCCAUUUCUGUAAGCUGCUAAUGCGGAUAGGGAGACAGACAACAUGGCAUAAGCAUAUCAUUGGUACUUUCUAAUAACUUGUUAACCAGGUCCUGAUUUUGGUUCCCAACCAUCAUUGUCAAGGCGGAAAUUGACAUCUAUACUGCAUGAGAGUGGGAAAAAAUGCUCCCUUAUUGAUGACGUGUCUGUUCUUGAGCGAUAUUCAGAUACUUCUUGCAAUUCAAUUGCUGUUUUUUCUGAUGAUGAUGCCCUCUCCAGAUCAAUGAAGGAGGUUAGUGCAAUACAUUUCUAGGUGUAGACAUUCUUACCAAAAUGUUUUAAGAUGUUUUCAUAAUCAUAAGUUGAAAUCCUACUGCAGGUGAAGAAUGACAAAGUUGCCUUCGUUUGGACUCAGUUCUCAGGAUUGAUAUCUUACUUCCACCGAAGAGCUCAAGAUCCAGAGAAGUUGAAAUCAUGUGUCGCAGAGGCUAUUGCAUUAAAAACAUGUGAUGGAAAAACUGCUUCAAAAAAAGCAAGAAGUCAAAUUUGUCCCGAAUUAAAGGAAAUUUUGUGUGAAUUGGAUAAAAAGAUAAGGCAAUUAUAUAGUGCCCUACCUGAUAAUGCUAUGCUUAUUGUAUGCACUGGCCAUGGUGAUACUCCUCUAGUACAAAGGUAAAGUUACUCGUGGUAAAUCAUCAAUACAUAGUUUCUCAUGGCAAAUUGGCAAUACAUAGUCAUUGCAGAUCAGCAAUACAUGUACCUUUUCCCUUUCUAGUAUAAUUUGGUCUGUUAAGAUACAAGUAAAAGAUGCUCACAAGCUAUUUUAAGUUACAAAGUCAUUGUCCGAUGUUACCUUUAGUAGAAGCAUUAUCAGUUUGUCUUGUAGAGCUGUUCUAUUGCGGUUGCUUACUGAGUGAUGAAAUCACUAUGCUGCCUUUAGGGCCACUUUGUGUUUGUUGCUUCGUGCUGGGCUGCAUUGUCAAAUAUAGUUUAUUUGGAUGAAUCUUAUUUGUUCCAAUAUAAUUGCUAUUAUAGCUCAAAAGUUGAUGCUUAUAUAACCGACAUUAUAGCUCAAAAAAUGAUGCUCAUAUAACCGACAUUAAAAUUUGGAUGUUAAUGCUUUAAAAAGCAUAUGCAAUGCAUCAAUACAUUGUAACUGUGCUACUUCAUGAAGAUUACGGAAAAUGCUUCACCAUGAAGAAGAAACAAUAGACAGCCGGGAAACUAUUGUUCAAGCUUUGGGAGAUUUACAAGCCCAAGCGGAAGUUGCUCUAUGCUUCUGCUGCGUAAAACAUUAAUUGUAAGUGUCUUUAUGCCCUCCUUUUCCUACAAUUUUUUCCCUGGAAGCAGAACAGUGCACCGUUCUGAAUUGUUUUAAACAGGCAUGGCUUCAGCGAUUAUAGAAGGGUGUCAGGCAUGCAUGCUGAAUUGCUGACCUGUUGAUGUGAAAAGUUCUGGCUGACAUAGUUUUGUGGAUUGAAUUUUGAAAGAGAUUCUCAUGCUGUCUUUUUUUGUCAGGCUAGGAUUAGUCUGUAGAUGUCAGCAUAGGGCAUAGUGAUGCAUGAUCGGUGUAUCUUAGCAAGCAGCGUGUCAGCAUAUUGAUAGCAUUCGUUUUCAGAUGAAUAUACGGAUUACGGAGGAAUGUAGGAAACUGUUGUAACAACCAUGUUAUUGUGAUAUUAAAUCAAGUUCUGGAAUCCAUAAUACUAUGAGCCUUACCAUUUACAGUUGCGAAAAAUGUAGCAAAGCUAAAGUGUAUACAGCAUAUAUAUAUUGCAUUCCCUUCUCCUUGAUAUACAGAGGAGGAAACUGUGUUAUAUCAAUCAUUAUAUGAUAUCAAACCAUGUUUUGCAAUUCAUAAUAUGGCCCUUACCAUUUACACUCGAGGAAACUUUGUUCAUGUUUCAGUGGUUUAAUUUUGUUGCUCCAGGGGAAGAAAAUUGUUUUGGGCAUCAACAUGGUGCCUUCGAAACAACUUUUUAUUUGUUUCACCAAUGAUAUGUUUGUAUUUUUUUUAGAUAAUGGAAUGAGGUAAAACAUAAAGAAAGAACUUUAGCCACUGCUGACAGAAGCGCGGUAAAUUGACAAUAUGAAACGUGAACCUGAUCCUGGAUGCAGCAGAAUGCUUGAUGAAUUCCAAUUAUAUGGGCAUCUAUUGAGUUUGUUGACCCCAAACUGUUCUUGAUGGACAGAAGCUCAGAGCUGAAUUCAUUAAUUUAUGGCUAGACCAGUAUGUUAUGGUUGCUUGUUGCUCUCACUCAAAUCUUCAAGUGGGUUCGUUGUAUAAUACAAAAUUGGGUGUAGUUCUGGAGCCAACUAUGUGGCUUUCUUACCUUCAGUGACAGAAAUAUUAGUUACCUGUUCAUGACUGCUCUCUGGAAAGUUCUUAAAUUAGUUGAUGGUGUACUUGCCACUGAUGCGCGGCUUGUUUUAUCUUUUAAGGAAGAACAAAUUGGUAGAUGGGAGCAUGAUUGAUCGAGGAGUUUGCCAUCACUAACUUAUAUUGUAAGAAAUAUUUUCUAUACCUUUUAUAAAAGAACCAUGUUCAUUAUAGCAGACAUCUCAAAUGCUAGUGUGAACUGAUAAUGGAAAUUCAUGUAGCCUGAGAUGAUUCAAUAAUUUCAGCAAGAAUACACACACAUAUAAAAUGUGCGAUAAAAAACAACUGAUUUUGCAUGUCAUUAGUAUGUCAGAAACUAAGUCCACCACGUCUAGUCAGCUACUUGAUCAUAAUCGAUUGAGAACACCUCCAACAAACCAACCUCAUGGACUUAAUUAGUGUGUUGUUUGAGAGUAAUCCACAAACUCUGAUCUACAGACACCUAAAGAGGAGUUCUAGAAAUUUUAUGUUCUCUUUUCUAGAGUUUGCGGAGCCACACAUGUUUGGUUGAAAAACGUGGAGUGGAGCUGUUACAAACAGAGACUAAGGCAAAAAAACAUUAUGAGUUGCUUAAUUUAUUUAGUCCUUGUUUAGUUCACGAUUUUUUUUUGAUUUGGCUACUAUAGCAUUUUCGUUUGUAUUUGACAAUUGUUGUCCAACCAUGGACUAACUAGGCUAAAAAAUUUUGUCUUGCAAAUUACAAAUAAACUGUGUAAUUACUUAUUUUUUUAUUUAUAUUUAAUGCUUCAUGUAUGUGAUAAAGAUUUAAUAUGAUAGCAAAUCUUGAAAAUGUUUAGAAACUAAAACAAAGUGAAUCACUGGUCAGUACGCAUGCAUGCAGGAGCUAUGUCCCCAACUCAUUCACAUUGAUGAGGUAGAACGAGGUCUUGUUUACUUACACCUGAAAUCUAGAGAACUUUUCAAGAUUCCUCAUCAUAUCAAAUCUUGUGGCACAUAUAUAGAACAUUGAAUAUAGAUAAAAAAUAACUAAUUACAUAAUUUAUCUUUAAUUUGCGAAACGAAUCUUCUGAGCUUAGUUAGUCUAUGGUUUGACCAUAAUUGCCAAAUACAAACAAAAAUACUACAAUACUCAAAAAAUUUUCACCUAAGAAACUAAACAAGGCACAAAUCUAGUUGGUUUGUACAAGUGCAUCAUCAUUCACACGACACAUGAACCAAACCAUAUAUAUAAGUUGGUGUGAACUCAGUUGUUUAUACCAUAACAUAACUUGCAUGGUCAGUUGUCGAGAUGUACUUUGGUUAGCUCGAUAGUUUUCUUGGUAUAUCUUUUUUUUAUCCUUUGGUCACUCGUUGUUUGUCCCUUUCAGUUACGUUGCCUUUGAUCAAGAAUGGUUCGAACUUGGGCUCCUUUCGAGUCAUCCUACUAUUAAAAAAACUAUAAUUGGUGACAAUGGUAACCUUCGGAACCUAAGAAAGUAACCUCAACUUGUUUUGUAGAGAAAGGGGAAAAAAAGUCAUUUCAGCUACAAAAGCUAUAUAAUUAAUGGCACCUAACAAAUAGAAAAAAAAUGUUAUCCUGACUACGCAUUUGCAUUUACCACCUGAAGCAACAUAUAUAUAUUUAUGGAAUGCUUAUAAUUCCAUUCUGCAGUGUAUUUCCCUUUUUGGCCUGCUAAGCAGAUGCACAGUUGAUCUUCUACUGUUAGUAGUUAGCAAAAUGAAUUUGUUUUUGUUAUUGACUUAAUUAUUGAGCCAGAAUAAUCUCAGUUUACAUGGUGUUAGCUAAUAACUAGUGCUAACAAAUGCUAAAUUGUUACGACUUGCACGAUACUGACGUGCCAGCCUCUGAACUGUCCAUUCAUAGUUUUACCAGACACGAAACUACUUGCCCAACAACACCUCAUUCAUGUAGUCCUUCCAUACCACUUUUUGCAAUAAACAAUACUUCAGAAAACACUUCUUCACUAUCACAAGCUAAAGCUACAUUCUGAGAAAGCCAAGUCACGCUUACACUGACAGUGUGACUCUUAAGCUUGGAUUUGGUAACCAUAAAUGAUUUUUCUAUUACCAGCAGUUGCAAGGGUGCUUUCAUGUUUCGAUGGUUAUCAUGAUCUUAUCUGAGAGAAAGCAACAUUCUAAUCAGUGUAAGUAUUCGACAUGACAAACGAAUAUACAUCAAAACUUUGGGCUUUCAUAUAAAGACUCCCCAUACAUUUGUUUGUUGUGUAUUGAUAGCAAGGCCUGAACAAUAUAAACCAAUUAUUAUAAUUCAAAUGUCAAAUGCUUACAUGGGGAUCCACAAUAAUAAAAUCACUAAGUUACAGCAUCGGCAUCGUUAACUCCCUUUUAAACGAUACUGUAACCAAUGCAAAAAAAGAAAUAAAAACAAAUGCAAUUACUACCAACAACAAUAUAUAAUUAUGUUAAACUUAGCGGAAGUUUGUUGCGCAUGCCACUUAUUUUGCUAUUAGUUAGUGUGUCGGCUCUUCUUUCUUGCGCCACUUUUCUAAUGCAAACUCACAUACAUUUAGAUACUUUUGUUUCCCCCUUUUUUGGUUCCUCUUUCCUUUCCUUUUCUUUCAUAAAUCAUUUUUUAGAUAAUACCUGGCUUCAUCAAUAUAUAGUUAUAUACAUAAUGUAGAACCUGUAUUUUUAAGGCUUGAGGGUGCAACCACCUUCGAUUCCUCAAAGAGCCUAGCUAGUGCUUGCAUGCUCACAUCCUAAUUGCUUGGAUUGCUACUAUUUGUAUACUCAUGGUUCGUUGUAAUGCAAGAAAAAAACUCGAUCUGCGAGGGCUAAGACAGCCCCUGGACAUUGUGCUUAAGAAGAUCUUUUCACAUAGAUUGAGAAAACCCUCAAAUCUCUGCUCUACCCAUACACAGCGGUAUCGCUGCUCCUGUGAGAUUUGGUUGGCCUUAGACCUGUGCUUUGAUAUGAGAUAGACGAGAAGAUUUUUUUCGUCCCUGGCCAACAAAUUCGCUCCCGUAGAGGGUCGAACUCCGUCCGCAAGGAUGCAACGUGGUGCAGCUAGCCAAAUACAACUUGUUUCUGUUGCAGCAUUCGUAAAGCUCGAAACAAAUUAACAGUGGAGAUGAAACAAACUCACUAAGCUCGAAAUUGUGCAGGCAUGAACAAGAACAUCAAGACGAUGACGUGGAUGACCAAUGAGGCGGCGUAGAUGCAGACCAUCAGUCGUUUGCCCUACUAAUGCACGAGAGAAAUAUCUCGUACGUGAUGACGAAAGAAUAUUGUUAAGGAAGUUAAGCAUGCAAGACGCUAGCUAUUCUCCAUUGUCUUACGAGAGCUGUGACACAUAGGAUAUAUAGCUCAUUGGCCAAUUGCUGAACACGCAUAGGUCCGGUCGGUGAGAUGCAUAGUAUAGACACGAUAUAUAUUAGCUGGGUAUGUUUCCGCAAAGUUAAUAUAGAGAACAUAUAUAUAUAUAGGUACGGUGGUGGAUUGAAAGAGGCUUGUUAAGCCGCCCUCUUGUCGUGCAAAACUAAACAAGCUAGCUAGAGUGACCUCCAUUAUCCAAACCUUACAAACAUCCUAUUUAAUUACCAUGCGCGCUCGAUCAUCCAAGCAAUAAAUUAAAGCUCUCUCAUUCACAACUUAGUUCUUUUGGCUAGCUAGCUUAAUUGUUCCUCGAUCGCUCCAGCUAAUCAAUCAAAGUAGCAAACCCAUCGAUCAGUUUCUUGGGGAAAUUAAACCAGGCCACACAUCGAUUGCAAUGGAGAAGUCGUCGAGGGUCAGGCCAUCGAGGGGCCACUGGCGUCCCGGUGAGGACGACAAGCUGCGGCAGCUCGUCGACAAGUAUGGCCCUCAGAAUUGGAACUCCAUUGCUGAGAAUCUGGAGGGGAGAUCAGGUAUGUAUAUAUCUAGGGCUUCUUUCAAGCUCUCCUGAUUAAUUGUUUCUCCUCCGCUUUCUGAAGCACAUACAUGCAUGCACAUGCAUGAUGACGUGAAGAAAAAGUUUUCUCACCAUGGCUUUGUUUCUUUAAUUAAUCUUGUAUACUUGUGUUGUUCCUUCUCGUUCGUCUAGGCUUUUGUCAAUUCUCGCAUGCAUGAUCGUUUUGGAUGGUCGAGUGACAAGAAAAGUUUGAUCGAUGUUCAUCAUCGUUUGUGUUUGUACACAUAUGUGGAGAAUGUUUAAGUUGGUUUAUGAAUGUGUAAUAAUUAAGAUACUACUAGAUACUAAUUAUAUAUUCGAAUGUCACCUUGGUUCAUUUCAAGUUCGUGAGGCAUCCAUGCAUCUUUGCCUGCCCUACUUUACAAAUUUUCAUCUCUUUUCACCAUGCCGUACGUACCACAUGUUGGUGCUGCAGAAAAAAAUGUAUAUCAUCAUCAUCAUCAUCAUCACCGUUUGCUUGAUUAUGGAUCCACGACCCGUCCAUAUGCAUAUACUGUAGUAGAAACUAUAUAUCACAAGGACAAUUAAUAUAUAUGUCUGCAACUCUGCAUCAGUAUGUACAGUAGAUUUUCUUGCUUGCGCAUCCAAUUUUUUCCAUUUCAGAGAUGAACGUCCAGAACGCUACUGACUGAGUGACUGAUGCGUACGUGUUUAUGCAUACAUGGCAAUGGCACGGAUGAAACAUAUAGGCAAGAGCUGCCGGCUCCGAUGGUUCAACCAGCUGGACCCGCGGAUCAACCGGCGGCCCUUCACGGCGGCGGAGGAGGAGCUGCUCCUGCAGGCGCACCGCGCCCACGGCAACCGCUGGGCGCUCAUCUCCCGCUUCUUCCCGGGCCGCACCGACAACGCCGUCAAGAACCACUGGCACGUCGUCACGGCGCGCCGCCGCCGCGGCCACCACCACCACCAUCGUACCCUCGUCGGCGACGGCGAGCAAACCGCCACCAGCACCGGCUAUGUCGCCGUUGUACCGCCUCGUCAUCAGCCGCCGUUUCAUCAUCAGUACUUCCAUUUCGGAAGCUGCUGCCUGCCGGCGACGACGACGAAGAUGACCACCACCCGCUCGCUGUGCUUCGCGGUGCCAGCUGGUUCCGGGCCGCUCGGCCUCAGCAGCAGCCGAGCUGGAACGUACGGUGUCGUCAGGAACUGCAACGUGCCCACUGCCGCCGCUGCCGUCGCAUUAUUGGACGGCCAUCGUCGUCAUGACAUGAGCAAAGACCAUGGCCGUCGUGGCGGUGACGAUGGCGGUGCCGGUGCGGUUGCAAACAGGAAGGACGUGCAAUUCUUCGACUUCUUGGGCGUCGGGAUCUGAAGAAAAAUAAAUAAUGAUGGUAUAAGUACAGAACAUUAUUGGAACGAUAUACGUACUGCAAUAUAUUAAUGAGGCGUUGUUACCUAGAAAAUUGGAUGUUGGUGGCCUUGUUCAGUUCCCAAUUUUUCAAAAAUUUACGAGAUAAAUCUUUUGAGCCUAGUUAGUUUAUUAUUGGAUAAAAUUUAUCAAAUACAAACAAAAAUACUACAGAGUAGGCAAAAUAAAAAAAAUUUCUAAACUUUCUGAUUUUUUUAGGUUUUAAAUAUUGUAGCACUUUCAUUUUUAUUUAAUAAUUAUUGUCUAAUUAUAAAAUAACUAAGCUUAAAAGAUUUAUCUUAUGAUUUACAGAUAAACUAUAUAAUUAAUUUUUAUUUUCAUGUCUUUUUAAUGCCUCAUGUAUGCGACGCAAGAUUCGAUGUGAUAGAAAAUUUUUAAAAAAAAAUUAGUUUUUAGGGUGAACUAAACAAGGCCUACGAAUGGGCAUUCCUUAUGAGAGUACUCUCUCACUCUCUCGACACCACACGCUCGUGAGAUGUGCCAGGGGUCCCACAUGUCAGCAGCAUAAAUGACAUGACAAAAACGAUGAUGUGAAGGUAAGUCAUUAAUCCCCAAAUACUUCAUUAGUUUUAGAACGUAGGUAAAAUACAUGUUUUUAUUUUGUUCAAGUCAAAAGUUUUCUAAUCUUGACCAAUAAGCCAAGACCAUGAAAAACAAUAGGCGAGGAAAGAUCAGCUAAUAGUGUGCAAUAGAUAACUAAUGCUGGAGUGAUGUUUAGAUUUCCUGUUGUAUAAUAUAAUCUCCCUUAGCUUUUGGUAGCGCAUGUCCAUGUUGCCACCAACCAAACGGGCUUGAGGGCCAGCGCUACGCUUCGCUUCGAUCGUCUGGGAUUCAUGCUCACUAGUGGAGCUAGAAAGCAACCAUAGAAACCAAAAAGCUACUGUAGUUGCUUCGUCUGGCUCCUCUGUCCAUACAUGUGGAUCCCUCCUUGGAUGCAUGGUGGACGACGAUUAGAGCACGAGGCAGAGGCGCCGAGAUAUGAGGCAAGUGAGGCAUCGUGGAAGUGAAGAAGGUGGCACGAUGACCGGGGUGGGGAUGAGGGAGGCGACCACGUGUGAGGAGGCAGAGAUUAAGAAGGGAGCGUGGCUGAGGUAGAGGCGAAUGAGAGGAAGGAAAGGGAGAAAGAAACUACAAUAGAAAAAAGAAACAACAUUAUGGAUAUUUUACUCUUUUUACUUAUCAUGAGAAAUUGUUUUAAUAAACAUUUUUCUAUGGAGUUAUCUAGAUCUAAAGAAAACUACUCCAGCAAAAGAUCGAUCUAGAGUCAGAGCAGUUUUAGUUAGAGUAGAGCGAGCUCUACCAAACACACCCUACAUUUAUUUAAUAAAGUUAGAAAAGUUUGAUUUGAGACAUAAAUAAAACUAUGUUCGUUUUGUACAAACAUACGGGUAUGCAUGUUUCUUUCCCAACUAAUUGUCCAACUUGCCAAACUAUAAAGGAUAAAAUAGAAAUUUCUCACUUUAACCAACUAUCAAUCACUAUAAUCUACUCCCUCCGUCCCACAAGUAAACGUAUUUCUUUGACUUCUACGAUACAUGUUUGACUGUUCGUCUUAUUCAAAAAAAUUUAAUAAAUAUUAUUUAUUUUUUAUGACUUAUUUUAUUGUUAGAUAUAUUUUUACAAUAAUUUUGUUAUUUUAUUAUUUGUAUAAAAAAUUUAAAUAAGACAAAUGAUCAAAUAUGAAUCGUACCGGUCAAAGAAAUGCAUUUAUUUGUGGGACGAAGGUAGUAUUAUGUAUAAUUCAGAUUAUAAUAACCAAGUCAUGAUCCAAACAGCUAGACCUUAAAAUAAAAAGCAAUGCUAAGUAAUGUAAGUAGAACGCUAUAUAUCAAGUCGUGGCUCCAGAUAUUAUAGGAAACAUUAUAUAUAGCAAAAAUAUGCCACUAAAUAAAAUUGGAAUGGGGUUGGACUCUCUGAAAGUCACAGGCCUCUCCAUCCAUGCCACCUAAGCAAGCAAUGCCUUCCUCAAGAUCUGCAUACCCAAGGGUCACCCGCCACGUGUCACACGGGCCCACCGACAUUUGGAUAAUUUGUGCCACGUGUGCAAAGCCCAGCCAAUGGGAUGGAAGCAGCCUCACCCUAUCCACACGCCCGGCACCACAACCACAACCCUCUACAGCCUCCACACCUGCAGGCACCCACGAUCAAAAACAAAACCAUCCUCACUCUCCCCUGCUGCCAGCCAACCAAGCUCCAAGCUCCAAGCACGCACAGCCACUCAGCCACACCACACCAAGAUCAUGGCCGGCGUGAACUCCAGCGUCGUCGGACUCAAGCCCGCCGCGGCAGUGCCCCAGGCCGCCGCCGCCGCCGCCUCGUCGCAGGCGAAGCGGGUGCAGCUGGUCGCGCCCGAGGGCCGCCGCGCCGCGCUGCUCGGCCUGGCGGCCGUCUUCGCCGUCACCGCCACCACCGGAUCGGCCAAGGCCGGGAUCAUCGACGAGUACCUUGAGAAGAGCAAGGCCAACAAGGUCUGUCGUCGUUUCGUGUGUAUUAUUUUAUGAGAGCUGUUGCUAGCUUGUUUCAAUGCAUGGAAGUGAAACCUGACAGGAUUUUCCUUUUUUUUGCUGCGAUCGAUCGAUCAGGAGCUGAAUGACAAGAAGAGGCUGGCCACCAGCGGCGCCAACUUUGCGCGCGCCUACACCGUCGAGUUCGGCAGCUGCACGUUCCCCUACAACUUCACUGGGUGCCAGGACCUCGCCAAGCAGAAGGUUGUUCACAUAUUCUCAUCACACUCAUAAGAAACUUUUUAUUUUUCGAGAACAAGUUCGCUGAUGUGUGUUUCAUUGAGAGGAGAUCGAUACUCAUAAGAAACCUCACCUGAUCGAUCGAUAAUAAUCUGAAUUAUUGAUUUCUUCGAUCUCAUGUUGUGCCAUAUAGAUAUCAUGUGUGUCGUCCGUGCUUGCUUGUGUUGUUGCAGAAAGUGCCCUUCAUCACCGACGACCUCGAGAUCGAGUGCGAGGGGAAGGAGAAGUUCAAGUGCGGCUCCAACGUUUUCUGGAAGUGGGGUGAAGCAAAAUGAGGAGGCGACCUGGUGGUGUACAUGUACGUGUGUGUGUACCUAGAUGUGCGCCCAAACUGCAGGAAGAAUUUGGAUGUGUAAUUGUGGUCAGUGUAUUUGUGUCAUCUCAUCAUCUGAUUGAUCAUCAUGAACCUCUUGCAUUAAUUGGGGAGAGUGAAUUAUAGUAUUUUGUCCUUGAUCGCCUUCUCGUUUCAUAGGCGCUUAUGAGUUUUCCCUACAAAACACGACAAAAGAAAGAUAUAAUUUUUCUAUUACGAUAAGCCCUGGAACUCGAUUAAUAUGCUGCUCAAAUUUUAUAUAUUUGUUGAGCACUUAACGAUCUCAAAUGACAAAAAUCAGUACUAGGAAUAUGUGGAUCUCAUCAAGGGUUAUAAUUUUGAUAUACAAAGUAUCUUUAUCUGACACCAUGCAAGAAAAAUAUAAUUUUUCUAAUAUAAUAAUUAAUAUGCUUCCCAAACUUAAUACUCCCUCCAGACUUGUAAAAGAAAUCGUUUUGGAUAGCGACACAGUCUUCAAAUCAUAACUUUAACUCCUUAUUUUUAUAAAAAAAUAUUUUGAAAACUAUAUAUUUUAUGAAAGUACAUUUCAAGACAAUUCUAUUUAUAUGACUUUUAUAUUUCCAAACUCAAUAACUUAAAAAUUAUUCAUGAUUUCCAUUCCCAAUAUUUAACUCAAACCUUGUCAAAAUGACUUCUUUUACCAACCUGGAGGGAGUAUAAUUUUUUUAGCAUCUUAACGAUCUCAAAUAAAAAACUCAAAAACUAGAAAUUAAUUGUAGAUCUUGAUUGAAUCUAUAAAUUCCUAGUUGAGCUUUGUCAUUUGAGAUUGUUAAGAUGAUAAAAAGAUAAUAUAAAGUUUGAGCAGCAUAUAAUUGCAUACCAGGCUUUGUUGUGUUAAAAUUUAUAUCUUUCUUAGAUGGUGUCGGAUAAAACUACUUUGUACAUGAAAAUUAUAAUGCCCAAUGCGAUCUACAACUUUCUAAUUUUGAGUUUUACCAUUUAAAGUUAUUAAGAUGCUCAGAACAAUAAUAUAAUGUUUCAGCAGCAUGCCAAUCGUGUUUCAUACCAUUUUUUAGAACAUCUAAACAACUCCAAAUAAAAACUAAAAACUAAAAAGUACUUUUCAGCGGUGUUUUUCUCUCAUAACAAUUCAACGAAUAAUAUUUUUGAGUAUCAGUAUAAGCAAAAUUUCAGCGAGCGCUACAACUUUCAUGUACAAAGUAUCACCGUACAUAAAAGACUUGAUUUUUUUUCUAAGAUGACAUGCCCCCGUACGUGAUUGAUAUGCUAUUGAAAAUGUAUAUUAUUUUUUAGCAUCUUAACAAUCUUAAAGAGAAAAAAAAUCAAUACUAUAGGAAGUUGUAUCUCACACUAGUAGACAGGCUCAUAGCUGGCGCCUCCUUUUUAUACCACAGACGGUUCCAGUUACGACACGCUUCUGGUAUAAAUAGGACGGUGUCAGAGAUUUUCGGCCGCCUGUGCAAACGUUUUUCACAGGCGGUUGACUUAAGCCAACCGCCAGUGUAAAUGCUUCAUUUACACUGACGGUUGGCUUAAGUCAACCGCCUGUGAUAAACUAUUUCCACAGGCGGUUGGCUUAAGCCAACCGCCAGUGUAAAUGCCAAAGAGUUUUCAGCAUAGUCAGCAAACUCAAAUUUGUUUUUGGAAAGAAGACAAAAGAUGGUGUUGAUGCAAAACUAAUCUGCAAACACAAAGGGCUAAUACCCGAUUCAAACGUUAAGGCGUGCCAGCCGAUUUGACCUUACUAUCGGCAAAGGUGAUAACUCGAAUACUUUAGUCCUGACAACAGCGAUGCGCCCGGAUGUCACGGCUAAGAGGUACUCACACGGAACUUAAGGAUACGCCGAGCUUGAGUCGACGAAUUCCUAAGAACUCGUAACAAAAAGAAAACGUAUGACGAAGUCGUCGAAAAGUAAAUGCUAGAAUAUGAGUAAAAACGUGUGUUUGAUUGAUUGAUAGAUGUCCCGAUUACAAGGUCUUAGGGCUUAUAUUUAUACCCUGCUCAAAGAGCUACGACCAGACACGAUUAGAAUUCGAAUUCCAAAUUACACGGAACCCGUAUACAAAACGAUAUGAAUAACAUAAGGAAAUAAUAAAACCAUCCUUCGUGACAAACCGAAACUCCUCUACAUGACAACUGGCAGCUUCCGGACUCCUCCUUCGCGUCAUCGGCAAUCCCCUUGCCAUAGUCAUCGGCAGACCCUUUUACUUGGUCAUCGGCACCAUAUUACUGUCUGAGGACUUAGCCACGUUCAACCUUUCCCUCAUCGGUAACCAUCCUUACCAGCAACCCGCAUCGUACUGCCACCCUGUCCUGCCAUCCUGGACACGUGCCCAAAAAUGGUGUCAACACAUGCCCCCCAGUUUCGGAGUAUAAAACUAUUAAUGCUCCGAAAUUCUCUGCAGUAAUGAUGUCUUCUCCGCAAUUAAUGCUCCUAACCUGGUAACCGACAACCUCAAUCUGGGCAACUCUGAUCCUAAUCCUCCGCAGAUCCCUCGAAAUCCACAACUUCCCAAACGGGCAUCUCUCUUAGUCGUACAUCGGCAACAAUACCGUUACAAAGAUCUGCCGAUGCUCUGCCCAGGAUAUUCGCAAAAACGGUUACUUUCCCUCUAUCCGUCCAUCGGCAGGACGACCGUUAUAGAAUAUCACCGAUGGACCGACCAGGAGAUCGCGCACAGUAAAAUAUCUUUAAAUAAUGACCGCUUCCUGUCAAAUCACCUGCACAAUCCCUGGAUUAUCGUGCGAACAGUUACCAUAUCCACUUGAGUACCCUCGGGUUUCUCGGAUGCGGCAAAGAAAUAAGUCAGAUUUGCCCUUGUCCAUCUUGCCCUAUAAAUAGUUCCUUCUUGGGUACUCCUCCCCCAUUACAUCAUUCUGCCAUCCAACUUCACUUUUCCAGCGGCGGCGCCAUUCUCAAUCCUCAAGAUCUUUGACAAGCAUUCUUCUUCAUCAACUCCGGCGUCUUCCAGCGUCCCCUUCACGACAAGAUGGCCGUUGGCUUCGUCGUCCCUGAGGUCAAACUUCCAUCUCAUCUGCUGUACCUUUUUCCUGCAUUCCUGUUCAUCUGCGAUUUACCUUACCGAAUAUUUUCCUUCUCCUUUUUCUUUGUAUCUUUAUUCCCCAAAACACCAGGAGUUAUCCAAUAAAAUCGUCAUUCCUACCGAUCAACCACAUCUCCAAUGCCUCGGCCCUCUAGGGGAUCCAGAUCCAACCGACCUUAUCAACGCAGAAACCAACAGGGUUCCCUUUAGAGCUGAAAACUUUGCUCUAGAUCUAUGGAAGGACACCUUUCGCUCUUGGCCUAGCCCUACUGUAGGGUGGAAAGACUGGUUCUUGAGGGUCAGCAACUCUUAUGAAGUUCAAUGGGGUGAGAGGAAAUUAGCUCAAUGCAUUAGGCUGUCCAUUGCCGAUAUGCACAGGAACGAGUCAUUGCUGAUAGCCGCAUCUUACUUUUGGUCAGACACUCUCAACGCUUUUGUUUUUGGCCACGGCCCUGCUUCUCCUACCCUUGCCGAUGUAGCCAUGCUUACUGGGUUAGACAUAUCUUCUGCCGAUAGCACCCACUUUUUUGAUACCGCCCCCAGUGCCAAAGUGGAGACUCGCGCUAUCGGCGGCUGGUCAGGGUACAUCCAGAAGUACCGCGGGAGAGGGCCUGUCACCAUAAAGGAACAAACCACUUUUCUGAACAUGUGGCUAGACAAGUUUGUAUUCUGUGGUCGAUCGGCAGGACCGACUUCUGUCUAUCUAUCGGCAGCAGAAAGAUUGGCUAGCGGUGGUCAAUUUCCUCUCGGCCGUUAUUUGCUCGGCGCCGUUUAUCACCUUCUUCAUCAGGUAGUCCAGAAACUCCUGCUCGGCCAACCUAUCGGCAACUUGGGAGGUCCUUGGUGGUUUAUUAAUAUGUGGCUCAAUCUGCACCUGCACAAGCGCCUCGAUCUCAACUUGUUCUCUCAGCACUUCCCAAGAGAUAUAGCCGAGAACCAUGUGUUGGGUGAAGAGGAAUCGGCAACACGUGCCCCCCUGAACUUUGGCGAAGCUGUUAUAGUUCUACCCGGUUCAGGGAACACCCCGGAUCAGAUCGGCCGAUUCUUCGAAACGCUGUAUGAGGGUCUGGCCAAAGAUGAACGACCAUGGCUGGCUUAUGACGACCCGGAUAGCAUGCUCCCUCUGACCUUCAAUCCGUUCGACGAAGCUCUUGAUAGGGACAAUGAGGUGAUGAUGGCAAUCGUGACUCCCAGAGCCAUACCAGUGAACUUCUUCGGCAGCACGAAAACCUCUCCCCAAACCUAUGAAUUUUAUAAUCCAUCGGCAUUAGCUCGCCAGCUAGCUUUCGGCCAAUUACCGAUCGCACUUCCUUAUGCCGAUGUAAUAAAGCCCAGAGAACCCAUCGCUAACCUCCUCGAGUGGACUCGAGUAGCCCAGCUACCACCAAAUGCCGAUACAGAUGUAGAUCUGUCAGAAUGGGUUCCAGCUGCCUUUAUCACUCAAGCAUACAAGCUAUGGUGGGCAGAAUGGAAGGAGAAUCUAUUCUGCAGAUCGGCCCUCUCAUACCGCGGCAUGAUCGACCCCGAAUACGAAGUCCCUGACGACACUGUAAGUAUUUUAAACCGAUGUCUCAUUUUCCAAUACUAUUCCCAUCGGUAACUUACCCCUGUAUUCUUUUUGCAGAUUGACAACACCCCCCCAUCGGUUAGCAGGAGUGGCAAGCCGAUCGACUUAUUCCCAUCAGGCCCGAUCUCCUCAAUCGGCCACAAUGCUCCCACUCUGGCUUCCAUCGUCACCCAAGCAUCGGAGAAGAAUUCCGUCGAUAGUUCGAUAAUACAAUUCAUUUUCAAGGAUCACAUACUUGGUUGCUUGAAAUCGAACCCGUCUUUCAACUUUUUUGGAUGGAUCUUUUAGAUAAUCAAUAAUUUCUUCCCUCCAAUCACCGGCACUAACUACCGAUGUCGCAUUAAUCAUUGGCUGAUAUCCCGAGGCAUGCUGGGCUAACCGAUUAGCGUCUUCAUUAUGCAAUCGGGGAAUAUGCUCCAAUUGGAAAUUCUUGAAUUCCUUUAACAGUUGUAUACUUCUCUCGAAAUAGGUUAUGAGAACUUCACUCCGGCAUUCAUAGCUUCCGGCCAAUUGAUUUAUAACCAACAUGGAAUCUCCGAACACUUCAACAGCAUCAGCAUGAACUUCUCUUAAUAACUCCAAUCCCCUGAUCAGAGCUUGAUACUCAGCCUGAUUAUUUGUUGAUGUAGCAACAAUCGGCAAGGAAAAUUCAUACUUCCUCCCCUUAGGAGAAACUAAUACAAUGCCGAUUCCUGCUCCCUGGUCACAGGUAGAUCCAUCAAAGAAGAGCGUCCAGGGUGCAAUUUCCAAGGUUUCCACUAGACCGCAAUGCUGAGUCACAAAAUCGGCCAUAACCUGCCCUUUGACCGCCUUAGCCGAUUCGUAACGCAAAUCGAACUCCGACAGCGCCAAAAUCCAUUUACCGAUCCUACCACUCAUAAUCGGCAUAGAUAGCAUGUAUCGGACCACGUCAUCUUUGCAAACAACAGCACAUUCGGCCGACAACAGAUAAUGUCUUAGCUUGAUACAUGAGAAAUAUAAGCACAAGCACAGCUUCUCUAUAGCCGAAUACCUGGUUUCAGCAUCAAUCAACCUCCUGCUCAAAUAAUAAAUUACUCUCUCCUUUCCUUCAAAUUCUUGAACUAAAGCUGAACCAAUAACCGAUCCAUCGGUAGAUAAAUAUAAUUUGAAGGGUUUCCCUUGUUGGGGUGGAACUAAAACUGGAGGAUUCACUAGAUACUUUUUGAUCUCAUCCAAAGCCAACUGCUGUUCUUCCCCCCAAACAAACUCCUGAUCGGCUUUCAAUUUAAGAAGGGGACUGAAAGCACGAAUUCUCCCAGAUAAAUUUGAUAUAAAUCUUCUGAUAAAAUUCACCUUGCCGAUCAAGGAUUGGAGCUCGGUUUUAUUGGUAGGGGCCACUAUUUUAUUGAUGGCAUCAAUAGAUCUUCGACUAAUCUCAAUACCCCUCUGAUGUACCAUAAAACCAAGAAACUGCCCUGCCGAUACGCCAAAUGCACACUUGUUGGGAUUCAUCUUCAAUCCAUGCUUCCUGGUGCACUCCAACACUUUUCGUAAAUCGGCAAGAUGCUUUGAGAAAUCUCCAGACUUAACCACCACAUCAUCAAUAUAAAUUUCUACGAUUUUGCCGAUGAACUCAUGAAAUAUGAAAUUCAUAGCCCUUUGAUAAGUAGCACCAGCAUUCUUUAACCCAAAAGUCAUGACUAUCCAUUCAAACAAUCCAACAUGACCAGGACACCUGAAUGCGGUUUUUGGAAUAUCCUCCUCUGCCAUGAAUAUUUGAUUGUAACCCGCAUUACCAUCCAUGAAACUGAUGACCCGAUGGCCAGCCGCAGCAUCAACCAGUAGAUCGGCGACAGGCAUUGGGUACCCAUCCAUCGGCGUAGCUUUAUUGAGAUUCCUGAAAUCAAUGCACACUCGAAGCUUCCCGUUCUUUUUGUAAACCGGAACAACAUUGGAAAUCCAUUCGGCAUACCGACACUGCCGAAUAAACUUAGCUUCAAUAAGUUUAGUGAUUUCGGCCUUAAUAUCAGGUAGAAUGUUAAGAUUACAUCGGCGGGCUGGUUGCUGAUGUGGCCGAAAUCCAGACUUGAUGGGUAACCGAUGUUCAACAAUUGAUCGGUCUAAACCAGGCAUCUCUGUAUAAUCCCAAGCAAAGCAAUCUUUAUAUUCCUUCAACAAACUAGUUAAUUGCCGUUUACACUCAGGGUCUAGUUUAGCACUAAUAAAAGUAGGCCUAGGCUUAUCACCACUACCUAUAUCUACUUCUACCAAAUCGUCGGCCGAUGUGAAUCCUUGGCCUAAUUUUCCAUCAUCGGCGAAUCUAUCCAUUAAAAACCGUCGUCAGAACCGACUGCUUGGAUCGGUGGAAUCUCAUAAUCGGCAACUUUGAGAAAAUCUUUCUCCCAAACUUCUCCUGAAAUGCACCUAGUCUUUUCAUAAGUAUCCGCUUCUGCCGAUGCGAUAACAUAAGAAGAAUCCCCUGGGACGAUUUCAAUCUUGUCACCUACCCACUGAACCAAGCACUGAUGCAUUGUAGAUGGGACACAACAAUUGGCAUGAAUCCAAUCUCUCCCCAAUAAUAAAUUAUAGGCACCUUUUCCGCUGAUCACGAAAAAGGUUGUCGGCAAGGUUUUGCUGCCGAUCGUCAACUCUGCACAUAUCGCCCCCUUGACCGGAGACACGUUUCCCUCAAAGUCUUUGAGCAUCAUAUCGGUCUUGGUCAAAUCUUGAUCCCCUUUCCCAAGCUUCCGAUAUACUGCAUACGGCAUAAUAUUAAUAGCAGCUCCACCAUCAACUAGGAUCUUGGUCAUUGGCUGCCCAUCAACCCUUCCUUUGAGGAACAAAGCUUUAAGAUGCUGCCUCUCGUUAUCGGCAGGUUUCUCAAAGAUAGCCGUCAUCGGAUCCAGAGCCAACUGAGCUAUCUGAUCAGAAAAUCCCAACUCAUCAUCACUGGCUGGUGCAAGAAACUCCAUCGGCAACAUGAAUACCAUGUUGACGCCUGCCGAUGGACCUUCCUUCUUAGUGUCUGCCGGCUGCCGAUUUUCAGAACUCUCUCCUUUAUUUAACUCCUCCUGCCUUUCUCGUUGCAACCUCCUUUUCUGUGUCUUGGUUAAACCUUGAGGGCACCAUGGAGGAAGUGGCCUUUGCCUUACUGCCGGGCGUCGGUUCUCCCUUGACUCCAUACGAUGUGUGUUAGCAUCUCUGCAAAAUAUGAACUCAUCGGGAACCCGCGCAUUAGCCAUUUCCUCAAGCUCUUCCUGGUUCCUGGGAAAAUAUUGGACACGGUCACCGAGCCGAUCGCGAACACUAAGCCUGCCCCCCAGCCGAUCAUGAACUGACGCUCUUCCUCUGAUUGGCCCAUUAAAUCGCCGUUCAUCAUCACGAUAACGCCGAUCGUUCCUAUCGUACCGAUCAUAACCGUUGCAUUCAGGGCAGUCUCUGACAGUAGGAAGCUUGAUAUUUUCCUCCCAACAAUGGAUGAAGAAUGGGCAACUCCAAUGAUCCCUGUGCCGAUUCCACUCCUGCCGACGUCUUUCUUCCUCCCGUUGAUAAUCUUCCUGCUGGCGCCGAUAUCGAUCUUCCCGUUGUUGCCAUCUCUCUCGAGGCCUUCUAUGAGUUAUAACAAUACCAGACCGAGGAAGUCUUCCUGAGCUAGCUCCUUCCUGGACCAAGCCCUUACUUCUUGCAUCGGCGGUAGUAACUUGAUGCCGAGGAUCUACCGAUGCACUCUUCUCAGCUGUCUCCGAUGUUAAGACCUUAGCCUUCCCCUUAGCGUCCAACAUGUUUGUCGGGAAAGGAUGUUGGUCUAUCUUCAUCGGCUUUUGGGCUUUAAAACUGUCAAACUUGAUUCUCCCCGACUCUAUAGCCGAUUGCAGCUGUUGUCUGAAUACUUUGCACUCGUUGGUGUCAUGUGAAGUUGCAUUAUGCCACUUGCAAUAUCUCAUCCUCUUCAACUCUUCUGCCGACGGGAUCACAUGGUUAGGUGACAGUUUGAUCUGACCUUCCUGAAGUAGAAAGUCAAAUAUCCUAUCGGCCUUGGCGGUGUCAAAGGCAAACUUCUCUGGUUCUUUCUGCCCAAAAGGACAAGACAUCGGCUUCUUGUUUUUUACCCACUCUGCCAAACCGAUUACUGGUUCCUCGUCGGAAUCUGAGCUUGUUGCUUCGUCAACAAAUGACACUUUCUUAUUCCAUGCCCUCUUAGGCUCGAAAGGCUUGAUGUCUUGAUCAGAUAUCCUCUGCACCAAAUGACUUAAACUCUCGAACUCUUGAGAUGCAUACUUAUCCCUGAUAUGUGGCAACAAACCCUGGAAAGCCAAAUCGGCUAGCUGCCGAUCAUCCAGAACCAGGCUAUAGCAUUUAUUCUUGACCUCUCGUAUCCUCUGCACAAAUCCCUCAACCGACUCGUCAUUACGUUGCCUCAACUUAACCAAGUCGGUGAUCUUCUUCUCAUGAACCCCUGAGAAGAAGUAUCUGUGGAAUUGUUUCUCUAGAUCGGCCCAAGUAAUUACUGAGUUGGGAGGUAACGAUAUGAACCAAGUAAAGGCCGAUCCAGACAGUGAUGACGAAAAUAGACGAACCCUCAAUUCGUCCCUGUUACCAGCCUCUCCACAUUGAAUAAUGAACCUGUUGACAUGCUCCAUGGUUGACGUGUCGUCCUGCCCGGAAAACUUUGUAAAAUCUGGUACCUUGUAUCGAUGUGGAAGCGGGAUCAAAUCAUACGCUGGAGGAUACGGUGUCCGAUAAGAAUAAGUGUUGACUUUGGGUUUUAUCCCAAAUUGUUCCCUCAUUACUUCAGCAAUCUUAUCGGCCCAAUAAGCAUCGGCAUCUUGCCGAUGAGGCGGCUGCGGAUCCGGUACUUGGUGGCGAACCUCCACGUGUCUGUUUGGGACGUGACCUGUAUGGAACAUCGUAUUGGCCACCUGUCCUCCAAUCUACGGACUACCAAACUGCUGUCCACCGAUUGGCUGUCCUCCGAGUUGCUGUCCAAAAUUUAUUGGCUGGUUGGGAAUUCCCUGACCUUGGAACCCGGGAUAAACCUGCCCUUGCUGGAACCCUGUAGUCUGAUAACCCUGCUGGGGCGACUGUGGAAAGACUUGCUGUCCAAGCCAUCCAUUAUUAGCGUUCAUCGGCAUAGGUGCUGCCGAUGAUUGGUAAUUGGGUACCGUCGUUGAAUUGACAUACCCUGACUGGGCCAUAGGCCUCUGUUGCACCAGCAUUGAUUCUGCCGAUGCGUUAGGCAUCUGGAACAUUGGAUCUUGAGGAUUUCCGGCGUGAGGCCUUGCAGUAGUAGUUGUGGUAUACCGAGGACUCUGGUUCACCGGCACAUUGGAAGGUACUGAUGUCAUAGGAGUUUUACCCCUCAUGUCAGUUAUCUGUGAUGUUCCCGGCGUCAACUCUGGAGGCAUACCAUAACCCCACCAGUUAGGAGGAAGAGUUAACCCCGACAUUGCCGAUGCCAACAUAUCUGUUGUCAGUUUAUGCUGCCCAACUGAAAUUUGUGGGUUGGUUACCAUCGGCAUAGAUAGUGCACCAGUAGUCCCCAAUGUACUUGGAGGGACGGCAAACUGUGCACUUGCACUCGUCAAGGCAGCCGAUGGAGCCGUGACCUCUGGUGCUGUGGGUUGAUGAUGGGAAGGGCCCACAUAAUCCGGCGGGAUUUGUCCUUCCUUGAAGGUUCUUGCCACGGCGUUGAAAACCGUAUUAGACAGUACACCAGCUUGGUUGAUCAGCGCUCGAUUGAUGGCAUUGUCAACCAUGUCUUGAAGCUUGCCAGGAUUAGCGUCAAAGGUGACCUGCCGUGGUGCCGGCAGUGCAUCUUUCUGGACCACUUCGCCGCUCCUGUUUAUGCUGAAAGACUUCAGGCACUGCUGCUUGAACUCUUCCAUGGCUUGGGCAAUAGCUUGCUUCUGCUCAUCCUUGAGGUUAGCUUCCGUCACGGGGAUGACGUUGUCUUGGUCGAGGUCAGAGAUCGACAUCUUGAUCUUGAAUCUGUCCCACCGGGCGUGCCAGAAGAUGUGUUGAUGCAAAACUAAUCUGCAAACACAAAGGGCUAAUACCCGAUUCAAACGUUAAGGCGUGCCAGCCGAUUUGACCUUACUAUCGGCAAAGGUGAUAACUCGAAUACUUUAGUCCUGACAACAGCGAUGCGCCCGGAUGUCACGGCUAAGAGGUACUCACACGGAACUUAAGGAUACGCCGAGCUUGAGUCGACGAAUUCCUAAGAACUCGUAACAAAAAGAAAACGUAUGACGAAGUCGUCGAAAAGUAAAUGCUAGAAUAUGAGUAAAAACGUGUGUUUGAUUGAUUGAUAGAUGUCCCGAUUACAAGGUCUUAGGGCUUAUAUUUAUACCCUGCUCAAAGAGCUACGACCAGACACGAUUAGAAUUCGAAUUCCAAAUUACACGGAACCCGUAUACAAAACGAUAUGAAUAACAUAAGGAAAUAAUAAAACCAUCCUUCGUGACAAACCGAAACUCCUCUACAUGACAACUGGCAGCUUCCGGACUCCUCCUUCGCGUCGUCGGCAAUCCCCUUGCCAUAGUCAUCGGCAGACCCUUUUACUUGGUCAUCGGCACCAUAUUACUGUCUGAGGACUUAGCCACGUUCAACCUUUCCCUCAUCGGUAACCAUCCUUACCAGCAACCCGCAUCGUACUGCCACCCUGUCCUGCCAUCCUGGACACGUGCCCAAAAAUGGUGUCAACAGAUGGAAAACCAAGAAAGAAUGUCAAGCCAGCUCCAGGGGCUACAUUCAAGAAGAAGUCAAUUUUCUUCGAGUAUUUGGAAUACUGGCCAGAGUUAGAUGUCCGCCACGCGAUCGAUGGUAUGCACGUUCAGAAGAACGUGUUUGAAAGCGUAAUUGACACCUUGUUGGACAUGAAGGGCAAGACAAAGGAAGGAUUAAAUUCACGCUUGGACAUGGUACAGUUAGGCAUAAAAAAAGAACUUCACCCUGUUAGGCUAGAAAAUGAGAAGUACCACCUCCCGGCAGCAAGCUACAACCUCAACAAUGAAGAGAAACAUGAGAUGUGUGUGUGGUUAAAGAAAUUGAAAGUCCCAUCUGGAUUCUGCUUUAGCAUACGGAUUAUUGUGUCAAUGAAAGACCUUACACUCACCAACUACAACUCACAUGAUUGUCAUGUCAUAUUGACUACUUUUCUCCCUAUUGCCAUUAGGGCUAUAAACCCAUUGUGGAUAAAGGUUGCAGUUACACUAUUGUGCUACUUCUUCAACAAGAUCUCACAGAAGGUGAUUGAACGUGAUGAGUUGGCGUCUCUUAAGGAAUUCGUAGUGGAGACAGUUUCACAGUUUGAGAUGUGUUUCCCCCCAGCAUUCUUCGAUGUGAUGGUUCACCUUGUGGUUCACUUGGUUUCACAAAUAGAGGCAUUGGGUCCCAUGUAUUUGCAUGAGAUGUGGACGUAUGAACGCUUCAUGUCAAUACUAAAUGGCUAUGUAUCAACUCGUGCUCGUCGAGAUGCGUCUAUGGUAGAGGGGUACUUAACCGAAGAGGCCAUUGAGUCCGGAGGUCCAUUCUGCAAUAGGGUCCUAAAAGACCAGGUUGCAAUAGGUUUGCCUCCGUCACGACAUGAGGGUAGGCUGAAUGGAAGAGGUAGGAUGGGAAAGAAAUCAUACGUCCCAAAAGAUUACAAUUCAGUCCUCGAAGCACAUCACAGCGUCCUACAUCAGCUCUCGAUAAUGGAGCCUUUGAUCAAUGUACACAUUGAAGAGCUUCAAAAACAUAAUCAUGGGCACACAGAUGAAUGGAUAAUGAAGGAACAUAAGAAUCAGUUCACCUCAUGGCUAAGGGAGCAGGACAUUCCAGAUGGAGAAACACUCGAGGAUCGCACCAUCAAGGUCUUGGCAUCUAGGCCAUCACGCCAGGUCACGACUUGGCAAACCUAUGACAUUAGUGGCUUCACGUUCUGUACCAAGUCCAAAGACCAAAAGAGCAUGGCACAAAAUAGUGGUGUUCGAUGCGACGCCUUAGACUCUGAAACUGGUGAGGAAACAACUUACUUUGGCUUCGUUGAGGACAUAUGGGAACUAGACUAUGGUACAUUUCAGAUCCCUGUAUUUCGGUGUCAAUGGGUUGAAGACAAACAUGUCACAAUGGACAACUAUGGGAUUAGAGUUCUAGAUCUAAGCAAGGUAGGCUACAAAGAUGAUCCAUGGAUAAUGGCUAACCGUGCUGCACAGGUCUUCUAUGCUGAGCAGGUCCUCUCUCCUAAUGAUAAGAAGAAAAUUACGGACCAUCCAAAGCACAUAGUUUUCCCUGGAAAGCAACAAGCCAUUGGAGUUGAUGGUGUAUCUGACUUGGAUGAAUUUAACCAGUUCAGUGACAUGUCUCUCUUUGUAGACGACCAUCCAGUAAAGAUAAGGAAUGUUGAGCGAAGCAUUCCACAGAGCUCGUUGCCCUGGGUGCGUCACGAUGGACAAGGAAGAACAGUAGCUGCCUAGAUUUUAUUUGUCAUUUGCCAUGUAAUCUAUUUGUACCUUAUGCUAUGUGCCCUUCUCUAUUUCUACAUGUAAGGGUUACUAGUGCCAUUGAUGUCGUAUUGGUCUCAAACUUUUACUAAGGGUUACUAGUGCCAUUGAUAUUCAAUCCACCAAAUUUGGGAUUUUUCUGAUGUGGUUUAUUACUUUAUCCGGUUUAAUUGAAUUUUUGUGCGAUAUCACCCACUAAUUAGCGCUUGAACUAAGUCUACCCCUAAAAUGACUCCAAAUGGUGCUAAACUUCUUCACAGGGUCUUAUAUACCAUAGGAAAUAAAACUUCCUUGUGGUUGGUGGAAAAACCUAGUGGGAUCUAGGUGUAGUCCACCAUUUUUCAUCUCAUUUAACACAAAGAAAAAUGUAAUAAUAGCUUGCAUGACUAUAAAAUCCUAAGAUCUUGUGUGGGGUUAUCAUUUGAGUGUAGAAGCUUGUCAAAAAAAUUUCAAGACAUUUGGAGAUAGGCAUAACAUACAUGCUUCACAAAUGUAUAAGAGUCAUUCCACCGAACUAUGCUCAAACAUAUGGGUUCCUCACAUUUAUAUUGUCAACGAUAAAUUACACAAAGGAAUAUAUUUUUCAUAGCAUUUACACAUAACAAUAAAGCUAACAAAAUUAGAUUUAUAUUUUUCUGGUAUUCCUAGAAUUAUUUAUGUAUUAAACAAGAUAUGAGGCACAUAUUCAAUUUAAAUCAUUUUAAAAAAGCUGCAUAUAAAAGUACCUCAAACAUGAAAUUUCAUAAUUUUAACAUGUGUCUCUGGUCAAGAGGAACACAACAAAUAUUUUUUCACUAAUUUAGGACAAAUAUUUUUGAAGAUAUGAUUUUUUGAAUCAUUUAAAUAAUUUCUAAAAAUAUAUAUAAGGAAAACUUUAAAUAAACUGAAAAUACAUUUCUACAUGCGGUUGGCUAAGCCAACCGCCAGUACUAAUGCAUUUGUACUGACGGUUGGCUUAGUCAACCGCCUGUACAAAUGCAUUAGUACAGGCGGUUGGCUUAGUCAACCGCCUAUAGAGAUGGUUUCUACAUGCGGUUGACUAAGCCAACCGCCUGUACUAAUGCCUCUGUAUAUAACCUUCGGUCCUCCGCUCGAAAUUUUUCUAAGUCUGGCGCCCAGUUGAUUUGAAACCACGCUGUCAGGCUGUCCAAAUCUGCGGUGAGCUUCUUCCUCGCACGUCUUCCGUCUUUCGCCGCCGCGUCAAGCACUUCGGUGAGCUCUCUCUCUUCUUCUCUCUCUGCGUGUGCGCGCUUGACGGCGGUGGCUAUGGUGUGCGGCGGUGGUGGCUGUGGUGUGGUGGCGGACCGCGAAGAAGAGGCGCAGUGGUGUGCGCGGGCCCGACGACGAUGGUAGCGGUGGCGGUGAGCGGCGGGCGUGGUGGCAAGCGGCGGGCGCGGCUGGAGGUUGGGGAUAACCCCGACAUGUGGGGCCCACCUGCCAGCGUGAGGGAGAGAAGGGGAGAGGGCACGGGCUGUGCUGGGCCUGCUGGCCCGGAAACGAGUGCAAAAUAUUAUAAAUAAAAUUAGAUUUAUUCAUUUUAUAAAUAUAUGUUAUAAUGUUAUAAAAUAUAGCAAAAAAUUAGAAAAAAUCAGAAAAAUUAAAAAUAAAAUCAGGUAUAUUAUUAUGUCUUUUACAUGUAAUUUUAUUCAUAAUUAUUAUUGUAUAAAUAAUUGUUAUUAUUUUUGUAAAUACAUGUUAUAAUGUUAUAAAAUAUAGCAAAAAAUAGAAAAAUCAGAAAAAAUAAAAAUAAAAGCAGGUAUGAUAUAAUCUCUUUGUUAUAAUCUCUUUGUAAUAGGAUUCAUAAUUAUUCCUUUUAUAAAUACUUGUUAUUAUUUCUCUUUGUAUAUGUAAUAUGAUUCAUAAUUAAUUCUUUUAUAAAUACUUGUUAUUAUUUCUCUUUAUAUAUGUAAUAGGAUUCAUUAUUAUUCCUUUUAUAAAUACUUGUUAUUAUUUCUCUUUGUAUAUGUAAUAGGAUUCAUAAUUAAUCCUUUUAUAAAUACUUGUUAUUAUUUCUCUUUGUAUAUGUAUUAGUGUAGGUAUUUCUCUUUAUAUAUGUAUUUCAUACCCCAAGAUACAUAAAUUUAAUUUUAUGCAUAAAUUACAUAGAUUUCUGCGAUGAGUUCUCCGCACAAGGACGAAGCACUGCAGUCCCAACCCACGGAGCAAAUAGAAGGGUCAUCCGACCCUAUGGAACAAGCUCGUGAGGUCACGAAACAAGUAGAAACGGGCAAAGCAUUAGGAUCGUCCUAUGAACAAGAAGCUAGCGACGAUAUGGAGCCUCUAAGAGUGAGGAAGACUCGUCGUGAAUUGGCACGUGACCCUGAUUACAAUCCAGAAGCCGAUGAGGUAAAUUAGAGACAUUCAUGAUUUCAUGUAAUUAAAUGAUUUCUAUUCAUAGUUUCUACAUAUAAACACGCCCAUGAUUCACAUGUCUAUACUCAGGAGGCAAUGUCUCAGUUUAGAGAGAUGAUGUCUCAGGAGGAAGUGGCACACGAAGAUGCACCGGAACCGACGACCGCAACGACGAGCCCUGAGAGGCCAUGUCAGUCUAGGAAAAGGUAGCGGCUAGGUUUGAAACGAGGCGAGAGAGGGUUGAACCAAUUUCUAGAUGACACAUAUGCCAUCACAGAUGUGAGCCCUACCGGACAACCCCUAGCUCUUGAGGAGGCCCUACCCAAAUACAGGAACGCAAUUGGUUUCUAUGUGAGGGACAUUUUUGAUAUCACAGUUAAGAACUGGGCUGGUGUGUCGAAUAAUCACAAGAUCAAAAUUUGGGAUAAGAUUAAGACAAGGUUCCAGUUUCCUAGGAAUGUGCCAGAAGAUUUAGUGAAGACAUAUACAAUGAAGCAAUGUGCGGUUAGUUUCCAAAAUUGGAGGUCGGAGAUGAAUGUCAAGUAUGCAAAGACAAGGAUGGAUCCGACAUCCAAAUACAAUAUUACUAAAGGGUAGUGGGCUGUUUUUCUAGAGCAGAGAAAUGACCCUAACUUCUUAGCUCGGAGCGAAGCCAACUCCCAGCUCGCAAAGAGGAACAAGUAUCACCACCAUCUAGGCACAGGUGGUUACCGGCACCAAGUUCCUAAAUGGAGGCAAGAAGAGGCUGCGAAGAAGGCCGUAGGGUUGCCAGUGCUGUCCGAGCAAGUCGGUGAAAGGUCCGCGAAUUGGAUCCGUGCUCGGAAGCCAAAGGAAACCGAGACGGGUGUGUCCUUUGAAGACCCAAUGCUUGAUGAAGCAAUGAAGAGCAUCUUUGCAGUGGCAGGCAUGCAGCAGGAAGGCAAGUUUACACCACGAAGGGAGAGAGACAUCCUUAGUGUUGGCCUCGGUAACCCCGAGCAUCCUGGCCGUGUUCGAGGCAUCUCAUCCAAAGAAGGAUGGAAGGAUGGAUUCGGCCCUCAAUGGGCAAAUGAGUAUAAGAAACAUGAUCGGUACAAGGAACAAAUGGCAAAUUAUUUUCAGGAAGAGGCUAAGAAAGACUUCCAAGAGAUGAUGGGGAAGUUGCUAGAAAAUCCUCCUCCUGAGUUGAUGCAGAAACUAGCGAGUGCCAUGUCAAAUGCAGCUACCCAAAUGAGCACUCAAGCUCCCCAAAUGCAGCUAGUCCCAGUGGUGUCGUAACCGUUGGUGGCAUCAAGUGAAACAAUCAUUCCAAGCAGUAUCGCAUCUACGGCAAACAAGGAUGACUAUCCAGUUGACGACAUUGUUACUUCUACACCUUGCUCCCUUGUCAUAAGAUAUGGGAUUAACAAUCAUCGUACAAGGGAAGUAGCCACGGGCAAAGCGAUCCCAGGAGGACCUAAAUACCAUGGUGCUGACAUCCCUAAAGACUACUGCAGAGUAGAGGUAUCAACCGUGGUCCAAGGAUAUGAGGACGAGAUUCUAGACAUCCCUGGUCCCAAGGAUAUUGUGAAACUAGGACAGGCGAUAAACAAUUUCAUCCUUUGGCCUCGGAGGGACGUGCAACUAAGGGAGCCACCACCACCCUCUCAAGAGAUGCCACUAACCCAGGAGUCGUCAACUCAUGUCGAUCCUCUUCCUAACCCACCGCCUUCACCUCCCCAAUCUCUUCCUGACCCACCAGAAUCACCUCUCCAUGUUUUCCCUGUCCAUCAACCAUCUCCUCUCCAUGAUCUUUCUACCCCAUAGUCAACACAAUCUCCACCACCAUUCAAUUCCACCCCUUCCCCACAACUCAAAGAUCCAGAACCAAGAAGUGAGCCACCAAAGGUGACAAAGAAGAAAGUAUUUCCGAUACCUAAGUUGAUUUCACCAUUCGAGCCAAAGAAAAAAUCAGCUGGGCAAGUGAGAUUUUUGUCAGGCAUUGCUUCAAAACGCAAAAUACAAGAGCAUGAGAUUUCUGAGCUAGCAAAGUUAGAGGUGCCGGCGCCUAAGGUCAUAACUCCUGUCAAUUUCAAGGUGCCAACUGCAGAAGACUACAAGAAUAUCCCCAAAAAGUACGUGUGGGGAAAGCCUCUACUCAGUCGGACUAAACUUAUGAAGAAACUAAGUGGUAUAAAAAGGUUUCAUGACUGGUACAUGAGAGCCUCUUCUGCUGGCAUCGACACCAUAAGCAUGCGAAUACCGCAAAUAGCAUUUCUCAGCCAGAGUACUAACAAAUGCAUGCUCACUUUUGAUGACAUGUGGGCACUGAUGAACCACGAGAUGCUAGAUGUACAGAUCGUAACGACAUUUGCAUUGUAAGUGUUACAUAGUUACACACAUUGUAGUUGAAUCAAUUUUGAAUAUCUGACAUGCUUCUAUCUUGCACAAUGUUAUAUGAUCAACAAGAUAUGUAUUUUGGUUCGGACCUUAAUUAUUGUGCCGAAGAAAGGAAUGCCUAUCUCUGCCCAAUAGAUAUAGCCGAAGAUCGGCACACAUUUCGGAUCGGGAAUGACAGCACAGAGGUAUAGGGUUUGGAAGGUGCAGAACGGGAUGAGAAACUCUGAAAGUUGAAACUUGAUUUUGAAGCCAAAUACGCCUUCUAUAUUGGACAUUCACUAAUAAAGUUUCAAGACAGGAAAGCGGUGGUGGCCCCGUACCACUUUGGGUAAGUGUGAGUUUACAAAUAUCUAUCUAAAUUAUUUCUAUGCAUAAAUGCAUCAUGGAUUUAAUUCGAGCAGGAGGCACUGUAUAUGCUUCAUCAUUUAUCCCAAGGAGGGAAGGGUGUUGGUACUAGACUCCGCAGAUUACCCAAAAGAAAGCUAUGCUCCAUUCAUCAAACUGCUAGAGCUGUAAGUCAAGCUAUGCAUGCAUACUUAAGCAUAGUGAGAAUUUGACAAUAACAUGGUGAUUCUAUUUGAGAUCAUAGGGCAUACAGGUUCUAUUAGAUAAAUCAUGGAAAGUGCGAGUCCAAGAGACCAGGGCAACCAUUGGAGGUUAUACAUAACUGACCGGUACGUAUAAAAAUUUACUAUUAUGAAUACAAAUCAUACACAUACGACCACAAUUGCAACUAUAAUUAAAUAACCACUCUCCUGUUAUACAGUGCAUGAAGCAACCACCGUUAUCUGUCCUCUGUGGCUACUACGUGUGCGAGAACAUGAGAGAAAACGGACGAUAUGCAAGGAACCCUGACAAGGUAAUAUAAGUAAUAGUCUAUUAAAGUUAGAAGUCAUAAAAUAUAUAAUGUUUAUAAACUUUCUUUGCAGGUAUAUAAGCAAGGGACGGCGGAGCGCAUGGACGAACGUGCUUUAGACAACAUAGUUGAGGACAUCUGCUCGUUCAUCAUGAAGCAUGUCAUUCCACGUGAAGGCAAAUAUCAUGACGAUGAAAGCCAAUUAUCCAGGCCAGAGUUCCGAGUGCUAACAGAGAUUAGUAAGCUCAAACUUACUAAAGAGGGUUAUUAGAGGACACAAACAAACUUUGAUGUAUAUAUAUAUAUGAUGUGUGAUGAUGGAUAUACUCUUGUAAUUAACUUUAUGUCUUUGAGCACCAAACUUUGAUGUAUACAAAUGUAUGUAUGAGAUGAAGUAUUUAAAUUACAUGUUGCUAUGUUAGAAGACCAACCAAUAUCAAUAUAUUUAAAUAAUAACAAUAAAAUAAUAAAUAAAUAAAUAAAUAGAUAAAUUAAUAAAUAAAUAAAUAAUACAUAUUUUAAUAGGUUUACACAGGCGGCUCUCUUAGGAAACCGCCUGUGUAAAUGAACAUUUACACAGGCGGUUCUCUAAGAGAGCCGCCUGUGUAAAAGGUUUCUACUUGCGGCUCUGUGGAAAUGGACGAUUUCUACUGACCUCCAGCGCAGGCGGAUCCGAAAAACGCCUGUAGAAAUAUGUUACCAACCACCUGUAUAGUGUGCCAAUGUACUAGUGUCAGCAAGAGUUACAAUUUUUAUUUCUAAAAUCUAUUUAUCUAACACCAUAUUUUUUCUAAUACGAUAAGCCCAAGAGCACGAUUAAUAUACUGCUCAAACUUUAUAUAAUUUUUUGAGCAUUUUAACAGUCUCAAAUGAAAAAAAAAAUUAAAACUAGAAAAUUUUGGAAUUCAUCGAAAGCUAAAGUUUUCAUAUAAAAACCAUCUUCAUUCAAGGUCAUAUUAAAAGAGUGUGAUUAUUUAAUAUAGAGAUUUGUCGUUGACAUAUGGGUCCCAUAUGUCAGAUCCAUGCUACGUAGGAUAACAAGUUGGGGUAAACGUCCAUCUGAACUUGGAUGAGACCCGUUGCAACUUCAGAAAGCAAAAAAUAUAUUUUGAAACUUUCGGAAUUUAGAGGAUGAGUAUUAUUGUUCUUAUUUUUUAGGUUGCAACACUACUACAACAUUCUUUUACUGAGGCGGGCAAAAACAAUUAACUGAUGCGGUUUUUGCAACCACCUUGAUGAGAAGGUCACGAUAAAUGUGAUAUUUUCCGAGGUGGUUUCUUGCUUGCCACAGUAAUUCAGAUAAAAAAAAUUGAAAUAACCUAGAUCCAGCUCUAACUGGAUUUGGUACUGGCUCUACAGCCCCUGCGUGCCACCGUCGCCAGGGGCAGCCAUGACUGCUUCUUUCUAAGUCCGUGAGAAGGAGAGCUGUCGUGAUCCGGCCUCCACUCUACCGUCGGAGCUGAAAGGGGAGGAGAAGGAGCGUCGCCAUGGGGAAGCUAGAUCUAGCCUCCCCACCACUAGAUCCGGCCUCCACGUCGCCGUCGACGCAAAAAAGGGAGGAGCACUGUCAUAGGGAGCAGGCGUCGGGUAUUGGGUGAGGGAGAAGUGAAUAGGCGUCGGAGCUGCCGCCGAAGCUCAUGGAUCCACUCAAUCAGCCGUCGGCACAUGUGGAUCCGUUGUAGGCCUCUGCCAUCAGAGCUCGCAGUGCACGAUGCUGGGUCAUGUGACCCCCACCGCGUAGCACGCGACACCCGCCACUAGGGCGCGCAAUCGCUGCCGCUAGAGCUCGGAGCCGCAGAGAGAGAGAGAGAGAGAGUUGGGGAAGGAGAGCGGAGUGGGGGAGGGAGCAUAUGAGAGAGGAGUGUUGCGGUCGAGUAGGAAAGGAGGAGGGCCACGGGGGAGAAGGUGCCGCUCGAUCUGCUGAGGAGGGAGAGGUUGAAGGAGAGGAAGUGAAAUGAGUUAAAUGGGUUACCGGGUCUUGCAUGGGCUAGCUGGGCCUCGUCCUUUUUUGAGACGGACCUUAUAACUUGCCACCUCAGUUCAUAGGUAUUAACCGAGACGAUUCUGUUAUAUUGCAUGCCUCGGCUAAUAGAUUUUAUGAAAAGAUUUUUUAUUGCCUCGGUAAAUCUAGGUAUUAAUAGAGGCGGUUGAAAAUGUUUUAUGUCCAGCAGAUUGUGUGGAUGGAUGGAUCGAAUCUGCAUGAAAGGAGUAAGUCCUCUCCCCCUCCUAUUUGCAGCACGACAACGCCAUACCACAUGUCUACGUAUUCAUCAGCCCUUGCCAGGAAUAUGAUGUCGUCGUCGUCGUCGUCUACGUAUCAUCCAAUCUACCAUUUCUGAUCAGACUUGCUUAUACUUACUAGUCGCUUUGUCUGCUACCUUCGUCUUCAUCUCUAUACGUAUGGUGCUGUGCAAUUGCAUUAUUUUGCUUCUGUGUCGUCUGUGCUCAGCUGCCGACCGGCCGGCGAACAGAUUUCAGAAACCAAUACGGCCUGUUCAUCUCUCUUCGUCAACAAAUAUAAUUAAUUGGAGUCUGUCCUUGAUAGUGUGAAUGGUUACUACAGGAGAAUACCAUGCAUUACUUCGAAAUAUAAUUAACUGGAUGUUGAUAGAAGAAUAACAGAGUUUUUGUUUUCUCAGAAAACAGGUACAUUUACAUUUUCCGAUUUUUUUUAUACUGAAUUCACUACCGGAAUCCGGCUCUUUGCCGAGUGUCUAAUGGUUUACCGAGUGUUUUUUUUCGGGCACUCGGCAAAAAAAACACUCGGCAAAGAGGGUACUCACUACUGGAUACUGCUAAUUCGCCGAGCGUCAAAAACCGUCGGCGAAGCGCCCAAAACCGUCGGCGAAAGCUUCGCCGAGCGUGACCAUCGGCGAAGCUCGCUCGGGGAAUUUGCUGUCGGCGUAGACGCUCUUCGCCGAGAGCCGGAUCACGGGCUGUCGGCGAACGUUCGCCGAGGGUCAAGCCCCCACUCGGCGACACUUUGACGCCGUCACGGCGCUGGUUCACGGUGACGGCUGCUUCGCCGACGGCCACCGGCAACGCUCGGCGAACCUCCGGGUUUUUUUUAUUUUCUUUUUUUCUCUGCCAAAACUCUUCGCCGACAGCCUUAAAUUCCUCUCGGCGAACCGAUCGCCUUCGCCGAGCGCUAUGGCCGUUGCGCUCGGCGAAGCUGGGAACCUGGGAGAUUUGGCCGUUGUGCUGCCUCCAGCUUUGCCGAGCGCAACGGCCAUAGCGCUCGGCGAACAUGCCCUUUGCCGAGCGGUGCGCUCGGCGAAGCUGGGAACAGUUUUUUUUUGAAUUGUUUUCUUCCUUUUUGGACAUCACCAAUGCAUAGAAACCAUAUAUAUAUACCCCACAUCAUAUAUAUCAUCAUAACCACUGAAAUAUUGUUGACACUUCUUAACGCAACCACGGGAUAUCGGCGACGGCGCCAGAAGUGCCCUGGUAGGGUAACUCUAUUUACUAUUGGAUAAUUCCGCAAGCGCACAGAAUGUACCGCUGUAGCACUUCACCAAGGAGUAUUCCAAGGUAUCGUAAUUUAUAUUUUCCCAAGGAAAAGCGGCUAAGUGUGUUUAACAAAAAGGGGAAUGAGAUUCCUUGAGUUAUCUAGUAUCAACUAGUGAAUAAGGGUGGUAAAUAACGAAUAGGAAGGGUAGUGGUGAAUCCAAGGUCCUAUGCUAAAGGUAAAUGGUAGAGUUAGCUAGGUGGGAGGACAACGAGUGAGUAAAGGACUCCUAUGUAUCUAACUUGACUUCUGUGACUUACUUUAAUAGAUAAUUGUCUUAACUACGCUAGAGCCUUACUAACUGUGUGCGAGGGAUAGCCGAGCUGGUAAGACGCUUAGAAGGUUUUUCACCUAACCCCUUACCGAAAGCGACUAUUGGGCUUAUGGACGCCUUACCUUUUAAGAACUAGCCUGUACGUGAGGAGAACCUAAUGCCGCCCACGAUCUGUCACCUACUAGGGAGUGCGCUCCUACUUUCCGUUCAAGCCAGCGGUAAUCAAAGGUAAUCUUAAGUAUGAGCACCACGCUCACACUUAAUCCUACAACGCUAACUAGUUGCAGCUAGCUAGAGCUCCUAUACAAGAUAGGACGAUGAUGCACACACAGGAGUGGUUACAGGUCACUAACUUCACUAAGACAACUAUAUUACUAAAGUAAAUGCACAACAAGACUAAAAGACUUGCACUAAGUAAGAACUCAGUAAAGUAAAGUAAGAAUAAUAUAUUAAUAAAAGGAAAGUCUUACAAAAGUAGAAAGGUACAAGAGCUAUACCAGACUCUCCAGAAGACGACUCCGGAGACCCCGAGCUUCGCUCGACUCGACUCUAACUCCCACUCUAGACUAACUACUACUCUACUUGUAUGCUUGGAACUUGUAAUGCACUUGGCCUUGGAAUUGCACACUUGAAAUGAAGGAUGGAGGCUGCCUUUUAUAGAGGGAGAUGGAGUAGGGGUUACUCCAUCGCCACGUCAUCGAUCCGCGUGACAUCUUCUCUCCACCCUUGGAUCAAACCGACCUCACAACCGCCAUUUGAUCAACGGCAGGGGCAAAUCAACAUGUGGGACAUGUGGGGAAGGUCGGUGGGAGGCCACCGACCCUGGAACCGCCUUUGAUGUGGGGUCGGGCGACCCCACUUCUGGGCCUCUGGGCCCACCAGCAGUGUCCACAGGGGUCCCUUAUGUCGGUGGACUAGGUGGCACACCUGGGUCCCACCAAAGAGGGGUCGGGCGACCCCCUCCCUGUGGGCCCAGGGUGUCACCUGUUGUCCCCUCGAUCUCCUCUUGAUGAUUCUGAUGUUGGCUUUGUCAAAUAAUGUCUUGAAUUUGUUGUUCCUGCAUAAACAAGCUAAGAGUACAAGUGGAACUAGUUAUGGAUAAAAUAUGUUCAUGUCAUGUCGUUUCCUCUUGCAACCGAGGCAUGUUGACGGUGUUUUGUAUGUGGAUUUCUAUGGUAUAUCCACCGUCAACAAGCUCCCCCAAGCUUAACCUUUGCUCGUCCCGAGCAAACAAUCAAACUUAGCCUCGGUGGAUCAGGUAUUGUUACUAUGUUCACAUUUCAAGAGUACCAUGUGUACAACAAAGUUCUUCUCUUUGCAUGAAAAAUUUAGCUAUGUAAACUUACCCCUAUUACCUUAGUCCCUUAUGGGGCUUAUGGCUUUUCCUUUGUCUUAGGUGGUUGAGAGACAGAACAGUUUGACUUGAGCACUAACUUUCUCAUUCUUAGCAAGUUUCAUAUCAGAGGUUUUGUGAUAUUUUCAAAAGAAAGCUUAAAUGUUCCUCUUAUGGUUCUCUCAUGUCACUCAAAUGGUGUAUGAUUCCUCACCAAGGCAUAUGGUAAGAGUUGCCUUCUCUAUUUCAUCCUAUUUCUAAAAGGCUUAUGUGGAGUUCAAGGUAGGGAUGAAAGGAGAUAGCAUACUUACUUUGCAUGUAUUGCGAAGUCAAAGCUCGGAUCCUUGAAGAGAAGUGUCAUACUCCCAGAUCAAGAUGUGCAAGUGUGAUAUAUGGUGGACUAGGUUGCUCCUUUAUUUGAUAGACUCUCUAUGUAUUGAGACAUGGCUAGCAUUUUUUUCUUCUUUUUUUUAUAUAUGAGCUUUCAUGUGCUCAAUUUUCUUUUUCUGUGGACUUGCACAUGUCCAUCUUUUUAUUUCAUUUUGCCUAGCCCUUUUGAUGUCUCAUUUACCAAAUAAUGCUUAGAGAGAUGUUCUAACAUUUAGAGUAUGGAGCAACCUAUUUAGUGGAUGCGAAAUACAUGUGGUUGCGUACUUCCAGUGUAGAAGCAGCAUAUAUAUAUGUGGUGUGUACGUGAUCUUGAUCUUAGGAGCAUGAAAAGUCUCUUAACAAGGGUCAACAAGACUUGACGACACUCAACACAAAGCAAAUAGCUUAUGUGGAAAGGUUGCAAUUAUGUAAAGUAGAUAUGGCUGUGGUAGGAAUUCAUCACCAUUGAGGAACAAUUAAGGUUUUGAUCAUUUUAAGAAUAAAUCUCUGAUAAUCAUGCAUGCUUAGAAAAAUAUUAUAGUAGCUCUUGUCUUACUAUCUCAUGUCCCACAACAACUUAGACUUAGUUCUAGCACUUGCAACCCACAAAGUUUUUAGGUUCAUGGCAGUUUAAGUGAGCUAAGUGAUCCAUACUUAGAGAAAUACUAAGUUGUAUACUAGGCACUAGAGAAACAUUAACAAGCAACUAGUCAUAAUUUCCAUGAGGGAUAUAAACAUACAUGAAGCAUAUAUGCUAAAGGGAAAUGCUAAUAAAUAUUUAUUUUUUUUUUAAGUAAGAAUGAUAAAAUGCAUGAAAAUAAAUAGGAUAGAAUACUUACCUUAGUGGGGGAGAGGAUCUCCCCCAAGCUAGAUCUUCGCUCACUGUGGUGGCGGGAAAUUCUGGUACCAUCCGGCCCAGCGUUGUGCGUCUUCCUCUCGCACACUUCGGAUAUGUUGGCCGUUUUGUAACGCCAGUUGCAAUGUUGCUUCUUGCCCAAUCUGCAAUUCGCCCAUGUCAUUAAUGAGACUGUCCAUACCUGUGGGCUGGUGACGCCUAGCCCUGUCCCUUGGGCGUGGAGUGCGUUGUGGAGGUAGACCCAUGGAGUCUGAAGCAUCCACUGACAUCGCUUCAUCGCCCUCUUCAACGUCAUGGUGCGAGGAUCCUCCUUGCUCCAUCUGGGCGGCUUGCAUCAUCCUUCUUGUCACCCUGCGUGUCCCUGCAACAUCUGGACUUGCCACUCGGGCUAGUCUAAUGGUAAGUGUGCGGACCCCAUACAACCGGCGCCUCGCACAUGGGAGAGGAAUUUCGGUUGUAUAGCCCGGAUAAAUCAUUUUAAGUUCACCAUUUGGAUCUCUUAUGAGCAUGUUAGCAUUGAUAAAGAAGUUCUCAUCUACCACUCCUCUAACAUAGCCAAUGUCUUCAAAAUAAUGUGAUUCAAGUAAUCCAAAAGUAUCGGCUAUUCGAGUAAUAAAGGAUGUGAAAUAGAUGGGCUUCCCAUACUCAAUAGAGUUAAGCCAAUAGUUCACUAGCAGUUUCACAGGGGAGACCUUGAUUUUACUAACCAUGGCAUAGAGAAUUUUAAGUUCAUCAUCAAUUAAAGUAUCAGUUCCCAUGCCAGGAUAUAGAGUGCACAUGAUCCAGAAGUGAAGAAAGCGCAAGGUUGGAUUAUGGAUUUCAAUGGGAGUAGGAUUUGAACAAUCAUUAGAGCCAGAAAUUGCUUUCCAGAAUCUAAAUUUAUCGAACAUUCUAGUGGCAUGAUCUAGAUCAAGUUCACAUUCAUGUUCACACCCUAAAGCAGUGUUUAGAAAACUCCAAUUUAAUUGAUGUUCUUGCUCACACAUGCGAAAAGAUAUUCCAUUAUUUGUGAGUUUUAGGGUGCAUAGAAAUUCCUUAGCAAGCAAUUCUUUUCGAAAUUCAGGCACUUGCCAAAAAACUACUCCAACCAAUUGCUCUAAACACCUUAUCGAAUUCAACAUCCAUACCUGUGCGGGCCAAAAGGUCCGGAUCGAUGAUGCUAGUGUGUAGGAAGAGACCCUCUCGGAUGAUGUAGUACCUUUGCAACUCUUCUUGGCUUAACAUGAGGCCGCUCUCGGGCUCUCUCAUCCUUGAUGGAGGCUCGUAGGGUACCAUCCCAUGGUAACCUUCUUCUUCCUCCCUUCCAUGAGCAUGGUGAGAGCCUUGAGAAGAGCUCUCACCCUUUGCUUUCUUGAACUUGCCGAAGAUAUGCUUCUUCAUCCUCCUACACAAGUGAGGCAAACCAAGCUCCUACUACUACUACUAUGCAAGGGGAAUCUUUUUGGGUUUUUGUUUUGAUGACUAUUUCUAAACUAAACUUGAGAAAUGGCUUGUAACAAAGAGAGAAGAGAAAGGAUUGUGAGCUCGAAAUGGUUCUGGUGGUUUUGGGUGUGGAGUUGAGCUCACAAUGCUGUGGUAUUUAUAGGGGGAGAAGGGCAAGUAGUGGACCCACAAUAUAGGGGUCGGCCGACCCCCCCUAGAAGCACUUUGAAUUUGAGUUUAGCUUUAUACAGGGAACCAUUCUGCAUGCUUUCAAGAUUUUGCAGAGAUGGUCCAAAAUGGGGGUCGGCCGACCCCCAUCCUAGCCCCUCCUCCACUUUAAACAUUGUGUCAUUGAUUGUCCGGAAAAGUAAAGGCUAGGUGUGGACCAAAAGUUUUCAAAUUGUUUCUGAGAUUCCCUGUUUUAGUGCUUUGUGAAAGGUAAAAGAUGAAUGGCAAAAGUGGAGACAUGUCUAAAGUGAUUCCUAUGGACCAUGGGAGCACUCAAGCAUGCCUAGGUGACCACUUUGCAGAAUUUAAGCUAGUGGAGUGGUCCCAAAUGAAUCAAAGAUGAAAGGAGCAUCUUAUGACUAAAGUAAAGGAUCAAGGGACCACUCUUUUUCAAACUUUAGCUAGUGUUACAAGCAUAGGACUCCAUUGUGAUUCAAAUGGUGGCCAGCAGGAGGCAAGUGGGGCCAAUAUGGGGGUCGGCCGACCCCCACAUUGGAGCUCCCAGAGCAUCCAAGUGCUGGGUUGGAACCUCUAUGACUAGCAAGGUUGAAAUGUGGUGAAGUGGGCCCCAAGGUGGGGUCGGGCGACCCCCCUUUGGGAGCUCCAGCAGCUCAAAUUUUUAUGACAAGUUAUUCUCAAGAUUUUAUUUAUUAUGGCUAAACAUUUUGUCGAAAUAAGAUAUGCAAAAUUCAAAGUAAGAAUGCAAUUGAAAAGUGAAUAGUAGAAAUUGAAAUGCAGAAAAUAAAUAUGGGAUAACUACUGAUUUACCUUAUCAGCAAGGGCUCCAUGUUUUAGGUCCGUAGAGCAGGACCUCUCCAUCUUGUUCAUCCUUCGGGUGCAUCAGAUGGUCCCGGAGACGUGGACCUUGAUUGCACCUCUUUCUCCCGCCAUACUUGCUUGGUAUUGAUUUUUGGUUCAGCGGGUUCCUCUUCUUUCUUUUCGGCCCUUUUGGCCGAAUUACCUCUCUUGUCCCUUCGGCGUCGGAUGUGGUGAGGCUUAGUCGGAGGUUCUUUGUCCUUCACCUGCAUGUUAGCUUUAUAACCAUUGAAUGGACAUUUUACCUUCCAUCCUGGGAAUUGGAGGUGAAUCUGGCCGGACCCCACAUAGAUGACUGCAUUGACCGUGUUGAGGAAUGGCCUUCCCAAGAUGAUCGAGACAUCAUUAUUGGAUCCCAUAUCCAAAAUGAUGAAGUCGGCAGGGACGUAGUCGUCUUGGACCUUUACCAGUAUGUCCCUUGCCAACCCCUCAGGGAACCUGAUCGUCUGAUCUGCCAUCUGCAAACGAACAAAUGUGGGGUGCAAAGGCCCCCCUAGCAAAUUAUCAUAAGUUACCUUGGCCAUGAUGUUGACACCCGAUCCAAGGUCGCAGAAGGCGUUGUGGAAGAUUUGCGGUCCGAUCUCACAGGUGAUGGUCGGCAGGCCUGGGUCGUCCUUCUUGGUGAUGAAGGGCGAAUCCAGAAGAUAGCUCCAGUUGGAUUGUACCGGAGGCUUACCGAACCUCGUAGUAACUAGUUUAACUCCUUCAAUUGGGUCCUCAGGUUUCCCUGGGAUCUUACCUUGCUCGAAGGAUGGGACAGCUGCUGCUAAUUGAGCUAAUUGUGUUUCUAGCAUUUUGUUAAAGCUCAACUGAUUUUUCAUAGCAGAGUUAAAGCUAUCCAACUUUUCACUUAAGUUUUCAAGGAUCUUAUCAUUAGCCAUCAUUUUCUUGUUAAUGCUAUCAUUGAUUUUAGAUUGGCCUAAGACAAGAUCUCUAAGAGAAGGUUGGUUACCAAAAGAAUUAUUGAAAUUUUGAUUGUAACCAUUACCUUGAUUACCUUGGUAGAAGGGGCGCGAGUUCCAUUGCUGUUGUUGGGGCCGGUACCCAUUGUUGUUGUUGUUGAUGAAGCUCACUUCCUCCUUUGUUUCGGGACAAUUGUUUCCCGAAUGAUCAUCUCCUCCGCACACUUCGCACCAUGAAUCAGAUUCAAUGGCUCGUGCAGUGGCGUAAGGUUGAAUGGUCUCUUGCUUGGAACUUUCUUCCAUCUUCUUCGUUAAGGGGUCCAUCUUAGCAGAGAGCAUGUCCACCUCAUUCAAGGCAUGGACACCUCUUCUCUUGGGUUGGAGGCGUUCCUCAUUCCAUCCUUGGUUUAUAACCAUCUUUUCAAUGAGGUCCUUGGCAUCCUUGACAUUGUGUUGCAAGAAUGCUCCUCUAGCGGCAGCAUCAAGGUGACUACGGGCCAAACCGGUCAGGCCAUGGUAGAAACCUUGGAUUAGGAGCCACUCCUCUAUCCCAUGAUGAGGACAGGCGCGAAUGUACUCCUGCAGACGUUCCCAUGCUUCGGGAAUCGUCUCAUCCGCUUGCUGUUGGAAGCUGGAAAUCUUUCCACGAAGGGCGCUGGUCUUGCCCAUCGGAAAGAACUUCUUGAGAAAUGCAUUGGCGCACCUCUCCCACGUGGUCACUUCACCCUUGUUGGCGUAGAACCAUUGCUUCGCCUUCCCCAAUAACGAGAAUGGGAAGAGGCGAAGACGGAUGGCGUCUGCGGCGACAUUCUUGAUGGUGAAGGUGCCGCACACCUCCAAGAAGUGUUGGAGAUGGGCAUUGGCAUCCUCGUGUGGCUUUCCACAGAAGGGAUUAGCUUGCACCAUAUUGAUAAGCGCAGGCUUCAACUCAAAAGUCGCAUCCCCUAAGUUAAGCUGCGGACCCGUGGCGACAUUGUCAGCCGACGGCGCAGAGUACUCAGAGAUGGUCUUCUGGGCCAUAGCUUCUUUGAUAACCGGUGCAGAUACUCCUUCCUCUAACGGAUUCAGGUUCGAGAUGAACCUUUGAGGUGGAACUUGACGACGUCUAGUUCUCCUCAACAGUUGCUCAGGAUCUUCAACGAAGUUUGACGGCAAUUGGAAACCGCUCAUACACUGUCAGGCUUCACAAUAAAGGAAGACAAGACAAGUGAUGGGUUAUCCCUAUCACUACUUGAUAACUAGCAAACUCUGGAUUCUCUUUUUGUUAAAACUCUUAGACAGACGCUCUCCCAAGCAACGGCGCCAGAAAUGCUUGUUGACACUUCUUAACGCAACCACCGGAUAUCGGCGACGGCGCCAGAAGUGCCCUGGUAGGGUAACUCUAUUUACUAUUGGAUAAUUCCGCAAGCGCACAGAAUGUACCGCUGUAGCACUUCACCAAGGAGUAUUCCAAGGUAUCGUAAUUUAUAUUUUCCCAAGGGAAAGCGGCUAAGUGUGUUUAACAAAAAGGGGAAUGAGAUUCCUUGAGUUAUCUAGUAUCAACUAGUGAAUAAGGGUGGUAAAUAACGAAUAGGAAGGGUAGUGGUGAAUCCAAGGUCCUAUGCUAAAGGUAAAUGGUAGAGUUAGCUAGGUGGGAGGACAACGAGUGAGUAAAGGACUCCUAUGUAUCUAACUUGACUUCUGUGACUUACUUUAAUAGAUAAUUGUCUUAACUACGCUAGAGCCUUACUAACUGUGUGCGAGGGAUAGCCGAGCUGGUAAGACGCUUAGAAGGUUUUUCACCUAACCCCUUACCGAAAGCGACUAUUGGGCUUAUGGACGCCUUACCUUUUAAGAACUAGCCUGUACGUGAGGAGAACCUAAUGCCGCCCACGAUCUGUCACCUACUAGGGAGUGCGCUCCUACUUUCCGUUCAAGCCAGCGGUAAUCAAAGGUAAUCUUAAGUAUGAGCACCACGCUCACACUUAAUCCUACAACGCUAACUAGUUGCAGCUAGCUAGAGCUCCUAUACAAGAUAGGACGAUGAUGCACACACAGGAGUGGUUACAGGUCACUAACUUCACUAAGACAACUAUAUUACUAAAGUAAAUGCACAACAAGACUAAAAGACUUGCACUAAGUAAGAACUCAGUAAAGUAAAGUAAGAAUAAUAUAUUAAUAAAAGGAAAGUCUUACAAAAGUAGAAAGGUACAAGAGCUAUACCAGACUCUCCAGAAGACGACUCCGGAGACCCCGAGCUUCGCUCGACUCGACUCUAACUCCCACUCUAGACUAACUACUACUCUACUUGUAUGCUUGGAACUUGUAAUGCACUUGGCCUUGGAAUUGCACACUUGAAAUGAAGGAUGGAGGCUGCCUUUUAUAGAGGGAGAUGGAGUAGGGGUUACUCCAUCGCCACGUCAUCGAUCCGCGUGACAUCUUCUCUCCACCCUUGGAUCAAACCGACCUCACAACCGCCAUUUGAUCAACGGCAGGGGCAAAUCAACAUGUGGGACAUGUGGGGAAGGUCGGUGGGAGGCCACCGACCCUGGAACCGCCUUUGAUGUGGGGUCGGGCGACCCCACUUCUGGGCCUCUGGGCCCACCAGCAGUGUCCACAGGGGUCCCUUAUGUCGGUGGACUAGGUGGCACACCUGGGUCCCACCAAAGAGGGGUCGGGCGACCCCCUCCCUGUGGGCCCAGGGUGUCACCUGUUGUCCCCUCGAUCUCCUCUUGAUGAUUCUGAUGUUGGCUUUGUCAAAUAAUGUCUUGAAUUUGUUGUUCCUGCAUAAACAAGCUAAGAGUACAAGUGGAACUAGUUAUGGAUAAAAUAUGUUCAUGUCAUGUCGUUUCCUCUUGCAACCGAGGCAUGUUGACGGUGUUUUGUAUGUGGAUUUCUAUGGUAUAUCCACCGUCAACAAAUAUCACAUAAAUCAUCACAUACACAUCAACAUCACAUGAAUAUCAUACAUAAGUUCACCAUGGGCAUAAGUUCAUCACAACCAUAAGUUCACAUACAUAAGUCCACGACGACAAGUGAUAUACAUACAUAAGUUCAUCAUCACAACCAUAAGUUCAACAGAAACAUAAGGUCGACACGUCCAUCACGACAUAAAGUCCAUCACAAAGGCAAGAGAAGGACCUACUUAGUGCGUCCACGCUGGCCACGACGACGGUGAAGGAUUGCCUGUACCAGGCUGCUGCUGGUUCGGGUUAUUAGAACCCACGGACUGAGGCUGCACGAAGUAGGAGAUUGAUCGUGAGAUAAUCCAAACAGAACCGGAAUUGAGAUGACAUGAACCAUGUUACUCACAGGAGUGCCUAAGUGGAGCUGGUGCUGAGGCUGAGACGGCUGCGGUGUCGGCGAAGGAGUAGGUUCGGCGAGCAGAUCAUCCACCGAUACCCCACAGUGAUGGCCCAUCCUGGCGACGAUCUGGAUCAACUGCGCCACCCGCCUAUCCUGGACUGCCCGCUCGGCCCUCUCGGCAGCUAGCUGGGCCUCGAUGUCCAUGGAUCGCUGAUCCGCUGCCAACACUCGUGCCUACAGAGUAGAUGUCAGUAUAGGUCGGUACGUAUGUAUGUACAAAGAAUGGAACAGAAAUAACCUCGAGUGCCUCGACACGCUGCUGUGAAGGAGUCGUCCGUUGGCGUAUGGGGACGCUGUCGUCCGUGCUAGCUGCUCGGAUCUGGGAGAGAGUGGGAGUGGAGGCGGUGUCGAUGACGGAGUCCGCAAUCCAGUACCGUCCGUGCUUCUUGCCUCCGCCUAGCCUCAUCACGAGCUCGGUGUCGAGCUCGUUCCUGGUCGGAUCCCACUCUGGCCCAUGGACCGACCUUCCCGCCUCCGUGUACUCAGAGAGACGGGAGUGCACACUCGCGUUGGUGUACACCUCGGGCGGGUCGCUCGGGUUGUAGGAGACAGAGGACGAGGCCUUCCCCUUGUGGGCCAUGGCGUAGGCCGUGAACUCGUUCACCUCCUGGCCUGGGUGUGCAGCUGCCUGCAAGGAAGACAUCAAGAAGGUUACAAGUAAUGCAGACUUAAGGGUUAGCAUAAAAAAUGAGUUCUCAUACAUAUGCUUGGGCGUAGGCGGCGAGGUUGCGGCUGCCUUGGUGGUGCGAGACACCUGUCAUCAUCAUGCGUCGGCCGCGUGCCUCCUGGUGCUGCGCGGCCCAAUCCUCAGAUAGCCACUUGUCCACGAUCCUCUCCCAACAAUCAGGGAAGGCCUGACACCAAGGUAGGAUCAUCUGCACAUGAACAAACACAAACACCAAGGUAAGAUCAAAUCAUAGUAACUCAUUAUAAAAACGAAUCCAUGGAAAGGUUCGAUGGCGACCUGUAUGUACUCGUCCCGGGUCAGCUGCAUGGUCCUAGCGUCUUCCUUGGUGAUCUUCUCUCCAAGGAUGGCGCGGUGCCAGUUCACUAUGCACUGGAGACGCCCCUCAUGGUGCAAUUGCACGACUAGUUUCUUGCAGGAUUUGGUGACCACCAACUCCGCCGCCGCCUGCGUUCCCUCCUCGAAUUUGUAGUAGUUCAGUUCUACACACAUAAAUAGGCAAAGAAGGCAUUAAUGAUUUCAAUUACAAUACAAUGCAUGGAUGUGACUUAGUUCCAAGAAGACUUACCAAGAGCUCACCCCUCACCCGCUGGGCCUUGUUGCCAUACUGGGGGUCAGAGGCCGCGGCGUAGUGGUCAAACGUGUAGGUCGGCUCCCUCACACUAGCCAGCUGCACUAGGCCAGGGUAGUUGUUGCGAACCAGAAGACCCAGGAUGUGGUUCACGGGACGCCCUUGCCCCUGCACAAACACCCAGUUCCUGCAAAAACUAUUAAAAACAAAUAUUAUAAUUUGUAAGUAAUAUUGUAAACAUAGCAUACGAAUUAGUUUGGAAGUAAACUUACUUGGCCCCUAGAGGGCGGAUCGUCGGCCGUCGAUCCUCAGCUACCGCGAACCGCGGGAGGCUCGAGGGGCCUCUCAAGUAGGGCCGCUGCUGUGGACCAAAACCAGAGGCACCGGACCCCUCCCCCACGUCGGCCCCGCACCCCUGGGUGUCCAGGUCGUCGUCCUGCCCGCCUCCCUCGUGGGUGUCCUGGUCGGGGUCCUGCCCGCCUCCCUCGUGGGUGUCCUGUUGGGUGUCCUGGUCGGGGUCCUGACCCCCCUCGUCGUCCUGGGGGGGAGGAGGAGCAGGAGUAGGACUAGGAGGAGGAACAGGCUGCCUCCCUGCCCCCCUGGCCCUUCGGGUGCUCCUCCCCCUCCUCGGCGGCCGCCCUCCCGACAGGUCCACGUCCUCGUCCGCCGAAGGAGCUGAAGCCCGGUACAGCGUGUGCAACGACCUUUGUCGCCCGCCACCCGGCAUCUUCCUUCGAUCACCUGCAGUUACAAACAACAAACAAAUAUUGUAUUAGAAAUAACAUAAUAGCAAAAUGAAUAAAACAUAAUUACAUAGAUGCAAAAUGAGUUACAUAGUAUUACAUGUACUAGAAAUAUUCUUCAGGAUCUGGAUUAGCUGGAUUAUAAGACUCAUCAUCACUAUCAACCAUGUCGAACGGUUCGUCGGAAACCACAGGAAUAUUCUCUGAGUUGUCAUUUUCUAAACUUAAUCGAUUUAGCAUUUCUAGGUCCCUCUGGUCUUGCACCUCAUCUCCCGCAUCCUCGUCAACAACCACAGCUUGCAUCUCAUCUUCCAUUCCCAUCGGUUGGGUUAUGUCUACCACGAGGGUCCCUUGCAGCCCAUCUUCUUGAAAGAACUCUCUGGCAUAUGUGUUUGGGUUAAAGUUGUAAUCUUCGUCAUUUGGGACAGGUAGUUUAGCACGCGGAGAUAUCUUGUGCACCAUAUACCAACCCAAAAGAUUUCUCACUUUUUUGCACGGGUAUGGAGUAUAAUAAACCCGUGUGGCUUGUUGAGACACGAUGUAUACAUCGUCUUGUGUAUAGACGGAAUCCUGUCGAAUUUCCACUAGCCCAAGUUGAGGGGUCUGUCUCGUGACUCUAGGAUCAAACCAAUGGCAUUUGAAUAUAACGGGCUGAAGGGGUUUGGCACCAUGAAAUGAAAGUUCGUAUAUUUCUUCCACUUUUCCAUAAUAGUCGAGUUCAUCAGUUCCCUGAGUAAAAACUCCGCUAUUUGUGGUCUUUCGAUUGGGUCGAGUCUGCUCGUAGCUUGAUGUGUGAAAGCGAUAUCCAUUGACAUCAUAACCGGUGUAUGACUUGACCCGUGGGUCAAAACCGCCUGCAACCUGUCUCAAUUCGUCACUCAUAGACAAAUCGGUUUGGGCCUGCAAAAGCAACAUAGGUUAGCAAAAGCAAGUACAAGCUCAAUAUCGAGCUAAGUACGAGCUAAUCUGUACAUUACCUUUUGUUUAAACCAAGAAAUGAAAUUGGGCCUUCCUUCUCCCGCACCUUGUGAAACUAGAAUAUCACACUCUUGGGCGGUAGGCUCCCUCCUUGGUUCAUUCCAGAAUUGACGAAUAAAUUGCCCAAUGUAUGUUUGAACCUCGUUAAGGUUCGUCAACACAUACAACAUGAUAUUGCGCCACUCAUCAUUUGUCAACAUCUUAGAGGUCGAUCCGCUUGCACUUCCGAGUUGGCCUCGAAAAAGGCUAAGGUUCGACUCACCUUCACUAGCAUUGUAUCGAGGUGGUGGAUUAUGGACGCUAGGAAGGUUCUCAGAGUAGUAUGUUGUUGUGAAGUUGGACACCUCCUCCAAAAUGCAUGCCUCUGCAACUGAAGCCUCGAUUUUGGCUUUAUUUCUACAUUUUUUGCGAAGAAUCUUCAGGCCUCUCUCGACUGGAUAACACCAACGAAACGUGACAGGGCCCCCCAUUCGAGCCUCAUACGGGAGGUGCAAGAUCAAAUGCUGCAUCGGAGUGAAAAACCCGGGUGGAAAUAUCUUUUCCAUCUUACAAAGCAACACAGGUGCCACUUUUUCCAAAUUCUUAAUGACUUGUCGAGAUACCUCUUUGGCACAAAGCUGGCGAAAGAAAAAGCUCAACUCCGCCAGCACUUGCCAAACAUUUUCAGGGACAUAACCUCGAACCAUCACCGGAAGAAGCCGCUCCAUCCAUACGUGAUAAUCAUGGCUCUUCAUCCCUAACACUCGCAUAGUAGACAAGUUCACUCCCCUCUUCAGAUUCGCUGCAUAUCCGUCAGGAAACAUUAACGUUUGGAUCCAUUCGAGUACUUCCCUCCUUUCAUCCCUAGCCAACACGUACUCGGCCUUAGGCUUUUUCCAAUUCUUCCCGGAUGUAGGAGGUUGCAUAUGCAGCUUUGGUCUAUCACAUAAAGUUUGCAAGUCCAAUCUUGCCUUGGUGUUGUCCUUAGACUUUUCAGUGUCCAUGAGUGUUCCCCAAAUUGCCUCAGCGAUAUUCUUUUCGGUGUGCAUGACAUCAAUGUUAUGUGGCAAGAGUAGGUCAUCAUAAUAGGGGAGCCUCUCUAAGCCAGACUUAUGAGUCCACAUAUGAUGCUCACCAUAUCCCUCAAAUUUAUUUGUAUUCUCAUUCCACUCUAGAGAGUCAAGCUGUGCACGAACCUCGGCACCGGUCAUUAAGGCUGGCUUGGGAUCUGUCACUACCACACCUUUGAUGAAAUUCUUGAUGUCCUGUCUGAAAGGAUGAUCAGGAUCCAGAAACACUUGAUGUUGGUCGAAGCAUGCAUACUUGCCACCCUUCUGCAACCAAAUGAACCUCAAAACUUCCUUGCAUACUGGGCAUGCAAACUUCCCAUGAACACACCACCCGCAGAAUGACCCAUAUGCCAAGAAGUCAUGGAGGGAGUAGUGGUACCAGACAUGCAUUAUGAAGUUUGACCUUGUCGCUCGGUCGUACGUCAAAACCCCUUCAUUCCAAGCUGUCAUCAAUUCGUCCACUAGAGGUUCCAUGUACACACCCAUUUUAUUACCAGGGUGUCCGGGGAUUAUCGACGACAAAAAUAUGGUAUGACGUUGAAAGAGGACACCGGGUGGGAGAUUGAGGGGGAUAACAGAUAUGGGCCAGCAAGUGUACGGGGCAGCCAUCAUCCCAAACGGAUUGAACCCAUCUGUUGCAAAAGCGACACGUACAUUACGAGCCUCUCUAGCCUUUUCACGGUGAAUGUCAUCAAAGUGGGUCCAUGCUUCACCAUCGGCGGGAUGUACCAUCUUGUCAGGAUUGUACCUAGUGCCUUGUUUGUGCCAUGUCAUCUGUUUCGCACUCUCAGAUGACAUGAAUAGCCUUUGGAGCCUUGGUAUGAACGGAAGAUACCGUAACACUUUCACCGGUAUUGUAAGCUGCCUCUUCUGACCAUCACUGGAGUCUACCUCUAUGUACCUACUUCUCUUACACUUUGGACAAUAAUUUGCCGCCAUGUGAUCUCCCCUAAAUAGGACACAACCAUUCUCACAACAAUGUAUUUGCUCAUAAGGCAUCUUUAAUGCACCAAGCAGUUUCUGUGACUCGUACAUGUUCUUCGGUAGAAUGUGGGACUCCGGAAGCAUGCUGCCAAAUAGAGCCAACAUCCCAUCGUAGGCAUCUCGACUCAGGUUAAACUGGGACUUGAACCCCAUUACACGUCCAACGGCAUCCAGUUGAGAAACCGUGGUCCCAUUAUGAAGGGGUUUUUGUGCCGAAGCAAACAUGUCCUCGAAGGCCUUUGCAAAUGCCUCCAUCUCUUCCGUCGUACGUCCUUCAGCAAACUCUGCUUGGUGAUAGUCAUCUAUCAUGUCUGCUACCCCGCCAUCACCAUCAAAAGCCUCCACCCGUGCUCUCACCACCUCCUCUCUCAUACGAUGACUUUCACCAUGGUAGAUCCACCGGGUAUAGCCCGGCGUGAAUCCAUGCUUAACAAGAUGUCUGCCCAUUUUGUCCUUAGUUAACCUUUUUCUGUUGUCACAGUAGCUACAGGGACACCUGACUAGAAUCUCUCCUCUAGCAGCCGGGCCAAAUGCAUGCUCCAAGAAUUCAUUUGUCUUGAACACCCAUGUCUCAUCAAAAUCUCUCAUACUUCUCUAUUGUGUGUACAUCCACUGACGGUCUUCCAUCCUCUAAUAUACACUAAGACAAGUAACUUAAGCCUCAAAUGCAUCUACAUGGUGUUUCUACUCUCUAAUAGGUAAGGAUAGGUCCUAAACCCACCCGUAUAUGCGCAGAUGGAUUAGUCUCCAUGCUCCGCGCCGAUCCGAGACGAAAUUUUGACAGCACCUCCCCGCUGUUCUUCAGAUACACGUCCCGGAAGGGAGAGUGUGUAUCCGAAGAACAAGUGGGAGGUGGUGCCGAAACUUCAUCACGGAUCAGAGCAGAACAAGGAGACUAACACAUCUACGCAUAUAAGGGCUGUCCAAAAACGUGGACAAUUCGAAACAGAUAAGGUUAUCGAUAUGCAAACAUGUGCAUACCGAUAACCAUAUCUCUUCCGAACGGGUGACGCCUAACGGGGUUUUGUGAGGUGAGACCAGGACGGGCUGUACCUUAGGUGGCGGUGGAGUGUCGAGGUGACGUGGUGCAGGCAGGAACUCCCCGACUCGCCUCCUCGGCGCGUCUCACUACAAAAUGAAAACAUACACUAUUAAUUCAAAAUUUCGGCAGCACCCCCCUAUACGUAGAAGUAUCCAUAACCUGCAAGAAACAACGGCACGAUGGCCGACAUCCACAUUUACCAAGCAUAUAUCACAUCUAUCAAGCAUAUAUCACAUCUAUCAAGCAUAUAUCACCACAUCGAGUUAACCGCCGACAUAUAUCACCAUACGGAUUAUCAAACUAGCAUCCAUGCGGAUUAUACCUUCGUCGAGGGCUUCAGUGGUCUUCUCCUUCUCCCUCUCGUCCUCCUGCCCUACUUGUCCAAUCCUCUUCCUGCUCGGAGCGGACGAGGCCAGCGGACGAGGACACGGCCGGCGGAUCGGGCAGCGGACGAGGCCAGCGGCGCGGGCGCGCACUAGGCGGGCGGCGAGGGCGCGCAGCGGACACGGCCGGCGGUGAGGGCAGCGGACGAGGCCAGCGCGGCAGGGCGUGCGCGGCCGCAGGGAUAAGGGCGAGGUCAGGGAGGGAGGGAGCAGGGCGCGCGCGGCGAGGGGGGUGGGAGGGAGGGAGCAGGGCGCGCGCGGCGAGGGGGGUCGGGGAGGCGGCUGCGAGGGAGGCCGGCGAGCCCGCGGGGCGCGCGCGGCGAGGGGGGGUCGGGGAGGCGGCGACGAGGGAGGACGGGGAGCCCCCGCGGGGCGCGGCGAGCCCGCGGGGCGCGCGCGGCGAGGGGGGCGGGGAGGCGGCGGCGAGGGAGGACGGGGAGGCGGCGGCGCGCGCUGGCGGCGAGGUGAGGGCGAGGGAGGCGGCAGUGGGCUGGACGGGGAGGCCCUGGCGGCGAGGUGAGGUGCGGUGCAGCUGCGGCGGCGGACGCGGCGGCCGGGCGGCGCUGUGGGGGCGGAGCCGGCGAGCUGAGGAGGCGGCGGCGGCGGUGUCUGUGUGUGGCACACACACAGAAACAUUCGGAUAAGGGCGGUCAGGGCCUUCGCCGAGCGCCAGAUCAGGGAGCGCUCGGCGAAGGGUGGUUCAAUUUUUUUUGAAUCUGCAAAGGGUUCGCCGAGCGCAGCAUUUACCUCUCGGCAAACUCGCUUCGCCGAGCGCCAUUAAUAGAGCUGUCGGCAAAGGACCCCUUCGCCGAGCGCUUUAUGCUGCGCUCGGCGAACUAAUUUUUAAUUUUCUUUUAUUUUGGCCUGAGUUUUUUUUGUUAGUUUUCCCACUUAUAUUUGGUUACAAUAAUGAAAGUUGAGCUAUUUUUGGUACAUAUAUCUUUUUUUUUUGCAUUUGUUUCGUUUCGUUGAUUAUUUCCGAUAAAUGCAUGUUUGAACUAUAGGUGCAUGAAAUAAUGAGUUUUUAUGCACAGGAAGUUGACAUUGUUGUUAUUUAGUGUGAAAUAAGACCGUGUGCAAGAAGAGGCCCGAACUCUCGCACCUUGGAUUGACGGAACACGACUUCACAUUCGCCUGUCAAUCUUUUUUAAAUAAUAUAAAUUGAAAAUGAAUUCAAAAAAUCAUGAAACUUGGUGGGGUGUCACGAUAUCACAUGUGGAGCCUAUGAUAAAAAUUUGAGAAGGUUUCGUACACGGCACCUCGCAACAUGUUCACAAACCUAGAGAUCCAACUUAUGAUCACAUGGUUUGUGAACAUGUUGCAUGAUGUCGUGCACCAAAACUUCUCAAAUUUUUACCACGGCCUCCGCAUGUGAUAUCAAGACACCACACCAAGUUUCAUGAGAUUUGGAAUUCAUUUGUAUUUUAUAAAAUUUAAAAACAUUUCACCCACGACUUUGAACUUGUGUUCCGUCAACACCAGGUGCGAGAGAUCGGGCCUGUACAUCCACACGGCCAUAUUUGACACUAAAUAACAACAACGUCAACUUACCGUGCAUAAAAACCUAUUAUUUCAUGCACAUGUAGUUCAUAUAUGCAAUUAUCGGAAAAAUUCAAGGAAACGAAAGAAAUGCAAGAAAUAUAGCUAUAUUUAAUAAAAAUGGCUCUACUUUCAUUAUUGUGACCAAAUAUAAGUGGGAAAAGUAACAAAAAAAUCUCAGGGCAAAAGGAAAAAAAAUUAAAAAUUAGUUCGCCGAGCGCAGCAUAAAGCGCUCGGCGAAGGGGUCCUUUGCUGAGCGGCCCGACAAAGCGCUCGGCGAAAUAUGCAUAUUCGCCGAGCGCCCCCUGUAGCUCUCGGCGAAGAAAACAGCCGAGGGAAGUUUCAGACCACGGCGUCAUCCUUUGCCGACAGCCGGUCUUUACCGAGCGCUCGACCGUCGGCGAAAUCCUUUUUGCCGAGCGUUCCUCUGUGCCGAGCGGUGUGCUCUCGGCGAAGAGUGGCUUCACCGACAGCGUUUCUUUGCCGAGCGGAGCGCUCGGCGAACUAUCUCUUCGCCGACAGCCCGAUAUCCUUCCCUCGGCGAAGAUUCGGCUCUCGGCGAAUUUACUGUUUCCGGUAGUGACUUUGCCGAGUGUCAAAAAAACACUCGGCAAAGAAGGCCGAGUGUUUUUUUACACUCGCCCCGAGUGUUUUUUUGACACUCGGCAAAGACCCUAUUUGCCGAGUGCAAAAAAAGAAACACUCGGCAAAGAAAAUUUCAAAUCAAAAUUUGAAGCCCUAAACAAAUUCAAAUCAAAAAGUUUGGAACUACAAAGUUGUAUAACGUCUCAAGAUCUAUAAUCUUUAUUUUGACCAUUUCUUCAUUUGGCAUAAUGAAAAUAAGUUUGUUCAUAAAUUUUAUAUCUCUCUCUUAUAGUUCCUAGAACUACAAAAGAGAUAUAUAAGAUUUAUAAAAAAUAUUAGAAUUACCGUGUCAGAUGAGCAAAUGAUGAAACAACCAAAAUAAACUUUAUAGAUUUUGACAAGUUAUGAAAUUUUAUAGUUGACAAUUUUUUCAUUUGAGUUUACCUUAUCAUUUAAAACUGAGUCUUUAUUUGAAAAUUUUUAAUUUUGAUUUUCUGAAAUUACCUCGGAUGAAAAAACUGACUAAAUAAACUUUGUAGGUCUCGAAAAGUUAUGAAACUUUGUAGUUGAUAACUUUUUGAUUUGAAAUCUUGUUGUCAUGCAAAAAUUAUGUUUAAAUUUCUCAAAUUUGAAAUUCAAAUUUUGUAAACGACCUCGGAUGGAGAAACUUUCUAAAUGAAAAUUAUAGAUCUCAAAAGGUUAUGAAACUUUCUAGUUGACAACUUUUUGAUUUGAAAUCGUUUAGAGGCUCAAAUAAUCAAUUUACAUGUGAUUUAGUAUGAUAUAUGAAGAACCAAAACGUAAUGUAAUCAUAUUUGAUGGUGUAGUGUAGUGGUGAAGGAGGGAGCUCUGUGACCUCAAGGUUGUGGGUUCAAAUCCUGGUUGUGGCAUAUUUGCUGAUUUUGUAGAAAAAAGCUGAAAAGGAGAUGGAGGAGGGUGCAGCUAGCGGGUGCUCUAAUGGUAGCCCAACCCCCAAAAAAAACAAUUUCUUUUUCUAUUUUUUGGCUUUUUUUUUAUUUUUUUCUUUGCCGAGUGUCGGCACUCGGCAAAGCCUUUGCCGAUUGCCCGAUAAAAAACGCUCGGCAAAGACCCCUUUGCCGGCCAGAAUUGUCGUGUGCUUUUUGCCGAGUGUGGCACUCGGCAAAGGCUUUGCCGAGUGUAUUUGAGCCUUUGCCGAGUGUUUUUGACACUCGGCAAAGCGGUCUGUCUCCCGUAGUAAUUUUACACAAAACUAUUAGUAUUUACUUUAUUAUAUAUUUAUUUUUAUAACUUUUGGUGUACUUCUAGCUAAUGGUAGCCCUACCCAAAAAAAACAAUUUUUUUUCUAUUUUUUGGCUUUUUUUUAUUUUUUUCUUUGCCGAGUGUCGGCACUCGGUAAAGCCUUUGCCGAUUGCCCGAUAAAAAACGCUCGGCAAAGACCCCUUUGCCGGCCAGAAUUUUGUCGUGUGCUUUUUGCCGAGUGUGGCACUCGGCAAAGGCUUUGCCGAGUGUAUUUGAGCCUUUGCCGAGUGUUUUUGACACUCGGCAAAGCGUCUGUCUCCCGUAGUAAUUUCGCACAAAACUAUUAGUAUUUACUUUAUCAUAUAUUUAUUUUAUAACUUUUGGUGUACUUCUAGCUAAUGGUAGCCCUACCACAAAAAAACAAUUUUUUUUUCUAUUUUUUUGGCUUUUUUUUAAUUUUUUCUCUGCCGAGUGUCGGCACUCGGCAAAGCCUUUGCCGAGUGCCCGAUAAAAAACACUCGGCAAAGACCCUUUGCCGGCCAGAAUUUUGCCGUGUGCUCUUUGCCGAGUGUGGCACUCGGCAAAGGCUUUGCCGAGUGUAUUUGGGCCUUUGCCGAGUGUUUUUGACACUCGGCAAAACGUCUGUCUCCCGUAGUGAUUUCACACAAAACUAUUAGUAUUUACUUUAUUAUAUAUUUAUUUUUAUAACUUUUGGUGUACUUAAUUUUAAUCUGUUCCGUUGAUAUUGAGACUAGAUGAGUAAAACACACUUAAAGUAAAUAUCUAUCCGCAUAAAUUACUUAUCCUAACACGUAAAAAAUUUUAUCCACCCAUAACCAUAUUUUUGUAGUCCGACUACUCGUAUCCACCAGUCGAAUAUAAUACCGUAUCCGCGGAUAGAAUCUUCUAAACCCAACCAAGGCCUUGUCUAAUUCUAAAAUAUUAUGUUAAGUUUUUCGCAUUUCCUAUCACAUCAAAUAUUAUAUAUAUAUAUAUAUAUAUAUAUAUAUAUAAAACACUAGAUAUAGAUAAAACAAAUAACUAAUUAUAUAAUUUAUUUAUAAUUUUUAAAUGUCAAAUAUAAAUAAAGUAAGGCCUUGUUUAGAUGAAAUGUUUUUGGAUUUUACUACUGUAGCAUUUUUGUUUGUUUGUGGUAAAUAUUAUUCAAUCAUGGACUAACUAGGAUCAAAAGAUUCGUCUCGUGAUUUACAGACAAACUGUGUAAUUAGUUUUUAUUUUCGUUUAUAUUUAAUGCUUCAUGUAUGUGCUGCAAAAUUCGAUGUGAUGGGGAAUUUUGAAAUUUUUUUGGUUUUUGGUGGAAACUAAACAAGGCCUAAGGCCAGUCUCAAUGGGGGUUUCACGAGGAUGUCAUGCACAUUUAUUAGAGCACCAUGUCAGCAAAACUGCACUUUUUGCAUGAAAUGAAGAGGAGAGAGAAAGAAGUAGUUUCACCAUGGUGAAACUCCGCUGGCAUUGUUUCCCACGCGGUGAAACAGGAUGAAAUUCACACUGAGGACAAAAUUGUUUCACCAUUUUGCAUGUGAUCCAAUCAUUUUGCAGUAAUUAAAUGUUUUGCCCAGCCUAGGAAACAUUAAGGUGAAACUCUUGCAUUGUAGAGGUUUUAUUAUUCGUUUUAUUGAUGCUCUGUCAGCGGAUUUUUUUGAAAACGGUUUCUUGAGAGUGGCCCUAACGCCGAAAGAAACCGGUUUCAGCGUCUCAUCAUCAUCAGUAAUCAUCAGGCGGGCCUCGAGCCCUCGUCGUGUCAGCCUGCCAACAGGUAGAACCGGCGUGCCGCCGAAAAGAUGCACCCGUGACCGUGACCUCCUCGGGAGUCGACACGCCGCACAGCCACAGCAGACGCACUCCCCAACAACCCAGUGCCACUCCAAUAAGGCCUUGUUUAGUUCGCAAAAAUUUUCGUUUUUGGCUACCGUAGCACUUUUGUUUUUAUUUGACAAACAUUGUCCAAACAAAGAGUAUCUAGGCUCAAAAGAUUUAUCUCACAAAUUAUAGGUAAAUUGUACAAUUAGUUUUUAUUUUUAUUUAUAUUUAAUGCUCCAUGCAUGUGACCAAAGAUUCGAUGUGACAGGGAAUCUUGAAAAUUUUUACGAACUAAACAAGGCCUAAAAGUGCCGCCUGCUCUCUACCUCUCUCUCUCCCUCCCCAGCUCUGCUCUGCUCCCGUCACAGCAGUACAGCCACAUCCCAGAGGCGGCGAGUCCUGUCCGGUGGCCAGCGGCGGGAAGGCCAUGGGCGGGGCUACCUCCCCUUCGCCAUGGAGGCGUCACUGCGCCCUCCACUUCCUCCUCCUCUUGUUCUGGUCAGUGCGCACUUCUUGCCAGUUGUUGUGCUUCUACUUUAUGCACUUUGGGUGGAUUUUCUUUUCUGUUUGGUUGCAGCGACGACUCCGGUUAGUUCGCGAACAUGCUGCCGCGACUUUCGCUCCAGCGAUUCAGUUAAUUGAUUCGUUGGAGUUGUGUUAUCUUGAAUCUUUUUUUUUUCUUUUUUUUAACGAACAGGAGGGUUUUUUUUUUGGCUAUUUUGUAUCUUAUUACUAGCAAGACUGUUGUAAGACUGAGUUAUUUUUAGCUAAAUGUUUGAAAUCUCUAGACCAAUGAAUUGUGUCACGAUAUUUUGAGAGACAUUUCCCAGUCACUGAGUAGCCUGAUUUGUAUGAGGAAUCGAGGAUAUGAAUAUGAUGAUCUGUGUUGAGCCUCGUGUGCCUGCUUUACAGUACAUGGUUGCAUCUCAAGCAUUUAUAGAGAAAACUAAUCUUACCCUAUCAUAACAACUUUAGAUUGUUCCUGAUUCUUACCAUAUACUGUACUCUAAUAUCCCCCGUAAUUGUAGAGUGAACAACGCGGACACUCGGACUGGAGUAGAAACCGACAGAAUUUUGCUCAAGUAGAUGAGAACCCUUUUGCUAGCCAAAUUGAUGCGUCAUGGAUAUUGCUGUGUAGUAGUUUUAGACCCGUGCACAAAAUCAGCUUGAUGAAUAUACAUACAUUGGUUCGUGUCCAACACUGUUUUUCUUUCCUAACUUAAUCUCAAUCAAGCAUUUAUGAAUAUGAUGCAAUGCUACUCUCAAAGUAGAAAAAAAACUACAGUUAGGUUCUGUAUAAUGAAGAAAUUUACUUACAGAGCUUCAAGAUUUGAUCUACUGUAACCAAAACAAAAGAAAACUGACUAUUACUUUGAUUUAUUCGUUUGUGUAAAUUUCAGGGGUACUUCCGAGGCAAAUGAAGAACAUGCCGUGUUACCUCCAAGAGGGUGGAACUCGUAUGAUUCUUUUUCAUGGACUGUAGACGAAAAUGCAUACCUGCAAAAUGCACAGAUCAUGGCAGAGAAGUUACUCCCACAUGGAUAUCAGGUUAUUCCCCUAACUCUUUAAUUUGGUGAAUGGUGAUAGAUAAAAACAUAAGAAAUGCGAUCCAGUAAAAUCGUGACGACUCGUUUAACGUUUUGUUCUGUCUCUAUGGAUAGUAUGCAGUUAUUGAUUUCCUCUGGUACCGGAAAUAUGUUGAAGGUGCAUACACAGAUUCAUAUGGGUUUGACAACAUUGAUGAAUGGGGUCGACCUUUUCCGGACCUUCAAAGGUUUCCAUCAUCUAGAGUUGAUAAAGGGUUCAGUCAAAUUGCCAGUAAGGUUCAUGGAAUGGGCUUGAAAUUUGGCAUCCAUUUGAUGAAAGGGAUAAGUGUGCAGGCUGUUAAUGCAAACACACCUAUCUUGGACAUUAAGACGGUACAGUUCUUCCUUUUAAUAUGCUAGUACAUGGCAACUAAAAGUUUUUAAUAUUAGCAUUUUACUUUGGGAAGUCUUGUUACAUUCAUUCUGUCAGGGUUGUCCAACUCUGCUAUUAAUCCUUGUUAACAUCAUGUUGUAUACCCAAAAACCAAUAAUCAUUGUUAAAGUUAACUUGUAUACACAAGAACCAUUCUUAAUCCUUUUUGAAUAUCGAGAUGAAAGAUGAUUUUAAAAUUUAAUUUUACAGGAUUAUCUUAUGUGUUGGAUAAAUUGUGUCUGAAACAUUAUCCUUUCUUGAGGUGUUUUUGAAACAUUGCAAAAUGUUGGAUAAACUGUAUCUUUGCUCAUCAGAAUACUGGUUCCCCUGGGCACCAACAAAUUUCUGAUUUACUUAUCUGUUCCAUUAUUCUUUAAUCUUGUGUGAAAUGUUCUUUCCCAUAGUAUUUUUUUAAUUAUCUAUACCAUAUGAUAUUUCUGUGGUUUCAUAUUAUCUGAUGUUUUGAAUGACUUAGCCACUGUGCUUUCUAGAUUCUUGAGUGUGUGGGUGUGUGUGUUGUAAGGGUUAUUACCCCUUUUUUCUUCUUAAUACAAAUAUGUGCAGCUCUCCUGCAUGUUUGACAAACAAAAACUGUGUUUUUUCUGUGAAAUUUGAACUUCUAUCUACAAUUGAACAAAUGACUCUUGGAAACAGGACAGCACACAUAGCCAUACUGAAAUGCAGAUAGAAGUUGCUGUACUCUAGUUUGAACUCUUAGAAUGGUCUCUUGUGAUUCUUUUCAGGGAAGGCCGUAUCUAGAGGAUGGCCGUCAGUGGACAGCACGUGACAUAGGCCUCAGUCACAGAACUUGUGCAUGGAUGACACAUGGAUUUAUGAGUGUUAAUACGGAUAUUGGAGCUGGACGGGCCUUCUUAAGAUCUCUUUAUCGACAGUAUGCUGAUUGGGGUGUUGAUUUUGGUAUGCUUAUUCUUUAGGUUCAUGGUUCUGUGGAUAGCAUACAUAUAUCUCAACUCUUAGUUGAACCUUUCCAUCUGCUGCCAAAACUAAGGAUUGAAUAAAUUCUUUCAUACUGACCAUUCUGUUUUGUUUGCAGUAAAGGUCGAUUGUAUCUUCGGCACAGAUUAUAGCCCAGAAGAGAUCAUCACUAUUUCAGAGGUAUAACUCCCUAUUUAUAAUUAAUUACACUAGUUCAUUGAAAUCAGAACACUUCUGGAAUCAGCUAAUUCCUAUAUUGCAGCUAUUGCAAGAAAUUGAUCGUCCGAUCAUCCUGUCAAUCUCACCAGGAACUGAAGUUACUCCAGCAUUAGCUGAGAAUAUUAGUGAUCAUGUUAACAUGUAUAGGAUAACUGGAGAUGAUUGGGACAACUGGAAGGAUGUGAGCUCACAUUUUGGUGUGUCGAGGUAAAUCGAACAGAUAUUUUCUUUUUUGUUCUGUUUCAUUGCAUGUAUACUCACUAGUUUUCAUACCUUGUAUACGUAUGUUGUGUAGUAAAGAAAAACUUAUUUAUUAUUUUAUUUCCCUUUGCAUAUUGUAUGCAGUUCCUUCGCUGCUGCUAAGAAGAUUGGGGCCACCGGGUUGCGAGGAAGAUCUUGGCCAGACUUGGACAUGCUUCCAUUUGGAUGGCUUACUGAUCCAAGUAUGAUUUAACUCUAUGUUAAGAAAUAAAACUAAUCUUGAUUGUUAUCUGGCUCUAGUGACUUUUAACAAUGAAGCAAAUUCACAAUAUUCAGGAGAAAAUGAAUCAUAAUUUUCUACUAAAUGCAUGUUAGUAAAUUUUUGUAUCAGUAAACAGAGUAAAUUUCAAAGUCAAAGUAGCAAACAAUAUGAAUGCAUGCUAUCCUUUCCAUCGUUCAAAUAUAUUCUUUGUGGCAACAAAAAUUCCAUUAAGGCACUGUGGACAAUGUCUGUCCCAGCUUGGUACUUUUUAGUAAUUGGGGUUGGUGUAUGAAAUAUCUGAAGUCUGCAUAGGAAAUGUGGAAAAUUUACACUUUUAUGGCAUUAAUUAUUCUCUUUAAUAGAAUGGUAUUAGUUUAUUUUAGCCAAAGAGGGAAACUGGUCUAGCUCAGUUGGUAGCAGGUGUGGGUGUAUUAAUUUAUUCAGCUACAUUUAACUCAUCUUCUUGAAAGUUUUCUUGAAUGGUUUGAGUACAUCAUAUAUCUUAUCUCUGUUUUUCUUUUCAUUCCCUUGUUCUUUUUCCAAGAAUAUCUUGAAUGAGAUAAUAUAUAUGCAGGUGUAUCAGAGACAGACUCUUUUUUCUUCUAUUAAUGCAGGUGUAAAUCAGGGCCCUCACAGGAAAUGUAACCUUACUCUUGAUGAACAAAAAUCACAGGUUGUUGAUGAUCACUUCAAAUUUAAGUGUUCUGUAUCUUUUUUUGUAUAGUAAUGAACUCCUUUUUCUUUGACAUGACCUUACAGAUGGCACUUUGGUCAAUGGCUAAAUCACCUCUCAUGUAUGGAGGAGAUUUGAGGAAUCUUGACGAUAGUACAUUAAACAUAAUUACUAAUCCUGCUUUGUUGAAGAUAAACCACUAUAGUAGAAAUAACAUGGAGGUACCUGCAUUGGAGACUUCCGAUUAGAAUGGUGUCUGCUUUGUAAGCACAAAUGAGUUGUAAACUGACCUGUAGAUAUUUUCAGUUCCAUUAUGUGUACAGUGAAAGGACAUCAAAUGAAGAACAUCCUGGUCACUUUAGGUCUCCUUAUCCUGUUCACCUUACCAAGAAUGAUGGCAUGUUUGUCAGUCUCACUACUUGCAGUGACGAUGCAGCUAAUGGAUGGUAUAUGUUUCCACAAGAUGGGAAACCAGAUCAUAUAUGCAGGAACUAUGAAAUACUGAAUGAUAAAAAUGUCUCAUUUUGCCUGGGAAAAACAAAACGUCUGCUUCCAUCGUAAGAUCCACCCUAUUAAUAAACAGAGAAGUGCUCACUCAAUGAUUUGUAUUAACACAUUUUAUACAUUGUAGGAAGAAGGAACACCUUUCCAAGUUUCAUAUUUCAGUUACAAACACUGAUGAUACUUGUUUGGAUGCAUCUGCUGGUCAAAGGCGGACUGCCUCAGAGAUCAGGUUUCCUAUGUUCUCUGCAUGCAGGUGGCAUGCAAAACAGGUAAGACCUCUACUGUCACCACCACCUUCCCAAUCUUUUCAAAGAGAAUAUUCCAUGAAGUGUUACUUACUGCACACAAAACCAAACACAUUACUAGUUAUGAAUUUCUGGGAGUGAGUACUAUCUAGUUGAACCCAAAAGCUUCCUCAUGCAGUCAUGCCUCAGACAUGGAAUAGGAGGGAGCAACAAUUAUUGUUUAUUUGAGACCUCUGGUUUCGGCCAUUUCAACCCCAAAGCUUAAGCUAUUAGGGAAAGAUGGGCAAUUCACUUUAUUUCAACUAGUAACUAUCCUGUUUGGCAACUGAACUUAUGGCAUUUGUUACACAUGAAUGAUGAAUGCAGAUGUGGGAGUUAAAUGCGAAUGGAAAUCUUGUGAGCAGCUAUUCAGGAUUAUGUGCCAAAGUGGAAUCAAGGGACGAAGGAGGUAUAUAUUACAUAACUUUGUUUGUUUUGAAUUACUUGAUAUCACUACAGUUUCCUAUGAAAUGUAGGUACCAGUGGAGGUCGUGCAUGGGUUGCAACUGGAAGUAAAGGUUAGUUAUCCAAGUAUCCUACAGGCAUCCUGUAAAUUAGUUUACUCUUGUGAGAAAUCUAAAUAUACGUCGAUUAGUAACAUACACAACUCUUUUAAUUGGCUCCUCUGCGAUAUAUGAAAACUUGCAACCACAAUUACAAUAUUUCCAUGUGGUACAUGUGCUUCUUCUGUGUUAACAAAAGGUCUUUUUUUUUGGGGCGAGGAUAACAAAAGGUCUUAUUGGUAGACUAUGAUAUUCUUAGACUGACCACAUGACACACAAAUCAUACCAAGACUGCAGGAUAGAGAUAUUGCAAGAGUGGAUAAUAGAGACCGAGGUUGCCUGGAAACCAUAUUUUAAUUUUUGAACAGAGAAUGCAGGAACUGAUUUUCAUAGUUUGAACUGUAAGGGGAGAAGUCAUAUUAUAGUCUCUAUGUGCCUAGCGCUAGAGGUAGUUCUUCCCCGGAAUAUGACUGAUUUCCAACUCACCAAUCCUGUAAGUCCAAAGUUUCAACCAGACACAUGACCAGUAGACCACCAUAGCUGUUCCUGUACUUCUUUUUACAAAUAUGCCUGAAUAUCAGGGUUAUGAUCAACUAUUAACCCAUUUCUAGGCAGACAAACCCUUGAGGGCCUGGAUGGUAUGGGGACAGAACUUUCUUUGUACAUAUUAGACGAUGUGGAUAAGCUUUUGUGCUUUAUUAUUUUCAUCACAAGGAAUAUACUACUUUACUACCAACACUCUCAUGGUGCAACUGGUCAGUUCAACACGCCAAAGAAGCUUGGCUGAGCCAGCCGGGUUCGAGUCACGGCACCAUCUUCUUGAGAUGAAUAUCAGGGGGACGUCUCUCCCCCUGGUCGAGUCUUUUUAUAUACUACUUUACUGAUAGUUUUCUAACUCCUUUUCAUAUUUCAGAUACGUUGAACUCUUCUUCCUCUGUUUUGUACAUACAUAAACCUAACAGAUCUACGUACCUUUAAAUUUAACAGUAAAUAGAAGUCACGAAAUAUUUGAAUCUCCAAAUUUAGCAGUCUGAUGUGUAUUUUGUAUUCCCUAUCGAGAUGGUUUCAGCUUCAAAUGAUGACCGUCUCAUCUUGACAUCUUGUUUCUAUUUUUGGGUAAUGCGUGAGAAAAUAUAUUUUGUCUGAGCUGUCUUCCAUGGUGCAGGAGAAAUCUAUCUUGCGUUCUUCAACCUCGACUCCGUGAGCAGGAAGAUGACCGUACAAAUAUCAGAUCUUGGAAAGGUUCUCAGAAGAACUUUUUUGAAAAAAGAGCUAUGCAGCUGCACUGAAGUUUGGAGCGGAAAGAAUUUCGGUCCUGUGAAGGAAGAGAUUUCAGCAGUGGUUAAUUCGCAUGGCUCCAUGGUGUUCGAAAUCACAUGUUGAGAUUGCAGUACUGGGCCAGUAGUUCGAGAAGUUCGCAGUGAUAAUUUGCUGUCAGCUCCAUUUCUAUUGAUCCUUUACUUGUAGGCAGAGGUGGAAUGGAUACGUUGAUAAACCAUUAACUAGAUGGCUGCUGGAUUUGACUGAAUGAAUAACAAAAGAAACAUGGGGAGAAAAUGAUGUUUAACUGAUCUUUUUUUUUUUUUUUUGCUUUAUGUCCUAAUGGACUCGGUGACUUCUAUUUAGUGGUACAAAGUUAAGGUAUUCAUAAUACCUGGUGAUCCUAAUUAACAGACAGAUAAACAUAGCACUACUAGGCAGGGAUGGGACGGGACGAGCAGAUUUUACAAGCAGCAGCAUCCCUGAAUGUUGCGAUCCUUUUGUUAUGUACGCCAGAGAGGAAUGGAUAUGGAAACCUGAAGCUCGUAACAGAACAAAUGCAAAGAAUGGCACCAGGCCACGAACACAGAAAAUUAAAAGCACUACACCACCGGCAACUAAUUAAAUUCACCGAGUCAAGGGAAUGCCUGUGCAUUCAGCCAACGAUAUUAACCCACCGCUAAAACAUUCCUAACGACCAUCUUAUAUGGAAGCCUGCUACUUCGACAUGCAAAGAUCAGCUACCACUAGAACAGUAGAACUACAUGGAAACCCUCUUCGUCUUCACUUCUUCACCGACACAAGACUGGGUGUCUAUGGAGCAGCAGGAGAGGAAUGCUGUAACCAAUCUUUUGCGCAGAACAGUGCCUCCAAGGUUUCAGGGUGCAGUGAGCUCUGGUAGUCGUCAAGCAUCUUGGCUUCCGUCCCAGCUGCGAACACGGAGCUGCCACGACCAACGGUGGACACCGGUAUUGCAAGGACAUCUUGGGCCAUCCUCGAGAGUGUUGGGUACCUGACGGCAUUAACCUUCCACCACAUCAGAAUGUCAAACUCCAGCAUGCGUGGGACCAGGGCUUCUUCCAAGUACUGAUCUAGCUCUGACUUUGAGAUCUGGCUCAGGGCUACCUCUGAAAGGUACGUGUCGAAGCCUGACAGUAGAUUGCCAGUGGAAGUAGGAUCUGUUGGAAUGUUGUUCUUAUUGUCAGGCAGAGCGCCAGUGACCUCUUGCUCAACAUGGGCUGGCGUCGACGGAAGUGGCUGUCUAACAUACUCUUUGUAGAGCUCAUGUACAGCAUCAUCCACCAACUUGACAUACUUAGAGCCCUUCAUCAGACCAUAGAUUUUGGAGUAACUGAACUCAACAAUCUUCAUUUUGAAACGGGGAUCCAUCACAACAGCAAUGGCCAGCACAACAUUGCAAUCUCUCCAAUACUUGUCAAAUAUCUCAUGCAUGCCUUUUGUGAUUGUACCGGAAAUAGAAUCUUGAUCAUCUGUGGCAUUUGAAAUCUCUCUCUGAAUUGUCCAAGCCUCAUGGAAAAAUAUGUUUGAAGUUGGAUCUUCUGUUGCCAUAAUGCUGUUUGCAGAGUCGUACAACAGCUUCAGAUACCUGCAAGCAACCUCGACUUUCUCCCAGUCCACUGCCGAAGGUGCUUGAUUGUAGUUAUCGUUACAUUUCUCCAGCAUGGUGAAUGCCUGCUUAUAAUCCAGAGCUGCCAGCAGCAUAAGAUAGGUGGUGUUCCACUGGGCUUUAAAGUCUAGACAUAGGGUCUGGUUACUAGGAAUUUGCAGUUGCAAAAUGAUGUGAGCAAACAUCUCCUCAUGGCUAACACAGGAUUUUAUGAACUUUAUACUUUCACGGAUUUUGUAGAUGGCACUUUGAACUGAAGCAGUGACAUCACUUGCAGCUGCAUUCAGUAUAUGGGCAUAGCACCUCACAACCAAAAAUUGCCCCCCAAGCAUCGGAAUAUUCUUUCUGGAGAGUUCCUCUCUCAAAUUCAAACUGUAGAUAUCAUGUGAGGAGGACUCAUAAUCUCCAGUAACGGUGAAGAGUUUGUCAGUCAUGUUCCACUGAGGAAGGCUUCUGCUGAUAGCUUCAGAAACUGCAUUCUCUGAACAACCAGGCCAAGGGACCAUCACAAAGUUGAGCAUUCUUCGGUGCAGCUUCCACUCAGAAUCAAUGAAUUGCCCUGCAAGGGAAACAUAUCCAAGAGUUUGGCUAGUGGUCCAAGACUGUACUGUGAGAUUUAUCCUUCCAGGAAUAUUUCCGACUUGCUUCAGCACGCUCUCUCUUUCCUUCAGAUAAACUGCAUAAACCUCUGCCUCCAUUGCGUCUGUAUUCACCACCUUGAAACUAGGCUGCAGGCCCUCAACAAAGGAUAUGAAGGUUGGCUGUUGAACAAUUAGCAGAGGGUAGUCAUGCAGAAUGAUCAUCUUCGCCAGGUAUGAUUUACUGCUGUCUGGAUUGAAUCGAGCAUUUGCAUAACCAGUACAAGUGCGGCGCCGCCUCUUAGAAGGCUUCUCUACAGUACCCUGAAAAUAAUUUUCUGUCCCUCCUGCUGCAGGUUCUUGAACUUUAAUCUCAGGGCAAUGACCCUGGGUAAUGUGCCUCUUCAGAUGGCUAGUGCCUGACAUUUUUGAUCCAGAACUGUAUGCAAAUAUGCCGUUACAAUGCUUGCAGCAAGCUCGUGUGCAUCCCUCAGAAUCUUCGGUAGUGAAAUGUUCCCAGACCAUGGACGUCUUUCUUCGGCGUUUUGAUGAGGUUUGUGGUUUCACCCCAGUGGUAACAUUGCCACUAGCUAUCUCACUACCUUGAACCGUCUGAUUACAAUGGAGGACUGUUUGGUCAUAGGGGACCAUCUCACCACCAGGAUCCACCUUGCUACCAACAGGGACAAUCUGGUUGCUGUGAACCAUCUUGUUAUCAUGGAUGUUGUCGACCAUCUUGUAACCAAGGAUCAUUUCGGCAUCAUGACCCAUCUUGUCACUGAUAAUCGCAUCACAGACAUCAACCAUCUCAUUGCCACCAGGGAAAAUCUCGUAGUCUUCGAACACUGUCUCAGUGCCAUGCACCAAGGAAGAGUCAUUGCUGUUUGGAUCACCCAUGCUUUGCUGAGAAUAAUAGCUAAAAUGGUUGGAAGAAAUACGAUCAAGUCAGAUAUAAUGUAGUCAAACUAGAACACAGACAACGGGUUAAAGAAGCUAUAAGUAAAAUGCAAUAUCUAUCUAGUGAAAACGUCACAGAUAUUUGCACAAUAUAAGUUUUUUCGAGAACAUGCGCUGCAUGUAUUUCAUUAAGCGAUUUGCACAAUAUAAGUUGAAUAUACAUUCAGCCAUUACAUAUUUACAUCACGUUUUUGUAUGAGAGAAUCAGUACCACAGCACUCAGUCGUUGUAUGAACUAACAAUGGUUCAAGGAAGUGGAUCCAAAUCACAAAUUCAUUUUUGUAAGCUAGCUACUCCCUCCAUUCCAAAUUAUAAUUCAUUUCAAGAAUCUUGGAAAGUCAAAGCAUCACAAGUUUGACAAUUUAUAUGAUAAAGUAAUAACAUUUAUGAUGCCAACUAAGGCAUUGUUUAGUUCCCAUCAAAAUCUAAAAAGUUUUUAAGAUUCCGUGUCGCAUCGAAUCUUGCGGCACAUGCAUGGAGUACUAAAUGUAGAUACUGUAAAUCGUGAGGCGAAUUUUUUGAGCCAAGUUAGUACAUAAUUGAACAAUAUUUACCAAAUACAAACGAAAGUGCUACAGUAGCGAAAUCCAAAAAGUUUUCACAAUUAAACAAGGCCUAAAUUUUUAUUAGAUUAUUCAUUAAUUAUAUUUUCAUAGUAUAUACCUAUUUGAUGUCACAAAUCUUUUUAGUUUUCUUUAUAAUUUUGAUCACAUCUUAGAUGCUUUGACUCUCCAAGAUUCUUGUAAUGACUUAUAAUUUAGAAUUGAGGGAGUAUUUAAAUAUGACAGAAUUUCUAGUCGGGAAGUAAUGUACUUGCCAACAAAAGAGGACGAUGUAGGAAAAAAAAAAUGGAACUGCGAGCAGAAAGCAUAUCGCCAUCCCCCAUAUACUGUCCAUUGCUUCUAUGCCAAGCACAUAUGCCAUUAUUUAGUUAGUGUCCAUCGCUUCUAUGCCAAGCACAUAUAACAUUGUUUAGUUGUUGAGUAGACACAGAGCAUUGAGAAUAAGAACUCUAACCACGUGCCGUGACAAUAACAACUCACACUUGUUGAACACGCAGAGGAACCAGACUGGCAGUAAGUUCACACGACACAGAUUAAACACAAGUCCAGAAAACACCAUACUAAAAAAAAAGAAAAUCAUUGCAUGCUUUUUUGGUUCGAGAACAAAUCGCAUACUGUUUCAUCUGAUGAUGAUGCUGAUGUUCUCCGACCACAUGGCGUCGUUGAUUAUAGCAGGCGAAAAUCAUAAACUGGAAACCAAUCGAAACGAAAAACCUCAGGGUCCAGCGAGCUACGACGAUCAUCGAACAGCUUCCUACCACUGCAACAAACACACACACACACACUACGGACAGACGAUACAGCGAUUCGGACCAGCAGGUACCAACCAAUGCAAUCAUCAAGCACAGAAAACCCCAUCCAACUCACACACCAUCGACGAUCGAUCUACCCGCCCUCCAUACAGUUUAAGGAAGGCCCAAUCCAAGGCAACGAUCACUGCAAACACCCCCCAGACCCAGCAAUCAAUCCGCGCGGAGGAAGAGGAACACACGAGGUGGGGAGGGAGAGGGCUUGCAGUUGGGUGCGGUGGGUUACCUUGCAGUGGAAGGAGAAGGGGGGGACGAGGUGAGGUCCAGGAAACCAGCCGGCGCGGCGGGGGGGCUACUACUGGAUCGGAUCGCGGCUCGCCUCGGCCCAGCAAGGAACAAACCCUAGAUCGUGUUCGUCGUCCUUUGAGUCCACUCCGUGGGCAGAAGAACGCGGCGGGGACGCGGAGGCUUUUAUGGGCUCGUUUCGUGUCCCAGCCCAUGACGGAGAGAGAGGGCGUGGUUCGCUCCACUUCCCGCUGACAGGUGGGCUUCCGGACCCGUUCUUGGUUUUGGAAACCUUUUUUUUUUCCUUUUGUUUCCGUAUAUAUAUAUAUAUGUAUCCUUUACGGUAGGAGUUUAUGCGCUUUUAUACGGAGCUAAACCGGCCAAGCCCAGACUGUCCAUAACUAACCAUAAAUAAAUGCCCCUCCGUCAUGUCGUAUAAUACCUUAGUUCACUUAAAGAUUCUCAGCCACAUGAAAUCUUACAAAAUAUAUAUAUAUAUAUAUAUAUAUAUGUAUAUAUAUAUAUAUAUAUAUAUAAAUAAAAAUAAAAACUAAUUAUACAGUUUGUCUAUAAAUUACGAGAUGAAUUUUUUGAGCCUAGUUAGUCCAUGAUUGGACAAUAUUUGUCAAAUAAAAAUAAAAAUACUAUAGUAUAUAAAAUAAAAAAAAUUCGGAACUGAACAAGGCCUACGAUACUUUUAAAACUAUAGUUUAUUUAUAUAGCUACUAUACCCAUCUUAAAUCAUAGUUCAAUUUUGAUUUUCAAGGCUAUAGGUUGUACCAUUUAUUUAAAUAUACGCUUUGUCUAGAUAAAUGGUUUGUAGACGAAAUGAUUAUCCAAAAAGGCUUCUACAAUUUAGAACGAUAAAUAUGAGAAAUACAUAUAGGGUUAUUACAAGUAUAUAUGUAUCUCGGAGAUAGUUAUAAGUCUGCUCGAGCGCUACCACUAGCGCAGCGAAGGGGCCGCCGGCUAGGGCUGGGGUUGGCCGUAUCUGCUCGCUACCGCCAGCACCCGAGCAGGGACUGCAUCGCGCAUGGGGCAGCUCCCGUGCUUGCUCGAAAUGGGCGUCUGGCUGGGGCUAGGGCUGCCUGCAUCCGCCGCUCGCCGCCACAGGGGUAGCGCUCGUCCCCAUCGGGGCCAGGGCCGGCCGCGCCCUCGACCGCCGGAGCCAAGGCCGGAGCUGCGUUGCCCCGAGGAUGCAUGGGGGCAUACGAUCGAGUGGAGGUUAGGGGCAAAGCUGCGCAGGGAGCUUGCACCGCCAUAGGGAGGUGCACCAUGCACCGGUUAGGGACUUAGGGUGGGGAUGUCUGCGUGAGGAAAGCCGCUCCGCCGGGGCCGCCAUCGGAGCGUGGCGGGCCACCGCCACGAUCAAGGUUGCAGAGGUGCGUGGUUGUGAGAUGUGGCCAUGAGGCUCCGCCAAUGUCGCGGUCGAGGUAGAGGACGCCGCCCAUGGUAGCUCCUCCACCGCCGCUAGUGUUGGAGCUGGCGAUCCAGAAACGGACCAAGGGGGGGCUAAAGAACAAGACGAACGUUUUGCUCGGUAAACACAGAAAUUGAUAAUUUGAUAUGGAUUCAAAGUAGUUGAAGUCAAAGAUACAUAGAAUUAAGGAUAGAAAAGUACCAAAUACAAGGAGUCUUUCAGCUUAAGAAUUGACACCACUUGAACCAAUACGACUUGAACCGCCACCCUCAAUGCUACAUAAUUUGCAAAUAUCAUACACUUCUUCAAUAAUCAAGAUAACAAGCAAAAAGAAAAGUAUUAAAACAAUACGCACCUUGGGACCUUGCGUGGCAAGUUUAUCUUAUGAUUUCUUAUGCCCUAAAAGCGCUCCAAAAUUUUGUCAUCUUCAAUAGAUACAAAGAAAUCCUGCUCAAUAUUUUUUCAUUCUAUAAAUUCAAACCAAUCAGUAAAUCAGUAAUUGCUUGAAUCUAAAUCUAGUCAGUAUUCAGUAAUGAAAAAAAAACAGAGGGAUCUUCUCACCUUGCUUGCACAAUCCCUACUCUAACCCUAGGGCAGUAGGGCUGGCUGGCUGCCUGCCUGGCUCUAGCGGCUGGCGCUGGCCACUGGCUCGCCGCCUGGCCGCACUGGUGGGCGCCCCGCGCCUGGCCUAGCCGGUGGCCGUUGGCUGGCCGGCUGCUGGCUGUCCUCCCUCGCGGCCUCGCUGUCCCGGCGGGCGGCGGCGGCGCGGUCCGUGGAGGCGUGGAGCAGCGAACCAGCGGUGGCCGGUGGCGUCCGCGCGGAGAGGGGAGGGGCAGAGGAAGAGCCAGGCAGCAAGCCAGCAAUGGCGGCGGCGGCGGCAGUAGAGCGGGGCAGCGGGCGUGCGGGAUGCGAGCGAGGGCGCGGCUGCGGGAUGCGAGCGAGGGCGCGGCCGUGCGUGAUGGGAGCUGGAUGCGAGACGCGUCGAGUUUUUUUUUAGGUUAACAAUUUUUGGGCCGGGCUGCAGAUCCGCUCCAAACAAUUUCGGCCCACGGGGGGGCAGCCCCCCGUCCGUCCGCCACUGGGAACAGCCGUCGAUAUUGGAGUUGAGGGAUGGGAGGGGAAGUCACACCGGCCAUGGAAAGACCUCACAAAGUCGAGAUAGGAAGACGACGUAGAUGGGAAGGAAAAGAAAGAAACGAACCAAUACGCACAAAACCAGUGGCAGGUGGGUAAAUUUUUACCCCAAAUUAAAGCAGCUGAAAGAAGGGGGUUGACAUGCUUUGAGUUUUGUACUAGAGUAAAAAUAGCUUUUGGUCUAAAGCGGCUAUGAUUUUUCACCCUUUCGAUUGGCUUUUGGCUUUUACAAAAGGAAAAAAGAAGAUUAAGAUGCCCAACCAAAGGAGAUUUUAUAAUGUAGAACCAAUGGGCUUAAACUAAGAGCAUCUCUAAGAGUUGUUCUAAAUUCAUUUGUUUCUCCUAUUUUCACAGCAUUUAUAUAUUCUCUCCCAACAGUUUCUUUAUCUCAAAUAACACAUAGGGUGAAAACAUAUUACACCAAAUCUGAAGGAGAUGGAGAAGGACUUGGGAAAUAAAAAAAGGAAAAAUAUACUUGAUAGGAGAACAGGUAAAAAUGACUUUUGAUAGGUUAGGUAGGGAAACUAUUAGAGAUGCUCUACCUUAGGCCGUUCUUCUGCUAUAUAUCCCAUUCACCUAUUCCUUUUUAUAUCAUGACAUAUGGGACCCAUAUUUUAGUGAGCCAAUUUAUUCUUUUUACUUCUUUUCAUAUAUAUCCUUGGUUAGUUGCCAACUGGCCAUGGAGUAGUAGUAUGGGGAUAAGUGGAAAAAUGGCUCCUUUUCUCAUCAGGUUGUCCCUUAGUACCUUUAUCAAUAAUGAAGGGAUCAUGACGUCUUUCUCUAACUAUGCCCCCUAAUUUCCAACCUUAGAGAAACGCAUGUAAUAAGUAAACUAUCUAAAUGUGCAACUAUGAUUCUGCUAGGUGUGUUGAUAUCUCUACCGCAAAAGGAUUAUGCAACCUACAUUCCAAUCCUACCAACUAGCCAACAACUAAGGUAGGAAAGGCAAAUAACACAACCAAGGUAGCAAUGUAAAGCAAAAGCUUAACUGAGAUAGAAAUGCAAACUCCUGUCGAUGACUCUGAUAUUUUUACCGAGAUAUCAAGAAGCGCGCAAGCAGUUUCCCCUAUUCCUUGUUGGACCCUAUAUGACACCCUUUGUUUUUUAUCACGAUAAAAUUCACUAAAAAUUUAAACUUUUGGAAGUUUACAACAAAUUAAAACUUGAUUAGUUUAUUUCCCUUGAAAUCAUUUUAUUGAAAGUGUUUUUCCAAAAAACCUUGCAUUAAAAUUCAGCAUAUGCAUUAUGAGUGUUCGUGUGUUGUUUGUGUGUUUUUCUAGAAUUUAUUUGCGGCACCAAAUUGUUUUCCUUGUAUUCCCAAAUCUCAUUAUUUUCUUUAAAUUCCAAACCCCAUUUUCUUCCAGCAGCUGCCUACCAUGCACUGUAACUCUUCAACGGAUGCUGGUAAAAAUCUCAAUGGCCAGAAAAUAUCCGAGCACUGCCGGCGUGAGCCCGCGUCAACUCCCGAAUGCUCAGAUGUCGUCUUCUUCGUGGCGUGUCCUUCCCAGCAAUAGAAGCAUAUGCCUCCACACCUGCUUACACGCUGUGCUGCUGCCAUAUAUAUGCUGUGCUGCUGCCAAUCUGCCAUGCUCCAGUAAAGGCCAGCUUGAGUCAAGCAUGCGCAUGUUGACUGACAUUGCUGUGCUGCAGAUCAUGCAUGCCGGCAAAAAUCUCCCUGGCCGGGAAAUAUCGGCUGUCUCCCCACCGCCUUACCCAUGGCUAUAAAAGCCGGCGAUGCACCAUGGCUAGUCACCUCCGUCAAGCUCGAGCGCAGGCAACUUGAGGACGAGGACAAGCUUUGCUUCUCUCCGGCUGCUGGCUCCAUCAGUGUCGAUGAGCAGAGCUUGAGCUCGCUUACCACAGUCCACAGGGUCCUUGCCCUUGCCGUACGCGAAGCCGCCGAAGGCAGGCACCACCACGCUGGGGACGCCAACACACGAAAGCAACGCCGGAGCUGCUGCUACACCAGUACGCGACGCCACCGCCGGCAUCGUGCCUCGAUCUUCUCGCCAAGCAUCGCUGGAGCCACCCUCGCCUUGAACCGCUAAGGACCGCACAGACGAGAACUCCACCGGAGCAUGACACCGCGCUUCGCUCUGCUCUCUGCUCCACCGUCACGGCUGCUCAGAGCCACCCUUAAAGACAGAGGACGCGAACGGGAGGAUGCUGCCGUCGCGCCGACGCUCUAUGCUGCCACACCAGAGCUCCGUCCCGGUCGACUACCGUCGUUGCCACAGAAGGUCCACUGUCCGUCCGCCGUGAUCUGCUCCCUCUCUCCUCCCUCGACGGCACGGAAAGACACAGACAUGUCGACGCAAAAUCAACUGAGGUCAUCUACCUGUCAAGCCACAUCCCCCAGCCAAUGGGAGCUGGCCACGCCAUCCCAUGAAUGGCAACCAAUGAAAACAAGGCAAGCUCACAACACAGUGCACGAGCGGGAUCACGGAACAGUACCAUGCAAAGCAAAUGUUCGAUAGACACAAGGUGCAUGCCAGCAACUAUGCUGAGUAGAAAAUAGUGAGCGCACCUAGGAGAUAUGUAUGAGAAACUGAGGAAACCCAUUUCCCUUUAAUUUUCUAGAAAAAUCCCAGAAAAUUCCUAGAAAUACCAGCUCCAAAGUCUACGCAGACCUCUCCCACGCCUUCUCCACCGUCUAAAAUUCCUGAAAUAAUUUCCAAUAUCCUUGCCGUACCCCUUUCUUUAAUAAAGCUAUGAUGAUCCAUAUGUCCACCAUCCCACAUCUGAACCCCUUGAUUCUUCCACUAAAAAUCUUCUAAAAUGAAACCCUGCACACCCAUAUCCUUUUUCAUAAUUUUUGGUGCCCAUUUAAAUUCUAGUUAUGCUUGUCUUACGUUUCUUUUAUUAACACUAACCCAUAGUUGCACCCACCUACUAACGCAUACAUGUGAACUCACCUAGAUAACAAUCUGUCAUCCAAUAGGAUCAACCCAUCUAGGACCCUUUUCUCUUCCUUUGGUCGAUUAUGCCUGUUUGUUCCACCUGUUGGGGUGUUUUCCUUGCUUGAUUGUCAAUGCUAGACAACGUAGGGCAGAUAAAUCGGAGAGAAGGUGAUGGAACCCAAAAGCAGAAUUACACAAGGACGAAGAAACAAGAAGCAUAGGAAUCAGAAUCUCAAAAUAAGAAUAUAAUCGCCAGCGAGCGGAGGCAAGUCCUAACACCCAUCUACCCCUUUUUCCUCCAUAUAUGGUGCCACAUCCACCCUAACUCCCCAUUUUUACACCACCACCAUGUUGUACUAUUUCCGCCACAACACCUACCACCCUUCUUUAAUAAACCUAAUUUAUAUUAACUACACCAUUCUUUUAUAUGUAUAUGAGUAUGAGUAAUAUGAGAUAUUGUGUCACGAAAUGAGCUAUGUGAUAUUACAUGAAUACUUGUGAUAUGUUGCAAGCUCUUAUAAUAUAUAAUAUGAGUACGUGUAAUAUAUGAUACAAAUCUUUAUGAUAUUCCAUAAGCCCUUAAAAAUAUGGAUGAGCUUGAGAACAUGAACCAUGUUGUUAAUCAGAUACAAUCUGGUGAACUAAAACUUGUCUCCGACGGGAGCGAGUGGAGGUAUUUCACGUGGUGUGGACUACCUUGGCAAGAUCACCUAGUGAGGGUUCCUGUGGGAGAUACUCGCUUCGGUCAUGUAAGGAUCGGUUCAUUUGCCAUCUCACCUAGCCAGAAUUUUCAUAUAUCCACAUGUCUGUAUGGGCAGACUUGGUCUCACACCCUGUUAGGUGGAAAUACAACUACUACUAGGAGGCCGGAGUGGCAACAGACUAUCAAGAGAGGACAAUGGUCUGGUCAGCAUGGUUGCUAUGUGUUCCAUGUAAAAUUAUUGUUGUGCCUUAUGCGAGCACUGUUUAUUGAAUUCGGAUGCUAUGUGAUCAUCCCCUAAAAUUGGAUGAUGUGUGAUCAUCCAACCUUUGUGUGUAUCCGACCCCUAAGUAGGUCGUGGUAGUAUUGUAUGGAUAUCUAAGGUCAUUCCGUCCGGGUACGAGACCUCAGUGAGCUUGUUGCACCACUGGCUCUGGUGUCGGCUAUGCUUACCAUGUGGGGAAAGGUGUACAACCUCUGUAGAGUGUAUUAAAUCUAUUCGAAUAGCCAUGUCCUUGAAAUCGGCAAUCACCGGGAUGAGGUCUCAAAUGAUUAGAUGCUUUUAUGUGUAAUGAAAUUGUGAUACUAUGGUAAGUUGUAAUCAACUAAUCUAAUAAGUUACAAUUUAUAAACUCCGGGAGCUGGCGAGAAGGGGUAAUACUCUCCUAGGGCCCACACUCACAUGUUUAUAUAUGUAACUCCACUUCCAACAUAAACACUUUCACCAUCAUCAAACACCUCCACGUAUAGCCUCUGCCAUCCACCUCACUUUACCUUAAAGUUAGGGCUUGCUGAGUACUUUAUGUACUCGAUCCCCCUCCAUUCCAUGAUUUUAGGAGAGAAGCUGUCAGAGCACAUAUGAGGAUGGAGCUAUCAAAGCUACGCUAGGAUGGGACAAUAGGAGUACGCAUGCGGAUGAAGAUGUAUGAAUAUGCAAAGGAGCUACUUGUGGAUCACUACGAUAAAGAUAUAAGAAUGAGUUUAGGGAUAAGGUUUUUGUCCACACUCCAAGUUGCCUGUAGGAAUGGAACGUAGGAUCACUGUGUUAGAACUCUGAUGUAUAUCACAAGGACAUUGGCCCAAGCUAUGUAGAUAUAAACUUUGUAACAUAUUUUUCCUAUUAUUAAUAAAAGUAUGGUUUUUGAUAUCAAUCUUGUUCGAUAUCAGCUACUGAUCUAGGAAAUAAUACGUGAUGCACAGUGGACCCUAAAAUAAGGGCCUGACAUACCCCUAACCCUAACUAGGAUGCCCUUGCAAGGGCCAAGCUCCAGGUCGGGUAACUCUAUGGAUAGCCUCAGUCCUUCCCAUCCACCAGUGGGUCUUCGAUGUGCCUUCUGGCAAGCCUCUCUUGGACCACUCACUUCCAUCUUCACUAUAAUCUUCUGGUUGAAAUGCUAUAUGCCUUGUUCCCUCUAGUACACAGUGAUGGCCACAUCAUAAAUGCAGUUGGGCCCUACCGAGCACUAAACACGGUGCACACUAUUGGUAUUUCAUAACACAUACGGAAAUAAUCCGCAAGGACAUAGAUAUACCAUUAUAUGAAUUUAUAUUUUUUCCAAAAGGAAGGCAUGGUGUAAAAGUCUCUAGUAGGGACAUGAAUAAGAUAAUAUGAUAUAAUAGACCAAUGUUCAUAAUAGGGGUAAGCUAGGAUAAAUAUUGGGAUAGUGUGACAUAGACACAAGCCAAUAUCAAGGAUAAAAGAGAAAUGAAAGAAUAAAGAAUAAAAGAAAUUUUCUAAAUGGCAGCAGACAUUUCCUAAAGUUGUCAUGCUAAGAUUAGCAAAUGACCAUACAAAUACACGGUUAAGACUAAGCCCUAAGAAUGCAGAUGGACACUAGUCUGGCAAUAAUCGUGAGAGGCCUUUAUGAACUCCUACACUAUACCUGAACAUGGGGGAUUAUAAGUGACAGAUAUGGCUAUCACCACCUACUGCCUACCCCCUCAAUUGUUGUACCCAAGCACCACAACCAUGUACAAAGGAACUAUCCAAAUUCCCUCAAGACUCUGACCCUACAGAUGGUUUGGCUUUGACUCUCACAGUGUCUCCUAUCGGACCAUUAGGUUUGGCUCUGACUCUCACAAUGUCUCCUGUGUCAGAGAGAGCCGUUGGCUGACCAUCGGGGGGCAUGAAUGCAUGCUUGGGUCCGAGGUCGUAACGUCAGAUUAGGUCUAACUCGCAACUCAACUCUCAGGAGCAUUCUGGAACUGACGAGACACUAGCUGCAAAGGUUUGAUGUCUAUGCUAAUAAUAGGGUCUGACACUUCCUUCACCUUUCUACCCAAUGAAUAGUGGGACCAUUUGGUUCGAUGCAUGUUCUUCUCAAGGUUUGAUGCAUUGCCAAUGUUGCUUUGUCUUGGGCUUUGCACCCGUCAAACUCUAGUUUAUCAAUAGUUUGAUUGUCCUGUAAUCUAUCAUCAAAUCUACCUACUAGACAUAUUACACAACUUGUAGUUAAUUCAUGUUCUCCAAGUCAACUACUAAUACAUGUCCAAUCAUUAAACCCAUCAUUUUCCACCUGACCUUUAAAUGCCUUUUGUAGAUAAUGAACAAUACCAGUGAAAUACUAAAUCAAGAUCUUUAGAAUAUUAAUAAACAAACCAAUCGACUCCUCUCCAUGAUAACAUUCUAGUACACAAUAGUGCAUAAAAUCGUCAAAAAUAUAUAUCCUUAGGACAUUUAUAAAUUAACAAAACUCUUUUAGGACACCUUUUGUGCUAAAUCUCAACAUCUUUAGAAUCAACAGGAUCUAGUGUCAUGGGGUAGAAACUGCGACAAGCAAUGUUGUUAAUUGGGUGUCACUAAGUGUGGGUCUCUGGUGGCUCGGGUGGACUAAAAAACAUAGAGAAUACACAAUGACAUAUCUUGGUACGAGCACCAAAAUGGGAGGGCUACAAUAGGAGUGUGUAAGAGAUUUGAAAGGGAUCAAUCAGUGUUAUCCUAUGGCUCGUUGGUGGUGAGGUCGCUUUCCUAAUGAUGGAGAAGAAAACUGGGGGAAGGAGCACUCGGUCACUCCUCUUGGGUUGCUCUGCCCUCAGUGUAGAGCUCAGAGUGGUCUAGAAAACUCUAUUAUAUUAUGUUUCAAUCUUUCCUCUUCGUAGGAUCUGACCUCCCCUUAUAAACUGGAGUCUAGGAAGCUAUGUCAUUGUUGUGGAGUCAAAGGAGCCUUGGGCACCGUCCUUCUACUCUGUUUUGAUGCUCUAACCGUCAGGGGUUAUCGGCUUGGACCAGCCUCCAAUAGGUGAGCCUUCUUGAGACUUUCUUGCUCAUGAAGGUGUUUGGCUUAAGGGGCUAAGGAGCAGGCUUGGGAGCCCCUGAUCCUCUUGUGGAGGGAUUUGUCAUAUUCUAUUAUGCUGCAUGUGUGACCUAAUCAAAGGAGGAGUGGGCGACGGUGUUGUGCCUGUUGACCAGGGCAAGGCUAGCAAUGGGGGUGUCACACCACAAUGUACAAGUGGUAUGUGGAAAAUGUUAUCAUUCUUAGGAAUAUAGGAGAGGAUCAUGAAUUACUUGGGGAGAGGCAUGGAAGCGGAAAAGACUAGUCAGGGAGACCAUGUCAAGAUAGAGGCAAGUCCUAGUUGAGGCCGAGUCCAGCUCGCUUCCUCCCUCAUCAGCCUAUGCUAAAAUCAUCACCCAAGACACAUAUGGAUUCAAUUAUCGUUGUUCUCCAUGUGUAUAUGAAGCUAAGGACAUAGGAUUUGUAAUUCAUUUGUCUCAACAAAAACUCAUCAUAAUCAAAGGAAAUCAAUGAAAUAACUCUAAAUCCAGAAUCUAUCCUGGUGUUGAGAUGUCUUUUGGUCCAUUGAGUCAUGUAUCAUGUCUGAGCCUACGAUUAGGGUUGAGUGCAAGAAGUAUGCAUGCUCGAAAGACCUUAUAAUUAGUAUUCACUUCCCAUGUUUGGGUUUGGUGUUUUUCAUACAUUAGUCCUCCUGUGAAUGGUCACAAUUCAUUAGUUAUUGAGACCCUAAUUUCUAGUGCUUAUUCAUAUAUCUACUAUUCUUCAUCAUACAAUGUUCUUUUGAUUCUUUCUUGUGUUAAUUCUAUAUUCGUAUGUAGGGAUUAGCCUUCUAGCUAGGCAAGGUUAACCAGGUAGUGACAUGGUAUAACUAGGGUAGAUGUACUACUAAUGUUGUAGGGUUUGGAUUUUAUGAUCUGAAGCCUGAUUGUUGUGUCAAGUCUCCCAAAUCAACAUUUGUUCCCACACGACGCAAGAUAUAGAACUCUGUUUCCACCAAGUGGUAUUGAAGCAUUAGGUCAUACCCUCGUAUUAGUGUUUUUACCUUCAUCCCCUAGUCCACCAAAACAUUUGUUUUCCCCUAUCAUCCUACAACCAUCUUGUGCCAUAUAUGUGGCUUAAUUAAGGUUUAGAGUCUGCCAUGUUAAGUUUUUGUCAUUGGACAUGAUGUUGUUGCUGGUGUAGCUCAUGUUUGAUUCCAGUUUGUGUGGUCCCUAUGCUCUUUUCCAUCAACUCUAGGGACCACCACAGAAAAUCUAGUAUCUUGUGCCUAAAAGCCCUUAAUUAGAGGCCAGACAAACUCGAAAUAAGGCAAAUUUUAGAGUUUCGAAGAAUGUUGGAAAAUUGUAUAUAAUACAAUUACUAUAUAAUAUCUUGUCUCCUAGAUGCAUAAGGACAUAGCAUUAUACCUCUAGCACACAUAUUAUUUAUCCAAUAGAAGUUUAAUAAUACAAUUAAGGCAACAGAUCUAGUGCAAACUCAUCUCCCGUGCAAAGUGUGCAAACUCUAAUCUGGACCAUAGGAUGUUGAUCCAAGGGGCGCAGAGAGAUUGGGUAAUUUUGCAUUUAACCGCCCGCUCUUAAUCAUACUUUUACAAAUCCCUCCUUCCACCUCUCUCAUGUGCCCCCUAGGAUCAACAUCCUACGGUCCAGAUUAGAGUAUGCACAGUUUGCACGAGAGAUGAGUUUGCACUAGAUCCGUUGCCUACAAUUAAAUACUAUAUGUAGUCCCUAGGGGAUAGAAUUCAAUAUCUCCUAUAUGCAUGAGGAGUAAGCAAUAUAUCUCUAACAGACAUGCAACGUAUCAUCUAUCUAAUAGAAAUUAUAUAAUACAAUUGAAUACUAUAUGUAAUACCCAAUAGAUAUAAUGUCUUAUCUCCUAGAUGCAUAAGGACAUAGCAUAAUAUCUCCAGCACCCAUGUAUCUUAUAGAAGUUUAAUAAUACAAUUAAAUACUAUGUGCAGCCCCUAGUGGAUAGAAUUCAAUAUAUCCUAUAUAUAUAUGCAUGAGGAGUAAGCAAUAUAUCUCUACAGACACGCAACGUAUUAUCUAUCUAAUAGAAAUUAUAUAAUAAAGUUAACUAUAUGCUGCACCUAUUAUAUAGAGUCCAAUAUCUCUUAGAUGCAUGAGGACUAAGCAUAUUAUCUCCAACAGACAUACAACGUAUUAUCUAUCUAAUAGAAAUUAUAUAAUACAAUUAAAUAUUAUAUGAAUUACCUAGUGCUCUUGCAUGCAUGACAUAGUUGCAUCCUCUACAGAUAGACGAUCCACAUAUCAUUGCCAACUUUAUAUUUGGCCCAUUGGCAUCUUCAUCGACGUCUAUACCUAUAUAUAAAGCCUAGCUGUAACAGAACCGCCCAAAUUAUAAGAGAUUAAGCCUAAUGGUGACCAUUUGCACAGUCGAACCAUCGAGCUUAAGCCCAUAUAAUCCCGAUAGUCCGUGAAAUCUCGAAGGAUUUCAAACCACGAAUCGUACAUACAGCCAAGAUCGUAAUAAGUUCAGCGGUCACCAUUCACAAUUACAUCCAGUUGGCAACAUUCAUCACAUACAUUGGAGUUACUUAAAGUUAUUACAAGCCAAGUUCUCAAGUAGCAGAAGCUUCAUAGUUUGAAAAUAACACACACACAUUUAGUCUGAUACAGUGCCAUAGUUCGGUUAUUCCCACAAAAGCAAAGAGAAGGUAGAGUGACCAUCGUCCUUGGUCUAGUCAUCACCCAUGGCUAGGUACAAGCAGAGAAUGCAAUAACCAUAGUACAUCUGCCCAUCUGCAAAACAAUAUGGGAAUAGAACCCUGAGUAUGGGAAUGUACUCAGCUAGACUUACCCGUCAUAAACCAAAAAUAAAGACUCUUCAAGGAUCAUGAAGGCUGUAUAGUGGGGUAGCUGAGACUUUUUGCGUAAAAGUACUACUCAACUAGAAGUACAUCCUAACAGUACUCCCUCUUCUUUUAAUUAGCUCAGGUUAGGUAUUAUUACCUAUCAUCUAGAUUUGCACCUGUACUAUUUCAAACAAGUGUGGUGAUAUGAUGGUACCUCAUCAUAGCAUUCAUAAAUCAUUUAUCAUCAUAACCCAAGUGUUCCAUAGUUCUUACUACGAGGACAGGGCUCCUGUCAAGUGCUCACUAUCCAGGAGCGAUGGCGAUUCGAAUCGAUUUCUGACCAGCUGGCGAGUUAUUUCCCACACAAACCACACUCACUGAUCAAGUGAGCUACAGAUCACCGUAUUACACUAUCCAGGACCAAAUCGUGGGUUCGGCAGGCACCGCCAGUACCCGAGGACCGUUCCGACGACCGAGGUAUCCAAGGUAUACCAAGGUUGCGCGUCGCGCCCUCGUCGUUCUCCUCAACCAUCACCAAUACAGCGCAUGGCAGCUCGACUCCCGGCCCGGAUAGUGUUCAGGCUUCACGGUCGGAAUGACUUAUCCUUCCAGCUAAGUGUGGGGCAUGCGUUCAACAAGACAAGAGGGCCGUCAACGAUCGGUCCUUAAUCGACACAGGCAGGGGCACUACGGUCAACUCCACCAUAAGACCCUGCCCGGUUUCAAGUUCAUUCCCACACUUGGCUACUUUUCCUCAUAGCAUUAACAGCUAAUCAAGAAGGUGUCUACCUAUAUCUCGCAGGUGACAGGAAAUCACACGACUUCUACCGUACUAAGCAAGCUAAGCAUAGACUCCAAGCCUAUCUACAUAGGACAAGGUAGAUAAACAAGUGGUGAUAUCAAGGAGUAAGUAUGCAUGAACGGUAUCAAAAAAUUCCUAUCACUUAAAUGCAACAUAGUAGAACAAGCAUGAUAUACUAAUUAAGUUAGCGAGAAUAGGGAGACUUAGAAUGCUCCGGGGCUUGCCUUUCUCAAACGUGCUCGGCUUGUGGUCUGGGCACUCCUGCAGCUCUUCUCCCGGCUCUGGUCCUCCCAGAAGUUCCUGCUCCUGGGUCUCCUCCUGCUCCUCGGGUCCCACCUCGUUCUCCUGCGAGCCUGUAUGAUGCAUGUGUGCUCAUGAGUGGAGUGCGAGAUGCCUGGGGUGCAAUGCUUAUGCAAGUGGGUACCAGAUGAUCAUGACAUGGUGUAUAGAUGACACAGGUGGUUAUUUCUACAAGGUAGUCAACAUCAUCCAAGAACAUAUACUUAAAUUAAGCAUCUAUUGCAUUCUCUUCUAUAAGUUGCUUUCAUGGUUAACCAACAAGCUAACAUGAUGCUUCAAAGAUACACCAAACACCCCUUCAUUCUAUUUAACUUAUGCAUAACAAUUCAUAAUUUAUUUUAAUUAUUAUUGGACCUACAACAGUAGCAUAUAUUUUUGAUUAUCAACAAAUUCCAUAAAAAUUACAGUAGAUCACUAGCCAAGCAUAAAGCCUACCAUAAAUUUUUCAUAAUAUUUGGACACUUAGUUUGGGCUACAAUAAUUGCCAAACUACUCAAUAUAAUUAAGUAUAAAUACUCUACUAUUGACUAUGUGUCAAACAACAGAUUUUAUAUUUUUAUAAAUUACUUGUUAACAUAAGAAACACCCACAAAAAUUUCCAGAUUAAUUGAAUGAUCCAGUUAUUUAUGAAAAAUCAUAAACCGCUGCCAUGCAAUCAUUUAAAUCAUCAUAAAUUAAUUUAUACAGCAACUAAUAUGUGAAAUAUUUUUCCCAGACACUAAUCAUCCAUGCAGAGCCAAUAAAACAAGUUUCAUAUUUUUGUGAGUUAUAUUUUAAUUACUAUGCAUUUUCCAAUUUUCAGCAAAAAUAUGGAUUAAAUAUAUUUGUACAGAGAAGUGGUUCAAACAUAACAUGCAAUCAUACCAAUUGGUAGAUCUAGAAUUAUAGAACACACCAAAAUUUACUUCAUCAUUUUUGGAUUCAUAUAUCUCAAGAUAUGGAUUUUAUACCAUUUAAAUCAUUUUCUGGAAAACCUUUUAAAACGAAAAUCGACUAAAAAUGCUAAGAGCACCCGGAUUCAAACCCGCAGAGCCAUUGACAGGCGGGUCCCGUAGGUCCGCCGACCCCACGUCGGCCACCCCGAGUUCCCGCGGCCAAAGACCCGCCGGAAUCUCACCGCCGGUGAGGUCUCCGGCGACACCGAGAGGUCCUACGGCUUCACGGACGUGAGACGAAUCUGGCCCUUUUUGGCCCCUGACGAGCUUUGGAACUACCUUGUCGUCGAGAAUGGUGGACGCGGCGGCGCUGCUCGCCGUGGUCCGGCCACCUCGUGGCGAUAGAGCCUGCGCUAGCGACUGGAACGGGUGCGCAAUGCCAAGGCGGAGCUAACGCGCCUAAAAACGCAUGCAAUGGCAGAGAGGAGAGGGAGAACCGUGCGGACCGAGAGGUCGCCGGAGCUCCGACUCACUCCGGUGAGCUCUAUCGGGCGCGCGAGACUCACCGAGCGCGAGCACGGGGUGCGGAAGGACGAGGCGGAGCCGUUGGCGGUCGCGGAUGGGAGGGAGGAGGCCGGAGCUGGCAGGGAGAGAAGCUCCGAGCGUCGGCGGCGAUGGCGCGCGGCGGAGCGGCUGCUGCUGCGCGCGAGCGAGAGAGAGGGCGACAGCGCGAGCAGAGGGACGCGUCUGGCAGCGGGGACGGAGACGGACGCGGCCAGGAUCUCCUAGUGGCCGACCAGGGCGCGUCCAAGCCGUCGCAUGCGCGCCACGCGGCGACCGAGCUCUGCCGGCUCGCCACGGCGGCACGGCGCGGCCGUCCGCACGCAGACGCAGCGCGGGCGCGAGCGCGGGGAAGGGGGCGAGCGCAGGCGGGCUGGGCCGGCUUCGGCUAGUGGGCUAGAAGUGAGGCCGCGGCGUGCUAGCGCCCCCCUCUCUUUUUUUUUUCCAUUUUUUUUGAAUUUCUUUUCUCAAUUCCUUUUUUUCUAAAUUCAUUUGGACUAUUUCAAAACCCUUUUCACCCUUGGCUCCCAAAACAAAAGUUGUCACAAAUAAAAAGUUCUACAACAUUGUUUUAAGUUGAAAUCCCAAAUUCCAAAUAGAAUUUGAAGUACAGCUCAAAACUAGUUAUAGGUUUUUAAAUAAAUCCAUUUUGAGAAUUUUUGUAUUAAAUCCAUUUCUCAAAUUCUAUAGCUCCAAAAAUUUCACAAAAUUAUUCUUAAUUCUUUUAAAAUAUAUUUCAAUCUAUUUUGGUCAUUUCAAGAAAUUUGGAAGCAAGCAUACUAUUUUUAUCAUAUUUAAGUCAUGUAAAUUAAGCACAUGAAAUCACACUUGAAUUACUACUAUGCUCAUGUGAUGUUAUACUUAUGCCAUGCUUGAUGAGAAUGCUUAUGAGAGAGUUUAUGAGACUAAGUGCAUGCUUAACACCUAGGGUGUUACAGCCCUUCCCCCCUUAGGGAAAUCUCGUCCCGAGAUUUUGGGUUACUAACCACUUCUUAUGAAAUUUUGGGUAAACAGUUUUUAGGUAACUCUCGGUUUCCCAGGUACAUCUCUAUCAUCGUGAUGACUCCACACCACCUUGUAAGUCUUGACAACUCUAUUCCGGGUUACCUGCUCCUUGGUAUCUACGAUACCUACCGGUUCUUUAUAUUUCAAAUCUGCCUUUAUCUUGAUUCCUCGAGGUUCGAUCCUCUGUUCGGGUACUUUCAAGCAUUUCCUCAGCUGGGACACAUGAAAAACUAGAAAGAUUGAGCUCAACUCCUCAGCUAACUGAAUCUUGUAGGCCACAGGGCCCUUCCGUUCUAGUAUCUGAUACGACCCCACAUAUCUAGGUGCAAGCUUGCUUCUAACUCGGAAACGCUGAACCUUCUUCAUUGGCGUAACCUUGAGGUAAACAUAGUCACCCACAUUAAACUCGAGUGGCCUUCUUCUCUUGUCGGCAUAACUCUUUUGCCGUGAUUGUGCCGCUCUCAUAUGUUGUUGUAUGAUUUGCACCUUCUUCUUAGCUUCGUUCACGAAGUCGAUACCAUAGUAUCUCCUUUCACCAGGUUCGACCCAGUUUAACGGAGUCCUGCACUUCCGACCAUACAAAGCUUCGAACGAAGCCAUCUUGAUACUCUCUUGAUAGCUAUUGUUGUACGAGAAUUCAGCCAAAGGUAACCAUGAUUCCCAAGAUCCCUUUGAAGAUAACACACAAGCUCUCAGCAUAUCUUCGAGCACUUGAUUGAGUCUUUCCGUUUGACCCGAGGUUUGGGGACGAUACGCUGUGCUUCUUAUCAGACUAGUCCCCAAACUCUUAUGCAUUCGCUCCCAAAAAUGAGCGGUGAACUGCGGUCCUCUAUCUGAUAUGAUGGUCUUGGGAAUACCAUGCAACUUGACAAUCUCAGCUAGAUACAAAUCAGCAUACUCGGGAGGUCUGUAACGAGUCUUAACAGGAAUGAAAUGAGCCGACUUGGUCAAUCGAUCUAUGAUUACCCAAAUCGAGUCAUUCCCCUUUCAUGUAGUCAGCAGACCUGUGAUGAAGUCCAUACUGACCUCUUCCCACUUCCACUCUGGAACCGAUAACGGUUGCAACAGCCCUGCAGGUUUCAUGUGUAUAGCUUUGACUCUGCAACACAUGUCACAACGGUCCACAUAUGCUGCUAUCUCUUUCUUCAUUUUGGUCCACCAAAAGUGAGACCGCAGAUCUUGAUACAUCUUACUGCUGCCAGGAUGGAUAGAAAGUUUUGAGAGAUGCGCUUCAUCCAUGAUGCGAUUCUUUAGUUCCCGAUUCUUCGGAACUACCAACUGGUGCUGAAACCACAAUACACCUUUUUCAUCAACUCGAAACUGAGUCUUUGGGUCGUAUUUGAUCUUCUCUUUGAUGUGAGAAAUACCCUUAUCUAUUUUUUGACCUUUGAUGACUUGACUUUCCAGCGAACAACUGAGCUGUAUGUGACAUAAGACUUCAGGAUGCAUGAGAUUUAAACCAUCUUCAAACAAGGAUUGAACCUCUUGAUAGUGUGGUUUACGUCUUAAAGUGUCUGCUACUACAUUAGCCUUGCCUGGGUGAUAGUGGACCUCCAGAUCGUAAUCCUUGAUCAACUCUAACCAUCUUCGCUGCCUCAUAUUCAGUUCAGACUGAGUGAAGAUGUACUUUAGACUUUUAUGAUCUGUGUAGAUAUGACACUUAUUUCCCAGCAAAUAGUGCCUCCAGAUCUUCAGGGCGUGUACUACUGCUGCUAGCUUGAGGUCGUGAGUCGGAUAGUUGACUUCAUGCUUUCUCAACUGCCGCGAAGCAUAAGCUAUAACUCUGCCUUCUUGCAUCAGCACACAUCCUAAACCACUUUUCGAUGCGUCGCAGAACACAUCAAAAGGCUUCUCGAUAUUUGGUUGUGCCAGCACGGGAGCGGUGGUCAGCAACUUUCGCAAGGUGUGGAAGGCUACUUCACACCCUUCCGUCCAUACAAACUUAUGAUCCUUUUGUAGCAAACUGGUCAUUGGCUUAGCAAUCUUGGAGAAGUCGGGUAUGAAACGACGAUAAUACCCGGCUAGACCAAGAAAGCUUCGUACUUCUGAGACAGAAGUUGGUGCCUUCCAGUCCAUAACUUCCUGUACCUUUGACGGAUCCACAGCAAUCCCUUCUUCUGACAGAAUGUGCCCGAGGAAAGGAACUUUAUUCAGCCAGAACUCGCACUUGCUGAACUUUGCAUACAACUGAUGCUCUCGUAGUCGUGUUAGCACGACUCUCAGAUGCUCGACGUGAUCUUGUUCAUUCUCUGAAUAGACUAGAAUGUCGUCGAUGAACACCACAACAAACUUGUCUAACUCGGGCAUGAAGACUGAGUUCAUCAGAUACAUAAAGUACGCAGGAGCAUUUGUCAACCCCAAGGACAUGACAAGAUACUCAUACAAUCCGUAUCUGGUGGAAAAAGCAGUCUUCGGUGUAUCUUGCGGACGGAUCUUGAUUUGAUGAUACCCGGACCUCAAAUCUAUCUUAGAGAACACUUUUGCCUUGGACAACUGGUCAAAUAAGAUAUCAAUCCGCGACAAAGGAUACUUAUUCUUCAUCGUUACCGCAUUAAGGGGACGAUAGUCCACGCGCAUGCGCAGCGAUUGAUCCUUCUUUUUCACAAAUAACGCUGGACAACCCCAUUCUGAUGAACGAGGCUGGAUAAAACCUUUAUCCAGCAACUCCUUUAGUUGAUUCUUCAAUUCAGCGAGCUCAUUAGGCGGCAUCCGGUACGGCCUUCUAGAGAUUGGUGCUGUACCUGGUAUCAACUCUAUUGCAAACUCUACUUCCCUAUCCGGGGGAAGUCCUGGCAAUUCCUCAGGAAAAACAUCAGGGACUGAAAGACCACUGGGAUUUGUGGCAAAGGAACCACUUGCGUAGCACAAGAGAUGCUAGCAAAGUCAAAUCGACGGGGCAGAGGUACUUGAAAGGAGCCACUACCCUGAGGUUCUCUAAGAGAUAACACCCUUUUCCCAACAUCUAUGACAGCAUCCCACUCCUUCAUCCAGUUCAUGCCCAAGAUAACAUCCAAAACUAACCCAGGCAUGACUACCAGAUUUACUCGAAACACCCGGUUACUUAUAUCCAGGGUUGCCCCUCGGACCACUCUAUUUGUCAACACAUCUGCCCCUGCUGAGCUGAUGCGAUAGCCAUAACCGAGAUCUGUAACUGCUUGGUCAUGCUUUUGUGCAAAUGCUUGGCUCAUGAAUGAAUGCGAUGAUCCAGAAUCAAUCAAAACAACUGCAAGAUGUUGGUUGACAGGAAACAUACCAGCUGUUACUGGUUCUCCUCACUACAAGAAGUGUGUGGCUUUUUGACAUUCUAUUAUGUCAUAAUAUAUGCAAUUUAUGUCACAAAUUGAGUUUUAUGACAUCAAGGUGACAUAAACUGUAAUGUCAAAAGCCACUGUCACAAAAUGAUUUUAUGACAUCUGUUUUGCUAAAUGUCAUAAGUUUAUGACGUGUGAUUUCAGUGUCAUAUAAUCUUAUGACACUAGUUUACUGUCAUUAAAUCCUAGCCUUGCCAUAUAGGCAAUGCCACGUAGGAUGAAUUGCUGACAUGGCAGGAUGGAGAAAAACGUCACAAAUUAAAUUUGGCUUGCUAGAGCCCGCAAUUGUUUUUCAGCCCACUCACUCAACAAUUACACAAUCUUGACAAAAUCCCAGGUUGGAAAAAAUUAUAUUGUCAAACUCAUACAUCCAGGUAGCAACAUACAUCACGCUACAUCUAAGUCACAUGUCCAAAAUGACAAAGAACAUAGCCAUUUCAACAUCUUGAAUAUUCAUCAAGCUAACAAAAAGAGCUGUAGCUACCCCUAAACAUUACUGAGGCUUUUCACUUUACUGAGACAUCCUCCAUACCACACUAUUAACCAAUCUGAAAGAAGCAAAUGGUAGCCAAAUUAGUCAAAGAUAUAAAUAUUAGAGUUAGCUCUAGGUUCAUGCAUAUCUAUUGGACAAAACCAAGCUCCCUGGUCAACAUAUAACAGUUAACGAAACAAAUCUAUCCACAAAGAUAAUACUACAACUAGGAUGUACCGUGAAACAAGCUCCCUGGUUAUAAUUUUAAAAUAUUGUCCAUUUAUCUGACAUUGAGACUAUACAACAUUUGUGAACCAUUGUAUCCUAACUAUAUAGAAAAGCCAAUAAACAGUAGAAAUAGUUGGUCAAUGAAGAAGGGUUACUUGAGGCUUGUAGAUGGAGUGAGUAAAAAACGUGCUCUUAACAUAAACCUGCAACCAUGGCACCAGGAUAGCUGAUCAAAACAUUGACAACUUGUACCCUCAUCAGGUGCCUUAUUCAAUUCAAAAAUUGUAACUAAAUUGUAACUAUGUUGAUCUAACUUCAUUCUUCUACAGUUGGCUGUCUAGCUGAAUAAUAUGCCAGGCAACACAUUAAUAAUUUCUCCCUACCAGAAGCAAGCAAAAAGACAGCAGCAAGGAAUAUUCAGCUAUAGCUUAAGAAAAGGUCUUAAUUCUUUACUAAGAAAAUGUCUUGAUUCUUUACUAAGACAAGACAAGAAAUUAUUUCAGUAGAAGAAAAUGUUGCUUGUCAAUAUUGUUGUAAGUUCAAAUUUUAGAUUUGUGAUAGAAGUUAAAAGGUUACCGAAUUAAGUUAAAAGGUUACCAAAUUAAAAGGUUACCCUAGAAGAUACACUGACUGAAGAUGGGCAUGACCACUAUGUUCUGAAAACUCGUUUGUUUACAACCAUGCAUAGCAUGUUAAUAAGGCUAACAAUGAGAAAAUUUACCUGUGACUGCAAGAACUUGACCCAACAUCUUCAUAUGAUAAACUCAGUCCACCAUACUUCUUGUCAGUUCUAGUCUGUAGAGAGAAUAUCUAGAGUUAGAUAUAAUGAGAACAAUAGCAGGACUGCCAAUUAGCUGUAAAAUCAACAUAUUCCUUCUAUUCUUGCCUGAUGCAGGCAUCAGCUAUAGACUAUAAAAUAUGCCUGACCUUAAAAUAACAGAGCCAGAAUUGACAUAAUUCCAAAUUCUUUAAACAGGAUCAAAGAAAUGUAGAGUCAGGUAACACACUUGCUCACAUAAUGUGCAAAGUAUUUGAAUAUCAUAAUACACAAAGGCUUACGUACAAUCUAUAGACAGUUGCUGCCUAUAUAUUCUUGGAAUUUACAAUAGAGACAGUUAAAUAGACAACUCAUACAACCCAUAGACAGAGGCUGUCUAUUUGGUUGUCUAUAAAUUAUUUAAUGCUCAUAUUAAUCUAUGAUCAACUAUGAAUACCAUUUCUGUAUAUACCAUUGUGUUGCUAGUGCAGAAACAUAAAUGAUGAGACAUAUAUGCACACUAGGAACAGAUUCACACUACUGAAUAACAAUCAACAUAUUCACAAAUUCACUGAAAAAAUAUAGAAUAAGAAUGAUAGCGAACAGUGUGCAUACAACAUUCCAUAUAGCGACGCCCCUCUCUUGUCAUUCUCAUUGUCAUUCUUUAGCAUGUCAGUUUGGUAGCAACAGAAGCUACCAUAAUCCCAGGUGCAGCAGGGUUGCAACAAAGCGCCAUCUGCCAGAGAGCCAUUCAGUUAUACCAGGCAUUCGGAAAAUAGGGAGAUCAAACCCGUGUGUACGCUCGCCGAGACACAAGAUAAGCUCAUCCAGGAGCCAGAGUUACCCAAUUCAGAUCAGCAAGCAGGCACCAGCAAGUCUGGCACGAGCACAGCGCACCAAGACGUGGGUGCGGUGCGCGCAUGCGGGGGCGAACAAAGACGGAGGCAAGCAGCAACGGAAAACGGAAGAGGGGAGAGGGGCACAGGGAUGGAUCCGAGACCUUGGACUUGACGGAGCGCUUGAUGAGGGACCACAGCCCCGACACGGAGAGAACGAACAGCCCCAUCGACGUGUAGUAGCUCGCCUGCGAGUACCCUGUCCCGCCGGCGGCCACCGCGGCCGCGGCGUCGAGCAGGACCGCGGCGCUGUCCAGGGACGCGCGCGCCGGGGCGGCACGGACUCUCCUCCUCGGACCGUGUCGCCGCCGGGGGCCCGGCGCGGAGCGGGAGGAGGAGGCGCCUCGCAGCUGCGGCGGUGGUGGCGUCCAUUUUGUGCUGGGGAUAAGGGCAGAGAGAGAGAGAGUUGUGCGGCUGAGGGAGGGUAAGGGAGAUGGAAGAUAGGGAGAGAGAGGAAUGGGUUAUAUAGUCUAGGGUUUUUAGAUGGGCCGAUUUGGGCCAUGGUCUGCAUAGUAAUAUUGGUCGUUUCUCCAUCCAACUAUAUUUGAACAAUUGAAAAUUAUAGAAUUUUUUUGACAAAACUUAGAAUUUUUUUUGACAUACAACUUUUAAUUGUCACUAAGUCACUAUGCCUAACAUAUAAUGUCACAAAAUUGAUGAUAUAGUAACAUUCUUACAAUUGUCAUACUAAAAACGUUAAAAAGCCAUGUAUUUCUUGUAGUGUUAGUUGGGUAAAAUUUUUGGCUUUAGAUACUGUAGCACUUUCGUUUGUAUUUGACAAAUAUUAUCCAAUCAUAGACUGACUAGGCUCUAAAGAGACACGUCACAGAAUUCGUAUUAGUGACGUGGCAAUGUUCUUUGUAAAUUAUCUAAAAAUAAUUCAAUAAAUAUUUUGUGACAUAUAGAUAUACCUUAUGACAUAUCAAAUAUAGUCACUAGAUGUUGUGACAUAUAAAUAGACCUUAUGACAUAUCAAAUAUCGUCACUAGAUGAAAUUGGAUUAGUUAUAUGACAUUUGUUGUGACAUACAUUUUUUUUGUCAUUAAGUCAAGGUGUCUAAAAUAUAAUGUCAUAAAAUAGAUAAUAUAAUGACAUUAUGGACUUUGUCAUGCUAAAUACGUCAAAAAGCCACCCAUCUCUUGUAGUGCCUUCCGGGAUCUCCUCUAUCGAGGUAUGGUGCACUCGGGCUGGGUAGGUUGUCUGCUGCUUCUUGGGGUAGGGACAUUCUUUAGCAAAAUGUCCCAUCUUGUGGCAGUUGUAGCAUGGCCCCUUGGUCAUGUUGUUGGCAGCAGGUGCUGCAGCUUGAAUUGCCUUUGGCUUGGCGGGAGCUAUUGCAACCUUGUACGGCUUCUGCUGCGUUGGAUGCCCUGUGUUCCUUCUCUGCGGCGGUCGGAACCUAGCACCUGGGGCAGGAGGACGAUACUGCUGAUGUCCUGCCACUGGUGCCCUGGACUGAGACGAUCCGACUUCAAAAGCCCUCUUGCGAGACUUGGAUGCACUAUAGUUGUUAUUAUUGUUCUCCUGGGUCAGACAGUCACUGAUGUAGGCAUUGAAGGUAGCCCGGGUUCCCGUACCCAUGGUCUUCAGCAUCUUUGGGCUCAAGCCUCUCUGGAAACUAGCGAUCUUCUUGGCCUCCGUGUUCACGAACUCGGGAGCGUAAUGAGUGAGAUUGUUGAAAGCGUGCAGAUACUCUUUCACAGACUUUGUUCCCUGGGACAGCCUCAUGAACUCUCCAACCUUCAUUUCCACCACACCCGGAGGAAUAUAAUUUCCCCGAAAGGCGGUGGUGAAGCGGUUCCAGGUGAUCGGGGUCCCCUCUAGGUAGGUGGUAUGAUGAUGGGACCAGCAAAUCCCAGCAGGCCCCUGCAACUGAUGUGCUACGUACUCAGCCUUAAGCUCUUCGGUCAUUCGAAGGAGACAAAACUUUUGCUCCAUGGUGUUAAUCCACUCAUCUGCCUCGAGCGGUUCCAAGGCCUCCUUAAAGACCGGUGGUUUAGUAUCCAUGAAGUCCUUGAAAGAGUUGUACUGAUUUACUUCACGGCUGCCCUGGUUGUCCCCACGGCGGGUGUUGUCAGCGAUAUUGCGCAGGGCUUCUUCCAUGUUGUGCUGCAUCUGCUCCAUGUUGCGUUGGCUCCCCAGAAACUGUGUGAAAAACACGUCCGCAGUGUAUGGAGGAGGUGGUGGUGGUGGCGGUGAUGGUACUCUUUCCUCAUUCCUGUGAGUCCCACCUCCGGAGGAACCUACUCCAAGACCGGGGUUACUGUUACCCCCGCCACGUGUUUGCACCAUCUGCAUGCGUCAAUGAUAAACAGUCGUUAGGAGUUGCUAUCAACGGGUAGAUAUAUGUAGAAUUAUGCCGUACUGAAUUUACUAAGGAAAAUAAAUUCGCACAAUAAGCAGAGGCACAACAAUUCAUCAUCCACACACAACAUCACUAACGGAUUACUUAACAUUUGAGCAACAAGGUUCGCAUACAUCCAAAAUUGCUAGCAUACAUACACUGGACUUUCAGCGUCAUCACAUAAAGUUUUACACAUCCAAGACCCACAUAUUACAUGACAUGCCAUGCACCAACAACAGCAAAAGAAGAAAGACUAGCUCUAGAGCCCUAACAUCUACUCUCUAUGGUCGCUGUCCAUGCCAGAGCCUUCCUCGUCCUCAUUUCCACUAGCGGCUGCCUCCAUCUCUGGGUCCUCAUCCAUCUCAUCCUCAGAAUCUAACUCAGCUGCUCCAGGCAGGUGGUGAGGGUGGAGCUGGUUAUGCAGCUGGUGGAUCUCCUCAUGUAGGUUCUCAUUGUACUCCUCAGCAUUAGCUAGCUGCUGCUCAAGCUCUAGCUGUCGGGUCCUCAAAGCGUCCUCCUCGUGCCAGGCUUCAUUCUUCUGACCAAGCACAUGAACUAGCAUGCGCUCGCAGUUGCUGUGAGCGGUGGUCACCCUGUCCCUCUGCUCCCUCACGGCGAGCAGAUCCUGACUCAGCUCACUGUUCUUCUGGACUGCCUGGUCCCUCUCGAGAGUCACACGGGCCAACUCUACCUGCAGCCUCUCAACCUCACUGUCAAACUCACGCUGUAGCUGGCGCUUCUCAUCCUGAACUAUGAGAAGAGACCCAGACAGGCGUCCCAAACAAUGCUCUAGACCCCCAUAGGUCUUCAUCAAGGCGAACAUAGCACUCUUAGCUGCGCUGUCACUGUGCUGAUCCUCAUCCGCACUCCUCUCUAGAGCAUUCACCUCAGACUGAUCCCACACCAAAGUGUAGGGUUCACCCCGAGAAAACACCCCAGCGAAGGCGUGAGCCAGCUCCUGCGGAAACCUCUCCAUGAUAUCCCUUAGGACCGCAAAAGCAGCCCUGCUGGCACCCUAGAAAGGCAUGGUACCUCAGGACUCGUACACCCAGCCAUCCCACGCGGGGUCACCUCCACUGGUAGGGACCACUGCCUCGAUCCCCACCAGGGUCUCGUCACAAGAUGCUCCUUGCUCCAAUAGUAGCGAGGUUCCCUUCCUUCGGGAUACCCCAUCGAACUGAGCACUCUCCAAAGCAAGGUGGGAAUCCCAAACUCCUUCUGGAACUUGCUCUUAUGACGCGAGCUCCUAGCUGCCAACUGAUGGCGAGGGGCCCGCCCACCAGUGGACUUGCGAGCGGUGAGCCUAGUGCGUGCCAUCUGCUGCAAAUAGAAUACCUUGGGUAAGACUGAGGAUUAUCUUUUAUUAUCUUAAUUAAAAUUGGGACAGAUUUAAUUAAGGGGAGGAAGUAAGCAAUGAUAUGGAAUGAACAUGAUGCAUGCACGAACUUACGAUCUCACAAACUUAAAAAAGAAAGUUAACACUAAUCGGUAUAUACGGUGGCACACAACGUUCUCUCAUAACGUAACUAGCGUUCUAGGCGAGAACGUGGUUAGCGUACCUGCAGAAAACUCAUUUCAGCCCAACCACCGUAUGAACAUGCAAAACAAGAAUUUAAAGCUAUACACCCCACAUACAUAGACACCCCAUCCAUGCAUAUGGUGUGUUUCUACCCACAUCAUCGCCCUAGUGACGGCAUCGCCUCUCAGGACGAAAUCUCCCAACAUGCGGUACUGUUCCUAGGCACACCAAACAUGUGUGCAUGGCACAGCACCUAAAAUCACUUCCCUAGAUUGGCAGUGUAUCUGAUGAUGCUCUCACAGCUCCCACUUACCGAGGCGUAGAGAAAAAAUUGAUCCAUACAUUACCACUCAAAUGAAUGGCACUCAUACUAUUGCACGCGUAUGAGCGAUGAAAAUAGAAAUAUGAUGCAUAACCCCCAAGUCAGUACUUAACUAGCCACCUUAGAGUCCUUAGCUGGGCAUAAAGGAUAUGACCAUGGCACACUAUGUAGUUUUUCCAAAAACUUAUUUUAACACCUUGAUUAUCAUUAAUUGUAUAGUUAACUUUUUUAACCAGUUUAGGUUUAGUUUAGAACGUACUUUUUUUUGUACUUAUGAACAGUAACUCGCUAAACUUUGCUUCGAUGCCAGCUGUAACAGAACCACCCAAAUUAUAAGAGAUUAAGCCUAAUGGUGACCAUUUGCACAGUCGAACCAUCGAGCUUAAGUCCAUAUAAUCUCGGUAGUCCGUGAAAUCUUGAAGGAUUUCAAACUACGAAUCGUACAUACAGCCAAGAUCGUAAUAAGUUCAGCGGUCACCAUUCACAAUUACAUCCAGUUCGCAACAUUCAUCACAUACAUCGGAGUUACUUAAAGUUAUUACAAGCCAAGUUCUCAAGUAGCGGAAGCUUCAUAGUUUGAAAAUAACACACACACACAUUUAGUCUGAUACAGUGCCAUAGUUCGGUCAUUCCCACAAAAGCAAAGAGAAGAUAGAGUGACCAUCGCCCUUGGUCUAGUCAUCACCCAUUGCUGGGUACAAGUAGAGAAUGCAAUAACCAUAGUACAUCUGCCCAUCUGUAAAACAACAUGGGAAUAGAACCCUGAGUACGGGAAUGUACUCAGCAAGACUUACCCGUCAUAAACCAAAAAUAAAGACUCUUCAAGAAUCAUGAAGGCUGUAUAGUGGGGUAGCUGAGACUUUUUACGUAAAAGCACUACUCAACUAGAAGUACAUCCUAACAGUACUCCCUCUUCUUUUAAUUAGCUCAGGUUAGGUAUUAUUACCUAUCAUCUAGAUUUGCACCUGUACUAUUUCAAACAAGUGUGGUGAUAUGAUGGUACCUCAUCAUAGCAUUCAGAAAUCAUUUAUCAUCAUAACCCAAGUGUUCCAUACUCCUUGCUACGAGGACAGGGCUCAUAUCAAGUGCUCACUAUCCAGGAGCGAUGGCGAUUCGAAUCGAUUUCUGACCAGCUGGCGAGUUAUUCCCCACACAAACCACACUCACUGAUCAAGUGAGCUACAGAUCACCGUAUUACACUAUCCAGGACCAAAUCGUGGGUUCGGCAGGCACCGCCAGUACCCGAGGACCGUUUCGGCGACCGAGGUAUCCAAGGUAUACCAAGGUUGCGCGUCGCGCCCUCGUCGUUCUCCUCAACCAUCACCAAUACAGCGCAUGACGGCUCGACUCCCGGCCCGGAUAGUGUUCAGGCUUCGCGGUCGGAAUGACUUAUCCUUCCAGCUAAGUGUGGGGCAUGCGUUCAACAUGACAAGAGGGCCAUCAACGAUCGGUCCUUAAUCGACACAGGCAGGGGCACUACGGUCAACUCCACCAUAAGACCCUACCUGGUCUCAAGUUCAUUCCCACACUUGGCUACUUUUCCUCAUAGCAUUAACAGCUAAUCAAGAAGGUGUCCACCUAUAUCUCGCAGGUGACAGGAAAUCACAUGACUUCUACUGUACUAAGCAAGCUAAGCAUAGACUCCGAGCCUAUCUACAUAGGACAAGGUAGAUAAACAAAUGGUGAUAUCAAGGAGUAGGUAUGCAUGAACGGUAUCAAAAAAUUCCUAUCACUUAAAUGCAACAUAGUAGAACAAGCAUGAUAUACUAAUUAAGUUAGCGAGAAUAGAGAGACUUAGAAUGCUCCGGGGCUUGCCUUUCUCAAACGUGCUCGGCUUGUGGUCUGGGCACUCCUGCAGCUCUUCUCCCGGCUCUGGUCCUCCCAGAAGUUCCUGCUCCUGGGUCUCCUCCUGCUCCUCGGGUCCCACCUCGUUCUCCUGCGAGCCUGUAUGAUGCAUGUGUGCUCAUGAGUGGAGUGCGAGAUGCCCGGGGUGCAAUGCUUAUGCAAGUGGAUACCAGAUGAUCAUGACAUGGUGCAUAGAUGACACAGGUGGUUAUUUCUAUAAGGUAGUCAACAUCAUUCAAGAACAUGUACUUAAAUUAAGCAUCUAUUGCAUUCUCUUCUAUAAGUUGCUUUCAUGGUUAACCAACAAGCUAACAUGAUGCUUCAAAGAUACACCAAACACCCCUUUAUUCUAUUUAACUUAUGCAUAACAAUUCAUAAUUUAUUUUAAUUAUUAUUGGACCUACAACAGUUGCAUAUAUUUUUGAUUAUCAACAAAUUCCAUAAAAAUUACAGUAGAUCACUGGCCAAGCAUCAAGCCUACCAUAAAUUUUUCAUAAUAUUUGGACACUUAGUUUGGGCUACAAUAAUUUCCAAACUACUCAAUAUAAUUAAGUAUAAAUACCCUACUGUUGACUAAGUGUCAAACAACAGAUUUCAUAUUUUUAUAAAUUACUUGUUAACAAAAGAAACACCCACAAAAAUUUCCAUAUUAAUUGCAUGAUCCAAUUAUUUAUUAAAAAUCAUAAACCGCUGCCAUGCAAUCAUUUAAAUCAUCAUAAAUUAAUUUAUACAGCAACUAAUAUGUGACAUAUUUUUCCCGGAGACUAAUCAUCCAUGCAGAGCCAAUAAAACAAGUUUCAUAUUUUUUGAGUUAUAUUUUAAUUACUAUGCAUUUUCCAAUUUUCAGCAAAAACAUGGAUUAAAUAUAUUUGUACAGAGAAGUGGUUCAAACAUAACAUGCAAUCAUACCAAUUGGUAGAUCUAGAAUUAUAGAACACACCAAAAUUUACUUCAUCAUUUUUGGAGCCAUAUAUCUCAAGAUAUGGAUUUUAUACCAUUUAAAUCAUUUUCUGGAAAACCUUUUAAAACGAAAAUCGACUCAAAAUGCUAAGUGCACCCGGAUUCAAACCCGUAGAGCCACUGACAGGCGGGUCCCGUAGGUCACCCGACCCCACUUGUCGGCCACCCCGAGUUCCCGCGGCCAAAGACCCGCCAGAAUCUCACCGCCGGUGAGGUCUCCGGCGACACCGGCUUCACGGACGCGAGACGAAUCUGGCGUGCCCUUUUUGGCGCCUGACGAGCACCGGAACUACCUCGUCGUCGAGAAUGGCGGACGCGGCGGCACUGCUCGCCGUGGUCCGACCACCUCGCGGCGAUAGAGCGUGCGCUAGCGAUUGGAACGGGUGCGCAAUGCCAAGGCGGAGCUAACGCGCCUAAAAACGCAAGCAAUGGUGGAGAGGAGAGGGAGAACCGUGUGGACUGAGAGGUCGCCGGAGCUCCGACUCACUCCGGUGAGCUCUACCGGGCGCGCGAGACUCACCGAGCACGACUGAGCGCGAGCACGGGGUGCGGAAGGACGAGGCGGAGCCGUUGGCGCUCGCGGAGGAGAGGGAGGAGGCCGGAGCUGGCAGGGAGAGAAGCUCCAAGCAUCGGCGGCGAUGGCGCGCGGCGGAGCGGCUGCUGCUGCACGCGAGCGAGAGAGAGGGCGAGAGCGCGAGCAGAGGGGCGCGUCUGGCAGCGGGGACGGAGGCGGACGCGGCCGGGAGCUCCUGGUGGCCGACCAGGGCGCGUCCAAGCCGUCGCAUGCGCGCCACGCGGCGGUCGAGCUCUGCCGGCUCGCCACGGCGGCACGGCUCGGCCGUCCGCGCGCGGACGCGGCGCGGGCGCGAGCGCGGGGAAGGGGGCGAGCGCGGGCGGGCUGAGCCGGCUUCGGCCAGUGGGCCAGAAGUGAGGCCGCGGCCUGCUAGCGCCCGCCUUUCUUUUUUUUUCAUUUUUUUAAAUUUGUUUUCUCAAUUUCUUUUUUUUUUCUAAAUUCAUUUGGACUAUUUUAAAACCCUUUUCACCCUUGGCUCCCAAAACAAAAGUUGUUACAAAUAAAAAGUUCUACAACUUUGUUAUAAGUUGAAAUCCCAAAUUCCAAAUAGAAUUUGAAAUACAGCUCAAAAUGAGUUAUAGGUUUUUAAAUAAAUCUAUUUUGGGAAUUUUUGUAUUAAAUCCAUUUCUCAAAUUCUAUAGCUCCAAAAAUUUCACAAAAUUAUUCUUAAUUCUUCUAAAACAUAUUUCAAUCUAUUUUGGUCAUUUCAAGAAAUUUGGAAGCAAGCAUACUAUUUUUAUCAUAUUUAAGUCAUGUAAAUUAAGCACAUGAAAUCACACUUGAAUUACUACUAUGCUCAUGUGAUGUUAUGCUUAUGCCAUGCUUGAUGAGAAUGUUUAUGAGAGAGUUUAUGAGACUAAGUGCAUGCUUAACACCUAGGGUGUUACACUAGCCAUCCCCACUAAAAGUUCUCACCUGUCACACCUAAACCACACAUCUCGCUUUGUCGAAACAUUCAAUCAGGAGGUGAAGGAGAGGCCGGGCUUGCUAUUAAACCAUAAAACACAAGCUUUAACCAUGGCAAAACUACUCUUGGGUUUGCUCCUUGUCCUUGUCAUUAUAGGGACAGCAUCGGCCGAUAACUGUGAUAAAGAUGCGGAAGCCAUGAAGCAAGAGUGCAAGAAGUUCGAGGUGUUCCCCGCGAACCCAAAGUUGCAACCGUCGCCGGCAUGCUGCGCUGUGUGGCAGAGGGCAGACAUCCCAUGCCUAUGCAAAAGGGUCACCCCGGAAGUAGAGAAGGUGUGGUGCAUGGAGAAGGUCGUGUAUGUCGCCAACUACUGCAAGAAGCCUUUUACACCUGGCUACAAGUGCGGGAGUAAGUUAACACUUAGCAUAUAUACAUACUGUUAUCCAAGUUGAUGCGGAUUAUUGUUGUAUGGUGUACAUGACUACUCCAAGCGUGACUGAUUUUGUAUAUUGGUUGGUUUUUGCAGGUUAUACGGUUCCUAAAAGCCUCUAAAUAGAGCAUUUGGACAUGCAUGGUACUCUAUACUGAAGCUUGCAUUUGAGAUUUGUAACAUGUGAGGGAGUGAGGGACUAUGUUGAGGAGAAUAAUGUGUAUCGAGUACUUUGUAUGAAAAGCGUUGGAGAAUUGAUAAUGUUUGGCUUUUAUCUUACUGCUUCCUUGGUCUUGCUUUUUUUAUGGAAGAAUUCUAUGUGAUACAACGUGGGGCUGCAUUAAUAAUUUACACUACUGCAUAAAUCAUGGAGGUGGGCAAAAAGGGUUAAUGGAGACGGGCAAUACAACAGCCUCCAAUUGAUGUCCUUGGUUAAUCGUCGAUUAACGGAGGCGGUUGCUUUGUAUGUCUUCGUAAAUCAAACAGAAAGAAUAAAAAACAAAAACACGUGAACAGGCCCGCCGAGCCCAUCCAUGGACUGCCGUUGCCGCAGCCAUUCACCGGAACCUAGAUUGCACGCACCGUCGGGAUCCGACCUCCCGCUGCCGGAUCAAGAUGCCCGCUGCCUGGAUCCGGCCUCCUGCUGCUGGAUCGAGACGCCACCGCCGUGAUCCGGCCUCCCACUGCCGAAUCAAGAUGCCUGCUGUUGGAUUUAGAGGUGGUGGGGAAGGGAGAGCAGCCCUCCGUCGGGUGGGGGAGCAACACGCCGCCGGGGCUAGCCACCACUGAGACACGUUCACACCGCCUCUGUCUGCACCACCGGGGCCACCUCUGUCCAUGCUUUGAGCUUGUCCCCUUGGCCUCUAGAUCAUCUCCGCUCGGCAUUACACUUAGAGCUCGUCCCGCAGGGGCUAGCCACGUCCACGUCGCCUGGGCCAGCCGCCCGCGUCAGCUAGGGCAAAGAGAGGGGAAGAGGGAGAGUGGUCGCUGGAGGGAGGGAGAGGGGUGUGCAGCUCAGUGGAGGGAGGGAGAGGAGCACGUGGCUCGGGAGGGAGAUCACCGUGCUUCAGACACUGAGGGAGCGAGGGGAGGUGCUGAGUGAGAGAGAGAUGAGUGAGGGAUUGGAGAUGGGCUAGGUUUUAUUUGAUAUAUAUACUAGGAUGUUGUUGUUGAGCCAAGAUGGGUUAAGAAGGACUAUGAGUUGGCUUGGGUACUCCAAAAAUGGCUUGAUCUUUGGAGAAGGCCCUCCACUAUAAAUCUAUUUUAGAAGGCAGUUACUUUGUUGCCUGCCUCUAUUAAUCGAUUUUACGAUUUUACAAGGCGGACAAAUGUGACUGCCUCGGUAAAUAAAAUUAACCACCUCCGUUAAUUAUAGCCUAGUAUUUUAGGAGGCGGUUGAAUUUUGUGCUCGUCUCCACUAAUAUUUGGGCACUGUCACCUAAAUUUUUUUUGUAUAGUAGUGUUACUACCUUCAUCCCAAUAUUAAUAAACUUAUAAAGGUGUCCUAAGCCAAACUAUUUUAAGUUUAACAAAAUUUUGUAGAAAAACACUAAUGUUUAUAACACAAAGUUGGUGUCAAAGCAAACAAAAUUAAUUAGGAUACAUAUUAUUAGUGAUUUUAACUCAUAGCAAAUAUGAUAUGAUGGUGUUGCAACAGAACAAAAACAUAAACUCUACUGCACGUUGUGUCGUGUGGUUACCACCAUGCUUGGACCUUUAGUCAUUGUCGACAAUCUUGUCAACCAGAUUUGCGUUUGCAAGGACCUGUUGUUGGCAUUGUUGAAAUCCUUCUUGCAGUCCCCGCAAAAAAAGAAAAAAGAAGAAAUCCUUCUUGCAGAGCUGUCGGUGUGUAGGACAAUGGCCCCUCUCUUCGCGAGCGCUGCUGCGUGGCAUCAAUGGCUACGGGGAAGUUGAUGUCGUUUGUGAUUUUGGCGCCCUUGUCAAGGUACGCGUUGAGAAAGAAGAGAUAUAUCUCUGGCAAUAAGCCGAGAAAGUCUAUGCGCGUAGAACCUAACAAAUUACAGCAUUGAUCAGUGUACCCACACUAGAUGCAUGCAUCAGGGUUGAUUAAAGACUGCUCUGGAUUGCUGGCACCAGAGAAUUCGAAGCAUUGCUGGCUCCUCCUCCGCGUGUGACACGCGUCACUAGAUGUUUUACAAAAAAGCCCUCUAUCUUUAGGAAAUCAACCCGCCGUCCAAUAUAUGAAUGAAUAUAUCAUUUCUACACAGUUAUCACAUUUUGCAGAAACCCCUUCAAAGCUUUUCAAAGAGCCCCCUGCAGCAGCGUCCCUAGCCCUAGGCGCUGCGCCCUGCGCCUCCUUCCCACUCCCUCUCUUUUUCUCUCUUCCCACCGCCGCCGCACCAUGUGCUUUCCAAUGCUCGCCCUUCUCGCUUCCGCCACUCAGAGCGUGUGGAUGUGUCCAAUUACUCAGUUAUGUUUGGCACACAAGCAGGGAGCCUCCGCGGCGCACACGCUUGUCUCCACCACCCCAAAGGCAGGCAGCCGGGCUCCCCGUUCGCAAUGAGAAGCAGCAUCUCACAUUCCUCUAGGCCCCAUCAACACCUCUUCCUCCAGAUCUGGCGUGAUGGUGAUGACGACUGCUUCCACCAAAUCCGAUUUAUGUCGUGUCCAUCUUGAACUCGUUGGUUUGGUAAGUGUCAUCCCUCCUACACGCAAUGCAUCCCUAUUCAAUCCAUCCAUCCUCUCUUUACCUCGAUUCUGAUCUAGGUGCUUCGAAUAUGGCGUGGAUCUAAAGGCAUGGCGUUCGGCUCCGGCGAGCUGCCUCAUAUGCGUCAGCGGUAGAGGAGCUCAUGAUGUGUUCGUGAGAUUCUGUGGAUCUUUGGACAUUAGUACUAUAUAAUGUCCUCUUUGUUUAGUCAAAAUAUUCUGGUGGACUAUGAGUUUCCCUACUCUAUAGCAUGCAUAGUAGAGAAUAUAUCUAAUACUGGCUAGGUUGUGCUUCUAUAUUUGUUUUGCUCCUGUUGUUCACCGGAUGUAUUUUUUGGCUUUAGUUUUAUGGCAUGUGUACAAAAGAUUUGUCAUAUUAUCUGGUUAUAUAUGUUUAUUAGUUGUAGUCUUGCCGCACUGUCCGAGUUCUAUGGAAAUUAAAUGCCUUGCUUCUAGAUUUCUAAUUUAUGUGAGUUGGAGAGAUGUGUCAGCUAGGUUUUACCUCACCGCUCAGAUGUGGUGGCUAAUAUUCUACUUUGACUUGCAGGAAAGGAAGAUAUCUUUGGUGUCAACUGCUGGGCAAAGCUUGAGAUUGGCUGACUACUGUUGUCUUCUGUUUGCAGCGUCCUCCAACCAUAGGUUCAGUUCCUUGUCUGCUGCAGCCCCUGCUUUAACGAUGGUUGUGUGCUUCAGAUGUAUUAUGAACCAAGCUCAGGUUUCAGGUUUUACUUUACUGAAACUUUCAGUUGCAUGUACGGUGUAGCUGAUUUUUUAUUCACAUUAAAUUUUAUGUGUGAUCAGUUUGCUGCACUAAUUAUAUAAACAUACUCUUAGAGAUAACUUGUGUUUGAUUAUGGAAUACUAAUUGAUAUAAUUAAUUUGGGAAUUUCAUAUCAAGAUUUCUCUUUGGAAGAAUGAAUAUCAGGAUUGUGGUAGCUUGAUUCGUUCACUUUUCUUUGCACUGUAGCACACUUGCACAUCCUCUGAUUUUUCUAUAGAUGCUAUUGAUGCCAUAGUUCCUACUUUAGACUGCUUCCUCACAAUUCAUCUAUAUAGCCUUCUUGAUCCACCCCCAAUGCUCUGCCCUUGGUUUAAGGAACUAAAUGAUAUCAUUGUGUAUGUAGCAUGCAUCGGCGAAAUUCAACUUAGAUAACACGUAAUGUUAUUUUUUUUGGGAUUAACGCAUUUCAUCUCUGCCAAAACAUAUGUUAGAAAAAAAUUCCCUAAGACAUUUAUGUGGAAGUUUAUAUCAUGAUCUAGCUGUUUGAAUUGAUGUUGCUUCCUAGCUUUACUUUGAUUUCAAUAAAGAAUAAUCAACAUGGUCAAUUAUUCUUUUGUUGGGAGAACACUACUACAUAAAAUAUUUUGCAUGACCAAGGGAGGCGGGCAGAUUUUUCAAAACAGCCUCGGAGGCGGGCAGAUUUUUCAACCGCGUCGGAUAAUGUCUCCGAUUAACCGAUUCUUAUUAACCGAGACGGUCAUAAAAAACCGCCUCGCAAAAUCGAUUUACCAAGGCGGUCACCUUAAGACAACCGUCUCCAAAAAUAGUAUAUUUUAGGAGGCGGUUGUCUUAUAACAACCGCCUUCGUAAAUCUAUUAACCGAGGCGGGCGCGCUAUACGGCCCGUUUGAGAAAAUAGUGGCCCAACAGGCAGCCCAUCUUAGCCCAGUAUCACUCAUCAUAUAUAAACGUAGAGCAAGGGUUUCUUCUCCCUCUCACUCCCUCCCUCAGACCAACGCCGGCCCCUUCCCCUCCCCUUCUCUCAUUAGAUCCAGCAGCGCCGGCCCCUUCCCCUCCCCUCCUCUCUAGAUUCAGCGGCUCCCCCUCCCGGCCUCCCCUCCCCUCCCCUUCUUUCCUACUCUCUUUGGAUUCAGCGGCGCACGAGGAUGGCCAUGGCCUAGGCCCACGCACGGGGGUCCUUCAAGGUGGCGCAUGGGGCGGCCAUGGAGCGGGGGCUCCUCCUGGCCGUGCGUGGGGCGGCCCAGCGCCUCCCGGCUGCAAUGCAGGGUGGCUCGACCAUCCUGGCAGCGUGGAGCAGCAGCGGUGGCGGCCAUGGCUCUGCUCGAUGCUCACGCGCCCAACGAUUCCUCCACCUCUAGGUCACACGUCGGCGGUCUCGGGGCUCGCGUAUCUGGCCUCGGUGCUCAUGGAUCCAGCGAGGUUGUCAGUGGCAACGAGUGACAACAACGGCCCGUGGAUGGGCUUGGCAGGUGACUUGAUGGGCUUGUCGGGCCUGUCUAUGGGUUUUCUAUUUUUUUGUUUUUUGUUUGAUUAACCGAGGCGGGCACUUUAACCGCCUCGGAAAAGGUUUCAUUUAGUGUGACCUUUCGUUCGAGGCGGUUGCAUUGUCCGCCUCGGUUAAUCAUUUUUGCCUGCCUCGGUUAAUUUUUUGUGUAGUAGUGAAAUCUAUAGUUCCUGCUCUUGGCAUAAUUAACCCAAGGUAAUCAGCAGUCUACUACUUUCCAUGCUUUGGGGCCUACAUAUGGGUCCAUGCUAGGCUGUCAGAGUUCACACUUAGCAAGAGCCAUACUAAGCCUAUGAACUAUCUGUAUCCCUUAUUAUGGCCCUGGGCCCUGUUGUUGGUCCUGGUGCAACAAGUUUUGUUAGACAUAGCUGUGAUUGUGUGUAUCUAUUAUUGUUUCCUAUUUCUGCACCUUGGAGUGGCAUUUUUUCUAACCCUCCCAUUGUAGCAAAACACAGCUAAUGGAGCAACACAUGGACCAGGAAGCAUGUUUUUUUAACGAUGGUGAUGGUAGUAAAACUAGAAUUUUCUUUUUGCCAUAGUCAGCAUUGCAUCAGAUAACUUGGAAGCAAAACUUCAUUAUACCAAUGCAGGUAUGUGCGCUAAGUGAAAUUUGAUGAAUUUACUAUCUUGAAUACUAAUAAGGUGUGCAGUUUUGUAGUUUGGACUUUCGCUGUGAGAGAUUAGUGAACUUGUUGCUGCAUGCCAGAUGUUUACAAGGUCGUUACACUGAUGACAGUAGAACCUGCAACUUGUCUAGCGUGUACUUUAUUUAGCUCGGAUGUACAGAGAAAAGCUUUGUCCGUAUAAGAUUAUGUAAUAUUACCCUCAACGAUAAACAAUGAACAAACAAUUGUGAAUGAGAAUUUGUUGACAAUGUCUAAAAUAAUGUUUUCCAUUUAAACUUAUUUAGAAAAAUGAACCAUUAUGAUUUAUCUUGCUAUCAAUGCAUGAAGCAAUUAUUUGAUCAACCUGAUGAAAUUGAGGCUAUGGAAGAGGAGUCACGCAAGGCAACCGGGUGCCAGAUGUGCUAAAAUUAAGGCUCUGAAGAGAAAUCACGGUAGGUUCGGGCGCCAGAUGUUCUAGUGCAAAUUAAAGCCGUAGGGAAGAAUAGCGUGUUUGCUAGCUGCUUGCCUGCUUGUGCUGCAGCUACAACAUGCUAGCUAGCUAGCGGACGAGUUUUCACUGAAGAUGUACACGUAAAAUUGUAGAUGUCGUGAUGCCUGCGGCCGUCGUCCACAUGUUGCAUGCAUGCACGGGCGAAGCCACGUUGAGGCCACUGGAUGCCGAGGCACCCACUGCAAAACUGUAACUACAUUAGAGUAACUCCUGUUAGAAUAUGUCAAUUGUAUCUAUAGGAUACUCUUCCAUAUAUGUACGAGUUGUAAUUGUAAUCUGUACAAACUCUUGUAUGUUCCCUAUAUAAUGAAAGCAUCGGGAGCCCCUGCUGGUUAUCCCGCUACUGCAUAUCUUUCUAUAUGGUAUCAGCCGCCUAAACUUUCCCAACGGAAAUCUCGAUCCAAUCUACCUCUCUCUACUCCAAUGGCGGCGCCGACCUCUUCUGCCACCGCUCCUCUCGCCUUUGGCCUUCUUCCUGUUGUUUCAGAGAAGCUUACCCGCGGCAAUUAUAACAUGUGGCACGCCACCGUAUCGUCCGCGCUCAAAGGGGCUCGCCUGGCGGGUUACAUCCUCAAGACCGCGGCGCCGCCCGCAGCGUUCAUCCAAGACGAGGCAUCCACCGUCGACGGCAAGAAGCCGGACCCGGCGCCCAAUCCGGCCUAUGAGAAGUGGGUGGCUGAGGAUCAAAUUGUUCUCAGCUAUCUCUUCUCAUCUCUCUCCAAAGAGAUCUUUGGCCAAGUUGCUACUGCAACAACUGCGGCAGAGUUGUGGGCCGCUAUUCAAGACCUCCAUGCUUCGCAAUCUCGUGCGCGCGUUAUUUCGACGCGGAUGGCUCUCGCCACGGCAACCAAGGGGACGUCAUCCGUGGCAGAAUUCUUUGUCAAGAUGAAGGGCCUUGCUGAUGAUAUGGCUUCAGCGGGUCGCAGGGUGGAAGAUGAAGAACUCGUGGCGUAUAUUCUCACAGGGCUUGGCGACGAGUUUGAGUCCGUUGUGUCUGCUGUCUCCACUCGUGUUGAGCCCAUCUCGGUCAAUGAGCUGUAUGCGCAGCUUGUGGCCUUCGAGCAGCGUAAGGAAAUCCAUGGAGGCGGAUUUCAAUCGUCUGCAAAUCUGGCCACUAAGGGUGGCCUUGGAGGGACUUCCUUCAAUCAAUCUCGUGGUCGCCAUGAUAGUGGUCGUGGUGGUUUUCAUCGCGGCAGUGGUGGCCGUGGCAAUGGUGGUGGCCGUGGAAACGGGUCUCAAGGAGGCAGCGGUAGUGGCCGCAAUUUUCAAUCUGGUGUAUUCUGCCAGCUUUGUGGCAAGGAGGGACACAUGGUCAUACGUUGCUUCAAGCGUUUCGACACCAACUUCACUGGACCACCACAAAAGAGUGCCUCUUCUGCAAACAUGGCGCCCUAUGGAGCAGAUACAAAUUGGUACAUCGACUAUGGUGCCACGGAUCACAUAACUGGCGACUUGGAAAAAUUAUCCUUCCGUGACAAAUAUCGUGGUGGAGAACAAGUACUUACUGCAAGUGGGGCAGGUAUGAAAAUUAAUCACAUUGGUCAUAGUACUUUGCAAUCCCCUAUUCGUGAUAUUCAUCUAAACAAUGUUCUUCAUGUUCCACAUGCAAAUAAAAGCCUUGUUUCUGCACAUCGUCUUGUUAAAGAUAACAAUACUUUGCUUGAACUUCAUCCACAACACUUUUCUCUUAAGGAACAGGUGACGAGGAAGACACUCCUCGAAGGAACAUGUGAGGAUGGUCUUUAUCCAUUGAAGCCUCAACCACCAGAUCAUUCUCCACCAAAUAAAUGAGUUCAAGGUCUUGGUGUUUUCAAGGCGUCUACUUCCUUGUGGCAUAGUCAUCUAGGUCAUGCGUCGUCACCUGUCGUUCAUAAAGUUCUUAGUCAUCAUAAGCUUCUGUUUUCCAAAGAAACAAAUAAUGGUGUAAUUUGUGAUGCAUGUCAGAUGGGCAAGAGUCACCAAUUGCUCUAUCCCAAAUUGAAUAGUGUUUCAUCUAAACCUUUUGAGCUUGUGUUUAGCGAUGUGUGGGGGCCGGCCCCAACCUCUGCUGGCCGUUAUUCUUACUAUGUGAGCUUUAUUGACGACUUUAGUAAGUUCACUUGGAUCUAUUUGCUUAAAUAUAAGUCUGAAGUUUUUCAGUGCUUUCGUGACUUCCAGAGCAUGGUUGAGCACCAAUUCAAUCAUAACAUACUCGCUGUCCAAUCCGAUUGGGGUGGGGAGUAUCAAUCCCUUCAUUCCUUCUUUAGUCGACUUGGUAUUGCUCACAUGUAUCCUGUCCCCAUGCACACCAACAAAAUGGGUCUGCUGAACACAAGCAUCGGCACAUAGUUGAAGUCGGCCUAUCCUUAUUAGCACAUGCAUCCAUGCCUCUUAAAUAUUGGGAUGAAGCUUUCCUGACUGCCGUUUUUCUCAUAAAUCGCCUUCCUUCCAAGGUCAUUGCCGAUGACACGCCAUAUGACCGUCUUCUUAAUAACCCACCAGAUUACUCCUUUCUUCGGACUUUUGGGUGUGCGGUAUGGCCCAACCUUCGACCAUACAACACAAAGAAGCUCGCUUUUCGAUCCCUCCGAUGCGUGUUUAUUGGGUACAGUAAUCUUCACAAGGGGUUCAAGUGUUUGGAUCCCAAAACUGGUCGUAUUUAUGUAUCCCGUGACGUUGUUUUUGAUGAAACUGUUUAUCCCUUCUCUCAGCUUCAUCCAAAUGCAGGAGCUCGCCUUCGCGCGGAGCUUGAUCUUCUUCCUGAUGUUCUUAAAAAUCCAUCACAUGAGUUUGGGACUGCUAAUGUACUUGAUCAAUGCAUGGUUAAUUCUAACCCCACUAAUGUUGUACCCAGUUCCUCCUCUGCUGUGGAUGUUACAGGUUUAAAUUCGAUGCAAAUCGGUGAAGGAACGAUGUCAAAUGAGCCAUAUUUCCUGACCGCAUCCAGCUUGGGGCAAAACGACACCAAUGGAGCUGAACCCAGUGUUGCUCCGUCUGAUCCUCGGACUGACUUGAUAGAGGGAUCUGCGUCGGGAUCGGAGAUAGAUCCUGUCUCCCUCGCGUGGACGACGCUGGCCCUGUCCUCGUCUGCCAUUUCAGGGAUUCCCGGAUCUUCUACGCCUUCAUCUACCGAGACUCCCACCUCCUCGUCGUCGCCAUCUGCCCCAUCAGAUCUGACCGGCUCCAACCCGCGUGAAUCUUCUGCGGGUGCUCUCGUGGACUCUGCAGUGCCUGACUCUUCCUCACCGCCAGCUGACUCUUCGCUUCCACAUCUCUAUGGCACCCGACUCCAGCGUGGUAUCACCAAACCGAAGCAGUACACUGAUGGUACAGUGCGUUGGCUCCUUCACAGUUCAGUCGAAGCAGCCGAGCCCAUCAGUAUCAAGGCUGCUUUGAGUGAUCAACGAUGGGUCUCUGCUAUGGACAAAGAGUAUAUGGCAUUGCUCGACAAUAAAACAUGGCAUCUUGUACCGGCACCUCGUGGCAAGAAUAUUAUCGGCAGUAAAUGGGUUUAUAAAGUGAAACGGAAAGCUGAUGGAACUAUUGAUCGCUACAAAGCUCAUCUUGUCGCUAAGGGAUAUAAACAACGCUAUGGGAUUGAUUAUGAAGAUACUUUCAGUCCGGUGGGCAAACCAUUCGCCUUGUUCUUUCUGUAGCAGUCUCUAAAGGUUGGUCUCUACGUCAACUUGAUGUUCAGAAUGCCUUUCUUCACGGUGUUCUUGAAGAAGAGGUCUAUAUGCGUCAGCCCCCAGGAUAUGAAGACAAGCAAUAUCCCAACUAUGUUUGCAAGCUGGAUAAGGCACUUUAUGGUCUUAAACAAGCCCCUCGUGCUUGGUACGCUCGUCUUUGUGGUAAACUUGUUCGGUUGGGGUUCACACCGUCCAAAGGUGAUACUUCUUUAUUCUUUUAUACAAAAGGAUCUGUCACUAUAUUUGUGUUGGUUUAUGUCGAUGACAUUAUUGUCGCAAGUUCUUCCGUGGAUGCAACACGAGCGUUGCUUCGAGAUCUUGAGGCUGAAUUUGCUUUGAAGGACCUUGGUGACCUUCACUAUUUUCUUGGGAUUGAGGUUAAACGUAACUCUGAUGGUUUGCUGUUGUCUCAACAACGAUAUGCUACUGAUGUGGUCAAGCGCGCGAAUAUGUGGCAUUGCAAACCGGUUGACACACCCAUUUCAGCUACUGAGAAACUGAGUCUCACUGAGGGAGAGGCUCUUGGAGAAGAAGAUUCUACUAAGUAUCGAAGUAUUGUUGGGGCACUUCAGUACUUAACACUUACCAGGCCAGAUUUGUCCUUUUCAGUGAAUAAAGUUUGUCAAUUUCUUCAUAAACCGGCAACAGUUCAUUGGGGUGCUGUCAAGCGGAUUAUUCGGUAUGUCAAAGGCACCUUGACAAUGGGUCUACAGCUUCGGCGAUCUACUUCUACAUUGGUCAGUGCUUUUUCUGACGCCGAUUGGGCUGGUUGUGUUGAUGAUCGGCAGUCAACAGGCGGAUUUGCUGUGUUUUUUGGUCCAAACCUUGUGUCAUGGAGUGCUAGGAAACAACCUACAGUUUCUCGUUCUAGCACUGAGGUGGAAUACAAGGCGUUGGCCAAUGCUACUGCAGAGAUGAUGUGGAUUCAAAGGUUAUUAACAGAACUUGGAAUAUCCCACUCUCCUGUUGCGCGAUUAUGGUGUGACAACAUCGGUGAGAAAUACUUGUCUGCGAAUCCAGUCUUUCAUGCCCGAACAAAGCAUAUUGAGAUUGAUUUUCAUUUUGUUCGUGAAAGAGUAGCUCAGAAGUUGCUGGAUAUACGUUUUAUUAGCACGAGUGAUCAGGUCACUGAUGGUUUUACUAAACCAGUUUCAGCAGCAAAACUGAAGGAGUUUAGAUUCAAUCUCAACCUUGUUAGUGGCUGAGAUUGAGGGAGGAUGUUAGAAUAUGUCAAUUGUAUCUAUAGGAUACUCUUCCAUAUAUGUACGAGUUGUAAUUGUAAUCUGUACAAACUCUUGUAUGUUCCCUAUAUAAUGAAAGCAUCGGGAGCCCCUGCUGGUUAUCCCGCUACUGCAUAUCUUUCUAUAACUCCAACAGUUUUGCAAAUUUUAUUUGGCAAAUGUUGUUAUUUACCAAACGAUAUGGGGAGGAAACAAUGGGCAUCUCCAAGUGUUUGAUAAUUUUGAUGUGGCAAAAAAAAAUUCUGCUGGUUCCGGAGAUCAACAAAGAAGCAUCAGGUUGUCAGCUUUCUAUAAAAGCUCGUGCAUGCAGUAUGCCAAGUCUAUUCCAGACGCGCAUAAAUGCCUAGAAAAAAGAGGAGAAUUUGCCAACUUGCUAUAAAUGCCAAGCUCAAUUGCCAAACUGUUGGAUAGGAGAUUUUGAGAGUUUUAACCAAAAAAAUAAGAAUGUCAAACCUAAUUGCAAAACUGUUGGAGUUGAGGAGCAAAUUUUCAACCUUUGUGCACCCCCCAUGUCCAAAAGAAGGCACCCUCCACCGGCCCAAGCCCAUGUGCCAUGUCGCAUGUAGCUUCCAGGAGAAGGAUGCCAAUAUGCAUGGGAAAUUUUGUCAUGCCCGUGGCCACGUGCGAGUCAGCGAGGGCAAGGAGGCCGCGGCGUUUCAUAUGCCGCAGCAAGCCAGCGACGCAACUACGCAAGGGCGGCAAGGCACCAAGCCACCAAAUUCCGCUCCCCUUCCCCUUCCCGGCUUCCCCGUCAUUGACUCGUCGAGCCAAGCUGAGCGCCUAACGGCUGCGGCAGCCGAUGUGAGCACCUCAUCCUUAAAGCCUCUCUGUUCUAGACUUUUGGUCCAAAAGUAAAGCCAAGGAAUCAAACCCUCAAUUCAUUUAUCUUGUAUUUGGUGCAAGAAGUAUGCAUGCUCCAAAGACCUUAUAAUUAGUAGUCACUUCCCAUGUUUUGGGUUUGGUGUUUUUUCAUACAUUAGUCCACCUGUGAAUGGUCAUAGUUCAUUGGUUUUUGAGACCUCAAUUUCUAGUGCUUAUUUAUAUAUCUACCAUUCUUCAUAAUAUAACUUUCUUUGGAUUCUUGCUUGUGUUAGUUCUCACUACCACAAUAAUCUUAACAAUGGCGGACAUUUUGGAUUUUAGGAGGCGGGCAAAAGAAACCCCUCUGAUGAAAGGUCACAUCAUCGACCAUUAUCCGAGGCGGUUUCAUGCAUGCCUCACUUAAUCAAAUAAAAAUAAAAAAGGAAAACCCUGGAUGAGCCCACCAAGCCCUUAUCUAGGGCCCGCCGAGCCCAUCCAUGUGCAGUGCCCGCUGCUCGCCGAUGCGCCUGCUCGUGGAGGAAGGUCCAUGCUGCCACCGAAUCCAUAGAUUUGUGUGAGGAUGAGGUUACCGCUGGAUCCACGUGGGGAGGGCCGCUGCCACGCGCGCCACGCCGCCGUUCGGCGUGGCCGGCUCGUGCACCGGCCCACAGCGCCGCUAGGCGCAGCCAGCCGACCAUGCCCCACUGCGUGCAGCUUGUAGUUGGCGACAAGGGGACGAGAGGUGCCCGUCGGGAUGGGAGGGGCGUCGGGAUGGGAGGCAAGGGGAGGGGGCCGCCGAGAUGGGAGGGAAGGGGAGGGGAGCACCGGAUAUAUACUCCGUGUGAUAUAUGAGGCCAGGACGGGUCGAGAUGGGUUAUUUGGACUCUAAGAUGGGCCACUAUUACCCGAGGCGGGCCUUCUAAAAUAACCGUCUCGGUUAAUGAUUUACCAAGGUGGUUGCAUUAUAAUAACCAAGGUAAAUAUGUAAUAACCGAGGCAGUUAUAUUACAUUGCCCGCCUCGGUAAAUAGGCAGAUGGAAAUUUUGCCUGCCUCCGAGACCCAUUCUAAAACGCCACGCAAAAGAUUUUUUGUAGUAGUGUCUAGAUUCGUAUGUAGGGAUUAGCGUUCUAGCUAGGCAAGGUCAACUAGGUAGUGACAUGGUAUAACUAGAGCAGACGUGAAUGUUGUAUGGUUUGGAUGAUCUAAAGCCUGAUUGUUGUGUCAAGUCUCCCAAAUUGGCAUUUGUUCCCACACGACGCAAGAUACAGAACUCCGUAUUAGUGUUUUCACCUUCAUCCCCUAGUCCACCAAAACAUUUUGUUUUCCCCUAUCAUCCUACAACCAUUUGUGCCAUAGACGUGGCUUAAUUAAGGUUUAGAGUCCGCCGUACGUGUUGAAGUUAUUUUCAUUGGACAUGAUGUUGCUGUUGGUGUAGCUCGUGUUUGAUUCCAGUUUGUGUGAUCCCUCUGCUCUUUUCCAUCAACUCUAAAGGCACCACCAAAAAUCUAGUAUCUUGUGCCUAAAAGCCCUUAUUCAGGCCAGACAAACUCAAAACAAGGCAAAUUUUAGAGUUUCAGAGAAUGUUGGAAAAUUAUAUAAUACAAUUAAAUACUAUAUGUAGUAACCCAUAGAUAUAAUGUCUUGUCUCCCAGAUGCAUAAGGACAUAGCAUAAUACCUCCAGCACACAUAUAUGCAACAUAUUAUCUAUCCAAUAGAAGUUUAAUAAUACAAUUAAAUACUAUAUGUAGUCCCUAGGGGAUAGAAUUCAAUAUCUCCUAUAUGCAUGAGGAGUAAGCAAUAUAUCUCUAACAGACAUGCAGCGUAUCAUCUAUCUAAUAGAAUAUAUAUAUAUAUAUAUAUAUAUAUAUAUAUAUAUAUAUAUAUAUAUAUAUAUAAUACUAUAUGUAGUACCGAAUAGAUAUAAUGUCCUAUAUCCUAGAUGCAUAAGGACAUAGCAUAAUAUCUCCAGCACCCAUGUAUGUAAAAGGAGUUUAAUAAUACAAUUAAAUACUAUGUGUAGUCCCUAGUGGAUAGAAUUCAUUAUAUCCUAUAUAUAUGCAUGAGGAGUAAGCAAUAUGUCUCUAACAGACACGCAACGUAUUAUCUAUCUAAUAGUAAUUAUUUAAUAAAGUUAAACUAUAUCCUGCAACUAUUAUAUAGAGUCCAAUAUCUCUUAGAUUCAUGGGACUAAGCAUAUUAUCUCCAAGAAUCAACGUAUUACCUAUGUGUAGAAAUUAUAUAAUACAAUUAAAUAUUAUAUGAAGUACCUAGUGGAUAGAAUUCAAUGUCAUUUGCCAAUUUUAUAUUUGGUCCAUUCUCAUCUUCAUCGACGUCUAUACCUAUAUAUAAGCCUAGCCAUCCCCACUGGAAGUUCUCACAUGUCACACCUAAACCACACAUCUUUUGCUUUGUCGAAAUUCAAUCAGGAGCUGAAGGAGGGGUCGGGCUUGCUAUUAAAUCAAACCAUAAAACACAAGCUAUAACCAUGGCAAAACUACUCUUGGGUUUGCUCCUUGUCCUUGUCAUUAUAGGGACAACGUCGGCUGAUAACUGUGCUAAAGAUGCAGAUGCCAUGAAGCAGGAGUGCAAGAAGUUCGAGGUGUUCCCUGCAAACCCAAAGUUGAAACCGUCUCCGGCAUGCUGCGCUGUGUGGCAGAGGGCGGACAUCCCAUGCCUACGCAAAAGGGUCACACCGGAAAUAGAGAAGGUGUGGUGCAUGGAGAAGGUCGUGUACGUCGCCAACUACCAAACUUGCAAGCGGCGCGGCGACGGACAGCCCGUCCCAUGUCCGCGUAAACCGCAAGCUAGCUGGCGGGCAAAGGCGGCGGCCCGCACUGGACCGUUUGCUUUUUGCGGGUUACUUUGGCGGCCCGCACUGUGCCGUUUCCCACCAAGCAGGCGGAGCCGCGAGCGAACGUGGCAGUUCAGCCGUUCAGGUCCAGUCUCCAGUCCAGUACACUACACUCCCAGUGCUCUCCCAUCCAUGAUCCAUCUUGGAUCUUGCUUCGCCGGCCAUGGCUAUGGCCAUGGCGAGCAUCUGCUCAGCCAUCUAUCUACUCGCCGGCCGGCUGGGUUUAGCAACAUCUGUCGUUCUUGGAAGCCUCUGCAGUUGCAUCCACACGCCAUUUUUUUCAGACAUUCUGAAGCAGAGAACCCCAACAAAAAAAGAUUCAAACUUUUAGAGUCCUGGGGUUUGUCUUAUAGUUUCGAAAAGCCAAGAAAAAAAGAAAUCAUCCUGAGCUGUCGAGUUCUGAAGGAACAUGGCGGAGUUGCGGGUCCGGCCGGGACACUGGUGAGAUUAGAUUCAGAUUCAGAUUCAGAUACCUUUGCGGCAAAAAACGAUUUUUUGGACCAGGGGGCGAGCAGAGAGGGAGAGUACGAGGGCCGAGGGCAGGGAGACGACGCCGAGAGAUCCCCCCAGGUCGGUUCCUCUUUCUGGCGGUCGUCGUUCUGUCGCUCCACGCGCCGCCGCCCGCGUCGUGCGCCGACAUCUACGCGCUCAUCUACAAGGGCUGCGCCAACCAGAGCUUCCCGGGCGGGGUGGCGCCCGCGAGCAUUGCGGCCCCUCUCCGCCACGCUCUCGGCACAGUCCGCCUCCGCCAAGUUCUACAAGACCUCCUCGUCCUCGGCCUCGACGGCUUCCUCCACCUCCGUCUUCGGCCUCUUCCAGUGCCGCGGGGCCUCUCGGCCUCCGACUGCGCCGCCUGCGUGUCCUGCGCCAUGUCCUCCUGGCAGGGCGUCUGCGGCGCCUCCGUCGCCAUGCGGGUCCAGCUCGCCGGCUGCCUCACGCUCUACGAGGUGUCCGGGUUCCCCCAGGUCUCCGGCAUCCACCGGCUCGUGAGUCUGUUGUGAUGGGUUGAAGCGGCGCCGUUGGGCUUCAUACGUCCGUUCCCUGAACCCGCUUCGCAUAGGUGGGCUGCUGUGCGGGCUGAAUCUUGCUCGCGGCGCCAUCUGGCCCAGCAGGCUGACGGCGCGGCCCGCGCCGUUUGCAAUCGUACCAACUACUGCAAGAAGCCAUUUACACCCGGCUACAAGUGCGGGAGUAAGUUAACACUGAGCAUAUAUACAUACUGUUAUCCAUGUUGGUGCAUAUUAUUGUUGUACGAUGUAUAUGACUACUCCAAGCGUGACUGAUUUUAUAUAUUGGUUGGUUUUUGCAGGUUAUACGGUUCCGAAAAGCCUCUAAAUAGAGCGGUUUGGACAUGCAUGGUACUCUAUACUGAAGCUUGCAUUUGAGAUUUGUAACAUGUGAGGGACUAUGUUGAGAAUAAUGUGUAUCGAGUACUUUGUGUGAAAAGCGUUGGAGAAUUGAUAAUGUUUGGCUUUUAUCUUAUUGCUUCCUUGGUCUUGCAUUUUUAUGGAAGAAUUCUAUGUGAUAGAACGUGGGGCUACAUUAAUAAUUUACACUAGUACAUAAAUCAUGGUGGCAGGCAUUGCAACCGCCUCCAAUUGAUGUCCUCGGUUAAUCAUCAAUUAAUGAAAGCGGUUGCUUUGUCUGUCUUCGUAAAUCAAACAGAAAGAAUAAAAAAAAGAAAAACACGUGAACAGGCCCUCCGAGCCCAUCCACGGGUUGCUGUUGCCACAACCACUCGUCGGAACCUGGAUUGCAUGCACUGUCGGGAUCUAGCCUCCCGCCAUCAAGAUCCAUCCUCCCACCGCAAGAUUGGAUGCCCGCUGUCGGGAUCUAGCCUCCCGCUGCUAGGAUCGAGACGCCGCCGCAGGGAUUUGGCCUCCCGCUGCCGAAUCGAGACGCCUGCCGAUGGAUCUGGAGGUGGAGGGGAAUGGAGAGCGGCUCUUCGUUGGGUGGGGGAGCAACGUGCCGCCAGGGCUGCCCACGACCGUGAUGCGUGUUCGCGCCACCUUUGUCUGCACCACUGGGGCCAUCUCCAUCCGUGCUUUGAGCUUGUCUCCCCAGCCUCUAGAUCUGCUCCGCUUUGCGCCGCGCUUCGAGCUCGUCCCAUUGGGGCUGGUCGCGUCCGCUCUGCCAGGGACGACCGCACGCGCUAGCUGGGGCAAAGAGAGAGGGGAAGAGGGAGAGGGGCUGUUGGAGGGAGGUAGAGAGGCACGUGGCUCGGUGGAUUGAGGGAGAGGGGUGCGCAGCUCAGGUGGGAGACCGCUAUACUUGGGACGCUGAGGGAGGGGAGGCACUGAGUGAGAGGCCAAAAAGCUUGACUCAACUGAGUGAUCAACGUUUACACACUACAUAGCAACAGAAGGUGUUCUCCAAACUAGUGGGUCUUCAAUACCGCAUUGUUUACCGUAGGGGUACAGAGAAUAGCGUGGCUAACGAUCUCACUCGCUGUUGGGAAAUGUGCUCCUGCACUCCCUAGCAGCACGAUGCACGAAGUGCCUGCUCACGUGCUACAGUGAGCGGCUUGGGUAUUGCAGACAAUAGGCUCGAUGCCCUAGAACGGUAGUUGGGAACAAUAGGUGGGAAUAGUAAAUGAUCUCUUCUCUUUUUCUCAAGAGCAGUUACACUUCCCUUAUAUAGGUCACGGGUGUCGACCCAAGACUAUUACAAAAAUGCCCCGUGACGGCAGGGGAAUAUCCUAGCAUAUUCUUUUGUUACAGACUACUGACUACAAGUCACUUAAGUAAUUUCACACUAUGAGCUCCACUCGUGCUUCCUGCUUAGGGCUCUGGCCUCCUUCGGUCGGCCAUCGAUCCUUCAGCUUAGAGGCGCCGAAGGUUCCUCACCAACCCUGCGAUGCUUGCGGCAUCCUCAGGAACGCUUCUGCCUACCCUUCAUCUCAGGGGAGAUUCAAAGGACCGCUCCUUCCUCCCUCACGGCCUCCGCCACCGGCUCGAUUCCUGUGUUCACAAAACAUUAUAUGAGACACGUUAUAGUUAGCUCCGCCAGGGUCCUUUGUACCGAACCAUCCAAAGGUUCACGAGACAGAGGUGGCAGUCCUCUGGACCUACUAGGCUGGUGAAGGCAAGGUUGAGCCCCCAACAUUUCCCCCUUUUGAGCUUAGUGGCACUCUUGCGGGCCGUAUGCUCAAAAACUUGCUACGCGGUGGAGGUUCUGAGCACGGCUGGUGUCUUCCCCCUGGUGCGCAUGAUGUGUCCCUUAGGCGCUGUGGUGAGUGAUUGUAGUAGACAUCUUCCGCUAGUUGAUUUGUGAGAUAGCCGUUGGCAGUAUCCUCCGUUGAUUGCGCCGCCCGGUGAUUGUGGUUUUGCCAUUGUAGCAAGUAGUCAUUGGGAGAUUUUCCUCCGCUGAUAGCACAGCGUGGUUUGCGCAAGUAGCAUUGGAUUUCCCUUUUCCUUCACGGAUAGCCAUUGCACCCUGAGAAUCACAACCGUCGUGAGGUCGCAGGCCCCCCUAUAAAAGGAGGUGGGGGGGCUUGUUUUCUCACUCUUGCCUCUGAACGCUUGCCUCAAAUCCUUCAUUGUAUCUGCCUUAGUUUCCUGAGCGCUUGAGAGAAUCCUUGCCUUAGCUUCGAAAGCGCUCUAGAGAGAUCCUUCGUAUCCUUUGCCUUAGCUUCCUCAGCAUUUGAGAUUGUUUCUGCAGUGGCUCGCUUUCCUUCACCCCGUCCUUCCCGGGUGAGUUUCUUCGGUUCUUUGUAGAAUUUGCUGAGUGUGAGAUCUGGUGGUUGACUGAAGAGGUUCGAAGAUUGCAUGCUGGAGGUUGUAGCUGCUCAAGACCUAGAGGAGACUUUGUCUGAUGUGGAGGUUUCCAUCGGUAAUCUAGUUAGUGUGAAGGAAUUUGACUCCAUGGCUACUAUUACUUUUGAGUUUGGGGAUUCCAUCAUCAUGCCACAAGAUAUUGCAGAUAUGGUUGAGGCUGGAUUCUUUAAAGAGGGUCGUGCGAUGGUUCCCCCUGCUAGCCACACGGUUCCUGCACCCGAAGCAGAGUACGUAGUUGUUUUCAGGGAUUUCAUCACCUGUGGUCUACGAAUGCUGCCGUAUGCCUUCCUUCGUCAAGUGAUGGAGGCUUUCAACAUUGACCUACAACAUUUCAGCCCAAAUGGGAUACUUACACUUAGUAAGUUUGCUUGGGCAUGUGAAUCCUACAGAGUGGUGCCCAAUAUUGAGCUCCAACGAUAGCCAAAGAAGGUGAAGAAUGCCGAAGGAGAGGAGUUUGUGGUGUAGUUUGGAAGCUACGCGUUCAUGCCUCGCCGUUCAAUGCCUAGCGAGCAUUGUGAAAUCUCAUACUGUUAGAAAAACAUGUAGGAGAAGGAUUGGAUGAAGAUGUGGUUCUAUGUGAAGUCUACAGAUGCUUUGCGCACCCUUGAAGAUGGAACAACAGAGAAGAUUCAUCCAUAUGUUUCAAAGAUGAAGGAGAUGAAGCCUGUGUACAAGGUAGAUCCUUUGGUUGAAGUGUCGAAGGUACGCAAAGCUUGCGACAAAGCCUUCGUGUUGGCAUGUCGCUACUCAGGUGGUCGCGAUCUUGUGGAGGAGAUGGUUGCUUCCGACUUUUGGCCACUUGGCCAUAAAAAUGAGGAGUUCAACAUUGAGAUGGUGCAGGUUCCUAUUUUGGUCCUUCGGAGGGGCUUCCUUUCCCCUGGUUUGGUAGGUCGAUGGUGGAGGGUGAGACUAAGGAGUCUUUCCUUGACCGCGUUGAGGCCUCUGCCCGGAGAAUCGUGUGCAAAAUCUCUGAACGCGAGUUUGUUGCGUGGAGGACCACAUUGGGCACCAUGCCACGGUUCAACCGUGUUUUUGAAGAACUGAGCAUCAAACAUGAUGAAUACAUCAUUCCUUUGGACGUUAUUCUGAGGCUAGAGAAGAAGAAGGAUGCCGCCAAGAACUUGACAGUGGCGGCGGAGUCAAAGAAGAGGAGAGGUGGUGGGGUUUUGAAUGCGAUGGUGAAGAAACGAAGGGAGGUUGUUGCUACGGUGGUUCCUAUUGUAUCAUCCUCCGACCGCUCCUCCAUUGCCGAGUCUAACUCGGUGGAAACUCCUGCUGUGGGGGAGGCUCUUGUUGCGGCCGCGGAUGUCAAUCCUGGUGCUCAGCAAGUGGCCAUGUAGGAAGUCCCUUGUGGUGCUGUUUCCACCCUAGAGUCUUCGGCUUUGAACCCCAUGCCGUCGCUCCUUGGGGAAGACUCUUCUGACGCGGAGGUUCCUCCUGCUAAGCCUCCGCGACUGAUGCCUGCUAGAGGAGCUUCACUGCCGGUGGAGGUGGAGAAAGACUCUAGCUCGGAGGUGGAGUCUAUUCAUGAGCGCAGGAUCGAUCUUGCGACCGAGGCCUCGUGUCCAGCUGGUGAUGUUGGCGCAAGUCCAUAUGCUCUUUAUAUGGGUGAGUUGUUUUCACUUUAGUAUACUUACUAUUUUGCGUGCUUGAUGUUUCUGAAUGUGAAAUUUUUUCCUAUCUUAGUGGAUCCUAUCAAUGCGAUUGCUAGCACCGCCGAACUGGCCGGAGGUGUCAGUAUUGCACACGAGGGACUUGCUGUUCCUCCACCUCGAUUUCCUACGCCCGCUGGUUUAGGUACCAAGCCUUCGCCUGUUGGUGUCGCUGGAGCCGGUAAGUCAUGGAAUUAGUUUCAUCUUGGUUUUGAGGACUUUGGUUACCCUCGGAUCCUAAUCAGUGCGCUUUGAUGUUGUGUAGGAGCUUCGGACUCGACGAUCUCCAGUUGGACUACUGCCAUGCAUGAAGUUCAUUCAUUGAUCGGAGGUCUACUUUUGGCCUCUUCUUGUUUUUCGUCUUACUCUUUUUCUCUAACUUUUGUUUGAUUUGCAGAGCAUUUCUGCCAAGAGCUUCAGCAUAUGGACUAUGACACGCUGCUUCACGUGCAUUUUGAGCACCACAGCCUUGUAAGUUUCAUUUUUGAUAUGUUAUCCUUUGUUCUUUUUCUUGCAGAGGUUUGAAUAUUUGGCUUCUACAACUAGGGUCAUCACAUGGCUGCCGCCUUGGAGGAGCUUUGCUCCCGAGAGGUGAUAAAUCAUGAUGAAGCCAUUAAGGCUCUAAAAAAGGAGAAUGAAACCUUAGAGGCCGAGAAGGCUCGCCUGGCGGAGGAUGUGCCUGCUCUUCGUCAGGAGGUGGUUGCUUUGAAGAAGGAGAAGGAGGACUUGGAGCUUGAAGCCACCAACCUUCAAAAGAAUGUCUCCAAAGCAGAGACUACCAGAGACACGGCCGUUCAGAGGGCUGAGAAGGCUGAUGAGAUUUCAAGGUGUCUAUGUGAGGAGCUUGAAGCUGAGUGGAGGUCCACUUCUGUCAUGCAAAGUUGGCUCAAGGAUGCGCAUGAGCAAACUACGGCUGUAGUCGGACUGUACUCCAACGCACUGAGCCAGUUUGGCGGCAGUACCUCCGCCCCUCCUAGGUGUGGGGACGUUGGUGUUAGCCUAGCUUGGCUGAGGUCCCAUGUCAGCAAGCUCCCUGAUUUUGUUGGGGGGGCUGUUGACGUUGGUGCUUUAGUGGCUGUCUCUUCCUUUGACCGUCUCCUCUGCCGCGACGAAUUCUCCCACAUUGAGGCGUUGCAGAAGGAAAUUUUUUCUUCGGUUGUCGAUGUUGGUGACGCUACCUCCAGUCUAGGUAGGUCCGUUUGGAAUUUCUUCGGUUCUUUCUGGGCCAGGUUUGUGUGGUCUGAGGCAAGGAGUAUUGUGGAGGCUCGCCGGGCUGAGGUACUUUGAACUUACCUGCACGUUGUGUUCGUUGAGUGCUGGAGUUGUGUUUUUUACAGGUUGUUGUUUACAGGAGCUUGAAAAGAGGCGGGCAAAGGUGGGUGCUACUAGCCUGGUGGUUCCUCCUUUGGCUAGUGCUGGGAUGGGGGCUCGUUCUGCUGAGGCUAAGGACAUUGAGGAAGUUGGUCCUUCGGCUCCUCCUCCGCCGGCUCAGGUGUGAGGGCUUUUAGCUUUAGGAGUUUACGUCUGAGAGACAUUUUGUAAAAGAGGGUUAAGCUAGUUGUGGACCUUUUAACUAUCAAAUAUACUCUUGUGUGCUUAAAUAUAUGUGUUUGUUUUUUUCAAUUUAUCCUGCACAAGCCUCUAAUGGAGUACCUGCGCAGGAUGCUUCAGAUGUUGCUCCGCUGUCCAUUUAUUUCAAUGGAAUUUAUGUUUUGGGUGACUUGUGGCAAUACUAGCGAGCUGUGUUUCCUAACAUGAGCAUUGUAGAUAUGUUUGACUUUGUUGAGUUUGAUAUUGACGAUGAGAGGUCUGAGUUCCUUCGUUUGCUUGCCUAUUGAGGGUCUUAGCCUCUGACUUAGGUUGUUGUUCUAGUCUCCUUCUUCACGCAUUCUUUGUUGUUUUGUUUUUCCUUUAGCUUGUUUUAACUAUUGUUAGUUUGUUGGUGUAGUCUUCAUAUCCGAUCCUACGCAUAUUUGGCGAAGAUGAGGAGGUGUUUCGUUUGCCGGAGGAUCCUAACCUUUUGGCGGAGCUUUAUCUUCCUAAGCGCUAAGAGGUUUGUUGAUUUAAGCCUGGUUGGGCAAAACCUUCGUCUGCGUGACUUGCACUCACCUAUUUUUUGUUUGUUUUUGCUUUCAGGUGGUCAGGUCUCCCCCAGGCGUGACAUUCUUCCUCUGGGGUUUGAAGAAGGAUGUUUUGUGCCUCCUGUGACGUUCAAAUGCGGGGAUUUAUACGUGAUGGGGUGGGUCCUGGACUGGUGGCGUCAUGAUUUUCCUUCACGGACUAUAGACGACUUAGUCGAUUUCCUUGUCUAUGAUUAUUGUAGUGAACUAAGGAUCUUUAGUUCUUCAGAGGUUAGGUUUGUUCGUGAGCCGUAGAUCCUUCGCUAGUUUAGGUGACGAAGGAUCUUAGGUUAGGUAGGUUUUGUUUCCUUUUGAUGUAAACAAUGUUUGUACAUACUGUUGAGAUGAAUAAAGAUUGUUUUUUCGUUGUGGCUCUUAUUAUUACAACCUUCAACCUCUUUUGCCUUGCAUAGAGUUGAGUUAACUUAGUACGUUUUAGCGUCAAUGUGGUGUUGGUCAUGAGGAUCUUUAUCUUGCUGUUGGUGCCGGCUGCUUUAUGUCUGAUGUUGCGAAGGUGUUGGUUGACCUAAGACUGGUGAAGGUUUGCUGUUCCUUGACCAUAGUGACUGUUGAUGUCUUGUUUGCAAGGUGUCUUUGUUGGCUUGAUCUCAUCUUUGCGGUUGUGCAGCUCCAGUUGAACAUGGGUGAAAGUAGCCUUCGUGCUUGUUUAUUAGAGGUUGCGAGGGGAUGUUACAAGACUUCAUGUGAUACCCUUCAGUAACCUCUGAUACUGGUUUGCAAUGCUUUUAUUGUAGCUAUACAUGACUCUGUGGUCGCUGUUCAUCACAAUGCCAUGGGUUAGCUAAUGGUUUUCUGAAUUCUUGUUUUGUUUUGCUUAAUCUUGUUAUUACGAAGCUUUGUGUGGUACCGGAUUUUUUGGGGGCUAUGAGGCUUACUCCAACUUCCAUGCUGGCCUAACUUGUGGUCUCUAUGACUUUGGUGCUUGCACUAGGUGCUUGGGUUGUGGCAAGUUGCUCCUGACUGGGGUUUGGGGUGGUGGAGUGCUGGUUUUCAUAGGCUCCUCUGAAUUGAUUAGCUAUACGUUGUUGGGUAGCCUUUAUUGCUGAUUUACAACUAGUUGUUGGGGUUGCUGAGACUUGUUAUUAUAUUUUGAGAUUUAAUUUUUUUACUACCUUCGUCGCUUGCUGGCGGAUGUUAUAUAGGUCUUAAUGUCUGAAUAUUUUUCAUGCCUUGAACUACCUUCAUCGCUUAGUUGCGAAGGUUAUGUAAUAACUGAACCUCUUUCAGGUCUAUGGUACCUUUGCCGCUUACUGGCAGAGGUUGUAUAGCUCCUGAUACCUAAUUUUCUUUCAGGUCUUUGUCAGGUUUGGUUGCUUGUUUUGGUUGAUCGUGUUGUGAUGCCUGACGUGGACGGGGCUUUUUCACUUUUGACCAUGUUUUCCUUGCUGUCCGGCUGGUGGCCAGGUCUUUUGCCAAGAUUCUGGUGUUUUUUCACCAUUGAGGACAUUUCGAGCUUCCUUAGCCUUCGACUUGAAGCUGUGGAGGGUCCUUGUUUUCGUGCGAUGCUUGUCGAAUGUUACAGCCUCGUUGCUGGCUGUUUUCGACUUGUAUGUUAUAUCUCUAGGGUAAGUCCUCUUUAUAUUUCAGAGGUUUUUACAUAGGUUCUGCCUUGUUAGAAACCUCACCUCCGCUAGAAGUACCCCUGUGAGGAAAAGAGUGCAGACCUUGGCUUGGAAAAGAACAAAGAAAAGAAAAAAAGAAAAAGGAAUGAAUCCUAAUAGACUCGGGCGCCUUUGCUUAUGCUGCGAAGGUCAUCCUUACAUUCAAAUAUAAAAUCUCCGUAGAUUGUCAAUGUUCCAAGUGUGCAUGGAGGUUCUUCCUUCUGGAUCUUUUAGAUGGAAUGACCCUGGUCUCCCUACUCGCAUUGCAUUGUAGGCCCCCUCCCACUUGGGUUGCAGUUUCCCGGUGUUUAGAGAGUCUCGUCUCCUUCUGAGGACUAAGUCUCCAUCGUGUAUAUCUUUUCGUACGACCUUGCGGUCUCUCCAUUUUUUGGUUUCUUGCUGGUACUUAUUGAUGUUUUCCACUACUUCUAACCUUGCUGCUUCCAUGGUCUCUUUACAAUAACCCUCAUCUUUGGCCAGCAUCUAUUUCAUGGAUCAUAGGCUUUGGUGUUUGAUUUUUUCUGGUAGCAUUGCCUCUUCGCUGUACAGGAGUUAGAAUGGGGUAAAUCCAGUGGCUCUUGAAAUGGUUGUGUUGUGAGACCACACAACUCUAGGCAACUCCUCAACCCAUUUUCCCUUGCGAAGGUUGAGCUGUGUUUUGGAGAUUACGGAAAAUAUUAUUCUGUUUGCUGUCUCUACUGCCCCGUUUGAUUCCGGGUGGUAGACUGAAGCAAAGGCAAUUUUUGUUCAUAUUUGCUAGCAAAAUUCUUUGAACUUCUCUGAGUCAAACUGCUUUCCAUUAUUGACUAUAAGCAGGCUUGGGACUCCAAAUCUACAAACGAUGUUUUGCUAGAAAUUUUUUUGAUUGUUUCUCAAGUGAUCGAUGCUAGUGGCUUCGCCUCGAUCCACCUUGUGAAGUAUUCUAUGGUGACAACAACAAACUUGUUUCCUACUUGGGCUGUUGGCAGUGGUCUUACUAGAUCCAUUCCCCAUCUCUGUAAUGGCCAUGAUGGCGAUAUGAGCUGUGUUGGUGCCGAAGGUCCUAAUUGAUGCGGUGAGAAGGUUUGAUAGGCUCUGCAGGUUUUCACUGUCUCUUCUGUGUCUUUGAUGUGAGUCAGCCAAUAGAAACCCUGUCUCAGUGCUUUGGCAGACAAUCCAUGUGGACCUAUAUGCGAGCCACAUAUUCCUAUAUGUAUUUCUUGUAGGAGUUCUUUGCCUUUAGUUUGCGAUAUGCAUUUCAACACUGGUUGAACUACUCCAUUCUUGUACAAAAUUUCAUCAAUGAUGGUGUAAUUUCUUGCUCUUGCUUCCAUUCUUCUUGUUGCUGCUCUGUCCUCCAUGGCUGAUCUGUCAUUCGGUGAAUCUAAGAUCAACUGCCUCUAGUCUUCGCCUUCUGCCAACAAGACAGAGCGGAAAGCCUUCGGCAAUGAUUCAGUCGCGUGGGCUUUAAGGACCUGAUAAAAGGUUCCCGCCGGUAAGGCCAAGUUGUUCGCGGCUGCUUUUGCUAGUCCAUCUGCUUCGCUGUUCUCAGUUCUUGGGAUAUAUUGGAGAGUGAAUCCCUUGAACCUUCACUCUAGUCCUCUUACGACUGUCAAGUAUCUUGCCAAUUUCGGAUUGUGGGCUAGGUAUUCCUUCUCAACUUGUCCUGCCACUACCUGGGAGUUUGUUUUAAUAAGUAAGUUCUUUGCCCCUAAAGCCUUUGCUUUGUUGAGCUCGAGGAUGAAUUCUUCGUACUCUGCUAUAUUGUUUGUUGCUUUGAAAUCUAGUCUUGUAGCAUAUUUUGACUUGAGACCGGAUGGGGCAAUUAGAACUGCCGACGCCCCUACUCCUGCCUAUCCCCAAGCUCUAUCCGUAAAUAGUGUCCAUGUUUGAUCGGUUACCUUCUUCUCUUCUUGAGCCGAAGGUAUCCAGUCCACCAUGAAAUCAGCUAGCGCCUGGGACUUGAUUGAGGUUCUUGGGACAUAGGUGAUGUCAAACUGCAAUAGCUCGGCAGCCCAUUUUCCUAUUCGGCCAGAGGCUUCCUUGUUUUUGAGGAUGUCACCCAAGGGCUAAGAUGUGGAGACUUUGAUCUCAUGACUCUAGAAAUAGUGCUUGAGCUUUCUUGAUGGAGACAGGACUGCGUAUGCAAUUUUUUGAAUUUCUAUGUAGUUCAAUUUGGCUCCUAACAAGGCUUCAGAUACAUAGUAGACAGGCCUUUGCACAACUCCUUUGUGCUCACUUUUUCGUGCACCAGGACAACGCUGACUGCAUGCUCGGAGGCUGCUACAUACAACAGUAAUGAGGUUUCUAGCUCAGGUACGGUCACCACCAGAUUGGUGGCUAUGUAGGUUUUGAGUUGUUUGAAAGCCUCCGAUUGUUCUGGGCCUCAUUCUAUUUUAUCUCCUCCCCUUAGAACAUUGAAGAAUGGCAGGCUCCACUCAGCGGACCUUGAAAUGAACCUGUUGAGGGCUGCUACUCUGCCGGUCAAUUUCUGCACUUCUUUUUUUAGACAAAGGCUCUACCAUUGACAUGAUCGCUUUAGUUUUAUCAGGGUUGGCCCUGAUUCCUUUGGAUCUUAUAAUGUAACCUAGCAUCUUUCCCUUGCUGACCCCAAAUACAAAUUUCUCUAGGUUGAGUUUGAGUCUUGUAGCCCUCAGGUUAGCAAAUGUUUCCUAUAGGUCUUGGAUGUGGUCUUCUUUGUUUCUGCUCAUCACCACAAUGUCGUCGACAUAUGCUAUUAUGUUUUUCUACAACUGGGUGCCUAGGACCUUCUUGAUCAUUCCGACAAAGGUUGCUCUGGUGUUUUUAAGACCUUUGGGCAUUCUAGUAUAGCAAUAUGUCCCAAAUGGUGUUGUGAAGCUUGCCUUCGACUUCUCUUUUGAGCCAGAUCUGAUGGUAUCCUGAAAAACAAUCUAGCAAUGAGAAUCUCUAGCAGCUGGCAGCUUGUCGACCGAGGUGUCUAUCCUUGGCAAAGGGAAAGAGUCCUUCACGCUGGCUUUGUUGAGAUCUGUGAAGUCUAUACACAUUCUCAUCUUCUCAUUCUUCUUUAGGACUAAGACUACAUUAGCCAGCCAUUCUGGGUACAUGAUCUCUCUGAUGACAUUUGCGUCCAGAAGUCUUUGUACCUCUGCUUUAGCUGCUAGCAUCCUUUCCUCUGAAAUUUUCCUUUGCCUUUGUUUUUUGGGCCGCAUUUUCAAGUUGAUGUCUAGUGAGUGUUGUAUUAUGUCCCUACCGACUCCCUGCAGGUCGGAGGCACUCCAGGCGAAGAUGUUGUUUUUCUACAGUGCACUCAACAAUUGCAACUCCUCAUCUUUGCUGAGAGUGGCAGCUAUGGUGACUCUUUUGUCUGGUACCGCGUCUUCUAGGGGAAUGCACUUCGUCUCCUCUUGAUCUGCUAGGUCAGUUUCCCCUUUUGGCAUAUCUGGGGGUUGGUGAGCUUCUUCUUGUGUAGAGUCCACACAGUUUAUGUUUCUGUACGACUUGUAAAUUGCUCUCUCUAUGUUUCUUGCUUCUUUCUGACUUCCAUGGACUAUGAUUACCCCGUGCAAGGCUAGGAUUUUCAUGCACAGGUACCACAUGUGAGCAGCUACAUUAAACCUAUUUAGGAAACCCUACCCAAAGAUGGCGUUGUAGGGGUAGUGCAAGUCCACCCCAUCAAAACUAACGUAUUCUAUUCUUGCAUUCUUUGUGGUGCCGAAGGAUACAGGAAGAGCGACCUUCCCCAGAGCAUGUAUUUGUUUUCCUCUAAAUCCUAUCAGUGGGGAUUCCGAAGGUUAGAAUUGGCUUCUGCUGAGUUUCAUGUGAUCGAAGGUUCUGGCGAAGAUUAUAUCCACAGAGCUCCCUAAGUCUAUCAAGAUCCUGCUGAUUCCCCAUCCUAUGAUGUUUGUUGUUACGACCAUCGCAUCUGCGUGCGGGUAGCUUUCCAGUCGAAGGACCUCUUCUGUGAAGGUUAUCGGGGUUCUAGACGAGUCAGUGUAGCAGACUGGUCCCUGUACUACAAUGUUAUUGACCAAGCAGAGAUGAUCUUUCUUUUUUUAUGGUCUAGAACUCCGUCGAGGAUCCUCCGGCUAUCGGUAAGAUCAUGCCAAUUGUGGGUAAGGGUGUGUGAGGCCGAAUUUGAUUAUCUGGAUGGGGUUUCGGCUUGGGUGGUUGCGGAGCUUAGAGCAGCUGAAGCUGGCUUGGCAGAGGUGGUAGUGCUUCGAGCCUAUUCAUCUGUUGCUGAGGUUGCGUGGUUUCAAUGUAUGUUAUUUGUGGGGGCCUGGGAUUUACGUAGGUGGGUGCAGCUUCAUGGCGAUAGGAGUUCUGUUCCGUUGGCAGCUGCAUUGGUUGCCAAGCCAGUAAAAAGCUAGGAUAAGUAGGCGGAGGCUAUUGCGGUGGGCUGAAUUUGAGCUUUGGAAUUGUUGGGGUGUCCCUCCCACGUAUGAAGGGUAGCACGGCUACUAGAAAGUGUGGUUCACUUCUCUUGGUUGGUUGAGCAGCUGCGGGCGCUGUGAUGCAGCCCUGCUCUUGAUUCUUUCCUAGGUUUCUUUCGCAUCUGGGCAAUCCCUAGUUGGGUGACCCUUUUCUUCUCCGUGAAAGAAACAAUAUUAUUUCCGCUGUCACUGUUUUUGGUUCUUUCCCCAUUCCCUGCUUUGACUUCCUCCUCCGGUUUGAGUGAACCUUCACUCUGAGUUUUGUGCCUCUCCUGGGGGGCGUGUUUGCCCCAACUUGUCAUUUUCUUGGCUGCUCAAUGUUCAACAUCUGCCCAACUAGCCUCUUGUUGUGGACAACGCCCUUCAUGGCUAGGAUUGUUCUUCUGUGAGUUUGUCAUUGGCCUAUUUCUUCUGCGAGUUCUGCUCCUCCAGUCUCUUGUGGAAAUCAUUGUCUGACUUGCAGUACUUUUCAAACUCAUGAUACAAUUCAUGCAUAGAUGUUGGUUUCUCUCUAGCCAGGUGGGCUGCGAAGGGUCGUAUGCGGAGGCCCUUAAUGGUUGCUUCAAUGGCUACUUCCUCUAGCACACUGGGUGCCUUGGCCUUGGUUUGCACGAACCUUUGGAAAUAAUCCCGCAAAGCCUCUCCUAGACCCUACCAACACUAGAACAGGUCUGUGGAGGUUAAUGACUCAGCAGUGAAUCCUUGGAAAUUUGCCAGAAUCUUGUCCCGAAGGUUUUCCCUUGAGUAGAUCGAACCCAGUCUGAGCAUUGAAUACUAGGCUAAUGUAUCUCCCUCUGCUGCGAUCACAAAAGACUUUGCCAUGAUAGUCUCAUUUCCCCCUACGGAAGCCACUGCUGCCUCGAAGCUCAUCAAGAACUGGUGGGGGUUCGUCUUUCCAUUGAACUUAGGGAGGGUGAUUGGUUUGUAGGUUGCCGGCCAGGGCGAGGCCUGCAAUCCUUCGGACAAAGGAGAUCGAAGGUCCAUUGUGCCCCGUAUCACGCCAUUGGUGCUCAUGGGCUGUGUGUUCACCGUCGGGUUGACAUUGUGCUCGUAGGUUGUGGUGCUCGUUGCAUGCUCUAGAUUUCUGCCUGCAGAAUGGAGAGUUGUCGCUUGAUCUCAUUAGCUUGUGCGACAGCCAAUGCUGCCUCUUGGUUGGCCGCGCAGGGAGCCACGAUCCAGUCUCACUCCUGUUGAAGGUUCUGCAGCUACGCCUGUAACAAUUGGAGCUCUUGGUCUGCCAUAGGCUCUGCAUGCUCCUCCACUGGGGGCACCUGGUCUCCCUCCGGCUAUGCCUCCUCUGGGCCUUCUUGGCCUGCGGUCGCAUACGUGAUCCGAGCAGCCCGCCUUGGCCUCCCCCUCCUGGCGGUCUUAGCCUGUGGUCUUGUGGUACUGGUCCUCUUUCUAGCCAUCACAGAUGAUCCUUCGUGCCCCACGGUGGGCACCAAUGUUGGUAAAUGCGCUCCUUCACUCUCUAGCAGCACGAUGCACGAAGUGCCUGCUCACGCACUGUAGUGAGUGGCCUGGGUAUUACAGACAACAGGCUCGAUGCCCUAGAAUGAUAGUUGGGAACAGUAGACAGGAAUAGUAAAUGAUCUCUUCUCUUUUUCUCAAGAGCAGUUACAUUUCCCUUAUAUAGGGCAUGGGUGCCGACCUAAGACUAUUACAAAAAUGCCCCGUGACGGUGGAGGAAUAUCCUGACAUAUUCUUUUGUUACAGCCUACUGACCACAAGUCACUUAAGUAAUUUCACACUACGAGCUCCACUCACACUUCCUUCUUAGGGAUCCGGCCUGCCAGGUCUCGAUCCUUCGGUUGGCCGUCGAUCCUUCAGCUCAGAGGUGCCGAAGGUUCCUCGCCAACCUCGCGACGCUCGCAGCAUCCUUAGGAACGCUUCCACCUAUCCUUCAUCUCGGAGGAGAUCCGAAGGACCGCUCCUUCCUCCCUCAGAGCCUCCGCCACCGGCUCAGUUCCUGUGUUCACAAAACAUUAUACAAGACGUGUUACAGUUAGCUCCGCCCAGGUCCUUUGUACCGAACCGUCCGACGGUUCACGGGACAGAGGUUCAUGAUGAUGGCAGUCCUCCGGAGCUACCAGGCUAGGCAAGGCAAGGUUGAGCCCCCAACACUCGCGCCACCCAGCUCCUCCUGCUAUUUGCGCUGCAGUAUCCAGUCUUGUUCCAUCUUGGAUUUCGUCUGUCACGAUAAUAUAUGACAAUGAUCCAAUUGCUCGCGACCUCAUUACUAAGUUGACACUCAAUGCCAAUGUUGUUCCCCACUACACUCUAAACUCUGGGGGUACUACGCUACAGAAACCGCAUCUGGGAUGGUAAUGACAACAUGCUACAGCAACACAUCAUGUUUGAAUUUCACAGCAGUGCCUGGGGCAGUCACUCAGGAUUUCCAAUCACGUUUGCUAAACUCAAGUGCUAUUUUGCUUGGGAAGGGUAUGAAAACUUCAGUCCAGCUCUUUGUUCAGUCCUAUGCCGUCCGUCAACGGUCCAAGCCCGAUCGUUCUAAGGCACCUGUUGUAGCCCCUGCCUCUACCACACAGUGCUUAGCAAGUCAUUUCCUUGGACUUCAUUGAAGGAUUGCCUCCAUCUAACCACUUCAACCACUGUUGGCGUUUCUUAGCGAAACCAUUAAAGAUAGAGUUUGAGUCCAUCCCUAACACUAGAAACGUUCUUGGCAUAUCCUAACCACCAUCACUUCAGAAUGAUAACCCAAGGCUCUUUACGGCGCGGGCCUAGGCAGUGCAGUCUGGUACUGAUGAUUAGUAAUGCUAGAUUGGCCUUCCUAACCAUCCUUACUUACGAUAUGCAAAACUGUGGCCCGGCGCCGGGUGAGUGCACAAGGAUUACAAUCUUAAGUAAAGGUACUUAGGUACGCCAAUCGAUAGCUCAGUAUAAGAAUAACUCUACAAGCGCACAGAACUAUCAUUGUAGCAUUUCAACCCGUAAAUGGGUGUCGUAUUUAUAAUUCCCGUAGGAAGGCAUUUAUAUCUAGCAUGGUUAUAACAUGAUUACUUAUUAAAAAGCAUGGUAGGCAUAGAGUAAACAGGGGUAAGAUAUGAUAUUUGGAGAUAGUGGACACACAUCUGGGUCAUCCUCAAGGAUAAAAGAUAAAAUAAAGAAUAAAAGAAUAUAACUACUGAGCUGGCAUGGUUCGUAUAUAACUGUGCUAAGAACUAUUAGUAAGUCAUUUAACUAGCAUGUCUAGAGGUAGGAUCAGGUUUGAGAUGAUAGGGAGAUCCCCAUAGGUGGUCUGCCAGCAAAUAGAGACUUUACAUGACUCCUACCGAAUAUCCGAACGUGGGGGAAUACGAAGGAUGACAGGGCUGUCACCACCCUGCCACGUACCCCUCUGCCCGUGGGAUACCCGCAUAUCCACUGAUCUCCGCAUACCUAAACACCAUGUUCACGUAUUUGGAAACAACUCUUAACCCCCGCGGGCCCCAACCCUUCGGAUUGACAGGCUAGGUUAAGAGCAACCGGAACGGCCCAAUGAACCAUCAUCUCAUCCCUAAUUCUACUUCUAUUCAUAUAAGUUAGAUGAACGAUGAAGAACAAGGAUGAAUAUAUCAAGAACAUAGCACAAGAACUAAGAACUAGUUCAUAUACUAUGAACAUGAUAUAGACAUAACUAUACUACUGUUUAUAAGCACAAUUAUAUAAAGAUAACAAGAACUUGCUCAUGGAAGAAGACUGAUUAUGAUUCAUACCAAGAGGAUUCUUUCUUCCUAGGAGACAAGCUCUCCUUGGUAGCUCUUGCCUUGCUCUACUACUAGUCUAAUACUAAAGAUACAAGUGAGAGGUGUGAGGAAAUGUAGACUCCAAAUGAUGUGUGUUUUACAAAUGAGGGGGAGCCAUCUAUUUAUAGCCCAACUAAGACGGUUCGGGGGAUCUAAAUAUGGUAGUAGGUGAAACCGUCCUAUGCAUGGCGGCAUGCAACCGCCAGAGAAAGGUGGGGCCGGUUUGCCGCCACCAAGGUUGCGCCCGCAACCAGGUGCGCCCGCAACCUGGUGGGCCCCACCUGGCCACCGCCUUCACGUGGCUUGCUCCCUGCUGGACCUCCUUUGCUGCUUCGGUUACGAUUGGGUCCAGUUCGAUGUUGAAGGUGGGCUUCUUGUUUAUUUUUGAUUGCGCACUUGUGAAUUCGUCUUUUGUAAAUUGCGCUUUCUUUAUUUUAUUGUUUUCUUCCACUUGUCACAUUAUAAAUCCUGCAAAACAAAAUACCAUGGUACAAGUGGAACUAUGUCAAUAGCAAAAGCAUAUGUGAUUUAAAUAUGUUUAUUUCUCUUCUUUUUAGUCUAAGUUGGCAGUAUAAAAUCCUCCAUAGUGACUGCCAACAACCACAUUCUGGUAGUGGUGGAUCUCUUUACUAAGUAUGGACAUUUUGUGCCGCUUCGGCAUCCUUCCACUGCUCCUAUGGUCGCCAAGGUAUUCAUGGAUGUUAUCUAUCGUCUCCAUGGUCUACCGCUAUCUAUUGUCUCUGAUCGUGACCGGAUUUUCACAAGCCGCUUCUGGUCUAAAUUGUUUAAACUUGCUGGCGUCCAACUCUACCGCAGUACAGCCUACCACCCACAAUAUGACGGUCCGAUUGAACGGCUGAACCAAUGUCUCGAAACAUACCUGCGAUGCUUCGUGCACGCCUGCCCAUCCAAGUGGAGCCAAUGGCUAGCUUCUGCUGAAUUCUGGUACAACACAUCGCAACAUUCAGCCACUGGGUGAUCUCCGUUCGAAGCUCUUUAUGGGUAUCCACCUCGCCUGUUGGCAUUGCCCGCAUCCGACAGUUCUGCAACUGAUGCUGAGCGCUGGUCUGCUGACAGAUCUUGGAUGGAUCAACUGCUUCAGAGUCAUCUAUGUCGCACCAAACAUCGCAUGAAGAAACAAGCUGAUUAGCACCGCUCUGAGCGCUCCUUUGCCGUUGGGGACACUGUUUACCUGAAACUUCAGCCGUAUGUACAGACUUCUCUGGCUCCGCGCUCCCAUCAGAAGUUGGCAUUUCGCUUCUUCGGUCCAUUCCGCAUUCUGUAAUGCAUUGGAUCAGUAGCAUACAAACUUGAUUUGCCACCUCACUCCACUUGUGCACCCUGUUUUUCAUUUGUCUCAACUCAAGCAAACCAUUGGUGCAUCCCGUCAGGUAACUCCAAUAUUGCCAACAGAUUUUGCCUUGCGACUCACCCCUGAACAGGUGCUCCAGACUGGUUCCGUCCGCCAUGGUCCUCAGGCUGUCCAGCAGGUCCUCAUCAAGUGGAACAACCUGCUGAGCACACUGGCCACUUGGGAGGGUUAUGAAGCAAUCCGCCAAGAGUUCCUUUGCGCAGCUUCUUGGGGGCAAGCAGCAUUCCAAGGGAGGAGGGAUGUCAGCAGCCCUGUCCCAGGGAGCACGGCACAGCUGCCUCCUCCAGCAGUCGGCCCAGGAAGACUAGUACAUGUUACGCAGGAGAUGAAUGGAUCAAGUAGCCUAGAUAGAGCUUGCACGCGCAUUACCGAGGCAGUGCCCUCUUGUACUUAAGCGAGAGAGAAGAGGAGAGGGGCAUCACAAUUUGUAACAGAAUUAUGAAACCUUAAGAACAAAAGCACUCAUCCUACCUAUUCUGCGUCUCCAUGUUCUUACUUCUUCCCCAAACUUUCCCAGACUCUCCCCAAUCUAUCGGUUACCUCUCACAAAAUGUGACUGCCUCGGUAAAUAAAAUUAACCACCUCCAUUAAUAGCCUAGUAUUUUACACUAGUACACAGAGGUACUAUACAUGCGAUUCACAACCCCUUACUACAGGCGGAUUGACGAACCGCCUGCGCUGUUGGCCUGUGGAAAUAAACUUUUUCACAGGCGGGUAAUUGAGAACCGCCUAUAAAAAUUCAUUUCUACCUUAUAGCCUCCUCUACCAUUCCACCUAUCAUUUAGUUGUGUCUAUAUUAGAGUUUAGUUCCCCACAUAUUAUCCUAAACCGAGCAUAUAUUGAUUAUUUGAGGCCCUAAACGGAUUCUAAUGGAAAAGUUGUCAACUACAAAGUUUUGUAACUUUUCAAGAUCUACAACUUUUAUAUUAGUAGUAUCUCCAUCCGAGGUCAUUUACAAAAUUUGAAUUUCAAAUUUGAGAAAUUCAAACAUAGUUUUCGACGAUAAGAUGAUUUCAAAUGAAAAAAAUUAUCAACUAUAAAGUUUUAUAACUUUUUGAGAUCUACAACUUUCAUUUUAAUGAUUUUUUCAAACGAGGUCAUUUGAAAAUCUCAAAAAUUUAAUUUCAAAUUAUUCCUACAGGCGGAUUUCUUAAGAAACCUCCUGUAGAAAUAUGAUUUUUACAGAACCGCCUGUAGAAAUACAUGAUUUCUACAGACCGCCUGUAGAAAUACAUGAUUUUUACAGGCGGUUUCGUUAGAAAAACCGCCUGUGAAAAUUGAUUUUCAGAUGCGGUUUUUGAGUUUGGCCCGCCAAUUUAUUUUUUACAGGCGUUCUUUAAUUGAAACCGCCUGUAAAAAUUAAAUUCCACCGCCAGCGUAGAGCUCCUCUGUACUAGUGUUAGGAGGCGGUUCAAUUUUGUGCUCGUCUCUACUAACAUUUGGGCACUGUCACCUAAAAUUAUUUGUAUAGUGGUGUUAUGUAACACCCUAGGUGUUUGUCACUUGCUAAGUACUAGGUUUGAGCUCAAACAUGACAAGUUCAAUGGUAAUAAAGAGGUCAAAGUCAAUCUAUGAAAGUAAACCCCAACUUGGGCUUGGUGGAUGCAACCUUGCUUGCAUAUAUGCCUUUUUAAAAGGUAUGCUUUGAUGAUGCUAAUGGAACCUUUUCCAUGUGUCUUAUAUCCAUCCCAAUCUAUGUUGGUCUCUGGAAAAGUUUGGUGAAGUUUGGAAUCAAGAAGUCACAUGAAAUGAUAAGUUAUAUCCUUGUUGGAAUGACUCUAUUAAGGAAAUGGAUUCAUGGGUCACCAACCAAACCUUGCAAACUUACUCAUAUGACUCUAGAUGAAUUAUACAACAAAAGUCAUGAAGGGUUCAUGUUGAGCUUAUGUCAAGAAAAUGCUUCAAUUGGUCUAAAAUCCUAUUUGGAGCUUUAUCAGGAUACUGCAUUGACCAAAGUGAAAGUUUGACUUCGGUUGGAGUUAUGAGGAUUGGCCCUAAAUAAAAGUUGUAGUUUUCCUUCUGUAGAAGAAACUUUAUUCAAGGGUCAAGAACCAAAUCAGCCUGCAAAUAGUUCAAACAGAGGCUCAAAGUUCGAAUCAGCUGCUGCUUUUUAGCCCUGAGAAAUAAUUCUAAGUCCCAGGAAAGUGACAGCAGCAAGUUAGCUUCUUUGUGACAUUUUAUUAUUCAAAUUCAUAUGGUAACUCAAUUAGAUUCCUUAAUAUGAGUUGGAGUACUCUUCUUGAUGGAAGCAAUGGAUUAAGUAUCAUCAAAUUUGGAGUUCAUUUGGAUGUUCAAAAAUAGCUCCCAAAACAGCAAAAGAUUAAUUUAUCGCUAAACGGACGUCGACCCGUUGGCAUGCCGUGUUCUCGUGUUUUUGUAAAGCAACUCAAGCUAGUCCAAGAAUAAAAUUGGUGGACAAUUACUUGGAGAAUGUCAUGUAAAAAGUUGCAUCAUGUUUGACAUGGUUUGGACCAUCAAUUCUUGGUUUUGCUAAUCACCGUCAAUACGUUGACACUCGUGACUUGGCAUUAAGUUAUCUCUUAAUCUGUUAGUCUAAUGAUCUUGGUCACUUAAUCAAAGUUGGAGAGCAGGCCGAGGUGAGCAAACUUCGUUUUUGGCCCAAGGUCCAAUUCAGCCCGGAAAAGUCCCAAAAUCGCCUCCCACGCCGGCCACUUCGCUGCCCGCCACGUGCUCGACGAAAUGCCGACGCGUCCUCCAUGCACCAGAGCGCGCUCCACCAUUGCUGAGUGCUGCUGCCGCGUGCCUCUGCCUCCCUGCUCGCAAUGUGGACGCCAGACGCUUCCCCCUUGCUCUUCUUUGCAGUCCACGCACCCAUCUCCUCCCCCUGGCUCCCCCUCGCGCCCUCUCUCAGCCUCUAGCGCUGGCCACCGGCACAGCAGAGCCGGAGCUCGAGCUCCUGCUGCUGCUGCUGCUGGUUGCAGCCGGCCAAGGCCAGGGCCGGGCAUGGCCAUGGCUAGCCGAGGCCAGGCCGAUGGCUGCCUCCCUGCUGCCGCCGGCCACUCCCCCUCCCUCAAAUCCCGAAGCUCGCCCAUGUCUCUGCUUUCUGUGGUACGAAGAAGGAUCUCGGUUUGGAAUAUGAAACAACUCAGGGUUCCAGAUGCGAAGCUAAGACUCAUAUAAAUAGUGCGUUUGGACUGCGGUUGAUUUGUGGAAAACUUAGGGUUCCUGGUGCAAAGUCGUUUUCCUUUAUCUUUUGUUUUUGCAGAUUUCGUGCAUCAACUUUGGAAAUGCAUAGUAAAUUGUAUAAAAGUCAUAAAAUAGCAAAUGUGGACUUUUUGGAAUCCUUGUGAAAUUCUCUAUGCAGUAGAUCUAUAAUAUGGCAUGGUUUAGUUUGACGUUUUAGUCGUAAAAAUAGAUUUAUGCAGUUAGGUUUUAAUUCCUUGUUAUAUUUGUCUUUUUCAUAAAUGCUGUGUUGUUGCCCAAAUAAAUGUGCAAAUAUUGUGACGUUCUUUUCAUAUGAUAUUGGAUGACUGGUAAAAGUUUUAUGAAUUUAGGAACAAUAGAUUAAGAGUUAUAAAAAUAACAAGUACCCUGUGUUCCUUUGCUCCUAUUCUGAGUGGAUCUGCAUGUUUGUAUUGUUUGGCUCAGUUAAGUUGUGAAUCUUGCCUGGAUGAAAAUAUAUAAGUUUUAUUAAUUUUCAUAAGCUUUCCAAAAAGAUAAAUAUCAUAAUUUUUGGUUAAGCACAUGUUUAGUUAUAGUGGUUUAAAUUACUGUUCCAGUUUCUGUCUAAACCCAGACAGGGUUGCAUUGUUUGUAAUGUAAGACCUUGUUAGUUGUAGACUUAGCUCUAGAUGUUUAUAACAAAGUUGUUCACAAUUAGAUAAGGUUUCUAGAAAGUAUAUAACCAUAAUUUAUGGACAUGUGAAACUCAAGUUACGGCUGUUUAAUGUGGCAUGACAGAUUCUGUCUAUGUUUUAGACAGAGAUGUCUUUAUGGGAUUAAUUGACCUUGUUAACUCUAGAUUCAUAUUUAGAUGAUAAUAAGAAAGUUGUAGGUAACUUUAUAAGCUUUCCAAAAAUAUAAGAAUCAUGUUGGCUGGAGGUAUACAACUCCGGUUAUGCUGCUUUGAAUUGCCUAUCAGUUUUCUGUUUGUAAUUAUACCCCUACUGUUUGGGCAGCAUGAGCAGUUUUGAUUGUGCAAUUAAUUCCAUGAUAUAAAUGAUGUUUUCUGUGAAACUUGUAUAAAGAAAAGAUGUAGAUAACUUACUAUUAUAUCUUGUUGUAAAGUUUCAUGUCAUUUGGCUAAGUUGUUUGUGAGUUACAGUAGUAUGAAGUUCGUCCUUUGAAUUGCUUGUUCUCUGGAAAUUCCUGGACCAGAUUAUAUGGUCAUGCAUGUUUGAUUUGGUUAACUUGUUAAUCAUACUGAUAUGAUUAAAGAUGAAUUGUAGAUAAUUUUAUAUUCUUUCCAGAAUGUCCAAUUGCAUAGUUUUUGGAGUUGUGUAACUCCAGUUAUGAUUUAAUUACUGAGUUGCUGCAUGUAUAUCCAGAGUUUGCUGAAAAUGUAUGAAUGCUUGAUUGCUUACUUUGUGUAUACUAAGUGUGACACAUGUCUUUAGUGGUGAUUAAACAAUAUACUUGUGACCUUAUAAAACGUGUGCCAUGCUUGAUAUGUUGCUAUCCAUAUUUGGUUGUGUGAUGCUAGUUAAAUAACGUUAGAUGCAUGUGUUUUGAAUACUUUUAUGUGAUGCAUGUUGUGUUAUUGUUCUUUAUAUUCAUGCACUUGCAUCUUGCAUCUCAUCUAGGUGCGCUAGAUGAAUCACGUGAAGGUCAUGAUGUCGAAUCAAACUCAAAGAUGGUGUUUGGUGGACCUCUCCCAAAGGUGGACGGACUAAGCAAGUGUUGUGACCUUAGAUGUCACCAAGACGGAGCAACUAACUGAAUUGACUCAGUGUUAAUCCCAGGCAAGCCCCGGAGCAUUAUAAGUCUCCCACUACUUUUGAAUGCAGUUGAGAAUAUAUGUUAUAUAUGUAUUGUUGCAUUAAGUAUAGGAGUUGGGUGAAACCCUUGCUGCAUAUAACACUCGUUGUCCAGCAAAUAUACCUAUAACCCUAUGUAGAUUCAGGAUCGAAUCUAAAUGCUUAGCUAUGCUUAGACCGGUAGAAGCCAGGUGAUGUCCCGUCACCUGAGCGAGAUAGGUGGACACCUGAAAAGGUUGGCUAUAUAUGCUAUCAUGGAAAUAACCAAGUGAUGAGGAUGAAUAAUUGGAGACCGGGCGGGACGAUGGUAGAGAAGUAACAAGACAUGGAGGUCUUGGGUGCCUAUCUAUCCCCGCCUGCGUCGAUUAAGGACCGAUCGUUGACGGCCCUCUUGUCAUGUUGAACGCAUGCCCCACACUUAGCUGGAAGGAUAAGUCGUUCCGACCGCGAAGCCUGAGCACUAUCCGGGCCGGGAAUCGGCCCGAUGUACGCGCUGUAUUGGUGAUGGUUGAGGAGAACGACGAGGGCACGGCGCGCAACCUUGGUAUACCUUGGAUACCUCGGUCGCCGGAACGGUCCUCGGGUACGGGCGGUGCCUGUCGAACCCGCGAAUUGGUCCUGGAUAGUGCAAUACGGUGAUCUGUAGCUCACUUGAUCAGUGAGUGUGGUUUGUGUGGGGAAUAAACUCGCCAGCUGGUUAGAAAUCGAUUCGAAUCGCCAUCGCUCCUGGACAGUGAGCACUUGACUUGAGCUUCGUCAUCGUAGUAAUGUUUAUGGAACACUUGGAUGGUUAUGGUAUGAUGAUGAUGUUGGAAAUGCCACAUCAAAUAUGGGUACUACUGUUGUAUCUUAAUCAAGUGAUUGCUCUAGUACAGGUGCUAAUAUAGAUGACAGGUAAUGAUUAUUAACUUGAGCUAAAUACCUGAAAAGUUACUUACCUGUAACCUAAGCUUUUUAUGCAAAAAGUGUUUUCCAGCUAGCCCCACCAAUAAAGCCUUGCAUACUCCUUGGUGUCAUAUUAUUUCUGGUUUAUGACGGGUAAGUCUAGCUGAGUACCUUCUCGUACUCAGGGUUUAUUCCCACUUGUUGCAGGUUGUGAUGUAUCAUGGCUACUGCAAGAGUUGGAUGACUCCUACCAUAUUAGAGGAGUAAGAUCAUGGGCAUGAUCCUUCUUAGUUACCUCAUCUAUGUUGCUUUUGUUGGAGUUGACCUGGAUACUGGCAUGUAUUUGAAAUAAGGGUAAUGUUAGUUUCAAAAUUAUUCUGCUUCCGCUAUUUUUCAACUCAAGUUGUAAUAACUAUAUAGAACUCCGAUGUAUAUCAAACUACUUGUGAAAUGGAUGUAACAUGUGACUUGUUAUGUUGAAUCACUACGAUCUUAGCUUGUAUGAUGGUUGGUUUGAAAUCCCUCGUGAUUUCACGGACUACCGGGUUUAUGAGAGUUCGAUUAUGUUAAAGCAACUGCUUUGGCGGGAGUUUUUCAUAGUUGAUCUCUUGUAAAUUGGGCGGUUCUGUUACAUGUUACUACCUUCAUCCCAAUAUUAAUAAACUUAUAAAAGUGCCCUAAACCAAACUAUUUUAAGUUUAACAAAAUUUGUAGAAAAACACUAAUGUUUAUAACACAAAGUUGGUGUCAAAGCAAACAAAAUUAAUUAGGAUACAUAUUAUUAUUGAUUUUAACUCAUAGCAAAUAUGAUGGUGUUGCAACCGAACAAAAACAUAAACUCUCUACUGCACGUUCUGUCGUGUGGUUACCACCAUGCUUGGACCUUUAGUCAUUGUCGACAAUCUUGUGAACCAGAUUUGCGUUUGCAAGGACCUGUUGUUGGCAUUGUUGAAAUCCUUCUUGCAGUCCCUGCAAAAACAAAAGAAAUCCUUCUUGCAGAGCUGUGGGUGUGUAGGACAAUGGCCCCUCCCUUCGCGAGCGCUACUGCGUGGCAUCAACGGCGAUGGGGAAGUUGAUGUCGUUUCUGAUUUUGUUGCCCUUGUCAAGGUAUGCUUUGGGCAAGAAGAGAUCUAUCUUUGGCAAUAAGCCGAAAAAGUCUAUGCGCGUAGAACCUAACAAAUUACAGCAAUGAUCAGUGUACCCACACUGGAUGCAUGCAAAUUAAAGCCGUAGCUAGGGAAGAUGCGUGUGUGCUGCUUGCCUGCUUGUGCUGCGGCUGCAACAUGCUAGCUAGCUAGCAGACGAGUUUUUAGGUGUCCGAUAGAGAGAGAGUCACUGAAGAUGUACACGUAAAAUUGUAGAUGUCGUGAUGCCUGCGGCCGUCGUCCACCUUGUUGCAUGCAUGCACGGGCGAAGCCACGUUGAGGCCACACCCACUGCAAAAUUGUAACUACGUAAUGAUGAGGAUCGGAGCAAAUUUUCACCUUUUGUGCACCCCUUGGCCUAAAAGAAGGCACCCCCACCAGCCCAAGCCCAUGUGCCAUGUCACAUGUAGCUUCCAGGAGAAGGAUGCCAAUAUGCACGGGAAAUUUUGCCAUGCCCGUGGCCAUGUGCGAGUCAGCGAGGGCAAGGAGGCCGUGGCAUUUCACAUGCUGCAGCGAGCCAGCGACGCAACUACACAAGGGCGGCAAGGCACCAAGACACUGAAUUCCGCGCCCCUUCCCCUUCCUGGCUUCCCCGUCAUUGACUCGUCUCGAGCCAAGUUGAGCGCCCGACGGCCGCGGCAACAGGCGAUGUGAGCGCCUCAUCCUCACAGCCUCUCUGUUCUAGACUUUUGGUCCAAAAGUAAAGGCAAGGAAUCAAUUUCCAAUUCAUUUAUCUUGUAUUUGGUGUAACAAGUAUGCAUGCUCCAAAGACCUUAUAAUUAGUAGUCACUUCCCAUGUUUGGGUUUGGUGUUUUUUCAUACAUUAGUCCGGUCUGUGAAUGGUCAUAGUUCAUUGGUUUUGAUACCCCAAGUUCUAGUGCUUAUUCAUAUAUUUACUAUUCUUCAUCACAUAACUUUCAUUGGAUUCUUGCUUGUGUUAAUUCUCAUUACUACAAUAAUCUUAACAGUGGUGGGCAUUUUGGAUUUUAGGAGGCGGGCAAGAAAUGCCUCCGAUCAAAGGUCACAAUAAACCGACCAUUAUCACUACUACAAAAGAGGCCUUUGGACGAUUGCCAAAAUCGCCAAUAGUCUCGGCAGAUUUGGUCCCCGGGACUAAAGACCCCUUUAGUCCCGGCCCGUAAUACAGCCCGAGACUAAAGGGUCCCGCCCAAUGGCUACGGCGCAGAGCUGUCGGGGUAGGGGCCCUUUAGUCCCGGCUCGUGUUACGGGCCGGGACUAAAUGAGGGACUUUAGUCCCGGUUGGUCCCACCAACCGGGACUAAAGCUUUAGGCACGGUUGGUGGCUUGCCCUGGGGCUAAAUAGGCCUUUUUUAGUCCCCAUUUUACUUCCGGCCGGGACUAAAGUUGCACGGGUUAUAUCUUUCUCCCUUGUUCCUCUCCGAGACCGAGCCCAUUCAAAAUUUAGUGAGUUUAUUCCCUCUCUUCUUCCUAGCCGUUGUAUGUUCUUGCUUGUUCUUGCUUGUUCUUCAUCUCCGGCACCCAUUGGUGAUCUUCUUUGACGCAGUGUAGGGAAUGAACCAAUCACCAAUAUAUGAACAAUCAAACACAAUUGAGACACCAAAUUUUCUCCCGAGGUUCACGUGCUUGCCGGCAAGCUACGUCCCCGUUGUGUCAACCAACACUUGGUGGUUCAGCGGCUAAGAGUUGUAGCACUAAACUCGUCCUCACUAGGACACCGCAAGAAUCGACCCACAAGUGAGAUAACUCAAUGACACGAGCAAUCCACUAGAGUUACCUUUCAGCUCUCCUCCGGGGAAGGUACAAGACCCCUCACAAUUAACGAGAGAUGGCCAUGAACAAUCACCAACUCAUGUCAAUGCUCCUCUGUUGCUCCAAGUCAUCUAGGUGGCGGCAACCACCAAGAGUAACAAGAAAACCACAGCUAGAACGAUCCCUAAGUGCCACUAGAUGCAAUCACUCAAGCAAAUGCACUUGGAAUCACUCCCAAUCUCACAAAGAUGCACUUGGAAUCACUCCCUAAUCUAUGAAGAAGAUGAGUGGGAGGUAUUUGCUUAGGCUCACAAGGAUGUCAAGUAUGUUAGAAUGCCAAGAGCGGGAGCCCCAAGCCGGCCAACACGUAUUUAUAAUUCCCUCAAACAAAUAGAGUCGUUGGCUCUUUCACUAGGCAGAAAUCGGUACCACCGGACGCGCUCAAGUUAGCACAGACGCGUCCGGUGCACACCGGUCACGUGCGCAGAGAGGUCUACAAAUGCACGGGGUCACCGGACCCACACCACCGGACGUGCCCUGACCGUCUAGUCCCUUACCCAGAGAGCACUGCAAACACUCAGGGGCACCGGACCCAAACCACUAGACGCGCCAUGAGCAUUCGGUGCUCUCAGUCAGAGACACCCGCAGAAGACAGGCAACAUCGGAUGCAUGAACAGGAGAUACCCUGCAUCUGGUGCUCAGCGUUCGGUGCUCAACCCUAACAGAGCCAAGCAUGAUAGUACACUGGACGCGCAGGCUCAGCGUCCGGUGCCUCCGUGGCUAGCGUCUGGUGAGUGUUUCUCAGCGAGAAAGCACCAAGUGUACACCAUGAUGUGCAAGUGUGUUAGAAUUUUCAUAAUCAUUUUCUUCUAAGGAGUUAAGUUAGCUCACUAGGUUCCAAAUGCAUGCACGUGAACAAUGACACCUAGUGGCACUUGAUAACCGCUUAGCCAAAGAAUUCCCCUAUUUAUAGUACAACUAUCUAUCCUAAAUGUGAUCACACCCUCUAUGAUGUCGUGAUCACAAAACUAAAACCCUAACCAAUACCUUUGUCUUGAUCUCCAUACACUACUACAGAAAUAUUUAACCGUGGCGGGCAAAACAGGUUAACCGUGGCGGGCAAAGCAACCGCCACGGAUGAAAGGCCACGGUUAAUUGUUGCCUUAAUAUGUUAACUGAGGCGGCCGCUGUUAGAAAACCGCUUUGGUUAAUUGCUUUAACGGAGGCGGCCGUUAUAAAGCAACCGCUUUCGUUAAUAUUUUAACCGAGACGGUUUUUUUAAAAUGCCCGUCUCCUUUAAUUAAUUAACAGAGGUGGUUUUUGUAACUUGCCCGCCUCCUUUAAGUGUAUCCAGAGUUAAAAAAAACCACAUUUCAGUUUAUUUUCAAAUUUGAAUCCAAAAUUUGUUAGGUUGAAACAUAUAUAAAGCAAAAUACAUAUGUAUAAAGGAUGACCACAUUGAAUCUGAAAUUUGCUAGAUUGAAACAUAUACACAGCAAAAGACAUAAGGAUAAGCACAUAUAUUACAUCCAUAUAUGUUAUCUUUGUUAUUCCAUGGUACAUGCAUGUCACAAACUAUGUUCAUAUUACAUCAAUGUACAUAAUGUUCAUAAAAAGCACAUCUAAAAUAAUGUUCACUCAAAAAUAUCCGGCAACCUAUAGUCGUUCAUAUCUAAGCCGUUGGUUCUCCAGUUGCGUAGCUUCUCGAACCUCUCUUCUGUCGCUAGCUCACUCCCGAUAUAAAAGAACUGCCCGUCAACAUGAAAACAUUGAUCCGUGACAAACUUACAAAUGUUAGCUACUAUUUGUGUGAUGUUCCUUCGAUCAAUUGUUUCUUUUUCCCGCCAACUUUGGGAUUUUUGCAGCUGCCUCCAGCUAUUGUUGAAUUUCCCGCAAGCCCUGAGGUACUCACAAGCAUAGUACCCACACAUAACUGAGCCUUCAGGUUGCUUAGCGCACUGCAUGCAUGCAUGAUGAAGGUAACACAUGAGAAUUAUGACUGGUAGUAGUAUCCCUACAAGAGAACCAUCAAUAGUAGUAGAACUAGAGGCAGGCGGAGUAAGUACUGGGAAGUCUCGCCUCACCACCAGUUUGUGGCCAUACUUUUGCUUCUCUUUCUCAGACCUCCGAUCAUAGCAGUUGGGGGUCUUCCACGUACUUUCGGUAAGCACUGUAUGAAAACUAGUGUCAACAACAAAUUUCAUACGUACUUUGAGUGCAUGAGGUGUGUCGUCACUUACUAUCGCAUGAUACUUUCGAAAUGCUUGUAUCCUUCUUUGUUCGAGUGUCGCAAGGAGUCGAAUACGACAGCCGUUCCAUCCUAAGGAUAGAUCAUAAAUACAAUCCAGUGGCCCAUGACGCCCAAGCUGUACCAUUGAAAUAAUAUUCAUCUCAAAUUUUUAAAUAUAACAAGUGACAAACCUAGUAGCUAUUGUAAGUAUCGUUUUGACUUACCCAAACUGGUGGGCGGCAAGAAUGCAGCCAUUUCCCCUGAUCUUCUUCAUGGCUUCUAAGACAUAUUGUCCCUUUCUAAAUUUGAUCUCUCCUUGCAUCAAGUUCCGAGCUAGCACUCGCUCCAUCCCCUUCAGCUUCACCAGCCUAGGAUCCGUGUCUGGUAUAUCAAAACCAAUGACAUCUCUUUGAGAAAUAUGCAUAGGAGAUAGGUAGAUAAUAUCUUUAUCUAGUUCCUUGCACACAUAUGAUUGCAUCCUGCAAACACAAGUUGUCGUACAAGCUUUUUAGCUUGAUCGUAAUGAAUUUGCAUACCUACAGCAAUGCAGGGUUAUAAAACUUACAGGGCAAAAAGAGUGACUUGGGCGACAUCUAGAUCCUUGCACCGCAGUAGCCUACACAUGUCGUGAAAGACAACAGGGCGCAAUAAGCAUCCUCAUCCAAGUGGAAGUACUCCUUGGGGACCCUCACAAUGAACUCCUUCAUGCCUAAUUUUGCCGCUUGCAUAUACCAGAGAUGGAACCUCCGAACCGCCCAUGGCUGCUCCUGAACGAGCUGGCCCAACGACAACAUGAACUUGUCCAGCCCGGCCUCAGCUGCCUCCCUUUCCUCCUGUCGCCACUUCGGCCUCUUAGCGGCGUACCCUGUCAUGCCCACGUGGUGGUGGAGCGUAUUCCACUUUGCAAGGUCAGUGAACUUCUCACCCUUGGCCUUUGCUUCUUCGGUACUCAUUUUUUCGACGAACUCCUCCCAGACAUGAUGCUUGAUGAAGUUGUAGUCCUCAAAAGGUGUCUUCCCUUUCUACACAUAGUUCUUAUUGAGUUUUGACCUCAAGCUACGAAGUGCUUUGCCCGCAAUCACCAUAGCAUGCCCCUUGCAAAGAUCUUCAUUGAAUUGGUCCCAUGGAUAUUCGAACCGCUUCUUCACAUCGCUCCACACUUUAUCCUUGAGGUCCUCCGGGACUUUUCUCCAAUCCAUACAAGUGAUCGGCACAUGCUGUCUGACUAGACAGGAGCAUUGGUUGCUGAAGACACCGAUCACAGUUAGUGGCUCCAAGGGCUCUCCAUGUGGCCCUAUCUUGGUUAUGACAUGCACCUUCUUGCUCACCUUGUGUCGCCAGUGUUGGCCCCUUUUUAGGCCAGACAUCUUUUCACUGGCGGUGUUGGUUGAAGUGCUCGGGGUGGGAACAGAGGCAUGCCCCUCCUCUGCUGCCUUUUCUUCCCUAGGAAACUCCAAAGCCAUAGGAACCACUGGUAGCUGGACAGGAGAAGAACACACAUUAGUUUCCUUCUUUAAACAAGAUCCCCUGACAUUGUAUUACUUGAUUACUUACGCGGCCCUCUUCACUAUGUGCUGUGGUGCGUGAAUUCCGUGAUGAAGGCCCCGUCUUUUCUGGCGUAUAGGUCGGAUCCUGUUCUUCCUCCGUUCUACCUUUCUUCUCUGGCCUUGGUGUUAGCACCUCCUCCUCCUACGAGGUGUUGUCGUCUGAUGAUGACGAGCCUUCCUUAUAACUCGAUGCCGGGCUUGGCUCGCGCCAUUCUCCAGCACGCUCGACCGACAUUGGAAGCUAUGACGAAGAUAUAGUUAUCGGGACAUUUCGCAAUUAUAUGAAGAUGAUAUUAUGUACAUUCAUCUAAAAACAUAUAUAAUGGAAUCAUGACUUAUAUAUAUUCAUCUGAAAACAAGAUUACAUCAUUCUUUCAUGCUAGUAUGGUACACAUUAAGAAGAUUACAAAAGUGUUUAAGAAAAUUACAAAAGAGUUUAAGAAAAUUACAAAAGAGUAUAAGAAAAAUACAGAAUGUAGAAUAGAAAAAAAUCAUUUAUAUAUUUGGAUGAGAUUUGCCCCUUGUAAUCACAUCGCUUCUAAACUGGUUGCUUGUAUUUGGUAUACAAGCCAUCCUAGUUUAGCGGCUCACAAGUAGCGGGGCAAUUUCAUCAUCAUAGCCGCUGCCUCAGCAUAAAAAGUAUCACAUCAUUGCAUAUGCCACUGCCUCAGCACAUUUUUAAAAUUUUGAAUAGUUCAUCAUUGCAUAUGCCACUUUCUACUACUGCAUGGUCAGUUGGAGAGAGUAGAGAGUAGUAGGAGUAGAGGAGCACCAAUAGCAGAUAAGUAGUAGACAGUAUAGUAGAUGAGUGAAAAUUGACAGUGUUGCAUGUUGACGGUCCUUAAUGCUCACAUUUAACCACCAACUAAUCAUGGAAAAGGAUCCAAAUGCAACCAACACCCAGACUUAGGGUUUUAUCUGACAGAAUUCCAAGAGUUUUGGUGUUUGUCUAUUUCUGCAGGGUGUUAUCAGGAAAUAUGGAAGAAAGGCCCACACGUCGGGUUUACAUAGAGGUAUUAACGUGCUGCGCAAUUUUCUACCAUCUAGAAGACUCCAGAAGCCAUGGGAACGAAGCGGAGGCCGAGAGGGCUCAGGCACACGGCGCCCGCCCACUUCCAGAGACCAAUUCGGACACGUUUUGCGUAUUAUGCUCCACCGACCUAAAGGAUCAAGGAAAACCGUGCGAUUAAUGUCGGUUUGAUCCAACGGCCUAGAUUCACUUGAAGGGACUAUAAAACCAGACCCCCUGGCCCCUAGAGAUCAUACCUCUUCUACAGAAUCAAAGUUAGGGUUUCAAUUCUUCAUCCAAGUAGAGAGGAUCCCUCUAGUUCUUCUAGUUCUACCUCUAUUUCAUCUAGAUCUAGUUCUAGUUCAUCUAGUUCUAGUUCUAGUUCCUCUAGUUCUAGUUCUAGUUAGUUCUAGUUGUAAUCUAGAAAAUAGGGAGAGAGAAGAGGAGAGCGGAGAAGGAGGAGCCGGAUCUGUCGGAUCUUCCUCAACAUUGUACUUUUGCAGCAACUGGUUCGUUCUUCAUCGUUCUCCAGGUUCUUCAAUUCAUAAUUCCUCAGUUCUCUAAUUACUUUUAUUUAUAUUCAAGUUAUUUAUUGGAUUCCCGCUUGCAUCAAGUGCUCUAGUCUUUAUAACGCUAGAGUAGUAAUUAAUAGAUUACACGUGGUGUUUAGUCUUGCAAUUACCUGGAAUUGCACCCAAUCCUGCGGAUUGUUGUGGUAGCCUUAGGGUAGUGACAGCCCUAACGGUCGACGUAUUCCACCUCAUUCGGAUCGGUGUUUGUAGGACCGUAGUCAGACCUUCCUAGCCCCCUUCUCAUCUCUUUCUGUGGUUAGUGCUCUGAUGUCCCGAUAUAGAUAAUCUUGAAGUAAUUCUUGAUUCUUAUAUCAACUAGAGAACUAUCAGGAAACUUCCUCUCUUCCCACCAAAAAUAAUUAUAUAGUUAUCCUUGGGCGAUCUUGGAUCUUAAUUAGUACACUCACGUUCUCUGUGGAAAAUUGAUACUCUGGAAUACUCCCGGGUGAAAGCUACAUCGGUAUCCGUACGCUUGCGGAUUUUUCUAUUUGCGUUUAAAAUACCCAACAGUGCAUAUGUAUAGGACUGCAAUGUACUCCCAAUUAAUCUAAAAUUCAUCUUAAUUUUGCCUAAUUCAUCUCAAAUGGUGAGUAGUAGGAGAACAAAGUAGUAGAAGUAGUUGAGUAGGAGUAGUAGUAGCUAGGAGUAGUAGUAGCUGAUAAGAUGGUUUCAAAAUAAGCUCAAAAUCAAUGGCAAUGCAUGAUAGGCAACUAAUUAUGAAAAUCAUUGGCAUGCGGCAUAUGCUCAGUGCAAAUUGAUAGUACAAUUACAUCACAGGCAGCAUAACAUUCAAAUUCAACCAAAACAUACAUCACAGACAACAUAGGCGAGGAAGAGGGCAGCAGCUAGGGUUCACCAGAGUGGCUAUGAUGACAAGCACAAGGUAUGUCCAAGCACACCUUGUACAUAGGCUAUGAUGACAGCUAGGGUUUCGGAUGAAUGACAAGCACAAGGUAUGUCCAACCAAUCAUCAUACAACAUUGAAUUAAAUUCAAGCUUAGGGGAGUACUUUACAUAAAAACAUCAUUUACCAUGUUGCUAUGUUGGUUGUCCCUACCUUUGAGACAUGCUCAAUUUGUUAAAUACUAAUCACACUACUUCAUCUCCACUUGAGUAGAUCUCUAUAAAUGCUCGCAUGCUACCUCUAUUUGCUUUAGUAUAUGUCUAGGUUUGGAGUAGUUUCGUUUAUCUCUUAAUUAAGCUAUGCUUAGUUUAGGAAUGAUGAUCUUACUUCCAAAGGAUUUUAAAUUAAGCAUGAUGCUUAGGUUAAAAUGCCCUCCUAAAUCAAAUUAGACAUGGUGUCUAGGUUGAUUUUUGAGCCGAUAGUAUGCUAUAGUAGAUAUUGGGUAUUUUGUUGGACUAACCCCUGCAGGAAAUCUUUCAAUAUCGACCUGGGAAGUCCUGAGAUAAGCUCACAUUGGAGACAAGAGAGAGACACAUGAAGGUAACAAUUUACACAUGGAAGGCAUAGCUCACAAGAGAUGAUCCAUGGAGGGUGCUACAUACACGAUGCACAACCGCUAAGAAAGGAAAGCUUCCACUAGGUAAUAUUGUACCAUCACUCUUCAAUUGAGGUAACAUCUUAAGGUACUUGACUAUCACUUUUAUAAGCUUCUCCUUGGUUCUGGCGUUCACAUAAAUAAAAGAGACAAACAUGUAUGAUUUACAACUCUAGAUUAACCAACCCAAUUGAUUCAACAUGUUUAGUCCUUCCACCUUUGUGAUCCCACACUUCUAAUCAUAUGAGAUAAGAUGUUGCACACUCAAUCUUUGGAAGAUAUAUAUAUAUAUAUAUAUAUAUAUAUAUAUAUAUAUAUAUAUAUAUAUAUAUAUAAGUAUAGAUAGAUUAUCUUUCCAUUAGGUUGAGCAAUCUGAUCUAACAAAUGUUUUAAAUGCUACACUCAUGAUCUUAUUAUCCAUCAACUUUGUCUUGCUCACUAUGCUUAAGGUUAGAGAAGAACAAAUACACUUUUGGUUCUGUUGGUGUUUUCCACCAACAGGGCCCAUGCACUUGAUCUCUGCCUUGUCUCUAUGAGCAGGUACGCUUCGAGCAAAAUAUGAAGGACUUUUACAACUCCCAGACUCCACCAAGUGAAGAACCUAGAUCUACGAGCACAAACACACUGGACAUACUAGACACUCAGGCAAUCACUGCCCUGGGAUGCUUGAGGACGUAACUACUGGAGUAACCCCGUUGUGAAAGUAAUUACUGACCUUCUACCGUUCAAGAGAGGUAAUCUAGGAUUCCGAUCUCCAUCGGCAUGGUGGACUUCCUAGAAACAAUCUGCGACUUUGGCUCCAGCGUCAACAUUAUACCCAGGGGAGGCCAUUCCUGAACACCUCGGGAGCUGUCAUCUACGCUAGUGCUGCCAAGAUCAGUUUCAACAUCAAGGGGAGGAAGGAGACAUUUUCCUUCAUGAACAAGACUACACAAAUCUCAGAGCAAUUCCGAUAUGAACCAAGUAAAAGGACCAACAGGAGGAGCAGGAACAAGCAAAUGUGGACCGAGUCAGCUAAGAUGGUCACUGCAAUUCAAGGAGGUCGAGAUUGUCGACUUAAGUCACCGUUCCUGACCAAAGAAGGAUGACCCAGUCACCUAUCAGCUCUUGUUCAGAACCAAGCCCCUAAAACCGACAUACAUUCAGCCUCAGAUGGCAGAUCAGACAUUCCGAGAGGUUGAAGGUAUAGUAACUGAUGUCCCUAUCAAAAUAGAUGAUCAUUCAGGUGAUUGACAUGGGAGAAGAUGAGUACAAUCCACCCAUCAUCCUUUGGAGACCGUUCCUCAGCACCCUUAAAGCAAUCAUCUACAUUGGAACCGGAGAAGCCCACAUGCACUUCCCCUCUGAGAAGGUACACCGCUAUUUUACUGACCCUAACAAUAUAGUUGAAGACUCUAAGCAGGUCAGGACAAGAAGAAGACGACGCAACCGCAACCAGAGGAGGCAAAUCAUCAAGGACGGAUGGGCAGACUACGAAGGACGAGUGGUAAGGUCUGAAGACAUACAGCUUGAACAGAACUGUCCUGAGGAGACCGUAGCACCGAGUCAGGUGUGUAGAGAGAAUAUAGUUAUACACGAAGAGGAGGUGCCGCCAGAACCACCGACUACGCCAUCCAACGAAUCCCAGGACGAGUGAGAAAACGGAGAGUCCCGUUUGGAGGACUUAAAAACACCGAACGCCUUGCCAAGAGGUAAACUUGGUAGUUAUCUUUUUUUCCUUUCAAUUAUUUAAAAUAGUUUGCUUACUUAAUCAGGUUCAUAUCAUCUUGAAAAGAAAAUAAAACUGUUAAAAAUAGUAAGCCCCAUGUGAGUAUGCUCAUGGCAUAAAACCCAUAAGUACAUUCACUGUGGUGGCAUAAAAAUAAAAUAAAUAUUUUUAUGUGCUAUAAAAAUGAAAAUAUAAAAAUAAAUUUAUGAUCCUACUAAAGAGAGUAAUAUUUAUUGAGGAGGCUCAACAUGAUAAAGGCUAGAUAUUUAUGCUAACACUUAACUAGUUCCACAAAGCUUUGUUGUCUAUUUGAGCUCCAUAGAAUUCAAGGAUCAAAGAAGACUAGCAGACGGAGGACAUCCUAAUCGCUGUCAGGGUGCUGCCAACAUUCAAAUACACCUCCGCCACCUGCUAGCUACACCAGAAGAAAUUACGUCAAAAUCCAGCUUGGGGGAGAGCACCCCCAUUUAUCCAGCUAAGUGUUUCUAUUCGCGUUUAUACUUUACUCAAAUAAUAAAAAGAUGCAUAAUCAUAAAAACCCAAAUAAAUAUUUUGUGCUUAUAUAUAUCUUUGCUUAGUUUGCUAAAUAAAUAAAUAAAUAAAGUUUGCUAUGAACCCUCGUGAUAAGCUCUCAUAUGGAAAUGAUGAAUAGUUGCUCUGCCAUGACUAGUUCUCAAAAUUGAAAUCUCUCUCAAGUUUAGGCAUGACUGUUAUUAAUUAAGAUUUGCUCUAAACCUGAACUUGUGGGAAGAGUACCUGAUCUAAAGUCUAAGUCGUUAACGGAUAUGAUAUGGGAAGGUUGAGCUGUUGUUUAUCUGUUCCUAGAGAUGCUAGAAUUCUAGAGAAUUUUAUCUUUGAAAAUCUUUAAAAUGUUGCAUGAUGAGUUCAUGUAUGAUGAGAGUUUAAAUUCCUACCACAGCCAUAUAUACAUGCUUGCUAGACUAUGAACCACACAUUUAUUUUACUACUUAUGAGCAUUGAGUGUGGUCAAGCUGUGUAGACCCUUAGGAGCUUGUCAUGCGGUUAAAUCAAGAUUCACUUGCACGUUCACUCAUACAUGCAACUUCUACUUCGGAAGUACGCAUCCACAUAUAUCCACCCAUUUCCAUCUCCAGAACCACCCAAAAAUAUUCUACUCCUAAUCCGGGAGAGAAUAGCUAAAAAAUAUUUCUGUUUUCCCCUGUGAAAUAAAUGCUCAAGUUAUCUUGUUACUACCACUUGCUAUAUUAUUUCAGGAGAUGAGUGCUCUAAGAAAAAAAAGAGAAAGAAUACGAGGAAAUAAAAAGGGGCAAGUGCUCGGACCCUCGAAAGAAAAGAAAAAGUGAGACGAGAGGUAAAAAUGGACAAGUGUCCGACAGUAGAAUUAGGGGUACAAGAUACCCACCUGAGAGAAAAGAAAAAGAAAAUAUAGAGCAUCUCAUUCUCCUCAAAAAGUUUCAAAAGAGCAAGAAAGGUAUGUAUCCCCUCAAAAGAGCAUAAGUAGAAUUAGACUUUCACCAUUGUUAUCACCAUCAUUACCAUGCACCAUUCAUUCGCCACACAUGCACAUCUUGAUUUGACUUAUUGACUUGUUCUUUUGGAUCCAUGGUUUGACUAUGCAAUAAAUGUCUUGUAAGUAUGUAUUAGCUGUCUUCCACCUAUGAGCUCCAGAUAUCAAAAGCCUUAUUAGAGUAGGGUGAGAGAGAAGGCAAUGUCACUAUGCCUCAUACCAAAAAUACCACAUACUUUGAGAGAAAGCAUACACCUUUACUGCCUUGGUAAGGAUCCAGAAAUACCACAAAAGAGAGACUAGAGAGAGUCAUACAAGGAAUCUCUGAGUUUUAUUUGAAAAUCUGCAAAAACUCCAGAGCUAUAGUUAAUCGAAGAAUAAGAGACAUAGAGCUUGAUUAGACCGUUCUAUCUUUUAACUGCUCAAGACACAAGUGACGGUUACCAGCCCCAUGGUGGAAGGUAAAAUGAGUAAGUUUAAAUCUUAACAGUUUACCUUAACCUAGAGAUGAGAUCUUGUUUGAACGCAUGUGUAUCUUUAAGGUAUGAAACCACUGCAGAAACUUUUGAGUUUAUCUUUGCUCAAGGACGAGCAAAGGUUAAGCUUGGGGGAGCUUGUUGACGGUCCUUAAUGCUCACAUUUAACCGCCAACUAAUCAUGGAAAAGGAUCCAAAUGCAACCAACACCCAGACUUAGGGUUUUAUGUGACAGAAUUCCACGAGUUUUGGUGUUUGUCUAUUUCUGCAGGGUGUUAUCAGGAAAUAUGGAAGAAAGGCCCACACGUCGGGUUUACAUAGAGGUAUUAACGUGCUGCGCAAUUUUUUACCAUCUAGAAGACUCCAGAAGCCAUGGGAACGAAACGGAGGCCGAGAGGGCUCAGGCACAGGGCGCCCGCCCACUUCCAGAGACCAAUUCGGACACGUUUCGCGGAUUAUGCUCCACCGACCUAAAGGAUCAAGGAAAACCGUGCGAUUAAAGUCGGUUUGAUCCAACAGCCUAGAUUCACUUGAAGGGACUAUAAAACCAAACCCCCUGGCCCCUGGAGAUCAUACCUCUUCUAUAGAAUCAAAGUUAGGGUUUCAAUUCUUCAUCCAAGUAGAGAGGAUCCCUCUAGUUCUUCUAGUUCUACCUCUAGUUCAUCUAGAUCUAGUUCUAGUUCAUCUAGUUCUAAUUCUAGUUCCUCUAGUUCUAGUUCUAGUUCUAGUUAGUUCUAGUUGUAAUCUAGAAAAUAGGGAGAGAGAAGAGGAGAGCGGAGAAGGAGGAGCCGGAUCUGUCGGAUCUUCCUCAACAUUGUACUUUUGCAGCAACUGGUUCGUUCUUCAUCGUUCUCCAGGUUCUUCAAUUCAUAAUUCCUCAGUUCUCUAAUUACUUUUAUUUAUAUUCAAGUUAUUUAUUGGAUUCCCGCUUGCAUCAAGUGCUCUAGUCUUUAUAACGCUAGAGUAGUAAUUAAUAGAUUACACGUGGUGUUUAGUCUUGCAAUUACCUGGAAUUGCACCCAAUCCUGCGGAUUGUUGUGGUAGCCUUAGGGUAGUGACAGCCCUAACGGUCGACGUAUUCCACCUCAUUCGGAUCGGUGUUUGUAGGACCGUAGUCAGACCUUCCUAGCCCCCUUCUCAUCUCUUUUCUGUGGUUAGUGCUCUGAUGUCCCGAUAUAGAUAAUCUUGAAGUAAUUCUUGAUUCUUAUAUCAACUAGAGAACUCUCAGGAAACUUCCUCUCUUCCCACCAAAAAUAAUUAUAUAGUUAUCCUUGGGCGAUCUUGGAUCUUAAUUAGUACACUCACGUUCUCUGUGGAAAAUUGAUACUCUGGAAUACUCUCGGGUGAAAGCUACAUCGGUAUCCGUGCGCUUGCGGAUUUUUCUGUUUGCGUUUAAAAUACCCAACAUUGCAUAUGUAUAGGACUGCAAUGUACUCCCAAUUAAUCUAAAAUUCAUCUUAAUUUUGCCUAAUUCAUCUCAAAUGGUGAGUAGUAGGAGAACAAAGUAGUAGAAGUAGUUGAGUAGGAGUAGUAGUAGCUAGCAGUAGUAGUAGCUGAUAAGAUGGUUUCAAAAUAAGCUCAAAAUCAAUGGCAAUGCAUGAUAGGCAACUAAUUAUGAAAAUCAUUGGCAUGCGGCAUAUGCUCAGUGCAAAUUGACAGUACAAUUACAUCACAGACAGCAUAACAUUCAAAUUCAACCAAAACAUACAUCACAGACAACAUAGGCGAGGAAGAGGGCAGCAGCUAGGGUUCACCAGAGUGGAGCGAGAGAUGAAGAUGCAGGGUCACUCCUCUGUGCCCGAGAUAGGCAGGCCAACCACGAACACGGAGACGGCACUGGAUCUCCUCAGAGCUCAAGAAAGAGGCGGAGACGGAGACGGAGCCACCGGAGACGGAGCCGGUGACGGAGACGGAGAUGGAGCCGGGGACGGAGACAGAGCCGAACACGUAGACGGCACUGGAUCUCCUCAGAGCUCGAGAAAGAGGCGGAGACGGAGAUGGAGAUGGAGCCGCCGGAGACGGAGCAGGUGACGGAGACGGAGACGGAGCCGGGGACAGAGACGGAGACGGAGCCGGGGACGGAGAGCGCGCACCCGAGACGGGGAAGCGCGCACCCGAAACUUUGGCGGCGCUAGGGUUAGGGCGGAGCGUGCGUGCAGGAAACUUUGGCAGCCCUUCGGGGUGGGAAAGCGUGCAACCGAAUGGGGAAGAAGAGCAGGCUGACCGCAGCAUUAUAUAGAUGUAUAUUAACCGAGGCGGGCAGGUUAGGCCAACCGCCACGGUUAAUGUUAACUGUGGCGGGCGGUUAAGGGCGCCCGCCACGGUUAAUGUAUUAACUGUGGCGGGCAGAGUAGAGUGCCCGCCACAGUUAUGAUUUUCCCUUUUUUGAUGACACUAUCAAAUACUCCUUCCAUCCCUUUCUUGAAGAACUUUUAUUAAUAAACCAAUACACAACAAAAAAAGUGAUAUUUUGUACAAAACUUUGAAUAAGACGAGUGGUCAAACUUGAUAUUAAAAAAGUCAAAUGACUUACAAUUUAGGAUGGAUUGAGUAUUUUGGUAGUAGUAGUACUAAUAGUAGUAGUACGAUUACAUUUGGUUCCAUUACAUAAAAUUAGUAACAUAAACAGUUAUUGCUAAUCGAUAAGUUUGUACAUUAUUACAAAUAAAGUAGUACGAUUACAUUUGGCAUACAUCUCAUUUUGGGAGUGAUCCUAUGACACACUUCUUUUCACCGUCGGAGCGGAACCAAGGCUUCAUGCCACUCUUGGUUAAACGGUUCUCGACUUGCUUGAUCUUGCGCGGAUGGUCGGUAAAGAGCGAGAACUCUGCGUAGUGGUUGUGUUCUUCGGGACUCUGGACUCCAUCUGCUCCCACGAUCCUCUGCUUUCUAGACACAACCACAUGCCUCUUCGGGUCUUUGGGCUUUGCAUAGUAGGCUACCUGUGCGACACGGUUUGCUAGUACCCACUGAUCAUCUUUAUAGUCGACACUUUGGAGCUCCACGGUGGUUAGCUCAUACUCGUCCACGACAAUUGCCUUUGGCUUGACCCAUUGGCACCGAAAGAUUGGUAUCUGUAGUUCACCACUGUAGUCAAGUUCCCAUAUCUCUUCAAUCUGCCCAUAGUAUGUCUUGGUCUCCUCUGUGGCCUUGUCGAUGCCCUCAUAUCGAACACCGCUAUUCUGUGCUGCGCUCUUCCCGUCGUUCUGUUUUGUGCCCAUUGAUAUCGUAUCCAUGCCAUGAGGUUAUCUGGGAGGAUGGACCGGAUGCAAGCCUCGCUUCAUCAGUUUCACCAUAGGGAGGUAUGCCCUGCUGUUGGAUCCAUGUUGUGAAAUUCAUCUUGUGCUGUCUCUGUACCCAUGCCUCUGUGCAUCCGUUACAACCACGGCGAAUCUCCUCUAGGUGCAUCUCAACCCAAGUGUCCAUGACCACUAACUGAAUAAGGGUGCUGUGACGAGCCUCUUGCAACUGUUCUUCUUGUACAUCCAUGCAUACUUUCCUCCCCAUGCACCCCAUACCCAUGGUUCUGCCUUCAUGCACAGGGACGGGCAGCCCAAUUGCAUUUCCAUCCCGGAUGUAUUUCAUGCAGCAGUUAAUGCCCUCCUCUGUUGUGUAUGCCUCAAUCAUAGAGCCCUCGGGGUAAGCACGGUUAUGGACAUAUCUAUUCAGGGUCGACAUGAACCUCUCAUACAUCCACAUCUCAUGCAGGUAGAGUGAGUGUCCAGUGUCUCCACACUCCUCACAAGUCAUGUGAGAGUCGUAGAUGUGCAUAACUUCUUUCUUGUCUCUAGCUCUAUCGUCGAGCUUCUUCAUGAGCAGGUCUAGCUUUGCAGACAGCAUGUCUACCUCCUUCAGCUGAUGCAUACCUCCACCUCUCUUGCGUGUCUAGGUCCUCUCUUCAUUCCAGCCUUGAUUGGAUGCCAUUUUCUCCACAAGAGCUGUGGCUUGUGGUAUAGUAAGUGAUAAGAAUGCUCCUCCAGCUGCAGCAUCCAUGGUCUCUCGGGCACUGUUGCUGAGCCCAUGAUAGAACGUCUGCAUCAGUAGCCAACUCUCCAUUCCAUGAUGGGGACAUUCUAGGAUGUAGUCUUGAAAGCGCUCCCAUGCUUCUGGAACAGAUUCAUCAUUUUGUUGCUGAAAACUUGUAAUCUUCCCACGGAGAGCAUUGGUCUUGCCCAUGGGAAAGAACUUUGCCAGGAAGUUUGUUGAGCAGAGUGCCCACGUAGUAUUCUUCUCCUUUGUAGCGUAGAACCACUACUUCGCUCUUCCUAACAGUGAGAAUGGGAAGAGGCGAAGUAGUAUAGCAUCUUUGGAAACUCCUGCUAUGGUGAAUGUGUUGCAAAUCUCCAGGAAGUGUUGUAAAUGAGCACUAGCAUCUUCGUGUGCCUUUCCACAGAACUGGUUGGAUUGCACCAUGUUGAUAAGUCCAGGCUUGAGCUCAAAGUUGCCAUCGAUCUCUGCAGCAGGUCCAGUGCGGAUGUUGUCCGUAGUGGGAGCUGAGAACUCGCGGAUCGAUUUGUUCGCCAUGGCUUCGAACUCUGAAGAAAAGUUCCGGUGAUCUUCUUGAUUGGAUGAAGCUUCUUGCUGAAGUGUUGAUGAUUUCUUCUUGGCUCUCGUCUUCUUGAAUAAUGCUUCGGGAUUGUCAACAAAAUUUCCUGGAAGAUGUCUUCUAUUCAUUCAUUCCCCUGCAUAAGAUGAAAUAGAAAAAUAUCGGGGUAAAACUGUAUGAGAGAAUAGAUAAGAUCAAUCAUAUUAGUGAUGUGAAUGAUAACUCAAAAUCUUUUAUUCCAUUCCUGAUUGGUAAUCAACCUUCCCCGACAACGACGCUAAAAAUGCUUGUUGGGUAUUCUUAACAUCAUUACCAAAAGUAGACUAAGUUCUCUAAAUCUAGUAACGGUGCUAAAAAUGCCAAACCUAUCCCUCACACCACUUAAGCCAAGUUGUCAUCCCCAGCAUGAUAUAAGAGACGCGGUAUUGAAAUAUGCAAUUGCUCUUCUAAAUAAAUAAUAAAUGGGAUCUGCAAGCGCACAGAUUAAUACCGAUGUAGCAUUUUAACCGGGAAGUAUUCCACGUAUCGUUAUUUAUAUUUUUACCACUGGGAAGGGAUUAGCAAUCAUCACUAUUGAUUACAGAAUAGAAUAUAAGAUUGAGCAUCUAUCAUUGCAUGUAUAAUUGAGAACAUUAUAUCUAACUCUUCAUACAGGGAUAAGUGUCACAUAAAAGAUAUAUGAAAUAAUAAUAGUGACAAGGAUAACUAAUCUGAUCUAGCCACAUAAUAAAUAUGAUAAGCACCUCAAUUAGAUACUCUAGAAAGUCAUUAGCAUGGUAUUAGAACGAACUACAAGAAUAUUCCCUAAGUUAUUCUUAACUAUAUAGUCUAGCAUAUCAUAGUUAGUGCAAGCAUACUUAGCAAUCAUUGCGAGACAAGACUACGCCCAUGCAUAGUGAUAUUAGCAAGGAAUAUGAGAAACAUAGCAAUCACUCCCCUGUAAUAAUGUUGCUCUGCCAGCCCAAUACACGAGAGGGGGACUAUAUAAGAAUCAAUGAAGCUGUCACUAUCACGAACCACCCCACGAUCUGGCAUAUUGGGUACAAUCGCAGAUAAAUACGGUAUAAGCACCACGCCUACACAAUAUCUAUCAUUUACCCACGGAUCCGAUGGAUAAACGCUAUACGAUCCUAAGCAUGUAUAUAGAUCCAAUCUAACUAAGCCAAGUACAUAACUAUGAUAAACUAAGAACAAUAUAAUCUUGAAUAUAAGCAAGUAGAGCAAAGUCAUAAGCAAUAUAUUGAAGUAGAACAAAGUCAUAUUCAUAAUAUUGAAGAACAAAGAUAAUUAGAAGAACAAUUAGAAGCACAAUUAGAGAAUUACCAAGAAUCCUCUUGAUAGAUCCGGAAACCAAUCGAAGAUUGACUCCUUCUAGUUCUAAUCCUAUGUAGCUAUGCUAAUCUAGAUGUCUAAUUGAUGUGGUGGCUCUAAUCUUGAUCAGAGGCUUCUUCUCCCUUGAUGGAACAAUGAAUUAGGGUUGAGAGGCUCUCUCCUCCAGGGGCCAGGGGGUCUGGUUUUAUAGUCCCUUCAAGUGAAUAUGGGCCAUUGGAUCAAACCGACAUAGAUUGUAUGGUUUAGAUUCAUCCUUUAGGUCGGUGGAGAUCUCCCACGAAGCAGAGUCCAGAUUGGACUCAAGGGCAGGGCGGGCGCCCUGACCAACUGGGCGGGCGCCCAGGGUCAGGCCCCGUUUCGCCUCCGCUUCGGUCUCGUGGCUUCUGGAGUCUUCUAGAUGUAAGAUAAUUGCACGGCACGUUAAUAUCUUUACGUAGUCCCGACAUGUGGGCCUUUCUUCCAUAUUUCCUGAUAACCCCCUGCAGAAAUAGACAAACACCAAAACUCGUGGAAUUCUGUCAGAUAAAACCCUAAGUCUAGAUGUUGAUUUCAUUUAGAUCCUUUUCUUUAUUUAUUUGAUAAUUAAAUUUGAUACUUAAGGACCGUCAACAGGCGUCAAACCGCUUCCACUGCUUGCCAUCAGAGGGGUGUCGCAACUUGCCAUCAUCCUUCAUUCGUUCUGCUGAUGCAUGCCACGACAUCAGUUGGGCAUCCUCUGGGUUCCCGAAUAGCGCACGUAGGCGAUCGAUCACUGGUAGGUACCACACUGAGAGUGCAUGGCUUUUUCUCUGCAUGUAAACCCCUUCUUCCUCAUCCUCGGGAGAUGGGAUCUCCUUCUUGGCCGUCUGGAUCUUCGCUUUCUUGUUCCCUCUCUUUGUUGGUCCCUCAACAUCCGUGUCUGCACGACAACCGGCAUUCCUCUUAUAUCGGCUCGCGCCGUAGUGCGGAUAGUUCUACAAGUUCUCAUACUUACCCCGAUAUAGAAUACAGUGGUUAGGGCAUGCAUGAAACUUUUUAAGCGUCAUCGCCACUGGACGGAUCAUCUUGUUCGCUCGGUAGGUAUUGGCAGGCACCUUGUUACCCUCUGGGUAUGAGUCAGCAAGCCUAUCUAACAGGUCAUUAAAGCAUGUGUCGGACCACCCAUGGCGAGCCUUCAGCAUGAGCAUCUGGAGGUUAAAACGCAACACCGUCAAAUGCUUUGGACAACCCUCAUACAGGGGAUCAAUUGCUGCCUACUUCAUCUCUUUGAAAUUCUCCAACAACUUCGGAUUUCCAAACAGAACGUCAUCUUGAUCCAUACGGUUAGCAACAUUUAAAAAAUCUCCACAUCUUCAGGCCCCAAGACAACAUCACCCUGCUCAUCAUCAUCACCGCCACCGUCUUCAAACAGAUCAUGGAGGCCCGCCGAUGUAGAUGGUUGUCGUCCCCCAUCAUUCACCGUUGACGAGUUACCUCCGCCAGAUGCACCUGUCACACUUGGAUCUGCUUCUUCACCGUGAUACUUCCAGAUGGUGUAGUCCUUGACAAAGCCAUGCCGGAUCAAGUGAGACUGCACCACGUUAUCUUCCUGUACAAGGUUGUUCUUACAACUAUUGCACAGACAAAUGAUGCGCUCUCGACCCAAAGACACACGGUGCUUUUUCGCAGCGGCAACAAACUUUCUCACAUGUCCUAGAAAAGCUAAAUCGUUACUGACCCUCGGUAUCUUAUACAUCCACUCUUCCCUAUCCAUAGCUGCACCACCUAGCACACACAAAGGGAGAAAAGCAAAUAAAGAUAUAUGAAAACAUGUGAGUAGCCCUAAAUCUAGUUUUAUUUCUCUCCUCCAUUUGGAUCUAGAUCUAAAACAUUUGGAUCUAGAUCUAGAUCUAGCAAACCACCUAAAUAAUGCAAAGGGAGAAAUGAGAGUUAGAGAGUAAGAAAUCCACCUCUUGCAAUGCCCCCUUCACCAAAUAAAAGGGCAAAAAGUUUUCCCCUCUAAGAUAUUAAAUAUUAGGGUUUUGAGGUCAAAACCCUAAUAAAUGAAGAAGGAGCCACGGGGAAGAAGAAGGGGGUCGGGCUGUUGCUUUUAUAGGCACAGACUUUACUGUGGCAGGCAAUUUAAAGAAACCGCCACGGUUAAUGAACAAUUAACCGUGGCGGACGCUGUAAAAGAAGCCACCACGGUUGAAGCAUUAACCGUGACGGUUCGCUUAAGCGGCCCACCAUGGUUAAACGAUUAACCGAGGCGGUUUCCCUAAACCAACCGCCAUGGUUAAUAAAUUAACUGAGGCGGUUUAAUUACGACAACCGUCGCGGUUAACGUAAGAUUAACCGUGGCGGUUUGCUUACAGUGACCGCCACGGUUACACAAUUAUCCGUAACGGUCGCCCUGCUGGCAGCCCAGCCCAGGUUAACCGAGGCGUGCCGCCAGCCGGCCACCUCGGUGGCCCAAAACAAAAUGUCUCCUAAAAUUUUUUUUGUAGUAGUGAUAGGGUUUUGUUUUUCUCUUUCUUCUUUUCCAAGUUGAGCACUUGAUCAUCUUGUGGUCAUCACCAUCAUCACAAUGAUCAUCUCUUGCUCCAUCACUUGGCAUGUACCAACCUCAUUAAGUCUACACACACUUAGUAUAGAGGUUAGUACUAGGGUUUCAUCAAUUAUCCAAAAACAAACUAGGGCUUUCAAGGGGACACUAGGGAAGAAAACAUAUAUCGGUACAGAGAGUGAUUACUUCAAUAAAGCACACUACAUAGUUCUACAGAACUCCUCGCUGGUGGAUCGUAUAUCGAGGUACAUAAGGAUUUCAUUCAAUCUGAGUGGCUUGGGAAGAAUGAAGCUUGGAUUUGGCAUCAUCACAUGGAAACCUUCAGCGAUUGGUUGUGAAAAGAAUGUCAGGGUGAUGAAAACAUAGAUGAGCAGCUUUAUUUGUUGGCCAGGCAGCCAUCAAGGUAUAUCAGCAUAUACAAAGGGUACGAGAUCAAUGGGAAUACAUUUUACACAUUAGCCCAAGAUAAAAGGAGCAUCAACCGAAAUAGUGGUCCAUGAGUAGAUUCCACAGAUCCAAAUGGGAACAAACAAACAUAUUAUGGCCAAAUACAUGACAUAUGGGAACUAGACUACGUAGCAAAUUUUAAAGUUCUUUUAUUCCAGUGUAAAUGGGUGAAGAUGAUCAGAGGUGGGGUAACCGUCGACAGAGUAUGGAAUGACAACCGUGGACCUUAACAAUGUUUGGUACAAAGAUGAACCAUUCGUCCAUGCUGCGGAUGUGAGUCAAGUGUUCUAUAUGAAAGACAUGUCUACAAAACCAAAGAGAGAGAAAAAUGAUGACAACUCAAAAGUCAAUCAUGAGCCAAAGCGCCACAUAGUUCUUUCUAGGAAAAGAAACAUUGUCGGAAUUGAGGACAAGUCAGACAUGUCAGGUGAUUAUGAAAGGGAUGACCGAAUUCCGUCAUUCAAAGUGAACAAAGACCCAAGCAUUUUGUUAAACAAUGAGGACACUCCAUGGUUAAGAGAUGAUCAUAAUCAAGGGUCAUAUAUUAAGAAGAAGUUCACUGUUGUGCCCGCAUAAUAGUGAGUUAUAAAGAUAUUAUGUAAUAAUAUUAAUUGAGACUUUGUUUGACGAUGGAUUUAAAUUAAAAAGUUCAGUAUUGAUCACAACUACACGCUCCUUUUCGAAACUCUAGACGGCCCUAACUCGAAAAGUCAUGAAUAAAAAGUUUGUUACACUCAUCAAGAUCUAUAUUUAAUACAUAGGACAUUUUUGCAUUUGAUAAAGCGUUACGAAAGCGUAGUUCUAAAUCCACAGGUCUCACAUGGAGUUUCAUAAAGUUUGUGUGAGAUUCAAGACAUUGUGACUAGAGUUUAUUAACACUUUCUCAAAUGCAAAAAUAUCCUAUGUACAGAAUGUGUAUCAUGAUGAGCUCUAAUACCCUUGUGUUCAAAAGUGUUUCAUUUGAGACCAUUUACUACCUCAUUUGACCAAGUUUGACCAAGUCACGCCUUGGAUUUUUAAAACAUGUGACUAGAGUUUACUAUAACUUUUCUAAAUGCAAAAUUGUACUAUGUAUCAAAGGUAGACAUUGGUGAGGUCUAACUCUUUUGUAUUCAAAAAGUUUUUAUUUGAGGUCUUUUAUUGCCUAGUUUGACCUAGUUUGACCAAGUCAAACAUUUGACUUUUUAGAAAAAAUACUUUGACCAGACCCUAGAUGGUCUCAGCUACAAAAGUCAUGAUACAAAGUUUGUCCAGAUCAUCAAGACACAUAUUUUGUGUAAUGGUCAACUUUUCAUCUAAGAGAGUUUGGACCACUCAAAUUUUGAAAUUUCAAAUUUUUAAUCUUUGAUGGGUGGCAUUAUGUCUUGUAUUUCAACAAUGAGAGAUCCAAAAUUAAAACAUUAACAUUGAAAUAAUGUGAAAACAAUUUUUCAGUAGACAUAUAGGAAUUUUUUCAUUUUAAUUAAACACCACAUUUUUGCAUUACAGAAAUACUAAUUAAAACACUACUUAUUUUUAAAAACUUAUAAAGCAAACUAAAAAAAUUAGGUCACAUAAGUUUCCUUUGUGCAAUAAAGAAAAAUCAAAUUCAUAGUUGUGUUUUAAAUAAUUUUAUGCCUUGUAUACAAUUUUCUGUGAAAUUAACAAGAAUAUACAAUUUUUAUAAAAUGGAAUAUAAAAAAUAAAGGCAUCCAAAACACUGGCGGGAAGUGAAACCGUAGUAGGCCUUUAGUCCCUUAGUCUCGGCCCUGAAUGCAGACCGUGACUAAAGGUCAUUUUAAUGGCCCGCCAAAAAGGAUCUUUAGUCCCGGCUCUUGUUACAAACCGGGACUAAAGGUCAUACCUUUAGUCGCGGCUGGUGGCUACGACCGGGACUAAAGGUCUUUAGUCCCGACUCGUUGCUGCGACCGGGACUAAACGUCCACCCCCUAUAUAUGCUACAAGGUGACCUCUCUUCUUCCACCUCCGGCCAGAACACAGAAACCGCCGCCGCUCUCGAUCCAUCAUUGUCGCCGCCGUGUAGGAGCUCUUCUUCGUCAUGGCCGUCCAUCGUCCUCCUUGGCCUGUGCGCUUGUCCUCCUUCGCCACGGCCGUCGUCCCUCAUCGUCAUUGCCCCGCUCGUCCUCAUCGUCCCUCGUCUCCUCGUCUCCUCGGGCCCACACGCCCUCGUCGUUUGCUCGUCCUCCUCCUCGGCCAAGAACUCAAUAGAUGUAUAUAUAUAUUUCUAUAUAUAUAUAUAUAUGAAUAGAUGUAACGUGAUAUGAAUGUCAUAUGACUCAUUGUAUAUAUAUAUUUAUAUAUUUAUAUUUAUAUUUAUAUUUAUAUUUAUAUUUAUAUUUAUAUUUAUAUUUAUAUUUAUAUUUAUAUUUAUAUUUAUAUUUAUAUUUAUAUUUAUAUUUAUAUUUAUAUUUAUCAAUACCUAUUUACAAUAGUAGGGUUACUAUAACACAUGGAGAUAUUUACGUUAUAGUAAACCACUUAGUAUGAAGUUACUAUAAUCUCAUAAAUUAACAAAGUAAUUAUCGUAACUCAAAGGGGCUACAGAAUAAGUUAUUUUGUAGCUAGCUAUAGAGUAAUAGUUUUAUAUGUAUAUAUAUAAUCUCCAUGUGUUAUAGUAACCCAACUAUUGUAAAUAGGUAUUGAUAUUAUCGUAAAUUAGUAUAUAAAAUUAUCGUAAAUGGAGGUGGCUAUAGAAUAACUUAUUUUGUAGCUGGCUACUGAAUAUACUCUCCCUAUAUAUAUAUGAAUGAUGUCUGAAUAGAUGUAACUUGAUAUGAAUGUCAUAUGACUCAUUGCAAUAUAUAUAUAUAUAUAUAUAUAUAUAUAUGUAUAUAUAUAUAUGUAUGUAUAUAUAUAUAUAUGUAUAUAUAUAUAUAUAUAUAUUACGAGACAAAGCCUUAAUGGACGAUCCGAGGGAUCAACAAAUCGAUGAUGAGGCCAUCAUGAUGAAUCUCAUCGUCGGUGGUGAUGAACAAAUCAAGGAUGACGAUGAUGGGAGUUAGUACUUGCGGGCAGAUUACGAGGAGAUCAUGCAGGGAUCCUCCCCACCGCCUAAUGAGCAACAAAUUGUCGAGCAAGCCAAUACUGGCGAGCUAUGUUAUACAUGUUUAUUAGGGAUUAGGGUUAGGGUUUAGGGUUUAGACUUUAGGGUAUAUUGCAUCUUGUAUUAAUUUCAUGUUCGUGUCUUUACAUAUGUAGUCCUCUGGAUCGACAUCUACGACCGGGAAGAGCAGACCGGUACGAGGGCCAAUGAAGCCGUUGGAGGGUCGUCACAUAAUCUCUGAAUUCAACGAGCGUACAAGCUAACCACUAGGACCGCAUGCACAGAAAUAUGUCGGUCAUUGUGGUUAUCUAGUGAGAGACAUGAUACCGAUUAGUGCUCGAGAAUGGAAAAAGAAGCCAAGUGCUCCACACAUCAGUUUUGUCUCCGAUCAUGAUAAGGAGGUAGUAUGGACUGACAUCGGAGAGCAUUUCAUGUUUGACACGAAUGAUGAAGAGCUAAAGAGGAGAAUCUGGGAGUGGAAAAUGAAGAAGAUGACAACACUUUUUAGGCUUGGAAGAAGAACUUGUACAACAAGUUUAUCAAGAAGAAUGAGAUGCCAGAUUUCAACACUAAGGCGUAUGUCAAGCUGAGACCCUUUUGGAAUGAUUUCGAACACAUUCUUUAACGCCGCCACGGGCCGCACCGUCCCCACCACUGCCACCGGCUCAAACUAGUAAGAAGAGGUCCGCCCCAGCACCAAAGGCUUCGGUCCACAUCCUACAAAGAAGCAGGCUCGGGCUCCCUCUGGUAAAAAAGCAGCCAGUGAAAAGUUGUCUUAUGAGAAGAGUGAUGAGGAGCUAAUUGCAUCGGUUGCUUCAAAUGUGAAAGCACACUUUGAAAAAACUAAAAAGGAAAUUGAAGCGAAGUGGAACCCUGAAAAGCCAUACCUCUUCUUACCAAAAGGGGAGCUGAGGAAGAGGGUGGAAGAGCACAACCAGAAAAUGCACGAAGCUCGAAAGCCUCCGCCAAAGUCAGACUAUGAACACCAACUACUAAAAGCUGUAAAGCUCAACCUGUCAAGAAGAAAGCAGGAAAGGGUGUUCCACAGCUUGGGGACACAUCAAGACCUUUGUCCCCGUUAAUUGUGGCAGAUCAGUAUGGUUUAAAUGUGGGCAUAAUACAGAGGAAAUUUGGAGAGCCCACUUUGCCUGAGAUGGACUCACUUGAAAAUUAUUUCAUUGAGAGCGGUCUCCCAUACUCCAUGAUUGAAAAUAUUGCUGCUGGGCUAAAGUUUCCACGAGCGGAAGUAGUUGAUGAAUGGAGGAGAAAUUUUACACUGGGCAAGAGUCAAAUGAACCCCAAGCACCUACAUGUACUCGGUACGCAGAUGUUUGCAAUCAACAGUUGGUGCAUGGAGGCUUCUAAAGGUGGAGUUGAUUGGAUUUCUGUUCGAAUUCGAAACCAUCACUACUUCCGUGGCGAUGACCUUAUCUUAGUCUAGAUGAGUGAAUUACACCAGCUAUGCCACAUGGACGCUCUGGACAAAUCGCUCAUUAGCUGCUUUUGUUUGUAAGUAUUUCUUUGUUUUUAUUAAACUCUCCAGCAUGUCUAUAUAGUAGUAAUCCUUACAGACAUACUUGUCGAUGGACUCACUAUAUGAAGGCUCCAAAUGACUGAUCUCAGAUCCAAAAACGAUAAUACUCUUGGAUUUGUUGAUCCUUACGUUGUUUUCAAGGAGCCAAACCUUUUGGUGACUUGGAUCCAUAACAUGUGUAUGAAUCUUAUGAGGUUCUUCGUGAACUAAAAAGACAAAAGAAUAAUACUCUUCCCCUAUAACUUCAAGUGAGUAUAUAUAUAUAGUUACAUGCAAGUGUGCACCUUUAAUUUUACUUAACCCUAAUCUAUGACUCAUGCCUCUAUGAACAGCUUUUACUGGAUACUCAUAGUCAUCGAUCUUGCUAAAAGUAAGUUGGUAAUCUAUGACUCAAUGAAGAAACCGCAACAAGAUUACCAAGAUAUUAUAGACAUCAUCCAAAGGUAAUUUUGAUCCAUUGCAUGCAUAAAGUAGACUAAGCUUGUAUAUAUGUAUACUUAACGAUCCAACUCUCUUGUUUCAUAUAUAUCAUUGGUUUAGGGUUUGGGAAAGAUUUAUUGUUCGAGAACAUCUAACUCAAUGUAGGGUGCCCCUAAAGAUAAUACAGCUACAAGUAAGUUUAUCCUUCGUCAAUGUACGUGGUGUAUCUUAUAUCUUGUCUUUUUUACGAGAUGAAUCUUUAUAUCCUAUAGUGGAUCUUGAGACAAGAACUGGGGAACAACUUAUGUGGAUACUACGUUUGCGAGUAUAUUAUGGCAGAAACAAAUAGAAUUCUUGAAGAAUAUCUCAGAGUAUGUAACACAUGUCUCUUUUCAUAUUCUCUCAAAUUACUAUAGAUAAUCUUGAUAUAACUAAUACCUUGUUUUAAUUCAAAUUGAAGACUGAAUGGUUGAAGCAAAAACUCAUGCAACAUGAACAACUCCAAGCAAUACAAGAGGCAAUAGCAAGAUUUCUUCGGGAACAAGUCAUAAAUCCAAGCGGCGAGUUCCACUAUAAUCCUAACAAGACGAUGAUUCCAAACAAUGAUGAUCAUUUGUAUGCCCUGUAGAUCUUUGGAUGAUGGAGUACAACUUGUAAUAGUUUUAGAGUAUUAACUUUGGAGUACAACUUGUACAGUGAUAGAUUUGGAGAACAAGUUCUAUAUAUUUAUGUGCAUAUAUUUAUAUAUAUAUAUGUAGUUAUAUAAUUCAAUUAUAUAUGCAUAAUAAGCUUAUUGUCAUAUGCUGCUAAUAUUAUAUAUAUAUAUUGGAAAACCUGUUGACACCGUUUUUGGACACGUACCCAGGAUCGGUAGAGUGUAGAUUGGCAAAAAGGGGCAAUAGUAACUGGUCUGCAGGAGAGUUGCCGAUGAGGGUGGUUGCCGAUAAGGAGACAGCUGAAUGUGGCUAAGACCAUGGGUGGUGAUGUCUUUAUGCCGAUGGUCAGUAUCAACUGUUGCCGAUGGGGAGUCUACCGAUGAUACGGCAGGAAGACUUGGAGGUUGCCGAUUGGUCUGUGGUGGUGUCCCAGUUUGUCACGGAAGGAUAGUUUUAUGUUUUCCUUAGUUAUUUAAGUCGUUUUGUACACGGAUUCUGUUUAAAUUUGGAAUUUGAAUUCUAGUCGUGUCUGGUUGUAGCUCUUUGAGCAGGGUAUAAAUGUAGACCCUAGGGCCUUGUAAUCGAGAUAUCUAUCAAUCAAUCAAACACAAGUUUUUACUCAUAUUCCAGUACCUACUUUCAACGACUUCGUCAUACUUUUUCCCUUUUAUUACGAGUUCUUAGGAAUUCGUCGACUUAAGCUCGGCGUAUUCUCAAGUUCCGCAUGAAUACCUCUUGGCCGUGGCAUCCGGGCGCAUCGCUCUUGUCGGGACCAAAGUAUUCGAGUUAUCACCUUUGCCGAUAGUAAGGUCAAAUCGGCUGGCACGCCUUAACGUUUAAAUCGGGUAUUAGCCCUUUGUGUUUGCAGAUCAGCUUUUGCAUCAACACAUCUUUUGGCACGCCUAGUGGGACAAAUUCGAGAUCAAGAUCAACAUGUCGACUACUGAGUUUGACUUGGAGAACGUCAUCCCCGUGACAGAAGCUAGCCUCAUAGAUGAGCAGAAGCAAGCUAUUUCGAAGGCUAUGGAGGAUUACAAGCAACAAUGUCUCAAGGCCUUCAGCAUAAACAGGAGCGGCGAAGUGAUCCAGAAGGAAGCAUUGCCGAUGCCUCGGCAGGUUACUUUUGAAGCCAAUCCUGGUAAACUCCAAGACGUAGUCGAUAGUGCUAUCAACUGUGCCUUGAUCAACCAAGCUGGUGUGCUGUCUAAUAUGGUUUUCAAUGCCAUGGCUAGAACUUUCAAGGAAGGACACUUGCCACCAAAUUAUGUGGGCCCUUCUCAUCAUCAGUCAGGAUCACCGGUGGUCACAGCUCCAUCGGCUGCCACAGCCGCUGCGGGCACAGAAACUGCUGUUCCUCCAAACACGAUGGGAGUUACCAAUGCAUAAUCUACGCCGAUGACGACCAAUCCACCGACCUCAGAUGGGCAGAUUAAGCUUACUACAGACCUAUUGGCCUCGGCAAUGUCAGGACCGGUUCCUCCUCCUAACUGGUGGGGUUUUGGUAUGCCCCCAGAGUUCACGUUGAAGACACCUGGCACAUCUCAGGCGACUGAUAUGAGAGGCAAGGCUCCUAUGACAUCGGCACCUCCAAACAUGCCGAUGAAUCAGAGUCCCCAGUUUACUACAACUACUACUGCAAGACCUUACACUGGGAAUUCUCAAGCUCCAACUUUCCAGAUGCCUAAUGCAUCGGCAGAUUCAAUGCUGGUGCAACAGAGGUUUAGGACUCAACCAGGGUAUGUCAAUUCGAUGAUGAUGCCCAAUUACUAGUCAUCGGCAGGUCCUAUGCUGAUGAAUGCUAAUAGUGGAUGGCUUGGGCAGCAACUCUUUCCGCAAACGCCCCAACAGAAUCAUCAGGCUACCGGAUUUCAGCAAGGCCAGAUCUACCCCGGGUUCCAGAAUCAGGGAAUGCCCAACCAGCCAAUGAAUCUUGGGCAGCAGGUCGGCGGACAGCAGAUUGGCGGGCAACAGUUUGGUGGUCAGCAGAUGGGUGGCCAGAUGAUUAACCCAAUGUUCCAUGUAGAUCGCGCACCGCACAGACACGUGGAAGCUUACCAGCAGAUCCCAGAUCCGCAACCGCCUCAUCGGCAAGACACCGAUGCUUAUUGGGCCGAUAAGAUUGCCGAAGUAAUGAGAGACCAGUUUGGGAUAAAACCCAAAGUCAAUACUUACUCUUAUCGGACACCGUAUCCUCCUGCAUAUGAUUUGAUCCCGCUUCCAAAUCGGUACAAAGUGCCGGAUUUUACUAAGUUUUCUGGAUAGGAUGAUACAUCAACCAUGGAGCACGUCAAUAGGUUCAUCAUCCAAUGUGGAGAAGCUGCUAAUCGGGACGAGUUAAGGGUUAGCUUAUUCUUGUCAUCAUUGUCUGGAUCGGCUUUCACUUAGUUUAUAUCAUUACCUCCCAACUCAGUGAUUACUUGGGCCGAUCUAGAGAAGCAAUUCCACAAAUACUUAUUUUCUGGGGUUCAUGAGAAGAAGAUCACCGAUUUGGUCAAAUUGAAGCAACGCAAUGACGAAUCGGUUGAAAGUUUUGUGCAGAGAAUACGGGAGGUUAAGAACAAAUGUUAUAGCCUGGUUUUGGAUGAUCGGCAGCUAGCCGAUUUGGCUUUCCAGGGUUUGUUGCCACACAUCAAGGACAAGUAUGCAUCUCAAGAGUUCGAAAGCUUAAGUCAUUUGGUGCAGAGAAUUUCUGAUCAAGAUAUCAAGCCUUUUGAACCCAAAAGGGCAUGGAACAAAAAGGUGUCAUUUGUUGAUGAGGCAGCAAGCUCAGAUUCUGAUGAGGAACCAGUCAUCGGCUUGGCAGAAUGGGUGAAGAAUAAGUAGCCGAUGUCUUGCCCCUUUGGGCAUAAAGAGCCAGAGAAGUUCGCAUUUGACAUCACUAAAGCCGAUAGGAUAUUUGACUUUCUACUUUAGGAAGGUCAGAUCAAGCUGUCACCUAAUCAUGUGAUCCCAUCGGCUGAGGAAUUGAAAAGGAUGAAAUAUUGCAAGUGGAACAAUGCCACUUCUCACAACACCAAUGAGUGUAAAAUUUUUAGGCAGCAGCUGCAAUCGGCUAUAGAAUCUGGGAGGAUCAAAUUUGACAGCUCCAAAACUCAGAAGCCGAUGAAGAUUGAUCAACAUCCUUUCCCAACAAACAUGCUGGAUGCUAAGGGAAAGGCCAAGGUUUUAACGUCGGAAGCAGCUGAAAGAAGUGCAUCGGUGGAUCCUCAACAUCAGAUCACUACUGCCGAUGCGAAAGGAAAAGGCUUGAUCUAGGAGGGGACUAACUCAGGAAGGCCUCCCCGAUCUGGUAUCGUCAUAACUCACAGGAGGCCUCAGGAGACUUGGCUGCAACGUGAGGAUCGGUAUCGGCGCCAGCAAGAGGACUAUCGUCGGGUAGAAGAAAGACGCCGGCAGGAGUGGAAUCGGCAUAGGGAUCACUGGAAUUGUUCGUUCUUUAUGCAUUGUUGGGAGGAGAAUAUCAAGCUUCCUAUGGUCAGAGAUUGUCCGGAGUGCAACGGUUAUGACCGGUAUGACAGAUCCGAUUGGCGCUAUCACGAUAAUGAUCGCCGAUUCAGUGGGCCGAUCAGGGGAAGAGCAUUCGUCCAUGAUCGGCUAGGGGGCAGACUCAGUGUGCACGACAGGCUCGGCGAUCGUGUUCAAUAUUUUCCAAGGAACCAGGAAGAACUUGAAGAGAUGGCUAAUGCGUGGGUUCCCGAUGAGUUCAUUUUCUGCAGGGACGCCAAUACUUAUCAGAUGGAGUCAAGGGAAAAUCAUCGUCCAUCGGUGAGGCAGCAGCAACUUCCUCCAUGGUGUCCAGAGGGGCUGACCAGGACACAGAAGAGAAGACUGCAGCGUGAGAGGCGAGAAGAGUUAAACAAGGGCGAGAACUCUGGCCAGUCUGGGGAUCAGCAGCAGUCAGAUCCUAAGGGAAAAGGUCCAUCGGCAGAUGUCAACAUGGUGUUUAUGUUGCCGAUGGAAUUUCUUGCGCCAUCCAGUGAUGAUGAGUUGGAGUUUUCCGACCAAAUAGCUCAGUUGGCUCUGGAUCCGAUGACAGCCAUCUUUGAAAAGCCUGCCGAUGAUGAAAGGUAACAUCUUAAGGCUCUGUUUGUCAAAGGAAAGGUUGAUGGUCAGCCGAUGACCAAGAUUUUAAUUGAUGGUGGAGCUGCUAUCAAUAUCAUGCCAUAUACAGUAUAUCGGAAGCUUGGAAAAGGGGAUCAGGAUUUGACCAAGACCGAUAUGAUGCUCAAAGAUUUUGAGGGCAACGUGUCUCCAGUUAAGGGAGCAAUAUGCGUUGAGUUGACCAUCGGCAGCAAAACUUUACCGACAACCUUCUUCGUGAUCAGUGGGAAAGGUGCUUAUAACUUGCUGCUGGGAAGAGAUUGGAUUCAUGCCAAUUGUUGCAUCCCGUCUACAAUGCACCAGUGCUUGGUCCAGUGUGUAGGUGACAAGAUUGAGAUUGUCCCGGGAGAUUCUUCCUAUGUCAUUGCAUCGGCAGAGGCAGACACCUACGAAAGAACUAGGUGUAUUUCAGGAGAAGUUUGGGAAAAGGAUUUUCUCAAAGUUUCCGAUUAUGAGAUUCCACCGAUCCAAGCAGUCGGUUCUGAUGAAGGUUUUUAAUGGAUAGGUUCGCCGAUGAUGGAAAGUUAGACCAGGGAUUCACAUCGGCCGAUGAUUUGGUAGAAGUAGAUAUAGGUAGUGGUGAUAAGCCUAGACCUACUUUUAUUAGUGCUAAGUUAGAUUCUGAGUGUAAGCAGCAGUUAAUCGAUUUGUUAAAAGAAUAUAAAGAUUGCUUUGCUUGGGAUUAUACUGAGAUGCCUGGUUUAGACCGAUCAAUUGUUGAACAUCGGCUGCCUAUCAAGUCUGGAUUUCGGCCACAUCAACAGCCAGCUCGUCGAUGUAAUCCUAAUAUUCUUCCUGAUAUUAAGGCCGAAAUAACCAAACUCAUUGAAGCUAAAUUUAUUCGGCAAUGUCGGUAUGCCGAUUGGAUUUCCAAUGUUGUUCCAGUCUACAAGAAAAAUGGGAAGCUUCGAGUUUGCAUUGAUUUCAGGACUCUCAAUAAAGCUACGCCGAUGGAUGGCUACCCAAUGCCAGUUGCCGAUUUACUAGUUGAUGCUGCGGCUGGGCAUCGGAUCAUCAGCUUUAUGGAUGGCAAUGCGGGAUAUAAUCAAAUAUUCAUGGCUGAAGAAGAUAUUUCAAAGACUGCAUUUAGAUGUCUCGGUCAUGUUGGGUUGUUUGAAUGGAUAGUCAUGACCUUUGGCUUGAAAAAUGCAGGUGCUACCUAUCAGAGGGCUAUGAAUUUUAUAUUUCAUGAGUUCAUCGGCAAACUGAUGGAAAUUUAUAUUGAUGAUGUGGUGGUUAAGUCUGGAGACUUCACAAAGCAUCUUGCCGAUUUGCGAAAGGUGUUGGAAUGCACAAGGAAGCACGGUUUGAAGAUGAAUCCCAAUAAGUGCGCAUUUGGUGUAUCGGCAGGACAGUUUCUUGGUUUCAUGGUGCAUCAAAGGGGGAUUGAAAUUAGUUGAAGAUCUAUUGAUGCUAUCAACAAAAUAGUUGCCCCUACCAACAAGACCGAGCUCCAGUCCUUGAUCGGCAAGGUAAAUUUUAUCAGGAGAUUUAUAUCUAAUUUGUCUGGUAAAAUUCGUGCUUUCAGUCCUCUUCUUAAGUUAAAAGCCGAUCAAGAAUUUGUUUGGGGGAAAGAACAACAGUUGGCUUUGGAUGAAAUCAAGAAUUAUUUAGUGAAUCCUCCGGUUCUGAUUCCACCUCAGCAAGGGAAGCCCUUUAGAUUGUACUUGUCUACUGAUGGGAUGGUCAUCGGUUCGGCUUUAAUUCAAGAAUUUGAGUGGAAAGAGCGUGUGAUUUAUUACUUAAGCAGGAGGUUGAUUGAUGCUGAGACCAGGUAUUUGUCUAUUGAGAAACUAUGCUUAUGCGUGUACUUCUCCUGUAUUAAGUUAAGACAUUAUUUGCUAUCGGCCAAAUGCACUGUUAUUUGCAAAGAUGAUGUGGUCCGGUACAUGCUAUCUAUGCCGAUCAUAAGUGGCAAGAUCGGUAAGUUGAUUUUGGCAUUGUCGGAAUUCGAUUUGCGUUAUAAAUCGGCUAAGGCGGUUAAGGGUCAGAUUAUGGUCGAUUUUGUGACUCAAAAUUGUGGUACAGUGGAGACCUUGGAGAUUGUACCAUGGAUGCUCUUCUUUGAUGGAUCCACGUGUGACCGGGGGGCAGGAAUCGGCAUAGUGUUAAUUUCCCCUCGGGGAAGGAAAUAUGAGUUCUCCUUGCCGAUUGUUGCCACGUCAACAAAUAAUGAGGCUGAGUAUCAAGCCCUAAUAAAGGGGUUGGAAUUGCUGCGGGAAAUUCAUGCUGAUGCUGUUGAAAUCUUCGGAGACUCUAUGCUAGUUAUAAAUCAAUUGGCUAGAAGCUAUGAAUGCCGAAGUGAGGUCCUCACAAACUUAUCACGAGAGGAGUAUGCAGCUGUUAAAGGAAUUCAAGGAUUUCCGAUUAGAGCAUGUUCCUCGAUUGCAUAAUGAAGAGGCCAAUCGGUUGGCUCAGCAUGCCUCGGGAUAUCAGCCUAUGAUUAAUGCAAUAUCGACAAUUGGUGCCGAUAAUUGGAGGAAAGAGAUCAUUGAUUAUUUAAAGGAUCCAUCCAAGAAAGUUGAGAGACGUGUUCGGUUUCAAGCCACCAAAUAUGUGCUCCUCGGAGAUGAGUUGUAUUACCGAACCAUUGACGGGAUUCUUCUCAGAUGCUUAGGUGAUGAUGAGGCUAGAAGUUUGAUGGGAGAAAUCCAUGAGGGGGUAUAUGGUGCACACCAGUCGGCUUUUAAGAUGAAGUGGAUGAUUAGGAGAAAUGGGUAUUAUUGGCCGACUAUACUUGAGGAUUGCUUUAAGUAUUUCAGGGGGUGUCAAGGAUGUCAGAAGUUUGGCAAUGUUCAAAGGGCACCUACAUCGGCCAUGAAUCCCAUCAUCAAGCCUUGGCCGUUCCGAGGAUGGGCUAUUGACUUAAUCGGCCAGAUUUAUCCACCAUCCAGCAAAGGCCACAAGUUCAUUGGUUGCCAUCGAUUAUUUCACCAAAUGGGUUGAAGCUAUUCCUUUGAAGAGAGUUACAUCGGCCAAUAUGAUCGAUUUUGUGAAGAAGCAUAUUAUUUACCGAUUCGGGAUCCCUCAAACGAUUACUACCGAUCAGGGUACUAUGUUCACAUCGGGGGAGUUUGAUGAAUUUGCAAUCGGUAUGGGAAUUAAAGUUUUAAACUCUUCUCCCUAUUAUGCCCAAGCUAAUGGGCAGGCCGAGGCAUCUAAUAAAGGAAUUAUCAAGCUUAUUAAGCGGAAGAUUGAAGAAAAUCCUAGGAAGUGGCACACAUUGUUAAAUGAAGCUUUAUGGUCAUAUCGGAUGGCUUGUCAUGGGUCAACCAAAGUUUCACCUUAUCAAUUGGUAUAUGGGCAUGAUGCAGUGUUACCUUGGGAAAUUAAGACUGGGUCUAGGCGACUAUCUUUUCAAGAUCAGUUGGCUGCCGAUGACUAUGCUACUUUGAUGACAGACGAGUUGGAUGAUCUAGCAGGGCAUCGGCUAAGGGCUUUGAUGAGUAUAGAAGAGAAUAAGAAGAGAGUUGCCAGAUGGUAUGAUAAGAAGGUAAAGGCUAAGGAGUUUGCCGAUGGAGACUUAGUAUGGAAGCUAAUCUUACCGAUCGGGACUAAAAGUUCAAAGUUUGAGAAGUGGUCUCCCAAUUGGGAGGGUCCCUAUCGGAUAAGUCGAUCAGCUCCUGGUAAUGCCUAUAUCUUAGAAACUCUCGAAGGAGUUGAAUUUCCCAGGGCAUUAAAUGGCAAAUAUCUAAAGAAGUACUACCCCAGCAUAUGGGUCGAUGCAUGAAAGUGUAAGUGCCGAUAACAAUCCUAUCGGCUGGAUCAAAAUGUAUCUGGAGCUGGACUUAGUGUUUUAAAAAGUGCCGAUAACAGUCCUAUCGGCUAGACCAAAAUACUGAGAAUGUUCAAAAGGAGAUAGUGAAAUGUAUUGCCGAUGAAGAGUUCAUAUGUUCCGCAGCGCCUGGAUUGUCGAUAUGGCGCGUAGACGGAUCUGGUUGGCUUCCUCUAUCUCCUUCACGUCGUCAUCGGCAGAGCCCUCCACUGGCUUCAGCUUCUUCUUCAUUUGCAGUGCCUUGCGGCCAUGAACAUUUCGCUCUUGUUCAAGGAGUUUGAUUACCUCAGGCAGCUGGUUUUCUUCUUGCUGAGCCUGGGACAAAGCUUCCUCCACUUGCUUGAGUUCUACCAGCAGAGCCUCUCUUUUUGCCGACAGAUCAGAGAUCUUGUGUUUCAGAGCAUCUCCUGAGGACUUCAAGAUGCCGAUGUUCUUGUGCUUCUCAUCGGCAAGGAGUUUCACCUUCAUCAUCUCCUCAGAGAGCUAGGCAUGAGCCGCUCUGUCAGCAAGGCGUUGGGCAGCCCUGUGGUACUGCAGUUGACGGCUCUCUAGAUGUGCUGCUUGGAAGAGAACUUCUUCAGCAUCGGCAGGGAUUUGGCCUCUAAGGGUCUUGAACAAAGCCUUGGCCGGGUCAGAAUCAUCGACUAGUUAAGCUGUGUCCUGAUGGAGGAGGGCUGACAAUUCUUCCAAUUUUGCCCUGAUCUCUGCCGAUGUAAUUCCGACUGCCCGGGAGGAACUUGCCUCCUCACCUCCAUCUUCGGAGAUGUCGAUGGCGAAGGAGAACAAGCUGUCAGGAGAGUCUUGCUCCUGAAAAUGAAAUGAAAUGAGUUAUUCUAUGGUCAGGUAUUGAUAAAUGAUACAGACAGGGAUUGGGGAACUUACUUGUUUCAGGGCAAUCUCUCGCCUCUGACUAGAAGAUGCCGAUGGAACCACAGGCUGAUCAGCUGAGGUUGCUGAUAGAACUAUGUCGGCUGAAAGAAUAACAGAGAUAAUCGUAAGAUUGAAGAAAUAGGUUCAUCGGCAAUGAUUUCAUAGAAAGUGUGUUACCUCGAGGGGAAGCAGUACUUGUCUGGAUGGAAGAAACUACCGAUACUAUAAUCGAGCCUGCUGGAUCGGCAGUUCGCUCCUGCACCUCAGCCGAUGUGCCUUCUGGCUAAGGAACUUCUGGCUGUGGCUCUUCUGGUUGGAAUUCUUCCAUUUGGGGUGCUUCUUGCAACUGAGGAGGGGAUGGUGCUUGUUGCGGAUGGACUUCUGGAGAAGAAGGAGAAGACUCCACUAGAAUUGGAGACACCGUGGGAGGAGAAGGUGUUGCUGUCUUCUGACGCUUGGUUUGUGCUCUGGUACUCUUGGCACCUUUUCUCUUCGACUGACUGGGCUGGGGGGCAUCGGCGCUUGUGCUUCUGGUCCUUGCCGAUGCGCUGGUGUGCUGAUGCAAUAAUGGAAAUUCAUGAGUACAAGUGUAAUAGAUAUAAAGAGUGAGAUCGGUAUGAAAGAGUUUGAAAAUGUACCUUGAAAGCUUGUGCCAAAGUAGAGGAAGCUACCGAUGGAGAUGUCUUAGUCCUCUUGGUAGUGACUUUCUUGAGGCGUACGCCUCGAUGCAUGAUGGCAGCCAAAGUGGGAGCAUUUUUGCCGAUUGAAGAGAUUGGACCUGAAGGAAAAAGAUCAAUCGGCUUACCACUCCUGCUGACCGAUGGAGUGACAUUAUCAACCUGCAAUACAAUACAGAAAGUGAGUUAUCGAUAGAAGUAAAAGUGAAAGAGUUGAGACAUCGGUUUGAGAAUACUUACAGUGUUAUCAGGGACUUUGUAUUGGGGGUCGAUCAUGCCGCGAUAUGUAAGAGCCAAUUUACAGAACAAAUGCUCCUUCCAUUCUUCCCACCACUGUUUGUAUGCCUGAGUGAUGAAGAGGGCCGGAAUCCACUCUGAUAAAUCUGCAUUUGUGUCGGAACUCGGUGGCAGUUGAGCUACUCGAAACCACUCAAGGAGGUUAGUGAGGACUUCCCUGAGUUUUAUCACAUCGGCAUAACAAAGUGCGAUCGGCAGCUGGCCAAAAGCUAGUUGACGGGCUAGUGCCGAUGGGUUAUAAAACUCAUAGGUUUGGUUGGAGGUUUUCCCACUGCCGAAGAAAUUCACUGGUAUAGCUCUAGGAGAUCAGUGCCAUCAUCACAUCAUGAUCUUUGUUGAGAGCGUCAUUGAAUGGAUGGAAAACCAAAGGAAACAUGGUAUGUGGAUCUUCAUAGGGCAUCCAUGCUCGCUGCUCUCUGGUCAGGCCUUCAUACAAGGUCUGGAAGAAUCGGCUGACCUGGUCUGCAUUGCCACCGGUGCCAGGCAGAACAAUGACAGCCUCGCCAAAGUUCAGAGGAGGGCGAGUUGCCGAUUCUUCUUCAUCCAGUUCAUAAUCCUCGGCUAUAUCCCUAGGAAAGCGCUAUGCGAAGAGGUCAAACUCAAGAUGCUUGUGCAUGUGGAGGCUGAGCCACAUGUUGAUAAACCACCAGGGACCCCCCAAGUUGCCGAUGGACUGGCCGAGCAAGAGUUUCCUGGUUACUUGAUGAAGGAGGUGGUAAGCUGCGCCAAGCAGGUAUCGGCCGAGGGGAAAUCGGCCACCAUUGGCUAGUCUUUCUGCUGCUGCUAGGUAGACGGAAGUUGGUCCUGCCGAUCGACCACAAAAUACAAAUUUGUCCAACCACAUGUUCAGGAAGCUGGUCUGUUCCUUUAUGUUAACAGGGCUUGUUCGUUUGUAUUUUUGGAUGUACCCUAACCAACCGCCGAUGGCACGAGUUUCUACCUUAACACUGGGUUUGGUAUCGAAAAAGUGGGUGCUAUCAGCAGAAGAUACAUCUAGGCCGGUGAGCAUAACUACAUCGGCAAGUGUAGGGGAAGCAGGGCCGUGGCCAAAAACAAAGGCGUUGAGUGUGUCUGACCAGAAAUAUGAUGCAGCUAUCAGCAGUGACUCAUUCCUAUGCAUAUCGGCAAUGGAUAACCUGAUGCAUUGGUCCAGUUUUCUCUCACCCCACUGGACUUCAUUUGAGUGGCUGGCUCUCAAGAACCAAUCCUUCCAUUCCACGGUAGGACUGGGCCAGGAACGGAAUGUAUCUUUCCACAGAUCCAAAGAGAAAUUCUCGGCUCUAAAGGGGAUUCUGUUUGUUUCUGCGUUAAUAAGAUCGGUGAUCUGGAUCCCCUAACGGACCAAGACAUUGGAGGUGUGGCUGAUCAGUAGGGAUGACAAUUUUAUUGGACAGAUCCUAAUGGUUUUGGAGAGAAAAAAGAAGAACAAAGAAAGAAAAAGAAGGACGUUCAGUAAAAUAAAUUGCGGAUGAACAGGGAUGUGAUAAAAGUACGAGAUGUAGGGUGAAGAACUAACCUCAGGAACGGUGAAGUUGAUGGCCAUCUCCUCACAAAAAGGGUGAUCGAAGGCUUCGAGGUUGGUGAAGAAGGGGCUUCGUUGGAGUUCUUGGAGAUCUCGAACAGCGCCGCCGCCAGGAAGGUGGAGUUAGAACUGUGGAAUGAUGCGAUGGAGAAGGAGUACCCGAGAAGGAACUAUUUAUAGGACAGAAUGGGCAAGGGUAAAUCUGACUUAUCACUUCACCGUAUCCGUGAAAUCCGAGGAUACUCAGGAAGAUAUGGUAACUGUUCGCACGGUAAUCAAGGGAUUGUGCAGGUGAUUUGACAAGAAGCGGUCGUGAUUUGGAGAUAUUUUACUGUGCGAGAUUUCCUGGUCGGUCCAUCGGCAGCACCUUGUAACGGUAAUAUUGCCGAUGAACGGAUAAAGUGAGGAUAUCCGUUUGAGAGGAUAAGAUACUUUAUUGAACAGAGCAUCCUGGUCAGUCCAUCGGCAGAUCUCUGUAACGGUAACAUUGCCGAUGAGCGACUAAAGUGGAGAUGUCCGUUUGGGAUGUUGAGGAUUUCGAGGAAUCUGCGGAGGAAUCAAACCAGGGUUGUUCAGAUUAAGGCUGUCGGUUACCAAAUUGGGAGAAUUAAUUACGGAAAGGCAUCAUUACUGCAGAGAAUUUCGGAGCAUUAAUGAUUUCAUACUCCGAAAUUGGGGGCAUGUGUUGACACCGUUUUUGGACACGUACCCAGGAUCGGUAGAGUGUAGAUCGGCAAAAAGGGGCAAUAGUAACUGGUCUGCAGGAGAGUUGCCAAUGAGGGUGGUUGCCGAUAAGGAGACAGCUGAAUGUGGCUAAGACCAUGGGUGGUGAUGUGUUUAUGCCGAUGGUCAGUAUCAACUGUUGCCGAUGGGGAGUCUGCCGAUGAUACGGCAGGAAGACUUGGAGGUUGCCGAUUGGUCCGUGGUGGUGUCCCAGUUUGUCACGGAAGGAUAGUUUUAUGUUUUCCUUAGUUAUUUAAGUCGUUUUGUACACGGAUUCUGUUUAAAUUUGGAAUUCGAAUUCUAGUCGUGUCUGGUUGUAGCUCUUUGAGUAGGGUAUAAAUGUAGACCCUAGGGCCUUAUAAUUGAGAUAUCUAUCAAUCAAUCAAACACAAGUUUUUACUCAUAUUCCAGUACCUACUUUCAACGACUUCGUCAUACUUUUUCCCUUUUAUUACGAGUUCUUAGGAAUUCGUCGACUUAAGCUCGGCGUAUUCUCAAGUUCCGCGUGAAUACCUCUUGGCCGUGGCAUCCGGGCGCAUCGCUGUUGUCGGGACCAAAGUAUUCGAGUUAUCACAUUUGCCGAUAGUACGGUCAAAUCGGCCGGCACGCCUUAACGUUUAAAUCGGUUAUUAGCCCUUUGUGUUUGCAGAUCAGCUUUUGCAUCAACAAAACCUAUUAAAUGAAUAAACAAAACUAAAAACAUAACUGAAAAGAAAAGAAAAGGGAAAAAUCAGGGGACCAUUUAGUCCCGGCUGGUAUUGCUUAUUUUCUUGGCAUUGAGGUGAAGAAAAGUUUGGAUGGACUAGUGAUGUCUCAGGAACAAUAUGCUGGUGAUAUUGUGAAACAUGCAAUUAUGGAAAGAAGCAAACACAUUGAUACACCUCUUUCAGUUUUAGAGAAGCUAAGUAUAGCUGAAGGCACAAGCUUAGGGCCGAAGGACUCAACCAAACACAGAAGUUUGGUUGGAGCUUUGCAGUACCUCACUCUUACAUGGCUUGACAUAUCCUUGCAGUAAAUAGGGUUUGCCAAUACUUGCAUGCACUAACUAUUGCACAUUUGAGUGCGGUGAAACAUAUACUGCGGUAUGUGAGAGGGACUCAGAAUCUAGGUUUAAAGAUCCAAAGAUCAAGCUCUUUGUUUGUGAGUGCUUUCUCUUAUGCAGAUUGGGCCAGAUGUGUGGAUGAUAGAAGAUCGACUGAGGGUUUGCUAUGUUCUUUGGCCUAAAUCUUAUUUCUUGGAGUGCUCAAAAGCAACCCGCGAUGUCUCAUUCUAGCACAGAGGCUGAAUAGAAAGCAUUAGCAAAUGCCAAUACUAAAAUGAUGUGGUUAAAAACCUAUUGGAAGAACUUCAAGUUUAACAUUCACCGGUAGUGAGGUUCUGGUGUGAUAACAUCGGUGCCAAGUAUUUGUCAGCAAAUCCAGUAUUUCAUGCUAGAACAAAACACAUUGAGAUAGAUUUCCAUUUUGUUCGGGAAAGAGUAGCACAGAAGCUACUGGACAUUCAGUAUGUGCAUACUAGUGAUCAACUUGCAGAUGGAUUCACCAAACCCCUUGUUGUGUCAAAGAUGAUAGAAUUUAGAUUCAGUCUCAACCUUGUAAGUGGCUGAGAUUGUGGGGGAGUGUUAAAUGAUAUGCAACUCAGGAACUGUCCAGGUUCAUGGUAUAAGGUGUCGGCUAGGUUGUUCGAGUAGCAACCGUGUAUAUGCAAAUAAGUUGAGAGUUUGUUUCUAGUUUGUUGUAAUCUUCAUCUUGUUGUAUAAGCCAUGUAGGGGGGUGUUCCCUACUCUAUAUAACAUGAACCGAGAGCCCAGAGAGGGGUCAUCUCGUUCCACCUAUUUUUACAGAUGUGUUAUGUAGUUUGUGUGUAGAAUUAUUGAACUAAAAAGAGGGAUUGAUAUAUAUGGCUAAUUUGUUAAAUUUGAAACUUACUAUGUCAUUUAGUAUUUGUAUAUCGAAUGGUGCAAAAGUAUUUUAUAUGGUCGUUAACCAAAGAUUUCACUAAACUAGCCGGGACUAAAGGGUGUUGCUGCGUGGCACUGCUGACAGCACUCUUUAGUCCUGGCUGGUAAUACCAACCGGGACGAAAGGCAGGGCUUUAGCCCUGGUGCGUUGCGCCGGGACUAAAGGGGGGCCUUUUGUCCCGAAAGCAUAGUCCCGGCUCGAAAUCCAGGGCUAAAGCCCCUUCCCAGCCGGGACUAAAGGCCGAUCAUGUAGCAGUGUAUCCGAGGUGGUUUCAUGCCUGCCUUGGUUAAUCAAAUAAAAAAAUAAAAAAGGAAAACCUUGGAUGAGCCCACCAAGCCCAUCUAGGGCCCGCCGAGCCCAUCCAUGUGUAGUGGCCACUGCUCAUGGAUGCGCGGCCAACAAGGGGAGGGGGGUGCCGGGAUGAGAGGGGCCGCUGGGAUGGGAGGCAAGGGGAGGGGGCCACCAGGAUGGGAGGGAAGGGGAGGGGGCACUGGACGGGAGCCGUCGUGAGGGGGGUGCCGGUGGGAUGGGAGGGAUAGGGAGGGGGCGCCGGGAUGGGAGCCAUCAGAAGGGGAAGGGAUGCCGGUCUCCUGCGGGGUCCUAGUCUCUUGCAUGAGAGGAGUGUCGAGGGAGGGAGGAGAGAUCUGUGCGGCUGAGUGGGUGAGAGGAUGUGGAGUGAAACCCUAAGUCAUGUAUAUAUACUUCGUGUGAUAUAUCAGUCUAGGACGUGUCAAGAUGGGUUAUUUGGACUCCAAGAUGGGCCAUUAUUAACCGAGGCGGGUCUUCUAAAAUAACCGCCUCGGUUAAUGAUUUACCAAGGCAGUUGCAUUAUAAUAACUGCCUCGGUAAAUAUGUAUUAACCGAGGUGGUUAUAUUACAUUGCCCGCCUCGGUAUAGAUUUUAGGAGGUGGGUUUUUGUAACCGUCUCGGUUAAUAAAAAAUCACUGCCUCAGUUAAUCUGAGGCAUUAACCGAGGCAGUUGGAAAUUUUACCUGCCUCCGAGACCCAUUCUAAAACGCCUCGCAAAAGAUUUUUUAUAGUAGUGUCUAGAUUCGUAUGUAGGGAUUAGCCUUCUAGCUAGGCAAAGUCAACUAGGUAGUGACAUGGUAUAACUAGAGCAGAUAUGAAUGUUGUAGGGUUUAGAUCUUGUAAUCUAAAGCCUGAUUGUUGUGGCAAGUCUCCCAAAUCGGCAUUUGUUCCCACAUGACGCAAGAUACAAAACUACGUAUUAGUGUUUUCACCUUCAUCCCCUAGUCCACCAAAACAUUUGUUUUCCCCUAUCAUCCUACAACCAUUUGUGCCAUAGAUGUGGCUUAAUUAAGGUUUAGAGUCCGCUGUACGUGUUGAGUUUUUUUCAUUGGACAUGAUGUUGUUGUUGGUGUAGCUCGUGUUUGAUUCCAGUUUGUGUGAUCCCUCUGCUCUUUUCCAUCAACUCUAAAGGCACCACCAAAAAUCUAGUAUCUUGUGCCUAAAAGCCCUUAUUCAGUGGCCAGACAAACUCAAAACAAGGCAAAUUUUAGAGUUUCAGAGAAUGUUGGAAAAUUAUAUAAUACAAUUAAAUACUAUAUGUAGUAACCCAUAGAUAUAAUGUCUUGUCUCCCAGAUGCAUAAGGACAUAGCAUAAUACCUCCAGCACACAUAUAUGCAACAUAUUAUCUAUCCAAUAGAAGUUUAAUAAUACAAUUAAAUACUAUAUGUAGUCCCUAGGGGAUAGAAUUCAAUAUCUCCUAUAUGCAUGAGGAGUAAGCAAUAUAUCUCUAACAGACAUGCAACGUAUCAUCUAUCUAAUAUAAAAUAUAUAUAUAACAUAAUUGAAUACUAUAUGUAGUACCGAAUAGAUAUAAUGUCCUAUCUCCUAGAUGCAUAAGGACAUAGCAUAAUAUCUCCAGCACCCAUGUAUCUAAUAGGAGUUUAAAAAUACAAUUAAAUACUAUGCGUAGUCCUAGUGGAUAGAAUUCAUUAUAUCCUAUAUAUAUGCAUGAGGAGUAAGCAAUAUAUCUCUAACAGACACGCAACGUAUUAUCUAUCUAAUAGAAAUUAUUUAAUAAAGUUAAACUAUAUGCUGCAACUAUUAUAUAGAGUCCAAUAUCUCUUAGAUUCAUGGGACUAAGCAUAUUAUCUACAAGAAUCAACGUAUUACCUAUCUGUAGAAAUUAUAUAAUACAAUUAAAUAUUAUAUGAAAUACCUACUGGAUAGAAUUCAAUGUCAUUUGCCAAUUUUAUAUUUGGUCCAUUCGCAUCUUCAUCGAUGUCUAUACCUAUAUAUAAGCCUAGCCAUCCCCACUGGAAGUUCUCACAAGUCACACCUAAACCACACAUCUUUUGCUUUGUCGAAAUUCAAUCAGGAGCUGAAGGAGAGGCCGGGCUUGCUAUUAAAUCAAACCAUAAAACACAAGCUAUAACCAUGGCAAAACUACUCUUGGGUUUGCUCCUUGUCCUUGUCAUUAUAGGGACAACGUCGGCCGAUAACUGUGCUAAAGAUGCGGAAGCCAUGAAGCAAGAGUGCAAGAAGUUCGAGGUGUUCCCCGUGAACCCAAAGUUGCAACCGUCGCCGGCAUGUUGCGCUGUGUGGCAGAGGGCAGACAUCCCAUGCCUAUGCAAAAGGGUCACCCCGGAAGUAGAGAAGGUGUGGUGCAUGGAGAAGGUCGUGUAUGUCGCCAAUUACUGCAAGAAGCCCUUUACACCCGGCUACAAGUGCGGGAGUAAGUUAACACUCACCAUAUAUACAUACUAUUAUACAUGUUGGUGCGUAUUAUUGUUGUACGAUGUACAUGACUACUCCAAGCGUGACUGAUUUUAUAUAUUGGUUGGUUUUUGCAGGUUAUACGGUUCCUAAAAGCCUCUAAAUAGCUAGAGCGGUUUGGACAUGCAUGGUACUCUAUCCUGAAGCUUGCAUUUGAGAUUUGUAACAUGUGAGAGACUAUGUUGAGAAUAAUGUGUAUCGAGUGCUUUGUAUGAAAAGCGUUGGAGAUUUGAUAAUGUUCGGCUUUUAUCUUACUGCUUCCUUGGUCUUGCAUUUUUUUGGAAGAAUUCUAUGUGAUAGAACGUGGGGCUACAUUAAUAAUUUACACUAGUACAUAAAUCAUGGUGGUGGGCAUUGCAACCGCCUCCAAUUGAUGUCCUCGGUUAAUCGCCAAUUAAUGAAAGCGGUUACUUUGUGUGUCUUCGUAAAUCAAAUAGAAAGAAUAAAAAAAAGAAAAACACAUGAACAGCUCUGAGCCCAUCCAUGGGUUGCCGUUGCCACAAUGACUCGCCGGAACCUGGCUUGCAUGCACCGCCGGGAUCCGGCCUCCCGCCAUCAGGAUCCAGCCUCCCACUGCUAGAUUGGACACCAGCCGCUGGGAUCCGACCUCCCGCUGCUAGGAUCGAGACACCAUUGCAGGGAUUCUGCCUCCGCUGCCGAAUUGAGACGCCUGUCGACCGAUCUAGAGGUGGAGGGGAAGGGAGAGCGGCUCUUUGUUGGGUGGGGAGCAACGCGCCGCCGAGGCUGCCCACCACCGAGAUGCGUGUUCGUGCCACCUUUGUCUGCACCACUGGGGCCAUCUCCAUCCAUGCUUCGAGCUUGUCUUCCAAGCCUCUAGAUCCGCGCUGCUUUGCGCUGCGCUUCGAGCUCGUCCCAUUAGGGCUGAUCAUGUCCGCUCCGCCAGGGACGACCGCCCGCGCUAGCUAGGGCAAAGAGAGAGGGGAAGAGGGAGAGGGGCUGUUGGAGGGAGGUAGAGAGGCGCGUGGCUCAGUCGAUUGAGGGAGAGGGCCGUGCAGCUCAGGUGGAAGACCGCCAUACUUGGGACGCUUUAGGGAGGGGAGGCGCUGGGUGAGAGAGAGAUGAGUGAUGGAUUGGAGAUGGACGAGGUGUCAUUUGAUAUAUAUACUGGGACGUUGUUGUUGAGCCAAGAUGGGCUAAUUAGAAAUGUGAGUUAGCUUGGAUAUAUUAAAGGAGGUCAGGCUUUUAAGAGGUUCACCUCCGAAUACGGCUUGAUCUUUGGAGAAGGCCCGCCUUUGUAAAUCUAAUUUAGAAGGUAGUUAUUUUUUUGUCUGCCUUUGUUAAUCCUCUGUUAAUCAAUUUUAUAAGGCGGGUAAACGUGAUGUCGUGUUGUUGGAGAAGAUGUCAAAUGGGUAUUCUACCUUUUGCAUUUAGCAUUACCCAAAUAUUAAAUGAGUUUUGUAUUUUGGGUGUUGUUGGAGAUAAUGAGACUAUCUAAAAACAUUUUUCUAAAUUUUUUAAUUUAGCUACUCUCUAAAACAGAAUUCACCUAAAAAAAUAGACCAAUCAAACUGCCUCUGUAAAAUUAAUUGGCAAAGAAACACUCGACAAAGAGGCUUCUUUAUUGAGUGUCUUUUUUAAUAUUUGGCAAACAAGCCUCUUUGCCGAGUGUUUUUUUUUCCCGAGUGUUUUUUGUUUGAAGCUUCUUUGUCGAGUGCCUGAAAAAAAACACUUGGCAAAGAGGCUGUCGGCCGUAGUGUGUCAAUCCUACCGACCAAAAUUUGCGGGAUGGAGAGCGAGCUCUUUUGGAAAGGCAUUUCCACAGUCUGUUAUAGAAGCUUUUUCUUCAAUAAUAGCCAUAUUUAGUUUUAUAAAAUAUUUUAACUAGUCUUUUAGAGUUGCUCUUACGUGCACUCCAUGUGCAGCUUUAGAUAAUAGUACAAAGACGCAAACAUAUAUAUUACUAGGAGUAUAUCCUGCGCGUUGCCGCAGAAUUUUCUUAAAAAAAAAUUGUUAUAUAUAUAUAUACCAUUACUAUAUGGUUAUAUAUAUAUAUAUAUAUAUAUAUAUAUAUAUAUAUAUAUACGUGCACUCCAUGUGCAGUUUUAGACAAUAGUACAAAGACACAAACAUAUAUAUUACUAGGAGUAUACCCUGCGCGUUGCCGCAGGAUUUUCUUAAAAAUAAAUUUGUUAUAUAUAUGUACCAUUACUAUAUGGUUAUAUAUAGGAUUAAGUCCACUUUUAGCCCCUCAACUGUUGGCCGAGUUUAAUUUUAACCCUCAACUACAAAACCGUAUGUUUCUCACCCUCAACUAUCAAAACCGGUCACUUUUAGCACCCGGAGAGAGGACAUGACGGUUUUGAGCCACUUUGAGCGGUUUUUCUUUUUUCUUUUCUAUGGUUAAACCCGUGAAUUUUAUAGUGAAUUAUUUGAGCAUGGUAAAUUCAUCAAAUUUUUUGGGUAGCCUUGUCAUGAUGUUCUCUAUGCAUAAAAAAUGUGAAACUAUGAAAGUAAGUAUUUUUGGAUGCAAAAAAAUUAGCUCUUUUAAUUCAUAAAUACAUGUUCUAUGAUUUUUGUAGGAUAACAUAUACAUCCUAUGAUCAUGAAACUUUUUGUGUAACUGUUUUAUACUAAGAUAGACCUUCAAAAAAAGUUUAAGAUUAAUUUAAUGAUGUUUGCUUGUGUCCCUAAUUUAUAUAUAUUUAAUAAAGCAUAUAAAUUAGGGAUAUAAGCAAACAUCAUCAAAUUAAUCUCAAACUUUUUAUGAAGGUCUAUAUUAGUAUAAAACAAUUAUGCAAAAAGUUUCAUGAUCAUAGGAUAUAUAUAUUAUCCUAAAAAAUCAUAGAACAUGUAUUUAUUAAUUAAAAGAGCUAAUUAGCAUCAAAAAAUACUUACUUUCAUAGUUUCACAUUUUUUCUGCAUAGAGAACAUCAUGACAAGGCUACCCAAAAAAUUUGAUGAAUUUACCAUGCUCAAAUAAUUCACUACGAAAUUCACAGGUUUAACCAUAGAAAAGAAAAAGGGAAAACCGCUCAAAGUGGCUCAAAACCGCCCUCUCCUCUCUCCAGGUGCUAAAAGUGACCGGUUUUGAUAGUUGAGGGUGAGAAGCAGACGGUUUUGUAGUUGAUGGUUAAAAUUAAACUCGGCCAAUAGUUGAGGGGCUAAAAGUGGACUUAAUCCUUUUAUAUAUAUAUAUAUAUAUAUAUAUAUAUAUAUAUAUAUAUAUAUAUAUAUGUGUGUGUGUGUGUGUGUGUGUGAAUUUCACUUGCAUGUUAUUUUAUUGUAUUAGAUUUGGUAAAAAAAUUGCUAAGCUAAUAGAAUAUUUAUACAAUAGAGGAAUAGGUGAUGAAACAAAUUGCGUAUGUAAAUGACUUAUACGUUAAUAUAUUAAAGAUUUAAAGUAUUUGACAUGAUAGAGAAGGUAUUGAUAUUUUGUAAUUAAUAAGAGAUGACAUGGACUUAGUGGGAAAUGAUGUGGGCAUCUUGCAUGAAGAGAAAAAUCAUCUAGUAGAGUUUAUCAUUGUAAGAGUAUAUGAUUACACACCAUUUUCUUUCUUGUUUUCAAAUUACAUAGUACAAACACAGAAACAUAUACAACACGCACGAACACACUCAACACAGAUGACAACAUUAUAUAUAUUACACACCUUUAGGAAACACACAAAUAUACAAAGAGCUCCUAUCAAGGAAAACAAACACAAAUCAUAUACACUCAUGACAGUACGGUAGAACACAGACAUAAAGGUUCACAAGCCAACAAACAUUAUUCUUAACUAGCACCACACUGGAUCCGAGCAACCUUAGGGAAAUUGAAUAAACGCGAUUGAGCGCAUGCAGUUGACCGAUCUCCUGGUGGUAUGUUAUUAUUAACUCCAGCAAGCGACAGAAGCCAUUCAGAAUGGCCCCAUCGAAUUCAUCGCAGACUUGAUGUCUGCAGCAACACUCUUUGCAUCACGAGAAAUACCAGCCAGCCCUGCCAUUCCCAGCCCAACACAGUAGAGGCCGUUUUCACCUUUCCAAGGAUUGGUGAGCUCCCUCUUGGGCAUGCUAUUUUCGUUCAGCAAGCUCUCACCAUUCUGCAUUUUGUUAAUCACAUAAACUUUUGUAAGAACAUGACAUGCAACCAUUUUUCUGAAGAAAUUCGAUACAUUUGGUACUCGAAUUCAACAGUACUCAAGUUUCUGGUUAUAUAUUUAUUUACUCUGCCAUUCCAAAUUAUAAUACGUUUUAGUUUUUUUAGAUACAUUUCUUUUAUCAUAACUUAUCUAGAAAUGUCAAACGCUAUCUUAUAAUUUGGAACAGAGAUAGUACAAAAAAAAACUAUAUAGAUAACUUUCCUAUAAGUGGGGACGGUGGUAGAUGAUUGUAUUUCUUAUGCUUUUUAGUAACUGUCCUCUUGUAAGUAUACUGAAUCAAAACGUGCACUAUAGGAAACUCAGGCUUCGCCAAGUGCUCCAGACUUCGCCGAGUGCCAAAAAUCGGGCACUUGGCGAAGAAGGCUUCGCCAAGUGCCUGGCACUUGGCGAAGCCAGCACUCGGCGAAGAAGGCUUCGCCAAGUGCCAAGCACUCGGCGAAGAAAGGCACUUGGCGAAAUGGACUCUUCGCCAAGUGCCCGGCACUCGGCGAAGAACGGCACUCGGCGAGGCCUGACGGCAUCCAUCCCCAUCCCUUGCCGUCGGCUUCGCCAAGUGCCUCCGUCUGGCACUUGGCGAAGAGGAGGCUUCGUCGAGUGCCAGACACGUGGCACUUGGCGAAGAGAGGACCCUGGGAAAUUGCCUGGAAGCCCUCUUCGCCAAGUGCCACGUGGCUGGCAGCCACGUGGCACUUGGCGAAGUGUAUACGUACGUUUGAACAGGUAAGCGGACCCAUGCGCCCUCUUCGCCGAGUGCCGCCGAUCUGGCACUCGGCGAAGCCGUCCCCACCCCCUCUUCGCCAAGUGCCGCCGAUCUGGCACUCGGCGAAGUGCGUGUUUCAGUUAAAAAAAGGAAACGCUCAGCCGCUCCCCACCCCACGCACUCAGCCGGCCGCGCACGCACGCACGCACCCACACCACGCACGCA
rnacentral:lncRNA from 1 species